CCCUACCAGCCCAGCACGGCACAAGUGCGUCCAAAUAUAAUAAGCUAGGCACAAUAUACAGAAGAGUCUCACACACACACACACACACACUACUAUUACUUGUGAGGUCCGACACACUAGUUACUUAUCAGGUCCAACUAAGUCCACAUAACUUAGGUGACUACAGUGUCACUGAGAGACAGAUAGCUAUUCAGGGGUUCAUUACUGACCAACAAAUCUUCACACGCAACUCUUAGGUGACUACAGUGUCACUGAGAGACAGAUAGCUAUUCAGGGGUUCAUUACUGACCAACAAAUCUUCACACGCAACUCAGUUCCACCGACAACAAGUGGGCCUUCAGCUUUGUCGUUGAUCCUUGGGGAGAAUGAUAUGCGCUCAGAUUUACCAUCACUUGUCUGUGCAGCAAUCAUGAGCAAAUCCUUAACAUAGACACAUACAACAUGUCGCAAAAGCUUGAGGUCUCCACAAUUGUCAACAGUCAUCGCAUCAGCCUCUUUGCUAUCGUAGAGCACAAGCUCGUUGCACAUGUUGGCAGUGUUGGCAGUGAUUCUUCCAUGAAAACUUCCCUGCACAACUUCAACUGCAAUAGUUCCCUCCAGUGCACGAUCCACGACUGAAUAAUACACAUCCACAGUACUGAGCCUGGUUGCAAGAGAUUUGGUUGCAGACGUGUAUCCCUUCUCAAAUAGACGAGCUGGUGUGCCCCUGAUGAUUAUCAGUCCUUUACUAAGUUCUCUGUCCUGGACUAGGUCAUCCUUCAUCUUGAGAUCAGUCUCCACAUAGAUAUCUCCUGCCAAUGCAAGGCCGCGUUUUGGCCCAGUCAAGAUCAGUGAUUCAGACUACAGCAGAGGUUUAUUUACAGGAUAUACGUCAGUGACACAUGAAUUAUGUCUACAAAUAAAUAGUGCUGAAAAAAAAUUAUAGCCACUGUAUUAUAAGUAAUUAUGCUGUUGGGUACGUAUAUAGCUAGCUAGCUGAUGAAAAUGUCAAUGGCAUGGGAUCCGAAGCAAUAGAUGCAACAGUUGAUCUAUAACAUCCAGGAUCUCUCUCUAUCUUUUUCCUACAAAAAGAGCAGCGCUAAACGACAAAAGUGUAACAAGAAGCAUAUAUAUGUGUCUUUCUGAAAGUAUGGAUUUUAUUAGGCAGCAAGCAUUAUGGUGCCUACCUACAGUCGUGGUUACACUGUCCAGCAUGCAAAAUAGGAAUUGGUUACAGGCAGGUCAGGUAAGUAUAUCAGUCUUAAUCUUUUCUCUAUAUAUACACGAGUGAAAAUAAAAACAAGGCGGUAAUGCACAACUAGUACGAAAGGAAUACCUCAGAACUGAUGAGUUGGCAAUUGUCACUGUCGCGGCGGAAGUGAUAAACACACCUCUCAUCGAUGCUGUCCCUGACAAUGAUAGUGCCAUAGACAUGGAUUGGGUAGCCAACAUCAGAACAGCCUAUCUUGACAGACAGGAAGUUUACUGCCUUACACAGGCGGAGAAAGUAGCUCUCUUUUUUGUAAGGGGAAUCGAUAUGUCUCAUGGGACCAAUGGGUGCUGUCAUGCAUGCAAAGGAAAUUAAUGAAUGAGAUACUAGAUCAUCAGUUGCAUCUAUAUAAUCAUCAUGCCUAAUUGGAACUGAAGUGAAGAUGGGUACAAAUUAAUAAUGUGGAGAAGUGGAAACCAUCGUACAGGAGUGAAAAUUUAGCUCCAAUUAGUCCAAAACCCAAAUACAUAUCUAUUACGAAAAUUCUAGCAUGUGGAAUCAAUACUGUACAGGAGUGAAAAAUUUAGCUCCAAUUAAUCCAAAACCCAAAUAGAUAGAUAGGGAACAACAAAAAUCAAUUUGCAGUUGCAGAACUAAUUCAAAGGAACAAUUAUUAGUUGCAUAUUGUUACAUAUCUAUUACAACAUAAAUACUAUAGUUGCCGAAUUAAUCAAUUUGUCGGAUUGAACUGCAACGGGUGGGUGGGUGGGUGGCAUGCAGAACAUGCAAAAGGAUGGAUGGAAUUGAAACAAUGGAAAGGCAAGGCAAGUGCGGCGGGCCAGAGACUUACACUCCUCGUCGAGGUUGAAUCUGAUGAGGCCGCCGCUGGUGUAUCGGCUGUAGUAGAGGCCCCCCUGCUUGGGAUCGAAGUCGACGAUGCGAGCAGAGGCCUGGAUCGACUGACCCCUGGGGUCGCCUUCAUGCAUAAGGCGGAGCCCAUACUUGACCUCGAUGCUCCUCACCCUCUCCGCCGCCUCCGCUCGCUCGGCCUCGGUCAUGCAUGAGAAAUCCGGCUGCGGCGACAUCUCAAGGACGAGCCGACGAACCUCCUCUCGCAAGGCCGUGCGCUCUUCCUUGAGCCUGCCCACCUCCUCCUCUGACAAAUCUUUGUCCAUCGCCAACCUCUUGGAUAUGGACCCUAUCUUCUUAAAGUUCGCCUCCUCGCGGUACUCCACCUCUCGCAGCUCUUCAUACCACGCCGCCGCCGCCGCCACAGCCAUCGCCGCCGCCACAGAGCUAGAACAAGCCGAUCGAUCUAGGGUUUGCAAGUGGGGAUGCGGCACCGAUGGGAGGGGGCCUGCUGAGUCUUAUUAUUUGGAGAUGAUAGCCCGUCGGCCUCCUUUUUUUUUUUCUUUUUCUUUUCUCUAUCUACGGGGCCUGCCUAUAAUAAUAACCACGUUUCAAGCCCAACUCGGAAGGAAGGAAUGUCUCCAGCCCAGCCCAGCCCAUCACCCAAUCCAGUCUUUUAAGGCCUCCUGUCUAGGCUAGAUUACAAAAAGCAAAAAGAAAAGGGUCGAUAUUACCUCCCUCAACUGAAUUCCGAAACCUCUCUCAACUUUGUAAACCGCUCACCUUACCUCCUGGCCCUGUUAUAAGCAACUUUUUUUCUUUUUUAUUUAUUUCAGCUGAAUCUUCAAAAAAAUUAUAGUAAACCACAUGAAACAAAAAAUCAUAAGAUAGAAUUGGAUUUUUUUUUUAUUUAUGAUUUUUUUUCUAUCACUUACUAUGGUUUUUCCUAGGAUCUGCCAAAAUGGUGGUCCUUAUUAAUAUCCCUGGAGAAAGAUCAAAACACUUGGUUGCUACCUUUGGUUGCUCUAUUGGGAGUCUACCUUUCAUUUAUCUUGGUUUACCUCUUGGUCUCACCAAGCCAAGAAUUGAAGACUUCCUGCCAUUAAUAACUAGAUGUGAGAGGAGAUUGAACAGCACUUUCCUAUUUCUUUCUCAAACUAAGAAGCUGCAAAUGGUUCAUUUUGUUUUCACCUCACUCCUUACUUUUUUUCAUGGGCACCUUCCUCCUUCAUUCUUCUGUAAGGGAACAUGUGGAUAAAUAUAGAAAGCAUUGUUUGUGGAGAGGCUAUGAUGAAAAUAGUAGGAUUAAUGCUAAAGCUACCUGGCCAAUUGUUAGCAGGCCAAAAAAUGAUGGUGGUUUAGGAAUUAUUGAUUUAAACUAGUAUAGUGCCCGUGGCACGCCACGGUUUUAUUCUAGGGUGUACUUAAAAAGAACCAAAAACCAUUUUUUCGAUAGUUUAAGUCACAUUCCAUUCUAGAGAAUGCUAAUGUAUAACAAGGCACAAUAAAAUCAUAUCUCGUAUAAUUCAACUAAUUUAUCUAUUGAAGUGGAACUUGGAGUUCUCCAGGAUAUUAUAUGUAUAUUCAUUUGUGCUGCUCUUUAAAAUAUUCACUAUAAAUUCUGUUCUCAGUGAAUGUGACCUAUGUGAAUGAUAGAUAAUAAAUUAACUUAUUAAUUUUCUAUAUAGGCUAUAAGAUAUACAUAGAAAUUAUAUAAGCUUACAGUAUCGAUAAACGUCAGUCUUUCACCAUUCCAUGACUUUAUGAAGUUGUAUACAAGGAAGCCUCCUAAUUUCCUAUCGAAGAAGAGAGAAAGUGUUUGCUUGUUGUAGAUAAAAUCAAAUGACUAUUUGAUAAGAAAGAUAAAAAAAUCAAAAUAAGCUUCUUGGAUGAUUUUUUUAAUUCACGACGCCAGACAAAGAUUUUGUCGUUCCAUAUAGGAUUUGCCAAUUUCAUAGCGAGAUUGAAAUGAUUCAAAAUAAUAUUUAGUAUAGUUAUAUAUGACUAAGGAAGGUGUCCUAUAAGCUGAAUACGUUUCUCCAACAGUCAUAGUCUGCGGAUAUUUCAGCACGGUUGAAGUAAAUAGUGCAAGGACCCGUGAACAAAAAUAAACAUCAUAUUCUUAUACCACGCAAGAAUAGUGAAGAUCAUGCACCUGAUUGAUCUAGUGCAUAUGAAAGUACACUUGUUUCAGCCUUUCGGCGAGCACAAUACUCACGCUGCCUCGUAUUUAUCUCCUCUUGUUCCUCGUCCAUUUCUUGAGACCUUUUUCUAGCACGGUACUCAUGUCGUUUCCUAUUCCUUUCCUCUUUCUUGAGUUGUUCUUCGUUGCAAGCUGUGGACAUACAUGUUUCUUAUUUAUGACAUUGUAUAUAUAUCUCAUUGCAAUAUGUGUAUAUUUACGUACCUAGAGUAUGUAUGGUUGUUACAUUGCUAAGCGCAAUGCGUCCCUCUCUUGGCGUUCCCAUUUUCCGUGGAGGACUGGUAAGUAAUAAUGUGAACAUUCAUAUAUAUGUUACUCGUUUUGAGAAUAGAGUGAGGAUCGAGGAAUGACAACAAAGCAUCACUGAAAAAAGAAAUAUGCUUUGAGAGGCGGUGCAAUGUACAUGUGAGAUCCUUUUUUUUAUUUUAAUUGUACACCCAAUUCAGUAAUUCAGCCAUAGCAAUAUUUUUAUUAUUAUUAGUAGUAUUAUAUAUAUAUAUAUAACUUGGAUCUAAUGCAUAUUUUUUAUUUUAGUUGUACACCCAAUUCAGUUGUUUAGUCUUUCAUUUUUUUCAUUUAUUUAGUAUGUAAGUCCUUGCAAAGGCAAGAGAGAAAAUAAAUUGAACUGUCCCUUUUAACACCAAUUGAGAAGACAUGGCUCCAACGUUUUGGUUUGAAAUUUGUAGAAUCAAAACGCAAUAACUCUGAAGAAGAGACGCCUAAGCACUGCAAUAGAUGAACAGGGGCAGCAAGCAGCACCGACAAUGUGCGACAAUGGUAAAAGGGUGGAGGUCUGCAUGCACCUGAUCUGCACUGCCGAACCUGCCCCCGAAUGGGGGCAGAAUGUGUGGAUGCCUGAGACUCCACCGGCCACCGAAAGUGUGGAUCCCUGACCUGCAAUAGUCUCGCUCGGCGAUGGUGUGAUUAGCAGAUUUUUUGCAUACUGUGAGCAGCAGGAGCCCUUCGUCCUCCAAGAUCACAACGAAGACAGCGCCACGGCAGAUCGCACGCCGGCCGCCGCGUCAGUGACGGAGGAGACUGCUGCGCGGGAGCACAGCGGCCACCUUCACCAAGCUUGCUCCCUGCCGCGGCAGAGGCGAGCGUCGGGAUUAGCAGCGUCAGGCGCGAUGGAUGGAGCAGUCGAGCACGUGAUUAGCGGCGGCGGCAGGUGUUUUUGAGUUUUUGUGGGGGCGGGUGGGAGAGGCCGAGGAGGUUGACACAAGCAAUCUUGGUCCUUGGAUUUGAGUAAGGCCUUGUUUAGUUCAAAAAAAUUUUGCAAAAUUUUUCAGAUUCCCCGUCACAUCGAAUCUUUAGACACAUGCAUGAAGUAGUAAAUAUAGACAAAAAUAAAAACUAAUUGCACAGUUUGGUCGAAAUUGACGAGACGAAUCUUUUGAGUCUAGUUAGUCCAUGAUUGGACAAUAUUUGUCAAAUACAAACGAAAUAGCUACAGUGUCAAUUUUGCAAAAUAUUUUGGAACUAAACAAGGCCUAAGGAGAGAGAAUGCUCAAAUUAAAUCUAGACAGUCCAUUUUGAAGAUGUUGUAUUUCUGGGUACACUUUCCUGGGUGGAUAAAGAUAGGGCUUCUCAGCGGGGGACGUUUUCUGGUGUGGAGGUAGAAAAGAAAAACUCGGUGCAUUAUUAGGGUAGAAACACAAAAUGAAGCUCUCCUUUUGAAACAUUUGCAUAAAAUUUUCAACAGAGUUGAUGUCCCUUGGAUUCACCUAGUAUGGGAGAAACACUAUUCUAGUGGCAAACUUCCCUGUCAUAUCAAAAAGGGCACCUUCUAGACGAGUUUAAGGGCUUAGCCUCUGUUUUUUGUUGAAGAUGGAGCCUCCUAUCUCUUCUAGGAUGAUUUUUGGGCAGCCCCUAAAAUUGUCAUUCCCAAAGUUGUUCUCCUUUGCUAAAAACCCAAUAUUUCUAUCAAGAAUGCAAUGAGUGUAACUCUUUCAUCAGGUCUCUUCAGUCUUCCAAUGUUUGUGGAAGCCAUUGCCCAGUUUCAUGAAGUGCAAGAAAUGCUACAAUCUUUUGUCCCCACCUAUUGAUUCUUGGCACUAUAUUUUGGGGCAGUUUCACUUUCACUUUUAAAAAAGCUUAUCUUCAUCUAUUGAGCUCUAGUGGGGCUGCACCAAUCUUUAAAUGGAUUUAGAAAUCCUCGUGUCAACCGAAGCACAGUCUUUUUCUGGCUACUAAUUCAAGACAAGCUUAGCACUCGAAAUAUUUUGAGGAGAAAGAAUAUGUAUCUGCCAUCCUACAGCUGUGUGCUUUGUUCUUUGAAUAAUGAAGAGACUACGAAUCAACUCUUUUUUGAAUGUAAUCUUGCAAGAGAUUGUUGGGGCCUAAGUGGGCUAACUGUGAUUAGUUCACUAGACCCACUGCAAAGAUUUGAGAGUUUCAGAAUGCAUAUUGACAGUAGAUUCUUCAUAGAAAUCAUCAUUAUCAUGUGUUGGAGUCAUCAUUAUCAUGUGUUGGAGCAUUUGGACUGUAAGAAAUGAUGCAAUCUUUUAGAGGAAUUCCUGUUAGCAGCCUGCACGACAUGCUCGGGCAGACUUACCGCACUGACUACGUCAAUAGGCUCAACGUCACCGCCAAGAUGCCCGUCAUGGGAGGCGCCGACACCUUCCGCUCCUAGGGACUCUUCGACGCCUACUGCGCGCAGUGCCGACUCUGAGUUUUUUGAGGUCCAGGGUGAAACAAAAAUCUGGGGCCCUUUAUAUACAUAUAUGUAGGUCUUGUUUAGUUAGGUCUUAUUAGUUCACCCUAAAAACCAAAAACUUUUUAAGAUUUCGUGUCGCAUCUAAUCUUACGGAACAUGCAUGAAGCACUAAAUGUAGUCAAAACUAAAACUAAUUACACAAUCUGCCUCUAAAUUGCGAGAUAAAUCUUUUGAGCCUAAUUAGUCCAUAAUUAGACAAUAAUUGUCAAAUAAAAAUAAAAAUGUAGGAUCUCUAGUAGUCUAGGAUGGCCUAGAGGGGGUGAAUAGGCCUGUCAACUCAAAACUUCACUUUUUAUCAGUUUCACAGGACAGGGUGGCACUGUCGGCCUCUACACAGAGAGCUAAAGAAUAUAUUCAAGAAUAAGUUUGGGAAACUUGGAUCAGGUAAAUUUCCCAGCUCCCUACAAAUUAGUAAUCACCAGAACCAACACACAAACUGUCGGCGUCUAGACUCGUGGUCUAGACAUAAACGAAUAUAAAUAUGCGUGACUACCUAAACCUGGAUGGUGAUGCAAGUAGAACACAGAGGAUUUAUACUGGUUCGGGCCAAGAAUGCCCUACGUCCAGUGAGAUCGGGGGUCUGUAUUGCCUUGCACCCAGAGGUGCUUGUAGUAGGGGGGUACAAGCAGGUUGCGAGAGAGGGUUAAGUCCCAAGUCUCGGCUUUGUGGUGGACAGAGUGCUGGUUGCUACUCUGUGAGCGAGUGCGGUGGUCGUGUGUGUGUGAACUUGGUGAACCUGGACUUAGUUGUGAGCCCUGGCUCCCCUUUUAUAGCCUCAAGGGGAGACAGGUAUUUACAUGAGUAGAUUUCCUCUGUUGAAUGGUGAAGCCACAGUCCCGACCCUGUUGAAGCCUGUCCAUCUCGUCCUUGAGGGAUGGCUGACAGCAUGGUUGCUUCUGUGGAGGGUUACCGAGCCCUGUAGGAGUCAUGAGGGUCAGAUCGGUGAUACUGCUGAUCACCCUGUUAAUAGUGGGAGAAGACAGCAAACAGUGACGCUGGUUAACCUUCCCCAUUCCUCUUUUACUGUGAGGCAGUACACCACAGUGAAAGAGGUAAGGUUGCAUAGUGGAAGAGGUAAGGCUACAGUGACCAGGGUGGUUGGAAUAGUCGCCACCAUGCCCUGUUGCGAUAUGGGAGUCACUGCGGCUGUCACAUCGAGGGUACGGGCGCCGUGCGUCGGAAGCCUUGUCCUGAUGCGGUGGAGCGGCGUUUGGCGCCCAAGCCCCGGAGGGGUCGGGUGAGACGGAACUUACGUCCGAGGCCCAGGGGGUCGGGCGAGGCGGUGUCUGCGUCCGAGCCCUGGGGGGUCGGGCGAGACGGUGUCUGUGUCCGAGCCCUGGGGGGUCGGGCGAGACGUGUUUUGGGCUCGAGAUUGAGGAUGCAGAUGGACUGGGGCCUGCGUCCUGGUGAUCUUGUCGGGGCUUGCUUUGCUUUUUGCGAUUUUUUGUUGCUCUGAUCUGGGUAUCCCUUUUUAUGGUACCCAACAGUAGCCCUCGAGCCUUUGAAGGGGUGAGGUCACCUCUUCAAAGGUUCUUUUCUAAGGGACCAUUGUUGGCCAGGAAUUUUCUUUAUUUUUCUCCGGAGGGUGCGCGCGAGCGCACCCACCGGGUGUAGCCCCCGAGCCUUUUGGAGGAAUAGCAUUUAUUCCUUCAAAGGCUUUUACCCCUGAGUGAUGCGGUCGGGAGUAUUCGAGGGACCGGUUGUGUGUUCUUUACACGCAGUGCCUAUUCCCAUGGUGCGAGGAAGCCCCCGAGCCCUUUCCCCGCAAGGGUCGAUCAGGUUCUUUCUCGUCUUAUAAUUACGUCCCUCAUUCUUCCUUUCGCUCGGAGGAGGGGGUGGGUUGUGUCGUACUACCCUCGAUGGGCGAGUAGUGACACUUCCCUGGGAGCUGCAAGCGGGUAAAUCCAAGUGGAUGUCCGAGUCCCAUUCGAUAGGGGUCGGCUAGCGGCCUUAUGGGCACAUCUCAAAAUACCCGAGGGCAGUCACGGUGGAUCUCGGAACCGUUCGCCAGGUCCCGAGGGCUCGGUGCCUCCCUCGAUGGGAUCCCACUCGCGUGACACCCGCAUGGGUCUCGGAUAUGAUUGGUAAAGAUGCGCCGACCCCGUAUGGGGUUCGGACCGUGGCCUCUAUUGUGCUCAUCUUCAAUCAUCCCUCGCUCAGUCAUCCUGAGGCGACUGUUCGAACCUGUUCUUGUAGGUCAGCCUCGCAACCUCUGGAACGUAGGUGGCCAUGGCCUGGGGAUUUUUAGCCUUGAAAAGGCUUUUUCAGACUAGUUUGUAAUGUCAGGGUCGGGCGAGACGGAAUCUGCGCCUGACGGGAACCGCCUUGUGGUUUUCGCUCGGGGUCAUCAGGGGGUCGGGCGAGGCGAAAGCCGUGCCCAACGGAGACCGCCCCACGAUGUUUGGUCAGCGGGGGGUCGAGCGCCGCUUCUCUGGGAAGGAAGCGCCCUGACAUAACUUUUCAGAGCGCUUCUUUUGAGGCGCGGCGCGUGGGGAAUCGAAACGGCUGUGCCGUUGUGCCCUGAUCGGAUGGGACGUUUCACCUGCGAAAUUAAUGCGCGCGUGCGGCGGGCGUGAGAAUCGGAGGGAGUUGGCGCUUCGAAUUUUUCACCUGGUGGGGAGUGGGCGACGGUUGCUCUUUUUGCCCUCUUGGUCUUCUGCGAGCGACGCGGUCGUGGCAUACUUCCUCUAUAAAAGCCGCCGCGGGGGACUUGGUUUCUUUCCUCCCACUCUUGCGAAAAGAAGCUCUCGCCUCCUGCCUUUUCUCCUGCCCCCAUCUUCUCCACUUCCGCCGCGUAAACAUCCCUGUUUCAUCCAACGCCAUGGCCGGCGUUGAGGCGUGGCCGCCCUGCAACGUGACCAAGUCUGCGUUGGACGCCCGCAUGAAGGCCGGGAUUCUCCGUCCCCUUACGGACGUCGAGCUGCCAGAGUGGAUCGUUCCUUCGGCGAACGACAGGGAGCCAAACCCGCCCCCGGGCUAUGUGGUUUGCUUCCUGUCGUUCUUAGACCGGGGGUUCGGAACUCCGGCCGGUCGACUGAUCCGGGCGAUCCUCCACUACUACGAGGUGGAGUUACACAACCUCAACCCCAACUCGGUGAUGUAGGCGUCCGUCUUCGCCACGGUGUGCGAGGGGUUCCUAGGGGUUCCCCCCCAUUGGAACCUCUGGCUUCACCUUUUCAAGGCGGAGAUGUCCGCCCGCUACGUUGGAGGGGAGAAGUUCCCCCUACGGGUCGGCGGUUGUACGUUGAAGCUCCGCCAGCAGCGGUCCUCCCAGUACAUCUGGAGUGCGAUGCCCUCGUCGAACCGGGGGUGGCAGAAUGGGUGGUUCUACCUCUAAAACGACGGCGGGCUGCUCCCGACAUACACCGGGAAGAUGGUGACGGAAUCCCCCCAAAAGUGGGUGUGGGGUGCUCCCACGGGGGAGCAGAAGAAACUCGCCCCUCUUCUUGCGGGGCUUGAGAAGCAGCGGGACGCCCGUGUUACCGCGGCCACGGUGGCGACGGCGUUUCACAAAAGGAGUCUGCUUCCGCUGGCGCAGCGGCGAGCAUUUAUGUUCGAGAUGACUCGGGACGUCCCUUGGGCCGGAACGAAGAUGUUGGCCGAGCCGAUAUCGGCGUCGGACAUCACCGCCCGGGUUGAGAAGACGACGCACCCGGAUAUGAAGAACUCCUGGGAGGUGCCCAUGCGCCCCGAGAAGGGCUACAUUUCUCUAGUAAGGUGUUAUCUUUCGCGCUUAUUUCCUUUUCCCCCCUGCCUCUUUCCUUGACCAUUGCUUGUUUACAAAGGAUGGGAAUCGUCAGGGAUUCCCUACCCCCCGCCCAGAGGACAAGGAGACCCAGGCCAAGAACCGGGCCCGGAAUGAGGAACAGAAGAAGGCCAAGGAGGACAAAAAGGCCAAGGCAGCGCGAAAAGCGCAACGGCGGGAGAUCUCCACCAAGAACCAUCGUGAAGCCGAGAAGGCGGGGGUCGCCCCGCCCCCCUCUCCCGAGACUUCGGUCUCGGAGAUAGAAGGUGGGGGAGAUGACGCCGACUGGCUUGACGAGUUGGCGGAGGAGGAUGACGUGAUCCCCCCUGCCGGCGGGGGGAUCGAGAUCCCAGAGGGGUCGAAGGCCCGAGGGGGGUCUGAGGCCCUCGAGGGGUCCCAGGCGCCGGGGGGCGGGCAGACCGUCCCCCACAUUAUUGUGGAUGACGAGGACAGCGCCCCUCGGGAGGGUUCAGUCCCCGUGGGUCCCCAGGAGGGGGAGAAGGCGUCAAGGGGCAGAUCCGAGGUGCUCCCACAACCGGUAGCGCCAGAGAGCCUGGUCGAGCCCCGCCCGGCAUCCGGGGCAGAAGCGAGCGGCUUGGUGGAGGCGUCGCAGGCCGAGACUACCGUUGAGGUCCCCGCGCCAUCCGCUGGCGAGACGGGGGUCCGGCCAACGGCCCCUGGCGCCUCGGGAGGCCCCUAAGGAGCUCCAAGCUCCCAGAAGAAGGCUGCCCCCCGAGCGAGGUACGUAUAGGAUUUCUGAUCCUUUCGUUGAUUUUUUGUUUUUCUCUUUCUUUUGAUUCGUGUUAUCUUUUUAGCCGGAAGCAGAAGACGAUGCCAGUGGCAUUGGCCCCCCUGAAGGCCGUAAAGAGGGGGGCACAAUCGACCCCUGGGUCGGCAAGGCCGAAGUCACCGCCCCCUCUGAGCCGCGAGGAGGAGGAGGAGCGCCGACGGGGGCAGGAGACGGGGGCGCCAUGACGCCAAGGACCAGGGGAGACGGCUCGUACCCCCGGGGCUAUGCCUCCUUCUGCGGGUGCGGGUUCGGGCAGCGUGGUCCGGCCUGUGCAAGUUGAGGGAUGUCGGGCCAUCGUGGCGUCCAGCACGGCGCCUGAGGCCCCUACUGCAGGAGGGGAAGGCGACGCCCGAUGGGGCAAGAGCCUCGUAUUCUGGCCCAACCUCGAGGACGUAGAGGGAGGGGCCAGAUUUGUUCUGGACGACCCGACGGAGGCUUACCUCUGGCAGGGUCUAGACACAUGCGGGCGUGCCAGCGUCGAGGCGAUCAAUCGAGCUUCUGAGCUCAUGAGCCGAGACAUGUACAACCUGGCCCAGGUAAGGCUUCCUCCCACGUUGUGAAAUGUUUUUUGCUUUAUUUUGCCAUUCUGACUCCCUGUGGGACUUCCGGUUUUGUAGGCGCUCAAGGCUACAUCCCUGGAGAAGUCAGUCUUUCUCCGCAGGGAAAGAGAUGCCUGGGCGACCUGUGAGAAUGAAAGUGCUGCUCGGGAGGCGGCUGAGGGGGAGCUCGCAAAGGAGUGCGAGAUCUCUGCCGAGCUUCAGCAGAAGUGCUCGGCACUGGCAACCGAGGCUCAGGAGGCCCGGGACAAGGUCGCCCCCCUAGAGGAGAGGGUCGGGGUCCUUACCCGGGAAUCCGAGGAGCAGAAGGCAGCGGCUGAGAGGUAUAAGGCCGAGGUUGCUCGGCUCGAGGCUUCGCUCGCCGAAAAAGACCUUGCCCUGAACCAGACUCAGGCCGACCUUGCUGCUGCUCAGAGUCAGGUGGCCCGCUGGCAUCGGAGCUCGGCGGAGAACGAGAAGCGAGCCGAGGGUAAGACCUGUGUUUUUUGCCUUGGUCCCCUUUGCGCUUUGGGUUAGUUUUCCUGACUUCUCAUUUUCUUGUUCUGCUUUUCUACAGAGUCAGAGAGGAAGGUGGUCGAGGCGACUUCUGCUGCCGAGGCCCUGCAGAGGUCCCUUGAUGCUGAGGUUUCGGACUGCUCGACUCUUGAAGCCGUGGUUACCUCGGCGUGCGAGGGGCUCGGGGUGCCGGCGUCGGGGUCGUCGCUGCGGAGUCGGUCGAAGCCCUUUACUCCCGAGCCGGGGAGAAGAUGAGGGAGGCGCUCCACGUCGGGGUAAGGAAAGCCCUGGCGGUGGUGAGCUCUCACUACGUCGACAUUGACUUGCCGGCAGUCUGUGAGGGCUACAUCCUUCCUGAUGAUGAAUCGGAGGUGAAAGGUCCUAAUAUGGCUAGAGGGGGGGGUGAAUAGCCUGUUUAAAAAAUCUACAAACUCACUAGAGCAAGAGGUUAGUAAAUAACAAAGCGAAGCUUUUUGCUCUAGCUCUAAUGGGGUGUUUGCAAGCCACCUAUCCAACAAAUCUAGUUGAUAGAAUCACUAGGCACACAAGACCUAUGUCACUACUUACACUAGAAAGCUACCUAUAGUUUCUAUACAAGUAAGUAAGCUACUCUAGUUUGCGGGAAUGUAAAAGAGAUGGUUUGAACUUUAUACCGCCACGUAGAGGGGAUGAACCAAUCAAUAAUAUGAAGUCCAAUCACCGGGAGAAAUCUAAAGUACAAUUACAAUGGAGACACACGAUUUUCUCCUGAGGUUCACGUGCUUGCCGGCACGCUACGUCCCCGUUGUGUCGACCAACACUUGGUGGUUCGGUGGCUAAGAGGUGUAGCACGAACCUCGUCUUCACUAGGACACCACAAGAACGUACCCACAAGUGAGGUAGCUCAAUGACAUGAGCAAUCCACUAAUGUUGCCUUUGGCACUCCGCCGAGGUAGGCACAAACCUCUCACAAUCACCGGGAGAUGGCCACGAACAAUCACCAACUCGUGCCAAUCCUCCUCCGCUGCUUCAAGCCGUCUAGGUGGCGGCAACCACCAAGAGUAACAAGAAAACCACAGCUAGAACGAUCCCCAAGUGCCACUAGAUGCAAUCACUCAAGCAAAUGCACUUGGAAUCACUCCCAAUCUCACAAAGAUGUAUAAUCUAUGAAGGAGAUGAGUGGGAGGUGUUUGCUUAGGCUCACAAGGAUGUCUAGUAUGUUAGAAUGCCAAGAGAGUGAGCCCCAAGCCGGCCAAACACGUAUUUAUAAGCCCCUCAAGCAAAUAGAGCCGUUGGCUCUUUUCACUGGGCAAACUGCGGGGUCACCGGACGCUCUUAAAGGGGCACCGGACGCUCAACACCAGCGUUCGGUGCUCCAAUGUUAGCCACGUGUCACACUCGUGUCAGAAUCUAACGGUCACCUGCAGUGCACCGAACGCUGAGCGAGUUAGCACCGGACGCGUCCGGUGCACACCGGACUCAUGCGCAGAGAAUUCCACAAACCUGCGGGUCACCGGACGCUAAGCACCGGUAGCGUCCGGUGCUCACCGGACCCAUGCGCAGAGAGUGUCGCAAAAUACCCGCACACCGGACGCUAACCACCGGACGCUCCAAGCUGCGUCCGGUGCCUAUCGUCCGGUGCCUAACCCUAACCGAGUCAGGCUGCCUACUCACCGGACGCACAGGAACAGCGUCCGGUGCUUCUGAGUCAGCGUCCGGUGAGUGUUCCUCAGCGAGAAACACUCCCGCGACUUCUCCAAUUUUCGCACCGGCACAAUAGAGAAUUUUCCUCUCUCAACCCUUCAAACUCCACCUCCUUCUCAAAGAGUGCCAACACCACAAAGUGUGUACCAACAAGUGUGCACGUGUGUUAACAUUUUCACAACCAAUUUUUUUCGAAGGAGUUAAGUUAGCUCACUAGGUUCUAAAUGCAUGCACAAGAACAAUGACACCUAGUGGCACUUGAUAACCGCUUAGCCAAAGAAUUCCCCUCUUUAUAGUACGGCUAUCUAUCCUAAAUGUGAUCACACCAUCUAUGGUGUCUUGAUCACCAAAACCAAAACCCUAAGUAAUACCUUUGCCUUGAUCUCCAUAGGGUUUUGUUUUUCUCUUUCUUCUUUUCCAAGUUGAGCACUUGAUCAUCUUGUGGUCAUCACCAUCAUCACCAUGAUCAUCACUUGCUCCAUCACUUGGCAUGUACCAACCUCAUUAAGUCUACACACACUUAGUAUAGAGGUUAGUACUAGAGUUUCAUCAAUUAUCCAAAACCAAACUAGGGCUUUCAGGAGGCCUAGGAGGAGGUGCAGAGGCUUGAAGAUGCCGCAGCCGCCCCAGGAGGUGUUUUGGCCGCCUUCUUCGACGAUGAGGUGGAGCUUCCCCCCCUCAGCGCGCAAGGGCCUACGCAGGCAGGGCAGCAAGGCUCUUUAAGUUAGAUUUCUUUUUCUUUUUUUAGAUGUUAAGGCCAGUGGGCCUUAUAUUGUAUAUACAGUGUUAAUGCUAAGUCUAUGUGAUUGUUCCUUUUAAGCUUUAAGUGUCUUGUUUUCUUUUUCCCUAUGCCGACCCGACCUCGACAACGCGAGGUCGGGUGAGCUACUUAGAGUCUGCGCUAGCCGGAGUCCCCAAGCCUAAGUCCUUUUCCUUUUUCCUUAGUAAUUUUUGGAAGUCCGGAUCCGUCCCCCGACCCUAAGGUGAGUAGAGGUCGUCUUUGCUUGUGAGCGCGGAUCUUUCCUCGGGCUCAUACCUUAAGACUUAGGGGAUGGAUCUUUCAGUUUCCUAAAUCUUUUUAGGAAAUGGGGAAAGACCUUGGUCGGGGUUCUCUUGGCUUGUGCGAAAAAAGAAAAAAGAAUUGGAGUUGCCACAGGGGGUUCCCCCCUAUGUAGCCCCCGAGGAAGACUCGGAUUCUGUAAGGCAGGUCCGAGGCUUACUUAAAAAGAAGUGGUCGUAUAAUUUAAACUUUUAUUUAUUCUUUCAAGGUGAUGAACAAAUGGAAAUUUUUACAAAGUUCUAAGGGUAAAAGCGACGUAGCUGUUCUAUGUUCCACGCGUUUUUGAAGACCUCCCCUGCUUCGUUGGCGAGCUUGUAGGUGCCGGGUCGGAGGACUUCGGCGAUGACGAAGGGCCCUUCCCAGGGGGGUGUGAACUUGUGAUGACCCUUGUUGCUCUGCCUGAGCCUCAGCACCAAGUCGCCAACUUGAAAGGCUCGGCCUCGGAUUCGUCGCGUAUGGUAACAGCGGAGGGCUUGCUGGUACUUGGCGGAGUGUAGGAGGGCUACGUCUCUGGCCUCAUCCAGCUGGUCCAGCGCGUCUUCUUGGAACGUUUUGCAACUAUUUUCGUCGUAGGCUUGUACCCUUGGAGAUCCAUACUCCAGAUCCGUGGGGAGGACGGCUUCCGACCCAUAGACCAUGAAGAACGGGGUGAAGCCUGUAGCUCGGCUUCGAGAAGUCCUUAGACUCCAGACCACGGCCGGUAGCUCCUUGAGCCAUCUUUUUCCAAACUUGUUCAACCGGUUGAAAAUCCUAGGUUUUAGACCCUGGAGGAUCAUGCCAUUGGCACGCUCCACUUGACCGUUAGUCUUGGGGUGAGCUACUGCUGCCCAGUCCACACGUAUGUGGUGUCUAUCGCAGAACUCUAGGAACUUUCGCCCGGUGAACUGUGUGCCGUUAUCGGUGAUUAUGGAGUUCGGCACUCCAAAUCGGUGGAUAAUAUCUGUGAAGAACAGCACUGCUUGUUCGGCCUUGAUCCUUGUAAUGGGUCGGACCUCAAUCCACUUGGAGAACUUGUCAAUCGCGACAAGUAAGUGGGUGAAGCCCCCGAGCGCUUUCUGCAGAGGCCCGACCAGGUCGAGCCCCAGACAGCAAAAGGCCAGGUGAUGGGGAUCGUCUGCAGGGCCUGAGCGAGGAGAUGAAUCUGCCGAGCGUAAAACUGGCAUCCCUCACAGGUCCGCACGAUCUCUGUGGCGUCGGCCACGGCGGUGGGCUAGUAGAAACCUUGGCGGAAGGCAUUUCCUACCCGCGUUCGAGCCGCGGCGUGGUGGCCACAAGCCCCUCAGUGUAUGUCCUGUAGGAGCUUGAUUCCCUCCUGACGUGGGAUGCAACACAUAAGGAUGCCCGAGGGGCUGCGCUUAUACAUUUCCCCAUCGAGGAGGACAAAAGUCUUGGCCCGACGAGCCACACGCCUUGCCUCAGCCUGGUCUAGGGGUAGAGUGCCAUCGACGAGGCGUUGCAGCAGGGGGUAGCGCCAGUCUGGCGAGUCGUCAGGUGCAGGGGGCUCGGGCUCGAUGUCCAUGGCCUCCUGCUCCUGAACGGUGGAGUCCUUGGGGUCAGGGCCUGGUUCGCUUGGGGGUUUAUCCGACCCCCCGUCGUCCUUGUAGUCAACAGAGGGCUUGUAGAGGUCGCUGAUGAAAACAUCUGGAGGGACCGUGGCCCGCUCGGAUGCCAUUUUGGCGAGCGUGUCGGCGGCCUCAUUGUAUUUCCUUAACACGUGGUUAAGCUCGAGGCCGUCGAACUUUUCCUCUAGACACCGCACUGCCAUGCAGUAUGCAUCCAUCUUGGGAUCGUGACACCAAGACUCUUUCAUGACUUGGUCGAUGAUGAGCCUAGAAUCGCCUCGGACGUCAAGCCGCUUGAUCCCAAGCUCGAUCGCAAUAUGGAGACCGUUGACCAGGGCCUCAUACUCCGCUGCAUUGUUUGAGGCGGGGAAGUGGAGUCGGAUUAUGUAUCACAUCCUUACCCCGAGAGGUGAGAUGAAGACGAGGCCGGCGCCAGCCCCGGUUUUCAUCAAAGACCCGUCGAAGUACAAGGUCCAGCACUCGUGCUGAAUUUGUGGUGGGGGGAGCUGAGUCCCAGUCCAUUCUGCCACAAAAUCCGCUAGGACUUGGGAUUUUAUGGCUUUCCGAGGCUCAUAGGUGAUUCCAUCACCCAUAAGCUCUAUAGCCCACUUAGCAAUUCUACCAUUGGCUUCUCGGUUUUGAAUCACUUCCCCUAGAGGGAAAGAUGACACUACCGAGACCGGAUGAGACUCAAAAUAAUGGCGGAGCUUGCGUCGGGCCAAGACUACUGCGUAAAGCAGUUUUUGGAUUUGGGGUAUCGGGUCUUUGUGUCAGACAGUACUUCACUGAUGAAGUACACCGGUCUUUGGAUCGGCAGGGCAUGCCCUUCUUCCUUCCUUUCGACCACGAUAGCUGCGCUGGCCACUUGAUCAGUGGCUGCGACAUAGAGAAGAAGCGGUUCCCCCUCGGCGGGGGGUACCAGAACGGGAGGGUUGGUGAGCAGAGCCUUGAGCUUGUCAAGGGCUUCCUGGGCCUCGGGGGUCCAGGAAAAAUGCUCGGAUUUCCUAAGUAACCUAUACAGAGGUAGCCCUUUUUCCCCGAGUCGAGAGAUGAAACGACUUAGAGAGGCUAGACAUCCCAUGACCCUCUGUACUCCCUUUAGGUUACGAAUUGGGCCCAUGUUUGCGAUGGCCGAGACAUUUUCUAGGUUGGCCUCAAUCCCUCGCUCAGACACAAUAAAUCCAAGGAGCAUGCCUUGGGGGACCCCGAAAACGCAUUUCUCGGGGUUGAGUCUGAUCCCCUUUGCCCUGAGGCAUCAGAACGUUCCUUCCAGGUCAGCAACUAGGCCACUUGCUUUCCUGGAUUUGACAACAAUGUCGUCUACAUAAGCCUCUACCGUUUUGCCUAUGAGGUCCCCAAAGACUUGGAGCAUACAUCGCUGAUAUGUAGCCCCCGCGUUCUUGAGGCCAAAGGGCAUGGUUACGUAGCAAUACAUUCCGAAAGGGGUGAUGAAAGAAGUCGCGAGCUGGUCGGACUCUUUCAUCUUGAUUUGGUGGUAACCGGAAUAAGCAUCAAGAAAAGAUAAAAUUUCGCAUCCCGCAGUGGAGUCAACUAUUUGAUCGAUGCGAGGUAAUGAAAAGGGGUUCUUAGGACAUGCUUUAUUUAAACUAGUAUAGUCUGGACACAUCCUCCACUUCCCAUUUUUCUUCUUGACUAGUACAGGGUUAGCUAACCACUCGGGAUGGAAUACCUCCUUGAUGAAUCCGGCCGCCAGCAGCUUGUGGAACUCCUCCCCGAUGGCCCGGCGCUUCUCCUCAUCGAAUCGGCGCAGGCGUUGCUUCACGGGUUUGGAGCCGACUCGGAUGUCCAAGGAGUGACCGGCGACUUCCCUCGGUAUACCAGGCAUGUUCGAGGGACUCCACGCAAAUAUAUCGGCAUUUGCGCGGAGAAAGUCGACGAGCACCACUUCCUAUUUGGGGUCGAGGCUGGAGCUGAUCCUCAGCGCCCUACCCUCAGAGGUCUCGGGGUCGAAGAAGACUAGCUUGGUCUCUUCCGCCAGUUCGAAGCUCCCGGCGUGACGCUUGGGGUCGGGGACGUCCUGGUCACAGUCGCCGAGGCCGGUGAGAAUGGCCAGAGACUCAGCUAGGGCCUCGGCCUGCUCAAUGCACUCGACGUCGCACUGAUAGGCAUGCUGACUGGUCGUGCUAACGGUGAUGACGCCCUUUGGCCCUGGCAUCUUGAGCUUGAGGUAGGUGUAGUUGGGGACGGCCAUGAACUUGGCGUAGCAUGGUCGUCCCAGGAUUGCGUGGUAGGUUCCUGGGAACCCGACCACGUCGAAAAUGAGGACCUCCCGUCUGAAGUUGUCGGGGUCCCAAAGCAGACGGGCAGAUCGAUCUGCCCGAGGGGGUGGGCACGAUGUCCCGGCACCACUCCGUGGAAUGGCGAUGUGUCGUUCCUCAGCUGGGACUUGCUGAUCCCCAUGAGGGCCAGAGUCUCGGCAUAAAGGAUGUUGAGGCCGCUGCCUCUGUCCAUCAACACCUUGGUAAGACGAGUCUCGGUGAUGAUGGGGUCGACUAUCAAAGGAUAACUCCCGGGAUUGGGGAUUCGAUCCAGGUGAUCCUGUCGGUCGAACAUGAUUGCGCUCUCGGACCACUUGAGGAACGAGGGCACAGCCGUGCUGACUGCGCAAACUUCCCAGAGUUCACGCUUCCUCUGACUCGUGUUGAGGCGAGCCGCGCGUCCCCCAAAGAUCAAGAGACAGUUCUUGAUCUUGGGUAAAUCUUCCCCUUGAGGGUCGUCGUCCUUGGGGGGCUCUUCAGUGCCCUCCUUGGAGAUGAGGUCGGUGUAGUACCGACGCAGGACAGUGCACUCCUCAAGGGUGUGCUUGGUUGGUCCCCUGUGAUAGGGGCACGGCUUCUUCAACAUCUCGUCGAAGAGACCGGGGCCAGCAGGAGCCCGCUUAGGGUUCUUGCGAUCUGCCGCGGCGACUAGGUUGUCGCCCGACUGACCCUGCUUCCCCUUGCGACCCUUCUUCUUCUUCUUGGGGUCGCGCGAGCCUGAGGCCUCGGUGGCCACGGCCUUUUGUUUCCCCUUGGCAGCGCUGUCGGAGAAAAUGGCACCGACUGCCUCCUCGCCUGAGGCAAAGUUGGUGGCGAUGUCGAGCAGCUGGCUAGUGCUCGUGGGGGUCUUGCGACCGAGCUCGUGUACCAGCUCCUUGCAGGUGGUACCGAAGAUGAAGGCUCCGAUGACGUCGGAGUCCAUAAUGUUGGGGAGCUCGGUGCAUUGCUUGGAGAAUCGCCUGAUGAAGUCUCGGAGGGAUUCAUCGGGCUUCUAUCGGCAGCUCCUGAGGUCCCAGGAGUUCCCAGGGCGCACAUAUGUGCCCUGGAAGUUCCCGACGAAGAUCCUGACCAGGUCGGCCCAGUCGUGGAUCAUGCGGUCGGGGAGAUGCUAGAGCCAUGCUCUGGCCGUAUCGGCCAGAUGCAGUGCAAGGUUGCGGAUGAUGAGCAGGUCAUCAUCCGCUCCACCUAGCUGACAUGCUAGGCGGUAAUCCGCCAGCCAUAGCUCAGGGUUAGUUUCCCCUGAGUAUUUGGUCAGGUUGGCGGGCUGUCGGAAUCGCGCCGGGAACUUGGCUCUACGUAUGGCCUCGCUGAAGACGCGGGGACCCAGGGGCUCUGGCGAUGCGCUGCGGUCGUGGUCAGAGUCGUACCUUCCACCUCGGUGCGGUCGAUAGCGUCGAGACUCGGCCUCGUCCCUGUCGCGCCGUCUUGCCUCAAGGGUUGCCCGAACUUCAGCGUCAGCCCCGACGCGCUCGUGGACAGAUGGGGCCCUGUUGCCCCCUUGCGGAUUAGGGGGCGGUGGACCCUGCACCGUUGGUGCCUUGUUAGGAGGGGGUCGGUCCUCUUGACGUCUUGUGCCGUGGGACUGCGAUGCAGAACUUUCUGCGUUCUGCACCAUAGCAUGCUCUAGGAGGCCACGUAGCCCCUAGCGAACUCUUCUUCCCUCAGGAGUCGACGGCUCAGGCAUCGCCCUGAGGAGGAGUGCAGCAGCCAUCACGUUCUGGCUGGCCGUACUAAAAACUAGAGCGUCACCCCCUGCGUCCUCAAUGAUACGACGGUUGACGUCUCGAGCUCGGCGUCUAGCUUCACCCCCGUCCCCGCGGCCGGAUGUGUCUCGGACCAGGGUUUCGCGAAGUUGGCGGAGGCGUGCGUGUUCUUCUUCGAGCCUGGCCUCCAGCUCAUUAAGCCGCUCGAGGUCAGGGCGGUGUCCUCCUACGGGGGCUGAUGCUACCCCACGGGCUCCAGGAUCGGUCCCGGGAGUAGGGUUGGGAGGUGGGGUUCCAUUCUCCUACCUAGAGGGUCCUGCACCCCCCUGAGCGUUAUGCGGCGUCCCUCUGACCUCCAGGUUGAAGCACUCUCGUGACGGGUCAUAGCUCCCGUCGUCGGAGUCAGAGUAGCCGAGACAGUAGUUGCUGGCCUCCAAGAAGCGCAUGAAGGUCUCCGGGUCGCCACACCCGGAAAAGUCAGCGCCGGCCCACUCGUCAUCACCUAAGGUGAGAUCCUCUAGGUAUGACGAGACGGGCGGCGAAGCGAUAAGGUCUAGGGCAGACCUGAGAUGGUGCCCUGGAAGGUCCGCAUACGCACUUAACAAAGUGCUCACGGAAGAGGCGUACGUGGCGGCUGCGUUCCUCAGUCCAAAAGGGAGCUCUGGAGACGCUGUUGUUUCUCCUCCAUCCAUAGGUGGAGGGGGAUGAGACGAUGAGGCCCCUUUGUCCCCCUUCUGGGGAGCGAGCGUGGGCUGAGCCUUCCCCUUCGACCGGGGCGGAACAGGAGGUCGUGAUGAUCCCCUGUUGGUCCGGGGAGCGGAGCUUAAUGCCCCGCGAGCCUUUCCUCUAGCGCCUGUCGGGCCGGAGGAACGGGCGAUCUGGUGAGGAAUAUGCGGGGGGAGGGCCGGACGGACCCUGGCCUCAGUGGUAGGGUCAGAGAUCCUGGACCUCUGACGCCCCCGCCGGGCAGCCCCCGCAUGGUGCCCCGAGCGCCUCCCACACACUAACUGUGGUGGGAUCGGCUCAGGACGCGGCUCGGUACCACCACGUGGUGGAAGGAGGACCAUGUCAUAGCCGGAGCCGAGGGACAUGAACUCCAAACUCCCAAACAUCAUGAUGGUGCCGUGGCGAAGUGGGUGAAAUCCGUCUGCCAUCCAGGCCUUCCCUUAGUAGGAAAAGGUGGAUAUCACGCAAAAGGCCCCUACCUGGCGCGCCAACUGUCGGCGUCUAGACUCGUGGUCUAGACACAAACGAGUAUAAAUAUGAGUGACUACCUAAACCUGGAUGGUGAUGCAAGUGGAACACAGAGGAUUUAUACUGGUUCGGACCAAGAAUGCCCUACGUCCAGUGAGAUCGGGGGUCUGUAUUGCCUUGCACCCAGAGGUGCUUGUAGUAGGGGGUACAAGCAGGUUGCGAGAGAGGGCUAAGUCCCAAGUCUCGGCUUUGUGGUGGACAGAGUGCUGGUUGCUACUCUGUGAGCGAGUGCGGUGGUCGUGUGUGUGUGAACUUGGUGAACCUGGACUUAGUUGUGAGCCCUGGCUCCCCUUUUAUAGCCUCAAGGGGAGACUGGUAUUUACAUGAGUAGAUUUCCUCUGUUGAAUGGUGAAGCCACAGUCCCGACCCUAUUGAAGCCUGUCCAUCUCGUCCUUGAGGGAUGGCUGACAGCAUGGUUGCUUCUGUGGAGGGUUACCGAGCCCUGUAGGAGUCAUGGGGGUCAGAUCGGUGAUACUGCUGAUCACCCUAUUAAUAGUGGGAGAAGACAGCAAACAGUGACGCUGGUUAACCUUCCUCAUUCCUCUUUUACUGUGAGGCAGUACACCACAGUGAAAGAGGUAAGGUUGCAUAGUGGAAGAGGUAAGGCUACAGUGACCAGGGUGGUUGGAAUAGUCGCCACCAUGCCCUGCUGCGAUAUGGGAGUCACUGCGGCUGUCACAUCGAGGGUACGGGCACCGUGCGUCGGAAGCCUUGUCCUGAUGCGGUGGAGCGGCGUUUGGCGCCUGAGCCCCGGAGGGGUCGGGCGAGAUGAAACUUAUGCUCGAGGCCUGUUGACGGUCCUUAAGUAUCAAAUUUAAUUAUCAAAUAAAUAAAGAAAAGGAUCCAAAUGAAAUCAACAUCUAGACUUAGGGUUUUAUGUGACAGAAUUCCACGAGUUUUGGUGUUUGUCUAUUUCUGUAGGGGGUUAUCAGGAAAUAUGGAAGAAAGGCCCACACGUCGGGAUUACAUAGAGAUAUUAACGUGCCGCGCAAUUAUCUUACAUCUAGAAGACUCCAGAAGCCACGAGACCGAAGCGGAGGCGAAACGGGGCCAGAGGCAGGGCGCCCGCCCUCCUGCCCUGGGCGCCCGCCCCCUCCCUGAGUCCAAUCAGGACUCUGCUUCGUGGGAGAUCUCCACCGACCUAAAGGAUGAAUCUAAACCAUACAAUCUAUGUCGGUUUGAUCCAAUGGCCCAUAUUCACUUGAAGAGACUAUAAAACCAGACCCCCUGGCCCCUAGAGGAGAGAGCCUCUCAACCCUAAUUCAUUGUUCCUCAAGGGAGAAGAAGCCUCUAAUCAAGAUUAGAGCCACCACAUCAAUUAGAUAUCUAGAUUAGCAUAGCUACAUAGGAUUAGAACUAGAAGGAGUCAAUCUUCGAUUGGUUUCCGGAUCUGUCAGGAGGAUUCUUGGUAAUUCUCUAAUUGUGCUUCUAAUUGUUCUUCUAAUUAUCUUUGUUCUUCAAUAUUAUGAAUAUGACUUUGUUCUACUUCAAUAUAUUGCUUAUGACUUUGCUCUACUUGCUUAUAUUCAAGAUUAUAUUGUUCUUAGUUUAUCAUAGUUAUGUACUUGGCUUAGUUAGAUUGGAUCUAUAUACAUGCUUAGGAUCGUAUAGCGUUUAUCCAUCGGAUCCAUGGGUAAAUGAUAGAUAUUGUGUAGGCGUGGUGCUUAUACCGUAUUUAUCUGCGAUUGUACCCAAUAUGCCAGAUCGUGGGGUGGUUCGUGAUAGUGACAGCUUCAUUGAUUCUUAUAUAGUCCCUCUCUCGUGUAUUGGGCUGGCAGAGCAACAUUAUUACAGGGGAGUGAUUGCUAUGUUUCUCAUAUUCCUUGCUAAUAUCACUAUGCAUGGGCGUAGUCUUGUCUCGCAAUGAUUGCUAAGUAUGCUUGCACUAACUAUGAUAAUGCUAGACUAUAUAGUUAAGAAUAACUUAGGGAAUAUUCUUGUAGUUCGUUCUAAUACCAUGCUAAUGACUUUCUAGAGUAUCUAAUUGAGGUGCUUAUCAUAUUUAUUAUGUGGCUAGAUCAGAUUAGUUAUCCUUGUCACUAUUAUUAUUUCAUAUAUCUUUUAUGUGACACUUAUCCCUGUAUGAAGAGUUAGAUAUAAUGUUCUCAAUUAUACAUGCAAUGAUAGAUGCUCAAUCUCAUAUUCUAUUCUGUAAUCAAUAUUGAUGAUUGCUAAUCCCUUCCCAGUGGUAAAAAUAUAAAUAACGAUACCAGGAAUACUUUUCGGUUAAAAUGCUGCAUCGGUAUUAAUCUGUGCGCUUGCAGAUCCCAUUCAUUAUUUAUUUAGAAGAGCAAUUGCAUAUUUCAAUACCGCGUCUCUCAUGUCAUGCUGGGGAUGACAACUUGGCUUAAGUGGUGUGAGGGAUAGGUUUGGCAUUUUUGGCACCGUUACUAGAUUUAGAGAACUUAGUCUACUUUUGGUAAUGAUGUUAAGAAUACCCAACAAGCAUUUUUGGCGCCGUUGCCGGGGAAGGUUGAUUACUAAUCAGGAAUGGAAUAAAAGAUUUCGAGUUAUCAUUCGCAUCACUAAUCUGAUUGAGCUUAUCUAUUCUCUCAUACAGUUUUACCCUGAUAUUUUUCUAUUUUAUCUUAUGCAGGGGAAUGUAUGAAUAGAAGACAUCUUCCAGGAAAUUUUGUUGACAAUCCCGAAGCAUUAUUCAAGAAGACGAGAGCCAAGCUGAAGAAGAGAUCAUCAACACUUUAGCAAGAAGCUUCAUCCAAUCAAGAAGAUCACCGGAACCUGUCUUCAGAGUUCGAAGCCAUGGUGAACAAAUCAAUCCGCGAGUUCUCAACUCCCACUACGGACAGCAUCCGCACUGGACUUGCUGCAGAGAUCGACGGCAACUUUGAGCUCAAGCCUGGACUUAUCAACAUGGUGCAAUCCAACCAGUUCCGUGGGAAGGCACACGAAGAUGCUAGUGCUCAUUUACAACACUUCCUGGAGAUUUGCAACACAUUCACCAUAUCAGGAGUUUCCAAAGAUGCUAUACUACUUUGCCUCUUCCCAUUCUCACUGUUAGGGAGAGCGAAGCAGUGGUUCUACGCUACAAAGGAGAAGAAUACUACGUGGGCACUCUGCUCAACAAACUUCCUGGCAAAAUUCUUUCCCAUGGGCAAGACCAAUGCUCUCCGUGGGAAGAUUACAAGUUUUCAGCAACAAAAUGAUGAAUCUGUUCCAGAAGCAUGGGAGCGCUUUCAAGACUACAUCCUAGAAUGUCCCCAUCAUGGAAAGGAGAGUUGGCUAUUGAUGCAGACGUUUUAUCAUGGGCUCGGCAACAGUGCCCGAGAAACCAUGGAUGCUGCAGCUGGAGGAGCAUUCUUAUCACUUACUAUACCACAAGCCACAACUCUUGUGGAGAAGAUGGCGUCCAACCAAAGCUGGAAUGAAGAGAGGACCCAGACACGCAAGAGAGGUGGAGGUAUGCAUCAGUUGAAGGAGGUAGACAUGCUGUCUGCAAAGCUAGACCUGCUCAUGAAGAAGCUUGACGAUAGAGCUGGAGAUAAGAAGGAAGUUAUGCACAUCUACGACUCUCACAUGACUUGUGAGGAGUGUGGAGACACUGGACACUCAGGCAACCACUGCCCUGAGAUGCUUGAGGAUGUGAACUACAUCAUCAACAACAACUACUACUACUACAACCGUCCUCAACAAAAUCAAGGUUGGAAUCAACAGAGGCCUAACUACUCAGGUAAUUAUCAAGGUAACAAUUCUUACAACAAUAAUAAUAAUUUUCCACCUCUGAGAGAGUUAGUGUCUAAUCAAGGAAAGCUAAUGGAUAACCUAUCUAAGAAGUUGGCAUCUAAUGAUAAAAUGCUAGAAAAUAUAAAUAAUAGAAUGGAUAAUUUCUCUACUGCCAUCAAGAAUCAAAUUAGCUUUAAUAAAAUGAUUGAAUCUCAGUUAAAUCAAAUAGCUGUUGCUGUUCCCGUUACUAACCCCGGUAUACCAUCACAACCGGAAGGAUUAGAAUCUGCAAAUCUUGUAGACAUGCUUGAUGCAGGUAAUAAUUGGAGUAACCCCGUCACUGAAUUCUCUACUGACCUUCUGCCGGUCAAGAGAGGCGAUCCAGGACGCCCCGUCAUCCCGAUCUCCAUCGGCAUGGUGGACGUUCCAGAAGCACUCUGCGACUUUGGCUCUAGCGUCAACAUUAUACCCAGGGUACUCUAUGAAAAAUUCUUUACAUAUCCUUUAUUAGAAACAACCAUGUGUUUGCAGUUUGCAGAUCAGACGAUAACUUUUCCAAAGGGAAUAUUGAAGAACCUUUGUGUCCGAGUUGGUACCUUAUAUGCUCUAGCAGACUUCGUAGUGGUAGAGACCGGAAAUGAUGAGAGAGCACCUAUCAUCUUAGGGAGGCCAUUCUUGAACACCACGGGAGCUAUCAUCUACGCUAGUGCUGCCAAGAUCAGUUUCUACGUCAAAGGGAGGAAGAAGACAUUUUUCUUCAAGAACAAGACUACACAAAUUCCAAAUCAAUCCAGACGUGAAUCAAGGAAGAGGACCAGCAGGAGGAACAGGAACAAGCAAGUGUGGACCGAGUCAGCUAAGAUGGUCACUGUAGUUCAUGGAGGCCAAGAUCAUCAACUUAAGUCACCGCUUUUGACCAAGAAGGACGACCCAGGAAUGCCAAGCAUCUACUGCUCCAUAAAUGGAUACAACUUCUACAAGGCAACUUGCGACACCGGAUCGGGCGUCAACAUAAUGGCCGCAGUCACCUAUCGGCUCUUGUUCGGGACCAUGCCCCUAAGACCAACAUACAUUCAGCUCCAGAUGGCAGAUCAGACAUUUCGAGAAGUUAAAUGAAUAGUAACUGAUGUCCCAGUCAAAAUAGACGAUCACUUUGUCUACACAGACUUUCAAGUUAUUGACAUGGGAGAAGACGAGUAUGAUCCACCCAUCAUCCUUGGAAGACCGUUCCUCAGCACCGUUAAAGCAAUUAUCUACAUUGGAACCGGAGAAGUCCAUAUGCACUUCCCCUCAGAGAAGGUACGCCGUUAGUUUACCGACCCUAACUAUAUCAUUGAAGAAUCUAAGCAGAUAAGCAAACGACGCAACCGCAACCAGAGGAUGCAGAUCAUCAAGGACGGAUGGGCAGACUAUGAAGGAGAAGUUGUAAGGUCAGAAGACGUAGAGUUUAAACAGAAUUAUCUAGAGGAGACUGAAGCACCAAGUCAGGUGUGGAAAAUGAAGAUAACUAUACACGAAGAGGAGGCGCUGCCGGAAGUACCGACUACGCCACCCAACGAACCUCAGGACAAUUGAGAAAAUGGAGAGUCCCGUUCGGAGGACUUAAAAACACCGAACGCCUUGCCAAGAGGUAAACUUGGUAGUUAUCCUUUCCCUUUCAAUUAUUUUAAAUAGUUUAUUUAGUUAAUCAUAUUCAUACUAUCCUAAAAAGAAAAUAAAAAUGUAAAAGAUAGUAAGCCCCAUGUGAGUAGACGAGUGACAUAAAACCCAUAAGUACAUUCACUGUGGUGGCAUAAAAAUAAAAUAAAAAUUUCUUUUCUGCUUUAUAAAAUAAAAAUAUAAAAACAGGGAGUAAUAAUUAUUAAGGAGUCUCAACAUGAUAAAGGCUAGAUAUUUAUGCUAACACUUAAUCAAGUUCCACAAGCUUUGUUGUCUAUUUGAGCUCCACAGGAUUUAAGAAUCAAGAAGACUAAGGACAUUCUAAUCGCUGUCAGAAUGCUGCUGACUUUCAAAUACACCUCUGCCACCUGCUAGCUACAUCAAAAGAAAUUACGUCAAAAUUCAGCUUGGGGGAGAGCACCCCCAUUUAUCCCGAUAAGUAUUUCUAUCUAUCUAUCUUUAUACUUAUAUUAUUUUAGAAUAUAAAUAUAGAUAACUAUGAAAAAAUCAAAUAAAGAUUUCGUACUUAUAUAUUUGCCUUUUGCUUAGUGUGUUUAAUAAAUAAAUAAAGUGGCUAUGCUAAUCUGUAUCUUAAUAAUAAAAUUUAAGCAUGGAUAUGAUGAAUAGUUGCUCUGCCUAAUUUGCACAUUUUAAGUUCUCUCUCAAGUUUAGACAUAACUGUUAUAAUUUAAAUCUUGCCCUUGACCUAAACUUGUGGGAUGAAAACUUGAUCUGAAGUCUAAGUUGUUAACGGAUACGAUAUGGGAAGGUUGAGCUGCUGUUUAUCUGUUCCUGGAGAAUUUUAUCUUUGAAAAUCUUUUAAAAUAUUGCAUGAUGAGUUCCUGUAUGAUGAGAGUUUUAAAUUCCUACCACAGCCAUAUAUACAUGCUUGCUAGACUUUGAGCCACACAUUUACUAUUUACUCCUUAUGAGCAUUGAGUGUGGUCAAGCUGUGUAGACCCUUAGGAGCUUGUCAUGUAGUUAAAUCAAGAUUUCACUUGCACGUUCACUCAUAUAUGCUACUUCUACUCCAGAAAUACCAUCCACAUAUAUCCACCCAUUCCAUCUCCAGAAUCACCCAAAAAUAUUCUACUCCUAAUCCGUGAGAGAAUAGCCAAAAAUAUUUCUGUUUUCCCUUGUGAAAUAAAUGCUCAAGUUAUCUUGUUACUACCACUUGCUAUAUUAUCUCAAGAGAUGAGUGCUCUAAAAAAAGAGAGAGAAAAAAAUACGAGAAAAUAAAAAGGAGCAAGUGCUCGGAACCUCGAAAGAAAAGAAAAAGAGAGACGAGAGGUAAAAAUGGACAAGUGUCCGACAGUAGAAUUAGGGGUACAAGAUACCCACCUGAGAGAAAAGAAAAUAUAGAGCAUCUCAUUCUCCUCAAAAAGCUUCAAAGUGAAAGGAAGGUAUGUAUCCCCUCAAAGAGCAAAGUAGAAUUAGACUUUCACCAUUGUUAUCACCAUCAUCACCAUACACCAUUCAUUCGCCACACAUGCACAUCUUGAUUAAACUUAUUGAUUUGUUUCUUUGGAUCCAUGGUUUGACUAUGCAAUAAAUGUCUUGUGAGUAUGUAUACUUUAUCUCCCACCUAUGAGCUCCAGAUAUUAAAGCCUUAUUAGAGUAGGGUGAGAGAGAAGGCAAUGUCACUAUGCUUUAUACCACAAAUACUACAUAUCUUGAGAGAAGGCAUAUACCAUCACUGCCUUGGUAAGGAUCCAGAAAUACCACAAAAGAGAGAUCUUAGAGAGUCAUACAAAGAAUCUCUGAGUUUUAUUUGAAAAUCUGCAAAAACUCCAGAGCUAUAGCUGAUCAAGAAUAAGAGACAUGGCACUUGACUAGACUGUUCUAUCUUUUAACCUCUUAAGACAGAAGUGACGGUUACAAGUCCCAUGGUGAAGGUAAAGUAAGUAAGUUUUAAGUCUUGACAGUUUACUCUAACUCAGAGAUGAGAUCUUAUUUAAAAAGCAUGUGUACCGUCAAUUUUUAAAAUAUUGCAACAACUUAUGAUCCAUAGCUGAGUCUGUCCUUGCUCAGGGACGAGCAAGAGGUAAGCUUGGGGGAGUUUGUUGACGGUCCUUAAGUAUCAAAUUUAAUUAUCAAAUAAAUAAAGAAAAGGAUCCAAAUGAAAUCAACAUCUAGACUUAGAGUUUUAUCUGACAGAAUUCCACGAGUUUUGGUGUUUGUCUAUUUCUGCAGGGGUUAUCAGGAAAUAUGGAAGAAAGGCCCACACGUCGGGAUUACAUAGAGAUAUUAACGUGCCGCGCAAUUAUCUUACAUCUAGAAGACUCCAGAAGCCAUGAGACCGAAGCGGAGGCGAAACGGGGCCAGAGGCAGGGCGCCCGCCCUCCUGCCCUAGGCGCCCGCCCCCUCCCUGAGUCCAAUCAGGACUUUGCUUCGUGGGAGAUCUCCACCGACCUAAAGGAUGAAUCUAAACCAUACAAUCUAUGUCGGUUUGAUCCAAUGGCCCAUAUUCACUUGAAGGGACUAUAAAACCAGACCCCCUGGCCCCUGGAGGAGAGAGCCUCUCAACCCUAAUUCAUUGUUCCUCAAGGGAGAAGAAGCCUGAAAGCCCAAGUUUGGUUUUGGUAAUUAAUGACACCAAGUUGCUAAUGCCUUGUGUUUAAGUGAUUUGAGUUAGGCAUAGCAACACAUGUGAUGAAGGUGCAUGGUGGCAUGGAAAGGUGGCCACACGAUCACAAAGGGAUGAAUCAUGAAGUGGAGAUCAUGGUGAUAGACGAGGAGCAAAGUUAUCAAGGCAAAGGUAUAAACAUAGGGUUUUACUUUUGCCGGUCUAAGAUGAGUAGAGAAGUGAUUGACCGGGUUUAGAAUAGAUAGCCGACUAUCAAGAGGGGAAAUCACGGUUAUCUCUCGAAUCAAGUGCUACUAGGUCCACAUCUUGAGCAUAUGCAUUAGGAUCUAGUAAAGUGCUAACUUAACUCCUUUGGUAAAAAUAUUUGUGAAAAGCUAACACACUUGCACUUUGGUGGUGGACACUUGUUGAUGUUAGCACAUUUGCAAAGGAGGUGGAGUUCCUAGGGUUGAGAGGGGUGUGGAUUCGGCGCUUUUGAGAAAAAUAAGAGUAUAUUUUCUAUUGCGCCGAUGGGAAAUUUGGUGAAGUCGCGGGAGUGUUUUCUCACUGAGAAACACUCACCGGAUGCUGGGUGCGGAGGCACCGGACGCUGGCCUCAGAGUCCGGUGUGCUGUUAGAGCUUGACUCUGCUAGGGUUGAGCACCGGACGCACUCUGGUAGCGUCCGGUGGUUAGCGUCCGGUGUGAGGGGUUUUUGCAACCCUCUCUGCGCACGAGUCCGGUGAGCACCGGACCGUCCGGUGCCCAGCGUCCGGUGAGGUCGCGAGUUUGACAAACUCUCUGCGCAUGAGUCCGGUGUGCACCGGACACGUCCGGUGUGGACUUGCAGAGCGUCCGGUGUGUUGCAGGUAGCCGUUAGAAACUGACGCGCGAGAUUCAAGAUCGACACGUGGCCAACUCUAGUGCACCGGACGCAGGAGGUCGAGCGUCCGGUGCUCACUUAGUAGCGUCCGGUGCCCCCGUUUUCAGCCCAGUGAAAGUGGCCAACGGCUAGUUUCUUUGAGGGGCUUAUAAAUAGUUGGUGGCCGGCUUUGGGAGGCUCUCUCUUGCACAUUUGAUUAUUUGAGGCAUACAUUGAGCUAGAGAACACUCCUUCCACUCAUCUCCUUGCUUGAUUGCUCAUCCUAGUGAGAUUGAGUGAGAUUCAAGUGCAUUGCUUUGAGAGUUGCAUUUAGUGGCACUUGAUUCUUGAGUUUGCUGCGGAAUUCUUGUUACUCUUGGGUGUUUCCCGACGCCCUAGACGGCUUGGAGCAGCGGUGGUGUUGAGCUCGUGAUUGGAGAUUGUUUCGAGCCUCGCCAAGUGAUUUGUGAGGGGUUCUUGAGCCUUCCCCGCGGGAGAUCGCAAUUGGCUACUCUAGUGGAUUGCUCGUGGCUUGGAGGAUCCCCAUCUUGUGAGUGGAUGUGCGGCACCCGCUGAGGGUUUGGCUUUGGAUUGCCAAUUAGCUCGUGAUCCAUCUAAUGGGUGUAUCGCCACAACGAGGAGUAGCUUGCCGGGAAGCAAGUGAACCUCGGUAAAAAAUCUUGUGUCAUCUCUUGCCGAGGAUUCUCUUGUGAUUGUGAGUGAUUGGUUGGAUAUAUCUCUACUCUACAACGUUGGUAUAACAAUCACUCUCCACUCCUUUACUUACUUGUAUACCUAGCUAGUUGUUUAGCUUGUUUAGUUUAGUCUUCUUGUUUAGGAGUGUAACUAGCCUUCUCUUGUUGUAGUGCUUUAGUGUUUAGCUUUGAACUAGUUUGUAUAGGUGGCUUGCAUAGCUUAGUUGAGCUAGUGCUAGAAUUGCUUCGCCAUUUGUGUUACUAACUCACUUGCUUAGUAAAGUUUGUAGAAUUUUUAAAUAGGCUAUUCACCCCCCCUCUAGCCAUUUGGACCUUUCAAAGCCUCUAAUCAAGAUUAGAGCCACCACAUCAAUUAGAUAUCUAGAUUAGCAUAGCUACAUAGGAUUAGAACUAGAAGGAGUCAAUCUUCGAUUGGUUUCCGGAUCUGUCAGGAGGAUUCUUGGUAAUUCUCUAAUUGUGCUUCUAAUUGUUCUUCUAAUUAUCUUUGUUCUUCAAUAUUAUGAAUAUGACUUUGUUCUACUUCAAUAUAUUGCUUAUGACUUUGCUCUACUUGCUUAUAUUCAAGAUUAUAUUGUUCUUAGUUUAUUAUAGUUAUGUACUUGGCUUAGUUAGAUUGGAUCUAUAUACAUGCUUAGGAUCGUAUAGCGUUUAUCCAUCGGAUCCAUGGGUAAAUGAUAGAUAUUGUGUAGGCGUGGUGCUUAUACCGUAUUUAUCUGCGAUUGUACCCAAUAUGCCAGAUCGUGGGGUGGUUCGUGAUAGUGACAGCUUCAUUGAUUCUUAUAUAGUCCCCCUCUCAUGUAUUGGGCUGGCAGAGCAACAUUAUUACAGGGGAGUGAUUGCUAUGUUUCUCAUAUUCCUUGCUAAUAUCACUAUGCAUGGGCGUAGUCUUGUCUCGCAAUGAUUGCUAAGUAUGCUUGCACUAACUAUGAUAAUGCUAGACUAUAUAGUUGAGAAUAACUUAGGGAAUAUUCUUGUAGUUCGUUCUAAUACCAUGCUAAUGACUUUCUAGAGUAUCUAAUUGAGGUGCUUAUCAUAUUUAUUAUGUGGCUAGAUCAGAUUAGUUAUCCUUGUCACUAUUAUUAUUUCGUAUAUCUUUUAUGUGACACUUAUCCCUGUAUGAAGAGUUAGAUAAAAUGUUCUCAAUUAUACAUGCAAUGAUAGAUGCUCAAUCUCAUAUUCUAUUCUGUAAUCAAUAUUGAUGAUUGCUAAUCCCUUCCCAGUGGUAAAAAUAUAAAUAACGAUACCUGGAAUACUUUCCGGUUAAAAUGCUGCAUCGGUAUUAAUCUGUGCGCUUGCAGAUCCCAUUCAUUAUUUAUUUAGAAGAGCAAUUGCAUAUUUCAAUACCGCGUCUCUCAUGUCAUGCCGGGGAUGACAACUUGGCUUAAGUGGUGUGAGGGAUAGGUUUGGUAUUUUUGGCACCGUUACUAGAUUUAGAGAACUUAGUCUACUUUUGGUAAUGAUGAUAAGAAUACCCAACAAGGCCCAGGGGGUCGAGCGAGGCGGUGUCUGCGUCCGAGCCCUGGGGGGUCGGGCGAGACGUGUUUUGGGCUCGAGAUUGAGGAUGUAGAUGGACUGGGGCCUGCGUCCUGGUGAUCUUGUCGGGGCUUGCUUUGCUUUUUGCGAUUUUUUGUUGCUCUGAUCUGGGUAUCCCUUUUUAUGGUACCCAACACAAACCUGCAGAAGAUAUAUCACAGGACAGAUCAAGCUCAAACCCUAGAACAACUCAACAACAUAAGUAAGUAGAGAACAUAAACAGCACACGAUGAUUUAUCCCAUGGUUCAUCGGUCGCCACACAAGGCUGCACUUACUCCACGUUGUUGAGGUGCCCACACAAGGACCGACUCGCGCACAAAGGCUUGUCCUUCCCUCAUUCUUCAACAAGAGUGUUACCUCUUGAGGAAGGGGUGAUUUCUUAGCUUCAAGUCGAGGUUACAGACUUCUCUUGGCUGCCACACAAGUUGGCAAGCUCUAGGGCGACGUCUAGCCGGCUAGGAGCAAGCUCCAAGAGUAACAAACUCUAGGAAUGCCGACCAAACGUGAACCAAAUGCUCUUAGACUUUGGGAAACAGUGGACCUACUCUCUAAUCAAAGUUUGCAGCCUUUUUCUCUCAAGAAAUGAUGAUGGAAAUCAAGGAUUUGCUUGAGAGCUUGAUGAGCAACAAUGGAAGAGAGAGAAGUGAGCACUGGUGUUCUGUAACGGUUGGGACGAAGGAAGACGAAGUGAAUGGCUCAAAUGACCGUUGUGGUCAAGUAGGAAGGGUUUUUAUACCCUGUCUUCCAACGGCCAGAUAGAGGGCGGCAGUCAAACCAGCCAGGGUAGAACAAAGAGAACACAACUGAUUUGACUGAGGGUUGAGGAUGAGACAAAAGAUUUGAGCAUUAGGUUCAACACUUGAUCAACAGACUUGGUGACAUAUUUACCUAAGUAUACCUUUUGGUCCUUCAUUAUCAGUAUUAACAUAUUUACAUAAGUAUACCUUUUGGUCCUUCAUUAUCAGUAUUAACCACCAUCUCGAGGAAAUAUCACCAUUCAAAUUGUUGAGGGCAACACUUGUAUUUGGAAUCAACCCUGGUGCUCUAUAUGGAAAGAAAUGCAUAGUUUUCUAAACAUUGAUCAAACUGGAUAUAAAUUGCAAACAAAGUUUCUGACCUUUGGGUGCCGCACUCGAAACAAUGGGCUUGAGAAUUGUCAUUCUUUUUGGAUAAAAAAUAUUUUGAUACUCUUAUGCAUGUUCCUCUAUUUUUAGGCAAUGGCCUAGACAUGCAAUUGCAUGCAAUAUUCUGUUAUCAAAAUCAGAGGAGACACAAACAAGACAAUGUCCACCUAAGAAUGAAUUAUGGAAUUCGUGCCGGACAAACUAGUUCAAGCUAGAUUAAAUUCAUAUUAGUAAAUAGUAUUAACAUCUAUAUCUACAAGUAUUUUUAAAUAAAAAAAAUAUAUGUAAAGGCACUUAAGCCUUGUUUAGUUCCGAAAAGUUUUUAAAUUUGGUUAACAUAGCAUUUUCAUUUUAUUUAGCAAUUAGUGUCUAAUUAUGGAUUAAUUAUACUUAAAAGAUUCAUCUCAUGAUUUAAAGUCAAACUAUGCAAAUUAGUUUUUGUUUUCAUCUAUAUUUAGGCCUUGUUUAGUUCCAAAUUUUUUUGCAAAAUGGAUACUGUAGCAAUUUCAUUUUUAUUUGAUAAAUAUUGUCCAAUCAUGGACUAAUUAGGCUCAAAAGAUUUAUCUCGCAAAUCACAAGUAAAUUGUGCAAUUAGUUAUUUUUUUAUCUAUAUUUAAUGUUUUAUGUAUGCGCCGCAAGAUUUGAUGUGAUGGGGAAUCUGAAAAAUUUUGUAAAUUUUUUUGGGAACUAAGGCCUUGUUUAGUUACCCAUUCAAAAAGUUUUCACCCAUCACAUCGCAUGUUUGGACAUAUGCAUGGAGUAUUAAAUGUAAAUACAAAAAUAAACUAAUUAUAUAGUUUGGUUGGAAAUCAGAGACGAAUCGUUUAAGACUAGUUAGUCCAUGGUUAGUCGUAAGUGCUAAAGUAACCUACAUGUGCUAAUAAUAGAUUAAUUAGGCUUAAUAAAUUCAUCUCGCAGUUUCCAAAAGAGUUAUGUAAUUAGUUUUUUUAUUAGUAUCUCUUACAAUAUCUUACCAAGUAUUUGAUGUGAUACCAAAAUUUUUUUUGACCCCAAACUAAACAAGACCUAAACAAGGUAUUGCAUGUGUUCAAUGAUUCGAUAUAAUGUAUAGAAAAUUUAAUGUAUAGAAAAUUUUUAACUAAGGCUUUGUUUAGUUCACUUAAAAACCAAAACCUUUUCAUUAAGUAUAGAUAAAAACAAAAACUAAUUGUAUAGUUUGCUUAUAAAUCGCGAGACGAAUCUUUUAAGCCUAGUUACUCUAUAAUUAGAUAAUUUUUAUUAAAUAAAAAUAAAAAUGCUACAAUGUCAAAAUCUAAAUAAAUUUUGGAUAUAAACAGGCCUAGAAACUAAACGAGACUCUAGUUUCGCAGUGUCAUGAUGGCUACUAUUUUGUAUCACCGAUGUGAUGUGCAAUAGUACUGCAAUAGACGUCUACGCGCAUGGUACUGCAAGUCUGCAAUAGGCUGUAGGCAUGGCAGCGGUAGAAAAUUUACCACACCGAUGUGAUGUGCUGAUGACCUCUGAGUCUCUGACACGUGAACCCAGCGGAGCACCGGCACUCUACAGUAGCACGAGUAGCAGGAGGGCAGUUGGACAGGGUCUAAGUGAAACCCUUGUUUAGGCAUUGAUUAGUUCACCCUAAAAACUAAAAACUUUUUAAGAUUUUCUGUCAUGUAGAAUCUUGUGGUAACAUUAAAUAUAGAUAAAAAUAAAAACUAAUUAUACAGUUUAACUGUAAAUCGCGAGGCAAUUAUUUUAAGCAUAGUUACUUCAUGAUUGGACAAUAUUUGUCAAAUAAAAACGAAAGUGCUACAAUGUCAAAAUCCAAAAAAAUUUCGCAUCUAAACAAGGCCUUAGUUACUAAAAAUUUCAAGAUUUUUCAUCAUAUUAAAUUUUUGGACACAUAUAUGAGACAUUAAAUAUAGAUAAAAAUAAAAAUUAAUUGUAUAAUUUGUUUAUAAUUUAUGAGAAAAAUCUUUUAAAUUUAAUCAGUCUAUGUUAAAUACGGACGAAAGUGUUAUAGUGGUCAAAGAAAAAAAAAAAUUCACCAACUAAACAUUAAACCCAAAAUGGCGGUCUGCCUGAGAGCCUGGCGCGCGGGCAUGCAGUGCAGCCCAAUGCGGCUGGAAAUGCGCCAAGCAAAUAAAAAAUAUUUCCUCAAGCCCAGCCCAGCCCAGCCCAGGCGCGUUGCAGCGGGCGCAGCCAGCUUUUUCAGGGGAGGGCACGCACCUUCUCCCUUCCUGACGAAGAGAGAGAGAGCAAGUGCGUUCCAAACCCCCUCCUCCAACUCCAAACCCCCUGCUCCGACUCUGCGACACCGUCGCCGCCGGCCGCCGCGUCUGCUUCGAUGGCUGCGGCAAACCCCCUCUUCCCCGGGGUGAGUACCUCCAACGUCUCCUUCCCUUCCCCGGCUCCUUCUCUCUCGGUGCCGACAGCUAGCUAGUGUUGAAAAAACCCCAUUUUACGAGGAUGCACAGACCGUGCUCCAAAACCACCGUGCGGCCAUCCACACUCGGCGCCUGGAUGUGUCGGCGCCGGCGUGCAACCCCGCGUCCUCUCUCGCCAUCUCCGUGAAGAAAGGCGUCACUUUUCUUCACGGAGGUGGCGAGGGAGGACGUCGGGUUGGACGCCGGCGGGCGGCGACGGAACACGCCUCGCGCGUCCGCGGUAAACCUUGUCCUUCGCGCCAUCCACCCUCGCCGCCUGUAUGUGUCCGCGCCGGCGUGCAACCCCGGCAUUCCCUCGCCAUCUCCGUGAAGAAAGGCGUCGCUUUUCUUCACGGAGUUGGCGAGGGAGGACGCCGACGGGCGGCGACGCAACACGCCUCGCGCGUCCGCGGUAAACCUUGUCCUUCGCGGUCGGCAAAGCCCCGUGCGGCUGGGAGCACCCACCAUGCUUGAUCGAGCCCGUGCGGUUGGACGCCGGCGGCGACGGUGGGUCGCCGUGCGGGCUCGAACAAACACCAGGGACAAGUCGCCGUGCGCCGCAUGCCCUGACUCUGACCGGCGGCGGGCUGCUGCCUGGUCCGCCGCGGGCACUCUCCCCAGCUGGACGCCGAUGCUGGCUCUGGGCGGCCAAUGAGCGCAGUGCUCGCCAGGGCGUGCGCAAGCUAGUGAUUGAUGAUUGUCGUGAAACAAAGUAACCUGUUUGCUGAAUUGCUUCUGAUGAAAAUUUAGUUGAAUUGAAACACCGUGGUUUCUUCUGUUGCAGGCACCCACCACCGAUUGGUUUCUCUCCUAUGAAACCCAGGAAAUGGAGGAGCGCCACCAAGCUAUUCGGACAUGGCUCCAGAAUCAGUUGAAGGAGCUGGGAGUUGGCACAUUCGUUGUCAAUCACAACGGCGUCGAGAAAACCUUCUACCUCCUCCCCGAGCUCCGCGGCAGGUUCUUCAUCGUCAACUUGCAUGGUCCUAAUGGAGGAGAGCCGCUCCCAUUAGUGUUCAACUUUCACAAUCUCUACUUCGCUGGAUUUCAGCAAAACAACCGUUGGUUUGUGUUUGAUGACGCUGAUAUGCUUGGUAGUGGCUAUGAGCUGCCAGAAAAUGAAGAACACUGGAGGUUUCUGGGUUUCAGUGGAGGGUACACAGGAAAUAUGCUCAGUGGCGUGAGUCUGGGAAUCGAUCAGUUUGUGGCUGUCUACAACAUCCUCAUCAAGUACCCUGAUUACAAGAAUGGCCAGCGAAUCUAUGUGCAGAAGUCUUGCUUUAGAAUUAUGGCUGGUUUGUGUGAGAUCUGGCGCUUUCCUUGGUGGAACGACCGGGUAAUUGAGAUUCUCUCCUACUACGAGUCAUCUCCGGUGGACCAUCCUGGCGUCGUCGUCAAUACCUUCAGUGACCUGUUCCGUAGCUGGGACAAGCUUAGCGUACGCCUGCUGCUGGGCCCGCUUCUCUUCAAUACAUUGCCCAUCCUCUCCAGGUUCCCACAAUAUGGUCUAAUGAUGCCAGCAGUGGACAUACUCCUGAGGGAAGCAGUCGAGGAAGGUGAAGCAGAAGAGGAUUACUGAGUCCCGUCCAGAAACCAGCUUAAUGUUUUAGAUGUUUAAUAAGUCAAACUCAUGCAAACUGUUACUGCCUUUGCCGUCUGGUUUGUUGUUGGAAAUGUGUAGAUAUUCGGUGGCCAUUCUUCUGCUGCUGAUGCACCAAACUUGUACUGGUGAAUGCAAACUGUUCUUCCAUGCAUUGUGUUCCUCACUUUUAGUUGCAUUGGGUAUGCCAUGCCGUACAUUCUCUGUGCAAUGAUAUUCUGUUGUCUUCCCUGCAUUAUAUCUGUUAUGGGUUUUAGAUACAGAAAAGCUAUGCAGUAUGAAUUUUGAUGACUCCAUUAGCUUGUUUAUGUAGUUAGAUUAAAUGUGACAAUUGAGUGUCAAGUCAACAUUUCUCAUCAACUUAUUGGUUUCUCUUGCAAUAUGAUCUGCCUAUAUGCUCUGUUAUUUUUACCAAAGCUUAGUUGCUUUCAUGAUUGUCAAAGUUCAUUUUUUAAUGAAUGUAGCAAAGUUGGUGAUGGGUUCUUAAAAUAACUGAUUUUAAAACAUGUCUAGUUUUUCGAAGUACAAUCAGAAUCAUAGAAUCUGAACAUGAAAUUUGCAAAAGCAUAUAUUCUAUUGAUAAAAAAAUGUAGAAUCAAUCCCAUUAAUUCAGAUCAUAACCUUGACAGCCAUGUUAUGAUGAGUUUGAUAUGGUUGUUUUGAGUGGAAUAGUUUCUUUUAGUAUAUGAAUUAUACUGUUUGAGGGACAUUAUUUAUGAUGUGUUGUAGUAGUAUAAUUAGAAGAGAGGUGCUGCUAUGCUUUUCUCUACUGCAGUGACACUUUGUUAUUCACUUAUUCUGUGGGAAAACAGACAAUUUGGUUGCAACUGGCUUACUGGCGCAAUAAAAUUUUCAUUAAGCUACACAGUAUGCUAUGUAUAAAUUAGUUUUGUUUCUUGGCUGUUGGUAACAGAACAAUGAUUGCCUGACGAUGGUGUGUGCUGUGACUGUUACCUCUACAUGUGUUCUUAUACUCAUGGUUGGCUUUAGGAUCUCAAUCGCUUUGCUUCUUGAUUCAGGAUUUGGCAUCGUGUUUCUGUAGGUAGUAUUAGCAUACUAAACCGUUUUGUAACUUGUCUGUAAACGAGUUUAGCGCCUUUUUCAGUUUAUGAAGGGAUACCCAGCUGGGAUACAUUGGUUUGAAAAUCGUCGUUUCUUUUUGAGACGGUACCUGUUUGGCUAUGGUCUGGCACUGUAGUAACAAUAGGAACAUGGAUGAGGACAUGUGAUGCGCAAUGAUUUGAUGCAUCCUGGGACUGGUGGAGGUAAUACCAUGUGUUAUAAGAAAUGUCACGUAUAUACACUAAAAUGUAUAGCAUGCUUCCGUUCAUCCGUUUCUGGCAUUGCAGAAUACUACUGGCUGCAAUUCUGAUUUCCUAGUGCUGAUUUCUGAUUUCCUUCUGCACUGUGUUCCUCACCUUAUGCCAUGCCGUUCAUUCUCUGCAACGAUAUGCUGUUGUCUUCCCUGCAUUAUAUCUUUUAUGGGUUGCAGAGAAUAUACAAACAAUAGGGUGCUACCUCAGAAUCUAUCAAUGCUUUGCCUACAUAUAAAUUCAAAACCAAGAAACGCCGCCAUGGUGAAGCUGAUAAUGCCACCCAAACGUCCCAUCCGUUCAGUCCUCUCUUAGGCUUUGUUUAGGUCUUGGUUAGUUGUGAAAAUUUUUUGGAUUUUGACAUUCUAGCAUUUUUAUUUGUAUUUGACAAUUAUUGUCCAACUAUAGACUAACUAGGCUCAAAAGAUUCAUCUUGUAAAUUAUAGACAAGCUGUGCAAUUAGUUUUCGUUUUCGUCUAUAUUUAGUACUUCAUGCAUGUGCCACAAGAUUUGAUGUGACGGGGAAUCUUGAAAAGUUUUUGAAUUUCGGGGUGAACUAAACAAGGCCUUAGUUCGUAAAAAUUUUCAAGAUUCCCCACCACAUCGAAUCUUUAGUCGCAUGCAUAGAGCAUUAAAUAUAGACGAAAAUAAAAACUAAUUGCACAGUUUACCUGUAAUUUGUGAGAUGAAUCUUUUGAGUCUAGUUACUUCAUGAUUGGACAAUAUUUGUCAAAUAAAACGCUACAGUAGCCAAAAACUAAAAAUUUUGCGAACUAAACAAGGUCUUACAUUACAUGGCUCGGUUCGUUAUACCGAACCAGCCCUUUCUCCUACAUUUACGUGGCUCAGCUCAUUAUACCAAUCCACAGGUGCUCAGCAGAAUUGGGAAGGUUCAAAUUCUUUCGCUCACGGUGAAAGUUCAGUGCCACGCAAACAAUUACACCAUAGCUAUAGAAAUGAAAACGAGAGACAUCACAAUGGCAGUAAGUUGAAGUAGUCCACAAAAUAUGAGACGGAAUCAGAAAAACAUUAAAGAGAAUCCCAAAACUGUUAUUGCCCGAACAAAAACAUGCAAGGGUCAGCAAGGCAUCGCAAUGAUUUAUAUAAAUAUUUAUUUUUUUGCCUUGCCUGUCAUAUACAUCUACUAUACAGGAUCAAUAUAAUGUAAUGUAAUAAAUCAAUAGGUACAGCUUCUAACUCACAACCCUCUGCUCUACUAUCCAGCUACUAUAUACCAAUCAAUAGGUACAGCUUCUAACUCACAACCCUCUGCUCUACUAUCCAAAACACCUCAAAGCAAACGAAGCGCCCACCACAUACACAAUCACCCUCAACGUGAGGCAGAUUCUGACAAGAAUACAUAUUCCAACAUAGCAAUGCUGCCACCGUCUGCAUUGUCUAUACACAAUGGCAAUUGGCAAUGGGGCUAGCUGCUUGCUUUUGUACAUGCAACUGACGGUGUAUUUGAUGGCAUCAACUCCUAAUGGGUACCAUCAUUCACUGAUGGAUCGCACAUAGCUCCCAGUUCCCUUCGCCGUCAAUGAGCUUCAGCUCCAAGGCAUGGAAGGGUAUCAAAGCAGGCCUCUGUAAAUAAUUGGGGAAAAGUUUCAGCAACAUGAUCGAUUGAUUUAGGAAAGCAAGUUGUGAUAAAUUGACAACAAAUUCAGCAUCUUCUUUUCUUUUUUCCACCACCAGAAAUAUCGUCACAGGGAUUGUCCAAAUGCUUACUUGUGAGGAAGUGGCCACAGUUAUGCCCAUGCUAGAGGAAGUGAUCACAGUUAUUCCCAUGCUAGUUCCAAGUCUGUACAGAUGCUCUUGAACAUCAACACUCAUAGCUAAUCAUAGGUUCUUACUAAUUCAACAGAGCUAUUUCAAGAGGCGGGCCUACCAGAUCUAUGUAAUGAAAGAACUUUUAUCUUCGCUUCCUCCCUUGAGAGAGGGUAUAUGAUCUGAUCCCGCAGAGUACCCAGACUGGUAUAUGGCAGCUGAGGAACAUGGAACAUACCUUCUGAGGGCUUGAUAACUCUCCCAAAGACGGUGGGCCACAGAUCCCUGAGCACUCUAAAAAUAGAACUCUUUCCACUACCAUUGGGACCUUCAGCAAAACAAAAAAUGAAUCAUGCCAAUAUAAGCUCACUGCUGAGCAGAAGAUAAAAAAGUUGCCUGCACAAAGACUAAAUACCAGUCAGAAGAAGGCUUUUCCCUUGUACCACAUUGCACGAGAGUUUUCUAGCCAAUAACUUCUGUGAUGGUGUUACAAUGUCCACUUCAUGAAAUGAAAUAAUUUCUUCUGAGGCUGCACUGAUGGCAUUGGGAGACACCGCAGUAUCUGGGGGAUAAAAAACUUUCUUGCACCACAAGAAAUCUCUCAAAACUCAAUCCUCUCUAGGCUCUUGCUACUCUGUUGCACCACAAGGUGUUUCUCAGCUGAACAAAUGGGAAAGAGAGCUCUCAUGGACGAGGUGGAGGAGUAUAAAUACACCCCACAAAGUCCAAGGGUCGGCCAACCGUUUUCCACUGAAAACGGGGUCACCGGACGCUGUUGAUGUUGCACCGGACGCUCUGCACCGAGCGUCCGGUGACACUCAACGGCUAACUGUACCUGCGUCUGACAGGUCACCGGACGCUACUUCCCAGCGUCCGGUGCCACAGUCCGGUGCUCCAAGGAGAAUUACAACCUCCCUGAGUUUAAGACUGGACACUACCCGGUGAGUCUGGUGCUAGUGUCCGGUGCUAGGGAGAAGUUUACAAACUCCCUGGGUAUAGGACCGGACCCUACCCCGUGAGUCCGGUGCUAGCGUCCGGUGCCUAACCCUAAGCACCAAGCACUCUAACGGCUAAAGGACCUCACCGGACGCACUCACAGAGCGUCCGGUGCAGCGUCCGGUGCCUACUUAGGCACCCUAACUUCGUCGAAACGCGACCGUUCCCAAAACGAAGUUGGUUCCUCUCGAUCUAAGGACUGUCUCUGAGCUGCCUAGUGCUUGGUUUACCAAGUGUGCACCACACCUAAACCUAAAGCCUUACCUAAGUCAAGCUACUAGAUCAAAGCCCCUCUUAAUAGUACGGUCAAAGAAAAACAAAGUCCUAAACUACUCUAAGUGCACUUCUUCACCAAAUGGCACUUAGACCUAGUCUAGUCUUGAUGAUGUCCAUCCAUCCUUUGAAAACCGAAACGAUUUCCACUAUUAACUUAUUAAGUAGGCAUGUACAUCCCUAUUCAUCGAGUACCUAUUACCAUGACCUCACUAAUGACUUUGCCUCUACAAAACACACGUUAGUCACAGUAAUCAAUAUUGUCAUUAAUCACCAAAACCAUUAGUGGCCUAGAUGCUCUUUCAAUCUCCCCCUUUUUGGUGAUUGAUGACAAUAACCUCGAGUAUGAAAGAAAGUGAGGUUUUCAAAUGACUUGGUUUCUAUAAGCAUGAGACAAUAAGAACAAAAGGAUUAGGCAUGCUUAUAUCAACCAAGUCUACCAUCCUACAUCCAAAUAAGUGAGAUGUACACAAUAGGAUAUAAAAACACAUAAGGCUCAUAGUACAUCAGAGUAAAAAACGUGGAAGCAAAGUAAUAUGAGCCAAACACAUGACAUAAAGAUAUCACAGCGAAGCAUAAAGUCAUGUCUCACAACCAUAAGUGUAUCUCACAAGCAAGUAGCUCACACAAAUGCAUAAAGUAAACAUGAUGCAUGAACGAAGCACACAAAAGUAUCAAAAGCCCUCAUAUGUCUAGCUAGCUCUAGCUCCCCCUAACUAUCAUACUCUCAACUCUCUCUCCCCCUUUGUCAUCAAGCGCCAAAAACCUAAGACGAAUUAGGUGGAGGCGGAGCAGUGGAGCCCCUCGGCACGGCCUGAAACUGAGCUGCGUCGUCUGAUCCAUCGACCGUCGACUCGGAGGAGGUAGAGUGACCCUCUGAUGCUGCUGGAGCUGGAGAAACGGUCUGGGUCGGCUCUGUGGGCUCUGAAGCUGUCACAGGCUGUGCUGGCUGCUCAAGUCCUGCUGACGAAGCUGGCACGGACUUUGUCGCUGUAGCUGACGUCUCUGGUACUAUAGACGAAGGAGCAAGCUGCUCAGACGAAGCUACUGACGAUGAUAGGCGCUCAGUAGUGGUAACUGGGACCGUAAAAGCUGCAAGAGCCUACAGGGGUGAAGGAGUAGGGUCACCAGUUAGAGCACUGUAGGAGAAGCUAACGUGUUGUCCUAUCGAAGAAUCCAACAUAAGCUGUGAUGUUGUAGCUGACUAUGGAGUGAAUCCAGAGCGUAGAGGUGUAAACUGUGGCACCUGCUCAAAUCCAGAAGAAAUAGCACCCUAGGAGACCUGGUGCUGAGGAGUCGAGUACGGCUGACUCUGAGCAGGGAGCUGGAGCGGCGGCUGAGACUGACUUUGGAAUCCACUAGGCUAUGGCACUGGAGUAGGAGGCCUGACUGACGAAGUGCCUGGAAGCUGAAUCUGUGGCAACUGAAUCCCUGAGGCGGCCAUAAGAGCGGCCAUCAUCGCAGUCUGCUGUGCCUGGAACACUAGCUUCUGCUCCUGGAAAGUCAGAAGUUGUCUCUGGAGCUCGUCCUGCCUGGCCUGCAUGGUUGCAUUGAUGGUAGCCUGAUCCCCGUCCCUCCUAGCCUGCUCCUCAGCUGCCCUCCGCUAGUUGGCUCUCAUCCCCUCUAGAAUAGCUAGCAGAGCUGGGUCCAUAGCACUCGAAGAUCCACCUGCCUCAUGGUCAUGCUGCCUCGGAGGAAGAUCUGACACUAGGAAACGAUAAUCAUCGUCUGAGCUAUCCGAGCAAACUCGAACUCCUCCUCAGCCUCACCAUCUGCAAAUGCCCCAAUGGCUAUGUCUUGCUCCUCCUCUGUCUCAUGGUCUGUCCCUGAACUGCGGGUAGCCCUCGGUGAAAGUGGUGGCACCUGGCCACAUGGUGCUGGAGGAGGUGGUGGAGCUCUGAGGUCAUGAUGCGCUCUCAGCAUCUGCCGGGGGUCAUAGUGAGGGAACACUGUGUUAGAGUCUCGCAGGUCUCUCUGAAGGUGAGCUGGUAGAGGCUCAAGCCUAGCACAAAGAAUAAGGAGAGUAAUCCAAUGUGUGUACGGCAACUGACGACGACCUCUGAAGCUCUCUGCUAUAGUGUCCUAAAUCUCUGACACUAUCAAGUCCCAUAGAUCAAACGGCCGCUGAGCAAUCAAAUGAGCCACUAACCACUGUUGGAUGCUGGUGAAGCCAUCUCUGUAGCCUAUCCUGGGAAAGAGAGUCUUCCUCAACACGAAGUCAAGGAUCCUAGCUGGGCAUGUCAAAUCGCCCACUGUCCUGCUGGAGCCCUCUCCAAAAGGCUAACGGAAACAGGGAGCCACGAGGUCAACCGGUGGUAGAGCACCACCGUGAGGUCGUCGAGGGGGCUCGAAGUUCCCGUAGCACAGCUGAUGGAUCCUGGUAGUGGAAGCAGUCAAUCCAAGAACCUGUCUGGCCCUCUGAGCUGUCACUCUGUAGUCUGUGCCUGCCAGUGCAUAGUGGAUGUAGCUAUGAUCAGGAGAAACCCACACUGAGGCAUAGAAUUCUCGUACCCACUCCUCACAAUAGGUACCUAGUAAAGCAAGCAACUCUGGGAGACCGGUCACAUAAGUGAAAUACUGCCUGAUAUCCGCACCGACCACGUUCCCAAGCACCUCAAGGUCAAGCACCCUAUGCUCCCUGAACUGAGCCUCUGAACGGACAAAAGCCUCAUACAAAUCCUCGUGAAUAACUGUGUAGAAUCUGGCACUAGCCCUCUGAUCCCUAGUAGCUGGAAACCAAGUAGGAAAGAAACAAAUCUCAGCUCCUGGAUCUCUCGAGCGGAGGCCUGGGUGUAGUCCUUGUGAAUCCUGACUGGAGCUGAACGUGUUGCUGGAGUACCAUGUGCUGGAGUGGAGCGAGUAGAGGAGGUGGACUGACCCUGCGUACCAGUCCUAGGGACAGCCUAAGUGCGAGUCGACCUCCUGAGGGGCUGCUCCUGCUGCUGUGCCUCUGUCGGGCCCUCUACCUGGGCCUCUGCCUCUGUCUCAGUCUCUGGGUCCUCCUGUGCGGACUCUGUGACGGCAAUCCGGACACGCUGACCUCCUAGCAUGAUGGUGCCAGGUGGAGUCCCAUGUCGCUCCUCAACCUCAAGGACUGCACGCCUCUGUUGUGGCGUGAGAUCGGCCCCAAUUCUCAGGGCACCUGAGCGUCCACCCCUCUCUACUGCCUCAGCUGCUGCUGCAACUGUCUCUGCCACCUCAACCUCUCUGUCACUGGCCUUCCUCUUCUUGAUGGCCAGCUUCUUGCCUUUGCCCUUCUCUGCUGCAGACAGGCGACGGGGAGGAUCACCUCCACCAUCACCUCCUGGAGAACCACCAGUGCUAGCUGCUGGACCGCUGACAUUCUUGCAACGUGCCAUUGCAAGAAACUGAGCCUAAACCACUGCCAACAACUGAGCAACUGACAAACUACCAAGAGAAAUCAACGCGCUGCAAGAGAUGGAAUAGAUAGGGUAUACAUAAGCAAACAUAAUAGCUAGAGAUGAGAAAACCCUAUAGAUUGCAAGAAUAGAUAAAGAACGGGCGCGAACGGCUUACAAUCCAAAGACGAGACACGUUCCGGACGAAAGAUCUUGAUUGCAAACCACCGGAGAACGCGAAUCAACUCCUUAAGGUACUGCACAGAUGAGACGGAGCAAAUUGAGGUCAAAAACCUCGUUAUAAUCCAUUGACACAUAAAAUCGAACACGUUGAGUGCAUGAAUCCAAGUACUCACCCAAACCCUAACCUUCUCACGAGAAGAAUGAAUCUUUGCGCAGGGAAGGAGAAGGGAACCUAGGGGAGAGAAUCUGCGUGGGGAAGAGGAAGUUCGCCGGAGAAAAUGGGAGAACAACGGCGGCGGCGACUUCCUGGCGACCUAGGGCACGGCUCGGCAGCAGGGCGAGUUCGGGCGAGAAGAAAGAAAACUGCCUGCGAAACCCCACGGGUGUGGGUUAUAUGCGCCCGACUUGGGGUCACCGGACGCUCUUUAUGUGGCACCGGACGCGUCCGGUGACCACCGGACUAAAACACAAAGAGGUUUGCAAAACGCGCAACCACCGGACGAUGGUCACCGGACGCUGGCUUUAGCGUCUGGUGCCCUAGGGCACGCCUGGAUGAGCACCAGACGCUGCAGGGACACUGUUCCUGUGUCCGGUGAGUGCAGUUCAGCAGCCUCACCGCACCGGACGCUCUGUAGGAGAGUCCGGUGCAUCGUCCGGUGCACCUCUCGCUUCUUUUUCAACUUAGAACUUCGCUCGACUUUUACCCAACCAAGUUCCAACUUCAAGAAGACUCAAAUAAACACAAAUUGGAACUGGUAUGAUUUACCUCUCUCAAACCCUCAAUUUUCACAAAUAUUUAGCCUUAGGCAUAGUAGUUUUUAUGAAAAUAGUCAAGUGAAAGCACCGAGGAGCAUCGUAUGGCCAUAAAGCUAGGGGUUUAAAUCAUAAUGAGCUUUGAAUGUUCCCCCUAUCUAUGGAUGAACACAGCGGAUGCUCAAAGCAUAACCAAAAAGAAACGGUCAACUAACAAGCAAGCAUAUGAUAUGAGGUGAAAUGCAAUACUUGAAAGUAAACUAAUGUUUGUCAAGUUUGAUCCAAGGUUAAGCUUUUUCACACACACAAGGGGUUAUCUUAACUAUGUUAGACAAGCCCUACACACAAUUUUUUUUUGUAUUUUUAGUUUUGGUAUGCAUGAUAUGCAAAACAAAAGCUAUUUACAAGGUCAACACACAACUUCAUUUUUUAGUGAAGUUAGAGAGAUCAAGCACAUUAAGUUCAUUUCUCAACAUACAAAACCUAGCUUCAUCUAGGGGUUUUGUGAAGAUAUCUGCCAAUUGAUUUUUCGUUCCCACAUUCUCUAGGGAUAUAUCACCUUUAGCAACAUGAUCCCUAAGGAAGUGGUGGCGGAUAUCAAUGUGUUUUGUGCGGGUGUGUUGAACCGGGUUGUUUGCAAGUUUUACGGCACUUUCGUUGUCACACAACAAAGGUACUUUGUCUAGUACUACUUCAUAGUAUAGCAAAGUUUGUUUCAUGUAAAGUAUUUAUGCACAACAAGCACCGGUGACAAUGUAUUCCGCCUCGGCCGUUGACAAAGCAACACUAUUUUGUUUCUUUGACAUCCAAGAGACAAGUGAUCUACCUAGGAACUAGCACCCUCCGGAUGUGCUUUUUCUAUCAAUGCGGCACCCGGCAUAAUCCGAAUCAGAAUAGCCUACAAGUUGGAAUCUUGCACCUUUGGGAUACCACAAGCCUAGGCAUGGUGUGUAUUUUAGGUACCUAAGAAUUCUCUUGACGGCAAUCAAGUGAGAUUCCAUAGGCUGUCACACCCCAAAUUCCCUACCUUGGGAUAUGACUUAGAAAACACUAAAAACAAAGCCAAACAUUUUAUUAUUUUAUAAAAUGUUCCAACUUUAUUUAUGUUGUCAACAUUCUAGAUAGUGAAAAAUGUGAGUUUUUAAAAAUUUUUGAAAUGCAACUUAGUGGUUUGUUGCAUUCAUGCCGUUGCAUAGAGUUUAUGCUUGAAAAUAAAUAAUUUAUUUGACUCCAAAUACGCCUAAGUGUUUGAUUUCAAUCUUCAUCUUUCCAAACAUCAAGUCAAUAUCCACAAUUUUAAUUGAUUCUUUUGCUGACAUCCUACAAGACCAUUGCCUAACCCAUUCUUACUCUCUCCUUUCCUUUCUUUCCUGAGAUCUCAGUCAAUUUGCAUGACCAUAAAUUCUUAAUGCCAAUUUUUUCUCUUCUUAUCUGAUCAUAUAAAUGAAUCCUAAAUUGGGUUGAAGCCUAUACAUUCAUCUAGCCCAUCAUGAGAACUCGUAUUUCUUCUCUCUUUUUGCUUAGGGAUCAAUAGUCGAUUGACACAUCAAAAUUCUCUCCACAUCAUGGAACAAGCCAAUCGAGCCUCUCCAUAUCUCUUUCACAUGGAAAUGUUGCAGCCCCUACUCUCUGCUUCAUGCAAAAAUAAUAUCCACACAUAAUGCUCAUGCCUAAAAUUUCCUAGACCCACUUUACUUCUCCAUUUAUUUAUUUAUUUAUUUAUUUAUUUAUUUAUUUUCAUCACUUCCAGUGGCAUGCAGCCAUUCAUUCUCCCUAGCUGCACCCCACGCCUGCUCCCUUUCCUCACAUGCAAAACAAAAACUACAUCUCAUCCUUUCUCCUUUAAUUCCCAAGGUAAUACCUCCCUUUAAUCCUCUCUUUUGCCAACCUUUACUCCAUUAGUUUGCAUGCAUGAACAUACAGUAGCACCCCUUCUCUUUUCCUAUGGCGCAACCUCCUCUUCCACAUGCAAAAUGGCAACAUCUAAUGCCUACUCUCUUAACUCCCUGGCCUAAUUUCCUUUGCAUGUCUCUUUCCAUCGCUCUUUACUUCUCUAUUUGCAGCAACCAUUUUAUUCAUUCGAUUUUGCUCUCUCUUCAAUUACAUGCAUAACAAUAUCUUCUCUCCCAUCUCCCACCUAAGAAAAUAGCACUCUAUAUGUGGCACCUCCUCUCUUUCUUCUCAUGCAAAAACAGCCCCCAAUGCCCACUGGUUCCUCCUUAAUGCCCUCCUUAAUUCAGAUGAGUAAAGUGCAGGCAUAAUUCUUUGUCUCACAUUUUUGCAUGCAUACAUGUACCUAUCUUUUCUCCUACCUUUCUCCAUCACGCAUGCAAGCAGAUGGACAGCACCACACUGUCGGCAUCUUCUCUUAUGCCACCCCUUUUCUCUUCCUUGCAUGCAAGAGUUAUGCCUACAACAAUUUUCUUCUGUUAAUUCCUUGCCCCAUGUCAUUUGCAUGCCUCUUUGUUCUUGCUGCUGAAACCCCUCUCAUCCAUCGCUUUGAUCUUUCAUGUGGCGCAGAUCAUCUUUGAAGUGAAAUUGGCGCCAUCUCAUUGAUCACCAACCGUUUGCUGUCCAUCAUUGGUGUUAGACGCCAUUGAGGUCUUGUCCAGCAACCAUGAACCUCGAUGUGAGCCCCUCUCCCCUGUCUCAAUCUUGUUUACAUAUUAUUUUCCAUAAAUCAUGAGCCAUAGUCUAAGUUUGAUCAAAUUCUGUCAAAGUUUUCCCGCAAUCGUGUUGCUGUCCUUUUUGGACAGCAGUGCUAUUGCCGGUCAGCGUUCAUGUUCUUCAUUGAUCUGUCAAGCUCUUGAUGAAUCCUUUGAAUAUAACAUCAUUUAUAUAUUUGCACACAUCUCUGCAAAAUUUCAUAGCAAGAGACUUCAAGAUGAAAGAUAUAUCAUCGUCUUUUUAGUGCUUGCUGUCCCUGCUGUUUCAGCAGCGUUCGCCUCUGUUUGGUAGUGUUGUUUCCCGUAAUACAUUAGUCAAAUCAUCAAACCCUUGAUACAGCAAGUGUCUCUUAUUGUUGUACAUGACUCUGCAAAGUUUCAUGUCUAUAGGAUCAAAUAUGCAAGAGAUAUGAUCCUAUCUUUUGCUCACUGUCCCUGCAGCCCCGCAGCAAGAGUUCCUACUAAUUGGCAUGUGCAUUCCCAUUGUUCAGUCACUCCAGUGACCAUGUCCUUCAACCAAAAUGUGUUUCAUGUCCUUGCACAAGUCUCUGAGAAUUUUUGUGGCCAUAGGAUCAAAGACGAACCAUAUAUCUUUCUUUUAGUCCUCGCUGUCCCUGCUGCCCUGCAGCCGCGCUGCAGCCGAUUGGCGAGUGCGUUCCCAAAAAUCCACUACUCUGUUUGUCAAAUCCUUUAACCCACCUAUGUAUCAUGAACUUGAACAUGCCUGUGCAAGUUGGUUUUUCCAUGGGUGCCACGAUUACCGUGAUAUAGUGGUCACAGUAACUGCUACCGCUACUGUCUAGCAGACGGCACUACAACUCAUUUGCAGUCAUAUUUCCCGGUCAUCCAAUACUUAGAAUAACUUGUUCUUUUGCCACAAUAUACUCCAUACAGUCCACAACAAGCCCACAAAAAUGAUCUCAAUUUGGUGCUGCUAAGACCAUGUUCCCUGUAACCAUAACCACCGCUGUCCGCACUGGGUUUGCUCAACCGGUGCGCAAAUCGUCAUCAUCGUGCUUCCCUUUUAUGUAACAUUUCAUCAGCGCAGCCACUAGUCAUAAUAUGUUCCAUGUAUCCUCUUCACAAAUUUAUAGUCAUCAACAAAUUAUCUAUAGAUCCUUGUGCUCCAUAAACCUUCCAGCCACAUUCAUCAUGUUUAUUCCAUUCCUAUCAAUUAUGAAACCUUCCAACUUCUACCUUUGAACAUUCAUGUCUUUUAAACCAUAGCUCUGUUUAGUUGUUUAUGUGCUCAAACAUUCGUAGUUGCAAGCCUUACACGUUUAAAACCUUUGUGUCUUGUUUUAUAAUGCUUGAUGUAUUGUUUUUAGGUUUCUUUUAUGGUGCUUGUACCGGUUGAUUGCUAACGUUAGAAGAGGAUCUCUAAAAGGAUGAUCAAGAAGUUGGAUAGCAAGAAUUUGGAAGGCAAGUGUAACAUGAGUUUCCCUUGUUACCUAAUAACUAUUUAAUAACCUCUACAUGUGCAUGUGUCUAAUAUGAUAAACCCCUAAGGACUUUACCUAGAACUUUUGUUAUCCUGAAUCCCUUGUUACCAUGGGUUAUGCAUAUGGGUAGUUUUGCUUAGUCUGCAAUCACCAAACAAUAUAAUGUUAAUCUUGACUAAUGGAUUAUGUAAUCAAUGAUAAAAUGAUGCUUUUUAGCAACAUGGAUAGAAGGGGGCUAGAGCAUUGGGCCUUUUUAGGUGCUCUAGUCUGCCCUCCGUAAGGACUGAAUCUUAAAGCGGCCACCCAGGAUUUACCGUACAGCCAUGAGAGCUACAUGGCUCUGGCUUUAGCUCAGUAAACUGAACUUCUCUAACUUGUUAGUGGUUACCGAAAGGCACAAGAGGGGGGUGCCUUGUGGUGUAUAGUUGUUUUCCUACCUUGGUGUGUACAGUGCCGCGACCACAUGUGCCUCUUGGAGGAGGACACCUAUGCACACUUGCCAUUGAAACCUCGUGGCUACUAACUUGUUAGGGGGACUUUCGAAAGGCUUCAUAGUGAACCUGCCGACUUACCUUGGAAGUGGGUCAAGAGGCUGAUCACCUCGGGCAUAUGGGUAACACGACUCAUGGUGAAAGUGUACAAGCUCUGCAGAGUGUUUUAAAACUGAUAUAUCAGCCGUGCUCUCGGUCACGAGCGGCCUGGAUCCUUUUCGAGAUAGAUGGUUCUAUGGAUGGUUUGGGUGAUCAUUAAUCUUGAUGAUAAUUAUUAUACUUCUCAUCUUGGGAGCUUAAGCAUAACCUAGAAAUAUAGGUCUAAUAAUAAAAUAUGACCAACUAAAAAUGCUUAUCGCAGUCAAACCAAGUCAAGCCUUUUGAGCCUUGCAUCCCCUCAUGUUAUACUUGUUGAGUAUGGUGCGCUCACACUUGCUUUACAUUCAACAAUCAAAAUCCCGGAUGGGUACCAGAUGAUGGUACAAAGGCGGCGUUCUCUGAGAUGUUCCAGGAGUACUAGGCGAGUGUACCCCCAGUCAACCGUCCCUGUGGAAAAUGGAGACCCAAAGUGAAGAUUAGGAUUAGUUUCCACUAUGCUUUGUAAUAGAUGUAAGCCAUGUUGUAACUAUGUUCCGAUAUAUAAUAAAGCAUUGUUCUUGAUAUUCUCCAUAUUUGUCGCUAUAUGUGUCGUGUGGACAUCCUGGGCACACAUAUAGUUAGCGCUUGGUCUUCUUUGGAAAACCGGGUGCGACAUAGGCAUAGCUUGAUAUCUAGCACACAUACACACACUAAACAUGAUAUCGGGCCUAGAUGUGGUGAGGUAGAGUAGACUUCCUAUCAUGGAAUGAUAGAGAGUCUUGUCAAUUGGGUUACCUCCCUCAUCCAAGUCGAGAUGCCCAUUUGAUGCCAUGGGAGUCUUGAUUGGCUUGCAAUCCAUCAUCUUGAACCUCUUGAGAAGAUCUUGUGUGUACUUCUCUUGAGAGAUAAAGACCCCUUCCUUCAUUUGCUUGACUUGAAAUCCUAGGAAGAAGGAUAGCUCGCCAAUCAUGGACAUCUCAAACUCCUUGGACAUCAAAUCACCAAAUUCCUUGCAAAAAUCUUCAUUAGUGAAGCCAAAAAUAAUAUCAUCAACAUAAACUUGGCAAAUGAAGAUUUCCCCAUUCAUUUUCUUGGUGAAGAGUGUUGUGUCAACUUUCCCAAUCUUGAAGCCCUUCUCAAUGAGGAAGUCCCUAAGCCUCUCAUACCAAGCUCUAGGGGCUUGCUUGAGACCAUAGAGAGCCUUGGAUAAUCGAUAGACAUGCUUGGGGUACCUAGGGUCUUCAAAACCGAGGGGUUGCUCAACAUAGACUAGCUCAUUAAUAUAACCAUUUAAAAAAGCACUUUUCACAUCCAUUUGAAACAACUUGAUAUCAUGACUAGAUGCAUAUGCAAGUAGGAUACGGAUUGCUUCAAGUCUUGCUACCAGUGCAAAGGUUUCACCGAAGUCAAGACCUUCGACUUGUGAAAAGCCUUUUACCACGAGCCUUGCCUUGUUGCGCACCACCUUGCCUUGAUCAUCCUUCUUGUUUCGGAAGACCCACUUUGUUCCAAUCACUCUUGCAUCUUUGGGUCGCUCUUCAAGUGUCCACACUUGAUUGCGAGAGAAGUUGUUCAACUCCUCUUGCAUGGCAAUGAUCCAAUCCGCAUCACGAAGAGCUUCCUCUAUAGUCUUUGGUUCAUCUUCAAGAGACACAAAAGCGUGAUGUUCAAUAAAUAAAGCAUGUCUAGAGCGUGUAGUUACACCACGUGAUGGACUCCCGAUGAUGAGAUAUUGAGAGUGAUCUUGGAGGAGAUGUGAUGAUCUUCUUGGCGCCACUUGAGGGGUUGCUUGGGGAGCAUCAACAUCUUGUGCUUGUGCCACCGCUUGCUCAUGAGUGACUUGAGUGUCUUCAUGAGCAUCUCUCACUUCCUUGUCUUCAUCUUGUGGCACAUGUGAGGUGGGUGGUGGCUCAAUGACUUGCACAUCAUCAUCUUCUUUUGGCUUGAUGUCCCCCACCGGCAUGUUCUUCAUGGCAUCCCUCAAUGGUUCACCACCUACAUCAUCAAUAUUAUCACUUGCUCCUUGGGAGCCAUUAGUUUCAUCAAAUUCAACAUCAAAUGUUUCUUCAACCAUGUUUGUGGCAUGGUUAAAGACCCUAUAUGCCUUGGACUUUGAUGAAUAGACAACCAAGUAGUCAAUUUCACAUCUUCUUUGGAACUUUCCCAAGUGUUGGCGCUUCUUGUAGAUAUAGCACUUGCACCCAAACACUCUAAAGAAUGAGACAUCGGGCUUCUUCCCAUUGAGUAACUCAUAUGGUGUCUUCUCAAGGAACUUGUGAGGAAAGAGCCGGUUUGAUGCAUAGCAUGCGGUGUUGAUUGCCUCGGCCCACAUCUUCUCCGAAGUGUUGUACUCAUCUAGCAUUGUUCUUGCCAAGGUGAUCAAUGUCCGGUUCUUUCUUUCUAUAACUCCAUUUUGUUGUGUGUAUGUUGAGGAGAACUCAUUUUUAAUCCCAACUUCAUCACAAUACUCUUCAAUGUUGGUGUUGUCAAACUCUUUGCCAUUAUCACUUCUAAUUUUCUUGAUCUUGACAUCAAAUUGAUUUUGGGCAUUCUUUGCAAACUUCUUCAACUUUGGCCUUGUCUUGCAAGAAGAAUGUCCAAGUGUAUCGGGAAUAAUCAUCAACUAUGACCAAGCAAUAUUUGUUGCCUCCAAGACUAGCAUAUGUGGUUGGUCCAAAUAAAUCCAUGUGGAGUAGCUCAAGCACUCUUGAAGUAGAGAGAUAGGCCUUGGUUGCAUGGGUUUUUGCAACUUGCUUGUCGGCUUGACAUGCACUACAAAGCUUGUCCUUUUCAAAGGUCACAUCCUUCAAACCUCUAAUCAAUUCUUUCUUCAUCAACUUCUUGAGUGUGCCCAUUCCAACAUGUGCUAACCUUCUAUGCCACAACCACCCAAGAGAGGUCUUGGUGAAUAAGCAAGACUUGACAUCAACUUCAUCGGAUGAGAAAUCAACUACAUAUAAGUUGUUGUGUCGGAAGCCUUUGAAUACCAUUUCAUUGUCAUCCUCCUUGGUCACUAUGACUUCUUUCUUCUUGAAUAAGCAUUCAAAACCAAGAUCACAAAGUUGUCCAACCGAGAGCAAAUUGAAACUUCAUGAUUGCACAUAGAGCACAUUGGUGAUGGAGUUGUCAUUUGAUAUUGCAACCUUUCCUAGACCCUUGACCUUGCCUUUUAAAUUGUCACCAAAUGUGAUCUUCUCUUGGUUGUCAACAUCUUCAUCAAGUGAGGUGAACAUCCGGGGAUCUCCGGUCAUAUGUUGAGUGCAACCACUAUCAAUUACCCAAUGUGAUCCACCGGUCUUGUAGUUCACCUACACACAAGAGAUCAAGCUUGAGAUUUAGGAACCCACAUUUGCUUAGGGCCCUUGACCUUCUCUACUAGUUUCUUUGGCACCCAAAUCUUCUUUAGCCUUUGCUUGUUGGGCGGCCCCAUGAAGCUAACCUUGACUUUUCCACUCUUGUCUUUCCUUACAAUGUAGUGAGCAUUGAAGGCAAAUGGUCUAGCAUGCUUGGGCAAGGGUGGUGGUAGUGGUGCCUCACACUCAUGAGCAAAGUGUCCUUCUUGUCCACACUCAAAGCAUCUCUUUGGCUUUGGCUUGCUUGGUUGAUCAUGAGUGACUAGUGAUUUGAUGAGCUUUGUUUGAUGAGCUUUGUAGCCAAUUCCACUCUUGUCCAUCUUCAUGACGGUGUUCAUGAAUAGCUCACUUUGAAGGUCCUUCCCUUUUGUGAACUUUGCUAACCCCUUGGUUAGAUGUUCCUUUUCUUUCUUGAGCUUGCUAUUCUCUUGAGUUAGCUUCUUGAUGAUUGGGUCAUUGUUGCUUGCUAACUCAUCUAAGAUGAAUGUCUCAUCUUCUUCUUGCACUUAUCCUUUUUAAGGUUUAGACAUAGGUGAGCAAGAUGACCAAGAUCACCACAAUUGUAGCAAUCCUCUCGGAGAUGGGCUUUCUCUUGCUACUUGUGAAGAACUUCUUCUUCUUGGAGUCAAAGUUGACUCCAUUCUUGUUGAGCUUCUUCAACAUCUUGGUGGUUCUUCUCACCAAGAGGGCAAUGGAUGCAUCAUCAUCACUUGAAGUUGAUGACUCAACUUCAAUCUUCUUGGCUUUUCCCUUGUGAGAAGCUUUGAGGGCCAAGUCCUUCUUCUCCUUCUUGGCCGAUGAGGAGCCAUCUUGGGGGUUCAUGUGCAUAUACAUCUCAUGAGCAUUGAUCUUCCCCAAUAUGGACGUUGGUGUAGCGGUGGAUAGAUCGCCUUGAUGAAGCACGGUUACUAUGUGCCCAUAUUUCUCAAUGGGUAGAACACAUAGUAUCUUUCUUGCAACAUCCGCCGCACUCAUUUGAGUGAGUCCAAGUCCAUUAAGCUCCUCUACAAUGACAUUCAAGCGAGAAUACAUUUCAUUAGCAUUUUCUUUCGAAAGCAUCUCAAAAGUAUUAAGCUUGUUCAUCACAAGAUGAUAGCGUUCCUCACGUUCACUCUUUGAUCCCUCAUAGAGCGCACAAAGUUCAUUUCAUAGAGCAUGGGCGGUUUUGUGGUUCUGAACGCAGUUGAACACCUCUUUGCAAAGACCUCUAAAGAUGUGGUUUUUGGCCUUUGCAUUCCACUUUUCAUUUUCUUGUUCUUGUGGAGUAAGAACGGCGUCUUUAGCCGGAGGGGUAAACCCUUCGGUCACGGCUUUUAGGCACUUUGAGUCACAUGCCUCAAGGUAUGACUCCAUCCGUAUUUUCCAAUACGGGAAGUCAUCCCCAUCGAACAUGGGUGGCGGUCCAUCCCCGUUAGACAUCUUUCUCUAGGCGGUGAAGCCUAAAUAAUGAGCACUAGGCUCUGAUACCAAUUGAAAGGAUCAAAAUGCCCAAGAGGGGGUGAAUUGGGCAUCUCUAAAAAUUUAAGCAACCUAUAAGCUCUAAUUCAACCCCUUAUGCCUAGUGUUACUAGAGAGCUACCGGAUAAAAGUUUUGCAACCUAGUUCCAAUCCUAUUCUAGCAUGGCAAAUCUAGGAAUGUAAAAACACAAAGUAAAUGCUAGAAGGUAAAGGAGCAGUGGAAGAAAGUGCUCGACGAUGUUUUGCCGAGGUAUCGGAGAGUCGCCACUCUCCACUAGUCCUCGUUGGAGCACCUGCGCAAGGGUCUUGCUCCCCCUUGGUCCGCGCAAAGACCAAGUGCUCUCUACGGGCUGAUUCUUCGACACUCCGUCGCGGUGAAUCGCCCAAAACCGCUCACAAGCUUGACACGGGCCACCCACAAGAACUCCGGGCGGACUUCGUGCCUCUAAUCACCACCGAACCGUCUAGGUGAUGGCGAUUACCAAGAGUAACAAGCAAUGAACUCUCACUUGACCCAAACAAGGCACUAGAGAGUGGUGGAUGCACACUUGACUCUUGGAAUUCAACUAGAGAAGGAUUCUCACAAGAAAUCUCUCAAAACUCAAUCCUCUCUAGUCUCUUGCUACUCUCUUGCACCACAAGGUGUUUCUCAGCUGAACAAAUGGGUAAGAGAGCUCUCACGGACGAGGUGGAGGAGUAUAAAUACACCCCACGAAGUCCAAGGGUCGGCCAACCGUUUUCCAGUGAAAACGGGGUCACCGGACGCUGUUGAUGUUGCACCGGACGCUCUGCACCGAGCGUCCAGUGACACUCAAUGGCUAACUGUACCUGCGUCUGACAGGUCACCGGACGCUACUUCCCAGCGUCCGGUGCCACCGUCCGGUGCUCCAAGGAGAAUUACAACCUCCCUGAGUUUAAGACCGGACGCUACCCGGUGAGUCCGGUGCUAGCGUCCGGUGCUAGGGAGAAGUUUACAAACUCCCUAGGUAUGGGACCGUACGCUACCCGGUGAGUCCGGUGCCUAACCCUAAGCACCGAGCACUCUACCGGCAAAAGGACCUCACCGGACGCACUCACAGAGCGUCCGGUGCAGCGUCCGGUGCCUACUUAGGCACCCUAACUUCGUCGAAACGCGACUGUUCCAAAACGAAGUUGGUUCCUCUCGAUCUAAGGACUGUCUCUGAGCUGCCUAGUGCUAGGUUUACCAAGUGUACACCACACCUAAACCUAAAGCCUUGUCUAAGUCAAGCUACUAGAUCAAAGCCCCGGAAAACAAAGUCCUAAACUACUCUAAGUGCCCUUCUUCACCAAAUGGCACUUAGACCUAGUCUAGUCUUGACGAUGUCCAUCCAUCCUUUGAAAACCGAAACGAUUUCCACUAUUAAGUAGGCAUGUACGUCCCUGUUCAUUGAGUACCUAUUACCAUGACCUCACUAAUGACUUUGCCUCUACAAAACACACGUUAGUCACAAUAAUCAAUAUUGUCAUUAAUCACCGAAACCAUUAGGGGCCUAGAUACUCUUUCAGUGGUGAUCCGAUGGUGGCGUGGUCGGGAGAGGGCCCUGGCUGCGGGCUGUGGUGGGGAGGGGGCCCUGGCUACGCGUCACCCCUCAGACUCCACCAGGUCUUGCGGAUCUAGGCGAUGCGCCAUCUUCGAGGAAGAGGAUGAGCUCGAGCCCAACGUAGAGGGUGACAAGGAGACCGCUGCGGGAGCGGCAUCAUGUUGGCGAGGGGAGGAGCACAGCCGGGAUAGGGAGCGCCUGCAGGAGAGAGAGCACCGGAGCCGCCGAGAGGGAGCGCCGCACAGAGAGAGAGAGAGAGAGAGAGAGAGGCGUCCGGCAUCGGGGCAUGAGAGAGAGGACAUGAUUUUUUUUAAUCUCGGCACGGCAUCUCGUUUGAACCUGGAAAGCUGGGUGGGUCUCACGUCUUUGCGGCAGGGAAGGGGAAUAGACUCGAUGGGGCUGGUCUGGUUCGGUGAAACCAAGUGAUUUCAGUUUUGUAUCAGGGCUUUCAAUAACUAUUGAGAGCCCUAUGUUCUCAAUAACAUAUAUAUAUAUAUAUAUAAGUGCUAUUCUGCACCCUAGGUGUAGAAUACUAUUCUAUACCAAACUGUUGUACUGAGCAAAUUUCAGUAUUCGUAUUUCAGUAUUGUUCAGUAUUUCGUGAUCCUAGGUGUUGGAUAAGAUGAUACUGAACACUCUCCAGUACUUCUCAGUAUUUUUUCUACUCAGUUUUGACUUGCGGUGUAGAAUAAUAUUCUGCACCUAGGGUGUAGAAUAGCGUUGUCGUAUAUACAAGUGCUAUUCUACACCCUAGGUGUAGAAUACUAUUCUACACCAAACUGUUAUACUGAGCAAAAUUCAUUAUUGUUCAGUAUUCGUGUUUCAGUAUUGUUCAGUAUUUCGUGGUCCUGGGUGUUAGACAGAUGAUACUGAACACUCUCCAGUACUGCUCAGUAAUUUUUCUACUCAGUUUUGACUUGCGGUGUAGAAUAAUAUUCUAUAUAUAUAGGUGUCAUAGUCGCCAUUCAUAUGAUUGUCAUACCUUUUCUGCCAGCCAACACUGUUUUUCAUUCACAAUAAAUCAGCAAACGGUACUUUCACCCAUAAUUUUUCAGACAAGUGAACAUGCCAGGUGCAUGUGGUCAAGGUAUAUUUGGGAAAUAAAUUGCAGAAAAAGAUCCUUGUACCCUCCACUCGCACAACCAUUUCCUAUAUCCCCUUGAGUGUGUUGCCUGUGGGAAAGAGGAGAGGUCAUCAACGGGCAUGAUGAUCGAUGGCGGCAAUGUCGUUGUGAGCUGAGUGACCUCAUGUUGCCUCAUUCAAACAAGGGACAGGGUGUAGCCCAAUUAUCAUCCCAUAUUUGAGAACCUCGAUGGAUCCAAAUAAAGGUGAUGCAAGCGGGCGUCGCAAGGAAUAAGAACUCCUGACUGGCAUCAUAGUAGGUACUUGCGGGGUGCACGGGCUUAGAAAGCUUUCGCCUAGGGUUCUACUAGAGAGCAUACGGUGGCAGCGCCACUGUAUUUUUGAGGCGUUGGGGGUGUAGAUGGCCAAGGCAUAGGUGAAGGGAUAAGUUAGUGGAUUCAGUUCUAAAUCUAUAUGCUGCAUAGGGGCUAUGUUACAAGAAGUCCACACCUAAUAUGUUGACUAAUAUGCACCUCUAAGACCAUUGACGCACCUUGUUGUCGACAAGUACGACGUCUACCACUAAAACAACAACUAAUGUCGCUAAAUUCUAAAACAAAUUCAGCAAAGUAUGAGCAUCCGCUUCAAGUCGAUGACUUAAUCUCGGGUGCACAGGUUCCAUAAUAAGAAAGGCAAUCAUCUAAGCUAUACUCAAUUCACAAUAUUAUACGGGUUUGAAAGACUCUACUCUGGCUUUUGUGUCUUUCCCUUCGUUGAUACAAGAUUUAAAGGUCGAUCAGAAGCACCAUGCGAUUCCUUCUUGCUGUUGCAGGUUUCGACAUCUCUAGAGCAUGAUUUCCGUGUAAUGGUGGUAUCCAUCAUCACCAAUCAAAUUGCCAACGCAAGCACCAUUUUUCGUGGACAAAGAAAGCUGAAAGUGGGCCUUAUUUUGUUUAGCCAGUAUCUGGCCCAUUUUGUGACUGGGCCAUCAGCAAGAUCAUUUAGGGUUCUGGGCUUCAUAUCCUGCCAAGAAGCACUGACAAAAGAUGUGUCUGCAGUGUGCAUGUGGCCCAAUUUCCCUCCGCUGAUUUCCGUUCGAAAAAAAAAAGUGUGUGCAGUGGGCACCUAGGCUUUCUAAAGGAAAAAUUUUCAGACAACUGUAGCACUUUCGUUUGUUUAUGGUAAUAUUUGUCCAAUCAUGAACUAACUAGGCUCAAAAGAUUCGUUUCAUAAAUUCCGACUAAACUGUGCAAUUAAUUUUUUAUUUUUCUCUAUAUUUAGGCCCUGUUUAGUUCCCCAUCCAAAAAUUUUUCAUCUAUCCCAUCGAAUCUUUGGACACAUGCAUGGAACAUUAAAUGUAGAUAAAAAAAAUAAACUAAUUACACAGUUUAGUUGAGAAUCGCGAGACGAAUCUUUUGAGCCUAGUUACUUCAUGAUUAGCCUUAAGUGCUACAGUAACCCACAUAUGCUAAUGAUAGAUUAAUUAUGCUUAAUAAAUUUGUCUUGCAGUUUCGUGACGAGCUAUGUAGUUUGUUUUUUUUAUUAGUUUCUAAAAACCCCUCCCGACAUCCUUCCGACACAUCCGAUGUGACACCCAAAAAAAUUUCGUCCCCAAUCUAAACAGACCCUUAAUACUCCAUGCAUACGUCUAAAAAUUAGAUGUGACAGAAAAUCAUGAAAAAAUUUAGAUUUUGGGGUGGAAGUAAAACAAGGCCCUAGUUUGGACUUUGGACUCUGGAUUUUCCGCAGAUGGAGAAGUUGGCAGGGCAGGCAACCACUCUCAAGCGUUAGAUUUCAUCAGUCUCUAUGCCUGCCUAAAAACAAUAUAUUGCUUUUCAGUAAACCUUUUCGGUUGCGUUUAUUGAAAGCAAUUGUACUAGGCUUAUUUCUAAAGCAAUCGCCUGGAGGCUGGAGAUUUUUGUGCUCUUUGUUUCGGCUUCUUGUUUGUUUUCCUUUUUUUUUCUUUUGCUUGACAAAUUAAUGGACAAUGCACUAUGAUCAAAAUAUAUGAUUCUUGAUGCAGGUAAGCCAUUUUUAGUACUGUAUCAUAUUAACAUACAGGGUGCUCACAUUUGUUAAUCUCAAGAUCCGCAUGCACACAUUUAUAAUGGUAAGUGUGCAUAUAUGUAUAUAAGCAUCUGCAGCUAUACAGUGUUUUGAAAAAUAAUUAAUAACUUUUUUGCAAAUAAUUAAUAUUCUCUUAUUAGAAAUUUACUGGCCAGGUUAAGCUUAAUUUUAUUUGCACCCCCUGCCUGCCAUGUAUAAAUUGGCUGAACACAGCAGGGAGGAACUAGGAAGCAUAUGCAGAGGUGGAAUUGAAAUUUGAAGAGCAACACAGCACUGGGAGGGCGGCGUCGACGAUAUAGAUCAUUUAUUUGUCGGCGCCGUCGUCGUCGUGGAGGAAUGGGUAGUCGGUGUAUCCGACGACAGGGUCGGAGGUGUAGAAGGUGUUGCGGUCGUACUUGUUGAGCGGCGCGUCGGCGUCGGGGAGGCGGAACCUCCGGGGCAGGUCCGGGUUUGCCAGGAACAGCCUUCCAUAGGAGACGAGGUCCGUGUACCCUUCCUCCACCACCUUGUUCCCCUCCGCCCUGUCGUACCCGCCGGCGGCGAUGAAUGUGCCCCUGAACUUCUCCCUGAACGGCCUCAGACGGUGCGGGAUCUGCCGGCGCCCGUCGACGAUGGCCAUCCUGGGCUCGAUCAUGUGGCAGUAGAGCACGCCGAGUUCGCUGAGCUUCUCCACCAUGUACCCCGCGAGCGCCUCCGGGUCAGAGUCAUGGCAGUCCAUGUAGUCGGUGAACGGCGAGAGGCGCACGCCGACGCGUCGGGCGCCGACCUCGGCGGCCACGGCGCGGACGACCUCGAGCGCGAAGCGGCAGCGGUUGUGGAGCGACCCGCCGUACUCGUCGUCGCGGUCGUUGGCGCUGUCCUUGAGGAACUACUCGAUGAGGUAGCCGUUGGCGCCGUGGACCUCGACGCCGUCGAAGCCCGCGUCGAUGGCGUUGCGUGCCGCCUUGCGGAAGUCGUCGACGACGGACGGGAUCUCGCGGGGCUCCAGGCGGCGCGGCGGGGAGAACUCCUCGACGUGGCCGUCGUGGCUGACCUGCGGGGUGACGCCGCGGUCGGUGCUGGAGAUGGGCGCGGCGCCGCCGGGCUGGAACGCGGUGGUGGAGACGCGGCCGACGUGCCAGAGCUGGCAGAAGAAGACGGCGCCCUUGGCGUGGACGGCGUCGACGAUGGGCCGCCAGGCGGCGACGUGGUGGGGCGUCCAGACACCCGGCGUGUCCGUGUAGCCCUGCGCCGUGUCGGAGACGCCUGUGGCCUCGGUGAUGAGGAGGCCGCCGCGGGUGGCGCGCUGGGAGUAGUACACGGCGGCGUGCGGCUGUGGGACGUUGCCGUAGGAGCGUUGACGAGUUAGUGGCGCCAGUACCACACGGUGCUCAAGCUCAAACUCACCCAUCUCGUAAGGGGUCAGCAGAGGAGGAUGGUUCGUAGUCUCCAUGGCCAUGGGUGGUGUGGUGUGGUCUAAUCAAUAAUGUGAUUUCUUUGUUUCUAUGAUGAUAUGAUCAGCUCACAACAAUGGAGGAAUUAAAGCUAGCGAUGAGUGAGUGAGUGAGUGAGGAGAAAUGGACUGAAGGUGGGCCAUUUAUAGAGUUGAGUGCAGUGGGUGAUUGUCAUGAUGAUCCAUGGAUGAUGCACCAGCUAGGAAAGGAAAAAAAAAAAGGGAAACAACAGCAGGUGAUGGAGGAAGAAGCUAGGCAGGCGGCUGCUCCUGCUCCCAAUUCAAAUCAAAGCCAAGACGACUGGAUGCCGACAGCUAUAGCCGCCGGCUAUUGGCAUUCGCAGUCAACAGAUGAACAUGAUAAAAAGUGGAGGCCAACAACCAACUAAUUAACACCCUAGGUCAGAUAUUUUCGGAACACUACUACUAUAUUAUAUAAUAUGUAAUUCGUCUACUGCUGCUGAAGAACAUCAUGGGCUGCAAUAAUAAUAAUAAUAAUAAUAUUGUCCACGGUGACGCCACCCCUGACGAUGCCACCACAAACAAGAAGGUUCCUUCAAUUCGCGGCAUAUACUUUUUCCUCUUUUCUUUUUCCCACCCAUAUAUCUUCACGUAUUUCUUUUCAUUUAAAAAAUGAAAAACAAAACAAAACAAAUUACAUCAAAAGCGGGGCUCCCAAUUUUAAUUUUAAUAAUAGUAAGAUACUAGCAACUCUGUCUACGGUACCGUAGCUCUUGUUUGUGUAACUCCCAUCUAUUUAUUACAGUUUCUUUGAGGCAUGUUUAUGAGAUACCUUAUGACUAUCUUUAUAAUUUUGACUAUCAAUUCAAAAAAAAAAUUAUACACGUUAACAGCAUAAGAUAUCAGUCUUUAGAUUCACUGUGAUAAGUACUUUUAUGAUAUAUAUAAUUUACAUGUUGCGAAUUCCAUGGAUUUUAAUUGUCAAAUAUGAAAAUAUUUGACUUAAAAGACAAAGCAUGUAAAAAGGAACCGAGGGAAUAUCGUAGUUUGAGUUUUGCUUUGUACCAUGUUUCAACCCAAAAUAUUUUUGGAGUUUUAGAAAAAUACUAACCUUUGGUAAAAUACUUUGGUUUUAGAAUGUCGUGAGAUGUUUGGAUACAAUAAAUUUAUGGUUUUCAAAGCCAUAGCUUUGUUAAAACUGUAGUCUUUUGAGAGUACACCGUUCUAGACCCCCCCCCCCCCCCCCUCUUUUUUUAGUGCAUUUGGCAGCGGCAAACGUUUCAUAUUCUCAGUAAAAUCGCUACACAACAGCACAAAGAGAUAGCGUUUCGCGGAGAAUUACUUGGAACCACUUCUUGUUUUUGUACUAGUCUCAAGACACAUCUAAAACUUGAUUUCUCCUUAUUGUAGUUCUAGUUUGAAGAAAUCUGGCCAAUGGUGGCCUGCAAUCCGGUUCAUGGAGGUGCGCCAGCUUAGUUCGCUUGGCUGAUAAGCCAUGGUUGAAAAUAUUAUUCGCUGAUUUGUUGUGAGAGAAAAAUAUUGGUGAAUGACUGACAAAUUUGGCUGAUAGGCUCACGGCCAGGACAGUCUUGGAGCACAUGGGAAGGGAAGCACCAUUUUAGUGUGUCAGGGUUCCCUGUGAUCAACUUGUUUGAUCAUCGGUUAUUUUUUUUUGUUUCCUCUCACAUAUCUUGUUCAUGUUCGUACAGAACAGUAAGACACCAAAAAUGGCACUAUUUUGUGUAUAGAUCAACAUUUCAAUAAGGCUACAAAACAUUUCUCUAUGGACGUUAAGGUUAACAAUUUACUCAUACACGACGGAACUUUCUGGGCGGACUGCCGGCAUCCCUGGCCCCUGUAGCGGAACCUCUCUCUUGACUCCUGUAGUUGUUCUUCCCUCCUCUGAUCUCCUUUCCCCUGUUUCCAGAUCUUUCUCCGUAUCUUCUCCUCUUUGGUGUUUGGCUGCUCUUGUCUGAUCUUCUGAUCCAUCCAAUCAGAUUUUCCUAAGAUCGUCUCCUCUCCAAAAAUCGAUCGAUCUUGCAGGGAGUCUGUUGGUUCUCCCCUUUCUUCUCUCUCCACCAAAUCUUUUUCCAAUCCUCAUUCCGCUUUUAUCCAUCUUCAAUCCUUCUCUUUGUUUCUUCUUCUCUGAAGCUGAUCUCCUCUUUCCUUGCCUAUCUCCUUCGAUCCCUUCGUUUUUCUGGUAUGCCUACAAGGGGUGGUGUGUGUCACGCUCUGUUGCUCGGGUAGGCAGGCCCAGCGCUACCUGUUCUCUCCGACCGCGCUUUGGCACCAGCCUCCAAGGCGUCUCGGGCGCCAUGAGUCUCUUGGCGUGGAACUGUCAGGGCGCCGGCGGAAGCCUUGACAGUGUCAAGAUGCGUCACCUAGCCCGCCUCAUCUCAUCCACUGAUGCCCAGGUAAUUUUUAUCUCUGAAACUAGAAAUUCUAGCUUGAACAAAAACGAUAUAGUAAAUAAGUUCAAUCUUGACAAUGCACAUAUUGUUCCAGCUGAAGGUCAAUCUGGAGGCCUUUGGCUCUUAUCUAGAUGUCAAGUUGAAGUAGAGGUAGUUGAGUCUAGCCAUUUCUAUAUUUUUGCUAGUUGCUACCACAAGCAUGUUCGGAAAAAAUUUGGUUUAGUUUGUAUCUAUGGUGAUCCCCACCACCGUAAGACUACGUGGAUCUGGAAGCAAGUCCGUUAUUUUUUCAUGUCCCAUCAAAACCUACCUUUUAUUUGUAUGGGUGAUCUGAACAACAUUAUGAAUGUUUCUGAGAAUCUGGGUCCUCGGCCAGCUAAUUGUCGUUCUAUUUCUAACUUCUGUUGUUUGGUUAAAGACUGUGGCUUUUUUGAUCUCGGUUACAAUGGUCCAGCUUAUACCUGGACAAAUAAGCGCUUUGAUGCAAAUCCUACCUAUGAGCGUCUUGACAGAUUCCUGGCUAAUGCUGAAUGGUGUGCUGAAUUUCCUAGUACGAUUGUUUAUCACUUACCCAUGCUCAAAAGUGAUCAUGCUCCCAUUCUUGCUGUUUUGAAUUCUUCUAGAGGAAAAUUUGCUAAACCUUUCAGGUUCGAGAAUUGGUGGCUUCUUACUGAUGACUAUGAGAAAGUGGCGAGAGCAAGCUGGAUCAAAUCUGCUAAUAGACCCUUCCACCUCAAGACUUUCUAUCUUGCCAAAGAUCUCAAGAAGUGGCAAAAAUCCAAGCCCAAAAAUUCUGAUAUCCUCCAUCAUAUUGAAGAUAAUCUUCUAGCUCUUCAAAUGAAGCCUCCUGACCAGCAAAAUCCUAGCCUCCAGAAACAUCUCAUUCACCAUCAUGAAAAUCUUCUUGCCAAAGAGGAAGCCUACCACAGACAGAGAUACAAAAAGAACUGGUCUGUUGCUGGAGAUAGAAACACCAGAUUCUUCCACCAAUCCAUAAUCAAGAGAGCCAGAAGAAACACCAUCACUCAUUUUCUCAAUCCAGAUGGCACCUACGCUUCCACUCAUGACCAGCUUGCUGCCACAGCUAACAAUUACUUCAUGGAUAUCUUUAAAUCUGAUGAUAAUUGCAGGAACCAAUGUCAAAUUUGGAGUGCUGAUUUGGAUCAUGUGCAAAGUAUAAAGGAUGACCCUUUCACAAACUCUACCCCAGAUAUGAAGGAAAUUCACAACAUCAUUAAAAAUAUGAGAAGCAAUGCAACCCCAGGUCCUGAUGGUUUAAGUGCAGGUUUCUACAAAUCUUCCUGGGAAUGGACAGGUAAAGAUGUUCUAGACUUAGUCACUGCUUUCUAUCAAACUGGUAACUUACCUUCAGACAUUAAUAAGACUCAUAUCACUCUGAUUCCCAAAGUGAAUACUCCUAUCACUCCCAAAGAUUAUAGACCCAUUAGCUUAUGUAAUGUGUCUUAUAAAGUUAUUGCUAAAACCCUGGCUGAUAGAAUUAAAUGCCACCUUCCUCAUAUUAUUCACCCUACCCAGGCUGCUUUUAUUCAAGGUAGGCACAUAGCAUCAAACGUUAUUAUUGCUCAAGAGAUUAUUCAUAGCUUCAAUCUUAAAAGUUGGAAACAAAAAGCUUUUUUACUUAAAGUGGAUCUUGCCAAAGCUUUUGAUAGAAUUGAAUGGAAUUUUAUUGUUUCUGCUCUUAAAAGACAGGGUUUCAAAGACAAUUUUAUAGAUCUAAUUUACAAGUGCAUCUCAACGACUACUAUGUCUGUGAUCAUCAACGGUAACCCUGCUCCUUCCUUCCAUCCCAACAGAGGUGUUCGACAAGGCUGUCCUCUCUCCCCCUACCUCUUUAUUUUAGCUGUUAAUGAGCUUUCAAUUUGCCUGCAGAAACAUUCUUCUUCCCAUCAAAUACAGGGUAUCACCCUUGGUCCCAAAUGCCCUCGUAUCCACUCUUUGCUUUUUGCAGAUGACCUCAUUGUGUGUGGGCAAGCUACAAAGGAGGAGGCCAGUAAGAUAAAUUCUAUUUUACAAUCCUUUUGUGCAGCUUCAGGUCAAAUCCCAAACAUGGCUAAAUCAUCUAUUGUUUUCAGUAAAAAUGUUGAUUCUCAGAGCAAGGUGGAGGUAAAAAGCAUUUUCCCUGUCCAGGAUAUGUCUCCUAACUCUAUCUACCUUGGGCAUCCUUUGAUUUUCAAACAUAGUGACAGAACUCAGGCUUAUAACUUUAUCAUCAAUAAAUUGAGAACUAAAUUAACAAAGUUAAAAGCUCACAAGCUUAAUCAUGCUGGGAGACUGACUUAUAUAAAUUCGGUUCUUGCUUCGAUCCCCAUUUAUUACAUGACGACUAUCUUGUUUUCUAAAAAAUUUAUUUCAAAAAUCACAUCUAUCAUAAGAAAGUUCUGGUGGUCUGGAGUCCAAGAAGAAAAUGACAAUUCAUGUUUCAAUUUUAGAUCUUGGAGAGAUAUUUGUAGGCCCAAAAAUGAGGGAGGGCUAGGAAUUAGAGAUUUGAUGACAGUAAAUAGGAGCCUUCUUCUAAAUGCGGCCUGGAAGAUCGCUACAUGUAAGAACAAUUUCCUUUCAGAUGUCCUAAAAUCUAAAUAUUAUCCUCACACUAGCUUCUGGAAAUCAGGAACAACAAUACCAAAUCUGCUUUUUGGUCCUCGAUUAUGAAUGUUAAAGAUAUUUUAAUUAAUAAUUGUAUGGUUCAGAUCCACAAAGGCAACUCUAGCAUCUGGUCCACUCCUUGGUGUAAUAUUUGGAAUGAAAUUCAUAACCAUCUUAAACUGCCUAUUACUGUCGAUACUCUUCCAAACAACAUAUCUGAUCUUUGGAAUCCAGGGACCUCCCUUUGGAAUGCUAACCUUAUCAAUCAAAUUUUUUAUGACCAUGCUGCAAACUCCAUCAGGAAUAUUGUUCCCGUCCCCUCUGAAUCUGCAGACGCAAUCAAAUGGAAGCCAUCAACAAAAGGAGAAUGCUCCACCAAAGAAGCUUUCAAAUUCCUCAACAAACAAUUGCAGGUACAACUUCCCUCACAAGGAUCCAGAAGCAUCACUCCAGAUGCUAUGCACAUUCUUCGGCGUGUGUGGAAACAAAGGUAUGUCUCGCCUAACAUAAAAACCUUUCUUUGGAGACUCAUAAGAAGAGCGCUUGCCACUGGAGAAAGAGCAGGGAAAUUGUCUUUGAAAAUUGAAGCCCAUUGCGCCCAUUGCGGUAUAACAGAAACCGACUCGCACCUUUUCUUUCACUGUGAUUUCUCCAGAGCUGUCUGGUUCUCUGCCAGACCUUCUCUCAAAUCCUCCUUCCUCCCGAUUGAACAUGACGGUGUACAGGUAGCUCUUGAAUCUCUAAUAACCCCAUGUACCUCAGAUCAAACAACGCUUCGAAUUCUAACGACCUUAUGGUAUAUUUGGAAAGCUCGUAAUGACCUUCGCUUUCGAAAACAAAAAUGGUCAGUUAUGCAGGUCCACUACGCAGUUCAAGCUCAUAUCAACACUAUGAUCUCAGCUUUCAAAAAUGAAGGCGAUCAGCAUAAGCAAAUACAUGAGGUUGUGGCGCAACUGAGCACCCCAUCGCAGGUAAAGAAUUUGCGUUCUGCAGGUAACCAUAAUGAUGUAGGUGCACUCGGGAAUCACAACAUGGUGACAUCUGAGAGCGGCCAAGUUGAACAGCAACUCCCCUCCUUGCUUGAAGGGGCGAAAUGCUACACAGAUGCAUCCCUUGUUCCUGAUGAUGAAUCUCUGGAAGAAAGACAUGCAGGUUUAGAAAUCUUCAUUCGGGAUCCUAGAAAGAAUCUCAAACUUUUCAUCAGAGUUUAUGCGAAGAAUUGCUCCUCAGUUCUCAUGGCUGAGGCUCUAGCCAUGUCCCUUGCCUCUGAAAUCAGUGCUCGGCUGGAUUUAGACAAGAUCAAUUACUUCACAGAUAAUCUGAUUCUUGCCUCCUACCUUAAUGGGGGGAAUUUGGAAUCUCCACCGGAUUGAAGGAUUAAACCCUACACUCAAAAUUUCAUCAACAAUGGCAAGAAUAGAGAUACCAGAGUGCUGAAAAUUGACAGAAGACUCAACAUCACUGCUCACUCCUUAGCAACUCAGGCUUUCAAAACUCCUGAACUCCUAUCAGGAACAAUGGAUUUCAUUUGUAAUAAUCCUACUCAUAAACCUGAAUGCCUCUUAUCUGAGGCUUUGAAAGAUGUAAUUCUAAGACAUUGUAAUCUCCUAGCAGCUGUUUGCUGCCUUUAAUGUUGCCCUUGUUCUUUCGUCAAAAAAAAAAAUUACUCAUACACUGUACAUGUAAAGUCUGCUAGUGAUAUGUUCAUCUUUGACAUGUACAUAUGCAUAUGUGCUGAUGUAUAGACGCUCUGAAUGAACCCAUUACCUAUAUCCAUGUAUCUGCCUCAUCGUCUGACAGCAUUCACAGCCCGUGUGAACUUUCCGUUCCUGCAGAGCGCCGAUCGAGACGUACUACCCCGGCCGCCCACACCACAGGGAGCUACACCUCGAGUAGAGGCGGCCGCAGCUCCCGAUCGAUCCAGCGAAGUGCAUUUCUUUGCGUAUCGCUGAGCUGCAAUUAUCAUAAUGUCCGCGGUGUGCCACCACAAAGAAAGAAAAACGUUCCUUCCUAAAAUUCGCGGCAAGCAAAAUGAUACCUAAGACAAGCUCAGGGGUUUUAUGCAAAGCAUCCAAACCAAGCUCAGGGGGUUUACAGCCAUCCAAUCCAAACGCACUCAAAGUUUAAUCCCAGAUCCUGACCAGGAUAUAUGCGCGGUGCCUGGACAUGGACAUGGACAGGACACACUAAAAUGCAUGCAAAUGACGCAAGUGCUCACCAGCAAGGACCGACCAAUCAGCACACACAUAAGGCCUCCAAUAGUGCAAUAAAAUCCACGACAAUACAAUGUUACCGCAAACCAGUUUACAAUACCAGAUAUAUAAAAGGUAGCUCCAAUUCACAGCUCUGAUUAUUAACUUCAGUGGUGCAUAACAGUGUGCCACCAUCACCAAAACAGUGCAGGUACUUGGAAAAAUACUCAAAAGUCUUAGGUAAAGCCCGAUAAUUGCUUGCUCACAGCGUCAAUCUUAGCAAUAGAACAUGACACGCUUCACGUUUUCCUUGAGGGCCGGUAAUGGCCUCACGGCAACAUUUCCAACACCAGCCCUGGUGUUGCGUGCCCCUCCUGGGGCACGGCUUGUCGUAGCACCACUCGCCAUAGACCCACUGUCAGUGGUAUCCGGCUCCAUGUAGAAGCGAGCUCGGAAGGCUGCCAGGUGAGCAUAAUAUGCAGGAGGAACUGCAACCAAUCCAAAAAAAAACAGCCAAGCAUUAUGUUUCAUAACAUUACCAACCCACACUCAUCAACAGUGGGUGGAUGGUGACCAAGAAAUUAAACUCAAUGUCAAAGUCAGGCUUACCGAUUGAUACUGAGCGAGUGCACCUAGCAUACCUGAAAAGAUUGAUCUUGAGUUUAGAAAUUGGUGCUUAAAAAGAGCUCAAAAAAAACACCUAAGGGAUAGAGCAGUAAAAUGUUACGUGUAACACAGGUUGUUGGUGAGAGUUUGCAACCCAUCCGCGGUAAAUUUGUUCUCAUCCCACAGGACAUGAUAAUGGGCAGGGCGGCUUGUUCCCUGAAAGUAACCCAAAAGGAAUCCCAUCGUUAGUGUAGAAUAAAAACAAAUAACUGAAAUUCAGCAAUGAAACAGGGAAACCCGACCUGAAUGCCAGCAUGGCUACAGAGGUAGAAAUCAAAUUCAGUUGGAUGGCAGAUCUUUGAGUCCACCACAGUACCUAUUAUUUCAGAGAAGUUUAAGGGCAUACAGAUAUUUCAGGAAAGAUGAGGGCAUACAGAUUAUACAAGCCCAAACCCCAAAGUGUAUCAAAAGGCACAUCAAGAACUAACCAGGCAGUAUGUUUCCACUUUUAUCAACAGCACGUUGGUCAUUGUGAUUAUUAGCAAACAACCUAGUGUGAUGACGCUUCUGGACCACAACAAACGUAACUGGAGGCUGGUAAUCGGACUCCAAUGAUGCACAGGCCUAUAUCCAUAGUUUCACUAGGAUGGUCAGAAAAUAAAUAAAGGUGAAGACAGUUACCAAACACUAAUGCACUCAAAUCAAGUUUACCUUUCUAAUGGCAUCAAGUUCAUGCAACAGAACUUGGUAGAACUGUCCCUCACUGACACCAUCCCUGAAAGUGAUAAAAAGUGUUUAAUAUACAGGGAAUCACAGUCAGAAAAGGUGCUCAUGAAAGGAUACAAACCUGUAGAAUAUGAUCCUUUUUGGUUUCUGUUUAGUUGACCUCCAGAAAGAAAUGAGAAGUUCCCUGCACAAACAACAAAAGUUAUGCGUCUGGAGGAAUCCAAACACGUAGGCGUGAAUGCAUCUCACUUAUCUUAUUAAAAGAUCAUACCUGACCAUGCCACCAGAGACAGAUCCCCUUUGGGGAUCUUGAUAUACUUUGAAAAGAUCCUGUAUCAAUUCUUGGCGAUGGGUUUGAGCACUCACUAAUCCUGCAUACUUGGUAACCUCAGGCCAGUCUUGAGAAGCAACAACCUAGGAAAAAAAUACAGUGAGAAAAAAAGGAGACUUCGACUGAAAAAGAUAACAUAUCUUCUGGUAUUUCUUUAUCACAAUAGGGUACUUACAGCUGCAAUGGAAGGACUAGAAUCUUCCCCAGGAUGGGGAUGGGUCACAUCAGCACCAAAGAUAAUAGUUGGUACAUCACUGACAAGGGGAAUUCUCCUUGUCAAAGCAUCAACAAGUACCGUAUUCCGUCCCCCAACCUGAAAAGUACAAUAACUGUAAGAGACGAAUGGUGUUAAAAACAAAGAUUAGAAGAGUUAAUGGAAUUACAAACCUUCACAUUUAUUUUCAGGGCAACAUUUGCAAGAUACUGCUGCUUGUUCGCCUUGAAAACAUGUUUAGUCAGACAGCAUUGGGAGACCAAUCCAAGAUCAGUCUCACAGAUCCUUUUGAGAUCCCCUGAAGAAUGAAAAGAAUACUAAUAGCAAGUUUGUUCAUUGAGCAAAUGCUCGAGAGCCUUUCGGAAGAAAGCAUACCGUAAAGAGAACCAUUAUUGUCAGGCAGUAUUACAAUCAGCAAGUCAAGUUCUCGGUCCUGAGGCCUGAGUAUGUUCAUGGCAUCUUGAUAGCGUCCCUUUAAUGCUCUUUCAACAUGUUCAGGCCUCGCAUAGCAUGGGGGCAGCACAGGUUCAAGUGCAAAAUCCUAAAACAGAAUAUGUGAAGAGCAAAUAACACAAACGAAAAUAUAUUGAAGUUCUGAGACACACAUACCAUUCCUGAUACUUGGCACAUCAAAGCCAGUUCAUGACAGAAACUCCUGGCAGCGCCAUCUUGCACAGUUCUUGAGAAGUUAAUGCAUGCCCAGCUGCUAACUCUACCACCAUUGACCAUUUUCUACCGCAACCAAAAAAAAAUUAAAAAUAAUCAUGAGAAAAGUUACAAAAUGCUUAAUGACCAAUCAGGGGAAAACAAAAAGGGAAUAGGUUGAAAACCGAUUAAGUUUAUGUUACAAUAAUGUUAAAGGCUAAAUGGCCAAUUUCAGUGACGAAGUGGCAUAAAUAUUAGUCACGAAUUAACUACCAGGGUGAUUGCAAACGGAGGCAAGACGAGCAAAUUUAAGAUAAACUAGACGCUCACAAUAGAAUUUUGCAAGUAAAUCAUGCAAAACUUCUGAAAAUAUUUUCCAUGUAAAACUACACAAGCACAUGUAAUUGUGAGAUAAGAGGAUUGGCAGAAACAAUAUGAAGCCUACCGAACCCAGAAAAUGGAACUUCACUAGUCAUUAGCAGCUACAAGCUUACAUAACGAAUCUCAUUAAUGUAUUGUUCAUGCAAUGAUCAGAAAAUGGCUUGGAAGCAUGCUACCAUGCUUCAAGGGUGGCAGGCUGGCAUCUAUAUCAUGGUUGCAGGUCUAACUUCAUUUUUUUGUGUAAAAUAAAUAUAACUGACUACACCUGAAGGAAUUCACAGAGUGAUUGUCUUGGUGGCGUAGUCAUAACGAGGCAUACCUUAUUCAUCAUAUUCCACUGGCCAACUCUUGGCAAUACAUCCCUCUCUCUGCCACUAUCAUGGUAUUUCAGCUAUUACACAGAAAGAAUAUACCAGGUUAAAGUAUGCCCAAAUAUGCAAAUCAACUGUUAUGUGCUGUUAAACUUAAAGCAAAGUGAAGCUCACUGACCUUUGGGGGAGGCAGAACACGAGCUUCAACAGAUGCAAGACGCUCAUCAAUCCUUAUACCAAAUUCCUGGGCAUAAGGAUCCUCAGAGUAGGCGUUAUGAUGAACAGUCUGAUCAAAUAGGUAAGGCAAACAAGAGAUUUAGAAUCAUCAGUUCAUUGGGUUACUUUUGUGAAGGCAAAAGCUAAUUAAUUAAACAAAAGAAACAGAAUAUACCAUGUUGACAACAACAAUAAUAUUAAUAUUAAAUAAUCUUUGCACAAACAAUUUAUUCAUCAAGCAACUCUCAUUUUAUGCAUGUUAUACGUAUAAAUGCACUGCUAGUGCUGCUGCUGCUGCAAUUACUAGUACUACUAUUCCUUAGUCAAACCAAGAAAUAUGAUCACAAUCACCUGCAAGAUGUCUUUCUCACGCUCAUGGGGACGCUGGCAAGUCACCUUCAGUAGAGCAGUGAUCUGUUUCUCAUUAAGCCGUUUUGAGUAACGCUGUCCCUCAACUAUCUUACAGACCUGGUAUUCAAUGCCAUAGGCAACUUAUGAAAACAUGCGGAAGCUGGAUAUGGCAUUUAGAAAUCAUAUGAAUAGAUAAACAUAGUGCAAUAAUUAAUACAGCGAUUGCAAUACAGCUGGCAGAAGACACUAACCUCCAUAGGCAAAUAAUUUGGUCUUUGCUGAUUGCCCACUUGCAAGCAAGGUAAAGUGGUGUGCUGAAUACUGAAGCCAUAAGUCUCCAGGAAGUAUUGCACCACAGUCUUAACAGUACCACGAUCAUCAAUAGGGAAUCUAUCAUAGGAAAACCAGUGAAAUCCUGUCAGCAAAUUAUACCUUAAGAUAUCAACUGAUAUAAGCUAAGAAACAUGCACGUACGAUAACUCCCUUGUUGCUUGUGAAGUGAGGCCAGAUAUCCGAUAUUUCCUACGCAUGUUUCCACGGUGUGUGACCUCGACUUUCACACCUCGUAGGGCUUUUUUAAUCUAUAUAUACAAAGGAGAGCAAAUGGAAAGUGACGAAGCAUAAGCCAAAGUUUCUAUGAAGAAAGGUAGGGUAAUAGAUCAAACCUUCACACGAUCAGAAUCAGACAAUGGUCUAACUGAUAUAUCUCUGUUAAGAAGCUGAGCAACAAAUUCAGUCACUGGGAGGGGCUCAAUAAAUGCAGUAGAGGACAUAUCUGCAAAAAAAAGAAAUCAAGCAAACUCAAUAUUUCAGAUAAGACCAAAUAGUGAUGCCACAAACUAUGUCUAAAGGCAUCAUGAUCUAGAAUGUAGUGGAUGUAGUGUGUUCCUAACUAUUAUGAUCAUGUAUCAAGUUUGAAAACUGAUUUGAAAACUGGAAGGUAGAAAACAUGAAAACAAUGGUAUCUAACCAAUAUUCAGAGAAAGACCCAUCUGUGUGGGCCUUAUGCUUUGGUAGAAACCACGCCAAGUUUCCAAACCUUCACCAAGUUGCUGACGUCUCCCUAAGUUGGGAGAAUAAAAUGAUCUACCAACAGGACAAUACCUACACAGGGAAAAUGCAAACAAUGGAGAUUUUGCCACAGGAAAAAAAAACUCUUACCAAAAUAUACUAUUCACUCAGAUUACCUGGCAGUAGGCAAUUCGCGCAGCACAAUGUCAAGUACUUGAAGAGCCUCUUGAGGAGCAUCUGGUUGCCUCCCAGCUAGAAACAUAGCCAGAUGGUGGAGAUCAGCGCGAGCAGCAAAUUUGAUCACCACCCGAAAUACCCUCUGGCGCCUUAAAACAGAAGGAAUGUCAGUAGGAAAUUGUGGAUACGCUUUAAGCACAGAGACAACAGCACGGCAGUACCUUUGGCCUCCACCAUGACUGUCUUCCUCAUCUUGCAGAGUAAUUUCGAAUGUCUUCGAAGUAAACGGCAAUGCUCCAGCUGUAUAAAGACUCUUUCUUCCAUCGUACGCAGGCAGACGCCCAUCCAAAUGGGAGUGUCUAUAAAGGUUUACAAGCUCUCCCAUGACAGCACGAUUGACACCGCGUGAAGUAACCUCUGGCGUUAUCGAUACCUGAUAUGACAAUAGGCUGGUUAUAAAAAAUCUCUUAUAAAAACUAUGGCAAGGAAUUAUGUCAUCUUAUUAUGGGCUUACAUCAUAUUGGUGAAGGUCUUUAUUAGGCAGCUCAGCAAUGAAAUGAUUUGCCUUCACGAUGCACCUGGACCCAUGCGUACCCUUGCCAGGGCGCAAUGGGAAUCUAACCGCUUUGCUUGACGCUGGUGCCACCUGACCAGCUUGGCUGGCUGAACUCUGGUCAUGAAUCACAAGUUGCUGAAGCUGUUGCUGGACUUGUCCAGUGCUCACCUCGGCCUUCCUAGGCUGCGAGGACGAGCCAGCUCCUUGUGGUGAUGGUGUUGCCACCACAGGGGCUUGAUGUUGGACAUCUGGGGCUUGGUGCAGCUCGGGAACUGGUCUAGAUGGACCUGAAGGAACACUUGGUCCAACACUACCUCCCACAUGCCCGCCACGGUGUGGCUGCGGCAUUCCCCCUCUGGGACGCGGACCACCACGUCCCUGAUAGUCACGUGGUUGAGACCCAGGUGGUGGCCCACCACCAGGAUGCUGUGAAGGUGGCCCGCCACGGCCCUGGUAUCCACCGUGUCCCUGGUAGGCACGCGGCUGAGGCUCAGGCGGCCCACCACCAGGAACCUGUGAAGGUGGACCGCCACGGCCCUGAUAUCCACCGCGUCCCUGGUAGUCGCGCGGUUGAUACUCAGUCAGCCCACCACCUGGGUGCUGUGAAGGCGGCGCUCCACGGCCCUGAUAUCCACCACGGCCCUGGUGUUGCCCUCCACCACGGGCACCCUGUUGAGUUGCCUGAGGACGCUGUGAGGAGCCCUGCCCAGGCGCUCCAGAAGCCUCCCCAGAACUCUCUCCUGGACCAGUUCUUUUCUUCCUCACCAUGAUGGACGGGCACUGGCAUAGAAAAGAUACAACAAGACAUGAGACUAAAAGAUUCUAAUGUAUAAAUAAAUAAAUAAUAACAUCGAAAUGAGGUUAAAAAAAGAACAGAUGUCAAGGACAGGGACAGGUUCCGUUUAUAUCACUUAUAAAGGAAAUAAAAGGCCUAGCAUGGGCACAGCAUUUGCAAACUAUUCAGCAGGGGCAGCGGUACUAAUCCUUCUAAUAUACAUAGUUAAUGUGUGUGCUUAAUAGCUGUUUAGCUCCUCCUAAUUCAGUUCAAACCUUAAAUGCAUUUGAGACCCACUAAAAAAUAGCCCAUUUAGGCCAAUUCGGGUGGCUUAGGUUCAUCAUGGUAGUGAAUAUGAAGCGGCAGCGCCUACUCGAUGGCUGGCCGAAUGGUCUGUGACUGUUCACUUUCUUUUGGCUUCCCCUUCUCAUCAAUCUAGCGGCAGGGAGUUAGGGACAGCUCGACGAAACGCUGUGGGAUACUAGGAUUGGAACAUGACCACGGAAAACUCUUGUGCUGCAUUGGUGUGCCACCGGCACCACUGGCCAAAUGACACCUUUGCAGCAUUGGUGUGCCAGUUGACUGCAGUGAUGCCAUCUGUUAGCUCAUCAGCACUUCAGGUAACCCCUGACCCUAAUCAUCUAGUGCCUAGUUCUAAUCAAUAAUCACUAUGAAUUUCCGUUUCUAGUUUCAGAUAAUAUGAAGAAGAGAAAAAAACAUUCAUAGUUUUUUAAGCCAGUUGAGAUUGUAGUCAUAGAGCUAAAUUUUAAGAUAAGAUAAAUGUAAUUUCCUUUUGGUUAACAUUGUGAAUCAUAUAUUAUUAUUAUUGCAUUUGUUGUCCAUCCCCAACCCACCCACCUAUCUUCAAUUCCUGGCUCCACCCCUGCUAUUCAGCCGUAUAUAUUGCAUACACAUAGACCAACCGCAACAGAAUAAAACGAUAGAACAGGGUUCCAAAAAGCGGCACUAAGCGCAGCUUCGCUCUAGGGCAUAAGCGGUCCCAAAGCGGCACGACCGCCUUGGUGGAGCAGCGGCUGCUGGCUCCAGCCUUGGCGAGGGCGCGAGGCGACUGGCGAGAGGUGACGCCGCCGCCGAGCCUGCGACUGCCCCGCCGUCGCUACCAACGAAUCUCCGCAAAAACGCGCUGAGAGAGAGCUGCGAUAGAUGGAAGAGCUGAGAAAAAGUAGAUCUCACCGGUUCCUUCUCCCUUCUCACGCGAGAUGGACGCCGCUGGCCCUGGAUCCACGCGCUGCGGCUCCUUCUCCCUCCUCACGCGCGUAACCGGCGACGGAGAAGAAGCCCGGCGGCCAGGAACGACGGGGGGAGGAGGGGCGGCGAUGAGAGGCGAGACGGCGCGGGAGGCGAUGAGAGGCGAGACGGCGCGGCGGGGCGGAGCGGAGCAGAGGAGGCGGGUGCGCGCCGUCGCUCGGCGGCGCGACGGGAGGUGCGGGGCGGCGGCGGUAGUCCGAGCGGGGGUUGUAGUCUGAGCGGAGCGGUGGGGGCGGCGGAGAAGAAAGAGGAGUUGCAGGUGCGCCGCGGGCAUAUAUGUACAUGUACAUGCCGCCCGAGACAGCACAACCCGACCCGAAGCACGGUUUCCUUUUUUAGCCCGCCGGCCCGAUCCGGUGCAGCCCGGCCCGGGCCAACGUACAGGGCCGUGUCUGAUCGUACCCAGACACAUGGGCUGACCCAGCACAGCCCGCUAAAAGCUUUAGGCCUAAUAGAGGCCUGUUAGUCAGAACAUAUAUAGCUUCUCUAAUUUCAAACCCUAACUCGAGUACUCGCGUGCCUGUGUCCUCGCGUGUCACGCUCCCACCUCCCGCAUCCAUUUCCUUCUUCAUGUUGGUUUGCUCUCCCCUCUCCUCGACUUGCGCAGCCGCACGGGGCACCAGCCUCGAGCACGAAGGUUGUGAGACGCCGACGUGGGGCAUCGCCCUUGAGCUGUAGGCCAUGACGGCCUCAAGCGCUCAUGCCGCGAGGGCACCACCUCGAGGCACCAACCCUAAGGACACAGGCAUGUCGUUGUCGAUCACGCCUUGGUGGAGCAGUGGCUGCUGGCUCCAGAUCACAAGGACCACCGGCUUGACCUCCUUCAUUCAUCCUUCCUUUGUUCUUUUUUCUAGCCCUUUGUCCUUCAUUUAUUGGCAUUGUCAAAACAUGUAAAAGUGGGCAUUGGGCUAGCAUGGCCUGCUAACUCCCAUGCAUCUCGGGCUGCCUUGGGCCAAUAAACGGCGGGAUGCGGAGAUGGAGAAGCAGGCUGGAAGUCGCAGAGGCAUUGUGCCAGCGGCCAAGUGUGUUGGAUCGAGGGAAUUGCGCCAGACUGCUCACCGGUGGAGUGAAGGAACGUCGCAGAACCAGAGUGGCGUGCGGGGCGGCCGAGCAGCAGGGUGUCGUGGGGCGUCGAUGUUUGGCGGCACAAUACAGGUACGUCAGAGCUAUGUCCUCGACUCUGUGUUCGUGGAUGUCGUCUUGACGUUGGAUGAGGCCGCUUGGGUCUAGCGGUAGUGUUAGAAUAGGUACGACGUCGGAGUGUGUGCAGGUGCCAGCAGCGUGUGGACGGGGGUGUGGCGACGACUUAGGGAGGAACGACCCCCACUGUAUGGGCGCCGACAAAUAGGGGCUGGUGGCGGUGUCGAAGCGAGUGCAAUGUCAGAGCGGUGGGAUCAUGGGGAGGCUGGAGUGUGGCAGUUUUGUUUUCGCCGAGAGGCUUCGUACGAUGUGGCGUAAUCAGGGAGAGGCAAGCCGAUUAUUGUAAUAUGAUGAUGAUAACGAGUUUUUUUUGUAGUUGUAGAGAUCUUCAUGUGUCGGAAGACUCAGGAAUCUUAAAAAGUUUUUGGUGCAAUCAAACGAGGUCUGAACCGCUAUAAGGCCUUGUUUAGAUGUGAAAACCUUUUAGAUUUCGCUACUGUAGUAUUUUUCAUUUGUUUGUGACAAAUAUUGUCCAAUCAUAGAGUACCUAGGGUCAAAAGAUUCGUCUCGCGAUUUACAGACAAACUGUGUAAUUAGUUUUUAUUUUCGUAUAUAUUUAAUGCUCCAUGCAUGUUCCGCAAGAUUCGAUAUGCUUGAAAACUUUUUAGUUUUGGAUGAACUAAACAAGGCCUAAGUAGAGGAUUCUUGUUAUUGGCAAAAUGUUAUAAGGUCAAUUUUAACAGAGUUUUAUAUACAUUAAAUAUGCUAAUGUAGCACUAUAUUAAUGAAAAGAGAUGAUAAGAGUUUUAUGAUACACUGCUUCAAAAAUAACGUCAUGAAACUCGGACUGACGAUGGCGGUAAGCAGCAUGGAGCGCGCUGGAGCGGAGAGCAUUCAGGGGAAGAAGCGGCGGGGAUCGGGAUCGGACUCGGACGGACGGACGGACGGACGGACGGGUUCGGUGAGGUCCGCUCGUUUCUUUUUUUUUUUUUUUUUGAUUGCAGCUCCUUUUACUUGCCGCAACCGCAAACAGCACAGGAGGGAGUGGGGUGGGAUCCAGUGCAGCUCCAGCUCCAGCUCCAGCUCCAGCUCCAGCCAGCCGCGUUCCUUCCUCGUUUCCCCGCUCGCUCAGGUAGCCAGGUAGAGGUAGGUGUAGGUCUCACAGCACAGCACAGCACAGCACGGCACAGGUCCCCUGCCUCCUCUCCUCCUCUGACGGACAUCGGAGGAAGAAGAAGAAGAAGAGGGAGAGCGAGCAGGGGCGGGCGUGGUUCGGGAAGGAAUGGCUGGUCGGCGCGCGGAGGAGGAGUACGACUACCUGUUCAAGGUGGUGCUGAUCGGGGACUCGGGCGUCGGCAAGUCCAACCUCCUCUCCCGAUUCACCCGCAACGAGUUCUGCCUCGAGUCCAAGUCCACCAUCGGCGUCGAGUUCGCCACACGAACACUCCAUGUCAGUCCUUUCUCCCUCUCUAUUGCUCUACUGCUGCUGUACUAGUACAUCAGAAUCAGAUACAUCAGAUCUCCGAUGAUUCUCCUCUCCUCUCUAUGCAUCAGACUCAGACAGACCCACCCAGAUCCAGCCUCUUUCCGUUCCUGUUAAAGCUCAUGUUUUUUUCAACAAUUUAUCCACCAAUCAGUAUUCUAUUACUAAACUGGCUGCUUCCUUGCCUGUAAUUCGUUCGUUCGUCUGUUCCAUCACACUGUCAGCUGGCUACCUAGCUUGCUGGAUGCUGGAGAUCUGCGCGCGCUACCUUUCCAAUUCAUGACCCAUUCUUCUCAGUUCUCACCAUCCAUCUAUCCAUCCAUUCCGUAGCUACCUGAGCUCAACACUCAGUUGAUACAUACAUACAUACAUCAAUCAACCAAAUUAAAAGGCAAAACAGUUGGGCAAGCUAAAAAAAAAAGUUACUCUCUUUCCUGCUAAGCAAAGCAAAGGCAAAGCAAAAGAGCAACAACGAGUGGCCUCGAUUCAACUCAAGUCGCACUGCAUAUUUUCGUGCACUGCACAUGGGAUGGGUGGUAGCAGAUCCGCACGUGAGUCGUCUCCAGCUCAGCUCCGCCUCCGCGGUGCCACGCCACGCGCUCAUCCCAUUGUUGGAUUCUGUACAUAAUGGAUGAUGAUUCAUAUUAUAUCACUAUCAUAUAAGUCAUCUUCCACCGGCACCACCACUAGUGGGGUACACUAUUUUACUUGUGGAUAAACGUUAGCUUCCAUAUAAUUAGUGUCGCUGUCACCUCGGUAAGCAAGUGGCAAGCAUUUUGUGUCUUUCAUGCCUAACUACCCUCCUGCUCCUGCCCAUAGCAUGGGCAGGUGCCUAUCAAGACUGAGCUCAGCUGUUUUUAUUUUGCUUCCUUGCUGUGUUGUCUGAGACUGCAAGACUUCCUGCUGUAAGCAUCAGCAAGCUGCUCAUUGUGGAAACUACACCUCUUGUACAGCAACAUUCUCAGUUAACCAUAUCUGUUCAACUGCAAUUUUUCCCUUCAGCUGCAGCCUCCAAAUCAAGACCCUUUCUGAAUUAAGGGCGCAUUCUGCAUUUUCAGACAGUUGCCAGUUAGUGGACCUGAUAUAACUAACAUAAUCUGCUUCCCUGUUGUUCCUAAAAAAAAGGUUCUGUAUGUAUCUAAUUUUGCCUGUCUUGCUCUCUAUCACAAUUUUUUUUGUCAAUGUGUAAGCAGUCCAACUACUGACACUAAUCCUCCAGUCUUUCACCUGUGCUGACUUGAUGAUAUUGUAGGUUGAGGGCAAGAUCAUCAAGGCGCAGAUUUGGGACACGGCAGGCCAGGAGCGGUACAGGGCAAUCACAAGCGCCUACUACCGCGGUGCGCUGGGCGCGGUCCUGGUCUAUGACGUGAGCAAGCCUACCACCUUCGAGAACAUCAGCCGGUGGCUCAAGGAGCUGCGUGACCACGCCGACUCCAACAUCAGAAUCAUGCUCGUUGGCAACAAGACUGACUUGAGGCACCUCCGAGCUGUCGCCACCGAUGAUGCGCAGAGCUUCGCCGAGGCAGAAGGUCUGUCCUACAUCGAGACGUCCGCGCUGGAGGCAACCAACGUGGAGGAGGCAUUCCAACUGAUCCUGGGUGACAUUUACCGGGCCAUCAGCAAGAAGCCUGUGGCAUCAGAUGAGUCUGGCCAGGGUGCUGCUGGAGGCGUCAAGGAAGGUAAGACCAUCAAUGUGGCGACUGGUGGCGAUGCCGCUGCUGAGAAGAAGCAAUGCUGCUCAGCUUAGAACCCAUGGUGAUCUCGUUCAGUGGCAUAUGUGUUGUUGUGAUGGUUGGUUUUUUUCUUUUCUUUCAGUCCAAAGUUUGUUGAUUCAUUUUGUCAGAUAGUACCUUCGUUGGACCUCAUGUUCACAUAUAUUCUCUAAAGCAAGCAGUUAUAUAUGAUUAUACCAUCACCAAGUCAAUUGUCUUCUAGUAUCAGCAAGCCUACAUAUAUUCUCUAAUUGAGAUCUGCAUUCCAAAAUUCAAGCACAUAAUUGUCUGAAGACAGAGAGAAGCUCCUGCUGACAAAAAGAUGAGGUAGAUGACCUUAAUCAUCAUGUUCAAUAAUCAAGAACCAGCAUUUUGCACCUGUUAUCAUUCAGUUAACUGCCAGUUUAAUGAUGGUACAAUUUGCUAGUUGCUAGGUUAUACAAACUGUGGCAAUUAGUGCUGAUCCUUAUAAGCCAGAACUCACACCAUAUAUCAUGCAAUUAACUGCAAGUUUUAAGAUUAACGAAUGGUACACUUUGCUAGGUACUAAUAAUACAAACUGUGGCAAAUUAUGCUAAUCUGUAUAAAGAUGAAUAUCUCCUACUGAAAUGACACGCUUAUAGUAUCUUAGUAUCCUCCAUUCCACCCAGUGCCUCCUUCAAUAUAGUCUUGAUUGGACAACAUUCUACAGCAUCCAUCUAACCACAAGACAAAUUUAAGUGCCUCCUGAACCCUGACUAUGAUGAGCAGCAGCUGCUCUUCUGCUGUAUUGGCUGCCCUUUCAUGUGAACAUGGACGGUGGGUCUCCUCUCCACGGUUGGUUGGGUUGCCAUCCUGCAGCAGUUGCAUGGCAUCAAUAGUAAUUUCAAUCAGUCAGGACCCUCAGUCUAAAAGCCAACUCAGAACAGCACAAAAAGGUGUUAUAUCACCGAUACAACUGUCACAUGGGGAGCACGCACACUCCAUAUUACUAGAGCACCGAAAAGAAACAUAAAGCCACAACAAUUGCACAACAACCCACCCACAUCACUUGGGAAAGCUAACAUUAAUGUCAAGAGGAUUCCUGAGUUUUUUACCUAAAGAAGAAUUCAAAGUUUUAAAGCUUGAGUCUCAAGUAGUUUGAAAGGAAAUCUACAUGUGAAAUUGUGAGAAAAGCUUCAUCAUUUGGCUGGCUCGCAUAUAUGUAAUAAUGUAACUUCAACUAAGGAAAUAUGUAAUCAAAGUAAAGAGUAGAAGAACAAAAAAUACAAGCACUCAGUUGUGCAUAAUUUUCCUUCAAAGAAAGUGCAUUAAGAAGCAGUAACAAAUCAAUAACAGAGUUUUAUGAAGCUUUCAUUUCUGCGUCAUGCAGAAAGUUCAGUAAUGUUACAGUGUUAAGCAUAGUAGAUAAAUGGGAACAAAAUGGCUUCUAAAAAAGUUUUGCUUACCUUUUCUUGAUUUCUGAUGACAUGGUCAGGAAAGCUUCCUCCACAUUGAUGGAUUCCUUUGCACUUGUCUCGAUAAAGGGAAUUCCUAACGAAUCUGCAAAAGCCUGCAAUUGAUUUGAUUGUCAGGUUUAGGAAGAACAUAUAAACAUGUACAUAUAAUUAUCUAUCGAGAAUAAAACAGAAUCGCAGUGAUACUUUCAUUCCCCCCCCCCCCCCCUCGAAUACAGAAUACAGCUAUGUAUCAUUGCAUCAAGAAGAAUGUAUGAGUACAACACACUCACAGCACACCCACCCACCCAUACACACCCUCAGUUAAGCACACACACCUUUGGAUAAAAACAAAUCACUGUACUUUCAUAACAAACAUAAAUUGCAUUCUUCCCUUCACUGUGUUCAUUCUUUAAAGGGCAGGGUAAGAACAAGGAUCUUUACCUUUGCCUUUUCAGUCUCAACAACCUUACUGUCAACCAAAUCACACUUGUUCCCAACUAGCAGCUUGCAAACGUUGUCACUGGCAUACCUAUCAAUCUCACUCAGCCACUGCUUGAUGUUAUUGAAGCUCUCCAUGUCUGUCACAUCAUACACGAUCUGAAAAGAGCAGUGCACAAUAUUAUAAGUCCAUACCAAGACUGGUACAUUGUGUAAGGUCAAAAAGGAAAACUAACUCUUCAGUUCAAUAACUAAAAGGAGUGAAGAAAAUGAUUGUGUGUAAAUCAAGAUCAGCGCAAUCUGCAAAUGACGAGUUAAGAGGAAUUACAAUGAUUCCAUGAGCUCCUCGGUAGUAACUGCUUGUAAUUGUCCUGAACCUUUCUUGGCCUGCUGUGUCCCACUGAACAGGAAAUACUGACAUCAUUAUCAGCAAAUUAUGAUUGAACAAACAUGAGUAGAUCUUGUAAAGCAAUGUGUGAGCUGACACAUCGGUGUCGCCAAAUAAUUAGUAAUCAAUACCCCAAUUUUACUAAAAAAACAAUACCCCAAUUUCCAAUUUCCAUCUGUAAUCCAUCAUGAGCAAUCUAAAUACCAAAGCCAUCUGAUGUAGACCAUUAGUAUUCAGAAAUCUGCUACCUGGCAUGUACGCUUAUCAAUUCUAUAUCAUGUGAUGUACUCAAGUUAUAUGACAUGAGUAGACCAUGAGGAUCAGCCUAAUCAUCAUACAAAUCAGUUCCUGUUGGAAAGGAAACCUGACACAUGUCCAUUAAGGAUAAUGGGAUUUUGCUGGUGCGUGACUACUAAAGUACCACCAAGGACUACUUUCUGUCUUAUUUAGUGUGGCCAAUCUCCAACAAAGAAAACUCAAGGUAAAUCCUAAGAUUUCCUAUCCAUCACAUCCCUUCAAACACCUCAAACCUCAACCCCCCCCCCCCCCGGUAUUAUGGCCUGGUGUUAUUCCUUUUUUUUUUGUGCAGCGAUGUUAUUCCUACAUCCAAGGCUCCACUUUUUUUAGAAUUUUAGUGCAAGAUAAUACGCGAAGGCAUGACAGGAUGACUCAGGUUGUGUUUGAACAAUGCUUUGAGGCGAUGUACCAUGAGCCUGUAAUUUGCAGGGUUUGUGCCUAGCGUUCUUUUUUGAAAGAAAUGUGCCUAGAGUCCUCGGAUGAAGCAACCCUGUUGCAGAUACAAGGGUCUGUGAUACUCCACCCAAUUGUACCUCCUAACAUUGUGUUUGGUUGAAUGAACUAUGAUCUAGUAUGACAUAGAAAACCAGGUAUCUUCGUUUCAAAAAGAAAAGAAAGAAAACCAGGUAUCAUAUAUAUCCUGAUACUGCAGGACAUGAAUGAAUCCAAUAGUACUGGUAGUGGUAGGGAACACAUGGCAAUGGCAAUGAUCCAUGGCAAAAAUAAAUAAAAGUGUGUGAAUGAAUGAGCUUACAAUCUGUAGCUUGACAGUCUUUCCAUCGAGGUCGACAGUGCGGAUUUUCUGAAAAGCAGGGCAUUCGCAAGAACAAAAAGGGGGUUAGUAAAGUUGGGCGAGACGAUCGUAGUUAGUUGAUGAUCCAGGAAUAAUUAGUAGAGGCGGCGUAGAGCACGCAGUAUAGUAAGGAGAGAGAGAGAGAGAGAGAGAGAGAGAGAGAGAGAGAGAGAGAGGAUGUACUGACGAAAUCAACGCCGAUGGUACUGAUGUAGGUGUCAACGAACGAAUCAUCCUGUGUAUAUAGAUGGAUCAAAAAUCAAAGGAAGCCGCUUUUGUCAGGACUCAGGAGCAGAGCAGAAGCAGUUGCGUACCCAAUCAAUAAAUUACAGAAAAUCUGAGGAGGCAAAGCUUACGGCGAAGCGGAGGAGGAGGCAGGACUUGCCGACGGAGGAGUCGCCGAUGAGGAGCAGCUUGAAGAGGUAGUCGCUGCAGCAGGAGGCGAGCGAACUGUUUAUUUAUCCCAGGCCUAGCAAAGAAAAGAAGGGAAAGGGUUGGACGGCGGAGAAAGCUGGACUUACUACUCGAUGCCGCUGGCCAUGGCGGCCUCGAUUCGACGACGAUGGAGUUUGGAUGUGGGAGAUGGAGGAGAGGGGACGGGAGGUUUCUUUGUUGUUGUUGUUUGAGUUGGACACAACUGCACAAGUGCGGAAGAAAGAAGGCAGAGACUCAGGGAGAAGCAAAGGAAACGGGGCAAGGUCUGCAGCAGCUUUUCUUGCUCCGCUCGCCACGGCCGUCGGGUCAGCGGAGUUGGCCAAGUUAGGGCGGUGUGGCUACGGCAGUGGCGCCGGCACCACCCACAGGAACAGGGACCGGACCGGACCGGACGACCUCGGCGUCGGCGUCGGCUUCUGUGUCUCUGUCUCCUGCAGUCUAACACAACCCAAUGGUGAACUGGCCGGGAAUCACCGGCCCAGACCAGCCUAGCCCACUGUUGUUAUUAAUUGGACCAAACAAGCACGGUUGGGCCCAGCCCAAUGGGUUUACUCUCUUGCAGUGUGCAGAGUGUGCUUAAACAUUUGGGUUGCACUGAUCAAGCACUGUAUUGACAUCCCAUCCAUCCCUGCAAGUUUCAUUUCCAUGUCUCUGUCAACUCCAUCUAUAAACUCGAGAUUUUGUUUCUACUUGACAAUUAUUAUCCAAAAUAUGAACUAACUAAGCUUAAAAGAUUCGUCUCGCAUCAGUAAUUAGUUAUUUUUUAUCUAUAUUUAAUAUUUCAUGCAUGUACCGCAAGAUUUGAUGUGACAGAAAAUGUUAAAAAGUUUUUAGGUUUUAGGAUGAACUAAACAAGGCCAUAUUCAUGGUUAGUGCGCCUCGUCUUAUACCUGUGCUCCAUGACAUGUCUCCUGCUAUAUAUGUCCAGUUUUUCAUCUCAUCUUCAUCCAUCCAACAUGAAGGUGCUUUUGGAUUGUUCUUUUCAACAUUUUUACGAUUCUGUACACCUAGCUCUAUCUUCCUCUCUUAUCCAGUAUAUUCCAGCCCCAUCACGGGCGUCCCAGGCAAAUAUGAGGCAUGGUUCAAAACAACAAGUGGAGGCCUACCAUUUAUUAUCAAAAUAUAAAAAAGAUAAUAUCAAAUAUAAAUAUAUUAUAAAGGCAAUGUAUAAAAGAUUAACUAAAUAAAAUAGGGAUUGUGCAUAAAAUUUAUAUCAGGCAAUGAUCUUCGUCUGGCGUUCUAAUCUGGGUCCGGUCGUCUAGGAUUGCUACUAGAUCUCGACUCUUAAGCGACGAACAACACCAAGAGCGAGGAACAAGUCCAAGAGACGAAGCCACAAACUCACGAAGGGUUACAAACUUAUGUGAAGAAAAAUUACCGGCCAUAGACUUUUCUAACUCACGAUCAUAGACUCAAUGUGCUUUAUCUCGAAGGAAGUAGCAGACCAUGUUUAUUGAGUCAGUGUGACUAAUUUACUAAUAAAAAUAAACUUAAAAUUAUUAUAUAUACUUAGAACACUUAGUAAAAGUUGGAGCUCGUAAAUUUUAGGAGUCCAGUUCGAUCGCACGGCCCUCUGGGACGCCCCUGGCCCCAUACAUAGAAAACCUGUGCAAAAAGCUUCGAUACACUGCGGUAAAAGGAUUCUAUUAGUAAACAAUGUAUGUUCAGGCCUAGAGCUACCCAAGAGUGUCACACUAAGCACAUGCUUAUACGAUGCAAGAACAUGCUCUACCACUCGAAAUUCCAGGAAAACUAGGAAUAUGCCACAACAAGUAUAUUGCACACACGGGAAUAUAAGACAAUGUGGGGGGGGGGGGGGGGAGGGGGGGGGGAAGGAGAAUACAUAUUCCCCAUCUCCGUUUCAACCAACAGGAUAAUUAGUAACAUAUAGUUUCUCUACAACUACAAGUUUACAAACGUGCACUCAAUCAAAGAACCUUAAAUGAGUAUAGAGUGAAGGCAUCGCUUACGACUGUAGUAUAUGCACAUCAGUGUUACGGAGCUCAGAAAUACAAAAACAAAUAAAUAUAAAAAGGCUCUGCAGAUGUGCCAUGCCCACAUAGUUUUGCAGUGACCUGGGAACAUGUGGAACCUGGACGUCCAUGACACCCUCCAGCAUGUGAACAACCUGCCCCAUCAUCGGCCUGUGAUCUUGUGAAUGCACCAGCACGCGGCUUGUGGCUCUGAAUGCAUGAGAACCUUCCACUGUCUUCAGUGCAAAAACCAAGUAGACGAACAAUAUUGGCAUGCUGAAUCAUACCUAUGGUCUGAACCUCUGCUCGGAAUUGUUUUGUCUUCCUGUCUCAGGCAUUUCAGCUUCUUGACAGCCACAGUGGUGCAGCCUGGCAACACCUCUUCGAAAACGCAGCCAAACCCUCCUUCUCCAAGUUUCUCAGAGAAUGUGUUUUGGUUGAGUUCUUUAUUUGUACAAACGAGAAUACCAUGAGACUUCCAUUGCCACCAAUUGUUGUAACCUUGAAAAGUUUUCUUCUGCAUCUCAACAAAAGAAUCAAAUUUAUAGCAAAUACGGCUAUCACACCAACCGUAGAUCCAAGAACCACUCUUUUCCUGAAAGAAAACAGCGGAAUCUGAUUGUUGUCUGGUUGCUAUACGCAUGUACAAACGGUUGCCAUUUGGACCGGAGUCAAGCACUAAGCAACCAUCUCGUCGGCUGCCAGUAAACCAUACCAACCAGUGAAUCAUCUCGCCUGAUUUUUUUUUUUGGACUCUUUCGCCAACUUCUGUGGCCAGCCGGCAUCCAUGGAGCCGCCGCUACCAGCAGGCCACGGCGCCCUGUUUGAGCUGACAGCUGACUAGCUGAGUGUGCUGCGAUUGCCGUGUCGGGGAGCUGAGAGACGCCAAACGGAAUGGCGAAAGCGACCGGCCGCGCGGCGGGCAGCAGGAGCUGCAUCGAGAGGCUGCCUGCGCCCCGCGCCCAAUCCACUUCGGAUCUAAUCCCCUCCGCCUCGUUCCCCUUCAACCCCCACGUCUCUCUCGCCGACGGCUCCGGCCUCGGGAUCUCGUGCUGGUGAUUGAUCGACACAAUGGCGCCGCUCCACGCCGCGCUGCGGCCGCCCUCCUCCGCUGCCGCCGCCGCUGCUCACCACCACGCGGCAGCCCCGCCUGUCUUCCUCGCUCGCUCGCCGUACCACCCCCGCAGGGCGGCGGCCUCCUGCUCGCUCGCCACCGCCGCCGCGCCCUCGUCGAGAAAAGGUGAUCUUUCUUCUCCUCUCUUCGGCACAGCGAUGAUGAUUAGUACAUAUAUAUAUAUAUAGACAAGAAGAAGAAAGGAAGUUGGUGUCUGAUUUCUUGCCUCGUCGCAGCGUUCCUGUCAUGCCCGCCGGACCACUGGAUGACGGCCGCGCCGCCGCGCGCCAUCCCCUCCUCCUCGUCGUCGUCCCCGGCGCUCGUCGCGUCCGUGCAGGACCUGUACGACUUCAUCUACAGCGGCCCGCUGGUGGACAGGAUCGGCUACACCGAUGAGAAGAUCGCCGAGUCCAUCGACCGCUGGCUUCUUGCCGGGGCUCGGUUGGCGCGCCUUUUCCGCCUCAACGAGCUCCAGCUGUCGGAGGCCGAGAAGGCCCGGAUAUACCACUUCUACAUCCCCGUCUUUCUCUGGUGCGAGGACCAGGUCAUGGAGCACAGAGCCAAGUACAACGACGGUGAUGACAUCCCACCAUUGGUGGUACGCACUCCACCUCGUGACCUGUCCUCAUCAAAUUUUGCUUUGCUUUGCUUUUUUUUUUCCCCAUCCCAUUCCCAUGUCAGUUAGAACUAUGCAAUCGAUCGAGCUCAUCAGAGCAGCAACAACGUAACGUAGGCAGCAUCAACAAAAAGCUACAGACUAGAGUCCAUGUAGAAACAGAUAAAAUUGAGGGCAAUGGCAAACGCAGGCAAACAAUUUCUACCUUUAUGGCGGUCCCACCGCUCUCUCCUUUCUCUGUCUCCCAUGCUAGUGGGGAUAGAAUCCAAAGGGCUCAUAUCAUGUUCCACUAUCCGAGCACAAGAGAACAUGCAUGUUCUUCUGAAUUAUGCGUCCACCACACACAUGACACACUGGAUGCUGCAAAAUGUAUAUAUGAUGAAAAAAGAGCACAUACUGUCCAUGAGACGUACACUUAAUAAUGAAGAAAUGUACGUAGAAGAGGAGAUGGGAAGUCUGACUACAGAGUUUACAAGAAUGAGCAGCUUAGCAGUUUCAGUUCACAUUUGAUAAAUCAGUCAUCUUUAUAUGUAACACAGAUUGGGGUCAGUGCUCCUCAAGGAAGUGGAAAGACGACUCUUGUCUUCGCACUUGAUUAUCUUUUUCGGGUUGCUGGUAGGUGAGUUCUUCUUAUCGAAGCUGAUCAUAGUGUGUCUGUUUGCUUGUAUGAAUUGGAUCUAAGAGCCAAACUUCUGUGUGACACAGGAAUUCUGUCACAUUGUCUAUAGAUGACUUCUAUUUGACAGCAAAAGAACAGGUGUGAAGCUUCUAGUAAAUACGGAAAAAAUGUCAGCCAUAUAUUCAGACAUAGUCUUCUGUUUUUUUUGUGAGAGCAAGUGUUGAAAUAGCUGACACUUAUGUUUUUUUUUCUUUAUGUCCAGAAUGAACUGAGGGACAGAAAUCCUGGAAAUGCUCUUUUAGAGGUACAAGCUCCCUCACUUCAGUAGGCUGCUAGGCUGUGCUUUACUUUGAAUUUUGUAAGAGAAGGUGAACUGGGAAUUACUGACGAAAACUUUCCAGCUCCGUGGAAACGCUGGAAGCCACGAUCUCCAAUUCUCAGUUGAAACACUUGAGUCACUGAUCAAACUAACAAAGGAAGGUACCAGUUCAGACAAGUAUUUCAACCUUCUUCGAGCUAUUUCUGUUUCUUCUCGAUGAGUUAUUCAUAGGGCUUCUCUUCUUUGCCUUUUUGGAAAUUAUUAUAAUGUUUUGCAUCCUUGUAAAUUGAUUUUAGUGAACUAACAGUUGUUUUCACAACAUUCUAGGUAUGAAGAUGAAGGUUCCACGGUAUGACAAGGUAAAAGGUUGCAGAUAACGUCCCUCUAGCUGAUGUUUAUAGCUGAUCAGCUGCAUGAUACAUGUCAUGUCCAUGUAGUCUGCUUUUGGGGGAAGGGGUGACCGGGCUGAUCCUUCUGUAUGGACAGAGGUUGAAGGGCCCUUAGAGGUAAUGUAAUAUUUAGUCGAGGAGCAUUAAUAUGUGAUUCUCGACUUAUAGCGUAUCUUCUUUGAUGUCCUAGGUUGUUCUGUUUGAAGGAUGGAUGCUUGGAUUUAAACCUCUUCCAAAUGAAGAAGUGAAAAAAGUGGAUCCACAGGCUAGUUUCUUAUCUGAUUUUGUUGUUUUUGUUUAUUUUACCUGCAGUAAUCGUAUGACACUAAUUUUGUGAUCUUUCAGCUUGAGGUGGUUAACAAGAACCUUGAAGCAUACUAUGGUGCUUGGGACAGGUUCAUCCAAUCAUGGAUUGUUAUUAAAAUAAGAGAACCCAAUUGUGUAUACCAGUGGAGGCUGCAGGUUGUUACUCGAAUAAUCUGACAAAGUGGUACUGUUGAACUCAUAACAAAUCAUGACUUGAAAUUUCUGAGUUUGGUAUUUGGAUUUGCAGGCAGAGGUAGCUAUGAGAGCAGAUGGAAAACCUGGAAUGUCCGAUGAGGAGGUGUGUUCUCUGACAAAGCUAUUCACUCCCUAGAAUGACGUAACCCCUCUGUCAUCCUAGUAACAUUAUUUGUUGGAGCUUUGCUGAUGGUUGUGUGAUGUGGUUUCUUCGGUAAAUUAUUUUAUGUGACAUUCAUUAUAUCUACACAUUUAUCCAGCGACUAACUUUAGUUUUUGUUUUCCCAGAGCUAUUGAUAAUCUCUACAGAAGUAUAACAGUGGUAAUUUUGCAGGUUAUGGAUUUUGUAUCACGCUACCUACCAGCAUACCAAGCAUAUUUGCCCACUUUAUACAAAGAUGGACCAAAUGGUUCGAAUCCAGACCAUCUGCUGGUCAUCGACAUAGAUGAAAAUAGGAAUCCUAUUUGUGGUGGAGACUGGGAUGUGGCAUGUUUGUGAAACUACUUUUAUGCCCGUCAAACACCACUGGCCUCUUGUUUCCCACACUCUAGUUUAAAUCUGUGAAUUUCAUGUAAAUUGCUGUCUAUUAAAGGGAAUCAGCAUUCUGCUUUUGCUCCCCUGUUACCCAAUUGUAAAUAUACGGCCUAUGCUCGCCUGCAUUUUAAGUCACUGACUCAAUUCAGCAUGUAAAUAAAUUUCGCUCCUGUCUGGUGAGGUACUCCCUCCAGUCACAAGGCUUAAGGCACUUUUUAAUCUGGCACGGUUUUUAACUUGAACUUUGACCAUGAGUUUCUUAUGAUAUAUAUAUAUAUUGUUACUAAUUACAAAACUCGCGUCGUAUAAUUAGACCUCUCUGUAAUUCUGUAUGCUGGCCUCAAAAUCUUGUAGUGAGAUGUGUAUUUCUGAAUUUGCAAAGUCUGGAUAGAAGUAGUAAAUAAAGUUUGGAGCACAAGGGCCACGGACCACUGUGCACAAGGGUCAGCAGGUCAGGUAAAUUUCUCCAUAGAUACUGUACAUGUUUGUAGGAAUUCACUUCAGAGAGAAUAGUAAAAGAAGCAUGUCAUUCAGAGAGAAUAGUAAGAAGCAUGUCAUUCAGAAUGUUAAGCAAGGUCUCCCUGCGUUCCAAAUGGAGAGUCCGCAUGCAUCCACAAUAAAGAACGAAGCUGUGGGCCUAUGUGAUUGUGAUCCCAAGCUCAAAACCCAAGUCUCUGCAUGUGGCAGCAGUAGCAUCCAGUUGAUCAUAGCAACCUUUCCAGUCCAGUCCAGCUUGGAAACAAUUAUAUGGUGUGGGGAACAAAAAGAAAAACAACAUCUUUGACAUUGAUGAGUUUUCCUGCCUAAAAACAGCACAAAAGGCGCCAAAACCAGAGGGAAGGGAAUGCAAAAAGGAGUGACUCUGACUAGUCUCCUCUCCUCCUGGGCGACCAACCACUCUUUCCUCUCUCUCUCUCUUUUUUUUCCCCCCUGUGCUUGUGUUUGACCCGGGGCAGGGCAGCAGAUGGACACACAGCACAGCACAGCACAGCACGGCAACUUUUAUUGCUUGUCCCGUCCUGCCGCUUCCUCUUCCGUCUUCCUCUUGCGUUGCGCGUCGCCGCCACCAAAUUCCAAACCGCAAUCCCGCCGCAAUCCGCUCCCUGCGCGCGAAAUCAGCUCACGGUUUUCGGCUCACGGGUCGCUGAAUUCCUCCUCCUCCUGCUCGCUCGCUCGCUCGCUGACUUCCACUCAACUGCUCGCCUGGCCUGCUGGCCUGCUGCUGCUUCAAUCAAUCCACGGAGGCUGGUCUGCUCGAAGCUCGGCCCCUUCCUUCCGCUCGCUGCUAGGUGGCUGCACGGAUCUUCCUCCCAAGGUUCCUCUUUCCUCCCGUCGAAUCGAAUUCUUCCUCAAAUUCCGAGUCUUUGUGCCGCCCGGAGCUGCUCCGUCCGGUCCGGGUUCGUCAAGACCGAGGCAGCAGACUAGGCAGCGAAGCGAAGCGCUUUAGGGUUCCCGCGCGCGCCUGCCCUGUGAUGUUCGGGAAUGGCGCUUAAGGCCACGGCGCAGGGCGCCGCGGAGGCGGCCGUAGCGGCCAUCGGCCGGGGCUACGACGUCGUCUCCGACGUCCGCCUCAAGUACUGCAAGGGCAAGCUCGCGGACCCGGACGCGCGCCUCAUUGACGUCUCUCGCGAUGACGUCCAGGACGUCCUGCUCCCCGCCGGGAUCAGGGUCGCCGCCGUCCCCAAGUCCAUCAAGUGCGACAAGGGCGAGCGCACGCGCUUCCGCUCCGAUGUCCUCUCCUUCCAGCAGGUUCAUUCUGAUUCUGAUUUCAUUCUUCUAUCUACUAUAUACAAAGCGUGGAACAUACCAAGGCUGUCAUUGCUUUGGUUCAUGGAUGGACGGCCACAACUUUGUUCUGAAGAACCAACCAAGAAAUGUACUUUUUCCCACCCCCUUUCCCCUGCAGAUGUCAGAGCAGUUCAACCGGGAGCUAUCGUUGACUGGGAAAAUUCCCUCCGGCAUGUUCAAUAGCAUGUUUGAUUUUUCUGGGUGCUGGCAGAAAGAUGCAGCUAACACCAAGUCACUUGCCUUUGAUGGUUGGUACAUUUCGCUAUACACCGUCGCGCUAUCAAAAUCUCGGAUCCUACUGCGUGAUCAUGUUACUCAGGCAGUUCCUUCAACCUGGGACCCUGCUGCUUUGGCAAGGUUAGACGCUUACUCUUGCCCUCCUAUGAUGAUGGCAUAAGACCAUAUUGUCAUUGUGUUUAGGACCAUACCAUACCUAUACCUACAUUCAUAUGUCGUUUUUGUCCUUUGGAGUUUAUCAUCAUUGCAAAGGAAUAUACAGUUAUAUUGCACCUGAAACUUUGAUUCUUGCUGCUCUCUCUUUCCAGGUUUAUUGAAAAGUUUGGAACACACAUAGUUGUUGGUGUGAAAAUGGGAGGGAAAGAUGUUAUCUAUUUGAAACAACAACAUUCAUCAAGCUUGCAACCAGCCGCUGUCCAAAAACGACUCAAGGACAUGUCGGACAAGAGAUUUCUGGAUGCAAACGGACAGUAUGACAUGAAUAACAAGGAUGUUUAUGGGAAGGACAAGGUACUCUCCUACUCUGCAUUUUGUUGUUGUAGUUUUGAUAAAUUAUUGUUAAGUUUGUGAAAACUGCAUGAUGCAAUGUUUCCUGUCUUUCAAAUAUGAGCCUUCAAUAAUGUGAUGUAAUGUCCUGUGCAGCAUGAUGCAAGAGACCAACGGCUAAGAUUUGUGGAAUCAAGCCCAUCAAGUUCAUACUGUACGAAGGAGGUAUUGAGUUUUUUUUCUCUUCUAGGAAGUGUGCUUAUCAUUUUUCUUAUGCAUAUAACUCCUUUCUUGGUAUUUCAGGACUUGGUGAUGGUGGUUAAGCGGAGAGGUGGUAAGGAAUGGGACAAAGAUAUGCCUCACAGCGAAUGGAUAAACACUGUUCAAUCAGAACCUGAUGUUAUCUCAAUGUCCUUCUUACCUAUCACUUCUUUGUUGAACGGAGUACCUGGCUGUGGGUUUCUCAACCAUGCAAUUAAUCUGUACCUACGCUGUAAGUUUGUCUUUCACUUCCCAUUUCAUGUGACAGAGCAUCUCUUUGUUAAUUCAUUUUCUAAACCUAGUCACUCAUGCCCAUUAAUUUUAUCAAAUUGCUAGUAUUCGGCGCAAUGUAGAUGCUAUUAAUUGACGAGGCCUAGACCAUUGGCAAUGCAUAUGGUUGUAUAUUAUGCAUGCUUUCUGAUCCUUGGACUGUUUUGUUGUUUAGAGCAACUGCCUGCUUAGUGUGUCACUUGAUGCUUGGUAUAGCUGGAAAGAUAUGACAUUGCAUGCCUUCCUUGAUGCUUAAAAGACUGUAAAUGUCUGCGGAACGAAAGAAAACCAUUGAAUUCAACAAGCUGCACAUGAAUUUGCUACAUAACAUGUUGACUUGUCUAGCAUACAGUUUACAAACAUGCCGAGUUGCCAAUUUACAAGAAUGUGAUUGAACAGCUGAUAUAACAAUGCCAUAAAAACUGGGUGACAGUUUUAUUCAAUUUAUUGCAGAUAAGCCUCCGAUUGAAGAACUACAUCAAUUUUUGGAGUUCCAGCUACCAAGACAAUGGGCACCUGUGUACAGUGACCACCCUCUUGGCCCUCAAAGGAGGAAACAGAGCAGUGCAUCUUUGGCCUUAAGUUUUAUGGGACCAAGGCUCUAUGUCUGCACUAAUAUGGUACCAUUAUUCUUCUGGCUUCAUCAGUUUAUACUUCAUACAUUGUCACUCUGCAUGAUGAGACUGUUUGGACUUGCAAGUAGCCAUAAUUGCUUCUAUGUAAUGUCCAUCAUUUCCCCCUUUGUCAUGCUAAUUGAACUAUAUAACAAGAAAAGUUAAUUACCUUUGUUAUCUUAACAAAAUUAGGCUCUUAAAAAUUAUGUCGAAAUAAUCUCUAGUGGUUCGAUGUGAUAUUUCUGCUAAACUAAUGACUUUUCAGUAGAAGUGUAAGUUGUGACUUGGUCACUUUGUCAGUCCUCAUGCAGACUCAUUUGAGAAGCUUUAGUGUCUGGAGAGAAGUUGUAUUCAUGCUGUUUCCUUACAUGUUUCAUGGUAUUUGAUACAGGUUGAUGUGGGUGAAAGACCUGUUACUGGGAUUCGGUUGUAUCUUGAGGGGAAGAAGAGCAACAUGCUGGGUAUCCACCUUCAACAUCUAUGCUCGCUUCCUCAAAUCCUGCAGCUCCAGGAUGAUCCAUACAACCACCGAACUCCAGAACCAUAUGACCGCAAGUACCUGGAACCAUUUGGAUCCUGGAAGCGUUUCUCUCAUGUUUACACAGCGCCAGUGGAGUCAGACGAUGAUUCCUCAAUCGUGACCGGGGCACAGCUACAUGUGAGCAGCCAUGGGUUGAGGAAGGUCCUCUUCCUCCGCCUCAAUUUCUCCAAAGUCAGUAAUGCCGCGCUUGUCAAGAACCCUGAGUGGGAAGGGUCGCCGAAUCUGGGGCAGAAAUCUGGCCUCAUCUCAACGCUCAUCAGCACACAUUUCUCUACAGCGGCUCAGAAGCCUGCCCCUCGCCCUGCUGAUGUGAACAUCAACUCGGCUGUGUACCCUGGUGGUCCGCCAGUGCCUGCGCAGGCACCAAAGCUUCUGAAGUAUGUGGACACAGCAGAGAUGGUGCGCGGACCGCAGGACACACCGGGAUACUGGGUGGUCUCUGGUGCCAAGCUGCAGCUGGAGAGGGGCAAAAUAUCGCUGCGGGUGAAGUAUUCGCUGUUGACAGCCAUGGUACCUGACGAGUAUACACUUGAUGAAUGAACAAGGUUGAAACUCAUUGCCUCAAAGGGGGCUAGAUAAUGUGCAUUUGAUCAUGUGGUGCAUUGCAAGUAAAGAGUUUCAGCAUUCUUAGGAAACCUGACUUGUAUGUACAUCGCUUGUCCUUUCAAUUAUGACCAUUUACUCGGCGGAUCCGGCGGCUGUCCGUAGUACAAUCUUUGAAAUUAAAUUUGUUUUGCAAAGAGGUACACUACAUUCUUUGUAUAUAUACAUAUGUAUCCGCAACGCAACGAGGUGAAAACAAUGGUCGCCUUGCUUACUCUGGCAUUCUUUUGAACAACAUUCGUUAUAGCAUUUGCAAACAAUAAUCAAGGUAUUGAAGCCCUCAUUGGUUGCCUCACCAUGCUACCGUUUAGUUCUGCAGCAACAUAUAUUCCUAGCUAGUGCUCAUUGGUCGCUCUAAGAAUUCGAACGCUCUUACACAGUAAGAGGAUCUCAGGAAAUGUAUCAAGGUAACCAUGUUUCAGGAAACAUCUGGUGUUAAAAUCACAUGGGGCUGUAUUUACCAGCACAUCUAUGCAAACACUAUAUAUAAUAUAACAAUUAUAUAAGCAGUUUCAGUUGACCCCAUAUAUAGACACAUGUCAGAUGCAAAUCGUUCUGUGAAGGGGUGUCAGACUGUCAGUGCCUUCCACUAGUUCACUGACUCAUCUUGAUCUUUAUUUCAGUGGCGCAGCCAUCUAUAUUUUGUAUUACUCCCAAUUCUCGAAUAAACUCCAACUCUCCAUGCUUGCCUCCAAAUUUUCCUGCAAAUUAGGAAUAUCAGAAAAUAACAUAUAGCAAAAAUAUUUAGAGUAGGUGCUACACACACAGGAUAAAGAUAUACAGACAACAAAAUUCAGAUUCCUGGCACAUGACCCUCUGGUUUCAGGACCAGAUGAUUUCUGACAGAAUUUGAAGCUGCAUGCUUAUUUUCUAUAUUUCGGAUGGACUGCCAGCGUCUGCAUACUGGCUGCGUCUUUCUAAGUAAAGGGGUGUGCAAAUCAUCUAUUUCAUAUUCACAGAUGCUAUGCGGGUGCUACACAUCCUUUGCAGAAUGCAUUCAGUUCUAUAUUAUAAAGAUUAGGUAACAGAAGGUGCCCUUUGUCACAGCUUCACAGCUCUAUACACAAAUAUACAUACCAUAGGUUUCAAGUCAUCAGAGAAUCGAGCUUCAUAUGUCGACUCUGAAUUUCCUCUCUUUUCAGCACGGCGUGCAUUAGCUUUUUCUUCAUAAAAAUCAAAAUCAUCCAGAAUUGAUGUUCCCUGAGGAUGAUCCUUGAAAAUUUUCAACAUUUGCACACCUUGCGGCAGCCCGAUCUACACCAAAAAAGAAAAAAGAUAGUGCCUAAAAUGGUACAAAACUAUGCCCUAAAACGUAUGAUGAGAAAGCUUUUGAUGUCUAUUAGAGCAUUCAUAAUCAAAUGGGAAAACCUUAGAGCAUUUCUAUAAACCUUCUACUAUCCUGCUUGAAAAUAUAUUAGUUAAUGCUUUUACUGUAAAAUCACCAAAUAAUUCAUUACUUUUCAUAAAACAGAUUUUUUUUUAGCUUCUAUGUUCUCCCAAUCCUAACAGAGGGGUAUCAGAAAUUCAGAACGACAAGCUAGAAGCAAGAUACCUCCUGUGUGUCCCUGCUAAAAGUAACCUGCCUGUUGUCAUUGUUUUCAAGAAUUAUAUGUUUGAACAACCGAUUUGGAACAUCCUUUAUAAUAUGCCAUUUUAUAGGGAAAAAGCCAUUCCAUUUAUCUUCUUCCCAGAAGUCCAUGGUCUUCUUGAAAUCAACAGGCCCUAACAUUUCAGCCAAACCUACAAACUGUCCGCUGGUGUUGACCUGAAAAAAGGGAACAUGAGAAACAUAAAUGUAUUGAAAUUUACAGAUUAAUAAAGUAGACAAGGAAUGGAACUGCUUCACUUAUUCUAAUGGCAUGACAGUCUGGGCAAGAAUCAGGUUAAAGUGGUUCGCUAAGAAAAUCAACUACAUUUUGAAAAAGUGGACACAACUGAUACAGAAACCAAACAAUAAAUAGCAAUAAAAUUCAUAAGAAAAUAGCAUGAAGCAAUAUUUUCAUGCUCGUAAGUAGCAACUAGCCAACAACAUUCCUUUUUUUUUCUUUAAUUAGUCCUCAAAUUACACAGGUAAUGAAGCAAGCAUCACCUCAUACAUGUCUUGGUCAAACCAGCAUGUAUGAUAAGAAGUUUAUUCGCCAAAGGGUGCUUGGUCUAGUGGCUAAGACACUCGAGCGGCACUCCACAGGUCCUGAGUUCGAAUCCCCGUGGGAGCGAAUUUCAUGCUGUGGUUAAAAAAAUCCCCUCGCUCGCCCCAGGCCAAAGCACAGGUAAAGAGAUCGGCCCACACCCCGGGGUAACGUCUCCCUGUGUACGGAUGGGGCGGGGGUUCGGGGGUUUUCUCGGUCGGGGUACUGAGAUCUUCUCUCUUAAGUGCAAUACCGUGGGGGCGGUCUUUCCCCCACCGGCCGAGUUUUUCAUAAGAAGUUUAUUCAAUCUUUUGAGUCCUAUGUUUAUGUGAAAAAAAACUAAACAAAUAUCCUUGGAAACCUUAAAUAGGGUACAAAUUCAAAAAGGAAAAAAGAUGAAGCAGGUUGUCUAUAGAAUCUAGAUUCAUGGUUGCCGAACACUACAGUUUUCUUUAAUAUUGUCACAAGUGCUCAUUAGUAAUCUGUAACAAAAGUGAACUCCUAGCAUGCCUUCUUUAUUAUACUUAUGUAUAAGGAUGGGGAUGGUGCUCCAAAUGGAUACCCAGAGUUCUUGUCUAGUCUAUCUUAAUGAACUAAAUGAAUAAAAUGAGGAAAGAAAUUGUCUAUUUAGUUCAUUAAAUUAGACUAGAGAAUAACCGCGGGUACCCAUUUGAAGCAUCAUCCCCAUCCUUACUUAUGUAGCAUCAUAGUGGGCCACUAAAGAGUAGAAGAGACAACAACCAAUCAUCUAAAACUUUGUAACAUAAGAGAGAAUCAGUUCUAGAAUCCCCUAUCAGAGAAGCAAUGAUGUCUUAAUUAAAUAUCUUCUCAAUUGAUUUUACAAGAUAUUAGGACCACUGGCCUCUAAAAAAUACAAGGAAGAGUAGUCUUUUCUGCUACAAAACUGUCAUUUACAACUGUUAAACAGGCAAAAAAGGUAAUAAAUAAUUUGAAGAAAGCAUUUGAUGCUUACUGACCGAGAAGAAUAGGAAGACAGGGCACCUUUCACCAUUCUCGUUCAUUAAAUUUUGAGCUUCAUGGUAUGCAGCAUCCAGCUUAUUAUUCCCAUUUGGUGUACUUGCCCAAACGUUAUAUUUGAUACCUUUAUGAAUGUCAUCUUCACUAUAUGACUUUAUCAUAAAAAACUUGGCCUGUUUGUAUUGAAUUGAAAAAUCUGAUCUAUUAUACUGAUUUCUACGGAUCAACGGACUUAUGAUAUCUUUCACAGUGGAUGAUACUGAAGCAUUGUUCAAUUUAUUUGCCCUCGGCCCACGAACUUGGUCCCUUAAAUCCUCAGAAUUUCUCCAGUGAUUACCUUUCAUAUUGAACAUAUGGUGGUUGCUACUGUUUACAACUCUGUUAACCACCCUAGGUUUUGCAAAAGAAUGUUUGCUUGUGAUAACUUUGGCUUGCUCAUUAGUAUUAAUCCUGGCAAAAUUUUGCCUUGAGUGAUUAUUCCCAUGAGAAGUACCUUGCUGGUAUCUUGACAGUAUACGUGCCUCAGCAUCAUGGCACCAAUGACCAGAACGCAAAGGGAUCCUAUCUCGGUAACCAUGGUGAAGAGACAGUGACGGGAUCUCAUCACCAUAGUCAAGUCUCCCUGAGGACAUUGCGGUUUGAGGACCAUAAUGCCACUGCCUUGAGCGUGAAGGUGCCUCAUCAUACUUCUUCCUAGAUAAAGAAGGGAUCUCAUCGCCAUACUGCAGGCCUCUUGGUACUGAAGGUGCCUCAUCAUACUUCUUCCUAGAUAAAGAAGGGAUCUCAUCGCCAUACUGCAGGCCUCUUGGUACUGAAGGUGCCUCAUCAUACUUCUUUCUAGAUAAAGAAGGGAUCUCAUCCUCAAAGCACCAUUGACACGGAGCAGGAUUGAUCUCAUCUGCAUAGCGGGACCCUCUGGCAUAUUCAACCAUCUGUUUCAAUGAGAACUUGUCAUGAUGAAUUAUGGAUACACAGAAAAAGGUUAAUUGUUAUACUUGCGUCAGAUGAAAACACAGGCAUAAGUUGCCAUUUUAGUAGAGUCAGGAUGAUCAAAAGAUGUACCUCUUUGCAAUGUUCUACAGAUCGGCCAUUGCGGCUUGAAAAGGAAGUAAAUCGGUCUGAUCUUCUGUAGCAAUGUUCUGAAUGAUCUAAACCAUAAUCAAGUUCAACUGCUCCUGGACACUUCCGCAUGUGAGGAGCACUAGCAGGAUACGAAGCAAGAUAAUCUGGCCUUGCACUGAUGGUGUUGGUUUUGGUUCUCAUUGUCCCCAAUGCAUGCCCUAAUGCAUCUGGGCUACUUGAUGCUGCUUCUAGUGCAGAAGACUUCUCCCAAGAACAGGCUGAAGUAGGAAAGUGUGGCUUCUGCCUAUGAUAAUCUCUUCCCAGUGGCAAUGGAUCCUUCGAACAUGCAUGUGACCCAAGUUCAGUGACAUAUUUGGUGUCAACAAACUGUGCUUGAUAAUCCUGAGAAGGGAGGAUUUGUUCAAGUAGAGAGUGAACAAGAGUUUAUUAUAGAUCCCGAGAAAUUUUUCCACAAAUUGCAUGGUUGAAUUUAAAACAUACACAUCAUGGUACAUAGCUCUUUGAGUAACAAUUUUAUUCACUGAUCUAUCUAAACCACAGAUAUUGGCUGAGUAGCCUGGACUUUGGACGUAUGACAUAGAAAAUGCAACUAGUAAGGAAUGAUAUUUAACAAGCGAACAUAAGAAGUGCACCAAGAAUUCAGAUGUGAAUGUAACUGUUUAUCUUUUUAUUAAAACCAAGUUGAUCUUUUGAGAAUAUGCGAACAAGCUGAAGUGUUUGAACCCAUCUAGUAGAUGUUUUAUUCAGCAUUUUUUUCUGAAAUAUUUCAUAUUUAAACCUUGAAUUGGUUACUCAGUUUAUAAUUUGUAUGGCUAGGCAAGAUGUCAUAAGGAUGCAAGCAUUGUAACAGGAAAAAAAAAGGAAAGGAUAGAUAUAAUCAAGAGAUAGCUUGUACCAAAUGUGACAAAUCCCUCUUUGUCUGGGACAGCAAAUGACCAUCUUCUUCAAAUUGCAUACUGCCCCCUACAGAGUGAAAGCAAAAUUGGGGGCAAAUAAACACAAACGGAACGGAACCUCACUAACAGAAUUUGGUAUCUUGGGGAACUAGCGGAACACAUACAUAAUUGAUAUGAAGAACAUGAAUCUUGCUGGACAAUCACAUCCUUCUUAAUGGUUGUACCAAUUUUAGUUUCUGCUUUCCUUUCUGUUUCUGGUGGAUCAAAAACUUCCUGCAUCUGUCACGCAAAAGACACGGCCACCCUGGGCAGCUGGCCGGGCUCCCACGGUACAGCAGAGACGGGAGGGGAGAGGGAGGUGCGUACGCAGGGUCGCCGGCCGGUGCGCGGAGGACGGAGGCGAGGGCGCGAGGCGACUGGCGAGAGGCGGGAGGGGGAGCCGCCGACGCCGCCGCCGAGCCUGGGACUGCCCCUCCGUCGCUGGACGCCGCCGAGGGGGCCCGCUCCGAUCCCUGGGACCGAGUGGGGGGAGGAGUUGAAGAUCCGCGCUGAGGGACCGAGCCUGAGCGGCGCUGCGAGGAAGAUGGAGCGUCGGCGCUGCGCUGCGCUGCAAGGACCCGGCGGAGCGUGGGUUUGAUGGGCCACUAAAUAAAAGCCCAUACAAUUUUUUUCUUUUUUCUUUUUCAUUUCUUUUUUUUUGAGCAACUUCUAUUUUUACUUUCUAUAAAUAACAUCUUUUGACAAAUUAGCACCUAUAUAUAUCUAUAUAUUUAGAAUAAUAUAUGUUAAGGAUAGUUUUAGUGUCUCCAAGGCCCAAUCACAUAAUAUUGUGAUAUAAUGAUUUCUUUAAAAAUUAUUUUUAAAAUACAAAUCCUAUUGGGAGAAAUUAUGAAAAAAAAUUCCCUCACACCUUUCCUAUAAAAAGGAAAGAGGAGAGAUAGACAAGGACUUAUGUAUUUAUUUGUUCUUUAUCAAUUGUUCUCCACUCCCUUCUCUAACUAUUCGGUUUAAGAUCAAAUUUAUAAUGUUUAUUACAUCACAAAACUCUUAAGGAUUAGGAACGCUUAAGCAUGCUUAAACUUAGUCAGCGAGUCACUGCUCGCUUAGCACUUAACCUCUCUUAUAAUCUUGUGUUAUGUUUAUUGGCAUUAUGCCCACGCUUCAUAAAACUUUUGGCUUCGCCACUAAGAAGCAACAUAUAAUCAGAUGGUUGUCUAGCUUUUAAGUAUGUGUUUGGUUUCAAUGAUGGGGUGAGUCGAUCCAAAAAUUGGUGGUGUUUGGAUGGGAUGACCCGUUUGAGGAAUAUACUACAUCGUAGAUGCGGGGAUGGAGGCAGCCCCGAAAUUCGGGUGCUCAAUUUUGCACGGCAGAAAGUGAAGGUAAGGGAAAGGAAGAGAAGGGGCGGGCAUACCUGGUGCUGUGGUGGGUUUUUUUUGUCAUCGUGGUCGUCACCGGCAGAGGCCCCGAGGAAGAAGACGACCUGGGCAGCUGGGCAUCGGGCAGCUGGGCAUCGGGCGGCAGCGGUCGCCCUAGCUGUUUGUGGGCGUUGUCGCGCACGCGAGGGCGAGGUGAACGGGAUAAGAAAAAGAAACUGAUGUGAACACAAGAAAAGAAUGCUCAAUCGUCGUCGUCGUCACCGCCGCCAAGGAGAAAGAGAGGGGAUUGAGGUGGUGAUCUGAUAGUCUAGACACCGAGCAACCCCAUGAUGAUGAACUAGUAGGAUGAUUGUACCCUUUAUCCAACAAAUUAAUGAACUGCCUUUUGAACUCACUAUUUUAGAUUCUCUAAUCAUAGACGACGGGCUCAACUUCAUCACUCAUUAUUUUAGAUUCUCUAAUCAUAGACGACGGGCUCAACUUCAUCACAUACCGGAAUUUUGCGAGUCUGUGAGAUAAGUCUGUCCGUCUCUAACAUGGGUCACUAGAGACAGAUAGGUGUAACCAACAUGCUGUCAGCCAUUAAAGAUGUUUUUUUUUUUUGCUACACCCGUCUCUCAUGUGGGUCAUAAGAGGCUACAUCCAUAUGUGACGACGAAUUAAAAAAACAGAAAAAAAAUCUCAAUGCAUAGCAGUAAAAAAUGUUACACAUGUAGGCCUUCGCUGGAGAAGAUGGCAUUACAUAUUAGAGAGUAGGUAGGGUAUUAACCAUAAUUUGUAGCCUGAACAUCAACGUUUCUCAAAGCUUUCUGAAGGUAAUUUGGGCGUAGGUUACAUACCAUUGGUCUACUAGUAUCUUGCAUGCGCACAUACUCCCCCAUCCAAAAAAAUAGAUGUCAUUCUCACUUCCUAAGAAAUCAAAACACUUUUAACUUGGACCAAAUAUAUAAAAAAAAUUUUAAUACUUGUAAUACAUAAUUAGUAUCAUUGAUAUAUUUUUUUAAUAUACUUUCACAAUAAAAUUUGGACAUAUAAAUAUUACACAUAGUUUCUAAAAAACUAGUCAAAGUUAAGAAAAUUUGAUCUAGUGACUUUUAUUCUGUGGCAGAGGAAGUAGGCCUGAUCAUGAUAGGAAACGAUGGGUGUCCGACAUGAUGCAAGGCACCGGCAAGAACAAGAAGAACGGCAACAUCUUCGAGAGAUGGAAAUGAAGGAAAAGACGAAAAGAGUGAUUCUCUGACUCGCAAAUUUUCAGUGUUCUCAGAAAAGAGAAAAGAUAAAGUUACAGGCGAGCACAGAGCUUGCGCAGAUGAAACAACAGCAUUCGACCAUACCUGGAUCUUCAGUAGGCGUAUCAAAGCAUACAGUCUACAACUGCGCUAAAAAAUGGAGUGUAAUUUCCUAUCAACAUCUGUCAUCAGCUAAUCCUUACACUCAGCUAUUCUAUGAUUAUGUUUGCCUAUCACACGCAAAGCCUUGCAAAGGUUAAGUACCCAGUGUGCCCUUUAGCAGUGCUGCACGGCCUAACCAAAAUGGAGGAACUCCUUUGUGUGCAGCCUGUGUUUUCACCUGGGCUUGUCAACAUUCUUCUUUUCUGCGGAAGAGGCCCCACACAUGCUUCCUCGGAGGUGACACUCUUCAGAGCAACAUCUCGUACUUCAUACGUGCGAAGAAGAAUCUCAAAGGUUCUAAUAUCUGUGAAACACAGUUGAUUUUCGUUAGCCCCUUGGGCAAGGCAAUUUGAAAGCAUGUGAAAUGCCCUGGCCCGCAAGGUGUUGGAGUUCCAUAUAAAAGAUCCUCGGUUUAGUACCAACAUAAGUAAGACUCUGUAAGUUAAAUGUAUACAGUAUGACUUAGGAGAACCUAUUAUGUAGUCCAUUCAGGACACUUGAAAAUAAUAUGAAAUCACGUACUGUUGGACACAAAUUUUAUUUAUUUAUGCUCAUGAAACGAGACUGCAGUUAGGCUGAAACAUGUUUUAUGGAAGUAAGAAACAGUAUCAAUUCUAUCUAGAUGAAGCAAAGUAAAAGAAUGUACCAUACCUGUGAAAGAUGUUUUCAUGGCUUCACAAGCACGCUGCACUUGCUCAAUACAAGGCGAAAAGGAGCAUAGAACACCGUCUUUCUUUAGCAUCGACCCAACAGAUGGUAUUGCAAGCCAAGGCUGGGGCAAGUCCAGGAAGACAGCAUCAGCAGCACCACAAUGUUCCUCUGGGAAUCCUUCCCCUUGUACAUCCCUCACAUUGACUGUGAUGAGGCUGCUCAAGCCAUUCUUCUCAAAGUCUUCCCUAUUUACCAGAGGAAUUUGAAACUAUAAUUGCACAAAUAAUAACUAAAAAGUAAAAAUCCACGAUAUUCCUUGGAAAACCUGUUCUUUCUAUAACAGAAGCUUUCUCACCUAUAUUUCUAUAGAGCUAAAAUAGGUAUCUAUCCAUCGAAAGAAAGAGUGCGACCUGAAAUUGCUACUGCAUCCUCACUGGAAUAAACUUUCGUACAUGUAUAAACCACACUUCACCAUACCAAUAUCCUUAAAAUGCUUCUAACAAAAUGGCACCCCUGUAUCCUGUGCUUUGCGUCUCCUAUCUCAUUUUGAACACAGCUGCGAAAUGCUGGAUCACUAACUCCUACACGUGCUGCAAAGGCACAGGGUACAAAGUCUUGUUUACCAUAACCACAUGCUAUGAUAUUUUUUUUACAUAAAAUCUUCCAAGUUCUACAUGUCCAUGUACCAUAGAAGCAUUUAGUGGACGGCGGCAUGCAUCUUUGAUGUGAUAAAUAACUAAUUUACAGGGAUUUCAAUAUUGAAGCAUGGAUUUUGCUGUUGUAGCUUUCCAGGUACAAAAUCCUAUAUUGAGGCACAUGGAAGUCUACCACGUUUAUUCCAUGGAAUUUUGUCACACACCAAACCCAGCCUCUUUUUUUUUUUUAACUCCUUUGAUGUAAGGUAAUAUAUGAAUGUGCAGGUUCAAUGCGUUAUCAUUUAGUUCUGAAUUUGUCAUCAAAACUGACAACACGUAGGACCCUGGUUCUUCAAGAUCAUCUUGUGGAGUCAAGGAGCAAAACCAGCAAGCACAGAUUUUUUUUCACGAAAUUUAUUCUCCUAGUUAGAGCAAAUUUUAUUUCGCUUAUGCUAUAUGAGUGAGUAAGGUAUUAUUGUAUUCCAGGAAAAUUAAUUCACAUGCUUAAUAUCCGACAAUCAUACAUUAUAUGCUGAGAUGGCACAAGGGUUGCGAAAAUCUCAUGUAUCCUAAUUAGAGGCUAUAUAAGAUGUUUCACACAAAUCAAAAGCCUUGACUGAGCACAAAAGAAGAAGAAGAAAGAAAACAGUGCGAUUAUAUAAUUCUAUAUAUGUAAUCCAUCCUUACCUAGCUGAGGCGGCCCUCUGCUGGUGGAAAUCGAAGGUAUGGACUUGGCCAUGCGGCGCGACGGCGCGUGCCAGCGAAGUGGUGAGCGACCCGCUGCCCGUACCCGACUCGAGCACAAGGCAACCAGGCACAAGCUCGAGGUAGGCGACGACGAGGCUGAUGUCGGCGAUGUAAAGGAUCUGUGUCCGGUGGCUGAGCACGAGAGUCCAGAGCUCCGGGGUGGGCGCGAGGAGGUGCACGAACCCACCGCCGCCCGCCUUGGCCUUGGCCUUGCCUCCUCCGCCGCAAGAACCGAAUACCUUGGAUCCGAAGGGGCGGCCGAUCCAGUCGUCGUGGCGGAAGACGCCGAAGCGGUUCUGGAGCACCCCGCCGGCGCGCACCGCGACGGCUCGCAUCGCGUCGUGGCGCUCGUACACCACCACCGUGUCGCCCUCCGUGAUAAGACGCUGCGAGGUGGGCUUGGACGAGGGGUCGAGGGGGACCAUCGUCAUGGUUGUGGAAGGAUCACGGCGAACCGGGCGGGCUGGGAGCACCGGAGGAGGAGGAGGAGGGAGGAGCGACAGGCUUGGUGGCGGCGCCGACGCGGACGCUAGGGUUUUGGGCCCUUUUUGUUUUGGGCCCCCUUGGGCCUUUUGGCGCCUUGUGGUGUUCCUUUCCUUUCCAGAGAGGGAAGGCCGGAAGGGAGAGGCCUAGGCCUUGUUUAGUUCCAAUAUUUUUUUUUGGAAAAACAAUACUAUAACAAUUUCAUUUUUAUUUGACAAAUAAUAUCUAAUCAUGGAGUAACUAGGUUUAAGAGAUUCGUCUCACGAUUUACAGUAGUUUUUUUCAUCUAUAUUUAAUGCUCCAUGUAUGUGCCGCAAGAUUCGAUGUGACGGAGAAUCUCAAAAAAUUUUGAGUUUUUGCGGUGAUCUAAACAAGACCCUAUCCUAUCCUCGUCCUAUUUAUUGGUGGCCUUACAAACUCCCAGUUCUAGUUACAGCAGAGGGACCAGAUAUACUUAUGCUAUAUAAUAAAAUAAAUAAAAUGAUGAAUACAGACACACACAGACAAGAGAUAGGAAACCAAGUAAGUAUUUUCGAACGCAAAUUUGAUUCUGUGGCUACAAAUUAAAAGUUCCCCACCACCACCAGCGGCUUUCUUCCUUGCUUGCAUUUGGGUUUUCUUCCAUCAGAUACAGUAGUGCUGCCUGCCCUGCAUUGCUGAAGGAGAAGGUUGCACCAUCUUUCGAUUCGCAGACGGCAGGCAGGCCAAAGAGGACGGAGCUACUCUACUCGAUCGUCCACGUCGAGGUUAGUUGUCAUGGAGCUUGCCAUGGCCACUGGCAGCAGCAGCAGCAGCUUGGUCACCGGCUUGAGGUGGAGGACAGGUUCUGCAGCAUUCAGUAGCGCCGGGGAUCGCCGCCGCAGCUGGACGACGACGGCAUCCGGCCGUGGAGGUGGACCCCGCAGGCUGACGGUAUGUGUGUAAUGUAUGCCUCACACUCACACAUCAAUAGCUAGCUAGCUACUUGUUCUUCUUCUUCUUCCAAUCCAACCAAUUCAGUUAUUAUACAUACGUACAUGAUACCUGUCUGAAAUUAAUCUCUCUUUGUUCUUUCUUUCUUUCUUUCUGCAGGUGUCUGCAGCAGCAGCCGCCGCCGCCGCCGCCUGCAAGACAUGUAAGGGAAAGGGCGCAGUAGAAUGCCCAGGGUGCAAGGUAUAUAUGAUAGACUGUCAGAUGGAUGAAUAUAUCAUUUGUUGUUUUUGCAACACACAGCUACAGAUAUUUACAUACAUACAAACUGAAAUGAAACUGAUUCAUGCAGGGCACCGGCAAGAACAAGAAGAACGGCAACAUUUUCGAGAGAUGGAAGUAGGUUUUUUUUUUUUAAAAAAAAAAAAUAUACCAUCAUGUUACAUUACAUUAGCUAUUUAAUUACCUACCUACUAGGGGCCAUUUAUAUAAGUACCAGAAUUGAAAUUAGUUAUGUAUUCCAUCUCCAUCUCCAUCUCGAUGCAGGUGCUUUGACUGCCAGGGGUUCGGGCUCAUGAGCUGCCCUACCUGUGGCAAAGGAGGUCUCACACCCGAGCAGCGAGGGGAGAGAUAGAAUGAAUCAACCAUACAAUACAACUACAAAAAAAUGCAUACUAGCGGGCAGGCAGGCAGCAUUAAGAUUUGCAUAUACUCCAUAUGUGAUGAAUACAUACAUGGACACCUGAUGUGUACAAACUGCUUGCAAUAUGCCUUUAGUGCAGGGUUUGCCGCUGUACCUCCAGAAACACCACCACUAUUUUCCUCAUAUACUGCUGUCUGUGUAUGCGCGUGGCCUACUGGCCUUCGCUUUGGAUUGCUGAAUGUUAUGUUAUGGUUGUUUGCUAAGACAGUCAGACAGAAAUCAAACACCGAAUGUUACGUUUGGAUUAGUUAGUAUUGAUCUGGAAAAUCAGACAUCAGUAUAGCAAGGGAGGGCAGCACGACAAUUUCAUUUUGUAUGAUUCUCUAAUGCAUGAAUGGAUGCCAUUAUAGGAAAACAAACAUACCAAGAGACAAAUCCAACAAUCUUAUGCUGUUGUUGUCAACCAACACAGCAUGACCAACUGGAUAAGCUUCGGAGAUAUUGUUCAAUGUGACAUGCAGGAUAAGAGUCAUCAGAGACGGCUUGGACAUCUACCACCACUCUUCCUUUAGUCAUUUCGUCAAUUACAGUGCCGUGUAUUAGUAUCAGCAACACAUCAAGAACGAGCGAGUCCAAGAUUGUUACACAGGUGCUACUAAGUAAAGUUUACAGCUGCUUGCUGUCAUACCAUGCCAUACUCUGGCUGGUAUAGCAGCAGCAGAUUGUAUACAAGAUACACAUACAGUACGAAAAAGGCAAUGCAAAUGCCGUUGUUCAGUUCAGUUCAGGCAGUGGCUAGGUGUGUAGCGGAAGAGAACUACUGACGCCCAGACAGACCACACCGCACUAAGAGCUUCCUUCCUUGAGGUGCGCAAGUCUAUUGUCCCAGCAAUUUGGAAUCACAGGCCACAAUCUUCACCUUGCCCACCUGCUCUGUGGUCUCCUCGUUCUUGAAACUUGCAUCUGUCAAGAUGAAGGUCCACACAUUGUCACAGAACCUGUAGGUGUGCAGAUGGCCCUGAAAACACAAGAGACCGGGCAUCAGUAGCUUAGAAAAGCUAAAAGUGAAAUACAAAUGUAAUGACACACAUGCCAAUGAGAACAAGUCCCAGGUCUCAAUCAGAGCUGCAUUUAGUUGCAAAUUGCCAGUAUUACAGGCUGGGGAGUGAUGGACCAUCAAAAUAAUUAUAUCCUCUCAUGCACUACUCAUCACAAUACUUACUGGAGACGUGCAUGGUUUCUCAAGUUCCAUUGGCAGAUUUUUUUUUUAAAAAAAAAAAAAGAAAAGAAAUGCAUUGAUGCCAUUUCCAAUUACAUUUUUUUUCCACAACAGGAAAACCUGAAUUUAUUACUUACUCAUCUAAAACCAGAACAGAGAAACACUAAUGCAAGGCUUAACCUGUACAGUGACCAAAACAACAGCAACCAAAGUACUUAGGCACAAACCCCCAAACAGCAGCGCAGUUCCACUUCCACCAACUAUCAAUGCAAAGCAAAAAGAUGAAACUGACACAUUACAUUUCCUUCCUGGACAGACAUCAAAGCACUAAUGAUAUAUGAUAUAGAUACAAAUCCUUCCAAAACUGCAUUUGUAGUGUGGAGUUAUUACUUAUUAGGCAAAAAGGUUUCACAUCCAUCAGAUGUUUAUACUUUAUAGGCAUCAAGAUAAAGGGGCGUGGCUGAUGUAUAGAUUUUACAAGUAGUGAUGAAAAUGCCUACUGCAAGCAGGAAAAGUUAGCAAUCAAAGUUCAAACAUGCCAAGACUGAGGUUUGGUCAAGCAGCAAUCAAGAAGAGAAAAUUGCCAGGAUUGUUGCAGAAGCCAUAUGCUGGUCAUUUUGGAAAUGCAUAAAGGUACUAUUGACCUACUUUUCCACCUAUGAGAUCUUCUAAAACUUUGGGGUCUGGAAAUCCUAAAAAUAUGAGGGGCAGGGACAGAUUCAGGGAGGGGACAGCAGCUGAAAUAUGAAUGAUUCACAUGGUUGGGCACCAGCAACAUGUGAUCUGGAAGGGCAGCCAAAUUGCUGUGACCUGUGAUGUCUCCAGAUCAGGUGUGCAGCUGCACACCAUCUAGCAUGUUUGAUCCAUGUUCUCCAUUAAGAAAAUGUUACACAUAGGAGCAUCCUUUUGUUAUCCAUACUCCAGAUAAGCCCAGGUGCCAACCUCAAUAGUUUUGCAUAAGAUACAACUACAAUUGGAGACAAGAAAACGGGGUUCCAAUUCUCAUUACUCUUGCCACACAAAGGGUCAGCUAUCUAACAAUGACAAUAGACAGCAUUUGACCCUACUGUCAGCGUAAAGUUUCAUUUCAGAAGAUUAUUUGACUAAAGAAAGUGUUGACAUGGAUCAUCCCAGAGUCCACUUUACUAGUUUGUCUAUUAAGCAGGCCAAGCAGGGGGAAUAAAGCAUUUGAAGGCUAGACCCUAUUCACAAGGCACUUUAUUUCCUUGUUUUCUAAAUCAUGGUUUCCAUUCAAUCCCAUGAUAUUUACGGCUACUCAUGCCACGUGUCACAGGCUCACAGCACAAAUCGGACUAGCUCUCAAGUUGAAAAUAUCAAUCAUGCCUUGAAAGGAUAUAACUACAUAAGCAGACAAAAUACUACUUGAUACUAACUGCAAAACAAUCCUGAAGCAUACAAAUGUGCCACGAAAUCCAGUUCACGGCUACAGUAAACAGAAUCAAGGUCAGUCACAUGCUAACCUAAAAUAGCAAGUGUGAAUCCUUGCACCGGUCUGGACUUGAUCAGAUGGCGCGAAAGCGCCAAGAGCUUUUUGCAAGGAGUUACUAAGUCUAUAGCUCAAAAUUAUUCCCUCUGAAUCCAAAGGAAGGAACAUGUGAAGUUGUGUACAGUGGGACAACCACUUGAUAAACCACUAGUGCACGGAAGAGGGAAAAAAAAUCAUAUCAUACCUUGAUGUUAACCUUGCUCUUAACUUGGUUCUCCAGAGCAUCCGUCAUGGACUAGACGAACAGCACAGAAGGGCAAAUAUCAAUGACUAGAUUUGGCCGUUGGGAAACCACACACACCGAGAUAAAAAAAUUAGACGAGGAGCAUUUCCACCUUGUCGAACUGGACGAGGACCUGGAUUGCGAGCUCCGGGCUGAGGGUGCCGCUGGAGACCAUCUCGUCCAGCGUCUCGGUGAGGCACAUGCCGAUGGUGGACCUCCGGUACAGCUCGAAGGUGGCCAUGGCCGCCCGCCUGCGGGGAGCGCACGUACGCACGCGGCGAUUAGAUCAGAUCCGAAUACAGAUGGCUUGCGCUAGGGUUUGGGUGCUCGGUCUCGCGCAAGCAGGAAGGGAAGGGGAGGGGAGAGGAGGGGACGGGGAAGGAGGGAGAAGGCUUGGGCAUACCUCCUGGUGGACGCUCGUUGCCGGCGGAGAGGCCGACGGAGACCGGGGCAGCAGGCGUUGGGAGUCGGCGGCUCUCGUGGAGUCGAGUCGGCGCCGCGGGAUAGAAAGGGGGGCACGGGAGCAGGCGAGAAGAGGGGAAGAAAAGUCCGAGGGGAAGAAAGGGGUGAGGUGUUUAUAGACCACCGGAUGACCGAGGUAUGGUGCUAUUUUUUUUCUUUCUCUCAAAACAAAAGUUUUAUAGUGUUUUCUUUUUCUCUAAACCAAACAUAAUCUACGAUUUACUAGAGGAGUAGUCACUAGUUGAGCUAAAAAAACUUAAAUUAACUAAAUUUGGUAUAGAACUAAUUAUUAUAGUUAAAGACUUAAGCGCUAUUUGACCAGGCUCUUUUGGACUUAGGCUCUGUGUUAAGUCAUAAAUUAUGAUUUUUUCUGGUUAGGCCAGUCUCAAUGCAUAGUUUUAUGGCACAGUUACCAAGACUAUAAACUAGGUAACCGAACCAUAUGAGUUUUAUGGGGAUGAAACUCUUCUCUCAUCUGAUGAAACUCCUUCAUUUAAUGACUCUUCCAAGUCAGCAAUUGUGCUUAUGUGGCACCCUAUUUAAUGUGCAUGACACUCUCAUGAAACAUGUAUUGAGACUAGCCUUAUACAUUUACUUUGGUAGAAGGAAAAAAUGGCUCCUGUGAACAAUGUUACUAUAAGGCUAGUCUCAAUGUAUGUUUCAUGAGAGUGUCAUGCACAUUAAACAUGGUGCCACAUAAGCAAAAUUGCUGACUUAGCAGAGUCAUUAAAUGAAGAAGUUUCAUCAGAUGAGAGAAGAGUUUUAUCCCCAUGAAAUUCAUGUGGCUCGGUUACCUAGUUUAUAGUCUUGUUAACUAUACCAUGAAACUAUGUAUUAAGACUGACCUAUAUGAGACGUAUGAAGAGCCUAAACCACAAGUAACCAAUGGUUACCAAACACUCCCUUAGAUAAAAAAAAAGUUCAUCUAUUAACCCUACUAUUUAAAUGUGGUUAUGACUAACUUUAGUUAUUUUUUUGGCUAGCAAAAUAUUAUUUCUCGUAACUAAUCAGGUGCCGGAAUGCCCCCAAGAUCUAUGAUGAUAUGUGGGCCUAAUAUUAAUUAUGUUAUGGUAUUUAUUUAUAAACCAAGUGUUGGUUGAAAUAGUUUUUCAUCCACUUAAUUAAGGGAAACAAAAUUGUAUCCAGAGACAAAUAUAACCUCCACUCCCGAUCUCGGGGGGGGGGGAAUUCAUGCUCUAAUGGCCCUUUUGGAAUAUCGGGUUUUUCUAUUUAAUAAUGCUCCUAUAUAUUCUAGAGGCUCUAAAACCAUGUGUUAACAUGUGUCAUGACAUUGCGAAUAAAAGAUUUUUACACUUAGCAUGAAAAAUGAUGGACUCGAACCGUAAUUACACAUGUUUGUUGACUGUUGUAGCUCCUUACAACUGGUGAGAUACUAGAUUGUGACUAUGAGUUGUGGCCUCCAUCUCCAUGGGUAAGCAAUUAGCAAACACCAUACACAACUUUAACCUUAUGUGCCCUCACCCAUAUGCUACCUAUGAGAUGACAAGGUUUGUGAUGCGGGAGACUAGGAGCACACAAGAGACUUGGGUCCGAAUGAGUUUAUUUGGUAACACUAGUGCACCCUAAAAAAGUGUCAUUCCGUUGGAUCGUGCACGUGUGUGUUGGGCGGGUGCAUACGCAGCAUUUAUGUGACCUCUAAACACUUUCGCUGGACAUCCAAGAGGUGCUUUUAAACACUGUACUAGUCUGUUUAAAGUAUUAUAAAAGCAUCCAAACACAAGAAAUAUGUGGCCCUCAAUAGCCUCUAAAAGAGGUAACCAAAUCAGAUUCUAUACGGACUACAUUUAAAUAGUAAUAACACUUUAAAAUAACAAACUUGACUGCAUAUCACACAAGAACAAAGAUGCCUUUUAAAAAAAAUCAAAUAUGUCUUUUUUCUGAACAUUAAUUUCCACAAAUUGUAAAAAUGAACAUCAGUGGCAAAAUUGAAAAUAAAAAUCCAAACAUAUAGCAGAUAGAGAACAAAGCAUAAACGCCGGCUCCCGCUCCGGCACUGUUGUGCUACUACGGCGCCGGCUCUGCUCUGCUCUGCUCUGAGGCUCCACCGGAGCCUGCACAGUAGUACGCACAGGACAGCACAGUAGCGAGGGCAGGAGAGACGCUCGGCAAACCCUUUGUGAUGACCAGGAAAGGGCACCGAAUUAUAUUUUUCAGUCUUCCACUCGUGACCCACCAAAGCAUAAACGGAGACUGGGCGACGACUUGUGAUGAACAAGGUCGUCUUCCUCACAAAUAUCUACGCCCUCCAUCUACUCUCUGUCAGCUACCCUCCCCAGGUCAGUGCGACUUCUUGAUAGUUAAUCUUCACUCUUCUUCUUAUGUUUUAGUAUUUACAUUUAUUUAUUUAUCGGGAUAAAUUUUGUGUUCAUUUCGGGGACUCGUUGCUGGGCGGCGCUUACUAGCUAGUCAACGUGCUGCAGCUCUCGAAAUUGUUUAUCUAUCUGUCAUUUUUUCCAAGCAAUUAUUGCUGCUCCAAAUUGAAGAUAUUUGAUUCCAAGGCAUAUCGAUCUGCUUGGGUCCAAAUUAGUAACUUGUGUCUAAUUAACUGUCUAUAGAUCAACUUGUUUCUGCUGCUCGUCGAUCUGGAUCUAGGGCUGCCUACUAAUGCGCCAUGUUCCAGAUCCAGGGCUGGGAGAUUGGCCUUUGAGCAGUGAUAAUAGUAUAAGGCAUAAGACCAGAGAUGACUGUUAUUUUCGCCCACUGCAAAGCAGUAUUUUCAACCUAGCUAAUUUCCUGCAGGUAAUUAGAUUAAUCCCUUAUUCGGAUGAUGGUAUAUAUGCUCAGGAUCCAGCCGCUUGAGAGAGCUACUUCGCUUUUGAGAUUAGUUAACAACAAGGCGGAUAUUAUGCACGCUUGAUCGAGCAGUUGCCAUCAACUGCAAGAAGGAACCGUGGUAUGAGGUACGAGACAUGUCAAAAAGGAGCAUCCAUUACUGCAAUGAUAUGAUUAUACAAACUUACAUAUAGUUACAAAUAUACACACUUUGCUUUACUUAUGUUAACUAACAUAGACAAAUCUGCAUGCCAGGACAUUGAUUCUAGUAGCAGUUAUAUAAAGAUAUGAAUCGCCUUAAUGUUUGCUGACCCCAAAUUACCUAUCUCAGCAAACUGCAUGAGCUGCCAAUAUGGAAGGUAAAGGAAUCAACCGCCAAUCUGCUGUGGAUCUCAUGGCAGGGGCCAUUGGAUGCCUACUCCCCAAGCUGGGCGAGUUCCUCAAGCAGGAGCACAAUCUGGAAACUAGUAUAAAGCAGGACAUAGAGUCUCUUGAUACACAGCUGAGGACAAUAAUGGACACUGCCCUGCCAUGGGUGCAGCAGGACGAUAAGCAUUGUGCCUACCAACUGAGAGGGCUGUCAUAUGACAUAGAAGAUAUCAUGGACAACUUGCUGCUACUCGUCGGCAAGGCCUCAGCCUCAAAGCCUAUCACAAACCAGGACAGCUUCAAGGAGACGUUGGAAGACAUCAAGAUCCAGGUGAAAAAUCUGGCUGCCUCACAUGCUGGCAAUUUUGUGGCUACGAUAAGUACUGUUGAUCCAUGCCUUGAUGACAUGUACUACAAAGGAUCAAGACGACUUGUUGGCACCCACAAGUUAAGAGAUACACUCAUAUCUAGCAUGUCUUCAUCGUCUCAGCGACUGAAGAAAAUUUCUAUCUGGGGUGCUGGAGGGAUGGGCAAGACCACUCUUGCAAAAGCAGUCUAUGAAAAUAUGAAAGGCGACUUCCAUUGCAGCACUUUUGUUUCUAUUGGCCGACUACCUGAUAUGAAGAAAGCCUUGAGGGACAUUCUCAUAGAUAUUGGCAAGGAAAGGUAUAUGGUUCUUAACAUGACCAAGCUGGAUAAAAGGCAGCUCAUUGAUGAGCUCCGACAUUUCCUGAGAAACAAGAGGUAUGGAUAGCCACUCAAUACCUUUAGCACCCAAUUUUUAUAAUAAUUGUUCAUUAAAAACGUACACAUUAUUCAAAAUCUUUUAGUCCGCAUGUAUAGGCGCACAUAGUUAGUCCUAUGUUGUCCCAUCGGUUUAUGUAGACAUUCUAUUUUUGUCAUGAGUCAUUUUUUUCUAACAUUUGGGGGGGGGGCUUUCACUUUACUUGGCUUUUUGUUUGGUUCCUUACUGUGGUUUGUGGACCACAGCAAUGCAACUUCUAGAAAAAAAGAGAAAGUUCUACUACUGCUGUUAUUGUUAUCAACAACUGCAUUUAACUAUUUCUACUUCCGUUCUCAUAUAGAUGCUAUUUUAGUAAUUUGGUUUUGUUCUAAAAUAGAUAUGGUUCUUAGAGUUUAAGGUGGUGUAUUUAGUCAUGUGGCCAUAUUACAAACUGUUCGAAAGAGGAUUUAUAAAUAAAGCUACUCCCAUUAGGAAAUAUCAAGCGCAUUAAAUAAGUGCACAUAUGUUUUUUAGCUCAUAUGUCACAAAAUUACAUAGGAACAGUUUCUUUGGCAUGGUAUCUUAUGUUUUUACACACAAACUAAUAUCCUAAGGCCAGUCUCAAUGCAUGUUUCAUGAGAGUGUCAUGCACAUUAAAUAGGGUGCCACAUAAGCAAAAUUGCUGACUUGGCAGGGUCAUUAAAUGAAAGAGUUUCAUUAGAUGACAGAGGAGUUUCAUCCCCAUGAAACUCAUGUGGCUCAAUUACCUAGUUUAUAGUCUUGGUAACUGUGCCAUGAAACUAUGCAUUGAGACUGGCCUAAGUCAACUCAUGGACACAACAUCACAACAAUUAACAGUUUAAAGAGCUCCUAACAAACAACAUCAACACGAUAACUACGCAUUGAAGGUGUUGUCACUAGCUAGUGUUCAAGAAAAAAAAAUCUUGGAGGUGCCACAUAAGCAAAUAUGAUGACAUGGCAUUAGUGCUUUUCUUCUUUCCUUGGUUGCUGCUUCAAUGUGUAGUCGGUCUCUGUUUUGUAUUUUUUAAGGCCUCAUUUGUGGUGCCUUGCAGUCAUUUCUUAGUCAGCCCAGUGUUGGCCUUUCUAGACUCACUCCUUUUUUCUUUUUCCUCAACUAAUAAAACUCAUGGAAAAACUCUUGCCGCCUUUUAAAAGAAAGAAGAGAAAUGGUAGGCAACCCCAAGGAGAAGAGAGCAUCUGGAUCUAGGGGUUGACCACCAUCAUCUUUGUAACUUGGUUACAUUAGACAUGUUUCCUAUUGUGCUCAUAGAGCAUAAAGAAGGAUAUAUAGCACCACAACUCGAUGUAGGCUGUUACCUGCUCAGUUCCUAGGCCAACAUAAAUUCCACUCCAGUGUGUACCCCUUAAACCAUGGUAGACCAUAUGCUACAAAAUAUUAUUAUCAAUUAACUAAUUUUUGACCAGUGCAGUUUUGAAUUGCAUGUGAGACUGUUAUCAUGAUUCAUGCAUAUGUUUGACCAUAGAAGUCUAGAUGGUUUUACUAACUUGUGGUUGUUUUGUCAUGUGAAUAGAUUCUUAAUUGUUAUCGAUGAUAUAUGGGACAUGCCUUCAUGUGAAGUAAUUAAAUGUGCUUUGGUGGAUAGUGGUUGUGGAAGUAGAAUAAUCACAACUUCUUGUAGAAUCGACGUCGCAGAAACAAGUGGUGAAGUUUUCGAGCUAAUGCCACUUUCCAUUGAUGACUCCAAGGAACUAUUCUAUGCCACAUUAUUUAGUAGUAAAAGCACAAUUACUUUUGAUCCACUAGAUGAGCAGUUCACUGAAUAUAUUCUUCACAAAUGUGGUGGUGUACCAUUGGCUAUAAUUACAAUAGCUAGUUUGUUGGCCCGUAAACCACAAGACGAAUGGACUAGGGUGUACAACUCUAUUGGAUUUGGGCAUGAAGAUUAUAUAGCUGUCGAGAACACAAGAAAGAUAAUCCAAUGUAGUUACUAUGACCUACCAAGCCAUCUAAAGACCUGCAUAUUGUAUUUAAGCAUAUUUCCCGAAUACUAUGUAAUUGAGAAAGACGCAUUGGUGUGGAGAUGGGUAGCUGAGGGCUUUGUGCAUGAAGAACAAGGGAAAUCCUUAUUUAAGGUCGGAGAGAGGUACUUGUAUGAGCUUAUUAGUAGAAGCAUGAUCGAGCUAGUAGAAAAUGAGGGCACCAACAUACGUGCUUGCCGUGUUCACGAUAUGGUGCUUGAUUUGAUCCGUCCUGUAGGAAAACAAGAAGACUUUAUUACUAUAUUGGAUGGGUAUGAUCAUGAUCAACGUCAAUCUUAUCAAAGCAAUGCUCGUAUAAUAGCCAUCCAAAAUAGAGUCCUGGAGAAGCAUGAUCUGAUGACUAGAAUGCACAAACCAAAAGUGAGGUCAUUUAACGGCUAUGCGUGCCGUAUUAGCAGUAUGACGUUACUACGACUGGGUUUUCAGAAUUUGCGUGUCCUUUCUUUAGAAGGUUGUGAGAUAACUGCAGACGGUUCUGAUGGUCUGAAGAAUCUUGCGGGGUUACUUCACUUGAGAUACCUUGGACUUCAUGGGAGGAAUAUUUGGAAUCUGCCAAUGGAAAUUGGUGAUUUAAGAUAUUUACAGACACUAGUCUUGACGGAUACCUACAUAACGGCACUGCCACACAGUGUUACCCUGCUAAGACAACUGAAGUGCUUGUGGUGUUUUGGGUUAAUACUAGAAUUGCCAGAAGGGAUGGGAAACCUAACAUCAUUGGAAGAGCUGCGGUUGGGGACACUUGACAGUAAUUCCCUAAACUUUGCCAAAGAGCUGAGCAAGAUGAAAGAUCUACGGGUGCUCAGUAUUAUUAACACAGACACUUUCUAUGGCAAGUGGAUGGAAUCCUUAACAGAGUCUCUAAGUAAAUUGCAAAAAAUGGAAGAACUAGAGCUUUUUUGUGAUGGACCGAGCAGCGACAAGCCCUGCUGCAGCCAUGUCAUUGCUCCUGGAGCAUUCCCCAAACUGCAGUACCUCAGAACGAAAACCUGGCUGAUGUUUCAUCCAGGUGCUGUGCCUUGCCUUAAAUCUGUUGAGCUCCACAUCCAUGUGCACGCCCUCAAGGAUGCCAACUUUGACUUCCACGACUUCUCUAAAUUGAGUUACCUCCGUUUGCUUGAGAAAGCCCAUGUUCAAAUCAACUGCUGGGGAGGCAAGAUGGAGGAUGUAGAGGAGGCGGAGGUAGCACUGAAGCAAGUACUCCACAGCCAUCCGAACCGUUCCACACUUAUUCUUGAAAGAUUUGGUCGGUGUGCAGAUAACAAGGUACUAGUAUUAUUUUUCGUUUUUUUUUCAAGCUACUACUGUCCCUCUCGCGUCACAAAAGUUUCGUGUUUAGAACAAGAUUUGAUCAACCUUAAAAAUUGUAAACAUUAAUAAUUGUUAUAUAGUGUAGUUUGGAAAUGUGUAAGUCAUAUGCAUGGACUUGUAUUCAAAAUACUUACAGAAUCUCUUAUAUUUGAAGGAGUUCAAGAAGAUAUCCCAAAAGAAAAUAUGGGUCAAAGAUAAAUAUCGAAAACCAUGCAAAGUCAAAUGUGUAAGUAUUUUUGACUAGAGGUAAUAGUAUUCUGUCCUUCUCAUUCACAUGCAAGAUAAGUGGUCAUUCCUUGCAGAUGGGCUUCCUUGACCUUGGGUACAGUGACAAGUUACACCAUUCUCGAGUGGGACCAGAAGUCAUUACAUUAGAAUCAUUAAUUAUAAUGACAGGAUUUCUCCAAUAAGCGAAAGCUUGGUAGCGGGACGUUUGGAACAGUAUACAAGGCAAACAUUUUUUCCCAAUAAGCAAACCAUUUUAACUAUUAUUGGAAUUGCUGGACAGAUUGAAAAUAUAGUUGCAUUUUCUAUUCUAGUAGCUUAAUAGUGAAAUGGAUAUUCUAUAAUACAACUCUUAUGCAUAUGAAAAAAAUUAAAUGUGGUUUCAUUUAUAUUUGUCACUAGACUAGAGUAACUGUGCAGGGCAGGUAGAGUGCAGACACAGCUCCAAUCAUCAAUAAUAUUACUUGUCAUCAAGCAGAUUAGGGACUUCCCUCGAUUAUUCUACAUUAUACUAAUAGAUUACAUGGAAGUCAUAUGUAUCUACAUAACACAUGACAAGCAGAAGUAAUUAAAGGGAUAUGAGAAGGUAUUAAUAAAGGGCAUGAUGGCUAGAAAAAACAUGUUUGCAGUGAGAAAAUUAAUUUUUCUAAUUCAAUAGAGCCAUCAAUUCCAAAUGUUAAUGGGGGAUGUUCAUUAGGGUGUGCACAAAAAUGGCAACACAAUUGCUGUGAAAAAGCUUCAUUCAAUGCCACAACGACUUGAAUUUGAAGAGGAAGAAUUCAGGAAGGAGUUUGAGAACCUUAGGAGACUCAACCAUCCUAAUAUUGUAGAGCUACUUGGCUACUGCUAUGAAACAAGGCAUGAAUUUGUCGAGUAUGAAGGGAAGUUUGUUGUUGCUGAUGAAAUCUACAGAGCUCUCUGCUUUGAGUUUAUGCACAAUGGAAGUCUACAAGAACACCUUGACGGUAAGAUGAAGGUCCUAUAUCUUGGCAUUGUUGCUUAGUAUUAUAUUUACUCUAUCUCCCUCUAUUUGCUUCUAUAGAUGAAUUCCAUGGACUGGACUGGCAGACGCGCUACAAAAUUAUUAAGGGGACUUGCGAGGGUCUGAAAUAUCUUCAUGAGGGUCUGGAAAGUCCUAUGUACCAUUUAGAUCUAAAACCUGAAAAUAUAUUACUCAACAUGGAUAUGGCGCCAAAACUUGCAGAUUUUGGUUUAUCAAAGCUUGUCUACGAUGACCAGACUCGAGCCACGUUGCGCCCUUUAGGAACAAUGUAACUUAAUGCAUCUCUGAACUCAAUUUUCAGAAUCAACUAAUUGUUGGUUUUAACACUAUUACAUCUACCAUUUAUGGUGUCAUGCAGUGGAUACUGUCCUCCUGAAUUCAUUGAACAGAAUUAUGUUUCCAACAAGUUUGACAUAUUCAGCUUGGGUAUUGUGAUGAUAAAGAUAAUUGCUGGCUCCGAAGGCUACCGCAAGACAGCUGAAAUGCCUUCCCAAGAAUUUAUCUAUCAUGUAAGUCGAGUUCCUUAUAUCAAGGUCUCUGGAUAUAUAUUAUAUACAUACAAACCUAAAGUAAUAUUUUGUAAUGUCUAACUCAUUUUGAUACUAAGUGAUACACUUUUUUUUUGGAUCAAUAUUGUAGGUACAAGAAAAUUGGAGAAAAAGGGUACAGGUAAUACCGGGUUGUACGUUACAAAAACAUGAAUGCCACCAAAUGAAGAGAUGCAUUGAAAUAGCUUUAGAGUGUGUCAGUGCUGACCGAAAGCAAAGGCCUAACAUUGGGGAUAUCACAAGCAGGCUGAAUGAAACAGAAAAUAAUACUGAGAAUUGGCCAGGACUUUUGCCUCUGAAAAGGAGAGCUUACACAUUGUUGUGACAUCUCUACACAAGGUAAGAAAAUGCCAACACAAAUGUUGCCGUUUUCUUUUCAGCCGGGACAUUUGAUGAAUCUUGUUUGGCCGAAGCAUUGUUCAGAAAUUCCAUGGAGGCUAAAUGAAGAAAACCAAGUGUGCAUGGAAGAAGUCCAUUCUUGUUAGAACAAACAAUCACAGCUUCUUCAUACUUGUUGAUAGCCAAAAUUGUCAAAAUGCACAAUGGACUCCACCGUUAUGUUUCUCUCGUCGAGACGAUCGAAAAGCAUGUAUGGAUUGUCUCGUUUGUUGUUCCUCUCAUCAUGUAUGGACUCCCAAAAGUCCCAACUAUGGAUUCCCUUAACUUUUCCUGUAGCCAAACAGGCGCUGCCGCUUUGCAUGCUCUUUCAGAAUUCCAUUCGUCAAGCAACAGAACAAACAACUAUGGGACGAGCAGAACGUGUUCCGCCGGCUUCGUGGCUCUGCGCCAUGCGCGGCACCGCUGCUGUAGAUCGAGGGCCAAGUUCCUGCUCAACGUCGGGUCCAAGAGGGAGCUCAGGGAGGCCAUCAAGCUCCCCCGCGUGGACGCAGGUGGAAUAAUUUUUCUCUUAAAGUUUUUAACAAUUUUCAUGAGCACGAAUGAUUUUGACAAGUUUGAUCUUGAACAUCAAACAAUUUUGCCAAGAAGCUUUAACAUUUCCCAUUUCGCCCUGUACCUGAGAACAUUUUUCUUAUAACCCUAAACACUUGUUACCCGCACUAAAAAUAAUUUUCCAUAUAUCAAUAGAAAGACUACGUUAUGCCUCCACAAAAAAAAAGUUGUCUACGAUUUUUUUGUCCACAAGUUAUUCCACAAGUUGGCGUGGCCAUCUUGCUUUUUCAGCUUUCCCAGCCCUCUCUCUCUCUCUCUCUCUCUCUCUCUCUCUAAGAAAAAACAGAUUACUUCACGCGGAAGGAAGCCGGGGUUCACACGCUGUCAUCAAAAGGUAAAAAGCAUAAAAAGCGGAGACAGCGACUUGUGAUCACUGAUCAGGGUCGUCUUCUUCUCAUAGACAAUUUUUCCAAAAAAAAAACGCGUGUGACUCGCAUCCUCAAUUUUCGAUGUAUAUCUUGCAGUAGAUACUGUCCUCCUAAACAUAUUACACAUAACUAUGUCAAUAACUAGUUUGACAUAUUCAGCCUGAGCGUUCUAAUGGUAGAGAUAGUCUGAGCUUAGAAGAGUGGAACUUCAAAGAGGGACUGAAGACCCAUCUCUUGGGUCUGCUUGAGCAACAAAGAUUGUACUGCAAACAGAGAGGGACUAUUAAAUGGGUAAAAUUUGGAGAUGCUGGAACAAAAUUCUUCCAUACCAAUGCAACCAUCAAGCAUGGGAGGAAUUUAAUCAGUAAUCUCAUUAAUAAUGAUGAUACAGUUCUCAGUGAUCACAAGGAAAAAGAGAAAAUUCUUUGGGAAGAUUUUAAAAUAAGGCUGCGUACCUUUGAGUUUGAAGGUUUCUUUGUAGUUCCUGAAUUCUUCAUCCUAAACAGUGUGAAUUUAAGCAUGCUUGAAGGGCCCUUUUCACAGGAGAAAAUUGAUAAUGUCAUCAAGAACUUACCCACAAGUCCCCUGACCCUGAUGGGUUCAAUAAUGAGUUCUUAAAGAGGUGUUGUGCAAGAAUCAAGCAUGACUUCUAUGAUCUUUGCAAUGCCUUCUUUGACAACUCAGUAUGCUUGAGAAGCAUCAACUCCUCAUAUAUCACCCUCAUCCCCAAGAUUGAUGAUGCCAAAAGAGUAGCUGAUUUCAGAAUUCAGACCCAUAUCUCUGCUUAACUCCUCUGUAAAGUUGAUCACUAAAGUCCUUGCCAACAGAGUGCAACCAAUUAUCAGCAGGCUUAUCCACAAAAACCAAUAUGGCUUCAUUAGGAGCAGAACUAUUCAAGACUGUCUGACUUGGUCGUUUGGGUACUUACGUCUCUGCCAUCAUUCAAAAAAACAGAUUGUCAUAAUAAAACUGGAUUUUGAAAAAGCUUUCGAUAAGAUUGAAUAUCAGGCCAUGCUUAGCAUCAUGCAAGCUAAGGGGUUUGGUCAGAGAUGGCUAAGAUGGAUCUGAAUGGAGUGCCUGGAAAGGCCUUUCACUAUAAAAGGGGUGUUAGACAAGGAGAUCCUUUUAUCUCCUUUGCUUUUUGUCCUAGCAGCAGACUUCUUGCAAUCAAUGAUCAACAAGGCUAAGGAUUUGGGACAGCUUAAUCUUCCAAUCCCAACUUUGAAUACCAGGUCUCAAAGUGAAUUUCAGCAAAUCAAUGAUGGUCCCAAUUGACGUCCCAAACGACAAGCUUGACGUUUUGGCAGCAACCUUUGGUUGUUCUAAGGGUAGUCUUCCCUUCACUUACUUAGGUCUACCCCUAAGCAUUGACAGGCCAAAUGCCCAUGACUUCCUCUUGUUAAUAAAUGUGAAAGAAGGUUAUCUGGUGUUUCUACUUUCCUGAAUCAGGCAGGAAGACUAAAGCUAACCAACGCAGUUUUUACUGCCCUACCAACACCGUUUGUUUCCUGAAUCAGGCAGGAGAGACCAAACGAGCGCAUGGAGGCGACCGUAUUCCAGUUCAUGGCGGCAGCUGCCGUCGUCUCCGCUGCUGGAGGAUGCGGGCGACGUGGUGCACGUGUCUGCAGAUGCGGUGAUUUGUGGUGGCGAAGCUAGAGGGCAGGGCUCGAUCGGCAAGGUGCACGCGUUCGCCCACGCCCACCAAGAAACAGCAACGGUGGUAGCCAUGAAGGAAGCAGGAGGAGGGGACGCAGAGAAAGGGAGGAGAAGGUGGAGGGAGGAAGAAUUACACCCUGGUGUGCUACCACUAGCUGCCUGUCACUCGUGGUCAUCUUCAACUAAGUGGCCCAUCCUCGAUGCCAUGCUCAGCCUCUUCUCAAUGCUUGCCUCGGUUUCCCUAUUGGAUGGACUGUAAAAAGGACACCAUUUUUGCAUCGAUGCUUCAAUUUCACAUGGACCCUGGCAGCGGAGCCGCGAGGGAGAGGGAAAGAGGUUUUCUGAACCCAAGAUCCCAUUUGUACCCAAAAAUAUUAGAGAAAUAGAAACAAGAGAGUUGUUAGUUUCCGUCUGUUUCAUUCCUAGUUGGGUAUAAGUUAGAAAAUGCCUCAAAUGAGUUUGUCACAUUAAGCAGCCACUAGUAGAGAACCAACUCACUACCUAGUGUCCAAGGUACGAGGAAAAUCCCAUGGCCCCUUAUAUAUGCAUGGUUCAUAGCUAGGCUACACAGGUGCAUGAAAACGAAGAAUUUUUCAGGUGCUAAUAAAGCUGUGAGAUAUGAUGACAGCAGAGGUGUGAGAUUCGUGGUAGUUUGGGGCUUAGGGGAGCUAGGGAGGUUGUCACUGCCUGGCAGUUUAGGAGGGAUCGAGCGAGGGCUUCACAAGUAGCUAGGUAGGUGGCCCGAAGGUAGAGCGGCAAAGUGUCAGAAGCAUUGUCGGUCAUGGCAACGUCGGACAAGCAAUGGUUGGGCGAGAGGGAGUAGACUGAUGGAGCCAGUUUUAGCGAGCAUGGAACAAUCGAGAACGAAGCAGCUGCUCCGGAGCCAUUGGAUUUUGCUUCAUUAGAGAUGUGAAUCAUUACCUUAUUAAUUAAAUGCAAAAAUUUUGGCACCCUACUAGUGAUAAUCGUACUAUCAAUUGUCAGUUCGUCUAUCCCUGGUUUACCAAAAAACCAAAAAAAUUUCAAGAUUUAAAAACUAAUUGCACAAUUUAUCUAUAAAUCACGAGACAAAUCUUUUAAGUCUAGUUACUCUAUAAUUAGACAAUGUUUGUCAAAUUAAAACGAAAAUGCUACAUUGUCAAAAUCCAAAAACUUUUUGGAUAUAAACAAGGCCUAACUGGCAAUAAUGCUAUAUCAUUGUUGGGACUUGGAUAAGCCGACAGUGAAAGGGUCUUCACUGCCGGUUAAAUAGGAUCUCUAAUCAUUGUCCAAAUAUAAUCCUAGGCUUACGAUCCGACAGUGAAGCGCAUAAUCACUGCUAGCUCCAUCGUACAUGGUACUCAUGGUCUGACAGCGAUUACCUAUUCUAUAGUAGUGUCUAGUCGUUUUUGUGACAUAAGCGUGAUAUUACUAUUAGGACAGCUCCAGUGUUGGCUGAACCGUGAAGUCCAGCACAAACGAAUUAAUCUAACAAGGUUCGAUGGCUCCAGUAUCUACAUCAGUUUAUGGGUCCCAUCUACAGGGCCAUCAUGGGGAAAUCCGAGGCCUUGUACAAAACUAAAAAAAUGAGGCCUAAAAACUUGAGAAAAAUAGGACUAAAAUAAGAUGCACGAUAUAAUAUAUUACAUUGCAAUAAGAUAUAUCAAGAAUGGUAGUUGCAUAAUAUUUACUUGAAUAACAUCAUUCCUUUAGUGUUCUAUGAAUCAAAAUUUUCAAUGAUAUACUCAUAAUCAAUCUUUUCCAACAUUUCGCUCUAAAGUGCUAUUAUAGCCAAAUUAUUAAGUCUUUCUAUAUGUCUUCAAUAGCUUCAGUUUCAACAUUAUUUUAGAUCAAAUAUAUCAGGCCGAAAAGAAUCACUAGCAUUCGGAGAAGGAUUCAAGUCAUAACUAUUAUUUGCCAUAUGAGUAUUUGUAUUUGUGUUGUCAGGAAGAGCUUCCUCAACUUCAACAUUAUUUUCCGAGGAUUUAUAGGAUCAUUGUCAACAUUAUUGUCAAUUGCUUGCCCCUAGACAAGUGGUGUCGGAUUAUCAGAUGACACGUGUGUAGGUUUUUUAAUAAACCUAUCCAUAGCUCUUUUUUUAGAUUAGAUUAAAUCCUCUAUUCUUUGUUUUUCUUACACUUUUUCGAACCUGAUUCAAAUUUUCUAGAGACAUGGCUUCAAUAUUUGAACACUAUUGCAGUUGGCAUCUAUAUGAAAAGACCAAAAGAAUAAAAUUUAGAGAUCGACUCACUACUCCCUAUAGUUUGCUGUGAUUGAAUUGAAAAAAAUUAUGAAUGAUUAAUAUUACCUUUAGGGCCCUAGCACCUCACCUAACCUAGGUCUAGGUGCCACGCUGCGGAACCUUGGACGCAUGCUCCUUGGAUGUCAUGGAGAAAAUAUCUUCGGUCGCCACCCCUGUCGGCCACCUAUAAAUAGACCACCCGAGCUGCCCCAAUUGCCUCGCCCCUUCCCUAAGUAAAAGCUCCUAGCUACUCCCAUAUUUUUAUAUCUCUAGAUUUAGAUUUAGGAUAUAUAUGACUAGAUAAAAUAUACGUAGAUGAAGUAUAUGACCAUAUUUGACUAUGUAAGGUGAUAUGUAUGUUAAGUAUGCAUGCAUAUAUACACUAUGUGGUUAUACUUAUUAUAUAUACUACCGUAGUGAUAUUUUAGUAAUAUAUUAAAAAAAAUAUGAAUUCAUUUAAAGUUUUUUGCACAAUAAGAUCUAGAGUAUCUUAAUAUGACUAUAUAAACAUACUUAAAUCAAGAAACAAAUAUGAACACAUACACAAUAUGGUCUAUUGAAGAUAGAAGUAUACGUGUAGAAAGAAAUUUUCCUAUAUAUGUAUAGGUCCAUUCAUGUCGUCUCACCAGCAAUGAUCUUGGUGGCGAGAUGCUGCUCCACUUCACCUACCCAAUCUGCUACUGCAUCAGGUGAAGUUAUGUGUAGUAAGUAUCGCUACUACUUUGUCAGCUGGCUGUAGGUGUAAGUGUCGCUGCUGACAAAGGUGUGUUGUGCUACUCAUGCUGGUAUUUUCUUCUGUAUUGUAUGGGUGCAUUUGGGAAGAUGCAAUUCAGUAGACAAUAGUUCAUAUACCAAUUGACAAGUAUACGAAGGAGAACGAGAACUCAAUCCUGCAAGCUGCAGCUAGUACCCAUAGACAGACUAAUCUCGCCAGUUGACCAAAACAACAACUACUUAACAUCAGAACCUGCCAAGCUAUUUAUCCGGUCUAGGUAUCUAGCUGCUCACUUUGCCAAGACAUUGAACCUGUCUAUUUCUUGUGCUUUGUUGAUGGUAAUGUCAGGGUCAUCUCAGGGCUUAACAUUUUGGCAUUUCUCAAGCUAGAUAUACACUUGUAUAGUGUUUUUAAUCCUUAUCCUUUGAUUUAUGUUGGUUUCUCUGAGUUCAUGAAAGCAAAGUUAAGAGAGAUUUAUACAGAGUCAAAAGAAAGACACAUGUUUGACGGACUAAAGGAGCUAAUGAUUACAAAUAAUUCCAUAAUUUAUCUGCUAAUUUUUACUAGAUGAUCCUGACCCCUGACCCAUCCAUCUCCUCCGCCGAGCCAUCGGAACCCAGUCUAGCGAGAUCCACUCCUUCCCCAUCCGCUUCUCCCCAUCUACGCCUAGACCCGCCACCACCUUCUCCUGAUCUAUCCUUUGGUAGGUCAUUCUUUGUGGGGUAUAAACCCCUAUACCCUUAUGGCUAGACUUGGGCCACGAGAUUUGACCCAUUACAAGAUAGCUUGAGGCUUCAUCCAAUUACUUGGAGUUUCACGCAAGGAAACGAGACUUGGAGAUUAAUUAGGAUUCUAGUCGGUUAGAAUACACCACUCCAGAUGAGUUUUGUCCCGUCGGCUGGGAGCACUCCCUGCGGCUGCGCGUUCUCCGUCAGAAACACAGAAGCAUUCCUGACGUUGCCGCUGGACCGUGCUGAAAAGUCUUUCUCGUCAGUGCCUGCCGUCAGGGGCAGAUUUUCGGGCCUUCCCCGCACACAAUCCAGAGCUUCACGCCCUCGUGAAUGCUUUUGGCGCGCCAAAACGAAGCCUCCCGCGCUGCUGGCCGAGACGCGCGUCCAACUCCAGCGAAUUAUUUCGUGGCUGACCCAUCUCUAUCCUCAAAAAAUCUUCCAUCCCUAUCCAGUUUCUGACCCUGCCUCCACCUCCCCCUCUCUCUCCCCUACCUCCAGAGCUCGCUUCCGUCGCCCAGGCACCCGUGAGCUUGAGGCCGGCCGCCGCGCGCCCCCAGCCACAACAACUGGCAGCUGUGGCACGCCGCCCGCUGCGACUCCGCCCGCCGCCCACCGCGACUCCGCCCGCUAGCUGCCGGCCGCGACUCCGGCUGCAACAUGGCCGGGGCAUGACGCGACGCUGCUGCAAGACACCACCGCCGCCCACCGCGGCUCCCCCAGCCACCACCUCUGCCAACCACUAGAACACCGCAGGCUGCGGGUGCCUACACGUAGCCACCACCAACCCCUCCCAUCGCCCCGAGGCACGAGCCCACCACGGUGUCGUCCGAAUCGACUUCGAUGCUGCCGGCCAUCCCUCAACAACAGCCAACAGCGCUGCCGCACACCGACCUGAAGGGCAGCAGCAGCCCCCUCCACAUCCGUAAGGUGCUCCAUCUUUUCUUUUUUGAUUACAAUUUAGAUUUUUCCCCAUCUUCAGAUCCAUGAAUUAUGCAUAUCUUGUAUUUUCUUCUUCCUCUUGUUGAUUAAUGCGCUCAUCUAAUUUUAUUUUGCCUGCUAUGGCAUUUGAAUGUGGUGGGGGCUUCUUUGUUACUGCAGCACCUGACGAGCCAGAGCAGCAAUAGCUUCUGAACCAAUAACUCUAGCAGAACAAUUUGACUCUCACUGACGGACAGCAAGGUCAGAACACACGAUAUAUAUUCUUGAUCUGUGCUAGAUUAGCUAUGGUGAAUUAACUGCUUUCCCUGCACCAACAUUGCAAUAUUAAAGUUUGGUUGUAGUAAGGACCUAAAGAUUUUGCUUCCAGUUCUUUCAAAGCUUGCAUCUAGAUGUGCUUUUGAUUGAUGUCCAGUGACUAUUUUUGCUCCUCUAAAUAUACAGAUUAAGUCACUUGUCAAUGAAUUUUGCUGCUCUAUUUUGCACAAAUUUAUACAUAACACAAGUCUCUAAUGACUAAUUUUUGCUAUAGAUGCUCUAUUUUGCAUUCUGAUUCACUGAUUAUGGUGUGCUAGCUAUAUAGGAAAUCUGAUAUUAUGACUUUUAGUGUUCUACUAUUAGCUGUAUAUGAAUUUUUAUUUUGUUUUACUGAAGCAAUUUGUGAUAUGUCUAAAUUUCUAAUAGGUUUCUCACUGUGAUCUGGUUGGCUGUUGCUGCUUCACUUGGUUCUCUGGUUUGUGAAGCGACCUUGAAGUCUUGGACAACUACUGUGACUCAGCUAGCUGCUGGUUAGUUCUCAUCUUCUUAUACAAGCUAUCAGAUAAGAUAUGGUAGAUUGUGAGUGGAUGUAUAGUGGUUGGAAGCGUGGUAGGCUAUCAAAUGGGUUGAUAAAACAAAAGAGUUUUUGGAUCAUGCCUUCUCAGUCCCUGAAUUAGUUGAGUCUGAUACAAUUAGGUGCCCUUGUUCCAUGUGCCGGAAUUAUUUCAAGCAUAAAAGGCCUAGGAUAGAGCUACAUUUGUGCCAUGAUGGGUUCAAGGAAAAUUACCAAACUUGGACAGCACAUGGGGAGAGGCAGGGAAAUCAUAACCUUGAGAUUGGUUCUGGGGUAGAAUGUGAGGGAUUUGGUGAGACAGAUCGGAUGGAUGCUAUGCUAGUUGACUUAGCUGGUGAGAACCCACCAUUAGUUGAUGAAACACCAACUGGUUUUGCAGAAGCCUUCUAUAGAAUGGUUGUUAGUGCAGAUGAGCAAGUACAUGAGCAAACCUUGCACUCUAGGCUCUCUGCUGUCGCUCGUCUAUUGGCCAUUAAAUCACAGUGCAUUAUCUAUCUACAGUUCAAGGUUCAUAGACAUUGAUUAUGUAUUUUCACAUACAUCUCAUUAUUAACAAAGUACAAAUAGAGAUACCACCGGACGUGCUUCAGGAAGAAGAAAAUGAUAUGGUAAGAUUAACAUCUUAAUCAAUUUUCACUCUAUCCACCUGAACUGCAAGCAGACAAUAUGCUAAAAUCCUAUACUAAAAAUAGUUUAUACACAAAAUAGCAGCUGCCUAUGUACCAAUAUUUGUGUCCAGUGAAUGAAAUUGUGCAGCUGCUUGCCUUCUGGAAUGGUCAUAUUAAUUUGUUUUGGUUGUAGGGAGGGACUAUAGGUGGAUCAUCUCGUGCCUCAGCCAACAUGGACAGGGACAACAGCGAUGGCCAUUAAGUUGUGCGGUGCCAGGAAGUAUUUUGUGAAGCCAAAGUCUUUUGUUUAUCUACUAUGGCUAAUAGCAACGACCAGCAAGUUCGAAGGCCGUGCAUGUGUCAUGCUGGGUAUUUUGGUUGUGCGUGGGCUGCUGCAUAUUUAGAUUGUGAAGCAACAUAUGCAGAUUCCAUCGCGCUUCAAGACAUGUGUGCUAGUUGUGGAGUACCAGAUUGUUUAUUCCCUGCAGGCAUGCUUAUGUAGAAGUGGGUGCAUACUGCUAUCAAACUACAGCUUGCUACUUAUAGACUUCCUGGGUCAAGGAAGGUCGAUUUUUUGGCUAUCUUGUGCAGAAGUGGUUGUGUACUGCCAUGAGAUAGCAGCUAGCUAGCUGAAGUUGUGUUGGGAGAUAGAUAGCACCUAGUCGUGAGGUAGCACAAAACUUGUGCUGCCGGUUAGGUAUCUAACUAGAAGGCACUAAUUAUUAUAUAAUUUUGUAUGAAUGAACAACUUGAAUGAUGUUCUAAGAUUAUAUAAUAUUUAUUACUUUAGUGUGGAUGAAUGGCUAUAUCAGUCCCUGUAAUAUUGUGUAUAAUCGUUAAUUACUUGCUAUGAACAGCGGUUAAAUAAUCAGUGAUUUUGGGUGUGUAAUUGACUGGAAAUAUUUCCCGGACGGAGGUAAACCGUCAGGAAUCUACAACCAUGACGGCAAACAAGCUGACGGGAAAGCCUAUUUCCAGGCCUGACGGUUGAGCAGACGACGGGAAAAGUUGAAACUAUCCCUGACGCGAUUCAUGCGUCAGGAAAAAUGUUCCUGACGGGAAGCCUGCCAACCGACGUUGUAGACCUUUCCUGACGGUCGCAGCCGCCAGGGAACUGUUCGUGACGGUUUUCCAUCAGGAUAACCUGACUAUUUGUGACGUUUUUUCCUGACGGGUUAUCCCUGAUGGUAACCAUCAGGGAUGACUUUUUCUCCACUUUCCCUGACGGAACCGGCUGUUAAGAAAAAAAGUUGUCUGGCGUGGUGAUAGGAGUUAAUGUCGUAUUAUCUGUAGCAGUUGUUACCGACUAGAAUUAGUUUCUAGAUUUAUAACCCUGCCCUCUGGACUAUAUAAGGAGAGGCAAAGGGACCCCUUAGUUCAAUUCAACACAUCUCAGAUCAAUACAAUCAGACGUAGGACGUAGGUAUUACGCCCAUACGACGGCCGAACCUGGAUAAAAACAAACCUUGUUCGUGUCUUGCGUCACCAUCAAGUUCGUAGCUUGCGCACCUGUCUACCGAUAAUCUACUACCAUAAGUAGACUACCGACUAGCUUUCGUCGACAUUCUCCAGCCCUCUCCAUCCUAUCCUGCCUUCGCCCACAGGUCACUAGUGCCUUCGUUCGAGCAUGGCUUGCACGCGAACAGCAGCUGCGUCAGCUCCUACUCCGUGUCUGGUGACCACGGACCUGCGCUAGAGCCCACUCUAGGACUUGCGCCCACCCUCUCGGCAACCUCCCUCGACGACGGCGUGGUGGCCUCGCCAGGGACAGUGAAGCAGCAACUCAAGGACGAGGCGACGGUCCUCAUCGAGGAUUCUUGGUUGGCAAUAGCGAAGAUGAAGAUGAUGACAACAACGAUUACGACAGUGGACGAGACAGUGGCUGAUUCCCAGUCGAAAUGCAUGCUUCCUGGUGAUGGUUGUGGCCAUAUGAAGUACCUUGCCGGAUCCGUCGUUCCAUCACUCCAUUAAUUCCGGCCGUGUGAAUCAAACAUAUGUCCUUAAUUAAUCUCUGCAUGCUCUCCUUGUCAAUGUGGUAUGUGGCAGUUUAAUUCUACCGGUGCUGUGGCUAGAUCCGGCGAUCUAUAUACGAUCGAUUUGGUGAGGUGACGAGGCACAAGGGCCAUGAAUAUGUAGUGGGGCCGAUGGUGGCUGUGUGGCGAUGUGGGGUCACUGCUAAGGCUCGGAUACCGCAUGGGCAUUAUAACGAUUUUAAAUAAAAAAAAAUUUAUAGACCACAAAAUUCCUGUGUAUCUAGUAUAAAGUUAUAAGUUCGUCUUCAUCAUACGUACGUCAAAUAAGUAUGGAAUUUUUCAUGGAAAAAAAGCCUAUCACUACCCGUUUAAGUCAAGAACCGGCAAUGAUCACCUAAAUAUCACUCUUGGAUGAUCUAUCACUACUGGUUCAAGCCACCGACCGGUAGUGAUAUCCUAUCACACUACCAGUCCUGGCUACUAAAUGGUAGUGAUGAUACACUAAUAUUUUCUGUCGGUCCAUUAGAAAUCGGUAGUGAUGGGCCGAAGAUAUAUAUAGUGAAUGUCAAUUAUGUAUAAGUAUCCAAUUUCUACUCAAUGUAAAUUGUAGUUUUAUUCAUGAAGCACGACAAUAAUAUAGUUUUCUUUCAGUAAAUAAAAAGUACAUAAGCUCUUAGAUGUGUGCCGAUGUGUGGUACGUACACACGCACAUCUCACCCGGCCGGCCGUGUUAAAAUUAUGGUAUUAUAAUAUUAUUACUGUGUAAACUGAGCUCGUGCAACAUAAACAAUCGGCAGUUUGACCACAUCCACCACCUUCUCCGUCAUGGCUUCUUCAAACAAGUCUCCGGUGAUCUCGUCAUCAGAUGUUAGUUCCUUGCUGACAUGAACACUCUGCACAAGGAACAUGUCAUGGCAUUGCAUGUCGUUGGACGGCGGUACCUCCUCCUGUGCUGGCAACGUCACCAAGACAUAGCGUUUGGAACAUGGUGGCAUAAUCCCUUUGCUGGGCUCUGUGUAGUACUUGGUUCUGUUAGUCUUUAUGUUAAAUGCAAUGGAGGCUUCAGUUAGGUUUGUCAACUGCAGACAGCACGAUAUGUCCUUUUUUGGCUCGAAUGCAAAGCGCAGCUCCAGGGUCGGAUCGACGGCAAGAAUGUUGGAGUCAGCAGGGCUCCUGAUCUGCAAGAAACAAGGGGGACCGAUAAUGCAUCAGCAUAUAUAUGCUAGUUUCUCUACCUUCUUUCAUUAUUUAUAUCCUAGCGUUUGACAGAUCAGAGACAUCUCUGUGUGUGUGUGUGUGAGAGAGAGAGAAGUUUUUUUAAAAAAAAACUUUUUUGUUUAUAAUUUCCUAAAAACUGGUGUACCUGUUGCUGGCCAAUUAGGUUUUUUGACUGAUCAGAAGAGAGUAAGAUUUCCUUGAUCUUAGAUUCUAGUUGUUCCAGUUCUUUGACAAUGUCAUUUACAGAAGGCCGCUUCUUUCGGUCAUCACGUACACAUCUUAGUGCUAUAUCAAGACAAGCCUUCAGUCGUAGGAUGUUUAUUUCUUGUGAUGAACUCCCCGAUCUGCCCUGCAGCCUUUCCUUCCAGCUGUUAGUUACCUACAAAAUUGGUGAACAAAGUUAAAAAAGAUGUGUGAUGUUCAUGCAGACAGAUUACACACACACACAGCGAGAGAGAGAGAGAGAGAGAGAGAGAGAGAGACGCACGAUAGUAAUUUUGUACUUACAAGCUCAACAAACUCUUCGUGAGGCAAAUUAUAACAGCGGGGGUAGCCUAUAUUUCCGGCCAUUAUUUUCAGGAUUAUGACUCCCAAGCUGAACACGUCAAACUUCAUCGAUAUAAAACCCUCCUUCAUGUAUUCAGGUGGCAUGUACCCCCUUGAUAUGAUGAUAUAACAAUGCAAGAAGGUAUACAUGGUUAGUGCGUCAGUGCGUGUACAGUGCAAUACGAACGCUUGCUUGUUUUAGGUUCAACUAAAAAACCAAAAAAAUUUCAAGAUUCUCCGUCACAUCGAAUCUUGCGCCAUAUGUAUGAGCAUUAAAUAUAGAUGAAAACAAAAACUAAUUGUACAGUUUAUCUAUAAAUCACGAAACGAAUCUUUUAAGCCUAAUUACUCUAUAAUUGGACAAUGUUUGUCAAAUAAAAAUAAAAGUGCUAUAUUGUUAAAAUCCAAAUUUUUUUUAGAUGUAAACAAGGUCUUAGAGCAUUGCCAAAAUAACUGCUAGCUAGCUAUGCGUCAGGUCAACUUACUGUGUUCCUGUGAUAGUCUCUGUUUUAUGGGUAUCUGAUGAAGUAACAAGUCUGGACAAACCGAGAUCUCCGAUUUUUGGCGUCUUAUUCUGAUCAAGCAAUAUAUUAGCAGGUUUUAAGUCCAGAUGGAAAAUAGGUUUUCCCCGUGCGUUAUGCAGGUGGUUUAAGCCCUCACAGGUCCCUUUAAUAAUUUUGUAACAUGUCGGCCAGUCAAGAUCACAAGAUUCAUCUGUAAUGGAAAAAGCAAACGUAUGAAUCAUGCAUAUCUUUUAGCUUGCUAAUGAAUAGUACUCUCUUAAUUCCAAAUUUUAACCCGUUCUGUCUUUUUUGUAGAUGUAAUUUCGCUACAUAUCUAGAUAUAUAUAUUAUGUCUGGUACGUGUAAGGAAAACCAGAACAACUUAUUAUUACCACCAGAAAGAAUAGUCCAGGUAGUAUAUAUAUAUAUACCUGAAAUAUGUUUAUCAAGGCUUCCACCUUGCAUAUAUUCAAAGCAGAGAACGCGCUCCAUUUCUUUAGCACGGACUAACUCUCCGUUGUGCGUAACAAACUUCAUUUUUAAUGCAUAGCAGUAGCCAAGUAGCCUCACGACAUUUUCAUGGUCAAUCCCCCUAAGGUUACGGAAUUCCCUCUCAAACGAUUUAUCAUCUAGCCCUUGGAGCGGGUGAAGCUUCUUCACAGCAAUCACUUCCCCAUUAUACACGCCCUGUUGUUGUGAUUUAGGGACUUGUUAGCAAAUUAAAUGGCCCAAAGAAGCCAAAAAAAAAAGAGAGUACGUAGUCAUUAGUCAUGCAUACCCGGUAAACAUCUCCAUACCCACCACUGCCAACUUUUUGGUCCUCUGAAAACUUGUUUGUAAUUUUUUCAAGCAACUCGAGUUCAAUGUCCAUGUCCUUACCCACGAGGCUCAUCUUGGAUCUGGUUCCUGCAGGGGACAAAAAAAAAAAGACUAUUCAUCACUUGAGUUAAUCCUAUUCAUAAGUAUACCACUGACCUUUGGUUUCCUGCCUUAGGGAAGACGAUAUGCUGAAGAUUAGGCAAGAGUGAAUUUCGAUAUGCCACUGACCUUGGUCCUUGGCCUGGGGUAAAGGGUUGAGGAGUUGUGGAUAUUUGGAAGGGAAAGAGCUAUAUAUAUAUAGUUUGAUGAGGAUCCCAGUAGGCAGCAGUAUCAGAAUUCAGAACAUGGAGGUAAUCGGUUACAUACGCGUAUAUAUAAUAUAUAAUAUAAAAAAAUAAAGAAUAUAUAGAAAAGAAACAACAAAGUUGACUUUGACUUUCGACCCCUACUAAUCGAUGGAGGCGCAUAUCUAUCCCUACUACUAAAUUGUGAAAAUUUCAGUCUGCCAAAAUUUUUUUUCUGCCGCUCCCGUCGGUCCCCGAGUCGGCCUCGGCACGCUGCUCGUCUUCAUAGACAUCUACGGAUUCUUCUACGACACGAUGAUGCAUCCGCAAAGGUACGGAAUCAUCCAGUCCACCAGAGGAUGCUGCGGCACGGGCCUUCUCGAGGCCGGUCUCCGUCCUCCACCGUCUGCCAGGACGUCAGCGACUACCUCUUCUAGGACAGCUACCACCCCACGGAGAAGGUGUACAAGGUCCUGGCCGACUUCAUCUUCGACAAUUACGUCAAGCUCAUCCUCGUCUAGCUCAUCAUCAUCAUCGUUCAUUUGAUUAUUUGAUUGAUGAAUCUAGAUCUCCGUCCUCUGGAUCGGAUAUACUUUGCAUUAAUUGCAUGUUUACUGCUAGCCGCUGUAUUUAAUUACAUUUGCUUUCUUCUUCUUCUAGACUGGAUCUCUCUAUAUUUAUUUAUAGUUUAUUGUUACUCUCGAUCUAAAAGGACAAUCUAAAUUAACCCCCCUGAAUUUGCCUAAAUCACACACAUAUGUCAUUAUGUCAUAUGAAAAUGAAUAACGAUCCUUCAAAUCCAAGUAUAGAUAUUAUAAAAAAAAUCAACACACACAAACGCGCGCGUGCGCACACACACACAAUACAUUUUUAUCUCUACUAAAUUAAAAGUAAGCAUGAUGCAAUGUGCUAACAAUGUUCACUUGACAAACCAUAUAUCAAUUAUACUAACACUACUUCAAUUAAAAUUAAUAUUCCAUAGUAAUAAAUUUUUUAUGUUGCUAUUUUAGAUAAGUUUAUAUGUUUUGACUGAAAUAUUAUGUCAAAUCAACAUUGAUAAUUUAAUUUUAGGCACUCUAGGUUUCUUUAUAAAACAAUACUACCACAUAAUUCUCUGAUAUAACAAAUUCAACAUCUUGAGUGUAGCAGGUGUGAUAUAUAGUUACCUAAAUUUACAUAUAGUAACCCACCCAUCAUUAUGAUAGAUACUCUAUGUAAUCCAUUAUUUUGCAUUUAAAUUUACCACUUUAGCCAUUAUUGAAAAAACAAAAAAGUAUCCUCUCAAACCUACAUCUAAAUUACCAAUUAAACAAUUAUUAAAAACAGUAAAAUAAUCUCUCAAAUCUCUACAUCUAAAUUACCAAUGUCUACUACUAUGGAAAUACUUAAAUAAUCAUUGAUUACACAUAUAUGUAUUCCAAAAUUCCUACAUACUUAAAAUGGUUAAAGUAAAUAUACAUGUUGUACCAUCAUAAAAAGCAAGUAAACAUGCAAUUAAUGCAUGAGUGACGAAUAUAUACGUUAUGUGUUAACAACGAUGAACAACAUUGCCUUAGCGAGUCACAUAUGAUUGAUGCAAACAUAUUAUUUAAAAUACUAUUAAUGUACAUGACAUUAUUAUUUAUAUGUUACAUUUGUAUACAUUUUAACUAAAAUGUUUGUCAUACCUAUAUUGAUAGAAUAAUUGUGAAAAAUAUAUUAUUUAUCACAAAGCAAUGUUACUACAUACAUAUAAUUUUAUGAUAAGUGAAAAAUCAAACAUUUUGAGAAGUGGAGGGUGUUAGUAAAAUCCCAAGAUAGCUACACUGUCAUGGUCUUUGUGCUUCCUUUGGAGGAAACAAUGAUUAUAGGGAUUAAAUAUUAGGUCUUGUUUGGUAGGGCUCUUCCUCAAGAGCUCAACCAUAAGAGCUAGAGUUGUUUUGAAUGAGCCAUAGUAUAUGGCUCUAGUUCCUCUUUUUUCAUUGAAAAACAUUUUCUCAUACUAAACUAUUUGGUAAGGCUUCUCCUGAGGAGCCGGAGCCACACAGAAGCCCUACGAAACGAAGAGCUUUGAAGGUUAUCAUGAUGUUGAGCAACGCUGUGGAGAUUCCAAUAAUAGCCAUUUAUUUUAUUGUAGUAUUUAUGCGAGUACAAUUUGCAACAUAUCCUUAUUAAAAAACUACAAAAUAAGAGUUAAUAAAGAUAAAUAGGCCUGAAAGUUCCAAUUUAACCAUCUACAUUGUAUUAUGUAUUUGUGAAAAAAAUCUUUACCAUAAAAUUUGGAAAUCAAAUUCUAGAUCCCAUAACAAGGAUAUGUCUCACGAAUACUGGAGCACGGACUGUGUUGGCUAGUGAUGAAAACGGAUCGGAUACGAACGAAUAUCAGUAAUAAUAUCAUCACAUUUGUUUUCAUAUUUCUGUCUAGAUUCAGAUUCAAAUACAUAUAGUAUCAACUAUGCCAGCAGGGCCGUCUCUAUAAUUUUAAGGGCCCUUGUGCAAGCAAAAGGGUAAGGGCCCAUCAAAUAUUUUUUUUGAUAUGUCAAAUAUAUAAAUAUAUAGUACAACUAAAAAGAAUUAAUUUGCACCAUAUGUUUUAGUUUAUAAAAGGUAAUUAUAGUACAACAAAUAAAUAAGUAGAAUAUAAUUAGAAAUUUAGAACUCUAUCACUUAAUACUGAAAACAAAAUUGGUAAAGUCUCGAUCAGCUAUGCCCUUGCUCUUUCUGCUCCGGUGUUUAGUAGUGAUAUCGUGUGCGGACGUGUGGUGUUAGCGUGUCAUGGAGCCACAUCGUUGCAUUGGACGAUUGGGCAGUAGGACGAGGAGACAAUAAAGAGGAACAUUGAUCUGCUCAACUAAUCGAUCAAGCGAAAAUAUGAAGCAACACCGGCAAUAGGUGGAUGUGGAUGACGUGUUGAUUAAUGGAUUUCUUUUUUUAGAUUAAUUGAUGGAUUUCUAUAGUGUCUGUAUAAGCCUCCAAAAAAUUAGACAAAUCUAUAUAUAUAUAUAUAUAUAUACACUUAUAGGCCCCUUAGCGGUUUGGGCGAAACAGCGGCACCGGCACUUGCCGACGUGGCGACUUUGACUUUCCCGCUAGCCGAUAAGAUUGCAUAUAUACUAGUUUGCUGGGAAAUAAUGCCAGAACGGACGGAUGGAUUCAUUUGAACCAACUAGCUCCGUGCGGCGCGUGGGGUUAUGUACGGGCGUAGAUAAAUAAACAGAGAACACACCAAAACACACGAAACAAAAACUCGUUGACCUUAUCUUUAUUUAUAGAAUGCUUUUCUUAACUUUAUUUAUAGAAUGCUAAAAGCAUCUUCAACAAUUUUGCAUCUGGAUUUGGCAUCUUUAAAUUUUUAGGAAAAAGAGAAAAAACGCUUUUCAAUACGCACGAUUCACUGGACGCAGAUGAAACAUAUUCUAGCUGCUGCGAGUGCUACUGAACGGACGUUGUACUACCUGCGAAUGGACACCAUGCUAGUGAUGCAAAGUAUUGCUGCCCGUCAGCUUAGUAGGUGCUAGCUGCUUACCUGUUUGCUAGCUGCAAGUGCAAGCGGCGAGUGCUACUACUGAUGUGACGAAUGGAUGUAACUUUAGAGACAUAAGUGCCAGGCUGCUCAACGACUAGGGCCUUGUUUAGUUCACCCUGAAAACCAAAAAAUUUUCAAGAUUCCCCGUCACAUCGAAUCUUGUGACACAUGCAUGAAAUAUUAAAUAUAGACGAAAACAAAAACUAAUUACACAGUUUAGCUGUAAAUCACGAGACGAAUCUUUUGAUCCUAGUUAGUCCAUGAUUGGAUAAUAUUUGUCACAAACAAACGAAAGUGCUACGGUACCGAAAACUUUUCACUUUUCGGAACUAAACAAGGCCUAAGAGGAGCAGACGGGAAGGACUCGGCGACGGCGGUCAUCUUAGGUGCGCGCGCGAAGGCUGUGUCGCGGAAAGUGAGAUCGUUGGGAAAAAACAGGUUUGUGGGUCCAAAUUUUCAUUUUGGGAAAUCAAUUAUGCUAAACCAUUGGAGAUGAAUUCUUUAUUCUCUCCCUAAAUUAUUUUGGAAGUUGACAAACAUCAUGAUUUGUCUCAAAAAAAAAAAUCAAAUCAACUUUGCUUGAGUUUAUCAGCCGAAUCUGCCACAGUGUUUUUCUCUCACAACAAAUCAGCCAAUAGUAUUUUCUGCCAUGGUUUAUCAGCCAGGCUUGUGUCACACUACUGCAGAAACGAUUAACACAGGCGUGGUCAAAAUAGAUUUCCAAACUGUCUCUGCAAAAUAAUGUGUUAAUCUGUUAUUUCUAGAGAUGGCUGGAUCAACCGUCUCUAUUAGUUGCUUUAUCAGAGGUGGUUUGUUUAUGCUUAGGGAUGAAAAUGAUCGGAAAUGAUCAAUAGAAGAUCAAAUUACUUUUAUUUUCAUAUUUUUCUCUAAAACGAAAUCAAUAUGGUAUUAUCAGAAAUCAAUAUGGUACCGAUAUUCUGGUAGUCGAUCAGAAAAUAAAUCGAUAACAAAAGGAAACUAAGAGAAUGAUAUCAUUAAAAAUGAUAAACAGGCCAAACUAUAGAACACGAGAAGAACCAUAUAUAAGACCUAUCUUACAUGACAAUAUUAAAUGAAGCCACAACUGACAAGACCACAAGCUAAAACCAUAGUUCACACCAUUUUAGAUCUCAAACAAGCUAAACCUUAGAGUCCAUUCGUAUUCAUAGUCACUAGAGUCAUAGGUGUAUGUAAUUGGAUGAUUGCCUUCUUGUUCCUAUACUGAUGAAAUACUUGUCAUAUAGUUCCUUUUCAAAAAGAAAAAAAUAUUUAUCUUAUGUGCUUGUGUUUGUGCAGAUGAGAUGCUAGGGCCAACUCUACUUAAAGUAUAUGUUUUAUAUAGUCCCUAAAAUUAAAGGCCUUUAAAUCGGUAACUAUCGAUAGUAAAUUACCGGCUGAAUACGUACGGUAAUCUUAAAAAGUAAUUGAAAUGUGGCAAAAUCGUUUUCGUUUUCAUUUUUGGUUUUUAUCAUUAUCAUUUUUAUUUUUCUGGUUACCACUACCGUUUUCGUUUAGGCCUGAAUAAAAAAAAAACUAGGAAACGAUCUCUGAAAGUAAAAAAAAAUUUCAUUUUCGUUUUCAUCCUUAUUUAUGCGCAUUUGAAUCACAUCGAUUAUCUUUUCUUAGUAUCUGUUUAAAACCAACACUUAAUAAUUGUUUUAAGGAGGUAACGGGCGCCACAAGAAAUGAACUAGCCCGAUCAUGUAUGGCGUGGCAGAGCGCCUGUGUUUCUAGUAGUCUAUGCAUCUAAUAAAGUACUAGCACCAAGGCACACAUUAAACUUAACGAGAUGUGUGAACGUCAUGUAGUGCUGCCCAACCUUAUUAGUGGUCUUCAGAUUCAAAAUCUUUCAUGCCGUUGUGAUUGAAUUUGUUUCCGUGAUGGUAAUACUCAUAUAUAGGAUUGUAAGUUAGGUUGAUCAAGCUUCUUAAUUAUGUAUUUUUCAGAUACCAUGAGAUACUGAGAAUCAAUUGCACAGAGACGGUUGGUACUACAGCCACUCCUACAAAAAUGCUUAUCGCGUAAUUAAAUCAAAUUUACAUAAAAAAUAACAUCCUAAACAAUAUAAUUUAAAAAACUAAAAAGAAAACUUACCUUUCUUAGCCACCUCCACCUCCUUCCAAGAAAUGAAGAUCAAAACCUCCACCCUUGUAUUUUGAUCUGUUGAAAAGUUAGUAAAUUAAUUGAAAUAUUAUCUACGAAUAUUUGUUAUCAAAAAUAAAAGAACACCUAACAAUUAAAUCAAAUUGAAAAAGUAAAACAAGUAUCAAAAAUAAAGACAAAACCAUAAAUAUAUAUCUUUAUAUCACUAAAAUAAAUUUGACAAGGUACAAAAACACUGUUGAUUGAAACUAAAUAUAUUAUAUCACUAAAAAAUUUGAGAAGGAAACAUGGAAAUGGUGAGAGGAGAGGCAACAUCUGAAGCAACCUCAUAUAUAAAAAAUGCUUAUCGCAUAAUUAAAUCAAAUUUACGUAAAAAAUAACAUCCUAAACCAUAUAAUUUAAAAAACUAAAAAGAAAACUUAUCUUUCUCUCCCUUCCCAAGCAUGGAAACACCAUUCAUGGAAACUUCUACAUAUAUAUUUCUUGGAUUCACAAAUUAGGGAAGGAAACAUAAAAAAGAAGAUAGGAGAGACAUCAUAUAUCCAUCUUAAGCAACUUUAUUUGAGCAAAAUAGACCAUACCUAGCUAUUCUACUCUCUCUCUCUCUUAUGGUGAAACCCUAGAUCCAAAAAGUAGCUCAAAUUGAGCAAGAGAGCAAAAAAAGAGGCAUUAGAGGCAUCAACUAACCUUUCUUAGCCACCUCCUUCCAAGAAAUGAAGAUCAAAACCUCCCCCUUUGUAUUUUGAAAAAUCUGGACCUCCAAGAUGGGCUGCAAUGGAAGGUGGCUGCGAGCUACAGUUCUGCCCGAGGAGGAAGAAGGGGCUGGUGGUAUUUAUAGAAAGAUAAAUCACAGGCGGUUUGUUAUGUGAACCGCCUGUGUAAAUCCAUUAACACAGGCGGUUCGCAUAACUGAACCGCCUGUGUAAAUGGUCCAUUUACACAGGCGGUUUUUUUUACAAUAACCGCCUGUACUGAGCCUUUUAUACAGGCGGUUUUCAAUUCUAGCCGUACAAAUUUUCAACACAGGCGCAUUAUAACUAAAACCGCCUGUAGAAAUGUUUUACCCCCGCCGGCUUAGAACCUCUGUGUACUAGUGAAAUCAGUUUUAACAAGUUUUCUGGAAGUCAGUUUUGUAGACUAGUAGUUGAGCUAGGAAGAUGUUAGUUUUGAUGGUCGUAUAGGCAGCCUGCAUGCAGACUGUUUCUUGUCGGAAGGACAUGGACGAACUCACGAACCUAUCGAAAUAAUAUUUGCUAUUGACACCAAGUCUUGCGACAGAUGCAUUAUUCAUCAGUUGGUGUGCGAGGAGCCGAGGAUCAUAGCUGGCUGCACUGUCUGCAUACUUCGAACAUGGCAACCAGGCACAUAAUAAUCCAAGUGAGCUGGAGUGAUUGGUGGAUUUCUGCGAGAGUUCGGAUCUAGCUAUAGCAACCCUUCAAAGCUCUUAAUUAGUAGUUGAAAUUUUAGUAAACACCAUUAAAUACAACUUGUACGUUUGCAUAUUAUGGACGACUAAACACCACUUGUACGUUUACUUUGUGUAGAGAACCAGUCAAUUUCGCUGUCAAAGAACUCGGUUAGUUCACAACUGCAAGCAGGUACCCAGAUCGCCGAUUGGUACGUAGAUUAUGUUGACAGAAAUAAUGUUUCAGCAAUCAAAAUGAAGAGUUCAACAACCAUACGAUGGGAAACGCAUGGUCAGCAAGAUGGAAGCUCAUUUAUUUGGAUCAUGAAUUGGCACUAGCAUAUAUAGAAGUGGGCUCUACAGCUAAUUAUUCGUAACGAGGUACUGACCUACAUAUAAUAAUAACAAGAGGCGCAAACUAGCUAGAGGCGGCAAUGGAUUUAGAUAAUCCAAUUUGCUUUAAUUUGGAUAAUGGAUACACAUGGAUGUGAUCAAUUGGGAUUUGGUUGUUCAUAAUCAUAUCAUCCAACAAAAAUUAAAAUUCCUUUGUCAUGAAGUCCAGUGUCCAAUGGAUUUAUGACUUGACUAGGUAUAUAUAGACCUUAAUGUCUACCUUUAAGUUUACAACAUACUCCCUCUAUCUCUGAAAAUUCAAUUCCUAGAGUUGCCUAAUAAGUCAAAGUUUUUAAACUUUGACCAAAUUUCUAGAAAAAACCACCAAGAUUUAUGGUAUGGAAUUAGUAUCAUUAUAUUUUAAUUUAUAGAAUACAUUUUCAUAAAAUGCUCAUUGUAUAUCAUAGAUAUUGUUAUUUUUUUUCUAUAAAGUUAGUCAAACUGAAAAAAAAUAGCUCAGAUUAUAAAAAUUGAUUUAUUUAGGGAAUGAGGGAGUAGGGCCCACAUAUAUCGAGUCACAUCGAUUUGCACAAAGUAGCGAUCAAUCUACUAAGUCAUCUCCAAUAAAUUUCAGUUAUUUUUGCUAAACUUUUUAAGAUGUGUGAACGUGAAGUUUUCAAUUUUAUGGCCUGACUUUCGACAUGGAACCCACAUAGUAUAUCUCUAGUUACACCGGCCUUCACAAAUUAGCGAACAAACGUACGUAUUAAGUUAUCUCAAAAAUAUUUAGUCGGUUUAGCUGAAAUGUUAAGUUAACUCUAAUUAUAGUUAUACUAAUAUGUUAAAGUAGCGGGCAAUUCUGCUAAAUUUCUCUAAUUUUAAACAAUGUUGCUAAAAUUUUAAAGUAUCAUGAUGUUUUAACCGAUUUUGGUACAAAAUUUAAACAAGCGAGAGUGAAACCCACCGUUGCAAAGCCUGCCUAGAUGAAAACGAACGGAAACGAACGGAAAAUCGCUCUAUCGUUUUCAUUUUUAUAUUUUGAGACGAAAAUGGAAGUGGAAGUCGGACAACCGGAAGCGAAAAUGGUAGCGGGAUAAACGGUAAUACGAAAAUAGGUAAAUACGAUCGAAAAAUAGACGGAAACGAGCGGUAAGCGAAAAUUUAAACCGGAACAUAUAAGCGGCAUAUGAUAGCGCAAAUACAGAGAGCAAAAUGCAAUACCAAAUAUCAAAUAUGCACUGACCAGUGACUAGUGACCACAUUAAUACAAUACCACAUAUCCAUAGUCCAUAGAUCAUAAUUCACACAAAUAUAAAUUAUCCAUACAUCGCAUAAGAAUAUAUCUAUAGUCCACAGAUCACAAUUCACACAAAUAUGAAUUGUUCAUACAUCGCAUAAAACAAGAGACAUUUUGGGCCAUAUUGGGCUUAGGGACUAUGUUGGGCUACUUUCCCGUUUUUAUGAAAAACGAGAUAGAAAACGGGAUAUCCUGGUAAAAAACGGGAUUCCACAAAUACGGACGGACAAACGCUCUACCGUUUUCGAUCCCGCUCCCGCUUUAAUCCGUCCUGUUUUCGGUCCCGUUUCCGUUUAUCCCGUAAAAAACGAAAACGAGCGGAAAAAUACGGUAUAUGGUUGCGGAAACUUUACCUGGAUAGGUCAUCUUUACGAGCUGAAAAGACGAAUGGGGAAAGAAAAAGGGGGAACACAACGUCUAAAACAGUCACGCGUCGUGGUGGUAAUUUGAUGUCAACAUAAUCAGAUAAAAUUGCGCUAGAUCAAAGACGAUGAAUAAAUUAUGUCCUCUGCUUCUUGUUAACAGGAAACACAUAUGAUUCACGACCGUGUUAUGUCAAAGCCUAUGAUCUGUCCACAAAUGAUCCGAGAUCCCGUCAUGCACUCAACAACUUGAGACUUCAAAUCGCAUGUGUGGUAGUCACCUAACAAUUAAGGGUAGAGAGAGACAGAGAGCGAAAUUCAAUCAUUCUCUUUUUAUCUUUUAUAGUUUUAUAUAGUUUACCGUUAAGAAUAAUAGUUUAAGGUGUCAAUAACAAAAUAUUUUGACAUAAUUACUAGGGUCGUGGAAAAUUCUAGACAUUGAUUUUUUUCAUUAGGAACAUACACUACUACACAAAACAUUUUUUUAGCAAGGGAAGUAUUUUUGGCAGAGGUGGCCCAAACAAAAUCCACUACUAAAAAUGGUUCAUGAGCCGACCCGCCUUUACAUCCAUUUCUAAAAGCGGAUGUAUUUUUAAAUGUGGCUCUAAAUCCAGCCGUCUGUAUAGAAUUGAUUUCUAGAGACAGCUCCUAAUUUUCCCUGUCUCUAAAAAUAGGUAGAGCAUUGUAAAAUCUAUAAUUUUUUAAAUCAUCUAACAAAAAUAAACUUUAUGUCAUAAUUGUAGUACUCAAAAGAUACAAAACUUUAUAGUAGACAAUAUUUUCAUUUCAGUUUAUUUAAUGAACAAAAGAACUAUUUAAAGUUUUCAGAUUUUGAAAUUCUUUUUUAUUUUCUAAAUGACCGUGGAUGUAGGAAAGAGCUAACAAAAUUUGUAGCACUAGAAGAGAUCUGCAACUUUAAAGUUGACUACUUUUUUAUUUGAAAUCAGUUAGUAACAAGAAAUUCGGUUUUAAGGUUUCAAAUUUUUUAAUUUAUUUUUUAAAUUUUUCAAAGUACCUCGGAUGGAGAAAUGAUCUAAACCAAAGUUGUACUUCUCCAAGAUAUACAAAAUUUUGUAGUUGAUAACCUUUUCAACUGAAAUCAAUUACAACUCAGAAAUAAUGUUUGAAGAGUAAUAAUUUUGAAAUUCAUAUAUUUUUUGAAUUGUUCAAAUGACUAUGGAUGGAGAAAUGAGACCUACACCAAAUUUGUUAUACUCAAAGAGGCUUAAAACAUUCCGGUUAAGAGUUCUUUUAAUUGAAUUUAUUUAAAAAAAACUCAAAUAUACAUUGUAAUAUUCACUAAAGUUAAUACAAAGACGCCUAAGGGCCAAAUUCACUAAACCCGGUACACCGAAAACCUAAGUGCAUAGCAAAAUAUUUAAAAUACGUUUUGUAGGUCGAUCUUUCUUGUCCAGCACUUCUUUAUUUUUUUACAGUCAAAUAAAUUUCAUGUUUCUCAGCUUAGAUUUUCAUUGGGAGUUUCCCAAAAAUCUUUUCUUUAUAACCCAGAUCACUCCUUUUAGUUCUCUCGUCCACCAAGCAAUCUCUACAAAUAUUUCGAGAAUUUUCUAGCUUUUCCUUGGAACUUGUUCCCACAUUUCUAUGAGCAUAAUCUAAUUUUUAGAUUCUCGAAAAUAUUCUAUCAUGAGCUCCAAAUACUUUAUUUGGGUUUCUCAUGUUUGAUAAUGUCUUCCAGAUUUCCCCCUGAAUUUUUGGAACUUCGGGAUAUGUUUUUCGGCUUAAAGAAAAAUUCUGAACUUUUUUAGAAUUAUUUUAUCCAUGAAAUUAAUUACUUGUACUCGAUUUGUAAGCCGGGUUGAGUGUUCACGUACGUAAUUAGACUUGGAGUUGAUUCGUUACCUAAUCAGACUUAAUUGGACUCGAUUGGUUAUGUGUUUGGUUGGCGGACGGACCAAAAGACACAUGGUAGUAUAAGACUAUGUAUGCGUAGGGUUUGGGCAGAGCGAUCUAGGGUUAGAUAGAUCACACGUCAUGUCCUACCUUCGGCCUUUCAUGAGCCGCCGCUGUCCAAGUGCUGCAACGCCGCCGCAACCCUAGAAGCCGACAUCGCUCUUGGUCUCCACGAUCGCUGCCGUUUUGCCGCCGCAUUAGCUUCUCCGAGCAUCACGCAAAGGUAACGAAGUCUCGCUUUAUGUCUACCAUGCUGCUUCGUCAAGUAUCGACGUCGAGUCCGAGUUCCGCGCUAGCUAGCUCCGUCUUGGUGUUUUGCAAGCUGCUGCAAGCAUACGGCACUUUGCAUAUCCUGAUCGUCCAAAGUAAGAGCAGCCUGAUAUGAGCAAACAUAGUAUGUGUCUAGUUUUCCUUCGAGCCUUAUUUUGCUUGCUAACCGUGUCUAUAGUUAAUGGCACAAAAGUUUCUACACCUUUAAUCCUAUAUGGUUUGUCCGUUUUAGCUCAGAUUAGUUUGUUUUUUUGACGAUGGACCAGUGACAACGUAGUCGAUCGAUAACGUUAGCAUUGAUAUUUUUAAUAUCACGUAUUUAUUAAAUAAAAUAUUAUAUUUUUUAAUAUAAAUGCAACAAGUGUUAUAAUUAAAAUUAACUUAGUGUUUUCACGGCGGCACGACGGCGCGCGGAUGGAGCCCGGAUCCACGGCGGGGAAGGCGCCAAGACGUGGAUCCCCCUUUGUGUCGACAUGAGGUACGCCGCUGCUCCUCCUCUUCCUCCCGUCUCCCUCUCUUUUUUCACUCAUCUCACUGUUCUUCCUUCUCUCUUUCCAGAUCCAGUGAAGGAGCCGCCACGAGCCAGAUUUAAGAAGGUGGAUUAGACUAGAUCCAUGGAUGGCGACCGCGAUAACCCUGGACUGGCGGCGCUAGGUUUUCUCUGGCGGCGGCGGCAACAGCCUGGAUGGGCUCGUCGAGCCCCUAGAUGGGCUCGGCGGGCCUAUCCAGUUUUUUUUUUAUUUUUUUUAAAUCAUUAACCGCGACGAGCAACAUAAGGUGCCCGCUGCGGUUAAUGGGAUUAACCACAGCGGACACCUUAUGUUGUCCGCUGCGGUAAUUCUAUUUUCCGCAACGGGCACAGGCGCCCGCCACGGUGAGGCCACGAUUAACCGUGACCUUUCAUUCGUGGCGGACGCCAAUGCCCGCUGCGGUAAACGUAAAGUGUCCGUCACGGUUAAACAGUUGUGUAGUAGUGUAUAUGUGAUUAUUUGGAUCCUAAAACUCACAUAUGAUAUAUAUUUAGUUUUGUACUUAAAUUGGAUAUUACACAACUAUAGAUGCAUAUACUAUGUACGCGUUGCUACUAUGUUCUUUCAGAAAGACGUUUCUACCGCUGACGUUUGUAGUAGUAAUCUACCUUCAGACGCGUGUAGGGCACAAACGUCUAUACAAUGUUCACCAAAACAAACGCGCUUAAUAGUGUUAUCCAUACUACAGACCUGUGUGUAGUGCAUGCGUCUGAGUGUUGUCGUUUACACAGACGUGUAUUCUAUUUUAAUCACAGUCGCAUGUGGGUACGCGCGUCUGUAGAUGUAUUCUUAAUACAAACGUUUGUUUUGCGCGUUUAUAAUAAGCCUUAUUAUAAACACCGUAUUAUCGAUGCGCGCUGACGUGAGUGAAUGUCACACCCUAAAAUUUCUGAUUUUGGGCUGUGUGUAGGAAACAUUAACUAAAAUAAAUAUUUUGAUAUUUCUUAAGUUUAGUUUUAUGUAUUGUCAAUUAGUUACAUAAAGAAUAUAAAUCUUCGAACUUUUCUGAAUUAAUUUGAUGGAAUUUUGUUUGAUGUGAUGGUUGUUUGUUGCUCCUUUGUGUGUUGAUAGUGAGCAAAGUCUUUAGAAUACGUUUUGUAGGUCGAUCUUCCUUCUUCGGCACGUCGUUAUCUUUUUGUACAAUCAAAUUCCUUAUUUCUCGGCCUAGGCUUUCAUCCAGAGUUUCUCAAAAUCUUUUCUUUGUAAUAAUCACUUCCUUGAGUUUCUGGUCUAUCAAUCAAUCUCUACAAACAUCUCGGGAAUUUUUCUGGCUAUUUUUAGAACUUGCUCCCUCUUGUUUGUGAGCACAAUCUAGUUUUUAGAUGCUCCAAACAAUCUUAUCAUGGGCUCCAAAUACUUUAGUUAGUUUCCUCAUGUUCUAUAAUGUCUCCGAGAUUUUUUCUUAAAUUUUUGAAGCCUUUAGAAUAUUUUUCGUGGCUUAAAUAAUAAUUCUGGACAUUUCUAGAAUUAUUUUAUCUACAAAUUAAUUAAUUACAAAAUAUUAUUCUUUCUAAUAUUCAACGUCCAUGUGAAAUAAUUACUAUAAAUCUUAAUAAACAGACACUAAAUUAGAUUAAAAGAAAAUUUAGGGUUUCAUUCUAUUUUUCACCACGUUGCCGCCGCAGUUCGUCAUCGGGUACCAUGUUUCCCUGCUGUUCGAUGAAUUCAUCUGACGAUCGAUUUCCUCCGUUUCAUCAUCGGCGAAAAUGAUGUUUGGAAUGACAUUAACUUACCUUCUGGAGUCACAUACUCCAUAGAAAUCGAGAGCAAAAUCUCCACCUCUUAUAUUUGCAAUUUUAGGGUUGCUCUUGUGAGCUCCCAUUCUCAUCCUCUCGUUAUAGUUCUGCCAGGGGCAGCUGGUGUUUCCAACCGUCUUUAGAAACGGAGGUUACUUUCAGAGCCCUGCUUUGUAAUCUCUGCUUGUUGCACCUCAGUAGCUAGGCUGUUUCUGGUUUCAAGCUGGCUGCUCGCCGGCUUGUUUUGUUGACUCUCUGUAAACGUUUUCCCUCUUAAUGAAAUACGGGUGAAUGGCCCGAUCGUGAAAAAAAAAACUUUCAGAGCCAGUUAACAUAGCCAUCUACCACUGGAAAUUUAAUCAAUUUUCAUAGUUGGUCCGUUUGUUGGGUCCCUAGAAGCAUCUAUAAAGACGGUUCUUGAUAUAUAUAGCAGUCUCCAAAAAUAAAAAAAAAAGCGACGCAUAUGGAAAAAAUCAUUUCUAUAGUAGUGUCUUUUAUGUGUGAGAAGAGCCAAAACUUUAUUUCAAAUAGGAUAGAGCACUUCAUUUAUUUAUACAGGAAAUGUACAUAUAUACAAGCAACUUGGGAUAGAAUAAAAUGACUUGGCCCACUUGUAUUUGGAGUAGUUAAGACUCAUUAAUUACUUAAUUUAGUCUUCGUUGUAAUAAUAAUAAUAUGUGGAUCAAAAAUAUAAUUCUAGUAGCUAGCAAAUUAACUCUCCACACCCUGUAUAUAUAUCUCAUCUAUCUAAUUUCCCUCUCGAAGCAAUCAAGCAAUGGCACCCCCACGUAGCUGUUUCUUUCAUCUCCUCUUGUCUUGCUUUCUGCUAGCUGCGACCAGCAGAAGCUCAGACGCAGGCGGCGGUGCGCCCCAGCUGCAAGACAUUGACUGCUCAACCGAAGGCAACUACACCGCCACAGAUGCCUACGCCGCCAAGCUAAACCAACUCCUCGCCACGCUGCCGAUCACCACCGUCUCCAAGAACGGCGGCUUCUUCAACGGCACGGUCGGCCAGGGUACUCCCGUCGUCGUCUACGGCCUUGCCAUGUGCUCUGCUGACUUCUCACGGCCGGACUGCACCGACUGCCUCACCGCGGCCAGCUCCAACGCCACUGGACUCGCGAAACGUUGCCCUGGCAGCGUAACAGCCUCCAUCAUGUUCGAUCAGUGCAUGAUUCGCUACUCCAACCGCAGCUUCUUUGGUACCGCAGAGACUGGUAUGAUAUUAAUUUUAUAUAGAGAAAUUAAUUUGCAAUGCAAAAUAUAUAUUAACAUUAUUAAACAAGAGUGUCGAUGCCAAUGCAAGAAUCAUUCACUGAACCAUUAUUUAGGCAAGAACGCAAACUGUUACUCUAUUUUAGUACAAGUUUCAGAAGUCAUGUCGGUGGUAGAGAAGAAAAGUAAAAUUAAUAAUAAGCAGCGAGCGAGAAGGACUUACAUGUUGGUAGAGAAUAUAUACAAGUAAAAUUAAUAAGCAGCGGAAGGACUUACUGGCCGACUAAUGGCAGCCAUGAAAUAGUUUGGCCGACUAGUGAUUAUUGUGAGCUAUGUCAAGAAACUAAAAGAAAAAACAAGUGGCACUUUCCUUGUUUAGAUCCAAAUUUUUUCAGAAUUUUGACACUGUAGCAUUUUGUUUUUAUUUGACAAACAUUGUCUAAUCAUAGAGUAACUAGAUUUAAAAGAUCCGUCUCGCGAUUUAUAGGCAAACUGUGCAAUUAGUUAUAUUAUUUAUAUUUAAUGCUCCAUGCAUUCGUCUAAAGAUUCGAUAUGAUGGGGAAUCUUAUAAACUUUUGGAAUUUUGGGUGCAUCUAAACAAGGCCUUAGGCUAACUAGCCUUAAUGAGACAAAUUACUGGUUAGAGGCCCAAUGUGGUGAUGCUUGUCUUUGAUCAACCAUAUGAAAUCCCAAUUCAAAAUGAUCGUCAAUACAAACAAGCUUCAAAUGCAAGACCAAAAUAAUAUGCUUUAUACCAUGCCUAUUUGUCAUGUAAUAUUUUCCUUGUCAUUUCUUCACUUAGUCAUUAUUGACUCAUACUUUAACCUUGAUCAAUAUCAAUCAACUAUCAAUCUCUUCUAAUUCAUACAAGUAAGACAUCAUUGAGAUCACAUUUUCCUUUGUCUCACUUUGCUUUAUCCAUUUGUUUGGCUUUUAUUCAUUAGAGAUAUGGCAUGAGUUUGGUCUAAGUAUUUGUUAUGAAAUCUAUCCUAAGUUCAUCAAACUCAUUAGUCCUUAAUACUUUUGUCAUUCAACCACCAAAACCCACACUAGCGAGCCUAGAUGCACUUUCAACUAUGACUAUGACAAGGAGCAUGUUUAUAUAUGAGAUUUUUUUGAACAAGUUAGCAUUCAUUUUUUAAAAUAGAUCUAAUAAUUAAAUAGUUGUAAAGAAUGCUUAUAUCCUUCAAUGAUCUCAAAUGAAAGGGUUGUCAUCUAGAAAUGUUUUAGAUCUAGUCGAGUAUAUAUUACAACUUUUAUGCCACAGAUCAUGUUUGCCUCUCCAAGGUCAUUUAUUUGAAAAAUUCAAAUGUUCCUUUUUUUAAAAAAUAUAUAUCAAAGAACUUUUAAUGAAAUAUUUGAACCCCUACACAUUCUCAAAUGAAAAAGAUGUCUUGUUAAAAGUUUAAGCUCUCAUCAAGUACUUUAAUUAGCAUUGAUAUGGCAUGUUUGCAUAUCACUUUAUUGAAAAAUAAAAUAAUAAAAUUGAUCUAAAUAAUUGUAAUGCAUAUUUUGUCCUCUAAAAAAUCAAAUAGAAAAGUUGUCAACUAUAGAAUUUCAGAUCUUAUCAAGUACAACUUUGGCAUAGAGCAGAUUUUCAUCUGUGGUCGUUUGAGCAAUUCAAAUAUAUUUUUUGGUCAAAAAAUGGAGGCCCCAAAAAAUAUCUUAAAUGAAAAAUUUAUCAGUUAUAAAAUUUUAGAUCCCAACAAACUCUAUAAUUUCGGCAUAACAGUGUAUCGGCUCGACAUCAUAUAGUUAUUGAUUUAUUUGUGUGCUCCGUUUCUAGAGGUGCUUGCUUAAGACAUCAAACUCUGGUUAUAUUCCUGUUUCUUGAGGCAAACAUCCUAAGAAACACUUCUAAAUUAAAAAUACCUCCCUAAGAAAUAGACAUUUUCUAGAGGUAUAGUUGUUUCAGGACACCUGCCUUUGGAAAAGCAAUUUAAAUUUAGAGACAUAGUAAGCACUACUACAGAAUGAGGCAUUGGUUGAUGCCUAAAAUGGCCAAAAACCUCGGCCAUUUUGCGGCCCGGGGUUAAAGACCCCUUUAACACCGGUUCGUAACACGAACCGGUGCUAAAGGGUCCUGCCCAACGGCUACUGACAGGUGCUGUCGGGGCAGAGACCCUUUAGCACCGGUUCGUAUUACAAACCGGUGCUAAAGGGGUCCCUUUAGCACCGGCCAGAGCCCCGGGCCGAGGCAAACCCUUUAGCACCGGUUUGUGUUACAAACCGGUGCUAAAAGGUAACCCUUUAGCACCGGUUGUUGCUCUGAACCGGUGCUAAAGGUCCGGUUUAUAGGCCGGCUCCCUCCUCCCCUCUGCCCAUUUGAAACCGAGAGCACCAUUGUUGUUCUUGGAGCUUCUUCUUGCUUGUUCUUCAUUUGUUCUUCAUCUCCAACGCCCAUCGUUGAUCUUCUUCGACUCCGUCAUCGUCUCUUCGCGCUUAGAGGUGACUAACUUCAGCCUUUCUUAUCUUUUUCAUGUUGUUUUUGGCUUGUGAUGUUCCCAUCAUUUUUAGCUCAAAUCCACUUUGUUAUUUUGAAUCAUUCACAUGAAUUAUUAUCCAUAUAUAUAUAUCAUAUUUCAUGGUUGACCUAGUUUUAAUAUAUUUUGCAAGAAUGAAUUAUAGUAUAUUUUUAUGAUCAUAGAAAGUAGGAUAGUUCAAAUUAAUUGUUUUGUUAAUAUCACUUGAUUUAUUUUUAUUACUACAUAUAAUGUCCAUUGUAUCAUACAUGUUUACUAGUAAAUGUGGAAUUUAUAAUUGUUUUAAAAUUGAGUAUGGAUAGUAGAUGGCAACCGUGACCGGGUCUUCCGUCUCUCAACGGGUUCAAAAGCGAUACCGUCCGGAACUCCCUCUCAUUACUUGUGGCAAGUGUGGGCAGAAGAUUUUGAUGGAGUACAAAGUGUCGAAAGAGGGAGUAAACAAGGGUCGUAUAUUCUACAAGUGUCCAGAUCGUAAUGUGAGUUAUUUCCAGACAUUUGCUUAUAUAUGUGCAUAUUUUUUUAAAUGAUAUUAAUUAAACUUUUGAUUCUCUCUUUUAAUUUCAGUGGGACGGUACCGGCGGAUGUACAGGUUGGUACUGGGAGGAAGAAUACAUUGAACACAUUAAGAAAUCUUUUGCACAGGUGGUUGAGGCUGAAGGUGGUGAGGCAGUGAGCCGACGAAAGAAGUUCAAUGAAGUUGAUCAAGCGAAUGAUCUAUCUAUUAUAGUUGGGAUCGGACGCGAACUAAUUAUGUUGCUUAAGUGCAUUUUAGUUUUAUUUUUUUUAAUGCUAGUUGCGAUUGUAUUUGUUGUAGCCAAGCUUUUCUAAAUUAAUCAACUAUGUAUCUUAGACAUGUUGUGCAAUAAGAUGAGAAACUAUAUGUGUGCAUGGUUUUCAUAAUAUAUAUGUUAUCUUUAAUGCAGAUGGUAACACGUAAUUGGAUGUAUAAUGCCGAUCGGCGCUCCGAAGAGUUCAUUAAUGGCGUGCACUAUUUCUUAAGUGUGGCCGAGUCAAAUAAGAGGGACGGUUUCAUGUGCUGUCCAUGUGCCGUGUGCAAGAAUUUGACGGAAUAUUCUAACUCAAGAACUCUUCAUUCACACUUAUUAAAGUCUGGUUUCGUACCAAACUAUAUUUGUUGGACCAAACAUGGAGAAAGCGGGAUUAUAAUGGAUGAAGGUGAAGAAGAAGAAGAAUUGGACCAUGCCAAUAUUAUUGCUCAGUACGGUGGCUUCAAUGAUGUUGCAAUGGGGGGAGAUAAUGAAGAAGAGGUGGCGGCAGAAGAUGAUCGGGGCGAUGAUGCUUUUGGUGAUGCCAUCCGUGAUGCACAAAGAGAAUGUGAAAGUGAUAAAGAGAAAGCCAAGUUCGAGCGCAUGCUAGAGGACCACAGGAAAUCGCUAUAUCCCACCGCUGAAGAGGGGCAAAAAAAGCUGGGUACCACACUAGAAUUGCUGCAAUGGAAGGCAAAGAAUGGUACAUCUGACAAGGCAUUUGGGCAGUUAUUGAAGAUCAUAAAAAAGAUGCUUCCGAAAGGCAACGAAUUGCCCACCACUACGUAUGAAGCAAAACAGGUUGUCUGCCCUUUGGGAUUAGAAAUCCAGAAGAUACACGCAUGUCCUAAUGACUGCAUCCUCUACCGUGGGGAGGAAUACGAGAAUUUGGAUGCAUGUCCAGUAUGUAAGGCAUCACGGUAUAAGAUUAGACGAGAUGAUCCUGGCGAUGUUGAGGGUGAAGAACGUCAUAGGAAGAAAAUUCCAGCCAAGGUUAUGUGGUAUGCUCCUAUAAUACCACGAUUAAAACGUCUGUUCAGAAAUAAGGACAAUGCAAAGUUGUUGCGGUGGCAUAAAGAAGACCGUAAGAUAGACAAUAUGCUGAGACACCCUGCCGAUGGAUCCCAGUGGAGAGCGAUAGACAGAGAAUUCUCAGAUUUUGCAAAUGAUGCUAGAAACUUGCGGUUCGCCUUAAGUACAGAUGGUAUGAAUCCUUUCGGUGAGCAGAGCAGUAGUCACAGCACUUGGCCAGUUACUCUAUGUAUCUACAACCUUCCUCCAUGGCUAUGCAUGAAGCGGAAGUUUAUUAUGAUGCCGGUGCUUAUCCAAGGACCGAAGCAACCUGGCAAUGACAUAGAUGUCUACCUUAGGCCAUUAGUUGAGGAACUUCAACUUUUAUGGAGCAAACCAGGAGUUCGCGUGUGGGAUGAGUACAAACAAGAGCACUUUGACCUACGAGCAUUGCUGUUUGUAACAAUCAAUGAUUGGCCAGCUCUGAGUAAUCUUUCAGGCCAGUCAAACAAGGGAUAUAAUGCAUGCACACAUUGUUAUGAAGACCUUGACUGUGUAUUUUUGAAAAAAUGUCGAAAGGUCGUGUACCUUGGCCACCGUCGGUUUCUUCCUGUGAACCACCCAGUACGAAAGAAAGGCAAGCAUUUUAAAGGCAAGGCAGACCACCGGACCAAACCUCUCAAUCGAACCGGGGAUGAUGUACUCGAAAUGGUCAAGGAUAUAAAAGUGGUAUUUGGAAAGGGACGAGGCAGCGAACCUAUUCCCAAGGAUGCUAAGGGACACGUACCCAUGUGGAAGAAGAAAUGCAUAUUUUGGGAGCUACCUUACUGGAAUGUCCUAGAGGUCCGCAACGCGAUCGACGUGAUGCACCUGACAAAGAAUCUUUGUGUGAACUUGCUCGGAUUCAUGGGUGUCUACGGGAAGUCUAAGGAUUCACUUGAAGCACGACAAGACUUGCAGCGCAUGAAAGAACGAGACAACCUGCAUCCAGAAAAGACAGAUGAUGGACGUCAUUACUUAAGCCCUGCUAGCUACACUCUGAGCAAAGAAGAGAAGGAAAGCAUGUUUGAAUGUCUUAGCAGCAUCAAGGUCCCAUCUGGAUUCUCCUCCAAUAUCAAGGGAAUAAUUAAUGUGCCAGAAAAGAAAUUCCUGAACUUGAAGUCCCAUGACUGUCACGUUCUAAUGACGCAAUUGCUGCCGGUCGUUUUAAGAGGAAUUCUACCUCCACACGUACGUCUAGCCACCGUAAAGCUAUGUGCAUUCCUCAAUGCAAUUUCUCAGAAGGCAAUCAAUCCAGAGCAACUAGCUACUCUGCAGAAUGAUGUCGUUCAAUGUCUCGUCAGCUUUGAGUUGGUGUUCCCUCCAUCCUUCUUCGAUAUCAUGACACACCUCCUAGUUCAUCUGGUCAAAGAGAUUCGUAUUCUCGGUCCUGUGUUCCUACACAACAUGUUCCCCUUUGAGAGAUUCAUGGGUGUCCUAAAGAAAUAUGUCCAUAGUCGUUCCCGGCCAGAAGGAAGCAUUGCCAAGGGCUACGGAACAGAGGAGGUCAUAGAGUUCUGUGUUGACUUUAUUCCAGACCUUGACCCAAUUGGCAUUCCUGAAUCUCGACACGAGGGCAGACUCAGCGGAAAGGGAACACUUGGGAAGAAAACAUAUAUUGGUACGGGAAACGAUUACUUCAAUAAAGCACACUACACAGUUCUCCAGAACUCCUCAUUGGUGGAACCAUAUGUUGAGGUACACAAAGAUUACCUACGGUCCCAGUGGCCCGGGAAGAAUGAAGCUUGGAUAAUGCGUCAGCACAUGGAAACUUUUGGCGAUUGGUUGCGCAAAAAAUGUCAAGGUGAUGAAAACAUUGAUGAGCAGCUUUAUUUGUUGGCCAGGCAACCAUCAUGGCAUGUCCUCACAUACAAAGGGUACGAGAUAAAUGGUAACACAUUUUACACAGUUGGCCAAGAUAAAAGGAGCACCAACCAAAAUAGUGGUGUACGCGUGGAUGCCACGGAUCCAAAUGGGAACAGGCAAACAUAUUAUGGACGCAUAGAAGACAUAUGGGAACUAGUCUAUGCAGCUAAUUUUAAAGUUCCUUUGUUCCGGUGCCAAUGGGUGAAGAUGACCGGAGGUGGGGUAAUAGUCGACAAGGAGUAUGGGAUGACAACCGUGGACCUUAACAAUAGUGGGUUCAAAGACGAACCAUUCGUCCUUGCUGCAGACGUGAGUCAGGUGUUCUAUGUCAAAGAUAUGUCUACGAAACCAAAGAGAGGAAAAAAUGAUGACCACUCAAUCAUCAAUGAGCCAAAGCGCCACAUUGUCCUUUCUGGGAAAAGAAACAUUGUCGGAAUUGAGGACAAGUCAGACAUGUCAGGCGAUUACGAAAGGGAUGAUCGAAUUCCGCCCUUCAUAGUCAACAAAGACCCAAGCAUUCUGUUAAACAAUGAGGAUACUCCAUGGUUACGACAGGAUCAUAACCAAGGGUCAUACGUCAAGAAGAAGUUCACUGUUGUGUCGGCUUGACUGUUCCAUUUGAGACAAUCUAGGGUUCGGUCAAAGGGUGUGUUUGUAAAAACCAAUGCUUUGACUUUGGUCAAACUUGGUCAAAUAGCCCAUUUGAUGACUUGAAAUGAAAAAAGUUUGAAUACAAAGUUGUUAGAGAUCAUCAAAAUCUAUAUUUUAUAUAUUGUCCAUUUUUCCAUUUGGAUAAUUUUGAGCCAAUUCUAGUUACAUUUCUAUAAAAUCCAAGACGGGUUUCGGUCAAACUUGGUCAAAUGACAAACUAAAUUACUUCAAAUGAAAAUAUUUUGAAUACCAAGUUGUUAGAUAUCUUCAAGAUCUAAACUUUUUAUAUACACAACUUUUCCAUUUGAGAAAGUCUAAGUUAACAAUACCCACCAAUUCUUGAAUCUCACACAAACUAUAUGAAACUAUAUGUGUCAAUUGUGGAUUUUCAACUACACCUUCCCAAAACUUUGUCAAAUGCAAAAAUGGUCUGUAUAUGAAAUGUAUAUUUUGAUGAGUGGAACAAUAUUGGUAUUCAUGACUUUUCCAUUCGAGACCAUCUAGGGUUCCGAAACCGCUGCGUGGCUAUGAGUUCUAUGAAAAUUCAAAAUUCAGUGGUACAAACUUUUCCAAAUGAAAAGUUGACCAUUAGACAAAAUGUAGAACUUGAUGAGUGUAGCAAACUUUGUAUUCAUGACUUUUCCAUUUGAGACAAUCUAGGGUUCGGUCAAAGGGUGUGUUUGUAAAAACCAAUGCUUUGACUUUGGUCAAACUUGGUCAAAUAGCCCAUUUGAUGACUUGAAAUGAAAAAAGUUUGAAUACAAACUUUGGUCAAACUUCUUAUAUUAUUUAUUAUGUAUUGAAAUUUAAAAAAAGUUUACUCACAAAACUUGUAAUUGUUUUCUUUGCAGGGACUCCUCCAACCUAAGUCCAGUUCUCUCCCCAGCGCAUCAUAGUGCUGCGGGCGGUGACAAUGCUGGAUCUCCUCCAACACCUACGGCGGCCACACCGACCCCGCCACCGCCUCCACCACGGUCUCCACCUCCUCCACCGAGGUCUCCAACUCCUCCACCGCGUUCUCCAACUCCUCCGCCUGCACCGCCCUCUCCAAAGAGUGCACGGUCGGUCCCCUCGCCUCCAAAGCGAGGUAGUAAGAAGCGGUCCGUCCAAGAAGGACCGAAGUCAUCGGUCCCACCUCCAAAGAAGGCUGCCUCAGCAAAGAGAGCUAAGACGCCAGAAAAAUUACCUUACGAAAAGAGUGAAGAGGAGGUAAUUGCUACAUCUAAAGCUGAGGUCCAACAAUUUUUUGAUAAAAUAAAGGAGGAAAGGAAAAAACGGCUUAACCCAGAAAAGCCGUACUUUUAUGUGAAGCCAUCGGAACUGAGGCAGAAGGUGGCGGACCAUCAAAAGAAGCAACGCGAAGCUCAGAAAAAGCCAGCACUUUCGGACUAUGAGCGGUCUCUGGUCAAGUCUUCACAGCCUACUAAGAAGAGAGUAGGAAAGGGGGUCCCACAGCUCGGAGAAGUAUCAAAACCGGUGCCCCCUUUGAUUGUGCCAAAUCAAUACGGCUCAAAUGAAGACUUGAUGCCAAAGAAAUCCUUAGCGUUGUCUGAGCUAGACUCGCUUGAGAGUUACUUUGGACAGAGCGGUUUAAAUAUAGAAGAAAUUACCGCCAUUCUUGGAUGUCAUACAUUUGAAAAAGCCGAGGUAGUUGAUCAAUGGAGGGCAAGAUAUGAACCGGGCAGGAGUCUAUUCGACCCUAAGCGUUUACACGAGCUCGGCACACAAAUGUUUGCAAUAAACAAAUGGUGCAUUGAGGCGUCUAAAAGGGGAGAGAAUUGGAUUUCUGUUCGUAUUAGACAACAUCACUACUUCCGUGGAGAUGACCUCAUAUACGUGCAGUUCGAAGAAUUGCACCAAUUAUGCCACCUCGACGCUCUUGACAAAUCUCUUGUCAGCUGCUUUUGUCUGUAAGUAUUUUUCCUUUUUAUUAUACUUCUAACUUCUUUAAUUACAUGUAUAUAAUCCUUACACACUUAGGAUUUGUAUGUAUAUAUGCAGGCACCAAAUGAGAGAGCUCAGAAUGAGAAAUGACAAUAGUAUUGGGUUCGUUGACCCUUAUAUUGUUUUCAAGGCUCCGCAGGCAGUGUGGACAGCAGAUUAUGAGACAGAAAUCUGCACCAAUCUUAUGAGGUUCUUUGUAAACCAAAAAGAAAAACAAAAAAUACUCUUCCCCUUCAACUUCGAGUGAGUUAUAUAGUUAUUAAGUGCAUGCAUAUUUUAUUUUACAUUAUAGGACUGACCCUAUAUAUGUGUGUGUAAACAGCUUUCACUGGAUACUCAUGGUCAUUGAAAUUCCCAAGAACCGAUUGAUAAUCUUUGACUCAAUGAGAAAACCACAAGAAAAUUAUCAACAAAUGGUAAACAUUAUUCAAAGGUACGUAAUGUCGAUCUCAGCUACAAAAAUAUCAUAAUAUGACUCUGUAAUUAUUAGUUCACGAUCCACAAUGGCUGUGUAUAGGGUUUGGGAAAGAUUCAUUGACCGUGAACAUCUCAGUGGAUGUAAAGCGCCGCUUAACAUAAUACAUCCACAAGUAAGUUCUACUAGCUAACAAACUUUCGCUAACUUUUAGCCUUCUUAUUGUCGUGGUUAUGAAUAUUUUUAUAUAUAUAUACAUCGUACAGUGGUGUUUAAGACAAGAAGGAGGGAACAAUCUAUGUGCAUAUUACGUGUGCAAAUUCAUGAUGGCACAAGUCAAUCAAACACCCACAGAGACGCUCAGAGUACGUUACAUGUCUCUUUUCAUUAUCUCCUGAAUUAUAUUGAAUAACUUAGAUAACUAAUACCUUUUUUAUUUAUUUCAAAUUAAAGACGGAAUGGCUGAGGGAAAAGGUCCUACAACAAGACCGAAUCAAAGCUAUCCAAGAGACGAUAGCAGGAUUUCUCCGCGACCAAGUGAUCAAUCCAAACGGCGAGUUUCACUUCAACGGCAACGAAACUCUUAUACCAAACAACGAUGAUCAUUUGUAUCGUUUGUAGACAUUGGGAGAACAAACUCUAUGUAUAUAUGUGUUACGAAUUUUGUACAUAUAAAACUAUAUAUAUAUAAAGCUUUUUACAUAUCUAUUUAAUUUUUGAUGUGGUCUAUUCAUUUUAUUAUAGGCAAAGCUUAACUAUUAAGCUUAGCCUAUAAUUUUCAUUUAUAUAUGCUUAAUAUGCGUGUAAUAUAAAUAUAUUAUUGUAUCAGCAAAACAUGUAUUGAAAAACCUAUUAUUAUAUAUUAUAUAUAAACAAUAAACAGAACCGAAGAAGUGAACUAAAAAAAAAGAAAAAGAAACCCUUUAACACCGGUUGGCCGAACCGGGACUAAAGGGUGGGCCUUUAGUCCCGGAAGGGCAGCACCGGCUCGGGAACCGGGGCAACAGGCCCUUCCCGACCGGUGCUAAUGCCCGAUCAUGCAGCAGUGAAGCCUUUGCAAAAAAAAAAGGUGGGGGGAUGACCACGCGUAUUCUUUUACGUAACCCUAGAUACACAUUAUAUAUGUCUAGAUACAUAUAUAGCAAAAGCUAUAUGUGUGCCUAGAAAAGUCAAAACGACUUACAAUUUGAAAUUGAGAGGGUAGUUUCUCUUGUCACAAACAGGUGAUGUUUUAGGCAUUAUUGCUAUAAUCCAUGAAAUUAACAAGUGAUAUGCAUGUGACAGUACUAGAAAACUCGAUGUUUUAGCUCUUGAUGAAAAUAGAUUGAGACAAGGUAUAGUUGUUCUUUUUUUUUUCCCAUUUCUUAUAGAUAGAUGUGUAUAAAUGCUUGCAGAUAUCGCCUUCAGCCAGACUAGCAGUGAAAUCGUGGCCUCGAAGAUACAGUACAGCGACAACUUGAAGCAGGGCUUAGCUUAUCUCAGCGCGCAGGCGGCGAUGUCGCCGGAGCGGUUCGCCGCGAGCUCGACGGCUCCAUUCGCUCUGGUGCAAUGCACGUGGGACCUCCCAUCGGACAAGUGCAAGGCGUGCAUCGACACCCUGUCGGCGAACGCAACCAACCUGUUCCAGGUCGGGAUCGAAGGGCAGACCAAGACCUACAGCUGCCGUGUCAGGUACAGCAACGCCAGCUUCACCGUGGUGCCGCUCGUUGAUCCAGCAGGUGGGUAAUUAUACUAGUCCAUCAACCUAUGCUCUCGUAUGUGGCUUAGAAUCAAUAUUAUAGCUAGUGUUUUCUUUCUUUAUAUUAUCUAAUGCAAUAGAUAUUAGCUGCUCUGAAAAGUUAAGACUAAAAUUACUGUUGGCUGAUUUAUUGCGAGAGGAAAAACAUCGUUGGCUAGCAGAAAAAAGUACGGCUGAAAAGAAAACAGAACAUCCCUGAUCCAGUUGUAAUAACUAAAUGUUUUUUUUGUCUACAUCUAUAGUUUUUCCUUUGCAUAUGCAUGUCACCUCUGUGUAACUUUAAUAUGCAUUUAGUUGAAACCGUACCAGCUUAGCUUAAACUAUAAUGACUCCUGUUGCAUCCCACAUCUUAUAUGACAUAAUGAAUCUAAUUAUUUAUUUUUAAAUUUUAAUCUUGUUUAAUUCCUAUACAAAUUUAUUAUUAUUAAAUAAAGCUGAAACUCUUGCGCUUAUAAUAUUUAUCAUAUAUGAACUCCCCAUUUGUACUUUCUACAAAUAAGAACUUUAGGUCAUAGAUUACACUCUUAACUACUAUGAUGGCAUAAAUAAUUAUUUAUAACUUGCAUCACAUCGCAUAAGAUCAAUGCUAGAGGUUGAAUUGAGAUAUAGGAUGGGGGUAGUGGUGCUAAUAUCAAGAAGAUAUCAAUCUCUAAGCUUUAGGAUUAUUGUUUACUCUAAAGAAAUCAUAAAGGACAGAAGUGAUAAUUACUCAUCUAUUUGUCAACAUCACCGCACCUCCAUUUAGAAAAUAGAAUAGAUUCUGUGACUAUUAUUAUUAUAGUGUACUAAAUUAAUGGCUAGAACUUAUUGUUUUUGUGGGAGUUUCUAAUACUUAUGAUUUUUUUCCCCAAUCCCUAGUGGGUCUCAUGAAGAUUAGUGUAAAGGCUCCAUUAGACACCUCUAGUUAGAAUUUCUUAGAUGAUAUAGUGUGACAUGUAUUUAGUUGAAACCUAACCUUAAGUUAUAUACUUGAUCUUGUUGCAUCCAUUUUUUUUAACUUCGUGAAUAUAUUUUAGCUUUCAAAAUUUUAUCCAUUUGUUAUAAUUUUUUAUCCACAUAUUAAGUUGCACAAUAGAAUAUGAAUAGUCAUCUCAGCUUGCACCAUGACACUCAAGAUAUUAUUUUGUUAUAUCAAAUAAUUAUAUGUGUAGUAAAAUUGUUUUAUAAAAUAUAUAGCUUCUUAAAAUUAAAUGGCUACUAUUGACAUGAAACACUUUCGUCAAAAUAUUUAAGAUAACAGCCUAAAAAUAUAUUAUCAUGGAGUAUUAAUAUAACUUAAAGUGAAAUCGUUGGUGUCAUUGUUAUAUAGUUUGUUAGGGAAUAUUUCCCACUUCAUAAGCUAUUAAAAUAAACAUGUAUCAUAAUAUAUACAUGUUUACUUGAUUUACGUGGUGGUACAUAUCAUUAUGUCUACUUUUUACUUUUAAUAAUGAUAGUGUGUAAUUCAGAAAUAUAUGUAGCAUACUUUAUAGAUAUAGAAUUAGUUUUCGUAUUAGUUUAAUGCAUUUACUCGUAGAAUUCAGAAAUAUUUUUCUCUAUUUUAUAUAACAACUAAGAUGGAUAAUUUAUCUAGAAAUUAGAUGGUUUUACAUCAUAAUAUCUUUCAUAAUAGCAAAGGUAGGUGAUUUAUAAAAAUAAUUUAAUAAUUUUGAAUAAUUUUAGAUUUCUUUAAUUUAGAUACAAAAUUAGAAGUUGUUCUGAAGUAUCUUUAGGUGUGAUAAUUUAGAUGUUAAUUUUGGGGAUUAUUUUGAACUUUCUUUCAUAAUGACAAAAGUGAGUAAUUUAGAUACAAAUUUAGGGAGUUAUUUUGAGUUACAUUUCGUAAUGGUAGGGUGGGUCAUUUAUAUGCAAGGUUAGGGGUUACUUUAUUGUAUAUUUUAUAAUGGUAGAGGUGGGUAAUUUUUUAUAAAUUAAAAUCAUCCAAUGGUUAUUAUUUAUGAUAGUGAUUAGAGUCUAUCAAAUUGAAGGUCGUCUGAUGUUUUUUAUUAUUAUGGGAAUUUCUAGGAUUUAUCUUUUCUCUUAGCACUUCUGGUGAGAAUUAACAUAGAGCCUCCAUUGGGGCUUAAUUAGUAAUAGUAUAAGAAUUCUCGUCUCUCCAUCAUCUCUAGCUAUGUAAGCAUCUCAAUUAAUAGUAACAGUGUGUUUAAGUACAUACUAGAUAGCUAUCAGCUAGGGUGAUCGAAGUUGGUAGGUGCGGAUCAUGUAUUUCAUCGCCAUAUAUACUACUCCCUCCGUCCUGAAAAGAGUAUAAUUCUAGCACAGUCUCAUAUAUUAGUACAUUAAGUUUGAUCAAUUAUAAAUAAAUAAAAAAAUCAAUAGUUAUAAUAUCAAAUGAAUACAAUUAUACUAACUACAAAAUGUAUUUUCAUAAAAAAAUAUUGUGAAGCCACAAAUAUGAAUGUUAUUGACUAGAAAUUUGGUCAAACGUGAACUAUUUUAACAAACACGUAACUCAUAUUUAUAUUCUUUUGGGGAACAGAGGUAAUAUUAUUCAUUCGUGCAUCCAUUUGUAUUGAGUGCUAAGAAUUUUGUAAUUUAUCAGGUAAUAACAUAACAGGACCUCCUAAUUCUAUUGACACUACUACAAAUAAAAUCUCCAGUAAAGCUAUCAUUGCUGGAGCUGUAACCGGCACAGUAGUGAUUGUGGGGAGCAUGAUAGCCGUUCUCUUUUGUCUUAUACGGAAACGUCAACUUCCGUACCAGCGUCUUAAAAAUGAAAGGAAAGAAGGUAAUAAUUUCUGUGUUCCCAAUAUCGUAUAAUAUAUGCAGUCAGACAGCUCGCAGGUGAUACCUAAUUUGAAUACUACAUGUUGUUUCUGCAGGAGGAGUCAUGAAACUGGAAUUUUUGGUCGAAAUUACAAGUAAUUUCUCUGAAGGAAAUAUACUCGGCACUGGGGCAUUUGGACAAGUAUACAAGGUGAGUAGAAUUAUUUUUUUUUCAUGCCUAUAUGUCUAUGUAGUAUUGUUUACUCAUUAAAAUAUUUACAAAAGAAAACAUUUCCUUACAUCUCAUUCGCAUAAACCUAAAUCUCCAAUCUACCACCUAAAUGUUAUUCUCAUGUAUGACAUUGGUGUUAAACUGUAAUCUUUUCCAUGCGUAAGCAAUAUCUAUAUUCUAGAUGUAGAAUAUUAUUCUACACUUAGUAUCAUUCAGUACUACAUCUAGGAUCACGAAAUACUGAACAAAGUUCUGUUCAGUAUAACCGUUUGGUGUAGAAUAGCACUUUUAUGUGUGUGUAUAUAUAUAAGUGUUAUAACAGUAGUGGGUGAUACUGAACACGAUUCAGUAGUACUCAGUAUUUUUUUUCUAGUCAGUUUUGGCGCUUUUCGAAAGGCGGCAGAAAGAUUUUGCUGUAUUUUUAUUAGACGAGGAAAAAUAAAAAGAAGUACAACAUAAUUACAACUCCCACUUAAAAACUCUCAACCACUGGAGCCAGCCACUCAAAACAAAAACAAAGACAAAAUAAAGAUAAAAGAAAAAAAUAAGAGAGGGUUAAUGCUAAGCUUCCACGUUUGGACUAAAGGCCAACUGGAGUCGAUUCGGAAAAUCCAACGCACUUGUGCAAGGAUUGCCCUUUCACAAAACAAGUAUGGGCCGUGAUGAAAAAUUGGUUCGGAUUAUCAACUAUUGACACGGUGGGAGAAAAUGGAUCACUCCAUGGGUACUGGCGCAGAUGCAGGCUACGGAUUGACAAACCCCAUAGGAGAAAUUUUGAUGGUCUCAUGAUCUAUUUUUGGUGGAAUAUUUGGAAAGAGAGAAAUAGAAAGUCUGCGACCAAGAGAAGUGGCACGUUUAUGCAAGAAAGACAUAGAUCAGUUCACCUAAGGUGUAGAAUAGCGACCCCUACUAUAGUCAUCUCAACAUCCCAAACCUAGAGAUGGUCAACAAUGAGCAAUUGGCAACUCUCAGUGAGGAAAGAGGUGGUAGAGAUGGAUCUGAUCGAGGAAUGAGUUGAUGUGGGAUACUAGGCUAUCAACUAUGUGGGCUGCUUAGGCGACAUGGUUCAUGGUUGUGCUGGUGCUAUAGCUCGUUGUGCUGGUUGGCUGCACUUGUGCCACUACUUGGCUACGAGUGUGGUAGCAAUUGUGGAGGGUAGGCCUACCAGACAAUCCUUACAUGUACCUAGGUCUCAACUGAAUAGAUCCUAAGGUUGCAUAUACUAGUAUACUAGUACAAUAAUUUGCAUCACCCUGCGAAAUAGUAUACUUUGUGUCACAUGGGUCUUAGCUAGGGAUGGAAAUAGUUCUAAGGUUGCAUACUAGUACACGUGGUAGCUUUGUGUCAACCCAUUGGAUAGUUGACCCAACCUACAAAAGUAAGGCCACAAAGUAUCACAUGGGCCACUUCAAAGUCUGAAAUGGUCGAUAAAGCCUAGAACUAAUUGACCCAAUGGCCAGGGCAACAUGGAUCGACCCAAUUGUCAUAUAACAACCUUUUAAAAAUUUAUGUCAACUAAGAUGAUGGGCAAAUUGUUCUUUUUUAUAUCUAUUAGCCAAGAAUAUCAUAAUGUGUGGUGUGAAAGAUAUUACAAUUCAUGUAUACAUUAAUCGGAUUUAAGUUUUUUAGGUGGCAGAUCAAGGAUAAGUUUUAGCAGGUGACAUAGGAAAAUUUCCCUUCGCAUCACCGUUGAUGCAUAACCUUGGUUUCACACCUACUAGAACAUCAGGCGCCCUUUGGGCGCCCUACAAUGUCUCGAAGAAUAAAAUCAAGUGUAUGCACGGCAGACAUGGAUUCAUAAUUAGCCCAGUUGGUUAGAGAAACCUAGCCACACCCCUUAGAUCUUAGGUGUGACUCCCCAUGAGAGCGAAUUUUAGGUUAGGGUUUAAAAAAAUCUCCUCCCAUGCCAAAGUACAUGUCUCUGCCCAAUCUCGGUCAUAAUCGUUCUCACAUGGGCUACGGUGCUGCUAUGUAUGGGUGAAGCAGGGGUUCAAGGGUUUUUCCGACUUGCGUAAGAAAGUCUUCUUAAUGCAAUGCCCAUAUAUAAAACUAUUUUUUUGUAGCUAGCUACAAAAUAAUUUAUUUUGUAGUCGGACCCAAACCAUCUGAUCGACCAGAUGCAUAAACACACGAUGAUGCUACCCAAGAAUAUAUCUAAAUGUGCUAUCAUUUUGCUGACAUGACUACAAUACAAAUGGAACAGAAUUUGUCAAAUAAUCACAAAAUUGUACUACCUCCAACAUAUAUCAAAUCUUGAGAUGGAUAAAGACAAGAACAACCCGCAUAAUUAUAUUACUGAUCACAGGCUGAGGAAGUAUGCAUCGCCUGCCUGCAUGUACUCUAUCAAAUUGCCUGAGUCAUAGAGGGUGAACACAUUGAUAGGCGAUGGAACUUUCUGAAUGGCAUUAUAAACAAUUGAAACUGAUCUUCACAGCACCAUUAUUUGUUAUCUGCAAAGCAGAGGAUAUGAGAUGCCUUAGAAAGGUUAUAAAUAUAAAACUCUAUAACAUAAAUUAGCCUAUGAGAUUUUUGGUUAUUCAGAGUUAGCAAUGACUUCUUUUUUUUGUCUCUAAACAGCUUUGUUUCAUGUAAAACAUAAAGUAUUCAUAAACCCUCAAAGUUCUGGCUACGUAGUAAGCACCAGCAGACCAAUCAUGCAUUUGCUAUUUAUCCUAAUUAAUAAGAGUCAGAGACUCCUUGACAAACUAUGUCUUCAACUCCAUUUUUCUCAAGCUAUGUGCGCCUUCUAGGCAUGGUGGAGCAUUUUCUAUAUCAUAUAUUCAAAACACAGCAAUUUCGACCAUCUCAAAUUCAAGUAACAGAAGCAAAGUUAUCACCUUUACUUUCCAGAGACAACUUUUACCAGGCGUCGAGACCACACCAAAAUUAAGAGAACUCCAACUGUACCUAUGUUAAAAAGGCUUACCUGCCGCACCUGCAUGACACCUCACUCAUGUUGUUGGCUGCAAGAUACUCCCUGCUUUGACCCCCUCCCUCCCUUCUCUGCUAAUAACAAUCAAAGCUUGCUAACUACACUACCUAUGUGAGAUGUGAGAGAAAAUAUAAUCUGUUAGAGCUUAAGAAGUAUGAUAAACCAUACAUGAAAAACCAAUGCAUAGAAGUGAUUGCCUGUAAAGAAAAUAAACAAACAGAAAAUGUUACCCAAAAAAGAUAAUGAAAAGCACCACUUUGCCUGACAAAUUAAUUAAAAUGUUUAAGUUAACAAAAUGGUGAAACUCAAAAACCCUCUCUUUGACAUAGAUUAUCCAAACAAAUUCCCUCAUUCUAUAGCCAUCUUAGCUCAGUGGUGAAUUAGAUUAACAAAGAAUCAUUUAUCUUCCUGAAAACAAAAGGAAAAAAAGACACUAAGAAUGGAAAGUCCAUGUACACCUAUGGAAAUGCAGACUGCGGAAACUAUUCUUAACAAGCCCUAUUGGAACUAACCAUGGCCCCAUCUAACCUAUAUUGGAAAAGCGUCCAUCUGAAAUCAAUCACAACAUUAAUUUGCCUUACUAUCCAGCAUCAAUAUGUAGUAAGAAUUUUUUAGAAAAAAAUUGCUAAGUUUAAUACUUUAGACCUUUUUCAAGUGUAUACAACCAUAUGCUAUAUCGUUCUCCCUGGCCAAUCUAUUGUGUAGUUUAGUUGAAGAUUAUCUGUUAGUGAUAUCAUAAGUAAUUGCAAUAAUAUCUGCUCCCAACAGCAAGAGGCUCUGCACGACCUAUCCACAUGUCUGGUUGAGACUGGAGAUCAGACAUCUCAAUGCUUGAACUACUAGUGUCCACUGGAAAUUAUUGACUUCCCUACUUUCAAAGCCACUAGACAAAUAGGAUUACCUCAAUCUGGAAUAGCACCCAGGAAGUCAGAAUUAUCCAAUUCUACAACUCUGAACCAAAUUCAAAGUCACACGCAAAAUCAAGAAGUUUUCUGCCAAAAAAAUCUGAAACACAAGAUGAAAGACAGGGGAAGGACCUCUACCAGAGGGGCGUCCAUGUUGGCAUGGAGGCAAUGAAGAGUGGCAGGUUGAAAUAGGGCUUUGACCUCUUUGCGGACUACCGAAAUGGAGAGUGUUGUCAUAGGAGCGCAUGGCAGGGUGAGCAUGGAGGCACAUGAGAGGGAUGAGGGCGUGGAACACGCAGCCACCGGUCCAACCACAUCAACAGCGGCACGCGCGUAUCUUGGGAGGCCUCGUCGCAGAGCAGCCGGUGUAGGCCAAUCGGAUCCGCUGCCCUCGAGCCCAGAUCUGCUGCCAUCGAGGAUGGAGCUGACCGGAUUCGCUCAGUGGGCAUCAUGAGGAGUUACUCCGUGAGUGGGCUCGGUAGAUGCCGCAACAGCUCGACGUCGCCGUCGCCGAUGCGCUGCUGGAGGCGACAGAGGACCGAUGGUAGCGAUACGCGCAGAAACAGCGGUGAGAAGAGAGCGAAAGGAAAGAGAGGAAUGAGGAGAGGGCUAGAGGGGUUCAGAGUCCGUGCGAGUGGGGGGCUGUCCACCGCGGGGAGGUUUAUGCAAAAAGAAAGUAUUUCUCGAACAGGGUCUUACACGAAAAUUAUCUGAAUGGGACGACUGUUAAGAGCUGGCAAAUUGGACAGCGGGUUAAUUUGUGAAAAGAUAGAGGAGUUUUUUUUUUUUGCAAAACAGUCAAAACCACAUGUCAACGCAAGGAGAAGCCAACGAUGCCUGGAAUGCUCUCGUGCGUGCAGAGUCCAGUACGUAGGUUUUAAAUAACCCCGAUGUACAAGAAAAUUUUUAGGAUUUAUCUUUUUUUUUUCUAGCUGUCUUGUAAGAAUUAACAUGGACAUUUGUUGAAGCCUCUAAUUAGUAAUAGUGGGAUAAUAUGCAACAAUGUCAUCAAUGUCAAUUGAGCAUCUCCAACAGUUUGGCAUUUUUUCUUUACCAUUUGUUGGAGUUUGCCAACUCUGAAAAGCAAAUAGGAAGGAGAAAAACAAGACAUCUCCAAGAGUUUUGCAAAUCUGACUUGCCAUUUACCAAAAUAUGGACCCAACUGCCGAAAGUUUUCAGCACACACGCGGUCUCGGUCCGUUCGUGGGCUUUCUUUGUGCGUUCAGGAAGUCCACCGCCACUCGCGUUGAGGAGGUCCGCCGCCAGUUGCUUCGUCCCGUGGCUCGGUAGCUACUCCCUGGAGAUCGGCCAAUCCAUGGUCGGUCGCUAGAAGAAGUGCCUAGAGAUCGGCAAGCAGUGCAAGUUCCCUCAGAGAUCGGCAAGUAGUCCACAAUCGCCGCUGGCCGGUGGCCGCUAAGCCACGAUCGCUGAUUCAUCUUGCUGCUGCCGUGAUCGGUGUUUUCCGAUCGCGCGUGGGAGUCGCGGUCGUGCGCGGGCGGCAGAUCGGUGUUUGCCAAGUCGCGGACGGACUUGCAUAGAUGACAAGCCUUCCCUGGAAUUUGCCAAGUUUCCAAAAAUGCAAAACCAAUAUGCAAAACUGUUGGAGAGGUGUUUUAUGAAUUUUGGCAAAAAUUAAGAAUGCAAAAGCAAUAUGCAAAACUGUUGGAGUUGCUAAUAAUGGAUUUUCAUUACUAGGGUGUGUUAUAUGGAAAGGAGAUUGCUGCCGUGAAACGACUUUUUUCAUUUGAUAAGGAAGCAUUCAAGAGAGAGUUAAACAAUCUUGGGGGAUUGAAUCAUCAAAAUAUUGUUCAGCUGCUUGGUUACUGUUAUGAAACAAGACGUGAACUUGUAGAGCAUGAAGAAGAAGGGCAAGUGUUUGAAAGUGAGAUCUAUAUAGCUAUGGUCUUUGAGUAUAUGCACAAGGGAAGUCUACAGAAGUACCUUCAAGGUAAGAUGAUGAUCCUAUUUAUACCUUAUUUAUUAUAUUGGCAAUGUUGAUUAGCAUUACAUUUAGUCCAUCUCCCUUUAUUUGCUUUUGCAGAUGAAUCAGGAGGACGGAACUGGAAGGCAGACUAUAAAAUUAUUAAGGGGACUUGCGAGGGUUUGAGAUACCUUCACAAAGGAUUGAAAAGUCCUAUGUUGCAUUUAGAUCUCAAACCUAGCAAUAUAUUACUGAGCAAGAAUAUGGUGCCAAAACUUGCUGAUUUUGGUUUAUCUACUAAGCUAGUCAGCGACAACCAGACUCAAGCCACACCAAGACCUUUUGGAACACGGUAGCAUAAUGCUUCUAUAUGAACUCAAUUGUCUAAAACUUAUGAUGCAUGGCCUAACAAUUAAAAUUUAUGAUGUCAUGCAGUGGAUACAUGCCUCCUGAAUACAUUCCAGGCAAGGAUGUCACGGAGAAGUUUGACAUAUUCAGCUUGGGUGUGGUAAUGCUAGACAUAAUUUCUGGUCCUGAAGGAUACAAGAAGAAAGAUAAAAUGUCGUCUUUCCAAGAAUUUAUUAACUAUGUAAGAUAAGUCCUUUAUAAAUCAAGAUCCCUGGACAAACACAAACAAUCUUUAGAGUAAUAUAUGUAUUUGUAUGCUGACACCUUUGGAAAUGAUAUACUUACUUUGUGGAUCGAUCUCGCUCAUAGGUACAAAAAAACUGGAGAAAGGAUACAACAAUUAAGUAUGAAUACCAAGUGAAGAGAUGCCUUGAAAUAGCGAUGGAGUGUGUCAAUCCUGACCAAACGCAAAGGCCUAGCAUUGAUGAUAUCAUAAGUAAGCUGAAAGAUACAGAAAACAGUACUGAGAAGAAAACAAACAUUGAGAACUUGGCCAGGACUUUUACCUCACAAAACGAGACAUGACAUCUACACAAGGUAACACAUCACGACGCUAAUGGUCCCGUUUUCUUAACAACUGGGAAUGUUUAAUAAUGAACUUUAUUUCGCCAAAAAACUUAUUUAGAAAUUCUGUAGGUUAAAUGUAACAAUUGACUUCUUCCAAAUGUGGGGUUGAAGGUUUUUUUAUUUUUUUGAACGCAAUGGCAGGAGCUCUGCCUUUCAAUUAAGGUAAGGAAAGAGAGUUUAUGUACAAGCAAAGGCACUCCAAAAGGAGGGUUUAAGGCCCCCAGAAACAGGGACACUCCCCAGGGCCAAAACAGCGGCUAAACAUAAGCGAAAGCUCUCUUCCUUUGCUCUAUAUCUUCCUUUAUUCUUGUGGCCACUUGCGACACUGUUUCUAUGGUGUUGUUGAAGAUUCUCCUGUUUCUCUCUUUCCAAAUGUUCCAAAAGGUGUAGAUUACUACCCCAUUGAGUCUUCUGCGUUCGAAACUAGGCACCUUCCUUGCCGCCUCUUCCCACCAUGCUCUAAUAUGGAUGGGGUUGGCCUGAGGCUGCUGCUGUUGUAGUUCGGUGAAGUUUUCCUAGGAGAGGAUUUGAUCCCAAACCGCCUUAGCAAAAGGGCAACAUAGGCAUAGGUGGAGGCCGGUUUCAAGGGGACCGUCGCACAACACACAGUUUGCUUGGUGUGGCCAUCCUCUCUUUUGUAGGUUGUGCGCCGUAAGAAUUUUAUCUUGCACCAAAAUCUAGGCAAAGAUCUUGCAUUUGUUCUCCACUUGUGCUUUCCAAAUGAGUUCAUUACUGAACAUGACGACGGAGCCUUUGAAUUGAAUUCUAUAAGCCGAACGGGCGCUAUGCUUGUGUCAAAUGGAUAUAAUGUUUGAUAAAAUUAUUGAAGUAUAAACUCAUCAUGUAUGUGUUGGUGAUUUCAGUCGAUGAGGUGCUCCAAUGGAGGUGCAUGUUCGUCCUACAUGGUGCCACCAACCACCUGACCGCUGGAAACCUUCACACGACAUCAAGCAUGGACGAUGAUUUAGCAAUACGAUUGUGCAUUUUAAUUUAUUUUAAUCCCAUUGUGAUAUAUUGACUUAAGUGAUCUAAGACCCCUUCAUUUUGAAUUUCAAGUCCUUGUAUGUAAUAAGAAACGAUGAAAUGCACGCCAGAGGUCAUCUCUAGGCGAAGACAUAACGUAUAAUACACAAUAAUUACUUUCCUUUGAAAUAACUAGAGUACUCUUUGGUCCUGAUCUAUUCAAACUGAAAGGUACCUAUCAGAAGAAAGAACUUAAUGUAACGCCCAUGACAGAAUACAUAAAGAAUAAAUAUGUUUUUGGAUUUCUAAAUACUACACUUUUAUAAAGGGAUUGACUGCGCUUUAAAAAAAGGUCAAAAGUUGGCUUUUGAUCCUUCGAAUGGAGGAUAGAAGCCAUUGUUGUGAAGCUCGCCAAUUGCAUUUCGGUUUACUAAUUUUUUUUUAUAAAGGCGGUAAAAACUCUGCCAAAUUUUUAUUAGAUGAAUAAAAAGAAAAAAGAAAAAGUUCGUUAUAGCAACUUUAUGUGAAACAAAAACAACUUAACAACUAAGGCAUGAGGGCCAACUCCUACGGCACACCGGCCAUGUACCACUGCAAACAGAGAAAAGAAAAAUAACUCCCAAGUUAACAACACCAAAAUGGAAAAACCGCUACUCCGCAUUGACGAUGGGUCUUGUUGCUAACUGGUACUGCUGAAUGUCCUCGUUGCAAAGAAGAGCGACUUGUAACGGUUGUAGAGAUUUUUGUUGGAAGGUUCUUGUAUUUUGUUCCUUCCAUACAUUCCACAAAAAAUAGAUCUAUGUUUUUCCUUUAUUUUCUUUGGAACUUGGCACCAUAUUUGUGCCAGUAAUUGUGUAGUGGUUCAUUUGUUCCUACGGAGUCGAGCACCGAAAGAUUUAGCCAUUGUUUUAAAUAUGACCAAACUUGCUUUGAGAAGCGGCAAUCCUUACAAAGAUGAUUUCGAUUUACUACUCACGUGACAUUUCUAUUUUGGAACUUGUCAUCUAUUUUCCCUAUCUACUCAACUCCAAAGGAUGAGUCCGACAUUGCCGGCGCGUUGACCAAACCAACCCUUCCCUGCAGUGCCAUUGUCACUGGCAGACGAAGUAUUGUCCAUCUGCGAACACAAGGUUGAAAUGUGCCCUUGUGGUUUGAUUUGUGGUGAGUGAUUAUCAACGUGAUCCAAGAUCUAGGUUGAGUUGGUGACUAACCAUUGGCGUGAGUUGGGUCGUGCGACAUAUCUCUUGCCUUGUGGUGUGCAGGUGUAGAGCUCGGAGGCGGUGGUCGACGUCGAGGAGAAGGUCAAGUAGAGAUGUGCUGUGUCGAUGGACCUGAAGCGGUGAAGGACUGACGUGAGGCUUAGACUGACGGACCAAGAGACCGGGUGACCAGUGUUGACAUUUACUACCGUCAUCACUAAAAAUAGAGACAAACCCUACUCCUAGUAACAACACCAGAAAUGCACGGUAUUUAAUUAACUUGUCAAAUAGCAACUGACCACUUAAACAUUCCUAGAUGAAGUCUAACUUGUUAGAGCACUAGCAAAUCUACCCACAUACAUUCUACCCGUAGGUGUCAUCAAUAUAAAACCAAGUAGCUAGGAUGUCCUUAGGGCUAUCAAAAUUAGACAUAUGCAAAUGCGUAAUUAAUUAAAUAUAUAGGUUAACAAGGAGAACCCAUAUUAUACUUGCCUUGGUUCACGAACUCCUACUGGUCCUCGUAGAACUCUGGAUUCCCAAAAAACUCCUCACCGUCUGAACUCGAUCAACACAUCACAACCAACACGUAUUCCAAGACAGACAUGCAAGAAAAUAAAUCCUAAAGUUAUAACAAUACACCAGCAGUAAAUAAACUUCAAUAAAGGUUUUCCAAAAUCAUCUACGUGUUGCUACGAUCACGUCAACGUAAAAUUCACGGAAAACAGAGUUAUGACACGAGAUCUACGCAUUAAAUGGGACCUUAAAAGCAAUCUACCGACUCGUAAUUUUCUAGGAAAUCUAAUAGUGUUGAACCUAGACAACAGUGGUACCAACACGAAGCUUAUGAAAUUACGAAACUAACGCAACUUGAAUGGAUCGAAUCGGAGCUAAAACAAUGAUUUUAUAAGCAAAACAGUGUAGUGGCAGAAAUGUAAUUACUGCAAAGAUUAAACAAUUUUAUAUAAAUAAAGAAAAUUCAGGAAAUCCUCUGGGCAGGGACUGCACGCGCGAUAUCAUAAUACUUCAGGGACUCUUUAGCAAAAAUACCUAUGAAGGGGUACGGGCCAUUCUUGGCCGUAGGAUUUUAAACGGACGCACAGGAUUGAUCGGGGGAGGGGGAGAGCGGCGCCGGUGGCCUGAGUUGGGGAAGGGCGGCGGCGCGCCAUGGUCGGCGGCGUGGAGGUCGCCGGCGUGACCCGCUAGAGCGCUAGGGUGCACGGUUUUCCCAACCGAGAGCACUGGGGGAGAGAGUGAGUCAAGGCGAGUCCGCUCUGGGGUAAAACUCAACCAGGGGAGGCGGUCUCUGUGGUGGUUCGCGGUGGCGCCAUGGCCGGCGGUUUCGGAGCUCGUGGGGAAGGCUCUAGAGACCACCUUUUCACACGGGAGAAAUCUAGAGAGGAAGAGGGGAAUGAGGCGCGCUCACCACGGUGAAAAGCGGAGGUGGAGACGGCUUGGUUCGUCGGAUUGAACACGGCGGUCACGGUGGUCUCCGGUGGUGGUUCUGGGCUCUCGCGAGCACACGGGAGAGAGAGGGAGUGGGGUUUGGGAGGGUGAAAUGGAUGCAGGGCAACGACACGGGCUCGGGUGCGAUUCAAAAGGGGGCGAGGAGCGGGGAAGAACGUGGGAGCAGGGGAGAAAUGCGGCUAGCGGUUUCGGCUCCCAGGCGAAUAGAGAGAGAGUGGUUGUGGGAGGAGGGGGAUGACAGGCAGGCCCGACCUGUCAAUGGGUGGGAGAGGGGGUGGAAAAGGAGGCCGGCCGGCUGGGCCUUGGCCCAAGAAGAGAAAGGGGGAGGCACGGGGUGCGCUGGCCUUGCAGGCCGAAAGAGGGGAAAUGGAGGAUUUUCUUUUUUUUUGUUUUCCAAAUCCAUUUUCCAAACAUUUUCAAAUUUGGAUUUGAAUCAAAUCUCUUUUGUAAAUUCCACACAUCACAUAAAUAAAUACUGCAGCAUGAAUGCAUCAACAAUAUUUCUAAGCUUAUAUUAACUUUUAAUUUCCCAAAAAUUAUUAUUUUCUUAUAUUGUAAUGCCCACAAAAUUGACCCAAAAUCAAAUUCAACUAUUUUAAAAGAAGCAAAUUUUAGGGUGUUACAAGACACUAAGUACCAAGGGUGCCAAGCACCAGCCAAGGUCGGCUACCACUUCUAUUUAUAGCCCCAAGGGCUAAACUAGCCGUUGCCCUUUCACUGGGCAAAACAUGAGGGCGUCGGACGCGCGAACCUAGCGUCUGAUGCUGACGAAGCAGCACGUGUCACUAGCCGUUUGAACUCGACCGUUUCUGCCUACGGCUAACUCGCACGAGCACCUGACACAGUAGUACCAGAUGCUCCAAUGGUCUACACCGGACGUGGUGCCUCAGCACCAGACGCUACUCAGAGAGCUCUGCAAACACAUAGGGGCGUCGAACGCGUCUGACGCGUCCUUACUGGAUGCACCCGGGCAUCCGACGCUCAUAGUCAAAGGUGCUCGAUCGCGCGCUCGCUGAUGUCAGUACUCACCGAAUGCGGGAACAAUGUUCGGCCCGUGUCCGACACUCACCUCCUCCUUUGUAAAUAUGCUAACACCACAUCUCUACCCUAGGAACUCCACCUCUUUUGUAAAUGUGCUAACACCACCAAGUGUACACCAUAAUGUGCAUGUGUGUUAGCUUUUCAUAAACAUUUUUCCAAAGGAGUUAGCCUCUCAACUGGCCACGCCACUCGAUCCUAACACGUAUGCAAAGUUAGAUUGCUCAAGUGGCACUAGAUGACCAAUAUACAAACAAGUUUGCCCCUCUUGAUGUACGGCCAUCUAUCCUAAAUCCGGUCAUAAACUUACCUACACACCUAUGACCGGUGAAAUGGAAAUGCCCUAGGUUACACCUUUGCCUUGCGCUUUCCAUUCCAUCUCCUCCAAUGUUGAUGCAACACAUGCACCAACCAAUCACCAAAUGAUAUGAUAUGUUUCAACAUGCACCAACCAAUCACCAAAUGAUAUGAUAUGUUUCAUAUCAUCAUGUGACCAUAUUGGUUCAUCGAUCUUGACCUUACUUGCUUUUCACCGUUGCUUCGGUCUAUCGGUGCCAAGUCUUGCUCAAGCUUCACCAUCACACGUUGUCCCUCACUUCAAAGCCUCUGACUUGCCCUUCACACUUGCAACUGGUCCAUCAAGUCAAGCCUCAUCUUGAUCUUCUUCACCUUGGUCACACGACUUCAUGUUAUGUCUCAUAUGCAAUGAGCUCCUUCAUCAUCACAUAUUCACCUGUGGACUAAUCUCCUAUGUAUCUCACAUAAACACUAUUAGUCCAACUAAGUUGUCACUCAAUUACCAAAACCAAACAAGGACCUUUCACACGUGUCGAGUGGCGAGAAAGCGUAUGGAGUAUGCUACUCGCGGCGAGUUUCGCACGGUUGGGCCUCAAAACCCGGGCGAAGGUUUCGAGGAACGGACGACACGUGGCGGCAUCGAGGAGUUGGCGUCGAGGCUAAGCUACCUCAUGAAGGGCGUGGUGGCCAUCAGAUCUAGCUUAUAUCGACUUGGACUAGAAUGCUCCUAUGGCUAGCUAGUUUGCUCAAAAAUAUCACAAAUAGGAAAUAUAUAAUAUGCCUGAUAAAUAAGGAGAGGGAGCCCCUCAUCUUCCUCGCCUCCUCCAUUUUCAUUUCCUAUCACCCUUUCUAGGUUUUCCCCCUCCCCUUAGUCUUCUAUGUGAGAGAGAGGUCCACAAAUCUAAGAAUUUGUGUAGGCAUUGAGAUUUGCUACGGGAAUGGAGGCCUUAACCUCCUUGUAUCCUCCGGGAUUCAAUUUGUGAGUUGAUUGUGUGAAUCACGUUUGUGUUCUUCGUAUUCUUGUUUUCCCCCUUCUUGUUCUAGCCUUGAUUCACUGUUUUGAGACCGAUUGAUUUGUUCUUUUUGCGUUGGCUUGAGCUAUGACGUGAGUUAAGCCUUUCACCGAAGGAAAUCAACUAAUUCCUCAUGAGCUCAUAGAUUGGGUCGAUUUCGUGGCUAGGUUUCAAGAAACCAAUUUUUUCCUUCUCUUUUAAUUCCUCAUGAGCUCAUGAUUCCCCAAAAUCGACACCAGCGCGUUGGGUGAAACCGCGGACCACCCAGCGUGCUUUGUAGCGUUCCAGGGUGCCGUCGGGGUUAAGCUUGUGAGGAAACACCCAUUUGCCAGAGACAAUGUGAGCACCAUGCGGGCGGUCGACAAGGAGCCAUGCAUGUGCGAUUACGCUGAAGAGCCUUGAACUCGAGAGCCAUGGUCUGGUGCCAGUUCGGGUCCUUAAGUGCGUCGAUGAUGCCGGUGGGGAAGACGCUGCAGUGCCCGCAAGAGCAUAUUUGGGGUUGGGACGGUAGAUGCCGGCUUUGGCCCGUGUGACCAUCGGGUGUGCCGGGGGCAGAGCCGUGGGCGCUAUAGGUGGAGGUGUGGCUAGAGCAGGCUCGGGUGCAGUAGUAAUGGGAGAAGGUUGUGUAGUAGUAAUGGGAGAAGGCUGCUGUGGUGCUAAAAGAGAAGGGGAUGAAGGAGAGGAAGAAGUUGGGUGAUUCCUGUUGGAGGAGCUGGGACCAGAGAACUGGAAUCAGGCGACUGAAUGGGAGCUUGAAGAAUGACAGUUUCGUCAGUCGCUAUAGCCGGUCCGGCUAUUGUCGGCUGAGCUACAAAAUGAGCAAAGCGGAAGGGGAAUUGGGAUUCGUCAAAAAUGACAUGCCCGGACGUGACGACACGGCAGCUCUAGAGAUCCAGGCAUCUAUAACCGCGAUGGUCGGCCGGAUAGCCGAGAAACACGCAGGGCAUAGAUCUUGGGCUUAGCUUAUGCGGCACUGUAGCAGAUUGGUUGGGAUAACAUAAGCAUCCAAAGACACGCAGUUCGCUGUAGGAUGGCGGUGUACCAAGCAAGAGCUGAAACGGUGUAGCAGUGCCACUAGUUUGAUAGGGACGCCGAUUCAAGAGAUGGGUGGUUGUGUUUAGAGCCUCAGCCCGGUAAGGAGCUGGCAUUCCAGCAUGGAUGAGCAGACUGCGAAUGCAAUCGUUGAUAGUGCGGAUGAUUCUUUCGGCCUUGCCGUUUUGGGAUGAUGUGUAUGGACAAGAAAGGCGAAAAGCAAUGCCAUGGCGAGCAAGAUGAUCACGGAGUGCUUGGUUAUCAAAUUCACGGCCAUUAUCAGUUUUCAAAACAAUGAUGGGAAGUUGGAACUGAGUUGAGACAUAUGCAUGAAAAUUCAGUAAACACACUGAAAAACUUCAGACUUUGCACGCAAAGGAAAUGUCCAAAUAUAAUGUGUAUAAUCAUCGAUUAAAACAAGAUAAUAUUUAAAGCUAGAAAGACUAACAACUGGAGAUGUCCAUACAUCAGCGUGAACAAUUUGGAAUGGAACAUAGCUAACUAAAUUUGAAGAAGAGAAUGGCAGCCGAACACGCUUGCCAAGCUGACAGGCUUCACAUGUGGGGGAAUGCUUGUCGUUGGAGGUGAAGUUGAGGCUGGGGAGGGACUGCUGGAGAGUAUGACGUCCUGGAUGCCCCAAGCGUUGAUGCCAGAGCUCGAUGGUUAGAGCGUUCAGCAGGUGAGCCUCCGGCGAGGGUGCUUGGAGCUGAUGCCGCGUAGCAUGUUUAGGACCUGCCUUGUCUCGCCGACGGGCUGUCCGACAUCACGAAGAGCAUCGGCCAGUGUCUUGAGGCGCCCAGUGUACUGGGCGAUAUCCAUGUCACCUUGCACCAGAUUCCAGAACUCUCCCUCCAGGUACACAGCACGGUGAAUGUAUAUGUAGUACAACAAAAUGGAGGUUACUAUCUUCAGCAACUGUCCUGGUCUAUGCACGAUCUGUGCUGGUGGUGAGCGCGGUCACCAUGCGUUGGUCCAAGCAGUUCCUGAGUCAAGUUCAUGUACUCUAUCCUCAACAUGUAAUUAUGAUGAUGGCAGUUUUUUCAAUCCACACAGGAUUAAUAUACAAUGAAUUUUUCUCUGUUCCAUUUGGGCUUUUCAACAAAUCUGCCUAUGCAUGCCAUGAUCCUUCGUGUAGUGAUGCUACUACUGAAGGACUAAUUAAGGUAAGACGAAAGAGAUGCCCACCCUUUUGGUGUGGACCCUGUCUGGCAUGGUAGCCGCAGCAAGCUGCCGUUUCUCAGUUCACUGAAGAUGCCGAUGCCGAUUCUUUUUGGAGUUGCACAAAUGAACCUUCGGACUCUGAUUAGUUACUUCAAUGCAAUUUUUUUGCAGGAACACUCUUAACGUGUGGUACCAGUUCAAUCCCCAGCUUUGAACAGCUUAUUUGGUUACCUGUCCUUGCUCAUUAUAUUAUUUGGUGCAUGGGGUCAAAAGCAGAUCUAUACAGUAUAUUGGAAAAUUAACACAGCCCAAGGUGAAAACUACUUAAAUUGGCGGUUUGUACCCAUUAUAUUGCAAGAGAUGUCAUUGUCACUAAACAUAGUAUAAAAUGGAUUACUCCACUCUUAAUACUGUCAUGGCCAUUAAAAUCCCCAAAAAAUAUUGUAAGAUACAUGUCUUCAGUGUCACCACAUAAAUGGUCGAGCCAAAACUAAGAUAACUCGGUCAGGUUGUACAAUUGCAAAAGACAAUAUCACCAUACAUAUAGCACUAAACAAAAAAAAAACAGCUAGACUUUCGUGACAACGUAAAGUAAGCUCUCCAGCUCCGAAGAGAUACCAAGUUGUUUUUUACAGGAAAUCUAAGCGACUAAGCCCUGAAAUUAUUCAGACGCAUGAUAGUAGUGAUGGAUAAGAUAACACACAAGGGGUCUGCAACCAACGAACCAAACUUAUUCAGAACACUACCUCAAUGUUACCAUCACUGCCAUCAGACAUGUGGCGUCUUGAAUUGUGCUUGAUCAUUUGGAGCUCCACUUUCCCCUUGCUGACGUUGCCACCGCUAAAGGUGUCACUGGAAGUCCCAUGGGCGUCAUGGACACAUGGCACCACAUCGAUACCAGUCAAUACGGUGAAAUCUUCGACUGCAUCAUAUCCAGAAACACAGAAGGCCAUCGGAUUCACAGAGGACCUGGAAUUCAAUAGAGCACGGAAGAACCUUGUGAUGCAGAACCUGCCAGAGCCUAGGUUGACAAGCUGAGGAGGCUUCGCCUCCCUCCACCUCCAGUGUCCAGGUGCAUCGAGUUCCUUCCAAGUGCCUACUAUCUGAGGCUGGGAGUCCAUGGUGGACAGGUCAGCAGCGCCCAGUUGCCGGCCCUCGGUGCAAAUGCCAAACCACAGCUUCAGCUCCGGCACAUAUUCGACCUUGCCUUUGAAGGGUAGCACCCAGUCACCAACAUAGCUCCAAGUGUGUGUCACUGUGUCCAAGCAGUAGGUGGCAGGACCGCCGGCGCCAUCCACUGAUAGGAAGAUGACAUGGGAGCCACCUCGUUCAACCACUGCAUAGGAGGUGAUGUCAGGGUGUCUGUAGUGCUCGUAGUGCUUAGGGUCAUCGACGAAUGGCGGCGGUGGGAGGAGCUGCCUCUGCCAGGACUUGGACUCCCUGUGGUAGACAAAAGCCACAAACUGAUUGCUCAGCUGCUGUCUGGCGCCAUUCAGCUCCUCCUGAUAGGGAGAACUCUCAAAGAUGUAGAAGCUGCCAUUGCCGUCGGCGGCGGCAUCAGCACUGGAUGUGGAUGGGAGGGGGAUCCAGCAGGGCAACAGCGAGCGCUUGGGCACGUUGAAGCAGGGAAUGGUCUCCAGCUGGAACAUGCCCACAUCAAAGAGGACAGUACGGGCAGACGGGUCGAUACACAGCACCUUAUGUCCUGCAAGCGGCAGACAGUCGAGAUACCAAUCGCAUUCAUCCAUUGAGCAUCGGAACUUCAUGAUUGGUUGGGGAAGUUGAAUCGUCCGGAUCUUUCUUGUAAUAACUGAAGCUGCUGCCUGGUUAUAGUUCUUGCGAUCGUUGGCAUCAGAUGCACAAGACUCAGACUCAGGUGUUUCCCUAGGCUUCAGGACGCAUGUUUCCAUUGAAAAGCCCAUGGCUCGGAGGUUGAUGCUUUGGGACGGAACUGGGCUCGUCGUCCCAGCUAUCUUGUUCUUGUGAUCGUCAGCCCAAGGCGUGGCGUCUUGCGGCAGCAAUUCUGAUUCAGACCUGUUUUUUCCUUUCAGUUGCAGUACAGGUAUUGUUGUGUUGAACAACUUGUGUCGCCUCAGGUCAAUGCAGUGCAGGGAUUUGGCUCCCGGGAUGCGAUUGUCCACGAUCAGAUUCAGAAACCGACGCGAGAGGCCCAUCACCGGUGCCCGGUGGAUUCAGAAGUCGUCGACUUCAAAAAAAAAAAAAUCAAAUCAAAUGACAGCAGCAGCAGCAGCAACCAAGCACGUUCCUUCUCCUGUAGUAUUUCCUUGCGAUACGAUACCUUGACAGAAGAUAACAAAGAGCUAGAGGAGAAAAGGGACGGACUCUGAGAUGAGGCAGAUCUGCAGGCUGCUGGCUGCUGACCUGAGGCGCGCCGGAGAACGGCGGAGCUUCUAGAACCAGGUCGGAGCAGAAUGGAGGCGGCGGGUGGGGUGGAGUCUGGACGGUCAAGCGUGGGGUGGGGGACCCUGUGGGCUGUUGGUGGACUAUUUUCUCCGAUCCGAUGAGCCCAUGGACCGAUGCAGCCUAUCACUAGGAAAUGGGCUGCGCUAGAUUGGGCAAAUGGGUCAAUACAUAUAUCGUCAAUUGGUGGUGGUGAGAUGCUUUUGUAAGCCUAUCCUUACAACUAAAUUCCCUCAAAAAAAAUCUCCUUAUUACAACUAAAGAAUACGAAAAAAAUUUAUAUUACCUCCCUCAAUUUUUGUGAAAGUCUAUUUUUUUCCCAUGAACACUAUAAUCGGGUAAACCACCUCCUUGAAGUUUUUUUAAUAUAUAUAUAUAUAGUAUGCUAUGUAGCUAGCUACAAAAUAUGUUAUUCUGUAGGCACCUCCAUUUACGAUAAUUUUAUAUACUAAUUUACGAUAAUAUGUAUACAUAUUUACGAUAGUUGGGUUACUAUAACACAUGGGGAUAUUUACCGUAAUGUUAUAAUAAACCACUUAGUAAAGAGUUACUAUAAUCUUGUAAAUUAAUAUAGUAAUUAUAGUAACUCAAAGUGGCUACAAAAUAAGUUAUUUUGUAGCCAACUAUAAAAUAUGUAUAGCUAUAGUGUGUGUGUGUGUGUCUAUAUAUAUAUAUAUAUAUAUAUAUAUAUAUAUAUAUAUAUUUCAAAAAUCUUAGUAUAUCAAAAAAAUUAUAAAUUUAAAAAAUUGUUUUUUUUUGGAACUUCAAAUGAGUAGUAGAUCUGCUAAACUUGAACCAAAUUUUUUAGAAUCCAAUCUUAGUUAAAGGAGACCUAGGACCCUGGAGAGAGGAGCACUUUUUUUUUUUUUUUUUUUGCCUCCACGCGCUACCAGGCUGCUCAGCACUCGCAAAGCUGUUCCCGAAGCCGAGUCCCUCAGCGAUGGACCUUCGCCUGGUGCGUCGCGAGCAGCCCACAAACUGACGCAGCCUUUCAUGGAUAAGAAAUUAAUCUAGUAUUAUUUUUUUCAAUUUUUAUAUUCGAUAUCUACAUCGACCGGUGCUAAGGUUGGCUAACAGCAACUAGAUGACGCGGCUGUCAGAUAUACACGGACGGACGUUAAAGCCCAGAAGACGAGCACAACACAGCCACCCACUGCAUGUGUGUAUAGUUGCCGGUCAAAUUACGGCGGUGGCGGCGAAGCAUAUACUAUGCAUGCACUACUAGCAUGUGUAUAUGUACAAUGAUCUGUGCAAAAAGAGGUAAAGAACAUGCAAGUGUUACUGCAAGAGGCAAACAGGCUUAGGCAGAUGUAUGUGUAGAUAUAUACGUGUUGGCCAUACAUGCAUCUACAUAUGCACGUGCAAGUAGGGAUGAAAACAGUACGGAUGUUUUCCGACCGUAUUUGAGACCGAAUUCAUUUAGAGGGAUUUAGAUCUAUCCGUAUUCGAGUCUGAAUAUUCACCAUGCGAUACCGUAUCCGUAUCCGAAUACGUGAAUCAUAUAUUUAUAAUGUCGACAUUCAAAGGUAUCUUAUCCGACAUGAUUGACAUUAUUCGUAUUUGAAUCCAAAUCCGAUCAAAAAUAUGAAAACAAAUAUGAUAUCGGUAAUAUCCAUUCGUAUCCAGUGCCGUCUCUAGGGGGUGGGCAGCCGGUGCGACGGCCGGGGGCCCACGCCGCUAAGGGGCCAUCUAAUUUUUUGGAGGCUUAUACAGACACUAUAGAAAUUCGUCAAUUAAUUUAAAAAAGAAACUCAUUAAUCAGCACGUCAUCCACAUCCACCUAUUGCUAGUGUUGCUUCAUAGUCUCGCUUGAUCGAUUAGUUGAGCAAAUCAAUCUUCCUCUUUAUCGUCUUCUCGUCCUAUUGCUCAAUCGUCCAAUGCAACAAUGUGGCUCCAUGACACGGUAACACCACACGUCCGCACACGAUGUCAGUACUAGACACUGGAGCAGGAAGAGUAAGAGCAUGGUUGAUCGAGACUGCAUCAAUUUUGUUAUUAGUAUUCCGUGAUAGGGUUCUAAAUUUCUAACUCUAUCCUAUUUAUUUAUUUGUUGUACUAUAAUUACCUUUUAUAAACUAAAAUAUAUGGUGCAAAUUCUUUUUAGUUGUACUAUAUAUUUUAUAUAUUUGACAUAUAAAAAAAUAUUUGAUGGGCCCUUACCCUUUUGCUUACACAAGGGCCCUAAAAAUAAUAGAGACGGCCCUGUUCGUAUUGGAUGCGUUUUCAUAGUAGGUGCAGGACCUCGGCGCCGUGACUUCGGGAGUAUGAGCCACCGAUGAGCCCGGCCCACGUCCAUAUUGUGCGUUACGUGCAAACACAGCAUGAAAGAAGCAUUCUCGGUAAAUAAUUCACCACCUUUUUUUCCCGGACAACACCCAACAAACAUGUGAUAAGAUAAUUACUGCAACAUAGCCAUAAUAACAUUAUUAAUUAUAUAUAUUAUGCCCUGUGUUACUUCGUUUUAACCACAAGACACAAAUUAACUGCAUGUUUCUAGAGAAUACACAACGGUUAAGUUGGCUUGCAUCAUUUCCUAGUCUGUUUACUAUUAAUUACUUGCAGAGAACGUAGGAAGUGUGUGAAGACAGUUCCAAUGUUAAAAACUACCCAUGUUUUCCAUAACAGCCACGUCAACAAAAAAAUCACAUCUAAAAACUAUCUCACCUAGUGUUGAUGUCUUUACGUAAUAAAUAAUAUUGUAUUUUAUUCUCUCUCUCCUAACUCUAUCUUUCUCCUCUGACGACUCUUUAUUCUCUUCUUCCUCGGUACGUAUUCAGGAAACAAAACAUGAGGGCCUUGUUUAGUUCUGAAACUUUUUGGGAAACUGUAGCACUUUCGUUUGUUUGUGACAAGCAUUGUUUAAUUAUGAAAUAAUUAGGUUUAAAAGAUUCAUCUCGUGAUUUACAGAUAAACUGUGUAAUUAGUUUUUAUUUUCAUCUAUAUUUAGUGUCUCAUGUAUGUGCCGCAAGAUUUCAUGUGACGGAGAAUCUUGAAAAAAUUUUGGUUUUUAGGGUGAAGUAAACAAGGCGCAGAACAAGAACAGCAGGUGACGAGAGAGAGAGAGAGAGAGAGAGAGAGGUGACGGCACGGUAAUGGUGGACGGCAGGCGCGGCCCGGCGCGAGCGGGCGAGGCUGGUCUCAUAGGGCGUGUUUGGAACCUUGGCCAACGCUAGCCAGGCCGGCCCAGGGCGCGAUAGUGCUUGUUUGGUAAUCUUGCAUGUGGUCCUACCUUGGCCCAAUGAAGCCAGCCGUACGCUCCAGGCCCGUUUAGCCUUGAACGACCGAGACGCUCGUUCAUUCGAGGCCAGGCCUGAGCCAGCCGAGCGGAGCUCGCGGGCGUGGGCUUGGAUGGCCCUCGGUGGCCACCGUAUAUAAGUCACCCGUCACCGUCCGGCUAGGGUUCCUAGCUACUGUUCACUUCCCCCCUACCGCGCCGCCGCUCCUGAGCGCUCUCUCCUGUUCCCCUUCCUCCCGUUCCCCUUCCUCCCGGUGUCCAGCGGCGACGACUACCACCGUCGGCGGAUCUGGUAAAGCAAGCAGGCUAGUGAGCAUGCCUCGAAUCCUUCCUCCUCAUAUGUUGGCCUCGGUUCAUGGUGUUGUAACCUCGAUUCAUCACAGUUUUAUUCGGUUUUAGUGCUGAGUCUAGGGUAAUGGUCGAUGAUGGUAAUGGUUCUGGGUGGCGCACUAUUUGGUGUCGCAGCCGUUCCUCUAAAAUUGGUUAGGGUUGUAGUCAUACUGCUGUUGUGUUCACUGAUUUGGUCUCCCAAACCCUCGUUUGUUCACUGAUGUGGCUAAAGUUCAUCCCUUUUCUCGUGGAUCUGGGUGGCGCACAUGUUUGUGACGUAGCUGAUCCACUCUGAUUUGCCCUUGUAUGUGCUAAUUGUCUUGCAUUGUUUGUAUAGCGUAAUGGAUCCAGUGGUCAGGUGUUGUCAGGUUGCUCGUAGGGGCGCUGCCGUGGUGGCUGUGAUCUGUGCGUGGGUAUUUCUCAGGUUCAGGCGGCUUGCCAGGUCUAGGGAGGGGAUUAGUUUCGGUCCACUGACCCAUAGAGACAGAGAGAGAGCUGCCAACCUCAGGUUCAUCUAUCGUAGCUCUGAUCGCCGCUGUCUGGAGGUCCUUAGGAUGAGCAGGGAACCCUUCUUCCAGCUCUGUCGCUUGUUUCGGGACAGGGCUCUCCUUAGGGACAGUUGGCACACUGCCAUUGAAGAGCAAGUGGCAAUGUUUCUGCUGAUUGUCGGCCACAACUAGAGAUUCAGGGUACUUCCACCAAUAUUUAGGAGAUCCCUUGAAACCAUCAGCAGGUACUUUCAUGAGGUCAUGUUUGCAGUUGGUGAGUUAAGGAAUGAGAUGAUUAGAGCCCCCUCAGUUGGUGUUCAUCCCAAAAUUGCAAGGAGCAGGAGAUGGAACCCAUUCUUCAAGGUAGUUGUUCAUUGGCAUUAGGUUCAUUGUAGCCAAUUAGGUCGUUGUUGUGCCUAAUCUGUUGUUUGUUUAGGAUUGCAUCGCUGCCAUUGAUGGAACACAUGUGCUAGCAAGAGUUCCAUCAAGUGAGAGGGCAGCUUUCAUGGGGAGGAAGCACACUACCACACAGAAUGUACUUGCAUGUGUCAACUGGGAUCUUAGAUUCACCUAUGUAUUGGCUGGCUGGGAAGGUUCUGCUCAUGAUGCUCGUAUCCUUGCUGAUGCUUUGGCAAGAGAGGAUGGACUUAGGAUCCCGCAAGGUAUCAGCUUGUUUGCAUAUGUUCCAUUCUAUCUAGAUUAGGUUAUCAUCCAUAGUUCUAAUCAGUGUCCGUAUCCUUCCUUUUUAGGAAAAUUCUGUCUUGUGGAUGCUGGGUAUGCAGUGAGACCUGGUUUCCUACCACCAUAUCGAGGAGUCAGGUAUCACCUUAGGGAGUAUGGUGUUCGAAGGCCAGAGAAUCCUAGAGAGCUCUUCAACCUUAGGCAUUCUUCCCUUAGGGUCACUGUUGAGAGAGGGUUUGGUUCUUUGAAGGGUAGGUUCAGGAUCUUGGACAACAAGCCUCAUCAUCCUUACAAGACUCAAGUGAAGCUUGUACUUGCUUGUUGUAUCCUGCACAACUGGAUCAUCACCUUUGGGCAUGAUGACAUGAUUCCUAAUCCAGAGGACUGACAGGGGCAAGUUUGUUGUGAGUGAGUGUAGCAACUCAGGCAAGAGGAAGAGGGCCUUCAAUGAAGAUGAUGCAACCCCCUUGAGUGGACUGGCUGAAUCUGUCAGGGGUCUUGGGGCUACUCUAACUAAGGGAAACAAUAAUGAGGCUGCCACUAGGAUUUAUGAAGCAGUGAUGGAUGUUCCAGGAUUUGCAAGGGCAGAUUUGAUGGUGUGCCUGAACUAUCUCAUGAAGGACAAAGCAUCAGCUCUGGUGUUCAUUCAGAUGAGGAUUGAUGACAAGGCACUCUGGCUGGCUCAACAUUUGGCCGAGGUGAUGGCCAAGAGUGGCACCCAGUGAAGAUCAGACAGAGGACAAGGGGUGGCUGACCUAUUUGACAACACAGAAAUGGGAUCCAUUCCUAUUUUGACUAUCCCGACAUGGGAUGUAACUUUAGGUUAGAUGUAAGAUAAAUAAGAUAAGGGUUGACUUAUCAUUUUUCUGAGGGUAGUUAUGAUAGAUGCCAACUAGGUGUUAGUUUCUUAUCAUAUCUACAGGAUCCAUUCGAUGUUGUCAUUGAAAAAAAGCUGUAACAUUCUCUGUUCUUCAAUUGUUGUGACUUGCUUUCAUUGUGUGCUCUUCUUUGAUGUGAUUUGAUUUCAUCAGAUGGCAUGAUUAUUCAGUACUACAGUGUUGGUCCACUGCUUAUUUGGUUUUAAAAUUGUGUAGAUGAAGAACCAGGCCUAUGCUGUCUUCGAGGGGUUCAACCCUGGUGUGUACAAAACAUGGCCUGAGUGAACAGAGAGAUAUCCACAUACAAAGGCAAUUUGUACCAAGGCUAUCCAACUUAUGAUCAAGCUGUUGAAGCCUUUGAGAAUUACCAGAAGUACAAAAAACGGGCAAAUAGUGUUGGUGCAGGAGUUGCAGAAGUGGUCAAAGCAAAGGAGGAGGUGAAGAAUGGCCCUAUCAUCGGCAACAGGCUUGAAACAACCAUCUCCAAGAAAGACUUCAUCAUUGCAGCUUUGGUUGUAAUUGUUUUUGUACAACUUAUUGUCAUCUUCAAGUACUGAUGACUAAUGUAAUUUGAACCUUAUUUAGUUUAAUCCAAAAACUUGCAUGUACUGUACAAUGGUAUGUAAUCUGAGACCUUUAUUUAAUCAUCAUCCAAAAACUGGCAUCAGGUAGCAAACACAAGCAAAACAGUGGACAAAUAGCACACAAACCAUACAUCAACCAUAGCAGUAAGAUCCACAGAAGUCUUAAUUUACAUAAAAAGUGCACCAAAGAUUUGGGCACAACCAAAAUUGCCAAACUUUGGCAUUCUUCUGAGCACCAGUUCAUCAGAACUAACUUGCAUGCUACUACCAUCAGUCCUAACCAGGAGCUAAGUUCUUCUACCAUCAGGACAAGUGAACCAAGAUCAUCAUCUCAAACUAGAACUACUACCAUCUACACCCAAAAUAUCAGCAGGAUGUCCCAACAAGAUGCACCACCACUUGUCGACAUCCUUGUACCUCGUAUUGCAUUAGAGCUUCACCAAAAGCACCGCCACCAGGAAGAUGACGAGUCCGAUGAGGCUGUACACCAGGAACAUGCUCCAGCUCUUGUCAGCGGUUGCGAAUGCCACCCUGCGCUCAUAGCGGGAGCACAACUGCUCAGCCAACCUCUUGGUGCGCUCAGUUUCUUCUUUCAGCUUAUCCUUCUCCUUGACCUGCUUCUCAACAUUCUUGUAUGCUUCAAUGAGAGCAUCGUGGGCAGCAACUUGAACAUCUCUAGUUGCCUUCACUUCACGCCAUAGCUUCUUGAAUGCGGCCUGCACACGAACCGGCCAUGGAUCAUCAAGCCACUCCACGUACCCACACUGCUGCGAAGUCUACAUAAUUGAGUACAAUGUCAAUAAGAAAUGCAGAAAGACAAUUGACCAAACAGAACAAAUUAACAUAAGUUUUAGUUCAAUCAAACCUCCAGUCCACAUCCCAGGAAGCGCCUUCCGGUGUUCUUGCCUCCCCAGCACUGCUUCAUCACUGUAUAACACCCAUGCUCGCACUUGCCAACACUCAGGGUACCAAGCCCUCCCCAAUCUUGGACAGGGAGACCGAUUGGAGGCGCACCAAAGCUCGAUGCCUAAAUCGAUUUGGGGAAACAACAAAGUUGGCACUAUUAAUCUACAAAACGCCCAAAACUAACCAUGAAUAUGUAAGAAAUGUACAGGCAAUCGACACUUGGACCUUCUAAUCGUUCGAUUUGACAAAAAAUCGGGGGAAAUCGAAACCCUAGAACUACGCUGGGGGAUUAGGGUUCGCUACUUACAUCUGAACCGGAGUGAGAGUCCUCCGUGAAGGCCGAGGUGUCGCCGGAGGUCAGAGGAGGAAUCGUCGAGGACGCGCUCCUCGAAGGCGACGCCGGCGACACCGGAGCUCCCGAAGGCUCCGAGCAGCACUCGCAUCCAGGACCGCCGGUGCACGGCUCGAGCUUCACCUGCGGCUGCAGCGUGACCUCCAUCACGCGCUGAGAAGCGGACUCGUCGCUCAUGGAGGCAGCAACGAGGAGACGAGGGCGAGCGAGAGUGGGAGUGAGGAAGAAGACGGCGUGCGUUUCGGUGAAGAGGAGAUGAGGGAGGCGGUGACCGAUUCGGUGUGAGUGGUGUGCGGUGCGGGGGGCUGCCGGGCCUUUUGUACAGCCGAGGGGGUAACCAACACCGCUGGGCCGGCCUGGUUACUGUACCCAGUGUGGCCAUGAAACCAAACAACGGCGAAUUGGCUACAAAUGGGCUGGCAGCGAGUCUGGACACGAAACCAAACAAAAACUUAGUUGGGCCUGACUCAUUUAGCACAUAAACCAAACAAGUGGCCAUGGCUACAUUUGCACAGGCCAAUAUUGGCCAGGCCAGAUUGGGCUAGCCAGGCCAACUUGGGCCAGAAUCCAAACACACCCAUAAUUUCUAUUGGGACUGCCCUGAGGUGUAUAAAGUGGAUGCUCAACACGUUGUGCAAGGGCAAAGAUCUGGCCGGCCGGGUCAGUUCGGCUCAGCUCAGCAAGGCUUGCCGUGGAGUGUAAGCCUAACGGUCCAACCGCAUUGAAUAAUGCUUAGAAGCCGAAGAAAGGGAAAUCCAUCCAUCCCUUAAAAAAUUGACACCACAGCUAACAAACAACCACGGUGUACACUUUCCAUUCCUGUCCUUCCAAUGUUCUUGUUUAGGCCUUGUUUAGUUUGUAAAAAAUUUGGUUUUUGGCUAUUGUAGUAAUUUCGUUUUUAUUUGACAAACAUUGUCCAAUCACGGAGUAACUAGGCUUAAAAGAUUCGUUUCGCAAUUUACACACAAACUGUGCAAUUAGUUUUUAUUUUCAUCUAUAUUUAAUAUUCCAUGUAUGCGACCAAAGAUUCGAUGUGACAAGGAAUCUUGAAAAUUUUUGCGAACGACCCUGUUUAGAUUGGAGAUGAAAAAUUUUUGGGUGUCACAUCGGAUGUGUCGGAAGAAUGUCGGGAGGGAUUUUUAGAGACUAAUAAAAAAACAAAUUACAUAGCUCGUCUGGAAACUGCAAGACAAAACUAUUAAGCAUAAUUAAUAUGUCAUUAGCACAUGUGGGUUACUGUAGCACUUAAGGCUAAUCAUGGACUAACUAGGCUUAAAAGAUUCGUCUCGCGAUUCUCAACCAAACUGUAUAAUUAGUUUAUUUUUUAUUUACAUUUAAUGUUUCAUGCAUGUGUCUAAAGAUUCGAUGUGAUGGAUGAAAUUUUUUUUGGUAGGGAACUAAACAGGGCCUAAACAAGGCCUUAGCAUUCUUACCAAAAAUGCAUGCUCCAACAUUUAUUAUUAAGAGAAUCUUACUGUAAAUUGUGUACCAUUUAAAUGCUUACCAUGUGUCCAUGUCACCAUUCUCAGAACAGGUGACCUCAUGUUCUCUUACCUUAAUUUUACUGCUUUUUAAUUUUUUUUUAAAAAAACAACAGAGGUGUACAAGGAAGUGUUUAGACUAUCUCCAACAAUCGUCAUCCAAAAUACACGACUCAUUUGUCCCUUGGAUAGUGCUACAGGUAAAAGAUUCCAUACUUAUUUCUAGUCUUCUCCAACAACAAGACCUAAAAGAUAACAUUUUCUGCAAAUGGAUCUAGAGGAGAGAGGAUACUCAAAUUUGGGUUAUCCCUCUCCUGAUACUCAAAAUAGGUUUUCUGUAUGGAUACUGUGUUGGAGGUUAUAUAUAUGUAUUAUGUUGGAGACCCAUUUUGGGUUUGAAUUCCCAAUAGGUCUCCUAUUGGAGACAACCUUUUUGGGUAUCAGGAGUUACGUAACCCAAAUUUGAGUAUCCUCUCUCCUCAAGACCCAUUUGCAGAGAGUGUUGUCUUUUAGGUCUUAUUGUUGGAGAAGACUAAAAAUAGAUAUGAAACCUUUUAAUUGUAGCGCCACCCAAUGAACAAAUGACUCUUAUAUUUUAGGUAACGAUUGUUAGAGAUAGUCUUAGUAGAUCUAUCAUUGUGCUUCAAACUUACUCCCUUCAUCCCAUAAUAAAAUAAACUUCUAUAAAUUUUAAGAUAGAUUAAAGAUGAUGGCAAAAGAGGCAUAUAUCCUCGUCGCCAUUCCUUUUCUGGGAAAUAUCUCUUGGAUUUAGCAAUUAUCGUCUGUGUGCACUAUGAGUCAGUAUUCUAUAUUUGUAUAGAAUAUUAUUUAUUUUAGGAUAAAUUUUAAACCUUAGAAAGUUAUUUAUUUUAGGUUGGAGGGAGUAUUAAGCAUUUUUUUUAAAAAAAUUUACCAAAGAUCCUUUACCAUUUCUGUUCAUGUGAAAACUUUUAUCAGGUCUUGGUGAGACUCGUGAAAGUGAAGCCUUACUGCAGACAUGAAAAGAUCUGGUCCUGAUGGUUUGUCUACAUCAGAACAUUAGCUGGUGGUUGACGUUAGGCUGGGAAAUACGAUUUCCCACUCUCACAUGUUUCAUGUUUGUUUGAGGAAAAGACAUUUUUACAUCUUUUUUAACUUUUCAAAACAAAAUUUGGUGCGCAUCCAUUUCAUUCCAAACAAGUAAAGGGAGCACAAAUGAACAUUUUUUUUUUGUUCUUGCAGAAGGUUCACUCAGCAUACAUAUAUACAAUUUUAGAAUACGAAGGCCUUGUUUAGUUCCUAACAUAUUUUGCAAAAUUUUCACAUUCUCGGUCACAUCAAAUCUUACGACACAUGCAUGAAGCAUUAAAUAUAGAUAAAAGAAAUAACUAAUUACACAGGUACCCGUAAUUUGCGAGACGAAUUUUUUAAAUCUAGUUAGUCUAUAAUUGAAUAAUAUUUGUCAAAUAUAAACCAAAGUGGUACUAUCCAUAUUUUGUAAAAAGUUUUGGAAAUAAACAAGCCCGGGAUGAUUUUGCACAAAACUUGUGUGGAUUCAGCAAGAUUCAGGAUUCUCUCUCUACCAGUCUCUCUCUGUGCUGCGCUGUAUCUGUCUGUGAGCCCCCCUUUUCUCUCUCUACAGCACUGUACUGCACACUGGUUGUCCCUUUCUCUCUCUUAAAUCUCGUCAUCACAUCAACCGUUCCUGGAAUACUCCCUCCCAUUGCUUCGCGCUCGCGGCAUCUACUGCUGCUCCUCUUCCUCUGCCUCCGCGUCGCCGCCGGGCGAUCUCUCUGGCCGCGUCCGCUCCGCCGAGAUCGAUUCCACCCACCGCUCUCGCCCGCGUCCGCCCACUGUCCCCGCCGCAGCAAGAUUCGCCCGGUUCCUUCAGCCCUCAUCCCGGUGCGCCGCGCCGGCGCCUGCCCACUCACCUCACCGGGCCUAAAAAUUCCGUCUUUUUUUUUAACGGUCUCCGGUUCGGGUGCUGCCAUGCGCCGCGGCGACGGGAAGGACGCCGUGAUUCCGCGCCCGCCUUCCUGCCGCCGCACGUGAGGUUGAGAUCUCGGGGCGGCGAUCUCGUGGCGGCGCCACCAUGCCGUCUCUGCAGCUGCUGCAGCUGACGGACCGCGGCCGGGGGCUUCUCGCUUCCAGGAGGUCGGUCGUCUCGGAUCACUCACUGAUCAGUCUUCAAGUUCCAUCCUUUCAUUUUCCCUUGCCAGCCGUUCUUCCCAAUUGCUCCGUACGUGCGUUUGUUUCCUCACCGUCGUCUCGUCUCUUUGUGCGCAAUCAACCAGGAGGACGCUCGCCGUUGUCUCCGGCGCGGUGCUUGCCGGUGGAGCUCUGGCGUAUGCCCGCUCGAGCCAGAGCCGGCGGAGGAGGCGUUCCGAGGCUAAUCACGGUGGUGAAACCAGUGCAUUGGCCACCAAUGGGGAUGGUGCCGGCGGUGGAUUGGCUGCAGCAAAGCAGAAAAGGAGUGGCCUCAAAUCUCUGCAUUUCCUCGCUGCUAUCCUACUCAAGAAGAUUGGUCCCAGUGGCACGCGCUUCCUUCUCGGCUUGGUAUUAACAGCGGUAGGUUCUGCUAUUUUUUCCCUGAGUAAUGUACUUGUUUCAGAGAUUUCUACUCUUUGGGGCUUUUCGCUCUUAUACAGACACGAGUGGUCCCAGUGUUGCUAGUGGCCUACUACUGCUAUCAUAUGAAGGAGGCACUACUGACUAGUACAUCUGUAUUUACUCAUUGUAAUUUCUUAACGAGGCAAGCAGUUUAAUAAUCACAUGCUUAUGGAGAAAUUAGCAAAAACAACUUUUUAGUGAAAAAAGAAUAGAAAAAAAAACAAUAUAAGUCUAGUGCAUUUCCAUAUGUUUCGUUUCACCGGCUGAAAUUGUUGGAAGGCCUAAAAAAAAUGUUUGAUGAUGUUUUAAUAAAUGAUACUAGUAUCUAUAGAAACUUUGGGUUUUAUUAACGUCAUCAAACUACCUUUGGGAGUUUUUAAACAGUAUUUGAAGCUGUACUAUGCUAAUGAUCUAGAAACAUUAUCCUCACCGCCUUGUGCUUUUCUGCAGGUGCUACGUACAGCUGUGGGGCAUAGAUUAGCAAGAGUUCAAGGUUUUUUGUUUAAAGCAGCAUUUCUUCGGCGCGUCCCAACAUUUACACGCUUGAUCAUAGAAAAUCUUAUGUUGUGUUUCCUCCAAUCCACACUGUAUCAGACCUCAAAAUACUUAACAGGCUCUUUAAGUUUGCGUUUCAAGAAAAUUUUAACAGAUAUCGCCCAUACUGAUUACUUUGAGGUACAUCUGUUGCAGUUUUGCUUUUGCCUCAAUUUCAUUUUGUCUUCCUUCCUACAGUUCUUAAUUGCGUCGUUUCCUCACAAUGAUACCAUGAAGAGCAUUGUAAAAUUAAACUCCAAGAAAAGUUAUUUCCUAAGUUUGUAUCUACCAGUGCACUAAUUUGGUUCUUGUUCGUAUUAUGUUAUAGAUAGUGACCAUUUAUAAGACUGCAAGUGACAAUUGCAGCAAAGGUUUACAUGCGAUAAAACAGUAAAGCUGUUUAUAUAGUAGAAAAAAAUCCAUAAAAUACAGCAGGCAGGGGAUUCUGUUUCGUCGCCUACUCUUGUGCUAGAUUUAUUUAAGAUGAAUUCCGUUUCUAUGAUAGUCAAUUACAGUAUUAGAUUGGUUCUUGAACAAAUGUGCAUACUAUUUUUUCCUAACUGGAAUCAGCAUGCUGAUUGACAUUAAUUUUUUCUCCCACUAUUUAUAGUGUCCUCAUUUUCUUUAUGCUAGUUGAAUUUGCCCACCACUAUUUUAGUUCAUGCCAGCAUUAAUUCCUCAGUAAGGCUGUGAAGUUUAUGUUGUUUUCAGUCUUAGCAGCUACACUGUUUCCUUUUCCUACAUGUCUUAUUAUGAGGAUGCAGUUGCUUAAACUCAUGCUUUCACUUUUAGCACAGUCUGGAGAUUAACUUUUUUGCAUUAUUAAUGGUUCUCCUUUUUAAGUAUAAACUUAACAAGACAUCCCGCACUCUUGUUUGCUACAGAAUAUGGUUUACUACAAGAUCUCACAUGUGGAUCAUCGGAUAUCAAAUCCGGAGCAAAGGAUUGCUAGUGAUAUCCCAAAGUUCUCUUCUGAACUAAGUGAACUUGUACAGGAUGAUCUGGCUGCAGUUGCAGAAGGGUUAAUAUACACCUGGCGUCUCUGUUCUUAUGCUAGUCCAAAAUACGUGUUCUGGAUUAUGGUAAAAUUCUUGUUACAAAAUUUCAGCAGUGGUACUUCAUUUACACAUAUAUUAUGCGGUAGCCGAUGAUACCUCUAUCGAAGCUGUUUCCUUAAUGCUUUUAUAAUGUAUCACGAGUCACGACAACAAGUUAAAUGCUUUCAGGCAUAUGUGCUAGUUGCCGGUGGGGUAAUAAGGAACUUCUCUCCUGCUUUUGGGAAGCUGAAAUCUACGGAACAGCAACUAGAAGGAGACUAUCGUCAACUUCAUUCACGAUUAAGAACACAUGCUGAGAGUGUGGCAUUUUAUGGUGGUGAGAACAGAGAAGCAUCUCAUAUUAUGCAGCGGUUUGAGGCUCUUGUUGAGCACCUGAAUCUUGUGCGUCAUGAAAACUGGUGGUUUGGCAUGAUUCAAGAUUUCUUUCUGAAGUAUUUUGGUGCCACUGUGGCAGUUGUCCUUAUUAUAGAACCUUUCUUCUCUGGCAACCUUAGACCUGAUUCAUCUACCCUUGGAAGGGCUGAAAUGUUGAGCAAUCUUCGAUAUCACACAAGCGUGAUCAUUUCACUGUUUCAGUCUCUUGGGAUCCUUUCUAUCAGCACACGACGUUUAAAUAUCCUGAGGUACAGUUCACCUAUUUUCGAAAUUGCUACCCUAUAGAUCUGAAUUGUUGAAGGUGACACUUUGCUUGAAAAGUUACUGGAUUAUGCUGCAUGUCAUCCAGUUAAGUUUGAUUUUGUUUUUUGCCCUUGCAAUUGGCAAUGUGACACUUCUUGUUCCAUUAUUUCUGACAAAUGCAGAUGAGAAUAACUUUAUUUCAUGGAACCAUUUUAGUGCUACGAUCUGUUUUUUUAUGAAGAAGGAAGAAUCUCACUUCUAUUUUUUAUUGUUUGAUGGUUUAAUAUUGUUCCAAGAAGAAGACAUAUUUUGCCACUUUGUGUAGUGCUUUUACGGAGACUGGAAAUCAUUAACAUCCUCUCCGUGAUAUGUUACCAACCUGCGCUUUUAGUUUUCAAAUUCUGCCACUUAUGACAUUAUCUUCUAUAUGAUUUGACCUGUUGCAAGCUGUGUUAGGUGGCUUUUCUACAUUCUAGUAUACAAGAACUACAAUGUCAUUAAAAUUUAGCACUCAUGUCCAUCACAGAUUUAUGAUUGUUUUGGUAGGAACCAUACUUGAUUUAUGUUUGCUUUGGUAGGAACCAUACUGUUGGCAUAGUACAGCUGGAGAAUGUUGACUUACAUGCAAAACACAUUGUAACUUUGAUUUUCUUUGGAAUACUUUGGUGGAGUCCUGUGCUCCUUUUGUGCUCCGGAUGCAUUUUCUACUCAUCUGCUUUUGAGUUUUAAACUUUGCACCAUCAUGAUUGUGAUGCGUAUGGACUUUCAAUGUAAUUUCACAGUGGCUAUGCAGACCGGAUCCGUGAAUUAUUGGAUGUUUCACGUGAGCUGUCUGGGGUUUGUGAUAGAUCACUGAAUCACAAUUCUCCUGGAAAUUAUGUCAGUGAAGCAAACCAUAUAGAAUUUUCAGAUGUUAAGGUAAUAACAUGCCGGUUGAGUCAUAUUCAUUUUUAUCUGCUAUGUAUUUCCUACUUCUGAUGUCAAAUGGUUGCAGGUAGUCACACCUGCAGGUAAUGUUUUGGUUGAUGAUUUGACUCUCCGGGUAGAAACUGGUUCUAAUCUUUUGAUCACUGGUAAUCUUCUAUAAAGCAUUUGCUAUUCUGAAUUUAUACUUGCAACUUAACUAUCAUGUUGGUUUCUGUGAUGAAACUUGAAUGAACUUAUGGGCUGAUAUGCAAAUUUAUGCAACUAUGUAUCUUAGCUUGAUGUUCAUUUCUAUUUAACAUGUUGCAGACCAUUUGGUAAUUAUCUACAGCUAUUUGAUUGUGUGAUAAUGAAGUAGCAAUGUUGGAUAUGAUGUGAUGGAAGUCUUUACAUGUGAGGAUAGUGUUAAAAUGUCUUGCAUGUAUUCUUUGAUCUUAGAUUCAUUUUUUAUGUCUUGUUACGAUCUCAAACUCUCAAUAUGUUUGCAUCUUUGGACAAAAUGUCUGUUUGAAAAUCUUAUGUCCCACUGUGCUAACAAUUUUACGGAUUUACACUCCUUCCAGGUCCCAAUGGUAGCGGAAAAAGCUCCCUUUUCCGGGUCCUUGGGGGUCUAUGGCCACUGGUAUCUGGCUACAUUGUUAAACCUGGUGUUGGUUCAGAUCUAAAUAAGGAGAUCUUUUAUGUUCCGCAAAGACCAUACACAGCUGUUGGAACUCUACGUGAACAGCUAAUCUAUCCUCUUACGGCAGAUCAGGAGAUUGAACCACUUACCUAUGAUGGAAUGGUGGACCUUCUAAAGAAUGUAAUGCUAUUCGAGUUGUGUUUUACAUUUGAUAUUGUGGCUUCUUGAACUACAACUUCUGAGUAUAUGAACCUACUGGAAUUUCUAAUCCUUUUGCAGGUUGACCUGGAAUAUUUGCUUGAACGCUAUCCUCUUGAUAAGGAAGUUAACUGGGGUGAUGAGCUGUCCCUCGGCGAGCAGCAAAGAUUGGGAAUGGCCAGGUUAUUUUACCAUAAGCCAAAGUUUGCCAUCCUUGAUGAGUGCACUAGUGCCGUGACAACUGAUAUGGAAGAACGUUUUUGCAAAAAGGUUCGAGCUAUGGGUACAUCCUGCAUAACAAUAUCUCAUCGACCAGCUUUAGUUGCAUUUCAUGAUAUUGUUUUAUCCUUGGACGGUGAAGGAGGUUGGAAUGUCCAGCAUAGAAGGUUAAAACUUAUGGCCCUUGAGAUAAAUUGUCAAACGUUUGUUCUUCCAGAAUUAAUUCACUAGAAAUUAGUAACACGCCUAAUUUUGCAGGGAUGACUCAUCCUUUUCCACUGAAGAAUCUGAUUUUUCAUCAUCAGAAACUGAUCGUAAAUCUGACGCACUGACUGUUCAAAGGGCUUUUAUGAGCAGGGCAAAGGUAUAUGAUUCUGGUCUUCUGAAUUUUCCAAUUUCCAUCAUUAUUAACAGCUUUUCUAAUGCUGCUGUUUUUUGGGGUUUCCUUACCAGAGCAAUGCUUCAUUGGGGUCCAAGGAUCAUUCAUACUGUACAGAGGUUAUAGCAACUUCCGCUAAGGUGGAAAUAGAACAUGCAGCACGGCGAAUUCCACAUUUACGAUGUCACCCAAGACCUUUGCCUCUCAGAGUAGCUGCAAUGCUAAAAAUACUAGUAUGCUCUUGUCCUUUGUGCUUCACAAUUCUUCUUUAGAUUUGUGUUUCCCAAUGAUUCAUAUUCAUCCUUCACUUUAGAAUUCAGAUAACUUUGCUUGUUGGUAACAAGUUGCUCUCUGUUUGAACAAAAGCUAUAUGUAUAUAUGCUAUAAUAAUUAAUAACCUUUCAAGUAUACUAAUCAAUUAAUGUACUACAAACUAUUAGAAAAAAGAAGGUUGCGCACAUAGAUUUGAUGAAGUGCCCUAAACUAUCUCUAGGAACUUUGUCCCCUCUCCCCUGUGCUGAUAACAAUUUGAAAUUCUUAUUCUGUUCUCAUUUACUUUGCUCCCCAGGUUCCUAGACUAUUUGAUAAACAAGGCGGGCAGUUGCUUGCUGUUGCUGUUCUUGUUUUCUCUCGUACAUGGAUCUCUGAUCGUAUUGCUUCAUUGAAUGGUUCUUCUUUUAACCCUUUGAUAUCUUCCAUUGUUAGAAAAGCUGCAAGUAUAAUUCUCAUAUGAUACUUCAAAUCUUACCAGGGACAACUGUGAAGUUUGUCUUGGAACAGGACAAAGCUGCCUUUAUUCGCUUGAUUGGUGUCAGUAUUCUACAAAGUGGUGCAAAUUCUUUUGUGGCACCAUCUCUGAGGUAAUUAUGGUUAACUCUAUUUUAAGAGAUUUUUGCUGGGUAAUUGUUACACAUGGAGGCCACAGGGCUUGUUGCUGCAGCAUUAGUGCAUGUGGGGCAUCGGCCAUUUCGCAGCAAGUACCAAGAGACAUAGCUUGAAAUGCAGCAAGAUGGCAGCACCUCCCAUAGGAAUAGAUAAGGGUAGGAAGUUGCAUUAUUUGCCCUGUAUUGGGUUUUGUUGUUAAUUGCAUGCACAUCACCUUGGUUGAUUAGUGCAAUGCAUAUCAGGUGGUUAGUUACAUAGUUUCCAUCUAACUGGGAGUCCUAUGCCUGCAUAUCAAAGAAAAUCUCUAGUCCCUCUUUCUGCAACCAGCCUCAGAAUGUUGACUGAUGGCAUGGAGAGCCCCCCCAGUCAGGUGGCCAAGUGAGCACCCUAACUUUGGUACUUGGACCCAUACCCAAUUGUUCACAUAACAGUGAGUAGUAAAUAAUGAUCGUAGAUUUAAAACGAAGCACAUGUAGCGUUCUAGUCAGUGACUUGUAAUAAUUCAUCACAAGUUUCAGUAAAGAAACUAUACGAUCAAAGUUUUCUUUAGUGGGGAGUACUUAAUGUAGGCUUUGAAAUACAUUUUUGGGGGCAUGCAAGUUUAAGCUUGGCAGGAUUUAAGGUCACUUCUGUACAUGUUUAAUUUCCUGGUCUCAAAUAAUAUGUAUCUGUGCAGGACCCUUACUGCAAAACUUGCCCUUGGAUGGCGAAUUCGCAUGACCAAUCAUUUGCUUCGAUAUUAUUUGAAAAGAAAUGCAUUCUACAAGGUAUAUCUCAAGUAAAAAAAUGCAAACACAUUAUUGCUUUAUUUUCCUUUUUUUGGUUAACCUGCCAUACAUUAUUGCUUCUCUAUAUACUAGUUAUGGUACCAAAAGACUCGGUGGUGUGGCUUACAGAGCCAGCAGUUUGAAAUUUGAAUCAUGGUUUUUCAAUGGCAAGGUAGCCAACUGCUUGAGAUUUCUACUGAAAUGUACCAAAUAUUGAAAAGUACUCCACAUUAAAGAUAACUAAAGUGCUCCUUUUGGCUAAACAAUAAGAAAUACUCCAAAUUUGGAAACUGUACCUUCUCAAAAUGCUUUAGAAGUUGUAAUAUGAAUGCUCCACUCUGCAUUAUGGGAUAAGAUGCUUGUGGCUCCAGCACUCCAGCAGGCACAUCAACGUUGUGAUGGCCCAUGCUGGAAAAAGUAGGGUGUAGGUACCGGGAGUUAAAAAGAUGGCAGGGAAAUAUGUCUGAUAGUUUGAACUGGGACUUGGCCCCAUUUCCUGAUUCCAAUGCAUUUAUUUGUUCCUACUAUGUAAAAAUGAAGAAGAAACUGGGAGAUGGCCUAACCAUCAAGCUGUCUUAUGGUGGCAUUAGUAUUUAGCUAGUUGCCAAAGGUGACAACUGCGUUAGGGUUGGGAUGGACAGGAAAAAAGAAGUAGCAAGCCUUGAGAAAGUUGCAUGACGCUUCUAGGAGCAAAGAUAACCUUUCUGUUGUUGGCCUCUAAUAUUCAAUGUACAUUAUGCAACCAGUACACGAGUAUAUUCUUUAAAUUACAUCGCUUUAUUGUAGUCGGGACUGAGUUUUGGUCAAAUGAUAUUUUGGUGUUUUUCCUAAAUGUGUCCAUGCCUAGUAUUAUCUUGUGCUGGGGUUCUGGUGUGAGAAUCAUAUCUCACAACGGUAAUACUGUGGGUAACUGAAGCUAAUAAGUUAUAAUGGUGUAUGAUUUCAGGUAUUCAACAUGUCAGGUAAAAGUAUUGAUGCAGACCAAAGAUUAACACUUGAUGUAGACAAGUUGACCACUGACCUUGCCGGCCUAGUUACUGGAAUGGUAAAACCGCUAGUUGACAUUCUUUGGUGAGUUAUCCUUGUACCUACUGCUAAUCAUGAACUUGGUUCAUGUUUCGGUUAGAAGCCUAGAAUUCAUUGUGCUAAUUGCAGCUGAAUUCACCAGGUUUACAUGGAGAAUGAAGCUAUUAUCUGGACGAAGAGGAGUUGCUAUACUGUAUGCUUACAUGUUACUGGGUUUGGGCUUUCUGAGAGCUAUAUCCCCUGACUUCGGUCAUCUCUCAGGCCAAGAACAAGAACUUGAAGGAACAUUCAGGUAAAAUACUGCAUAUGUUGUUGUGUCUUAGUAGAGCUUUUCAUGCCAUUUAAAGAUUCUAGAUGUUAAUCUGGUGAACUUUGGUAAGGUUCAUGCACUCGAGACUGCGGACACAUGCUGAAUCAAUUGCUUUCUUUGGUGGUGGUUCAAGAGAAAAGGCGGUGAGUUCCAUCAUGCUAAAUGGAUAAUGCCCAAGUUCAUACAAUGAAAAUUGUUUAGGGAAAAGUCCAAAUUACUCCCCUCAAGUUUGGCCUAUGUCCAGUUAACCCUCUAAACCAAUGUUUGGUUCGAUUUGCUCCCAACUAUUUAAGUUGGUCCAGUUUACCCCCUAACAAGAUUUUUUUUCCUCUGCGUACUAGUUGAGCCUGAUUUGCGAGAUGAGACAUGACAUCAUAAUUUAUAUAUUGAAAAAAUAUAUCAUAUUUUUUCAUCGUUAUUUUGAUAGGUUAGGACAUUUAAUUAUAAAUUAACACUAGAGAUACAAAAUUGUAAGAAACAUAAUGAUGAAAAAUUCGUAAGAAUUUUUUUAACAUAAAAUACGAUGACGAUUAACGUCUCACAAAAAUUGACAUUGUGGAGAAACAAAAAAGAUAAAUCUUGUUAAAGGGUAAACUGGACAAACUGAAAUAGCUGAGGAGUAAUGCUGGGGGCGCAUAGAUAGGAUGGUAUAAUGUGGACCAUGACAAGGCUCUUUCCUCUCCCAUGCAUAACAGCAAUUCAAUUCCAUUUUCUGAUGCAUCUCUAUGGUACUUGCAGAGAUCAUUUAGUGUUUUAAAAACUGUUAUUGUGUUUCCUAAGUUUUCCAUUGUAUUUGCAGUUCAAUGCACAUGUUAUGUUCACAGUUUCCAUGUUGAGCCCCGCCCCCCCCCCCCCCCCCUGGAUAGCUUCUGGUAAUAUUGUUAAAUGAGAUGACCUUAACUUUUCUGCUUGUUAUCUAUUCUUCUCGCUUUCAGAUGGUUGAGGCUAAAUUCGUCAAGUUAAUUAACCACUCAAAGAUUCUUUUGAGGAAACAGUGGCUUUAUGGUAUUGUUGAUGAUUUUGUAACAAAGCAACUUCCGCACAAUGUAACGUGGGGUCUGAGUCUGUUGUAUGCUUUGGAGCACAAGGGAGACAGAGCUUUAACAUCAACUCAAGGUUACAAAUCUUCAAAACUCUACUGUUUUUCCAAACUAUAUUAUUUUUCAUCUUAUAAACAUCCUGAAAUGCAUUUUUCCUUUGCUUCAUGCAACAGGAGAGUUGGCACAUGCCCUGCGGUUCUUGGCUUCAGUGGUCUCACAGAGCUUCAUAGCCUUCGGUGACAUUCUUGAGUUACAUAAGAAGUUCCUUGAACUUUCUGGUGGGAUUAACCGGAUCUUUGAGCUUGAGGAGUUUACACGCUUCGCACAAAGAAGUAAGUUCAGUUCGCUAGGACUUAAUAGACAAUAGCAAUCAUGUUAAAUUCUCUAAUUUCAAUAUUUUUCGGUAAUGAUUAUAUAGUUGGUUUGUCAUGUGUGCAUAUUAGUCUAACACUAAACAUAAUAUAUUAGGGUAGUAAGUAUUCCUGUUGUCGCUGACAUGUCAGGUUGCGCAAUGUUUGCUCUAAAAACUCUACUGGCAUUUUUGUACAGAAUGUCUGUUAUGGUUGAGCUUGUCACUUCCUAGGAGUUUUCUACAUGUUCACUAUAAGAAAAUAUUCUUAUAUCAGUUUUUUUACCUUUUCAUCAUGCCAAGUUUAAUAGUAAUGCUGCAUAGCAAUGGGCUGAAAACUGUGUAGUGUUCUUAAGGUUUUGUCAGCUGUUGUGGGUUUGUUUCAAUGCCAGGAACUGGCAAAAAAGUUAUUAUUGUAUUUCAACCACCCUGAGAAAGCUAAACAUGAUAUGGCCAUUAGUUAAGUUUUUUUGCAACCUCUUUCUUACUUCCUAGAUGAGGUAAUGGUUGCCUUAUAUGGGCUUUCUUCCCCUUUCUCUCUUUAAUAUAAAGAUACGCAACUCUCUUGCAUGUUUGAGAAAAAAAAAGUUUUUUUAUUCUGAACUUGCUUCUGAAAUCAAUGAUCCUCCAGAUACUGCGGUGUCUCCCAAUGCCAUCAGUGCAGCCUCAGAAGAAAUUAUUUCAUUUCAUGAAGUGGACAUUGUAACACCAUCACAGAAGCUAUUGGCUAGAAAACUCUCGUGCAAUGUUGUACAAGGGAAAAGCCUUCUUCUGACCGGUAUUCAGUCUUUGUGCAGGCAACUUUUUUAAAAAAAAUCUGCUGCUCAGCAGUGACCUUAUAUUUUCAUGAUUCAUUCUUUGUUUUGCUGAAGGUCCCAAUGGUAGUGGAAAGAGUUCUAUUUUUAGAGUGCUCAGGGAUCUGUGGCCCACCUUCUCUGGCAGAGUUACCAAGCCCUCAGAAGGGAUGUUUCAUGUUCCUCAGCGGCCAUAUACCAGCCUUGGUACUCUGCGGGAUCAGAUCAUAUACCCUCUCUCAAGGGAGGAAGCGAAGAUAAAAGUUCUUUCAUUACAUAGAUCUGGUAGGCCCACCUCUUGAAAUUGCUCUGUUAAAUUAGUAAGAACCUUGUAUUAUGAUUAGCUAGGAGCAUGCCAGUUGAUUGGAAGUAAUAAGUUAUAUUGUUGCUUGUCCUAAUGUCCUGGUAACGGGAAAACUGUGGUAAUAUAGGUAACAAUUCUAGUGCCUCUGUCCUGCUGGAUGAUCACCUGAAGACAAUUCUAGAGAAUGUCCGGCUGCUGUAUCUCCUAGAAAGAGAAGGGUGGGAUUCUACACCAAACUGGGAAGAUGUUCUGUCGUUAGGAGAACAACAGAGGCUUGGGAUGGUCAGUGUUAACUGGCAGACCACCUUUAUUUGUCCCUUUUUUUUUCAUUUUGUCCGCUAUUGAGUUAAUUGAAUGUCACUGUUCUUUUUGUUAGGCUCGUUUGUUUUUCCAUCAUCCUAAGUUUGGUAUCCUCGACGAGUGCACCAAGUAUGUGUUCUGUCACAAUGCUCUUUUGAUUUUUGUAUUUUCUUUUCUCUAUGCUGAUCAAUUACUGUGGGUCCUAAAUCCGUGCUUGGUUGCAGUGCUACGAGUGUUGAUGUUGAAGAGCAUCUGUACAGGCUUGCAACUAGCAUGGGCAUAACUGUGAUCACUUCCUCACAAGUAAGCAUUUGGACAACCCCUGUGAUAAAAUUUCCGAUGGUGGUGAACCGUCAAAAGCCAAAGAAGAUGCUGAUUUUUUUUUUCACUACUUGUUUUGCGAAAUGAAUGGAUCCAUUAUUACAGAGGCCUGCUUUGAUACCCUUCCAUGCCUUGGAGCUGAAGCUUAUUGACGGCGAAGGGAACUGGGAGCUAUGUGCGAUCCAGCAGUGAAUGAUGGUACCCAUUAGGAGUUGAUGCCAUCAAAUGCACUGUCAGCUGCAUGUACAAAAGCAAGCGGCUAGCCCCAUUGCCAUUGUGUAUAGACAAUGUAGACGGUGGCAGCAUUGCUAUGUUGGAAGGUGUUGUAUUCUUGUCAGAAUCUGCCUCACGUUGAGGAGCAGCAAAGCCGUGUUAGUGAAAUGAAGUGAGAGGGCACGUGAUUGUGAGCCAUGGUUUGUGGUGGGGGUUCGUUCGCCUCGAGGUGUUUUGGACUUGAGUUGCUACAUAGUAGCUGGAUAGUAGAGCAGAUGGGUUGUGAGUUAGAAGCUGUGUAUCUAUUGACUCAUUGCCUUAUAUUGAUUCUGUUUAGUAGAUGUAUAUGACAGACAUGGUAAUAAAUAAAUAUAAUGUGGAAUUGUGGCUGUUGCUGCGGUGCAGCCAUCAGAAAUUGAAUCAGGUUGAUUGGGAAAUUGUUCAACGGUAAGCUGCAUGCAGCGUAGAGGCUGUGUAUGUCUAGAAAACAACCGCCUGCAUAUAAAUAACAACUGAAAAUAAAUUGUAGUGUUAUUUGAGCUCUUAUUAGUUUCGUUAGAGAAAAGAAAUAACUUUCUGCUACUAUUAUGCUUUUUGUGAUCAAUGAAAAUGUGCAUUGCUCAAGCAAUGGACAGGGUGAAGGUUGUGGGGCACCAAAACCAAAUGUGCGCUGCUAUAGUUCGUAUGGCAUUAAGCGCACCUAAUAAAAUGAGGCAGCUGCAGAGAACCUUAAUGCGAAGCCAUCCUUUUUAUUUGGGUCGUAAAUUAUUUUUCCCUUUUUCUGAACCCAAAACUUGAUAGGAUGACAUAGAAGUGGGUUGGAAAUGUGCACAAAAAAAAGAAGAAAAAUUAAGGAUGAUGACAUAAAAGUAGCAUUGAAAAGAGGGAUGGAAAUGUGAAAAAAAUAGAAAAAAAAUAAGGAUGGAAAUGUGGACAAAAAAUUAAUAAUAAAAUGACAUCAAGAGGGAAGGAUCCGAGGCGGUUAGGAUCCCCCUAGCACCACCCGAAGCAACAAAAGCAAAGAAUUUGCAAAUUUUGAAGGAAGCUUCUAGCUUUGAAAAAAAAUGUUUUGAAGUUUGGUUUCUCUGCGAACACAAGGUUGAUACGUGCCCUUGUAGUUCGUUUUGUGAUGAGUGAUUGUCAAAGUGUCCAUGAUCUAGGUUGAGUUGGUGACUAACCAUUGGCGUGAGUUGGAGCGUGCAACAUGUCUCUUGGUUUGUGUUGUUCAGGUGUGAAGCUCGGAGGCGAUGGUUGACGGCGAGCAGAAGAUCAAGUAGGGACAUGCCAUGCCGAUGGAUAGAGAGUGGUGAAGGACAGACAUGAGGCUUGGACCGAGGGACUAGGAGUCCGAGUGACCAGCCGCGGUGCUAACAGCUGUGGCAUUGAGAAGUGCAAGUGUACAUGCGAGUAACCGUGUUGACUGAGUCAAGACAACGGGUGUGCAAAUCGAGCGAGGGUCAGAAGGACUUGGCAGCCAACAGGUCGAGAAUGACGUGACAUGCAUCGAGUGGCGGGGGAUGCGUAUGGAGUACGCUACUCACAGACGGUUUGGUGGUUUGGACCUCAAAAUCAUUGGGGGUGGGUGUCGUGGGUUUGGGCCUCAAAACCUAAGCGAAGGUUCUGAUGAGGAAUGGACGGCAAGUGGCAGCAUCGAAGAGUUCGUGUUGAGGCGAAGCUAUCUCAUGAAGCGCGCAAUGGCCAUUUCAAAGGUCCUAAUAUGCCUAGAGGGAGGUGAAUAGCCUAUUUAAAAAUUCUACAAACUCACUAGAGCAAGAGGUUAGUAAACAACAAAGCGAAGCCUUUUGCUCUAGCUCUAAUGGGGUGUUUGCAAGCCACCUAUCCAACAAUUCUAGUUGAUAUGAUCACUAGAGACACAAGAGCUAUGUCACUAAAAGCUACACUAGUAACUAUGCUACACAAGACAAAGUAAGCAACUAAACUAAUUACACUACUUUACGGUAAGUAAAUGGAGGGGAUGAGUUAUUUCUACCGCCGUGUAGGGGAUGAACCAAUCACCAAUAUAUAAACAAUCAAGCACCGGGAGAAUGCCAAUCAAACAUAAUUGAUACACCGACUUUUCUCCCGAGGUUCACGUGCUUGCCGGCACGCUACGUCCCCGUUGUGUCGACCAACAUUCGUGAUCCAGCGGUUAAUUGGGAUUCCACACCCAAGCUCACCAUGAGCACCGCAAGGACCUACCACAAGUGAGGUAGCUCAAUGACACGUGUAAUCCACUAAUGGUUGCCUUUGGCUCUCCAUCGGGUAGGCACAAAACCUCUCACAAUCACCGGGAGAUGGCCACGAAUUAUCACCAACUCGUGCCAAUGCUCCUCUGCUGCUCCAAGCCGUCUAGGUGGCGACAACCACCAAGAGUAACAAGAAAAUCACAGCCAAAUCAAUCCCCAAGUGCCACUAGAUGCAAUCACUCAAGCAAAUACACUUGAAAUCACUCCCAAUCUCACAAAGAUGGUUAGUCUACGAAGGAUAUAAGUGGGAGGUGUUUGCUUAGGCUCACAAGGAUAUCAAGUAUGCUAGAAUGCCAAGAGAGUGAGCCCCAAGCCAGCCAACAACUAUUUAUAAGCCCCUCAAACAAGUAGAGUCGUUGGCUCUUUCACUGGGCAGAACAUGGGGUCACCAGACGCACAGCAGGUGACCACCGGACGCUUGACCCCUGCGUCCGUGCUUAGAACACAGCCACGUGUCCACUGUCUGAAUCACGCGCGUCGAUCUCUAACGGUCAUAUUCAAAACACCAGACGCGUCCGAUACACACCGGACACGUACGCAAAGAGGUUGUCAAACGCGCGGGGUCACUGGACGCAACCACCGGACUCUCUCCUGAGCGUCCGGUGCUCUUAGUUAGAAACACUUGCAACUUUCUUGCUGACGUCAACCUUCACCGGACGCGUGAACAAUGUCUGGCCCUCGUUCGGUGCUGAGCGUCCGAUGCUCGCUGCUAACUUCGCCAGAGACUGACAACACACUAGACGCAUAGGCUCAGCGUCUAGUGCCUGCGGUCAGAGCGUCCAGUGAGUGUUUUUCAGUGAGAAACACUCCAGAGACUUCUCUAAAUGUUCCAUCAGCGUAAUAGAAAAUAUGCAUUUCAUUUUCUCAAAAGCGUCGAAUCCACCUCGCAAGCUCGGCGGGAGGGAGAGAGGAACCCAAACUCCUCUCUACCCUUUACACUCCACCUCCUUCUUGAAGUGUGCCAACACCACCAUGUGUGUACCAACAAGUGCAAGUGUGUUAGCAUUUUCACAAUCAUUUUCUUCGAAGGAGUUAAGUUAGCUCACUAGGUUCUAAAUGAAUGCACAAGAACAAUGACACCUAGUGGCACUCGAUAACCGUGUAGCCAAAGAAUUUCCCUCUUUAUAGUAUGACUAUCUAUCCUAAAUAUGAUCACACCCUCUAUGGUGUCUUGAUCACCAAAGCCAAAACCCUAAGCAAUAUCUUUGCUUUGAUCUCUAAAGGGUUUUGUUUUUCUCUUUCUUAUUUUCCAAGUUGAGCACUUGAUCAUCCUGUGGUCAUCACCAUCAUCACCAUGACCAUCAGUUGCUCCAUCACUUGGCAUGUACCAACCUCAUUAAGUGUACGCACACUUAGUACUAGGGUUUCAUCAAUUAUCCAAAACCAAACUAGGGCUUUCACCAUUGGAUGGAGAUUACCUAGGUUAGACCAUAACGCCCUCAGGUUAUGUGGUUCAACUCAAAAUAUCUUAGUGCACUUUGGGGAUGUGUAAUAGCUUAUAAAUAAGGAUGAGUGUGCCCCAUCAACCUCACCUCUUCCACUUCUUUCAUUUCGUCAUUCCUUAGGUUUCCCUCUUCCCUUAGAGUUCUAGUGAGAGAGAGGUUUAAGCACUCACAGCGAGAAUAGUGACCCUAACCACAUUGUGUCCUUUAGGAUUCAGUUUGUGAAGAUCGUGUUGUGUGUUCUUUGUUCCACUUUGAUAGCUCAUAGAAUCCAUAUUGCCUGUGAAUCGUUCAACAAAAAGAAAAAUGCACCAUGCAUUUGAGCAUUAAACAUUUAGCUCUAAAACAUUAAAUAGGUUGCAUAUAGCACUAAACCAUUGUGUUCUGGACACCACUCAGUACUGACCCUUCUCAGCUUGACCCUCCUUAGCUUCAGCUUCCUGACCCUCCUCAACAGUAGAUUUCUAACCCUCAUCUGCUCUAGCGGCGGGAUCCAUUUGAGGUCUUUGCGGCACAUCAAUCACUAGAAUAAUCAUACGAUACUCUAGAAACCUUGGCACCAUCCCUAUACAAAUAGUACCUGAUGAGUGUGUUGUAGGUGGCUAUCAACUCGCUAAAACCUAGACUAAUCUCACUAAACAUGUCUCCAUGCAUGAUAUCCACCGCUAAAGCCAAGGUAGCUCCAAUGUUUAGCAUUCCCUCAUCAUACCCACUCCCUAGCAGGCCUGCAUUAUCAAAGAGGUACCACCUAUUCUGAUGUUGAAAAGGAUCAGGUAGAGGUUAUGGAAAUUAAACAUUUGUGCAUGUCGAUGACAAAGAACCCGCCCCGAACUUGAAGUACAAAAGGAAAGUUUCUCUCUAGGAUCUCAAAUGUGUCCACUCCCUGUGCAUUCAGCCGCACCUCGAUCCAAGUUCAAAUAGCUUGGUGUCAUCCCUCCACCAUCUAGUUUCCAACAAGAGAAACCAGUCGGUACUUUGUGCUUGCAAUACAAGAACCCACCUAGUUUCAAUUCAACUGUCACAUCAUCAAAGGUGUACGUGGGUUGGACGCCGGCGUGGACUUCUUCAUGAGAUGGAGAGGGAAGACACAUGGGAUUGGACGUCGGCACGGACACAAGGAUGGAUGGCCGCACGUGGCUUUUGGAGCACGAUCGGGGCUCCCUCACCAAAAUGGGUUUUUUCAAGAAGCACACUAGCUAGCUGUCGAGAGAGGGGAAGAGUUGACGUCAGAGGUAGUCACCUUGGAGAAAAGUGGGUUUGCCGCAACCAUCGUACUAGAUGCGGCUGGUGGUGGUGACGGCGUCGCAGAGUUGGAGAAGGGGGAGGGGUUUGGAGGAGGAGCGGGGUUUGGAACGCACUCUCUCUCUUCUCCACUUCAAUGUGGCUUUGUUGGGCUGGAUGGAAUAAUUUUUUAUUUGCUUGGCAUAUUUUUAGCCCCAUUGGGUUGCAUGCCCACGCACCAAAGUUAGACAGACGGUGGCACCAUCAUAUAGAAACCGGGCCAUAGCAUGUUACAGACUUAGUACAGCUGAGGUGACUCUCUCGGUGUAGAGCCUGUCCAAUGGUCCUCUUUCUGCUCAUACUACUGUAGAGUGCUAUUAUUAAAUUUUGAGCUCAGAAGAUGACAAAUGCUGCCCAAGCUCUCUGUUUCUCUUUUUUUAACUCUCGUACUUGUAACGUUUUUCUUCUCUUUUCAUUGAUUCUUUAGUAGGGACCUCUCGGUUAAAAAAAUGAUCCUAUGUAGUAGAUGUAUAUAUAUAACAGGUCAUUAGUAUUUUUCUCUCAUAAUAAAUCAACGAAUAGUACUUUCAGUCAUAACUUUUUAGCCAAAUGAACAUACUCUAAAUAUAAUGUGAAAUUGUGGAUGCUGCUGCCAUUCAGCCAGUAGAAACGGAAUCAGGUGUGGUUCGGAAAUUGUUACGGUAAGCUGCAUGCAGCGUAGAGGCUGUCAGGCUGUGUAUAUGCAUGUAAAUGACAAAUUGAUAAUAAUUUGUUACAGUGCUAUUUGAGCUCUUAUUAGUUUCGUUAGAAAAAACCUUUUAGUUACUAUUAUACUUUUUGUACCUUUAUUUAUUUUGUGACUCAUGAAAACGUGCAUUGCUCAUGCAAAUGGACAAGGUGCCCAAGGUUGUGGGCACCAAAACCGCUGCUAUAGCUCGUAUGGAAUUAGGCCCUAUUUGAUUCGGGCUGUUUUUUAACACUUAUCUCAUCGAAUGUUUGGAUACAUACAUUGAGUACUAAAUAGACUAUUCAUGAAACUAAAAACACAGUUAGAGAAUAAUUUGCGAGACAAUUUUUUAAAGCCUAAUUAGUCCAUGAUUAGACACUAAUUGCUACAGUUACAAAUGUGCUACAGUACCUGUUAAACUUUAACACCUUCAACCAAACACCCUCUUAUCCUAUUAGGCGCAAAGCAUAGUUCGGUUGGUACACUCUCAGUGGUUUGAGCGGCGGGUGCUGGGUUUGAUCCUUGAGAUCGGCUCAGGGUCUCACCUCGGGAUUUAUUUCUCGUUCCUUAGUUGCCUCACACGUGGAUGCGCCAGGCUGACGUGCCCGCCAUAUGCGAAGCCUGGAAGACUUCGGAUACCUCUAAGCAACGUGCAAGUCUCUUCAUAUAGAUGUAGGUCUAGCUUGUGCACUAGGGUGGGUGUGCGUGUGUGUGUGUGCGUGCGAUGAUGGUAUGAGUUAGUGCUUGAGUUGAGAUACUACAUUUUGUACUUGAAAAGUUGAGGCUUACAAAUAGUAAAAUGGUGCAGCUGCAUAGAACCUCAAUGCAAAGGCAUCCUUUUAAUUUGGGUCCUAAAUUAUUUCCCUUUUUGUAAUCCAAAAACUUGAUAGGAUGACAUAAAAGUAGUAUCGAAAAGGCUGUUGGAAAUGAAAGCAACAAGGAUGGAAACGUUGCCAAAAAAAAGAAGAAAAAUAAUGAAAACUUGAUAGGAUGACAUAGAAGUAGUAUCGAAAAGGCUGUUGGAAAUGAAAGCAUAAAAGCACUACUGGAUACUGUUAGUUCACCGAAGGCCUAAAGCGCUCGGUGAAGGCACUAAAGCCGUCGGCGAAAGGUUCGCCGAGCGUAGCCGUCGGCGAAAUUUGGUCAGAGAAUAAGUUCUUGGCGUAGAGCUCUUCGUCGAGAGCCAAAACACGGGCUCUCGGCGAACUUUCGCCGAGUGUCCGCCCACCGCUCGGCGACACUUUGACACCGUCACGGCAUAGUUUGAUGGGGACGGCGCCUUCGUCGAGCGCCCUGUCCACCACGCUCGGCGAACGGAGGAACGUGCCGACUUUUUUUUUUCUUUUUUUCUUUUGCCAAAAAUGGUUGCCGAGAGCCCUGUAGACCACCUCUCGGCGACGCUAUAUCUUCGCCGAGAGCCCUGUUGACCCCCUCUCGGCGAACCUGACGCCUUCACCGAGAGCAAUGGUCAUAGCUCUCGGCGAAGCUGGGAACCUGGGAGUUUUUGGUUCGGUAGCCUCUAGCUUUGCCGAGAGCUAUGACCAUUGCUCUCGGCGAAGCAUACCUUUGCCGAGCGCAGUUCUCGGCAAAGCUGGGAACCUGAUUUUUUUUUGUUUGUUUUGCUUCAUAUCAGUGCAUAUAUCACAGUUACAUAGCCCAGAUCACAUAUAUCAGCACAAGCACAAUCCCAGAUCACAUAUAUAGCCGAAAUCAUAUAUAUUAGCACACGAUAUAUCACAAGCACAUAUAAAAUCCAUAAGUUCAUCACGAUAUAUCACAAGCACAUAAGUUCAUCACGUCCAUCGCAUCACGACAUAAGGUCCACACAUAAGUUCAUCAUGACAGAAGCUCCACACAUGUCCACACAAGUUCAUCACAACAUGUCCAUUAUCCAAACCACAACUACAAAAGCAAGACAAAGACCAACUCACUGCCACUGUGGCCACGACGACAGUGAAGGGUUCCCUGGACCAGGCUGCUGCGGCGGGUUAUUAGACCCCGCGGACUGAGGCUGCACAAAGUAGGAGAUUGUCCGUGAGAUAAUGAAAACGGAAUCGAAAUUGAGAUUACAUGUCUAUAAGAACCAUGUUACUCACAGGAGUGCCGAAGUGGAGCUGAAGCUGAGGCCGAGGCGGCGGCGGUGCCGGCGAAGGAGUAGGUUGGACGAGCAGAUCAUCCACCGAUAUCCCACACUGAGGCCCCAUCAUGGAGACGAUCUGGAUCAACUGCGCCACCCGCCUAUCCUGGGCCUCCCGCUCGGCCCUCUCGGCUGCUAGCUGGGCCUCGAUCUCCAAGGCUCGCUGAUCCGCUGCCAACACCCGCGCCUACAGAGUAGAUGUCAGUAUAUAGGUCGGUAUAUAUUAAUGUACAAAGAAUGUAACAGAAAUAACCUCGAGUGCGUCGACCCGCUGCUGUGAAGGAGUCGGCCGUGGGCGUAUGGGGAUGCUGCCGUCCGUGCUAGCUGCUCGGAUCUGGAAGAGAGUGGGAGUGGAGGCGGUGUCGAUGACGGAGUCCGCCAUCCAGUACCGUCCGUGCUUCUUGCCUCCGCCUAGCCUCAUCACGAGCUCGCUGUCGAUCUCGUUCCUGGCCGGAUCCCACUCUGGCCCAUGGACGGACCUUCCCGCCUCCGCGUACUCGGACAGGCGGGAGUGCACACUCGCGUUGGUGUACGCCUCGGGCGGGUCGCUCGGGUUGUAGGAAACAGAGGACGAGGCCUUGCCCUUGUGGGACAUGGCGUAUGCCGUGAACUGGUUCACCUCCACGCCUGGGUGUGCAGCCGCCUGCAAGGAAGACAUCAAGAAGGUUAAAAGUAAUACAGAAUUAAGGGUUAGAAUAAAAAAUGAGUUCUCAUACAUAUGCUUGCGCGUAGCCGGCGAGGUUGCGGCUACCUUGGUGGUGCGAGACACCUUGCAUCAUCAUGCGUCGGUCGCGUGCCUCCUGGUGCUGCGCGGCCCAAUCCUCAGAUAACCAUUCACUUGCGACUUUGAAGUCGUGUUCCGUCAGCACGAGCUGCAAGACUUCGGCCCUAUUCAUCUUCACUACACGUCGUUAUUUGACACAUAAUAACGAUAAUAUCAAAUUUCCUUCCAUAAAAUUGCAAUAUUCAAUGCACAUGCACUUCAAAUAUGCAUUAUACGAAAAUAUUCAUUGUAAUGAAAGAAAUGCAAGAAAUAUAGCAAAAUGUAAUAUAAAAUAUUCAUUGUAAUGAAAGAAAUGCAAGAAAUAUAGCAAAAUGUAAUACAAAUGUCUCAAAUGAUAAUAUUGUGACCAACUAUAAAUGGGAAUAGUACAAAAAAAAAUUCAGCCAAAAAGGAAUUAAAAAUAAAAAAUAAUUCACCGAGAGCCUCAUCCAGCUCUCGGCGAAGAGCUCCUUCGCCGAGGGUCCUAUGGUAGCUCUCGGCAAAAUGAUGUCUUCGCCGAGAGCCUAGUCUAGUGCUCGGCAAAGAAGACGGCAGGCAACGGCUGGUAACCAUGCUGUGAAAGUUGUGCCGAGAGGCCUUGUUUGCCGAGGGGCUACCGUCGGCGAAGAAUGUUUUGCCGAGCGUUGUUGUUUGUCGACGGUUCGGCUCUCGGCGAAGACAUUAUUCACCGAGAGCUUGAUUUUGCUAGGAGCUGCGCUCGGCUUCGCCAAGCACCCGAUAUUAAGCCCUCGGCAAAGAUUUAAGGCCCCUGUCUCCGGUAGUGAAGGAUGGAAACGUGCCAAAAAAACUGUUUGAAAUGAAAGGAAAAAAAAAAGAUGGAAACGGUUGGAAAUGAAAGCAAAAAAAGGAUGGAAACGUGCCAAAAAAAACAAUGACAGCUGUGGGAUUUGAACCCACGCCCUUUCGGACCAGAGCCUAAAUCUGGCGCCUUAGACCACUCGGCCAAACUGUCUACUGGUUUAGAUUAUACGGAUAGAUUUAUAUAUUUAAAGUAGAUUGAACUAACAAAAGACAUACACAGAAGAUAACGAAAUAGAGAAGGUAACGUAUGACUUUAUACUGCCAGACACGUUUAUAAGAUCACUUCAUGAUGUAGACAAGCAAAAGGAAAGUGGAAAUAAAGAUCAGUGACUAUAUAUUAAUUAAAUAAAGAUGGUUGUUUCAACGGAGGUCUAACUACAAUAGAAUAUUUUUGAGCUUGCUUGGCUAACAGAUGCACCAUCCAUGUGACUAAAGGUCUUUCAUCUACAUACAUCGUAUACAUUGGUCAAAUCUAACUCAAGAGAAGCAAAUGGCGCAAAUGUUGUAGACAUGCGCCAUGUUGAUGUACUGCCCUAGCCCUGACCUCUGCAUCAAGAUUCUAUGUCAUAUGGGCAGGUGGUGUUGCACUCUUAGAUAGUUCUAGUAGCUUGCAGAAGAACCAUUGCCGUCAACUGACACACAAGAGAAGCUAAUGUCGAAGAAUGCAUUGUGGCCACCGACCUGAGAAAUGAGAGUAAAAAACCUACUACAUGUAUAUCCUUAUUGCUCUGCAGGAGCAGGACAUGGAACCAUACAUGUAUGGAGCCUUCAUUUUUUUUCUUGCAAAAAGAACUAUAACAGACAUAAAAUAAAUCCUUCAUUUUUUUCUUGCAAAAAGAACUAUAACAGACAUAAAAUAAAUUUAAAAAAAUAAAUAACAUUGAAUAGGGCCCAUCCGGGUUCGAACCGGAGACCUAUUGAUCUGCAGUCAAUUGCUCUACCACUGAGCUAUGGACCCCUUGUGUAUUUGUUUUGUAUGCAGAUGAAUUAAUUAUGUCACAUGAUUCAACAUGGCCAAAAAGUUCACGUAGGAUUCUGGUUUAUUUCUUAUACAACCUGCUACGAGUGUAUUUAGUUCAUUUCUUAUGUAGUUUGGCUAGUAAAACUAAGCUAGGCUAGCCUAAAAUCUAUUUGUUUGAUUGCAUACGCUGCUGAGCCUGGCUGAGAUGAGUUCGUAUGUUGGUUAGUUGUGUUGCUUUGUAUACAAUCAUCUCUUCUUUAAGCUGAUGAGACUACCCUGCUAAGGCAUUUCUUUGAACAAGUGAUGAGCGAGAGGAUCGAGCAAGCGUAGUGAUGAGAUGCCACGAUGCGCUCGCACGGAGUCAGCCAGAGCCUAGGCCUAGCCCUGGCUGGCCAGAUGGAGCCUGGCUCCAGAGGCUGGCCAGACAACCAAACAGUCUAAGGGGCUGUUUGGUUGCUAGCUACACUUUACCACACUCCACCUUAGGCAAGUUUGAUCAAGUUGGUAAGUGUUUGGUUUACAACUAAACUUAGACAUGAUUUUUUAGGCUCCACAUAUCAUAGAGUUAAAAAGUGUGGCAAGAUUCCCUUAAGUAUCGCAAAGUGUUGCAACUAAUUUACUACUCAUAUUUUUUGUGGCUUACUACACUUGCCUAAAGUUAGUUAUAGUAGACUUAUGGCUAACAACCAAACAUCCUAAAUUUAGCCCAUCCAAGCGAAAAAAAAAAAGCAGGUUUAAAGGCCACCAAACGCACCCGUACAUGGCCGGAAACGCAUAAUAAAAAAAAACAUACUCUCACGUAGCGACGAGAUCCCAUCCUUUUGGCAACGGGCAUGCAAGGGACGAGCUUUUCACCAACACGAUUCCACGACAGGAUAACCCCGGAAACAGAACCACAAGCUACAUGAUACCCAUUAGCAAAUCUCAACAUGUUCUUGCUGCUACAAGAAUCGAAUACCUCAUCUGCAACAGUGCAACUAUCCACUCCAUGCCAGCAGACUCCGGAUAUAUCGACACGAAUCCACCAGCCUAAUUACAGAUUACAACCUCAGCCCUACCAGGUUGUGGCAGGGAGAUUAAAUCGAUUAGCUCUACCAUACAUUAGGUAAGGAAAAAACAUGGCAUCCACACUCGCAACAUAUGCACAGGACAAACAACAAUUGCUUCCUUCCCCUUAUAUAAAUCCCAGCUGGGUGAGGUCAUCAUCUGGGAUUUCCAGGGCGCCCGAGAGAUCAAUGUCUUGCAACGACUCGUCAAGGCCAUCCGUGAACCAUGAGCUGAUAUCAUUACCCUGCCCGUCAAGCCCUCCUGGGACGUCCAAUAUGUCAUCUAAUCCAGGCAACACUGGCAGUCCAGCAUCCGCAGUAAGUCGCUGGGUGGCGUUGCUGGAAGUAUUCCUAGUUGGAUGUGAAUUCGUUGGAUGCUGGGUCUUUUUCUCGCUUGCAGGUUCAGGGGGCUCUUGCACUGUCGGAGAUGAAAAUGGCUCAACCACUCUACCCAGCACGUUUCCAGAAGUUGAUAGCUGCGCCAGCUUUUGCUUUGGCUUUGUCUUGUUUUUGCGCUCGCCACUCCUCCCGCUGCCGCCUGAUGAAUGGCGCCCUGAUUUCAAUCCAGAACCCUUUGCAGAUGCAUCCCUGUUGUGAUCCCGUUCCCUGUCGCCCUUUUUCCAUUUUGCACCACCUGUGAUAGGAAAAGCCGCAAGUUGAUAUACUUGGUCAAACAGGAGGUCGUCUUCUGACAUCACCCAGUAUAACCGUCAAGAAAAUUGCUAAGUUACCUUGAUCAAAUGGAGUUCUAUCAAGCUUUUGAUGCUUCAGCCUCUCUACACCUGAACCCCAAACAAAAGCUAGGUAAGUUAUGAUUUUGAUAAAAGAAUUAGUUUGACACAAAAAUGUGCAUGUUACAGUCCACUCUCAAGUACAGAAACAUAACAGUAAUUUCUCUCUGAGCAACAGUAGCACAUAAAUUACCCUCUGUAGAUUUUGCAUCACUGCUUGGCAAGGGUGCAGACAGCACACUCCAAAGAGAAGGCUCACUGAAGCAGCUUUUCCCUGUUUCAUCAAAUUUGUGGCAUCGAAUAAGAGUACGCUUGGCAAAAGCCAAGGCAAGCUGCUUUGCAGCUUUAUUGGCAGAUUUACUGACACCAGCCUUGUGACUAGAGCCAAUCCGCCCACCCUACAUAUCAUAAAAUAGAGAUGCAAUCAGGAUCAAAGUUAAUGCAGCUAAUACAUAUUACCCCCUUUUUCCAGGCGAAAAAAUAUAUUAAGCUUAUAUUAAAGGGGCAAGGGGAGACCAAAACUUCAUUCACCAACUUUAAAAAAACAAAAGAUAAGAUAAUGGUUUUUGUUAAAGCAAUGAAGGACAGACAUCUUAUAUCUCCCCAGACCACAACUAAAAUAGCAGAGCCAGUGACAUUUGUAAUCUCAUGUGGCGCCAACAUUGAUUCAAGAACAAUCAUGUGAAGAGACAUGUCAACUACCUUGAGUUUUCUGUAUGCCCUUUCAACUAGUUUGUUCAUAGCAUGUUUCUCCAAGCUCCUGUGAGGCAGUUUUAAAGUUAGCCAUUAAAGUAACUUCAUGCACUAGCAUUUAAGAUAUAAUGUACAUAAAUAUAAUGCAUCGCUACCUCUCCUCAAUAUUCUUUGUAUCUUGAAUUGAUUUAUCUAGCUUAUGUAAUCUGCAUUUCUUUUGGUUCACCUGCAAAAACAAGAAUGGUACCAUUUUAAUACACAUUAGUGAAAAUCUAGUGAGAAAAGCAAUUUAAUUUUUCACAAUAUAUGCAUAUAAAGUUAUGAAAAAAUAUCACAGAUGCAUCAAGUGAGACAGUUUUAAAAUAGUACAGUAAGAAACAUUGGUCUUAGUCAUUAGAUUGAAUGCAGAUGGCUCAGAUAAGCCACUUAAAACCACCGAAACUUUUCAAAUGACCCUUAACUAUGCCACCUCGCCUUGGUACCAUUCCACCUAACUGUUAGAGUAAAUAGGAUAGUACCACAUUGUGUGCCCACAUAAGGUGUUAGUCCUACGUACCCUAUAUAAUCAGCCCAUAAGACCCAAUGCAAUAUAUCCAAUAUUCCACCAAUUAUAUUUUCCUUUAUGGUACCAUUCGCCUAGGUUUAGAUCCUAACCCUAGCCGCCGCCGCUUCCGCACUGCGCGCCCCCGGGGAGAGGUCGAUCUCCGCCGGGGGCAGCGCCCCUCUUUAGGCGCCCGAUCCUAUUGAUCCGGAUGCCAUCGUCGUCGUCGCACAGCAUGGCUUCUUCGACCACAGCUACUGCGCCCUUACGCUCGGCUACCUCGACGCCUUGCAUGAGGACUCAUCGGCUUCUUCUCCAGCCACAGCAUACACGGCGCAUCGAUUGUUAUGACUGCGGGAGGAUGUUACUUAUCAGCUUCUUCUCUAGUCUUACCGUCUGUAGCGCUCCCACUGUGACUGUGGGGGGGAUGUUAAGAGUAAAUAGGAUAGUACCACAUUGUGUACCCACAUAAGGUGUUAGUCCUAUGUACCCUAUAUAAUCAGCCCAUAAGACCCAAUGCAAUAUAUCCAAUAUUCCACCAAUUAUAUUUCCCUUCACUAACGAUAUAGGUGUUAGAGUACGCCAUGGGCCUAUUGGGCCUGGGCUGGCGGUAUAGCCCGUUAGUCUUAGGGUUACUUAGAAAUAAGGGUUGCUUGCUUAGGGGUCAAAUAAGGAUUGCUUGGGAGGCAAGAAUUAAGAAGGAAAUCCCUUCCCUCUUGCCCGGCCGUGGGCAAGGCCUGGCCUCCUCUCUCCCUCACAGCCCCAGCCACCACAAUCCCAGGCAUGAACAGUACCCGCGGGUACUGUGGCUCCGCAGGUUCUGUAGCACAGCGCCAGUCGUCGCCCCUCCCUCAACUCUCUGCCUCUCAAUCCUAGCAGCCACAUAACAAUAACUAUCUUGAUCUAUAGCAUUCAAAUCUGAUCAAGAGGUUUUUCCUAUAUACAGACCCUAGCAUAAAUAAAAUAGGAAUAAAUCUAAGAUUUCCAUGAUUUAAGACAUGUAUUCAAACCAUUAUGAGGGGUACAAAAUGACACAGUCCUGUUCGCUUGACUUAUCAACCGUACUUUUUCAGCGAAAGAACAGUCUUUUCCUCUCACAACAAAUCAGCAAACAAUACUUUUCAACCUAUCUUUUCAGCAAAGCGUGUUUUUCCCAAAGAAAAUAUGCUGGUCCUCUCUUAGUCCUUAUUUGCCAAGAUGCCACUUGAAUAUGUAGCUACUAUGAAACUUACUCUUUAAACAAAUAUUGAUGCCAGAUGGUCAAAAUCAACUUUAUAUAUGUGCUUAUACAUUAUUAACAUUUCAAAAAUAAUUAUAAUAUUUGUAGAAAAUGAAAUCCUUUACACAAUCAAGGUUCCAAAACAUGAUAGAGAUUAUGGUAGUUUACAUUGAUCUGGUGAAGUCACACACAUUAACAGCUAACACACUGAAAACAGUACACUGAACCCAUCCAAGUUUAAUCAAAACUGAAGAUAUGCUAUGAGGAGGGAACGAGGGGUUGUUCACGUAACCUGAUCAUGCAGCCUUUUCCUCAACUCUGAAAUCAUUUUAUUAAUGUCCUCAUCUUCUCCGUCAUCUAGCUUUGGCUGAAAAGAGUAGUGUUGCAAAGAUAAGGCAAGAAUCAAAACCAGAAUGUAUGGGGGGGGAGCACAAAUUCUGGUUGUUACAUACAGUUCGACUUUCUAGGGACUAUAUAGAUUAUAACACAGAUAAAAUAGCACCCAAUAUAAAAAAUAAUAAAAUAUGUGCCCCUGUGAUGACAGCUAGUAUCUGGGCACAUCAAAUACUUCCUCACUUGUUCCUUCUUUUUAUCUGAUGUUUCAGGGGUGAAGAAAACUCUUCAAGACACCAAGAACAUAGAUAACUAAAUCUACCUAGAUUGCCUAUAUCUCAUUCAGUGUGUGCUUUUCGAUCUCUUUAUUAACAGAUCACUGAGGCAAAGAGGGGUGCUUGUAAGAAAAUAAUGAGGUUGUGACUGGCAAGAAACACAAAGGGCAAAGUAAUCAAAACCAUAUGAGCACGCCCUCCCUUCCUCAAGGUACCACCUCAAGAAACAUGUCAGGUUGCCCAAAAUCAUAGACUAUGGUUUUCCAAUUAUUUGACAUGUUUCCUGGUAGUGGUAGGCAAUGCAUAUAGACUUCCAUUAAAAAACUGUAUAAAGCAACACCAGAGUGUAAGGGGCAUACCACUGUCUCUGGACAAAUGCCAAUACUUUGCAGCUCAAUUAAAAUCUUGUCUUCCACAGACAUCUGCCCAUAUUGAUACUCAUAUGGAGAUAAAGGGAAAUCUUUCCCUGGAUUUUGACAUUGCCGUGGAAUCGGUGGUAUCAAGUCAUGCAAAGGGCCACUUUCUGGGUAUACUGUAAAAUUGAGUCCAUCUGAUAAAUUCUCACUAUGAACCGAAUUUUCACUGUUUGAAUUGAUGAAAUUGCUUGAAGCUGUAAAACCAUUGCACAUGCUCUGAUGUACCACAGAAGUACUGUUUGAGUGCACAAAAUCCACACUCAGCCCAAAAUUAGAUGUUAUGGCACUAGCUUGAAGUUCAUUUUCUAAGUAUCUGUUGACAGUGUAAGGGUUGUGGCUAUUUGGAAAUUCAACAAGUAUAUCUCUUUGCACCCCAUUGGAAUCAGGUAAGUCAUCUUCCAUAAUUAAAGCCGAAAGGAGUCUGUGUGCCAUUGGAGCCAUUUCAUUAAACCAUUUAUCAGCUUCCAGCUUUUGUGGCCCAGUACGGCUUUCGUCACCAUGAGAAAAACAGCCGAUAGAUCCUUUUGCUCCGACUCCAUUAGUUUUACUUUGCUGGGAUGAGGGAGAAAAAUUAGAUGGAGUCAAUCCCUGAGAUGAAUGCUCCUCCUGCAGUUUUUUCAGACAUAUGACAAAGGUCAUAUAUAGGCAAAAAAAAAAUCAUGGAAGGGGAAACAUUUUAUCGGAAUAAUUUGGAAUUAUUGAUGUCAUGAAGUCACAUACCAUCUUCGACAUUCUUCUGUGAUCAACUGAUGCUACAAUAUCAUGUUCACUAUCAGACAUGCAGGACAUGCUCAUCUCAAGCUCUUCAACAAGGUUGAUCUGACCACAAAGUGGCACAUCAGAAUCCAUCCCAGCAAACAAUAAAAGUACAUUCAAUCAUGAUGUCUAAAGCAAAACUUGCACCAACCUGAUUUUUUAAGAAAGAUAAAUUUUCUGAGCUCAUAAAAGUUAGCAUGGGUUCCAUUUUCUUCCAAAAAGGGCCAGAAUAGGCACUAACUGCAGAAGAAAGGAAGUUAAAAACCAUCAACCCAAAGGGAUGCCUGACAGAGAUCACCAGAAGAGGGGGAUAAGACAGCAUACACACCAAUAGCGCUGCGAGCAGCAUUAACAGCAGCUAAAAGCUCCUCUUGGUCAUCUUCUGGUUCACCUGCAAUGCACAAUUAUUAGUUAUUAUAAGAGAAAGGAUAAUGGCGAGAAACAUGAGCAAUAAAGGUAAAGCAUCUUCAGAAAACCUGUUGUGUCUGUAAUAUCACUAUUUAGAGCCUGUGAAUGCCAGGAUGAAGCUUUACGGUCAGAGCCUUUUUUCAUUGGUGGCCGCCCCAACUUACUGCACAGAUGAUUAAAAGGUCAAAUCAAGUUCCAUAUGCAAAGCUAGAUCCCCAAUGACAGCAAAGGAUGACAAUUAAGUACCUCUCAUUCUUUUCAGUUCCAGGCCUUCCACCUUUUAUUGGCUUUCUUGUUUCUGCAGUGUCCAGUUUUUCUUUUGGUAUGGGAGAACACCCCUUGACAUGCAUAGCACCCCUUCCACUCCUCCCUUGACGACGAACACCACCAUCUUCCAGCUCUUCUUUCAAAGGAAUCCUAUUUUUAUUUGACGAAAAUAUCAAUCCCAUUGCAUUAUGGGCUGUAUUUGCGCCCUCGUUCCCCACUUCACCACUAUGCAUGGCUUUCUCCUUGGACUUGCUUUCAGUCACAGCCGAUCCCUCACUUUCUGACAACCCAGCAGGAGAUGAGAUGCUAUCCAUUUUGCUUGUUGAUGUGUUCUUUGUCAGCAAGACACUGCCAGACUCUAUAGGUGCUGAUCUAGUGGCAGUGUCAAGUGGUGAUCCUUCAGAUAACGCUUCAUCAAAAUUUGAUACUGGAGAAACAACAUUUGCUCUUCUUGUCCGUGACAUCUUCUGUGGGCGUUGCCCAACCCAGGCAAUAGGAGGUGAGGAAGCAUUUGAAUGUGUGGAACGUUUGCGAUUUGUCAUGCCUCCCAAAGGUGAGGCUUUAUUUGGGUAAGGUGCUUCUUCCCAUUCAUCACUUCCUCCAGUUGAACGUUGGAAAUUAGAAGACGAGUUCAUAGCAAGUGAACUGGUUCUUGGUGCCCUGCAAGCUUUGGCCUUGGGCAAGGGGCUUAAGCUUCCGUUUUGCAUAUCAUCAGAAGUAUUUGCCCUAGUUAACAAAUUGCAUAUCAUAAAAAAAAUUGGCAAUUUUGCAGUACUCUUUCACAUAUAUGUAGCAAAGAAAAAACGUGAAUUUUCAGGACAACAGAAGUAUCUUAGCUUACUUGUUUCCUUUUACUGUAGUCCUUUCUUUUUCAACUCCAGCAUGACGUUCUCUUCUUUCAUUUGGCUGAGCCACAUAGUCGACAUCUGACUUGGACAGAAUGCGGGAUACAAUGUUAUUCUGCUGAGAAGUGCUAUCCAACUUGUUACCUGCUAGUGCUCCAGCAGAAACUCCAUGUCUGCAAUGUGAGAAUUAAGAUGAGCUCUAACAAGGAUACAUAGGCAAAGGCAAAGAAGGUUUUUCACAUAUAGCACUGGAAGAGGAUUCAGGUGGAACUAUAAAUAGCAGACAUCGAUUGCGAACAACAAAAAAAUGUGUUGACCAAAGAACACAAUUAAGCCCAAGCAAGCGCUAGAAACACAAGCUGCCAAACACCACCUUUCUGAUGAUGCAUGUACACAGUAAUAUCAUUCUACUCGCUGAUGUUGGACAGUUGGACAAAAAAAAGACAAAUUCAUCUCAACCUUACAUCUCUAUUUCAAGGUAGCAGAUGAUAUCAAAUUGUCAACAUACCACACAUAUCUUCUCAGAUUACAUGCUUUAGCUCAGCAUGAUGAUCAAUCAGGCAAAAUCAUUUCAGGGAAUCAACAACCAGAAACAAACUAAGUUAUAACUCAAGGAACAAAAAAAAUAAUGGCAAGCACAAGUUUUUUACCUAUAUCCAAGGCCAUCACUAGAUCGUGGGCGUACUUCAUUGGCUGGUCUAUGCUGGCCCACGGAUUUGACAUCUCGAUCAGCAUCACUGCCUCUGCUGAGCAUUGUUCCAACAGAGCGCUUACGCUUCAUCUUUUUUUCCCACCCUUCACUGCCAGUAGAUAAACCCCGCAAUUUGUCAUCAGAAAGCACAGAGACUGUAGCAGAUAUUCUUGUACUGCUCUUUUCCUUCUCCACGGGUGAAUUUUUCUCAUUACUAACCAAAGGGCCUUGCCUUGUAGGAACACUACCACGUCCUUCCACCUGAAACAUGUAUAAACAACAGAACCAAGAUUUUUAAGUGAAGAAAUGGUAACACAGGAAAUUCAUAAGGAAUGUGAAAACAUUAUCAUGGUAAAAAAAAAAUUGUGAUUGAAGUUCUAUUCAGAAGAACGCAUCAUACAAGAAGCGCAUCAAUUAAAAGGCCAUAUUUUUGAAGGUAAAGCAGCAUUGAAACUAGGUCAACCAGAGUUGUAGUAGUUUUAAAACCCAAGAAAAAUAAGACUAGAUACAGAGGAUUAUGAGUGACGUGAGUGUGAGAAGAGAAUAAAAAGGCUAUAUCAGUUGACUGCGGAAUUCAACCAAGAUCACCAUUUUCCCACACUUGUCCUGCAUGCUCUUAAUAAGUGACAAAUGAGGUGACAACAGGGUGGUAACCAGGUCCCCAUGCAACUCAGCUUACAAGAAGGGCAAGCUUUCUGGAAUCACACUGAUUUCGACCGAUACGCGACAAAAGAACAUGAGUAGCCAGCUACACUUGUUUGAGUUUAAUUAGCUGCAAAGACUGAAAAGGUACAACCUUUUCAACGACCAUAAUCCAGAUUCCAGAAUCUGAUGGGAGACUAUUAACGAAAUCAGGAACAUUUCGUUGCAGCCAAAACAAAGUAAGGAAGGUAAUAACAAGUGCAGACGCUGUGAGAAGAGUGGGCCGAGCAGACGAACCCGGGCAUCGGCGAGCGAGGAGCGCACACGCUUGCUCAGGACAGCAGAGUUGUUCUGCGCGCCCAUCCUGAGCGCGCCCGAGGACGAGGAGGAGGGGCCGGCGGGCCCGAGCUUGUCGGGCGCCGACGACGCGUCGGUGGAGCGCUGGCGCUUGCGGGUGACAAUGUUCUUGUACUUGUCGAGCUUCUGGAUGGCCUCGUGCAGCGACCUGGCCUUCUCCCUGCGGUGGCCGGGAAGGGGAAGGCGGGCACGGAAUUGAGGCAGCGGGCAGUCAGCGUCAGCAAUGCGAUAUCCGACAGAGGAGGGGGAAAAAAAAGGAAGGGUACGCACUUGGCCUUGCCGGCGGAGUCGUGGACGCUGGCGCGGAUCCGCCUGAGCUCGUCGGCCUGGUCGUCGGAGGCGAGCGCGCGGCGGAGCUCGGGGUGGCGCCAGUGCGGCUGCUUGGGGUCGGAGCCCCAGGAGGGGAGCGCGUCGAGCGCGAGGAACUGCGAGAGGGGCGGGGUGGGCGUGGGCGGGGGCGCGUGGGCGUCCCCCGGCCCCGCGCCCUCGCGGAAGCUCCCGGCCAUGUGGGGGACCGGAUUGCUAGGGCUAGGGUGCCCCUCCUCCUCCUCGUCGCCGGGCUAUCUGAGCGCGGCGGCGGUGGCGGCGACGCGCAUCGGAUGCCGCGGGAAGGGAGAAGGGUUCCGGCGACCGAUUGGGGGCGGAAUUGCUCCCUGGGCGAGGGGAGCGGAGAGGGAGAGGGGGAGGGGGAGGGGGGGUAGGCGGCGAGGUUGCUGACGUCGUCGCAGGCUCGUGGGGAGGAAGCAGAAAGAAAGGGGAAGGAGGAGGGCGAUUAGACGACAGAGGGGAGGAGAGGGGAAUUUGGAGUCAACUUUUGCCGGCUGAUUGGUCAACGCAGCCUGUGAUUGGCCCGAUUUGGUAAUCCUAAUGCCUCCCGUGUUCGUUUCCGAGCUCGCCUCACGACUCCAAAGUAGUGUGUGUGCUACUGUUCUGUUAUUACCUGAUCUACCUGGUACUAACAGAAUCCACACGGAUUUCAGUAGCCUCCUAUUUUUUUUUAACGAACGAACUGGCGGUGUUUAUAUUGAUAUAUAGGCAAAAAAAACAAAUGAACUUAGAAGGCUACCAACAGAAAAAAAAAAAAGAAAAUAAACAAAACAACAAAUAAAACUAUAUGGACAGUCAGCAACAACAACAACCACGCAUAACACCAUCAUCACAAACCCAACAAAACCUCUAUCAGCAGUGCUCGUUGCCACAACGGAUUGUCAAGUCAUAGUCCUCGCUCGCACCUCAAGUCUUUUAUAUCGUGAACAUUGAAUACUCUAGCUCUUGUUUCCCUGAAAUCAGAAAAAUGAGAGAGAAGUAAAUUGCACCUCACUGACCGCCAUGUGGUAUUUUCAUCACCAUAGUGCCAUUGCACCUCCACAACCCCAAACUGUCAAUUCAGACUUCUCUAAGGCCGUUCUAUAGUCACGACCAUGGAAACACAACAUUAGUGGAUCUCGCAACACCUGUUGUUGGACUCCAUAGCUCACUUUGGUCGUCUUGAAAGAAACCAUAAUACAUGGGGGCCUCGCCAUAUCUGCCAAUAGACACCAAACCACAGAUUCAUCCCCUUUUUCUGUAUUGUCGUCAAAAAGGAUUGUAGUAUUGCUUCAUAACCUCAAGAAGUCCAUCUUUUGUGCAACCACCAUAGCCACCACUAGCAAUGUCACCAUGCCAUCCACUUGCGCCAUCUGUUGACGAUGUCUCACCGAAGUAGCCAUAGCCAUGACAAGCUACCCGUUGUAGACUGCUGCAAGUUGACUUGCCACAUGUUGUCAUUGCUGCAAGCAUUUGUCUUCAGAUGUUGUACCACAAGACAUUAGCCACUUCUAUGUAGGGCCAAGCGUCGUGGUCCACUUCAAAUACGCUAAUAUACAUGUGUGCAACCAUAAGCCACUUGUCAAUUUUAUGCGACCUGCCCUACACCAUCAUUCGACAUCCUUCUAUGUAGCCUUCCAUAGCCUUAAGCCACUAUCACUGUCCACGGUUAUGUCAUUGCCACCAGGCGGCCUAGAGAUAGGCACAAAGCCAGCCAAAACAUGGGCACCAUUGUUUAUCGCCACAGCACUGACCUUCGUCAACUCUAACAUUAGAGCCUAUGCUAGUAGGCUUCCUCGUCCCUCUCUCCUCCACAAGUGGCCACCAUCCUCACGCCAUAGCCCCGCCCAUGGGAACGCAUCCAACAGUGUGUAUGCUCUAAUGCUCGUCAACCCACGGGCCACAACCACCCUGUCGAGGUGAGCCUCUGCGUAGUUGCAAGCUGUCGCAACCUCUCAUUCACUUGUGUUGCCCACUUAGUUGAUGAGUCAAGCAGGCCAUGGGAAACCUUGCCAACUCCAUGCACAACACGAUCCUCAAGCACAGAUCGAAUUGCAAUAAUAAGAUAAAAGAAGAAAUGAGGUCGCAUGUAAAAACUCAGAGGCGCAUGCAGGGAAUGACCAGUAUGUAGGUUUGAGUGAUAUUUCACAUGCAUGAUUAAGGGUGCCUCCUAUAGUCAUAUUUUGGCUGCACAGCGGGUGGCUGGUGGCAACAACGGGUUGCUUCACUUCUUCAGGUCGGGUGAAGGGAGGAAGCACGAUACCUAUACAGGCACAAAACCUAUGUGAGCCCAUCACAAGGGAAAGAAUUGCACAAACAAUGGUGUGUGCACUCAACUCAACUAGUAUGCUCAACUAAGCGAAAUAUGUCAAGCAGGAGAUUGGAGAGAUUGCUAGGCUCAAGCACCGAAGCUUUUGGUGCUCUGCUGAGAAUACACCAGGACCAGGAGGGGGAUACAAUUUCCAGGUUUGGGUCCAUCGAAUACCCAAUUUGGACAGAGCUGCGCCGCUGUAAGUUCUUCUGAGAGUGUGUUGUUCGGUUGCCUCAAGUUGAGAGAGUGCUUUAUUACUCUAAUUAGACAACUUCCAACUUGGAUGCUUUUUAAUCGACCCUGAUUAAUUAUAUGCGUAAUAAUAAAGCCGGCAGACCUGGUGGUGACUCGGAAGGAAAUAUAUAUGCUCCGGAGGAAAUAUAUAUAUAUAUAUAUGCUCCGGAAUUAUUCGUUCUCCAUCUGAAUUAGUAGCUAGCUAGGCGCGUCGUCUACAGGUACUUGGCGUCAUGCAGUGACCAUGGCGAUGCCGGCGCCGGCGGCUGACGAAGCGGCGGCGCCGUUGUUGUUGCGUCCGACGAACCUGGCGACCGCGCAGUCGGCGUCGAAGAGUCCCGAGGAACGGAAGGUGUCGGCGCCUCCCAUCCCAUGACGGGCAUCUUGGCGGUGACGUUGAGCCUGUUGACGUAGUCGGUGCGGUAGGUCUGCCCGAGCACGCCGUGGACGUCGUCGGUGAGGUCGUAGAACUUGAACCCGAGGUCGAGGUGCGCGAGGCGGCAGUCGUCCUCCGUGACGCCAUAUCCAUGGACGCGCGAGUCCUCGGCGGUGAUGGGCACGACGCGGAAGACGCCCCGGAGCUCGACGACGACGGCGUUGGCGCGCGCGGUGCGGGUGACGGACAGCGCCGGCGCGGCAGGCGGCGACCACACAGCGCCGACGACGGAGGCGGGUAGUAGCGCGACGGCUUCCUCGUCGAAGGCGAGGGCCAGGUGGUCGGCGGCGGCGUCCCACUUGGCAGCGUUGGCGGCGGCGCCGACGUAGAGGCUGUGGUGCGCGAAAUGGAUGCCCAGCGCCUGGAUCCACGUGAAGUCGCGGUUGGUGGCCGGCCCGGUUGUGGUUGCCGAUGAAGUGCGCGUUGAUGUGGAGGCCGGCGUCGGUGACGAUGCAGAAGUCCUGGUCCUUUUUGCCGUGGAAGUAGAAGGUGUUGCCGUCGGCGCCCGUGUACCGCGGGUCGCCGCACGACACGCCGGGGUAGAAGUCGCACACUGUAGGUACAUAUCAUACAAAUGUGGUAACAACAGAGCCAACAAGAAAAACAGAGCCUUGAAGACGUUAGCGAUUACAGCCACUGAACCACACUGGAAAAACAAAGCUGGGAAAUUUCCAGCGUUGCCGUCAAAGCCCAAUCCCUUGGCAAAGAAACCAAAUCCUGUAUUUUUCCCCCAACUUUGCCGAGUGCUAAAGGCCCAGCCAUUUAAAAACACUUUGCCCACAAAUUUUUUUUUCUCAUGUUUCAUAAACAAGAUGUUAGAAUUUUCCGUCCACUUCCUGAAUAUGGCCUCACACAACACUCACUAACUAACUGUAAUAUCAUUUUUUUUAAAUCACUAGAUUUCAUUAAUCGAUGCAUGUGCAUUUCAAAUUUGUAUUUUUCGAAAUAAUUCAAUAAAAUAAAACUAAUUUAAGAAAUAUAGCAAAAAAUCACAAAAAUGCACUAAAUUUGAAUAUGUAAUUGUAGGUACUAUAGCAGGGCUACAGAGAAAAUUUGGGCACAAAAAAUAAAAAAUUAAAAUCUUCACCGAGUGAGAGGGCACUCGGAAAGAAACUAUUUAAAAAAGAAAACUCUUUGUCGAGUGCCGAGUAUAGGGCACUCGGCAAAGAAUUUAUUAAAAAAAAUAAAAAAUUUACCGAAUGCCGGAGAUAGGGCACUCGACAAAGAAAUUACUAAAAAAAUAAAAAUUCUUUGCCGAGUGCUAGAAGGCAGACACUCGGCAAAGGCUGAUGACUGUCACCUACGGUCAUCUUUGCCGAGGGUCCGGCUUUGCCGAGUGACUAACACUCGGCACAGAUUACCUCAGCAAGAGAAGCUUUACCAAGUGUCCGCUAUUUGGCACUCGAUAAAGCCUCUGGCAUUAGGCAAAGACCCAGUUUCUAGUAGUGGGUAACCGGAGAAGACCUUGAUUCUUUACUUUGUUGAGGCCUUGUUUAGUUGUGAAAAGUUUUUGGAUUUUGACACUGUAGCAUUUUCGUUUGUAUUUGAUAAUUAUUGUCCAACUAUAGACUAACUAGGCUCAAAAGAUUCGUCUCGUAAAUUAUAGACAAACCGUGUGAUUACUUUUUGUUUUCGUCUAUAUUUAAUGCUCUAUGUAUAUGCUACAAGAUUUAAUGUAACGGAAAAUCUUAAAAAGUUUUUUAAUUUUUGGGUGAACUAAACAAGGCGUGAGAAUGGACUGAAGUAAGACAGUCUCAAUCAAUUUGUAUGCUGACCAUAGAGUUUCAGCACUGCCUUCAUGAUCAGAGACUGUCACCCUCUCACUCAUGCAUUACUAGUUUGAGUAGUUAGGCCUUGUUUAGAUGCAAAAUUUUUUUGGAUUUUGACACUGUAGCAUUUUCGUUUUUAUUUGACAAACAUUAUCUAAUUAUGGAGUAACUAGGCUUAAAAGAUUCGUCUCGUGAUUUAUAGGUAAACUGUGUAAUUAGUUAUUCUUUUUAACUAUAUUUAAUACUUCAUGCAUGUGUCAUGCAUGUGCCGUAAGAUUCGAUGUGAUGGAAAAUCUUGUAAAGUUUUGAGUUUUUGGGUGUAUCUAAACAAGGCCUUAGAACUUUUUGUGGAAGUGGAACAGGACACUUGGAGGUGGCUCUAGCCCCCCAACUUUGACUGACAGGAAAGACCACUCGAGUCCGUGCCUAUAUGUAGUAGUAGUAGUAGUGCAUGCAUCUUCUGCAUUGCAGGUUGCAUCAUUCAUUGACUAUAUAUACCUGUAGUUGCGAUCAGGAGGGUCGAUCAACCAGAUCACAAGUACACUAGCUAGUCCACUCUUUGUAAUAAUAAUACUAGUACUAAGUCUGUAUUAUUGUUGUGUACAUGUCAGAAACAGAAAGAGGAGAUGAGGAAAUCUUGUCUUGCUGCUCUAGUGGAGUGUCGACUCCAGUUUCAGUUUCUAUGGAUGAAGCAGAAUUGAAAAAAGAGGAAGGAAAAAAGAAGAAACCUGAGGAGUUCAAGAAGAAACUUGAGGAGGCCAGAUACCCGUAUUAUCCGUAUCCGUAUGACACGCCACUGAGAAGCAGUGACACCACGAUACAGAGGAUAGGGUCAUGUCUGCUGAGCAUCGCGAGAAGAGCCGACCUCAUGAGCAUCGCCGCCCCGAUCGCCGUGGCCAUAGGUCCGUACCAUCAUCAUCACCGUGCCUCGCCGCAGCUCAUGGCCAUGGAAGACUCCAAGCGAGCCGCCAAGGAGGAGUUUUGUCGUCGGGUGGCGAUGAUGGCGAGCCAGAGCCAGCCGGAGGUGGAGGCGGCAGUCCGUGAGAAGAUGCUCUCGCUGGCGGGAUCCGCUCGCAAGUGCUACGCCGGCGACUGGACGAUCGAUCGCAUGAGCCACGAGUCCCUGGCGGAGAUGAUGUUCCUGGACGGCUGCUUCCUGCUGCAGUUCAUGGUGUCCAUGUUCCCCGACGACCCCAACGCCCCGCCGGAGUUGGACCCGCUCAUGUCCAGGGCCGAGGUGCACACCUGCAUCGACGCCAUCGCGAGGGACGUCAUGCUGUUCGAGAACCAGAUCCCCUGGGCUGUGCUGCAGGCGCUCAUGGAGAUGAGGCCGGGAGUCCCCGUCGACAGGUUCCUCACUCUCAUGGCCUCCGCCUUCCACGUCGCCGCUAACGACGAUGACGACAAAGCAGCUUCUUUGUCGUCGGGUGCAAGUGCAACAACUGGAGCUGGAGGUGAACCAAACGACCACGGCGAUCCGCCGCCGCCGCAUCUCCUCGGCCUCUUCCACCGCCGCCAGGUGGGCGCGGCGCAUACCCAGAGCCUCCGCGUGCCCUGGCUAUCGUCCCGCUCGACCACCGCCGUGGAGCUCGCGGAGAUGGGCGUCAAGCUGACGGCGAGCAAGACGAACAAGUUCGGCGACAUGAGCAUGGAGAAGCGGCGGCGGCCAUGGCCAUGGCAGCUCUCCCUCGCACCGAUGGUCCUCAACAACCUGACCGCGUGCUGGCUCACCAACAUGGCCGCGUACGAGGCUUGCCUGGGCGCGACGCAGGCCGACAACUUCGCCGUCAGCUCGUACGUCUGCGUCCUGUCGUGCCUCGUCAACCGGGAGGAAGACGUGAAGGAGCUGCGCGGCAAAGGCAUCAUCAACAGCACCUUCAGCGACAUGGGGACGCUGGUGUUCUUCAAGGGGGCCGCCCAAGACCUGCGCGUCGGCCAUCGCUACUACGAGGUGUUCCAAGCCCUACACAAGUACAGGCAGGAGAGGUGGCUGUGGAUCGCCGUCCACAGCUUCCUCUACAGAAACUACAAGACCAUCGUCACGGUGCUCUCCAUCGCUGGGGUGCUUGCUGGACUCUUCAAAACCAUUCUCUCGCUCAGGCACCACCAGUAGACACUAGACAGCGGCGCCCGCCACCCCAUUCAUCGCUGGAGUAGAACUUGAAUUAAAUUUUAUCUCAAUCCACUUCAAUAUAUAUGGUUUGAAAUGAGUCUGAUAACAUUCAAAUAAGUCAGUCAAAAUUUAUCAAUACAAGAGCUGAAGAUGGAUUGGAAAAUCACGUGCAACCAAAAAAGGAUUAAAUUUAGAUCGAGUUGUCAAUUUUGCAAAAACAUGGGAAAAAAAAAAGGUCAACCCAGGUCGGUUUGGGGCCUCCCUGCCUGAAGAUAGCUAAAACCGGUGUUUAAACCGACCUGACCCAGUAGCUACACUCUGAAAGUAGAAAAUGAUCGAGCACUAGUCCAGCCUUAGAAUCAAAUGCUGCAUGUUUAGCACAAGCUUUCGAAGAUAGGAUGAGCGCACUCAGGCCUGAUGAGUGAUGACAUCAGAUCCUGCUCCACAUCCUGGAGCUCAUCAUUUAUAUACAGUGAGUGUUCCAGGGGCCAUCAAUUGUAACACUUCAUUUGUCUUUUGAGACUAAUCUGCAGAAGAUCACUCAGUGCUUUGUAAUUGCCUAAAAAGAAACCAUGGUGGUCUAUAGGAAACUGCAAUGGCUAAAUUCAAGCUGAACAUAUGUUUCGGUUUCCCAAGCACAAAAGCAUAACAAUCAUAUAUAUCACUGCACGAUAACUUUCACCAUAUAUAAAUGUUUCUGGAACAUACAUAAGCAUAUCCGGAAAAAGGAAAGAGGAAAAAUAGGCAGUCAAAGAACCUAAUAGCCUACUUUGCCUACUGAUGAAUGCUGACCUAAACAGGGUUUCGCUUUUCCUCGUGUACUACUUUGUUUCAUCGCCUAUGUACAUUACGCCAAAACAGACUGAUCACAUAUAUAGAGCCUUGUAUUGUAUAUCCACUAAUCCAGGAUUGUAGUGCCAACAAAAUAAUGGCCGCUGGCCUUUUGGCAUCUCCCAGUAUAUAUGACCUUGGAUAUGUGCUUGGUUUCAUACUAGUUUGCUGCUGCUGAGUAGUGAUGCUGGAGACUUCAGUUUUCUACAAGUUCCAUGAUGACACAGGUCAUCCUCAAGUCAGUAUGCAGACCGGGUUGAGGCUGCCGAUGACACACGCUCAGAGCUCUUCACGUUGUAUCGCUCAUACACUUUUUCCCGGUUCUCAUUCCACCAAUUUUCCGCCUGAUGCUCACCAAAUCGUCUUCGGCUGCGAAAGGUAAAUUUUAAGAAUGGCAAGAAUUGAAAUAAGUGACUUUACAGAGAAAUACUGGCUUGUAUAUGUCAGUCAAUACAGAGUCCUGGAUAGCUACACAGUUUUACUCUACAUGUUGGAAAAGGUGCUCCUGCGCCUGCUCAGAAAAUAAUGCAGCCUUUCUUUCACUAAAAAGAAUGUAUGGUUUGGAACAUUUUUGUGCUCGAGAAUUUAAAGACAAACACACUUUACUUCUUGUUUGGCUUCAUGUUCUGAAGUGCCCAGUUACUGUAUAGUGUCAGGAAAGGUGAAGUGAUGUGAAGAAUGCUAAUUAAUAAUAAAGUGACUAAAACAAUGCAAUUGUCAAGAUUUGUAAGCUGUAUAUGAAAAAAUGCAACUGGACAAGGGAUUAGUCCAGAAAACAGAGAUAAAUUAUAGCUAAAUCACCUGAAGCGAACCCUCUUCAGAUCCCGGGUCCCAUCACGGAGGGUUGUGAGUGUUAUGUAUACGCCAGGUUCAUACUGCUCGAUCCAUUCAGCCUGAACUUGGUUGCUUGGUAAUGAUAUUGUGCCUCGAGGUUUGUAGCCAUCCUCACCGCUUUGAAGGGACAUAGCAUCCAUGCUCACAUUAUCAUCCACUCUACUGCCUGCUGUCAGCAUCUCAUCACUGCUGCUUCGUGCUCUUCGAUUAGGAAGCUCCGAGUCAUGAGGACUGGUAAUUCUUAGGCUGUGAGUGCUGCAAUCACUAUGUUCACUCACAUUGCCCAGUAAUUUAUGUUGGCCUGAGAUUCCAUUGCAAUGAGAUGAUCGUCCAGAGUUUGGACUAUGUGCAAUUGAAGCAUUGAACAACUCAUUCCUUGUCUGGUGAAUUCCAUUCAUGCUAGAGUAGCUAGCAACAUGUGACUCAAUGCCAUUCGGAAUAUGUGAUUGCUUUGUCUCAUUGACAUUAUAGGCCCCGUGAUCUGGUGGUAAUCUCUCAGCCAUAUCCUUCAGCUACACAAGUCAGAAAAAGGCCCACGACAAUAAGGAUUUAACAUUUGUUAAAACAACAUACCCAUUCAUGUAUUUAGUUAUCUUAAAUACACAAGUGACUCCCGUUAACAUUUAGCAGGUUCUUUGUAGCAAAGAUGAUUGUGACAGCAUACAGAAACAAUACACAUCCGACACUGUUCGCCCCAGAAAAAGAAAACAGGAAUUUAACAACAAGACACUGUUCUAGAAAGCGAUUUUCAAACACAGAAAAACUUUACAAGUUGAGUAUUUUGUUAGUUGAGUCAGUAAAACAUCACAAACCAUGAGAAACAAGCAAAAAUAUUCGAUUUUACCUGAGCGGUUAAAGAUUUUAUAACUUCUUUUGCAGCUUUGGAUUUUGCAGAUUCUUCGGCAACCAGUGUCAUGGCCUCUUGUACCUUUUUUGCUGAUUUUUGAAGCUCAAGUUCUUGAAGCUCGCAACGAUUUCUCAGGUUAUCGACCUAAUAAUGGAUAAAAGUACCAAUUGUUGGUACAUGAUAAACAUCAAAAAGCUAAGGUUCUGCUGAAUAAUUAGAAAUACACACCUGCGCACGCAGUCUUUCAACUUCCUGAUUCAAGAGCUCAUGUGCUUUAACAAUAUUAUCAGUAGCACUUUUUGAGAGAGAAAGACCAUGGGCUGUUGGAACUGGUGUAGUAGAACGUGGUGGACUGGGCUUGCGAGAGAAUGGGGAAACAGCUCUUGAAGUAGUAACUGACCGAGCUGCAGAUAUGCGUACUGCUCUCGGAGCUGAUCUGUUCAUGCCCAAGCCACCAGAUAAAGCAAUAUCACUCAGCUGCAGGAGCGAACUAACUUGAGGAUUCCGGAGAAAUGAUAGCCCAUCAGUUUUCUUCCCUUGCCGUGCUGCCUUGAUAUCCAAAUUUCGAAUCAUAUCCAUAUUACUAGGCAAACUAGCCUUUCCUACUUUAGCAUCACCAUUGCUUUCAACAGGUUGGUAGGGAACAGGGUCUUUCCUCCGGUUAGCUGCAUUAGGAUCCGAGGCAUUAUUCAACUUCAAGAAACAUGAAUCACAAACACGGUAAGGUUUCCCAGGACUAGGAGCCAGUGCUGCUCUCAAAGCCUUCCGCGAGGUGCAGGCAUUGCAAUGGACAAGUCCACAAUUAUAGCAGUUACGCCUCUUUCGAGUAAACCCAAAUGGCUGUCGACAUGAGGAACACUGUGAUUGGUCAGCUCCAGAAACCCAUUUAUAUUGACAAAUAGCAGCAGUGAAGUUUGCACCACAGGCUAUGUACCUAACAGCUCUAUCUUUCAAGACUUCAACCAGUGUAGGCACCUUCCGAUCCUCUAUGUCUCCAUGGCCCAAUCUUCCAUUAGCUCCCUUUCCCCAUGUAAAAACUUCAUUCCUACCUGUCAAAACUGCGACAUGGUAGGAGCCACAAGCAAUUUGGAUAACUUGUUCACCCACAAUCUUGUCUUCAACUAAACAAGGUAUCCUUCCAUCUGAAUGAGGAUUUCCAAGCUGACCAUAAACAGCAUUACCCAUGCUCAAGACUUGUCCAGAAGUUGUCAAGGCAACAGUAAGACUGUGACCACAUGCUACCCUGUAAAAAUCAUGAUCAAUAAGCGUAGCCACGCAAGUUGGCUUAAGUCGAGUUUCUUUGUCACCAUGACCAAGUCGAUGCUUGUCACCAUCUCCCCAUGUGAACAGCUUUCCAGCAGAUAGCUUUACACUUGAACUGGACCGAGUGACAAUAACCUCCACAAUAGCUGCAGUGUGCCAUACACCACAUGCCACAGCAAUUGUUUUCAACCCUGAUAGCGACUCUACCUCCCUUGGGUAAGAAACACUUUUCAGAUCUCCGUGGCCUAAUACACCAAAUGAACCGUCCCCAAAGGUAAACAAUUGGCCCAUGGAUGUUAUCAAGGCUGUAUGCCAGGUCCCACACGAAACAUAAGCAACUUGAAGACCUUCCAAUGCUCCAGAAACCCUCUUAGGUAUCCAGUGUCCUACAUCAUUGCCAUGUCCGAGAAGCCCAACAUUGUGAGUUCCAUCUCCCCAGGAAUAAAGCUCACCCGUUGUUGUAACAGCACAAGUAUGAAAUUCCCCACAGGCAACAAAAUCUACAUUGGAAACUGUCAAAGACUCAACCAGACGAGGGCGAACACAAUCUUCUCGUGUUCCAUGGCCAAGGCGGCCUCCAGAAUCUUCACCCCAUGUAAAAACCUCACCAUUUUUCAUGACCAAUGCAGCAUGCUUAACCCCACAAUCUACAUGAUACACAUCAAGAACUAAAUUGGACUCCAAUGGCUUCGGGAGAAGGAUGUCAGUCCUGCCAGUUGAACUAAUUACAGUAUCCGAACCAGUUCGUACUGAAGUAUCACAGACAACCUCACCCCACACAUACACAUCCCCUAAUGAAUCACAUUCAUCUUGUGCAGAACCAUGGCUAGAUGUACUUGGGGCGCUAGAAAUGCUUGCUCUGAGAACAUCUGAAGAUGGCCCCUUUGCCAGCAUAUUGUUGCAUCUGCUCACAAUGCAACCAUAAAGCUAGGAGAGUAGUACCAAUGUAGAAAAAGAAUCACUAUUGCCAGUGAUGCAGCACAACAAUGCUGAGUUGAUGAUAGAGGUGUUAGAAUAAAGUGGACACGACAAAUACCUGCACAUAUUAACAGAAAUGCAUAAAAACAAUGCAGAAGAGCAAAUUGGAGAACAGGUAAAACUUUAUGCAAGAGAAAAAGGGCAAUAAAAUUAUGUGCACAUUGAAAAUUGCGGUACUACAUCCUAGGUGUAAAUAAGAAUAACAAGCUUUCCCAGCAAUUUUCAGGAAAAAAAAUCCAAAGCAACUAAAUAUAAAUUGAAAGGUCAAUUUUAGAAUUGAUUAACAAUUAUUCUGGAUAGGGGUUGACCAGGCUCACAACAUUCACUGCAAAAACAUAUCAUGAACAGACCACAUUCAAAUUCUACAUUUAAAUUGGAUAAAUCAGAUAGUGCCCAUGACUCCGUUGAAAUUGGCCAAAUAAAAACUACCAUGAGUAUAACUAUUACCAAUAGUUACUGGCGGAAACCAUAACCGCCAGCGGACCAAGAUUUUUGUAAAAGCGGAAUGAAAUCCUGUUCCAGAACCAUGAUAGAAGAGUUUUACCAAAAAGGGACAAGCCUGAUAAAUUUUACACCCAUAUCAUUAUGAAAAUAGCUCCUCUGAUAUUCAAAUGAAGCGAAUCCUUGUAAGCAGACACGAUGAGCAUCAGACAAGUAGGUUUCACAUUUUUGUAUAUAAAAAAUUGGGUGAACCCACAAUGUAUGCCAACAAAGAAUUUAAUGCUGGCAACUUGAAAUACUCCGCUACGUCCUUUUAUUCCCCCAAGAUAACCAUAAUCUGCACACCAACAACAGCCUAAUAAAACAAAUGAGGGUGUGGGCGUGUAGCAACAUGCCAACCGUCAGCAUCACAUUGUUCGUCUGUGAGCACUUCUGAUGGCAUCGUCUAUUGAUAUGUAAAUCCACACCACCUGGUGCAAUCUAAAAAAAUCAAGAUGAUGCAAACAGAGAAAGCAUUCCUCAGCCAAGUAGCUUAGCAGUACAUUACCAUCACAGCUAAAAUCAUCAGGUUGUGAAGAUUGAGAAAUGCAGACCCGAACUGCAUUCAGGCAACUUUCCUCCCAACAUUACCAAACCAAAUCGGUAUCAGGGGUGGCUGUAAAUUGAUACGUAGACUACCUACUCAAAUUGCCAAGAAACAUCAGCAACAGAACCGCAGGGACUAGAAAUCCGGAAAUCCACACACUAGAUUCUUCCAGAAAUGCGAGAAGGAGCCCCCCUUUCUGGCUGUACCGGCAUCAACUGACUAGGGUGCGCAGAGAAACAGCGAAAAGAACCAAACUUUGCGCAGGAACGAGAAAGUUUCGCGUACCACAAGCUCCUGAGGGAGACGAAGCGUCAGGUCUCCACGCGCCCAAGAGGGGAAGAGCUCUGCUGCCCCUGACGGCUGCCGCACUCCCUACAAGAUGGGAUCCACCCGGCCGGAGGCCGGAGCGGGAGCGCCGCCGGAAGCCGGGAGGCCGCCGGCUGGCGUGCACCGAGGACGGAUGGAAUCAAUGCGCUUGCCAGCUCCCCCCUCUUCCCUCUCUCGCUUUCUCACCUUGUGUGCUGGUGAUCACGAGGGAUGGGCUCCCCCUGUUUGUUCUUUCCCUCUCGGCUUUCUCUCUCUUUCUCUCUAUGCCUCCUCUUCCAUUACUCACCUCACCCCGUUCCUGCUGCUUUGUUUCUCUUUUUGGGCACUCCGGCUCACCCGGCUGUGAUGUCUGUACUCAUCUCCCCCACAUGGCCAUGCCCACGACGCCCAUUCAUCUUGUUUGUGCUCAUGCUUUGGACUCUUCACUGUGCUUGACUUGUUUUUCUAAGUGCUUACUUGACCGUAUCUGCUGGCCUUGCCUUGUGACUUCUCCUCAGAACUGGAGUAGUAGCUAGCUGGUCAUGGGUCGCUAGUCUAGGGAAUAGUUCGUUUUUUAUUUAUGCUGUUGGUAUGAUCGAGUUGCUCCUCCUGUAAAUGCAAUUUUAUUCCUGCGACGGGCACUAGGUGAUGGGUUUGGUUACUGUUGCUCAGAUCUGGAUGGAUGGUCUUGCUCACUCACUGACAGACAGACACAUUUGCUUCUUUGCUUCUGAAGAAACUGUUGCACAUUUGUACUAUUAUUGUUUGGCUUGAUGCCAGUGUGAUCUGUGAUGAUGAUAAGAUCUAGCAGCCUCUCUGUAGCAUGUAGAAUUUAGAAAAGAAAAAAAAUGGUAUUAACAUGUACUACUAGCUAGUAGCUCGAGUUGGUGACUGGAUAAUUUUGUUCACACAUAGAAGGAUUAACAAAUGCUGCUGUAAUUAAUUAGCUAAUGUGAUGAGGUGGUGUUGCUUUUGAGAAGAUCAAGUUGGGGAACAGGUUCACAGAUUACUAGAUUCUAGGUUGGAAAUGUAGAGCAAAAACCACUAUAAACUUUCACCCACUUGAGUGUAUAAUACUCCUUGCCAAACUUGACAUAGAAGCAAGUUUUGCCUAGUGUACCACAACAGAUCAAAUCGUGAUCUCAACAGUGGCUAUCAAAUAACUUCUCCUUAUUGGACCCUGCAAUAAAUCCUACUCAUGUUGCAUUUUUGUCUCCUUGCAUAAAAGGAGUAUGCUUGCAAGCAUAGACUAGGCAACAAGAAAGUAUUUCCUACUUUAGUCUUUUUUCAGUUUUUUUCCUAUAUGAUAUACAAACAAAACAUAAUUUGUUUUCUGCUGCCCGUUGCACAAAAUACCCCUCUCCAUUUAACAGUUACUCUGUAAAAUGCUUUCACAAUUGGUGAUUUAGAGUUGAUGGAGCUGCCGACAUAUUGAGUGCAUAUUGACACAAUUAAUUGAAUGAUAUGACACUGACAGUGUGGUAGUACUAUACUAAUUGCAAUCACAAGUAAUGUAAUGAUAUGGCAUCUAAUCAAAUAAUUAAGGUUUAGUAGUACUACACUACACACAGCCACAUUCCCAGGUCCCAGCGUCCAUUAUCCAUGUUAGAUGCAUUUUGAUGGGAUAUCUUUGUACCACCUCUCGAGGUGAAUCGCCGUGUCGAUGACAUGCGGGACCAGGCCCCAACGACAUACUUGUUUGGUGGGAAAAAAACUUCAAAUCAUGGUAUGCAUGGAAAUUUCUUAUUUUUUUUAGUAAACUGUUGUUUAUUUAGUGCACACGAAUUGUAUUACUAGGUUUGUGUUUAGACAACUUUUUUAUAAAGCUUAGAGAGAUUCUUAAUCUAAUAUAAUGCUAACUUUUCAAUGAACAACGUCAGUGUAUUGUAAACAGUAAAACGAAUUAGAGGAGAAAGCUAUGCCAAAAUAUGCUUUAAAAUGGAUGGAGAGAGUAGGCACGGUAGGAGCGAGAAUUCAGGUACAUAUGUUUUUUUCUUGCGGAAAUUUAGGUACAUAUUUAUAUACCGUUGUUCUAUAGGAAAUUGAAUUCCAGCAUACAUUUUUUUGCCCAAAAAAGAAUUGCAGCAUAUAUUAAAGCGGAUCAUGGAGCACAAGAUUUUAAUGAAACAUGUAAGGCGAAGAAGAAGAACAAGAAGAACAAGAAAAAAAAGAAAAGAAGAAGAAGAAGAAGAAUUGCAGCAUAUAUUCUAAUUUAAUAUAUAAUAUGCCUUGUCUGAUCACUCAACAUUUUCUUUUUUUUUGACGAGAGAUCACUCAACAUUGAAUAUGUGGUGUUGCAGUUCACACGAGACACGGUGCGUAUUUGAUGACGGGAUGCUUUCAACUCUCUUAAGACGAUGGAGUAGUUGUGGUUGCUGACGGAUAAAUUUUAUUACGUCCAAAAGAUUUACAAUUAAGUUUUAUCCUAAGUUAAACUAUCUUAUAGGUUUAUAUUGAAAAAAUAUUUACAUUACUAUUAUCAAAUAAGUAUCAUUAAAUUCAUCAUAGAACAUAUUUUCAGAAUUAUUAGUUUGAUUUUAUAAUGUUGAUAGUUUUCAUACAAAUUUAGUUAAACGUAAGAUAGUUGAUUUAUUCAAACAGAGGUAGUAUUAGUUUGGAGGAAGAUGUAUAUGUAGCCCAAAUUUAUCACCACCAUUAACUUUCUUUGAAGACUGUGCUAGUACGUUUAGUCCUAAAUACAAUCUUGCAAUUCCGUGAUGUCGUCACUAAUUUUUUUAAUAAAAUAUAUUGAUGAUACACCUAUAACAAAGAAAAAAUAUAUAUACUACUCCCUAUCUCUUGAAUUAUAAAUUAUAUUAGUUUUGUUAAAUACAUAAUUUUUACUAUAUAUUGGAACAUAAAAUAUAUCUAUGUGGGUAUAACAAAAGUUGUAUAUUGAUAAUUAGAAUGGAGGGAGUACAUAGAUAGAUAUAUACGAGGCAUGUAUGGGCAGCAAGAUGGACCGAGCAUGGGAACUCUCGGAUAGUGAUCGAGAUUUUUUUUUGGCAUGCAUCAAGAUUUUCUUGAGAAAAUCUUGCUGAAGGAAGAGCUUGGCUUGGUAUGCAUCAAGGCCAAACAGAGGACUGCUGACUCCCUGAAACUUUAGUGUGAGAGUAGACUUUAGCUUCCCUUGUAUUUUUCGCUUUUGGCAUUGAAGGCCUUUGUAUUCUUUAUUCUUUGUCCAUAAAUCAAUAAAAAAAAGAAAAAUAUAGGUAGAGGACUUCCCUACCGAUUGCGUCAAAAAGAUUUUCUUGAGAGAGCGAAAGCUUCUUGUAACCAAAUAAUGCUUUCUUUGAGACAACCAAUAUACUCAAUUGCAGAGUUUGACUGAACAAAUAGGAGGGGCUAAUCUACGUAAUUGAGCUCUAGACAUCAAUGAACAAUAGUAAACUUACUAUUUUUGUAAUAGAAGUUAAGGUGAACAAGGGGGGUCAUGGCCCACUUUGGCCUCGACUAAGCUUCGCGCCUCUGUCCCUGAAUAUACUCUCUCCGUCCUUUUUUGACUAUUAUUGUUUUCACUUCUGAGAAAUUAAAUAUACUCAAUUUUAAUUUAUCCAAAUAUAUAUAAAAAAUAUUAAUAUUUAUAGUAUAUAAUUAGUAUUAUUAGAUAAAUUAUUAUUAAAUCUAUUGUUAUAAUGAACUUUUUAGAUAUACAAAUAUUGUUAAUAUUUUUUUACAAAUCUAAGGGAUGUUUGGUUGGAGAUAUUAAAGUUUAAUAGAUAUUGUAGCUUUUUUGUUUUAUUUAGUAAUUACCGCUUAAUCAUAGACUAAUUAGGCUUAAAAGAUUCGUCUCACAGUUUACUCUUUAACUGUGUUUUUAGUUUUGUAAUUUAUAAAUAGUUUAUAUUUAGUACUCUAUACAUAUAUCUAAACAUUUGAUAUGACGGAAGUUAAAGUUUACCUAUACAAAUCAAACAGGGUCUCGGCAUAAAUAACAUAACAACACUUAAAGUAUUUAAAAAAAAGGAUAGAUAGACAGUAUAUUAUAUAUGCAUCGUAUCACAUGAUGCGUCUAGGAAGUGUCAUUUUCUUGGUCACAUCCAUUGAAUAUGGAUAUGAUCUGACCAUAGAGAAGAGAGAUUAUUAUUAUUAAGGUGUGCCAGCUGAUUGGUUAUCUAUCACUUAUGUACUUCUGUGUAGCUAGCUAGUUGAAAGCACUCAGGGUCUGUUUAGAUCCAAUUUUUUUUGGAAUUUAGUCACUUUCGUUUGUAUUUGAUAAUUAUUGUCCAAUCAUGGACUAAUUAGGCUCAAAAUAUUCAUUUCACAAAUUACAGAUAAAUUGUAUACUUAGUUGUUUUUCUAUCUAUAUUUAAUACUUCAUGCAUGCGUUUAAAGAUUCGAUGUGAUGAAGAAUCUUAUAAACUUUUGGAAUUUUGAUGUCAUCUAAAUAGGCCCUCAACAAUUUGAUAAUGCCCAUGUUUCACAUCUAUAUAAUAUCCAUAAAUUGGUGAAUCCUUUGCCAAGAAAAUGCCAAUAGAGUAUCAUGGUCCUCCAAUGAAAGAACUCUACACGGAAACGAUAGCCAUAUAUGUAUAUUAGUGUGGUUAGGAUCUGCUAUACGCAUGCUAGCUAUACAUAUGUCAAAACAUCCAAGUAAGAAACAUAGUAUAUAUGUCAAUCUGUAUAAUGUGAUUUGUAAAAAAAGUCCUUUAAGAUGAUAGACGUAAUCUCAUGUCCUCUACUCCGACCAGAAAUAUAAAAAAGAGAUCCAACCUAGGGGCUAGGGCUAGGGAGGAAUUUGGUGGUUUUUCAUUAAUCAUUAAGAAGAGAAAAAUAGACACAAUUCAACGUUGAGAGAGGACUUGAACAUACAUAUGGCUAGGCUGACAUGUGCACUAGGAUUAUAUGAAUGCUGCUGUGUUAAGCUAGACACUCAUAGCUCUAUCAUAGAACUCCGGUACUAUUUUGCAAAGUUCUUGAGAGAUUUCAGAUGUGGCUCUCUAACCUUUUAGGUGAAGCCAUAUCAAAUGCUAGUUUAAUAAACGACUCUACGAACGAAGCUAGAGGGGGAAAGGUGUGUUUUUAGCUAUACCAGUGAAACUACCUAAAUUUGGUUUCUCCGUUUUCUCUACCUUCUUAGUUGAAAUUGGUCGCAAAAAGUCUUGCCAAAAAUGUCUUAAAAAUGCUUCCAUACGUGACAUGCCCACCGUGUAUAUGGUAUAUGAUCAUAUAUACAAUGUCAGACGUGAUUUGCUUUUUUCAAUGUGCCACCUUGGUUUGGAUAAUUAAUAUAAAUAUAAGUAUAAAGCUCAAGUUACCCCCAAGUCUGAUAUAACUCCCUAAGCUAAUGUUUUUAAUUCAAUCCAUUGCUAUUUUAGAGGCAGGAAGCUUGAGUUUUUAUAGGUGGAUGCGAACACCAUCUAUGUCAAAGCACUUGUGUAAACCAAGAUUUACAUAAAGCGGGUUGAACGUCCACCUCUAGAAAUAAAACUCAACAAAUAAAAAGUGUCUAGUUCAGCGAGCCUAUAGACCCAAUGGGUCUAUAUGCAUGGAGGUAACUGUUGAACCCGCCAUGGAGGCUCGUCGUUGCCCUCAACCACGCCCUCACCACCUUCGAACGCAUGAGCCCGAAGUUCUUCCUAAUUAUAAACAACUCCACCGCUUCCACUCUUGUUGCUACAUCUGCCACUAGAUUUGUUGUUGUGCCCCAUACUCCUCUCCUGUCACCACCACAAUUUAGGCUUGAGAGAUUCAAGCUUCACCCUGAGGAGAAUUGGAUAGAGUGAGGCGAGGGACAGAAGAUAGAGAGAGAGAGAGAGAGAGAUGGUUCUCUAUCUCGUUGUCCAUGCUAGACUCAAGCUCAUACAACACUACAUUUGCGUCUAGUUGGCCCAGCUCACAAGUGGAUCUAGUUCUGGCACGACCAUCUAAUCAUGGAUCAACACCAUGUGUAGAUUAUAGAGAGAGAGAGGAAAGUGGCGAUGAAUCGGCUUUGGAUCGUCCAAACUAGGGACGACAACGAGGGCAGGUUGGGUCGGGUCUUGCGGGCUUUAGAUCCGGUGGGAGCGGGACAAGUGUCACUUUUGUCCCAUGGGUUUGCAGGUUCAAGGACCCGAAUCAGGUCAGGUGUGACGUGGGUUUUAAAAUGCCCCCUCAGGUGCUCACUGCUCCUGAAACUAGAUUUUGCAUUUCUAAAUUCAUUCGUGCUUUCAUAUCUUUAAUUCAAAUUCUUCUACAUCUAUUCAGAUUAUAUCAUAUAUCAACAAAAUUUCAUAUAUAUUGUAGAGAUCUUUUAUUUAACUUACAAUACCUGUUUUUAUCUACGUUCAUAAGAGUUUUAAUGAGUACUUCCAUAAGAACAACACUAAAUAUUACCAAGAAAAAUAUAGAGUAAAAUCCAUUUUAUCAUACUAAACUUGCCUCAUAAUUUGAACAGACCCAUCCUCAUGAGCUCAAAAGCUAGACAUCAUACACCACUAACUUCUAGAGCCACUGAAUUGGACAUAUUAUGUACUAUAACAAUUCAAAGUAAUAUGAAGGUAAGUUUUUGUUGAAAAUCAGACAUCAUAUAUGUUAUCUCAACUCUCCAACUCAAACAAACCACACACUAUGACAUUUUAAAAUGUUUCUAAGGUAGUUUUUGCUAAUGUAGCAUGUAGACCCAACAUGCCAGCAUCCUUUCCACACUAUCCAUCCAUCUAUGCAUUCUCUCCUUUUCUCUCACUAGUAGAUGGACACAUCUUUUAUACUUCCCACUCGUCUCACUAUUAUUCCCUAUUUUGAGAACACUGCAAUCAAGUCAAAAAUAAGAGUCAUGAUGAACGUUCUCAUAUACGACUCACUUCACUCGGGCGACAAUAACGAAGCUAUAGGGUGGUCUUCCAUUCACCACUCCAACCUUCUCCUAAUCGAUCUUUACCCACACUUCUCAUGGUGACACUUCUAGAUAAAGGGUAAUAGGGAUUGGUGAGAGAGAUCAAAGGACAACGAGGAUGAUGGACAAGCUUGCUCUUAGGAUGGGUCCGAUAUAGAUGAUGCAAUAAAAAACUAUACAACGUUGCUUAAAACAACAAGGAGAAAAAAGUAUAAUGUUCUGACCUAUAAAACUUGUCUUAAAAAUCUUAAAAAACACUUUUAUUCUCCUUUGAUUUUAACAUCUCCUACAACUAAAAAGAGUAAAAGAGGGACAUUUUUUUGGUGCGGUAUUCCUUUCGUCUGUCUUCUCUCGCACCAUGGAGAAAUUUUGAAAUUUGACCCACAAUUCGCGUGCCCCUUGAAACUUGACCCACAAUUCGUAAGCCUUUAGAAAUAUGACCCAGAUCAUGCGAAUUCUUUGGAAAUUUAGUCUUUUUGGGAUUUUAGUGAUUUCAAUAAUUCCAGCCAUGUUUUCACACUGUUUGGGGCAUGGGAAAAGACCAGAUUGCCCCUCCCCUCUCUCUGUUUUGUUCCGUCGCUGGAGCCUGAGUCGUGACUUCGCGACUUCUUCCUCGCGAGACCGCGCCUACCCCGCGACGCCCGGCACCGCUACACAGCCGUCCGCCCUACCAGAUCCGACCGCCGCCCGCAGCCGGCCUCGAGCAACGCCGCGCGCCCCGCUGGUUCUCCUUGCUACGGAACAAAACAGAGAGAUAAGGGAGGGGCAAUCUGGUCUUUUCCCAGGCUCCAAACAGUGUGAAAACAUAGCUGGAAUUAUUGAAAUCACUAAAAUCUCGAAAAGACUAAAUUUCCAAAGAAUUCGCGUGACUUAGGUCAUAUUUCUAAAGGCUUACGAAUUGUGGGUUAAGUUUCAAGGGGCACGCGAAUUGUGGGUCUAAGUUUCAAAAUUUCUCCGCACCAUGCGUCCGCGUCUGCCCCCUUCUCUAUCGCGUCCCCUCCCCCUUUUCUAUCGCGAUCCGCGCGAGCUCCGUGAGAGGCAGAGCGCCGCCGGCAAUCGCCUCUUCUCGCCCGUGGCGAGAGCGUCGUCGAGGCCGCCGCCUACCGCUCUUCUCGACCGUGGCGAGAUCCCGUACCCCGCCGCCAAGCGCUCUUCUCGCCACCAUCGGAACCGCCGUUGCGACUCCCUAGACGAGAGCGUCGUCGAUCCCUCUCCCCCAUAGUCCUCAGCCUACCCUCGCCCCCAACCUCGCCAGCGACUCACCACACCACUCCGAGCGUUCGUCCAUGCCCCAUGCCCCGCGCAAUUUCUGGUUUCUCUCCCUCCUCUCGAUCUCCGGUGUCCAUGCCUCGCCCAACGCGAGCUGCGGGAGGCCGCAACGAAGCUGGAACCCGCUCGAUCUCCGUUAGCCGCGCCCCGCGCCGCGAGCUCGGUGCCCGAAGCCGGUGGCGGUGCCCGCGUCUCCCGCCGGUGCCGAAAUAUGCAGACACCAAGGAAUCCGCCGGAUCGUCGGCCCUCGGGCGCUCAAACACGCCAGAGCAAAUAUUCCUGCUCGAGCCGCGCAAGUCGCACAAUAUUUCCAUCAUCCUCAAGUCCCUCACGGUGGGGCGGGAUGAAAUCGACGCCCUCCGGGAUGGGCACACAGACAGAACUCAGCACUGGGAGGUCCUGGAGAAGCUUUCGCGGCUCAACAUCUCUAAAGAGGAAGAGUCCACCAUCUUGAAGUUCUGUGGGAACCCCGACAGGCUUGCCCCAACGGAGGCCUUCCUCCUCCGUCUCCUCCUUGAUGUGCCAGGGGGUUGUGAAGGCUGCAGAACAGGAGCUGAAGGCACUAAGAAGGGAGCAGGAAAGAGUACUUGAGCUGGUCCAGAAGACAACAGAGUACAACCAUGCUGGUGCCGCCAAGGAACGGAACGCACAUCCCCUCCAGCUGUUCAUCGUAGUGAGGGACUUCCUGGGUAUGGUUGAUCAGGCAUGUGUUGACAUCAAGAGGAAAGUGCAACAGAAGAAACCAGCACCAUCGUCAUCGCAGCCAAACGCAGCAGCUGCUGCCCCCACGGUGGCGGCUGCGGCUGCGGCCACAACAGCGGUGACAGCGUCAGUGACAAAGGAAGCGACCGAUGGUCAAGCAGCACCAACUCACAAACCACCCGAAGAGGCAGAUAGUAAAAGGAAGAGGGUCAUGCCAAGAUUUCCAAACCUACCAGCGCACUUCAUGAAGGAUAGUUCAGAUUCUGAUUCAAGUAGUGACGAGGAAUAGAUUGAACGGGUGGCUGUCAAUGAUUGUUUACAUUGUUUUGAAUUGGUUGUUGUAGAGGUAUAGGAUAGCUGCAGACUGUACAUAAAAGCAAUUUUUUACAUUGGUUCUUUUGUCCAUUUCUUCAAUCAAGAUCCAUAUCGAGAGCACCGAAUAGAAAUAUAGAAUUCAGAAAUUUGUGAAAAAAAAUGAUGUGAAGAUCUCAAUUGCUUAGAAAUGAUAUCUUUGUUUGAGGGGAAAGCCCCUACUGUCGGUAGCUAUAUAAAGAAAAUGUGAAGGCAUUGUACAAAUACGAAGGAUAAAAAGUUAACAAAAAGGAGAGAAGACCUGGACAUAGAGAGACAAUUAGGAAAGAUAUCCCAGCCAUGUCAGAAGAUAUGUUGGGUCUCUUUUUUAAAAAAAUGGGUCCAUUCCGUUGCUUCCAAAUUUUUCAGACUACUAUUAUAAAAAAAUCCCCAUGAAUGAAGAAAGGUAACUGUAAAUAUUUUUUUCCAGCUUGCGUCAAUCAUGAUGAGAAAAGGUAGAGGCAUGAUCCAGGUGAGACCAACCACAUGCCAACAGGUCUACUGAAUUGACAUCCAAAGAAGAGAUGCAGCCUUGUUUAGUUCCCAAAAAGUUUUCAAAAUUUUUUAAUUUCUCGUCACCUCGAAUCUUGUGGCACAUGCAUAGAGCAUUAAAUAUAUAUAAAAAUAAUAACUUAUUGCGCAGUUUGUCUGUAAUUUACAUAUAUAUACUCAAAUGUGUGAUAGGAUGGCAGAGAGAUGCGGCGGAACUUAUUUAUAGAUUUACUAGCGCACGAAAGAAAUGGAUAUCGAAGAUUUCUUCCUACCGAUAUUAAACAUUAUCUUGUCGUAUCACGGAAAGGUCUAUAAAGUAGAAUUUGUGAGCCUAUAACGUCGUGCUCUCCGUGACCGUGUUUGAUUUCAUGAACUUUGUUUUCUUUAAGUUAAAUGGAACUUUAUUUGGUAUUUAAGUUUUAUUAUAAUAUUAUUAUCUUACUGUGCGAUCCAUGUAUUUUAAAUAAAAAAUGUUAGCUAUCCCGUAGCAACGCACGGGCACGCUACCUAGUUUAACUAGUAAAAUCAUCGUAAAAAUAACUUUGAACCCUUUCAAUUUUCGGAUUGAUAGUAUAGCCUCAAGGGGCUUUUGGUGCGGUUUUGAGAGCUAUUUUCUUUAAAAAAAGAUUUAUAAUUUUUUUUAAAUCCGGGAGUCGUGAGGAGUCAAGGAGACCACGUUCUCCUCCUCCUCCUCUCCUUCACACCACAGACAGCCCCCGACUGCCACAAGUCUCUCUCCUCUCCUCUCUCUCUCUCUCUCUCUCUCCUCGCGACGACUGGGCGAGACCGCCGCCGCCCUUCGCCAGGUGCCCAGGUCUCCGCCGCUUCCUUCGCCGGAGGUCACCAGGUUCGCCUGCCCCCUUCCUUUCCCUUGGUGCUGGGCGAAACCGAUCUCCCAAACCGUAUCUUAGGCUUCCCAUUUGUGUACUCGCAUCCAGAUCUGAUCUAGUUACACGUAUAGCAUGCUUGCACCCGGAUCUAAUCUAGUUAGAAGCGUAGUGAACUUGCAUUCGGAUCUGAUCUACAGUUGCAUCCGGAUCUGGCGUAAAAGAGUUUGCUAGUUUUCUUUUACGAAUUGGUCUAAGCUAACUGGAUGCUUGUUGUUGGUGUGAUUCCAGUGAAGAGCAGUUGGUCUUUCGUCCGGAAGUAGACUUCCACCACGCAUAUUAGCUUACUGGAAUAUGAUGUUGCAAAUUUCAGAUGCUAUAAGUCAUGAAUAAAUUGUUUUCUUUGUGUGACCUUUUUUCUGUACGAAGAAUGUGAUUUACUGCUCAAUUGGCACGUGUAUCCGAAUCACAGUGUUCCUUUCAAUCAAUCAUAUAUUGAAAAUAAAAAAAAUUAAUCACUGAUGGAUUCUCUUUAUAUGCGAACCUGCAGCAGUUCUGUAGAAAUGGCUGAUGGUGAGGACAUCCAGCCUCUUGUCUGCGACAAUGGCACCGGAAUGGUCAAGGUCAGUCCAUCUCCCCCUUAGCUUGUACAACCUUUAUCUCCUGUCUUUCCAAAUAUGCCACUAAUCAUGUCUGUUUAUCUAUCUUCCAGGCUGGUUUUGCUGGUGAUGAUGCACCGAGGGCUGUUUUCCCUAGCAUCGUGGGUCGUCCUCGUCACACGGGUGUCAUGGUAGGGAUGGGACAGAAGGACGCGUAUGUUGGCGAUGAGGCACAGUCCAAGAGAGGUAUUCUCACGCUCAAGUACCCGAUUGAGCAUGGUAUUGUCAGCAAUUGGGAUGACAUGGAGAAAAUCUGGCAUCACACUUUCUACAACGAGCUCCGUGUUGCCCCGGAGGAGCACCCUGUGUUGCUCACUGAAGCUCCUCUGAACCCAAAGGCCAACAGGGAGAAGAUGACCCAGAUUAUGUUUGAGACUUUCAAUGUUCCUGCCAUGUAUGUUGCGAUUCAAGCAGUGCUCUCCCUCUAUGCUAGUGGGCGUACUACUGGUAUGACCUGCUUCUCCCUUUACUUCGGUGUUGAUUCAGCUUCUUACUAAUAAUAUCUCUAUCGUUCCAUUAUGCUAUUUUCAAGUGUUUAUCUGAGGCUAUUGUCAAGGUCAUAUCAAGCCACCGGGUUUCUUUAUCUUCUUUCUUUGCUUAUGAGAUUUCGUAGUUCAGAUAUGCCUCAUAUGUGGUUACCAGCUCAGUCUGUACAGUGAUAUAAAUUCAGGAAAAAUAAGUAUCUCAACUAAUAUACCAAGAGUAAAAAUGGAAGUUAAAAAUUUUGUUUACACUCUGUGGCUGAAGUUACCUCUUUUUUUUUUCCCUCUGUCAAUCUAUAGGUAUUGUUCUCGACUCUGGUGAUGGUGUGAGCCACACUGUGCCCAUUUACGAAGGAUAUGCCCUUCCCCAUGCCAUUCUUCGUUUGGAUCUUGCUGGCCGGGACCUCACGGACUCCCUCAUGAAAAUUCUCACGGAGAGGGGUUACUCCUUCACAACCUCUGCUGAGCGGGAAAUUGUAAGGGACAUCAAGGAGAAGCUUGCAUAUAUAGCCCUUGACUAUGAGCAAGAGUUGGAAACUGCCAAGAACAGCUCCUCAGUUGAAAAGAGCUAUGAGCUACCUGAUGGUCAAGUAAUCACCAUCGGUGCAGAGAGAUUCAGGUGCCCUGAGGUCCUCUUCCAGCCAUCUAUGAUUGGUAUGGAGGCUGCUGGAAUCCAUGAGACAACAUACAAUUCAAUCAUGAAGUGCGAUGUGGAUAUCAGGAAGGACCUCUACGGCAACAUUGUGCUCAGUGGUGGUUCAACUAUGUUCCCGGGUAUCGCUGAUCGUAUGAGCAAGGAGAUCACUUCGCUUGCACCAAGCAGUAUGAAGAUCAAGGUUGUUGCACCACCUGAGAGGAAGUACAGUGUCUGGAUAGGAGGGUCGAUCCUAGCCUCACUCAGCACUUUCCAACAGGUGUGUGUUGUUUAUAUUACUUUCAGCUGCUGCUUUUUAUUUCUUCUAACUCAUAAUAAUAUGGCUGGAAUGAAAACACUUCUGAAUUUUGUUAUGAUGUGGCAUUGAUGUACCAGAUGUGGAUAUCGAAGGAGGAGUAUGAUGAGUCUGGCCCAGCUAUUGUUCACAGGAAGUGCUUCUAGGUUUUCUCAUCGCCUAGUCUCAAGUUAUGUCUCCUCCAUUUCUCGAGACACUUGUGGCAGAUUUGCAUGCUACCUUUAUUUUCAUCGGACCUGAGUCCUCUCGGGGAUAGGCCCUCCUUUGUAUGUUGUGGCUCCAUGUGCGAGCACGCCGUGUCGUAUCACCUGGUUUGUGAGAUGAGUUGUUGUCAAACUUGCUUGGCUUGAUUGGUUGUACCUGUAAGAGCUGAUAGUUUUAUAAAUUGCUUGGACUGUUCUGCUGCUACCUAUAUAGCCUUGUAUGUAUUCUGAAAGCGAUGUAACCUGAGCAUCUGUGCAAGUUUGAAUUGCCUGUAUGGCCCAUGUUCGGUUCACCCCAAAACCAAGGUGGAUGAAGGGGAUUGAGAGGGAUUCAAUCCCCGACAAAUAAGAAACCCCUCCUACCCCGUUCAAAUCCCUCCAUCUCAAGAUAAACGGGCAGGGCCUACAUGGGCUGGGUUUUCUGGUUUCUAUACAAUACGGCGUUUGUCGACUGUCAAGACUUAACAUAUAGACAAGGAUGCAGUGGAGAUGAUUAUACGACGAUGGUAGCCUGGUUUGGAUUUUCGAUCACCACAAAACAAGUGUUACAAGAGUAGUCUCUGCAGCAUUCUGUGUCAAAUAAAGUAUUUGCUAAAACUGCAAGAGCUUGAGAUUUCCAGGAGUCUCGAGGAUACGUUUUGCAGUGUCAAAUUUGACAAAACCUCAACGGAACAGUAUUUUGCUUUACACUUGCAGCGUUGGUGGAACCAAAUCAUCAUACAAAUGAAUUUGCAUUCUCAUCAGAUUUGGCUGGACUGGCCUAAUCUAUGCUUUUGGUACAGGUUAUGCUUUUAUAUUUCGUUAUCAACAUGAAGACCAGCAGCAGCUCCAUGCAUCAUUAGAAGUCAUAAGAAAAAUCUCAAAAAUCAUCAAAAACUCCUGUAUGUCCCCCACAAAUCGUCUGAUUUUUUCCUCUGCUUCAGCCUGGAGAAUACAGAGGCCUUCAGGAUUAACAUCUUUGAUAUGGUUAAACAAAUUAACAAAAAAGAACCGAGCUAGUAUUUUGUUUGUGUAUUUUUAUGUUCAAUCCACAGUUUGAAAUAAUCAAUUCAAUCUAGUAUUUGGUAUGCUGUGCAUUUCGAUUUGGCAAAGCAUUCAAAACAGUUCCUCGAAGAAAGCUAUUGAGAUAGCCACUAAGCUUCUUCAUUUGACUAAUUGAGCCAUUAUGCAUAAGAUGAUAUGACCUAGGUUUAUGUUGAGCUAUUUAAAAAGUUUAGAUCUGACCAAUACACAGCUUACACACAUAUCAUCAUGGAGCAUCUCUACCGGGGGUGUCUCAUCUAUCUAAGGCCUUGUUCAGUUCUCAUUUUUUUUUUGUUUCGGGUACUGUAGUAGUUUCAUUUUUAUUUUGCAAAUAUUGUCCAAUCAUGGACUAACCAAGCUCAAAAGAUUUAUCUCGCGAUUUACAGAUAAACUAUGUAAUUAGUUUUUAUUUUCAUUUAUAUUUAAUGCUCCAUGUAUAUGCCGUAGGAUUCGAUGUGAUGGAGAAUGUUGAAAAUUUUUUUGGUUCUUGAGGUGAACUAAACAAGGCCUAAGUGUUAGUAUUACGCAAGUUUUGGUAAACAGGUUAAAUGGCAGUCAAAAAGCUUGUUGACCUUGCCCAAACCAAAAUUUGGCACGUGUUGUUUAGACCUUCUAAUCAGAAGUUAGUUUUAGAGUCUAUUUGGUUCCCCUUGCUAAAUUUUAACUAGAUAAAAUUAUUUUAGCUACUCUUGGGUGACUAAUGAAACUAAACUAUUUUAGCUUUUUUUAGUCAGUGUGUUUGGAACUUUAGCUGCUAAAGUGACUAAAGUUUAGCUAGCUAAAAUUUAGCAAGGGAAACCAAACAGAGCCUUUAGUAAAACAAGGUUUAUUUGGAAUUUCGGGAGAGAGAAAAACUCAAAUCGUGGUUGGCUAGUUUGUUAUUCCAUGUUUGAAACUUUGAAUAUAUUUCUUUCUUUGUUUGCGAAUAGAGGCACCGGAGCAGGGAUAGCACUUUCUCUGAUCUAAACACAGCCGUUGGAUCAAAAGUGUGCGGCCCGAUCGAUGUGUAUUAGUAUUACAGAAGAAGAAGAAAGGUUGGAGAGGGGAUCGCUCUCCUCCUCUGUUCCCUGUCGCCGCCGCAAGGAGAGCCGGAGGGGAUGCUGACAGCAGCGGCCGCACGGAGGGGCGCGGCGGCGGCGGCGGCGGCGGCGGCGGCACCGGCCUUCCACUCCUCCGCCCCAGCGCUCUCCAAAUCCACGGUAAGCCCCGUAACCUUAUCCCCACCAUGCAUAUUUACAUACUCGAUUUGCCUCCUUACUAGUAAGUAGAUUCAAGGGGGGAUUAAGUCUGUCUAGCAAGGUAAACAACAGCGACGCAAAACCUUCACACCGUCCCUGGAGUUUCAGCUUUCACUAUCAUACUGUUAGUAGACAAUAGAUUUAGCUUGCGUUUCCUUCUUGUAAACCAAAAAUGUGCGUGUGUAAUGUUGCACGCUAUCACUCUGCGAGCUGUUAGUUCAGAUAUAUAUAUAUAUAUUUGGAAUUCUUAACGAGCUGUUGAAUAGAAGGUACUGCACGUUUACUUUCUGUCUUGUGUCUGAAACUGUAAGUUCUUGUCUUACAAGACCCAGCCCAAUGCAACCCAAAGCUGAAACCAUUGCUCCUGAACCACUUACAAUGCACCGUGGCAUCAUCAGCGUUUCUUGAAUCGUUUGGAACCUAACGGUUAUUUUGGGCAGCCUCAUAUCCGUUUCGCCGUCCGUGAAAAGCGUGGGGAUGCAAAGAGCGCCCUUAAGAACCUUCUGCUCAAUGGCAGCCCAUGUCAGGUAUUGUCUUGGUGACCAUUUUCCUACUCGUGGAUUUCUCUCUAUACUUGCAGACUUCUGACCUUGUCUCUAAGCAAUUCCACUAAUGGACUUAGCUUCUGGAGCUGUAUUCUCCGCCCUGUUUCAAUGUGUGUUGUCCUGGUAUAACUGGACAUGUGAAUUCUUCUGACUCUAGGUGUACCAGUCCUGGACAUGUGAAUUCUUCUGACUCUAGUUGUACCACAGUCCAGUUCAUACAUGUGAUCGACUUGUUCUCUUUUAUUUCUUUGGAAACAUAUCCCCCCUGUGAAAAUGGAUUGCUUCAAAUAUGCAUCGAUGUUCUCUACAGGAAAGCAGUAGCAAACAAAUGAGAAAGCAGAAAGGUGUUAGCAGAUCAAAGGUCCAGCGCUCUACUCCAGGAAAAAACCCCUAUGGAAAAAAUAAGCGUAAGCUCUUUCAAAUCGUUUACCUUGAGUGACUUUUGAAUUAUAAAUGCUUGUGCUCUUUUGUACAACUCAAUUCUAUGUUUUCAAUCAUCUAGAAUACUAGACUGACCAAUGGAUACUAAAUAUAUAAACAUGAGUGUUCUGCCAACCUUUUACAUAUGCAUUGGUUGCAUUUGUUCUGCAUUAGCAUUUCCAUGUGAACAUUGGCUUCUAAUGAUUUUUGCUCCAUUAUUUACUUAAAAUGUGGAUUAUAUAUGUCAAUGACAUUAAUACAUCUGGAUGACCAUCCCUAGCAUAUUUGCUGUGUACCUUUUAUUAUUAUGGAUAAGUUUACAUUUCAUGAUCUGCUGUUACCUCCAAAUUCUUUUCUGUAUAUUUGGAUGACAAGAAGUGCGUAUUGAUGAUUACCCUAGGUGGGCAGAACUGGAAAAGCUUUGAUGAUGAUGAUGAAUGCACAGACACACCAUAUGGUACCUAUGGUGGCAAGAAAUCUUUUACAUGGUACUGGCCUGGGGAGAAUGAUGGCCUUGGUAGUAAUCCUAGUGGUUUUCAAUGGAGGGAGGAAUCUCAGUCUGCCAAAUCAAAGGAAAAGUUCUGGAACGAAAGUGAUGUCGAUGAGGAAGAGGAGUCGGGCCAAGAUGAUUUGCGAAGCUAUAGGAUCUCACUUGGGUUGCCAGUUUUAGGCCCCUUAAAGCUGGAUCAUAUUAAGGCUGCGUGAGUCAUCUAAACAUUUCCUACAACAGCACAUUGCACUUGCAGGGCUUCAUUGACACAAGGUUGCUAAUUGGUUCUUUCUCAACAUGGCGUUCUCUGCAGUUUUCGUGCAUCUGCUCUCAAAUGGCACCCCGACAAACAUCAAGGGCCUUCACAGGUUGGUGCCAUAGUAUGUGUGUUAUCCUUGCAUUGCAUUCUAGUGAUUGAUGCUGAAGUUUAGUGGCUAUUUCAAUAGCUAUCUUCAAGGAACUGUUUUGCAUGCAUUGCCUGUAAACAAGUGGGGGAUAAUAGAUUGAUUAUGGAGGGUGUCAAGGUACACUUAGGAUGACCUAGGGUUUGGCUUAUAGAAACAGAACCAAUUAAUGGUGAUCCUUGCCUAUAAUAGAUCAAUCAUAUCAAUCCUAGCCAUGUGGGUGCAGGGCCCAAUAGGGCGCUAGCCGGACAGUCCAAAUAGGUUCCUGCACCUUCCUAUUCUAACAUUGCCAAAUCGAAAUGCACAACAUACCAGAUAGAGCGAAUUGAUUUGUUGAACCCGUGGAUUGUUUGAACAUAAAAUAGCCAAAAACAAUAGCUUGGUUCUUUUUUGUUGAUUUAUUUAACCAUAUAUCAAAGAUGUUAAUUCUGAACACAUCUUUAAUCUCCAGGCUGAAGCAGAAGAAAAAUUCAGACAAUGCGUGGAAGCGUACAACAAAUUGACCUUUGCCUUCAAGUCAAGUGGCUAACUACCAUGGGGACAUGCGAAUACAACAAAAUUUUUAAUUCUAAUGAUGCGUGGAGCUGCUGGUCUUCAGGACAAACUACUACAAGAGAGUAGCUUCAUGUUGAUAACAACGAAAUAUAAAAGCACAAUCUGUACCAAAAGCAUAGAUUAGGUCAGUCCUGCCAAAUCUUAUGAGAAAGCAAAUUCCAGGCUCAUUUGUAUGAUGAUUUGAUUCCACCAUCGCCCAUCGCUGUAAGUGUAAACACUGUUUUUUUUUUGUCAAAUUUGAUGCUGCAAAAUGUAUCGUUGAGACUCAUGAAAAUCUCAAACUCUUGCAGUGUCAGCAAAUACUUCAUUUGACAUAAAAUUGGGUAGACGCAACUUUUUGUAAAAUUGGUUUUUGUGAUGAUUGAACUAGUUGAAUACUUGAAUCCAAACCAGGCUACCAUUGCUGUAUAAUCUCCAGUUCGUUCAUUGUUCAGGAUCUGCACUGCGCUACAUCCUUCUUUACAUUUUGAGUCUUGCCAACACGGAGUUUGUCUUGUCAAUGGGACUUGACAAGUUAGCAUGGCUGGGACCGAACUAUUUUGUGAAGGCGAGGAAAUUGUUGACGAUUUUCUUAUGAGAACUAUUUACAUGGGAACACAGAAACAACUAACCAGAAGAAAUUCAUUUUCGAGUUAUGGUUCAUGUUGGAACCAAUACCAUCGAUGUAAGAGAAAAGUGAACACUGUUCCAAGGUGAGUUUUUUUCCCCAACUUUACGCUGCAAAAGGCCUAAACUCCUGCACUGACAGCAAAUACUACUUUGUUUGACAUAGAAUAGGGCCUACUAUGUAAUAUACAAGUAGUUUUGUAGCGUUUCAACUAGAUGAAUCCAAACCAGGCUUCCAUGGUUUUAUAAUCUCCAGUUGGUACAUUGUUCAAAUAUCUGCACCGCAUCCUCGACAAGUUAAUAUCGCCCAACUACCAAAGGAUAUCGUAUCCUCGUAGUUAAUAUCGCCAAUACAAAAGCUACUUGAAGUUCAUACUUGCACGGAUGCUCAGAUAACAAUGCUUUCAGAAUUCAGAUACAUACAAGACUAUUGAUAGCACCAGCACAAUCCAAGCAAUUUAUAUAACUAUCAGCUCUCAGAGGUACAACCAAUCAAGCCAAGCAUGUUUGACAACUAACCUCACAAACCGCACAUGAAGCAACAACACACAAAGAAGGGUCUAUCCCAGAGAAGACUCAGGUCCGAUGCAAAUAAACGUAGCAUGCAAAUCUGCCACACAUAUCUCAAGAAAUGAAGGGGACAUAACUUGACUACUUGAGACUAGGUAACAACAACUGGUGAAACUUAGAAGCACUUCCGGUGAACGAUUGCUGGGCCAGACUCAUCAUACUCCUCCUUCGAUAUCCACAUCUGGUACAUCAAUGCCAUAUCAUAAAAGAAUUCAGAAGUGUUUUCACUCCAGCCAUAUUAUUUGUUAAAGGAAAGAAAGUGCAGAAGCUGAAAGUAAUAUAAACAAUACAUACCUGUUGGAAAGUGCUUAGCGAGGCUAGGAUCGACCCUCCUAUCCAGACACUGUACUUCCUCUCAGGUGGUGCAACAACCUUGAUCUUCAUGCUGCUUGGUGCAAGGGAAGUGAUCUCCUUGCUCAUACGAUCAGCGAUACCCGGGAACAUAGUUGACCCUCCACUGAGCACAAUGUUGCCAUAGAGGUCCUUCCUGAUAUCCACAUCACACUUCAUGAUUGAAUUGUAUGUUGUCUCAUGGAUUCCAGCAGCCUCCAUACCAAUCAUGGAUGGCUGGAAGAGAACCUCAGGGCACCUGAAUCUCUCUGCGCCAAUGGUGAUUACUUGACCAUCAGGUAGCUCAUAGCUCUUUUCAACUGAUGAGCUGUUCUUAGCAGUUUCCAACUCUUGCUCAUAGUCAAGGGCUAUAUAUGCAAGCUUCUCCUUGAUGUCCCUUACAAUUUCUCGCUCGGCAGAGGUUGUGAAGGAGUAACCCCUCUCAGUGAGAAUUUUCAUAAGAGAGUCCGUGAGGUCCCGACCAGCAAGAUCCAAACGAAGAAUAGCAUGGGGAAGGGCAUAUCCUUCGUAAAUGGGCACAGUGUGGCUCACACCAUCACCAGAGUCGAGAACAAUUCCUGUAGAUUGAGAGAAAAAAAAGGAAAGCUCAGCCAUACAGUGUAAACAAAUAAUUUUUAACUUCCAUUAUUUACUCAUGGUAUAAUUUCCUGAAUUCAUAUCACCGUACAGACUGAGCUGGUAACCCAAUAUGAGGCAUAUCUCAGUUACGAAAUCUCAUAAGCAAGAUAUAACUUAAAGAAACCCAGUGGCUUUAUAUUGAACUUGACAAUAACCUCAAAUAAACACUUGAUAACAGCAUAACAGAACCAUAAGAGAUAUUAUCAGUAGGAAACUGAAUCAACACCAAAGUAAAGGGAGAAGCAGGUCAUACCAGUAGUACGCCCACUAGCAUAGAGGGAGAGCACGGCUUGAAUCGCAACAUACAUGGCAGGAACAUUGAAAGUCUCAAACAUAAUCUGGGUCAUCUUCUCCCUGUUGGCCUUUGGGUUCAGAGGAGCUUCAGUGAGCAACACAGGGUGCUCCUCCGGGGCAACACGGAGCUCAUUGUAGAAAGUGUGAUGCCAAAUUUUCUCCAUGUCAUCCCAGUUGCUGACAAUACCAUGCUCAAUCGGGUACUUGAGCGUGAGAAUACCUCUCUUGGACUGUGCCUCAUCGCCAACAUACGCGUCCUUCUGUCCCAUCCCUACCAUGACACCCGUGUGACGAGGACGACCCACGAUGCUAGGGAAAACAGCCCUCGGUGCAUCAUCACCAGCAAAACCAGCCUGGAAGAUAGACAGACAGACAUGAUUAGUGGCGUAUUUGGAAAGACAGGAGAUAAAGGUUGUACAAGCUAAGGGGUUGAUGGACUGACCUUGACCAUUCCGGUGCCAUUGUCACAGACAAGAGGCUGGAUGUCCUCACCAUCAGCCAUUUCUACAGAAUUGCUGCAGCAUGGCAUAUUAUAAAUAGAAUCCAUCAGUGAUUUGCUUUUUUUUUUCUUCAUAUUAUAUGAUUGAAAGGAACACUGGAUUCGAGCACACAUGCUAACUGAAAGCACUAAAUCCAAUUCUUGUACAGAGAAAGACAACAAUUUGUUCAUGGUAUGUAGCAUCUGGAAAUUCAUAUUUCAGUAAGGCAACAUGUGUGGUGGAAGUCUACUUCCGGACGAAAGACCAACUGCUCUUCACUGGAAUCACACCAACAACAACAACUUCAACUGACAGCCCAGUUGAAGCAUCUAGUUAGCUCAGACCAUUUUCAUAAGAAAAGACUAGCAAAACUCUUUUUACCCCCCCCAGAUCCGAAUGCAACUGUACUAGGCUCGUAACUAGAUCAGAUCCGAAUGUAACAAGUACGCUACCGCUUGUAACUAGAUCAGAUCCGGAUGCAAGCAUGCUACAGUUGUAACUAGACCAGAUCCGGAUGCAGCAAGUACACAACUGGGACGCCUCAGCUAGGGUUUGGGAGAUCGGUUUCGCCCAGCUUGAAGGGAGAGGGAGAGGAAGAAGAAGGGGCAGGCGAACCUGGUGAACUCUCUUCGCCGGCGAAGGACACGGUGGAGACCUGGGCACCUGGCGUAGGGCGGCGGCGUCGGUCUCCCCUAGUCGUCGCGACGAGAGAGAGAGAGAGAGAGAGAGAGAGAGAGCAGUUCGUGGGGUGAAUGAAAAUGAUGAAGGGUGGAAGGAGAAGAAAGCGCAGCCACGGUCGGUGGGUCUCCUUGACUUCUCGCGACUCAAUUAAAAAAAAAAAUCAGCUCUCAAAACCGCACCCCUUUAACUUUUAAGGCCCAUUUGUUUCGUCUCUGACGGGCUUGGGCUCCUGUGACUACUGCACUGCGCCACCCGUCACUCCUCAAGUGAUUUAUUUUUAUCCCUUUUAUUAGACCAUCUCCAAGAGCCUGUGGAAACCUCAUUUUCUAAAUCGACAUUUAGAGAUUCUUUUGUAUAGAUAUUAUUUUCUAGCUCUUUUCACUCUCCAACAAUUUUUUUAUAUCUCCUGAUUAAUCUAGAGAGUUACUCUUGUCUUUUUAUUUUUGGCUAUCAAAAAAAUCCGGAAUAGAAGAUGGGUUAUAGUUGGAUUUAGAUAACUAUUUAGAGAAGCAGUUGGAUGUUAGUUUUUCACCAAAAUCUCUAUUUCUAGCAUUUAAGAAGGAUAUAGAGAGUUUCUUCAAAACCGAAAGAGGUAAAAGUGAGUCCCACGAAUCGAAACCCUUAUAAUCUUUUUUAUCCUAGUUGUUCGAGCCACGUCAGACCUUGUUUGGCCACAUAUUCACGUCAAUUCACGUGUGUUGGGAUGGGUUAGUAUGCAAUUUGGAUAGAUUGAGGUAGAUACAUGGACAUCCAAACAAGCCCUUGUAUGUUUUUUUCGUAUACAUAAGGUUUGCCAUAUGAAUCUCCUUUUUGCUUUUAUGUCCAUGUGUCUCCUAACUUUUGUGUCUCUCGCUGCUCUCAAUCCUAAUCACUCAUCCAUCAUCCUCGCCUUCUUCUCGUCCCUCCUACUGACCCCUAGCUACCGUCCUUACCUCUAAGUGUCAUGCCACCACGAGAAGUGUGGCUACAACUCGAUGAGGGAGUUGGCUGCAAAGUAGGUGUUGUUGUUUUCCUUUCUUAUUUUUUCUUUUUAUUAUUCACUUUUUGUUUUUCUUAUUAUUUCAUUUUUAUCUUUCUUUUCUUUUAUUGUAAUUAAUUUUUUUUCUUUAUUUCAUUUUCUUCAUUUUCAUGUUUUAUUACAUUGGCACACUAUACAGGCGGUUGGUAACAUAUUUCUACAAGCGUUUUCCGGAUCCGCCUGCGCCGGAGGCCAGUACAAAUCGUCCAUUUCCACAGGCGGUCACUUGAGAGCCGCCAGUAUAAACCUUUUACACAGGCGGCUCUCUUAGGAAACCGCCUGUGUAAAUGUUCAUUUACACAGGCGGUUUCCGAAGAGAGCCGCCUGUGUAAACCUAUUAAAAUAUGUAUUAUUUAUUUAUUUUUUAAUUUAUCUAUUUAUUUAUUUAUUAUUUUAUUGUUAUUAUUUAAAUAUAUUGAUAUUGGUUGGUCUUCUAACAUAGCAACAUGUAAUUUAAAUACUUCAUCUCAUACAUACAUACAUUUGUAUACAUCAAAGUUUGGUGCUCAAAGACAUAAAGUUAAUUACAAGAGUAUAUCCAUCAUCACACAUCAUAUAUAUAUAUACAUCAAAGUUUGUUUCUGUCCUCUAAUAACCCUCUUUAGUAAGUUUGAGCUUACUAAUCUAGCACUCGGAACUCUGGCCUGGAUAAUUGGCUUUCAUCAUCAUGAUAUUUGCCUUCACGUGGAAUGACAUGCUUCAUGAUGAACGAGCAGAUGUCCUCAACUAUGUUGUCUAAAGCACGUUCGUCCAUGCGCUCCGCCGUCCCUUGCUUAUAUACCUGCAAAGAAAGUUUAUAAAUAUUAUAUAUUUUAUGACUUCCAACUUUAAUAGACUAUUACUUAUAUUACCUUGUCAGGGUUUCUUGCAUAUCGUUAGUUUUCUCUCAUGUUCUCGCACACGUAGUAGCCAUAGAGGACAGAUAACGGUGGUUGCUUCAUGCACUGUAUAAUAGGAGAGUGGUUAUUUAAUUAUAGUUGCAACUGUGGUCGUAUGUGUAUGAUUUGUAUUCAUAAUAGUAAAUUUUUAUACGUACUGGCCAGUUAUGUAUAACCUCCAAUGGUUGCCCUGGUCUCUUGGACUCGCACUUUCCAUGAUUUAUCUUAUAGAACCUGUAUGCCCUAUGAUCUCAAAUAGAAUCACCAUGUUAUUGUCAAAUUCUCACUAUGUUUAAGUAUGCAUGCAUAGCUUGACUUACAGCUCUAGCAGUUUGAUGAAUGGAGCAUAGCUUUCUUUCGGGUAAUCUGCGGAGUCUAGUACCAACACCCUUCCCUCCUUGGGAUAAAUGAUGAAGCAUAUCCAGUGCCUCCUGCUCGAAUUAAAUCCAUGAUGCAUUUAUGCAUUGGAAUAAUUUAGAUAGAUAUUUGUAAACUCACACUUACCCAAAGUGGUACGGGGCCACCACCGCUUUCCUGUCUUGAAACUUUAUCAGUGAAUGUCCAAUGUAGAAGGCGUAUUUAGCUUCAAAAUCAAGUUUCAACUUUCGGAGUUUCUCAUCCCGUUCUGCACCUUCCAAACCUUGUACCUCUGUGCUGUCAUUCCCGAUCCGGAAUGUGUGCCGAUCUUGGGCUAUAUCUAUUGGGCAGAGAUAGGCAUUCCUUUCUUCAGCACAAUAAUUAGGUCCGAACCAAAAUACAUAUCUUGUUGAUCAUAUAACAUUCUGCAAACCUUGUCGCUUCCUUUUCCUAGACUGACUUGGCCUCUCAGGGCUCGUCGUUGCUGUCGUCGGUUCCGGUGCGUCUUCGUGUGCCACUUCCUCCUGAGACAUCAUCUCUCUAAACUGAGACAUUGCCUCCUGAGUAUAGACAUGUGAAUCAUGGACGUGUUUAUAUGUAGGAACUAUGAAUAGAAAUCAUUUAAUUACAUGAAAUCGUGAAUGUCUCUAAUUUACCUCAUCGGCUUCUGGAUUGUAAUCGGGGUCACGUGCCAAUUCACGACGAGUCUUCCUCACUUCUAGAGGCUCAAUGUCGUCGCUAGCUUCUUGUUCAUAGGACGAACCUGAUGCUUCGUCCGUUUCUACUUGUUUCGUGACCUCACGAGCUUGUUCUAUAGGGUCAGUUGACCCUUCUACUUGCUCCGUGGGUUGGGAUUGCAGUGCUUCGUCCUUGUGCGGAGAACUCAUCGCAGAAAUCUAUAUAUGUAAUUUAUGCAUAAAAUUAAAUGAUUUACAUACACUAUUAUAUACACUAAUAUAUCAUACACUAAUAUAUACAUAAUAUAUCAUACACUAAUAUAUUAAAUGAUUUACAUAUACACUACUACAUAUAUAAACACAUUAAAUUUACAUACACUAAUAUAUACACUAAUAUAUCAUACACUAAUAUAUACAUAAUAUAUCAUACACUAAUAUAUUAAAUGAUUUACAUAUACACUACUACAUAUAUAAACACAUUAAAUUUACAUACACUAAUAUAUACACUAAUAUAUCAUACACUAAUAUAUACAUAAUAUAUCAUACACUAAUAUAUUAAAUGAUUUACAUAUACACUACUACAUAUAUAAACACAUCAAAUUUACAUACACUAAUAUAUACACUAAUAUAUCAUACACUAAUAUAUACAUAAUAUAUCAUACACUAAUAUAUUAAAUGAUUUACAUAUACACUACUACAUAUAUAAACACAUUAAAUUUACAUACACUAAUAUAUACACUAAUAUAUCAUACACUAAUAUGUCAUACACUAAUAUAUACAUAAUAUAUCAUACACUAAUAUAUUAAAUGAUUUACAUAUACACUACUACAUAUAUAAACACAUUAAAUUUACAUACACUAAUAUAUACACUAAUAUAUACAUAAUAUAUCAUACACUAAUAUAUUAAAUGAUUUACAUAUACACUACUACAUAUAUAAACACAUUAAAUUUACAUACACUAAUAUAUCAUACACUAAUAUAUACAUAAUAUAUCAUCCACUAAUAUAUUAAAUGAUUUACAUAUACACUACUACAUAUAUAAACACAUUAAAUUUACAUACACUAAUAUAUCAUACACUAAUAUAUACAUAAUAUAUCAUACACUAAUAUAUUAAAUGAUUUACAUAUACACUACUACAUAUAUAAACACAUUAAAUUUACAUACUAAUAUUUCCUGAUUUUAUUUUUAUUUACAUAUAUAAACACAUUAAAUAAUAACUAUAAAUAAAAUCACAUGUAAAAGACAUAAUAAUAUUUCCUGAUUUUAUUUUUAUUUUAUCUGAUUUUUAUGAUUUUCUGCUGUUUUUUACUGUUUUAUUCAAAUUUUUCAUAAAAAAAUUGUUAAAGAAAAAAAAAACCCAGCCCAACAGGCCCAGCAGGCCGUCACUCCCUCUCCCUCUCUCCCUCUCUCUGGCAGGUGGGCCCCAGGUGUCGGGGCCAUCCCUAACCUCGCGCUGCGCGCUGCCCGCACGCCGCCCGCACGCCGCGGGCAAGGAGGUCAUCGUAGGAGAGAUGGUGCAAGAGAAGUUUUUUUUUAAUGUUGUUUUGUGUGGUGUGGCGGCGGACGGUCCUGUCCUGCAUUGAUGCUAUAUUGGCCAUUUCGGUGUGAGGCGACCUUCUAGUGGCCCAACAUGAUAUUCCUGCUAUAUAUCCUCAUUGAGGCAGUGGCAUUGCUUAUUAGUACUAUUUACUACGGUAGCAGUUGCGUAUCAGGGCAUCAUCCACGACAUGGUGACAAUCGGCGUAUCGGCCGCGUGCCUUGCAGUGGUAUAAGCAGGGUUCAAAAUUUUCGGCGAAAUUUCGUCGAAAUUUCGCGAAUUUCGGUGGUGGCCGAAAGAAAAAUCCUAAAUUUUAUUAUAUACUAAUACAUGUGCUAUAUAACUUUAGACUCAUAUUUUCUAUUCUUUAUAUUGCAUAUUCUUCUAUGCAAUAGAUGUGUAAUCAUAAAUCAUAUUGAUACUUGUUUAGAUCUAAUUUUUUUAAAAAUAAAAGUAUACUUCAUGUGCUAGUCUCUAAAAAAAUUUCGGCGAAAUUUCGGCCGAAUUUCGCGAAAUUCGGUAAUUUCGGUGGUGGCCGAAAUUUUUGCGAUAACGAAAUUAAAAACUUUGGGUAUAAGUAUAAGGCUACUAGCCUUGCAUGCUAGGAGUAGGGACUAGUCUGGUGUUGGAUAACAUCAAUAGGCAGUGCAACUAGAAUUGAUGACAUAAUGGCUUUUUUGAGAGAAUUGGAGGGUUUACACCCCUGCAGAGAAAAUUUAAAGCUUUGCCCGAAGAAGUAGCAAAAGGAAUUCAUUUAGAAAGCUUUGCUUUGCCACUAGAAGGGACGGGGCCAUGCCUGACAGAAGAUUAAGUCAUUCCUUGCUUUCCAAAUCGUCUAACAUAUAAUGACAAUAAUUUCCAUGAAGAAUGGAACAUAGCUUGGAGCAAGCUUUUUUUUUUAUGUAAACAGGAGGGGAAUCCCCCUACUGUGACUAGACAUCAUCGGUAGCGACAACAAAACUAGUGAUGAUGGCAUGUCGAUGUGUUGGUUUGGUCAUCCAACUGAUGAUGGUGCAAGUUGGUAGACCAUGGAACAAUGAUAUAGAAGAAAAAGGAUGCAGACAAGACAAUAUAACAGAGCAACAAGGACCCAACAAAGGGUCAAGCAACAACAGCACUACAAAGAACUGGAAGCAACUAAAACACAACUAUUGUCAAUUUACGGAGAGGUCCGUGGAUUAAGAACUCAAUACAUAUAUGCUGCACAAGGUACAAUCAUUAGCUCUCUUACCUGGUUUGCUCAAGAAAGUUUUGUGGUCAUAUUGAUUUUGUAGCAAGCGGCAAUAUAUUUAAAGCUAACACCUAAUUCUAUAAGGGGCCCUUUUUUAAACAUGUAUUGAUGGACAUAUAGAUCAACUUCACUGUGCCAUGGACCACAAACAUGAUGAACAGGGACCAAUAGACAGUUAAUUUUGCACUUCAUCUUAGGUGCUUGGUUUGUUUUGUUAUUGUUCAGGUAACAUGUACUUUUAUUAUUACUUGACUAUAGAAAAAAAUAUAAAUUGUCUCUUAUGAGUUAUCCUUUUAGUUCUACUAGAUGAUUGUCUAAGAUAUUAUUGUCUAAAAAUUUAGGCACCUGAAAUAUAACAACUCCUUUAGUUUUAUUAUUAUUAGACCAGCCAUCAACACACGUGAGUGGAGUGUGAAUCGAUGAAGCACGACCAUUGCCAUUUGCCAAACCCGCUCUCAUUGCCCCCUCGCCAAGAGCAAUCAAAUGCUAGUAUGUAUAUCUUAGUAAUAAAAUAUGCUAUUCGAUCUUUAUUAGAGAGAAAGGCGUGUAGCAAACUUUUUAUUAUAGUGGAAGAAGGAAUUAGAGCCAAAACCGGGCAAAUCUCUAUCAAACAGGACCUAAUUAACCUUGUCACCUUGGGUCCCAUGGGCCACUACUUUGAGUCCACAAAUUAGAUUCUGUCUGAAUAGCUAGCAAGCAAAGAGGGACGACUUAGCUUUUGUUAUUUUAAUAGAACUUCAAAAUCAAGCUGACAAAUUGCUGGUAACUGGCUACUGGAUGGUAUAUACAUAUUUAAUUUAUUCAGUGGGUGGAUAUUACUAGAUUACAGAGUGUUGGAUCACUCAGGUAGUCAGGUACCUGAACGGUGAAGCGUCUCAUCACACUUGUUACGCCGGCUUGUUGUGUUAAGCACGCAUGCAGGGCUAACCUAGCUACUUCAGAUCAUCUCAUCUUCAGUGGGAGUACAACUGAUUGCGGCAUCUGCAUCGCCUUGCUCUCUACUACUCUGUUCUUGAUGGUCGUCAGAUGGCAUCGUCGUCGUGUGGGUUUCCUCCUUGUUUUUUCCCCAGAGGACGCAGUAAAGGCCGCCGACCAGCAGAAUCCCACCAAGUAUACUGCCAAUCAUUAUUGGUUCCGGAAAACAAUUAACAAACAUGCCAAUUCACUGUCAUCUAGUAGUCUGGACUACACUAGAUAAGCUAGAUCGAAGCCCAGCAGCAGUUUGAAGUGAAAUGAUGUGCAGAUAUAUUGCAGGGAGAUCGAGGAAAGAGUAGUGCGUGCCUUCCAAGGUGGGUGGUCUCUCCUAGGAGCGAGGAGCCGAGGACAGUGAGCAGCAAGCUCAUGGGGUACCACAUGGCGAGGAAGACGGGGCCCUUCAUGUCCACGCACCACGUCUGCAGGUAGAAGCAGACGCCCGUCCCCACAAUGCCCUGCAUAUAUGCAUGCAUCAUCAGUCACACAGUCAGCACCAAGCACAGCAAAGUAGGAAUAGGAGUAGAGCACGCACAGAGUAUGCCACUGCAAGCAGAGAGAGGUCGAGCCCAAGCUUCCAUCUGGAGGGAUCCCUCUCGAUGGCCACUGCCACCACACACGACUGGACAGUGCCAAACAGGCACUGGAUCAACGUCGCAAGCAGCUUGUUUGGGUACUCCUUCAGCAGCAACCCCUGUUUAUAUACAUACAGCAGCUCAAUUAAUUAUGUUCUAAUAAGCCGGCAGUGUGCGUGGUGGUAGCCCUUAUUAGUUAGAGCGAUGAUGACCUGGAGGACCAUCCAGAGCGACCAUGCUAAGCAGGCAAGCAGCAUGAGGAAAGUCCCCAUGAUCCAUAUGCCCUUGGAGAGAUGCCCAGCUGGAGCCUGCUGCCUGCUGUCGCCAUGAUGACCAGCAGCCAAUAAGACGCCAUGGUGGCUGUGGUUGAGAGGGCUGAGUGACGAUCCAGCGUACAGGGCGAUCACCAACACUCCGGCGAGGCAGAAAGUGAUGCCGGCAGCCUUGCCCUUGCCUGAAGGCCUCUUCAGGUUUAUCACUUCCAUCCUGCGUGUACAUAUAUGCAGUUGUAUUUCUAGUACUCUCUAGCCUUCAUUCCAAAUUAUAAAAUGUUCUAGCUUUUCUAAAUGCAUAGUUUUUGCUAUCACUUAGAUAUAGUGUAUAUCUAAAUACAUAGCAAACCUCAUGAGCAACGCGAGGAAGAAGGUGAUGACAGGGAUGGAGUUGCACAUGGCAGAUGCCACGGUCGUAGAAGUGUAUUUGAGGCUGACGUUGGCCAGGUUCAAGCUCAGUGUAUUCCUACAAAGACUGUGCAAUCAAUUUUCUUCUUCUUCUUCUUCUUCUUCUUCUUCUUCUUCUUCUUCUUCUUUCAAAAAAAAAAAAAGGCCACGACCUUCAUCAUGCUUACAGUACUAGAAAUAAACAAGAUUCUGGCCUACAUACCCGGCUAGGGCGUACAAGAACAUCUUUGCAAGCAACCGGAAAGACAGCGGUGGUGCACUUCUCCUUCAAAGAAAAUGGGAUUACAGCAGAAAUGAGAAUCGAUUGGAAAAGAGGAUUGAAGAAAACCGGUAGAGGCUGCAGCCUUGUUCCAUUAUCUGAAUAAUAACAAAAUUGAAAAAAAAAUUAACUACUUGAAAAUAAACCUUGCAAGAAGGAUGGCCAGGGGCAGCAGGAAGAGCGAUGCAGCGGCCAGGCGGUAGAAGACGAAGACGAAGGUGCUGAGCCCACGGUCGAAGGCUGCCUUGGAAAGUAUGGUCGUGGAGGCCAAGAUCACCUGAAACACCAUGGCCACAGCAUAGGCCUUCUUCUUCGUUGACGUCGCUGUCAUCCUUGUAUUCUUAUUUGCAUCCGCGCAUGCAUCGUGUUAUGCAUACCAGCCCAUAUGCAUGUUUAUAUAUCCGAGCUAUAAGUUAGCUCUAGGCACUAUACUAUACAAAAGUACAUCACACUAUGGGGUCCAAAUUCUGUAUCACUGCUGAAAUUGUGUCGGGCAGAGGAUAAUCGAUAGUGAUGGGGUAGUCUAUCACUAUCAUUUUUUUUGACCCGGCAGUAUACCACUAUAAGUUUGGUUUUGGUAAUCAAUGGAAUAAUAAUUAGUGAACUAGCUAGUGCUUUCAAGCAAUGAGUUGUAAUAAUGCUAGGUCCAUAUCGAGAUGUUGAGCAAGGCAAGGAAAGACCGAAGGCAAAGGUAUAUGCUAGCUAGGGGUUUUCAUUUCACCGUCCAAGACGCAGUAGAUUGUGUGAUCAAAUUUAUGAUAGAUAGUCGUUCUAUAAAAAGGGAAACUCUAAAGCAAACAUAGUUAUAUAGUGACACUAGAUGAUGAUUAACUUGCAUAUGCUUUAGGCCUAGUGACGUGGUGAGAAGCCAGCGAAAAUAUUUUUAAAAAUGCUUUAUAAAAUGCUAACUCAGUGCUUAAAUGUUUGGCCAAAUAUAUGAGAGUUGGCACACUUUGGAGGGGACGAGAAAGUAGUCUGGUGGGGUGUUUUUGCACCCACCAGAUCUCUGGUGUGGGUACUGGAAUUUAGCUCCAGAGAGGGUGUUUCUCGGCUCAGCUGCCUCACAGCCAUCAGACAAGUCCGCUGAGGUCACUAAGACCUCACCGUCCGGGGCCUUUCUAGAGUUUCACUGUACACACCUUAAUUUUCGGUGGUCAUUAGAUAUAUGGCGCACUGGAGUUUUGGCGGCACAGUCACCUGAUAGUGCAUGACACUUUUAAUUCAGCUCACAGGAUCUUUCCGGUGGAUGCACCGGAGUGCUCAUCAGAGAGUGAGCCCAGAGAGCAUAUUUUCGAGUGCAUCUUCAAUUCAUUCCUCAUGGAUGAUUGCAGGCGAUUAGAGGUGAAUUUGUGAACCAUUUUAAAGAAAGGCCUUAUGUCAACUAACAAACCUCUAUUUCUUAUUAAAUUGGAACUACCUAAUUAUAUGUUUCUUUAAUAAUUCCAAUUGUAUGUUUGCAUAAUUCCAAUACUGGAAACAAACAUAUUUUGAGGGUUUAGUUUUGCCCCUCAUCAAGAAAAUUAGUGUCCCUUAAAGAUAUUUCAUUUUGUGAUAGUAAUGAUGAUAGAGUUGUAGUGAGAUGGUGUUGUGGAGCGCAUGUUGAGAUCCCAAUCUAACCAGCCACUAUUAAUAGUUGUGCUUUAGAUGCUUACAGUUCUUUCUUAUGUUGUUGUUGCUUGACCCUUUUGGUCGUUGUUGCUCCACUUCAUUGUCCAGUCUACAUUUUUUUCUUUUUUUAAAAAGUAAUUUGUAACUCCCUUACCUAUUAACUAACUCGUUCCAAAAAAAACAUUUUGUGGAAUAUUGAGUUUAUAGCAACUGGCAAUAUAUUAAAACCAAGAUAUACUUUUGAACGGGUCUCUUUUUUAAACAUGAUGAAAUGCAGGGACGAACACUAGACACUUAAUUUUAUUUACUAAACCAGCCAUCAACAUACGUGAGUGGAGUGUGAAUCAGUAAGCACGACCAAUGCCAUUUGCCAGACUGCUCUUCUUUUGCCCUCUCUAGGUAUCUUAGGCCUUGUUUAGUUCGCGAAAUUUUUUGGGUUUAGCCACUGUAGCACGUUCGUUGGUAUUUGAUAAUUAUUAUCCAACCAUGGACUAACUAGAUUCAAAAGAUUCGUCUCGCAAAUUACAGAUAAACUAUGCAAUUAGUUAUUUUUAUCUAUAUUUAAUGUUUCAUGCAUGCGUCCAAAGAUUUGAUGUGACAGAGAAUCUGAAUUUUUUGGGACUAAACAAAGGGUUAGUAAAAGAAGGUAUCUUUUUUCAUAGAGCAAUUUGUAGCAAACUGUCUCUUGGAACUGAUCAAUCAUUUGCCAGCUGCUGCAACAGCACCACACCAAGCUAGCAAUCAGCAGGUUUUUCACUUGUUCAUUGUUCCACCUUCUAAAUAUGCAACAUUUCCAAUUUUGCAUAGUUCUUUGUUGUGCCUUUGUAGCAAGUAGCUACCUUCUUGUUUUACUUGGCUUUGUAGCAAUUAGCAUUUAGCAAGCAGGUUGAAAAGGUCCAGCCCUCUCAGAUACCUCCAGCAAGCAGCUAUCUUCUUGGCGUCAAGAUUCAUCAGCUCGGCCACUGCUUCUAACAAUGCUAGAAAAUAGCAGAAGCAACACACAAGAGAAAUUUAGUUUGCAAUGUAAAAAUCUUCUUUUGUGUACACCUGAGUCCUCCAUCUGAUGCCUCUUGAAAGACUCAGAUGAUAAAGAGUGAACAUGCACACGAGACAAAGAAAUGCAUGAAGAAAGUAUCUUUGCAAGAUAGUAGUAUAAGUUGCACCAACGGAUGUCCGAUGCAUGCUUGCACAGAGUGAUACAGAACGCAAUCUAAACUAGCACCUAGAUGUCUACUGAAUCUACAUAUAUGGAAACAUUUUAACAAAUAUUGCCUCUAUCCUGUAAUAAAGUGCAUUUUAGAUAUUUUAAGAUAAACUAAGAGAGAACACAAAAGAUGCAUGUACUCAGAGGCUAUCAUCAAUAUGAUUAAUGGCAAUUGGUUGAUAAACAGAAAGUAUUUAAUAUAAAAUUGGUUUGUUCUCUAGAGUAUAUUUAAAGGAUAAAUUUUGAAUGCUCGAAUGCACUAUAUUACAGGACGGAGUAAUACUUUUUUAAGGUAAUCGAUAGCAACUCAUGCGAGUUGUCAUGUUGAGCCGGUUUGCUUUCUUGAAUUUGGAUGCAUAUAGAUUUCCAUGAGCCAACUUUUUCUUCUUCAUCAAAAAUUACUAUGAGAAUUCAAAUAGCGACUCAUAGGAGUAUAUAAGCAAGCAAGAGGUAGCCUCAAUAAUCACGCUUGUUCGACCGUGGACGAUGCUUCCGCUUCAUCCUUCUGCUGUUCCUUUCCCUCCUCAGAUUCCAUGGCUUCCUUGCUUUUACCCCACAGUACGCUGUAAAGCCCGGCAACCAGCAGCGCGCCACCCACAAUGCUGCCAUAGAAGAGAAAAGAACAAUGUGAAUAUUUUGAAUGAAAAUUCAUUGAAACACCGAUAUAUUUGCUUGUGUUGUGUGUGUGUGGGGGGGGGGGGGGGGGGCGCAAUAACCUGCCAAGAUGAACAAUCUCUCCUAUAAAGAAGGAGGAGCAGAAUAUGGUGAAGACGAAGCAGAGCGGGUUAGACAUUGCUAGAAAGACAGGGCCUUUCAUCUCCAUACACCAUGCCUGAAGAUAGUAGGACACUCCUGUUACCACAAACCCCUGGCGCCAUCGGUUUGAUCCAUCCAUCCAUGUAGCAUAUAUGGAAAGCAAUUCAUGAGCAAUGUCUACUGUAAUGCAAGCAGUGAUGGAGCUUCAAAAAUAUUUCAGAGGGGGGCAAUCUUCCUUAACUGAGAAUGAAUUACACGAGAAAGAAUUGCAGAUUCUGUUUUUUUAAGCUCUAGUUUAGCGUAAUUUCCAGUUCUUCAUAGAGGACAACAAUAUAUUGAGGUGAAGCCAUGGCCAAUGAUGGUUCUAACUAAGCUCCACAAUUGAUUAUAAGCACAGACUUCAAUUUGAUCAUAGUAAAUGCAAAUAAUAAAUAGUAAGAAAAAGAAUGAACGCAGAAAAUUUAAAAUAAUUAUAUAUUACCGUGUAAAUGAUGGCUAGCAAGCUAAUAUUGAAUCCGAGCUUCCACUUAGAGAAGUCCCUCUCAGCCACCACUGCAACGACAAAUGACUGCACAGUGCUAAACACGCACUGUGUCACCGUAACAAGCAUCUUAUUGGGGUAUUCUUUUAGCAAUGCAGACUGCAUAGAUACAAAGAUAACCAUAUAUUAUAUCACGAAGGAGACUAAAUAACCCCUUGAUGUUUGGCUGGUUGUCUACAUAAAUGUCCAACACACAUAACUAUGUUUUUUUUUCUUUUUUUGGCUGGUUGAUGCACAGACUGACAGACUGUUAUAAGUGAUUGUCAAGGCAAGAUGGUCGAGCUUAGGAUGAGUUGGUUCUAGCAUGAUUCGAACUAACCAAGGUCUAGAGUUUGUGUGUGUAGUGUAACAUGCCUCUUGGUUUGUGAGUGUGUUGGUGUCGAGUACAUCAAAAUGGUCGACGUCGGUAGAUAAGGUCAAGUAAAGGGUCCAGGUUAAUGAAACAUGUGUGGACCAAACACAAAGGCUUAGACCAAGGGACCAAGAGGCAGAAAAUGAGACCAAGGAUGAAUAGUAGAUGGCACAACGACGAGUAGGAGGCCUGUAAAUGAUAUAUGAUGAGGACGACCUUGAGCAAAGUCUUGGCCAGGGUUGGACCAAGUCAAGGUGAGGCAUCACGAGCACUUGGUGUGCCGUCGGGCCAUGUGUGAUGACCAGUUAUGUCAUGUUUAAUUAACCAUAAACUAUAGGUGCCUCAUUGUUUCUCAAGGCCUAUGGACAUGUGUACAUGAUGGACUAGACACCAACACCAAAUUUCCCAUGACUUAUUCUCAAAAUCACUAUUUUCUUCAUCUCAAGUCCACAUCUUGGUGAUUGCAUUGAUACGGGAAAUUUCUAUUGAUUAUUUUGCUCAACCUAGAUGUGAUGACUUAUCAGGAACAUAUCUAGUCCUAGCCUUUAUUUGUUCGAUUUUCCAUGAGCACCUUGAAAUCCUUUUUUUUCAGUUUUAUUGUCAAAACUCUAUCUUAGGAGAGGAAAUUUGAAAUUAGGUAGAAGCUCUAAUCUUUUGGGCAAGAUCCCUUUGGAAUAUCUUCUCUAUGAGAUAGGUCAGCUAUAUGCAAGAUUUUAUAAAUUUUGGAUGAGUUCAUUUCCUUUCAUUUUGUUAUUUAAUUUCUACAAAAGUUCACAUGUUGCCAAAACCUGCCUAGCCAGGUUCAUAUAGGCUACGCUGGGUUUGAAAAUAAGCUUAGCAUGUUUUUCCAAAGAUUUUUUUUCCUAUUGCGCAGUUUCUUACUUAUUCGGUUUUUGCAUCUUCCCCGCUUCAUUUCUAAGGAUAGUAAGUAUAUAUUAUUACUACGCAAUCUUGAUGAGAGUAGAAGAGAGCGUUGUGUUUGUGUUUGCAUUGGCCAUGGCUUAUAUAUAUCACUCGUUUGCUCGACCUUUCAAAUUAUUUGCCUUGUUCUUUAUUCUUUAUUUAUUAACUAAAAUUUGGGAUUGCAAACGUGUACGAAAUAAUAAUGCACCACGUGAAGGGGAUGCUAGGCAUCGGGCCCACGUGUCCGUGAAAGAAGGGGAGGGAGCGCUGGUGGCCUGCUGCGGCCGCUUGGGCCGUUGCUGUGGAAUGGGCCAUCGGCCGGAGAGAGAGAGUGAGAGAGAGGGAGCUGGCUGGGCCACUGGAAAAGAAGAAAGGGGAGGGUUUAGCUGGGCCUUGGGGCCAGAACAGAGAUAGAAGGGAGAGAUUUUGUUUGUUUUUUUUUCUUUUAGUUCAAAACCUACUUCAAAUCCAUUUUUAAAAUCUGUUUGAAUUAUUUUCGAACUUUGGUAAAAAUCACUCAUCUCAAAAAUAAAAUGCACCGACAUGAUUUACAUACAAUUGUUGCUGAGCCUUAUGAUAAAUUUUAUUUUCACGAGAAAUAUUAUUUUUCCUAUGUUUUCAUGAGCACAAAAAUUCAUAUUAAAUUAUUUUAACUCUAUUUUGAAAGGAGCAAAUUUCAGGGUGUUACACUUAGCCUGUUUUUCCAAAGAAUUUUUUUCCUUUUGCGCAGUUUCUUACUUAUUCGGUUUUCGCAUCUUCCCCUCUUCAUUUCUAAGGAUAGUAAGUAUGUUAUUACUACGCCAUCUUGAUGAGAGCUAGAAGAGAGCGUUGUUGUGUUUGUGUUUGCAUUGGUCAUGGCCUAUAUAUCACUCGUUUGCUCGACCGUUCAAAUUAUUUGCCUUGUUCUUUAUUCUUUUAUUAACAAAAAAUUUGGGAUUGCAAAUGUGUACGGAAUAAUAAUGCAGCACGUGAAGGGGAUGGUAGGAUGAUAGAUAGGAUUGGAGAGGUUACCUGCAGCACGAUCCAGAGGGCCCAUGUGACGGUGGAAAGCACUAUGAGGAACGUUCCUUUGAUCCACGUCAUCCUGCUGCUUGGAUGAACACUGUUGUCAUCGUUUGAUGAUGAGGCGAAGGCGAGUUGGCGAUGCACGGGGCUCAGCGCUGGCCCGACGUAGAAGGCGAGGACGAAGACUCCGGCGAGGCAGAGCGCUACGCCGGCGAGCUUGGCCACGCCGGAGCGGCUCCUGAGCUUCACGGCCUCCAUCCUCAGCAGCAGCGCCAAGCAGAAGGUGAAGACUGGCAUGGCGUUGCUGGCUGCCGAUGCAACGGUGGCCGAUGUCAGCUUCAUGUUCGCAUUGUACAGGUUCAGGCUAAAUGUGUUCCUGCAAGUUAUUUAAUUAUCCACGCAUGACCAGUCAUUCAUAUAUAUGUGUGUCUGUUCAUAGAUAAGAUGUGUGUUUGUGCACAUGCAUGCAUAUCCAAAGAUGUAUACAUAUAUGCAUGAUCUGAAUCUGAAGAUCGAUGCUUGAAUAUAUAUAUGUACCCGAUCAAGGCAUAGAAGAAGAGCUUGAGAAGAACACCCAGGGACAUGGAUCGCACAUUCUUCCUGCGUGCAAGUGCAAAUGAUAUGUCUAAUAAUCCGUCGAAAACAAUUUGCUAAUUCGAUCUUCAUUCUAGUGCUUAUUACCUUUGGAGGAUAAUGGCGACAGGCAGCAGAAGGAGCGACGCGGCAGCCGUUCUGUAGAACAUGAAGACGAAGGUAUUUAUGCCAUGGUCGAAGGCUGCCUUGGAGACGAUGUUCAUGCCAGUGUAGAUAAGUUGUACGACGAUGGCGAUCAGGUAGGGCUUCAUCGCCUCCAUCUCCAUGGAUUUUAUUGGAUUCUGAAUGGAUCGGACCUAGCUAGCUGCUUGUAGUUGUAGCUGGAUCUUGUGUAAGAUAUAUAUAGAAGAAGUCAAGAACAGUACGUAUGCUGUGCUAGCUGCAGAUAUAAUUAGACACCAGAGCAAAUAGCUAGCAGAUCUACAUACCAACUGAUUGCAAUAUCUCCCUCUCUCCCCCUCUCUCUAUAUAUGUAGAAAUCAGAUAUUUUUGCUCCGGGAGUGAUGGGCAGGAAAACCGGCCAGAAAUGACUAUAGAAAAGAUUUCAGUCCCUUUAUCAGAUUGGGUUAUAGCAUCCACAUUGGUUGGCUAUUGUUGAAAAAUAAAGUUAUGGUAUCUUAUACUCCUAUAAAGUUAAACACCCCACUAUCUAUUUCUCUCAAUAUGCAAGUUGUCCAACUAAGCAACCCACUAUCACAUAUAAUUAAAAUCCACUAGCCUAUGCAAUUGUAGUGUCCACGUCAGGAAGUCACUAUAUUUCUCUUAACAUACAAGCUAUCGAACUAAGCAAUAUACUAUCACACACAACUAAAAUACACUAGCCAUACAAUUAUAAUGUCCACCAUGUCAGCAAGACACAUAAAUAUUUUAUUUAUCCACGUCAUCAUGCCACAUAAUCCACCGUAUUCCUGCAACAACGCGUGGGGUAUUCUCCUAAUACUCCCAUAUAAGAGAAGGAGAGAGAGUAGCAGGCCUAAAUACCAACUACUUUCUUCUUCCAUUAAUUCAGUAAGGUCUUGUUUAAAUGUUGUUGGAUUCACCUCAAUCCACACGUGUUAGGGAAAUUCAAUUCAAGUUCUACUCCAAUCUACUCUAACACAUGUGAGUUAAUGUGAAUCCGACUAUAUUAAAAAAGUCUAAGGAGAAGGUAAAUCAGGCAGCACCCUCCUUUUACAUUCUGAUUGAUUGAUUCUCAGCUUUAACGAUGAUUCCAGCGAUGGAACUUGACCUCUACACUAUACUGAUUUUUACAUCUUUAGAAGCGAGAGUGUUCUAAUGAACAUUCCUUCUCAUAUUCAGUCAAAAAAAAAAAACCAUUCCUUCUCAUAAAAGCAUGCGUGCAAAGACAAAAUUUGUAAUAUGCAUGCAUGCUAAUUUUCGUACAUAUAUAUAUAUAUAUAUAUAUAUAUAUAUAUAUAUAUAUAUAUAUAUAUAUAUAUAUAUAUAUAUAUAUAUAUAUAUAUAUAUAUAUACGGCUCUAAAUAGUUUGAUUACGUGGAAUAAACAUGCUGACUGCCAAAGUAGUUGUACCUUUUGGUUUUCUAUGGUACGGGUGCGCAUUUUAAUUAGGAUUAUUAGGACACACAUGCCAACAGAAAAUUAGGGAAGUUAUUUUUACUCCCACACACAAGUACUCUCUGACUCUACACAACACAAAUACUAGUAUGAUGGGUGCGUCGUUCAAUCUCGAUGGCUAUAACGCGCUGUAUAUGGCGUGUGCCCACUAGUAAACAGUUAAGUAAUCUGAUUGUGUUGGCGAGAUCACGUGUUCCCCUUGACUACACCAAAUCUUAUCAAACAAUUUUUUUUUAAGCAUGGCAUGGUCUUUUGUUCCACAAAAUCUUUUCAACGUGGUGUGGACUUAGCUUUCGCCACAAAUGAAGAAUUGUUAAUGAUAUAUAAUAAAAAUGAUUGACAUGGACAUCGCUAUCCAAUCAGAUCUAUUGCAAUAUGCAUGAGUUCCAUCUCUAAUUGCCAAUUUUUUAUAUGUUUUUCUUCAUUCAUUAGUUUGCUUGUUGUGGGCCUGGUACAUGAUAUGGCCUCACAAAAUAUUAAGGAAAAUAAGAAUAGAACACUGUGUGGGGUGACCAGUUAGAUUUUAAUGGUUUGUCCACCCUAGCUCAUCCAACCCUUGCAACAAGCUAGGCUACCUUGUCAUACUGAAUUGGGUAUGUGUAACUAUCAAUAGCAUCUCUCCUCAAGAGAGAAAUUAAGCUACAUUUGACAUGACAUGUGCCAGCCCUAGCGAUGACGACAACACAAACACUUCAAUCUAGUAUUAUUAUUUUUUUUAGAAUUCAAUCUAGUAUUAUAUUCAAUUGCGGCGACCCCAGAUCUGGACUGUGGCGUCGCCCUUUGCACCGGCACGACGGCAGCUAGCACACCAGGCACGUGAUCGAUCUCGCCAACGCUUCCCCCAACGAGCUUGUCAACAAUAUAUAUUCAUUUUAAUAAGCUCUUUUUUUUUUUUGGGUUUCUUCUUUUAGAAGCGCACUUCAACAAUUUGGAGUUUUUUUUUUUCUAAUAAUAGAGGUUACACAAUAAGAAGCGACUGUGGUUCAUCUUGCCAUUCAAGGCAUUGUGGGCCUGUGGCCACUGGCCAGACAAGCCUGGGCCCCAUGAUUAAUGGGCUUGACUGCUUGGCCGGCCCAGAGAAAGUCGGCUGGGUAUUUUGGCCCAUGCUUCUUCGUUCCAAAGUAAAGCCCACUAGUUAUAUGUGAUUUGUUUGGGAGUAGCAAAGCUAGUGAGCUGAUGUUUAGCAGAAUUUGCCUUCUCCCAAUUGAAACCCAAUAAUCAUCAUAGAAUGAAUUACACAUCAUUUGCUCUAGGUCUAUAAACUUUCUGUUCCUUCUGUAUAAAGUUUUGUACACCUAGGUUGCGUGAUUUUCUUUUAGGUGUACAAUUUUUAUGUUCAUCAUGUGUAAAGUCUCUUGUUCCACGUUAACGAAUUGUGUUCCUUUCAAAUAGUUUUUGAAUGAUUAAUCAAGUCUAGAACGUGUUUGGGACGAUGUAGCUGGAAUGAUAAGCACAAUAAUUAGUUAAUGAAUCUAGUGCGCGGCGGUAGUUUGCAUGCAUUUGGAAAAAAAAAAUAGCAAGGGAACGUUGAAGGGUGGCAUGUUGUAGAUAAUCAUCACGCUUGUUCAAGCAUGGACGAUGCUUUGGCUGCGUCCUUCUGCUCUUCCGUUCCCUCAGACUCCAUGGUUUCCUUACUUUUACCCCACAACACGCUGUAAAGCCCUGCGACCAACAGAGCUCCGCCCAAGAUGCUGACAUACAAGGAAAAAAUAAUGAGAAUAUAUAACCAAAUGAGUAUUCAUUGAAACACCAAUUAAUACACACACACACACAUGAUAAUUACCUGCCAAGAUGAACAAUCUCUCCAAGAAAGAAGGAGGAGCAGAAUAUGGUGAAGAUGAAGCAGAGCGGGUUAGACAUUGCUAGAAAGACAGGGCCUUUCAUCUCCAUACACCAUGCCUGAAGAUAGUAGGACACUCCUGUUACCACAAACCCCUGUCAUCACCCCACAAUCAGUUUGAUGUGAUAUGAUCCAUGCCUACGUCCAUGCAGCGUGAAAAUGAAGCAAUUAAUUAUCAGCGAUAAUGUCUACUGUAACGUAAGCAGUGGUGGAGGUUGGCAAUUUUCAGCAGGGGCCAUAGCCUUCCUUAAUUGAUCCUAGUAACUAAAUGCUCCCUCCAUUUCAAAUUAUUAUAUGUCAGUGUAGGUUUUUAAAGUCCGUAGCUUUUUCUACGUAGCUAUAUAUAUAUAUAUAUAUAUAUAUAUAUAUAUAUAUAUAUAUAUAUUAUGUUUAGAUACAUUAUUUUUAUUAUGUAUCUCGAAAAGGUAGAACAACUUAUAAUUUAAAAAAGAUAUAGAAGUAAGAAACAAAAUCAAAACACACGAAAAUAAAAUAGUUAUGUAUUACCGUGUAAAUGAUGGCUAGCAAGCUAAUGUCAAAUCGGAGCUUCCACUUGGAGAAGUCUCUCUCAGCCACCACUGCCACGACGAAUGACUGCAUGGUGCUGAAGACGCAUUGUGUCACCGUCACAAGCAUCUUAUUGGGGUACUCUUUCAGCAACGCUGACUGCACAUAUACAAAUAUAACCAUAUGUGAUUUAUAUAUCUCUCUCUGAAGGUAACAAAUAAUAAUUUGCUCUCUCCAUUGUCCCGGCCAUCAUGUGGAAAGGGAUGAAAGAAGCAGAUGGAGACCACUGCCUUGUGAAAUGGAUUAGGAUAAGAGCAACUCCAGCAGUAGCCCCAAAAUCACAGGCCCCUACUUUUGAUUUGAGUACUCCCCUAUUUUUUGGGCUCAAUUUUUUUGCUUCAACUCCAACAGUAGCAUCCAAAUUUGGGCCUCCAAACCUAUUCCAGAGAUAAUGACAGAAGGGACCCACUCGUCAUUGUCUUUUUCUUCUUCCUCUUUCUUCUUCGUUUGGACAUGGACACAAUUGGAGCACGGAGCCGGUUACCGUAGGUGUCAUGCACAUGCAAGGGAAGAGAGAGAGGGAGCGCGCGCUGGGACUAGCACACGCGAUGGAGGAUGGGGGUUGUCCUGUUGGGCCAAUGAGAAUGGGGUCUUAGGGAGAAAUAUGGGUGCCCAACCAAAUAUGGGGUCUGGAGUAGGGGCUCUGCUGGAGUAGUAUUUUGCCUGGCACCCAUAUUUAGCUAUUGGGGCUUGAAUAGGAGCCCUGCUGGAGUUGCUCGCUGAACAAAUUAGUGCCAACUGCCAACAAGGUGGAAGUUGUGGUUUUUGCCUAAGUAGAGGUGUCAAUGCACAUGCUAAUAUGAAAGCAAAGAUUGCAUUCUUCAUUAGCUGAAAAUGAUGUUCAAAUAUAAUCAUACCCCAAAUCUCACUCUAGCAAUAUAUAUGUCACUAGUACGUAUAUACUACUCUACAAAAUAAAAUAAAAAAAUAGUAGAGAGAGGAGGAAUCAGAGAUACGUUUGUUGUACCUGCAGGACGAUCCAGAGGGCCCAUGUGACGUUGGCGAGGACCAUGAAGAACGUUCCUUUCACCCACGUCAUCCUGCUGCUCGGAUGAUGAUUGUUGUUCGAAGCUUGCGCAACAGCGAAGGCGCGGUGGCGAUUCACGGGGCUCAGCGCCGGCCCGGCGUAGAAGGCGAGGACGAAGACUCCGGCGAGGCAGAGCGCGACGCCGGCGAGCUUGGCCACGCCGGAGCGGCUCCGCAGCUUCACCGCCUCCAUCCUUAGCAGCAGCGCGAGGCAGAAGGUGAUGACCGGCAUGGAGUUGCUGGAUGCCGACGCCACUGUCGCCGAUGUCCACUUCAUGCUCACGUUGUACAAGUUCAAGCUGAAUGUGUUCCUGCAGGUUAUUAACCAUUGGCAUCCAUCAUCACAAAAGAUGUAUAAGCUGGAUCUGAACUUCUGAAGAUGCAUGUAUUUAUAUAUAUAUAUAUACCCGAUCAAGGCAUAGAAGAAGAGCUUGAGAAGCAGCACCAAGGACAUGGACCGCACAUUCUUCCUGGGUUCACAUAGUAUAUGUCUAAUAAUCUGUCGAAAACAAUUUGCUAACCCUUCAUUCUACUGCUUAGUGCUUACCUUUGGAGGAUAAUGGCGACAGGCAGCAGGAGGAGCGAGGCGGCGGCCAUUCGGUAGAAGAUGAAGACGAAGGUGUUGAUGCCAUGGUCGAAGGCUGCCUUGGAGACGACGAACAUGCCGGCGUAGAUAAGCUGUAUGAUGAUGGCGAUCAGGUAAGGCUUCUUCGCCUCCAUCCCCAGCAUGGCUUGGAUUAUCUAUCUUCUCAGUGGAUCAGACGUACGUACUUGUAGCUAUAUAUAUAUAGUUGUGUCUUACUGUCUUGUUAGGACAGUAUUAUGCCGUGCUAGCUGCAAAUAUUGUUAGACACCAAACCAGAGCAGCAUCAAGCUAGUUCUUGUCAGGUGUAUAUAUAUACGAUACGAUACGAUAGAGUAGCACACCAAUGUAAAAUACCAACUGAUCGCUUCAUCUUCCAUUAAUUCGGUAAAGCAGAGAAAAGCUAAACAUGACAGCGCCUUCCUUCUUUUACAUUAUUGAUUCGUUUAUUCAUCUUUAACGAUUGCAUUGCCGCGAUGGAACUUGACCUAUACUGAUCUUUUUGUUCGUCUUUAUAAGCAAGAGUGUUCUACUGAAACUUUCCUUCUUACAAAAGCAUGCAUGCAUGUGUAAAGACAAAAUUAAUUUGCAAUAUGUGCUCUAAUUUUCAAGUAAUAAGUUCACAACUUCACAUACGGCUAAAUAGUUUGAUUUUGUGUGUUACAUAAACAUACUGGCUGUCGAGAACUACUUUUGGGUUUUCUACAUGGUACGGUACCGAUUUUAAUUGGGAUUAGGACUGAAUUUGCCAACAGAAAAAUAUAGAAGUUACACAAGUACUCUCUGACUCUACGCAACACACGCGAGUAGUAUAGUAUGACAUUGCUGUCUAUACGUCGUUCGAUCUCCAUGGCGUGUGACAAAUAUCUCCAAGGCUCCAAUCAUAUAUAUGAAAGUACUGCAUCUAUUUCGCUGAAUGCAAUAAUGUGUGAGCGCUCCAUCGGUUGCAACAGCUCCGUCAAGUAAUUUGACUCUAUUUGCUUGACCAGAUUUUGGGCCUAGUCUAGUGAUCAGUCCUAACUCCUAAUUAACACUUGAAGGAUUCAUACACGGUGCAAUGCCCAGACUUAGUACGUCACUCUGGCUUCUUCUGCUGCCGCUAUACAAACAUGCGAUGGCGGCUAGCCAGUAAAUAAGUAAUUUUGAUUGUGAUGGUGAGGUCAUGUGUUCCUCUUCCUCUGGCUGCAAAUAGCUAGUGCACCCAAGAGGGAAAAAGGUAUUUUAGUUAUAUACAAGAAGCUGCCUUCAGUAUAUACCAGCGCUUUUCUUUCUAUUUUUCCUUGGACUGCAAAGUUAGAAAACAACCUCAAGUUAGUUACGAGAGGAAUUGACGUUUACAUUGACCACACUCCACAAAGAGCUAGAACACUAGUUAGAGGUGGGCCGCAAUCAGCAUAACUGACUUAGGUCGUUUGUCACGCUAGUAGCUGCAUGUUUCCAUUUGGUUUUUACCGUGAAAGAUUGGGACAAUAUUCGCACGUUAUUGGCGUGUCCUCAUCACACAUCUUGGGUUAGCGAUCCGUUUGCCAAGUAAAAGGGGAAAGCAUGGUGGGCCCCAUAAAAUCUAGAAAAAAAAAGAUCAUUGAAUUAAAUGUUCGCUCCCAAACGAAUGCAAUAAAGUGGGUGGUUUCAGCCUCUAACCCGUUCCCUUUAAAAGUGAUUAAAGGCUCGGGGGGCUACCACCCUAGGUGCACUCGUAUGCUCAAAUGGAGGUGUCAGUGUCUGGACUCCAUUGUGAGAAGAAAGUUUGUAUUAUUCCGCACCAAGUGCUUGUAGUAGAGGUUUGUCCUCCGAAUGAGGCUCUUCCUCUCCUUUUAUAAUCCAAGGGGAGUGAAGGAAUACAUGUGUUCGUGUCGUAAAGUCAUGGUGUCGUAUAGGAGGCAAGGUGGUCCAUCUCUGAUACUGUAAUUGAUCGUGCUUGCGGCGUGGCCGCUCCUGUUGCUCGUCGAGCCAUGCCUGAUUGUAGACUUGACGUCUAGCCAUGUUCUAUGUCAAGGAUAUCUCCCGAGAUCUCUUUCCUUAACCUGUAUUCAGGAGUGCUGAUGAGCUUCGUGGCUGCAGUACUCAGGAUUUGAUAUCACCCAUUCCUUCUGACCCGGUCGUACGCAUAGUAACAGGAGUUAGGUGUUGCAGUGACAGGAGUAGGCAGAACAACAAACACCAUACCUUGCUUGUGCAGCAUGGGUGCAAGGACGUGCCUCGCGUCCCAUCUGUUGUACGACAACUGUGUGCUAGAAGCCUGAGUACUGUACUGGGAAAGGGAAUCUAAGCCUGGGCUUGGGCGAGGCGGAAGGAUCAAUCCGAGGCUUAGGCUCGGGCGAGUUGGGGAAUCUGUCCGAGGCUUGGGCUCGAGCGAGUUGGAGAAUUUAUUUGAGACCUAGCCUCGGGUGGGACAUGGAACGGCUCCUGUCACUCGAGGCCUGCCUUGGGUUGAAAUAGAGUGGUCCUGGCCCAGUCAGAUGUCCAUUGGGCGGGCCAACAGUUCUCCUUCUCAGGGUUAGGCGAUUUGGGCUCAGGUCUUUGUUUGGAAAAGGAGUCUUGGGCUUUUUAGGUAUUAGCUUGGGUACCCCGGUUUACGGUAUCCGACAAGAGGAAUAAAAAAAAAUAAUAAAGAAAUAAAGAUAAGAUCUAAAAAUCUCCUCAUAGCUCUUUGAAGUUCUAACAAGGUGCAGGGGCUAUUAACAAGAACCUAUACAAGGGGUACCCCUCCUCAACCCAACUCAGCCACAGGAAACUCAACCAGACCGAGAACCACAUCUGGGGACCCUUAUAGCCAAAUGGGCCCCAUAGUAGUGGAGCACCCCCACCCCCACAGGACCUAGUGUCCUUUGUGGACGGGCGCACAACAUAGAACUUGCUAGGUUUUUCAUUCCACCCAAAGGGUCAAAGGCGGACUAUACAAGGUUGACAUCUGAACAUAACAUCAACAACACAGAGUGUGCUGCCCACUCGUGUCAUAGGGAGGUCAUGCCCCAACCGCAUGUCCUACUAAAUAAGAGACAUGGACAUGUCAUGAUUUCCUUGUGACGGUACUAUCGUGCCAUUUUAUGUGGAGCCACGAUCUCCCCUUCUUCUUCCCCAAUAAAAAGGAUGGUGGGUCCCAUAACCCUAAACAAUAAGGAUUGGUGAAGAAGCUUACUCGAAGCACUCCUUUAUUUCUUUUACCUGCCCCCCAAGAACCUAUGUAAGGGAAGGCCAUAGCUCUUUCCCCUCUCUCUAUACUCUUUGACACCCCCAAACAAUUUCCUAGACUCUCUAGCCUAUGCGCCUAAACUUUCAACUCUCGAACAUCUUGUUUGUAACCCCUAUAGCAAACAUUUGGUCCUUGCACUUAGGAAAACGAAGAAAAACCACAAACUCAACGUACGGCACGUUGGCUGAACCAAAAUAAUUCUUUAGUCCUCGAGUGCCAAGCCAUCUGAGGCCAUACAUACAGCUAAAAAUUUACUAGUCGACGCUACAAGACGUCAACAAAACUAUUGCACACAUUGUACAUCUUUGAAAACAUAACACUGAAAGGUAAAAAAGUAUCACAUUUAGAUAGAGUAGAGGCAACAUUUUGUAUAACAAGGAUGCUGCAAAAUUUUACAUCUUGGCUGCUCUUACAUUCCAAACACAUACUACACCAGUACAACACUUCUAGCGUUUGGUCUGCUGAGCAUGACUAAUCUAGUUCAUACUUCAUAUCAGUAACAACAUUUAAGAGUUGGGACCUCACUGCUUUUUAAAAUAUAUGACUAAAGAAAUUAUAGUUGUCCCUAUUAAUAUGGCCAUCUGCUUUAUCCAUAGAGAUUGUAUUGAUAGAUAGCAGCCAAGGUCCAUAGAGAUUGCAUUUUGAUAAAUAGCAGCCGAGGAUUUUUUUUUUGAGGAAUCAGCAGCCAAGGAAGUUAAGGGCCAGGCCCAGGCCUGCUAGACUCUGAAUUAAGAAUUGAUCGACCAAUAAUCCGUCACACAUGGUCAACUAUUGAUGCUGAUGUUGUCUCCACCUUCUCUUGAGGUUUAUGAUGAUUAUUAUUCUCCUCGUCAACAUCAUCCGCUGCACUAUUCACCUUGCCACACGCAACCUUUGUUUCCUUGCUCUUACCCCAGAGCACACUGUAAAGUCCACCAACCAGCAGGAUUCCCCCAACAAUACUGCAUGCCAUGAAAACAUCAGUUAGCUAGAUCAAUGAAUUGAAAGAUCUCCUGUAAUAUUACUUAAUUACCAUCAUUUGAUAAAGCUUAUGAACAAUGUACAUACAUACAUAUACAGUAGCUGUUACCUGCCAAGGUGCACAAUCUCUCCUAGGAAGAAUGACGACGAGAAUAUUGUGAAGAUGAAGCAAAGCGGUGUCCAGACGGCGAAGAAGACGGGGCCUUUCAUCUCCACACACCAUGCUUGCAGGUAGUAGGUUACUCCAGUCACCACGAACCCCUGUCAGAUCCAUCCCAGCCCGUUCAUGGCUUCAACGAGCAUGAUGUAAAGGACGGCGAGAUUAUAUAUUGUUACGUACGGUGUAAAGGACGGCGAGCAAGCUGACGUCGAGCCGGAGGUGCCACCUGGAGAAGUCCCUCUCGGCCACGAUGGCAACGACGAACGACUGCACGGCGCUGAACACGCACUGCGUCACCGUGACGAGCAUCUUGUUGGGGUACUCCUUGAGCAGCCUGCCCUGCAGCACGAUCCAGAGCGACCACGCCAUGUUGGCGAGCACGAUCAGGAACGUGCCCUUGAUCCAUGUCGUCCUGCCGCCGCUCGGAGCUGGACUGGCGGAGGCGGCGAAGGCGCGGUGGCGGUUCACGGGGCUCAGCGCGGGCCCGACGUAGAAGGCGAUGGUGAAGACUCCGGCGAGGCAGAGCGACACGCCGGCGAGCUUGGCUAGGCCCGAUGAGCUCCUCAGCUUCACCGCCUCCAUCUUCAGUAGCAGCGCGAAGCAGAAGGUGACGACUGGCAUGGCGUUGGUCGCCGCAGACGCCACGGUUGCCGACGUGAACUUGAGACUGACGUUGUACAGGUUUAGGCUGAAUGUGAUCCUGCAAACAUUGUUAAUUAGCUAGUGAAGAAUAAGUUGUUUGAAUGAAUAUAUGAACUAUAUAUAGAAACAUGCAUAGAGCAUAUAUAUAUAUAUAUAUAUAUAUAUAUAUAUAUAUAGCGUACCCGAUUAAGGCUAAGAAGAAGAGCUUCAGAAGCAGCCAAGGCGACAAGGUUGUCACAUUUUUCCUGCAGAAUUGUUGAAUUGGUUCAUCUCAAAUCUCAGCUGAACCGGCCGGUUUCAUUCAUUUCACAGUAGUUGUUAGUUCAUCACUAGCUAGUACUAUAGGUUAUUAGGACACAGGUACCUUUCGAGAACAAGUGCGAUAGGAAGGAGGAGGAGCGACGCGGCGGCCUGGCGGUAGAAGAUGAAGACGUAGGUGUUCAUGCCAUGGUUGAAGGCCGCCUUGGAGACGACGAACAUGCCGGUGUAGAUGAGCUGGACGACGAUGGCGAUCACGUAAGGCUUCUUUGACUCCAUCCCCAUUACUGAUAGCAGCAGCUAGCAGAUCUCUGCAACGAUCUGAUGGAGCGAGCAAUAACCAAACUAGCAGCAGAAGUAUAGCUAGCUAGCGGCAGAAAUGCAUGAAGAGAAGAUCACAGCUGCUGCCUGCUGCUGCCUUGUUAGGUAGACACUACACACACAUAUAUAUAGAUACUAUAUAGUACUCCAGCUAAGCUAGCUAGCAGCUUAGCGGAAUGAAAGGAGAUUAAUUAUUAACCAGUGAUGCAUGUGAGUGUGUGGAUGCAGGCUUGCUAGCUUGACUAAGUUAAUAUGUGUCCAGGUAUACGUGUUGCAGCUUGGCCAGCAGCAGGCUGAUCAACAUUUAUAUAUAUAAUCGCAAAAUGGAUUGUUGUUGUGUGACUGAUGUAUAUAUGCAUGAAUCUGACUGACCAGGUAGCAACCUGCUUCGUUUCCUGCGCAGAAGCAAACAAUCAAAGGAAUCAUCGUAAUAAAAUACUAAUUGGCUGCUAAUUGUGCAGCAGGCACGUUGCUAAGCCGUCACCAGCUUAUGAUAUAUGGGUCGGUGAUACUGACUGAUACCUUGCUUAUACUAGUUACAAAAUUUAAAGGCUGAAUUUUUAAAUAUAUACUUGUGCACCUUACAAUAUUUUGCUCCUGUGUCCCCGAAAAAAAAUAUUUUGCUCCAAUGAAAUAAGUAUGUGUGUGUGUGUAUAUAUAUUCUACUAAUUAAGCGGCCAUCAUCACUGGUUUAUAUACUAGUAACCUAAUAAAUUAUCUAUUAGAUUUAUUUGAUUGAUCAGAUCGAGCGAGACAAGAGACUAGUCAUUGGUCAAACCUAGAGCUACUCCUAUAAAGACUUGAAAGAUUCAACAAAAUCGGUAGCUAGUACAGAUCGAACUGCAUGAUAGAUAUAUACUAUAUUAGUAUUGUGUAGAACUUGAUGAGAAGCCGUCUUUGUUGUGUCGAUGUAUAUGUGUGUCCACGGCUUACGGGGGCUGCAUUCAUACGCCAAGUAAAUGAGACAUUUGUCUCAUGUGCUUCAGAUUUUAGGUGCAUGCUAGCUGGCUGUUGCUCAACGCCACAAUUGCAAGCAAUGGAGUACACACACUAGAAAUAAAAAUAAAUAAAUAAAUAAAUCGUCGAUGGAAUGGAAUCCUAGAGAGUAGUGAUUUCAACAUAUACCAAAGAUCGACUAAAAAGGCGUCUAAUACGGGGCUUUAGAUUGAGUCAAACUUCUUUAUUAAAUUUAACUAAAACAAUAGAAAAAAGUAUUAAUGUUUAUGACUACAAAAAGAUAUAAUAUAAAAUUAUAUAUUUCAUGAUGAAUCUAAUUACAAUUAUUUGGUACCAUGCAUAAAUGAUAUUAUUAUUUUUAUAUAUUUCAAACGGGAAUGGUGUAAUAAGAUGGUCACCUCUCUUUAUCAAAAAAUGAAAAAAAGGGCUACCUCUUUUUUUUAGCACUAAAAGAAAAAGGCUAGCUACUAGUUAGAUAUAAGCUACAGGCCCAGGCCCAGCUAGCACAAGGUAGCAGCCAUUUUUUUUCCCUAGUAAAGUACGUCCAGGUCGUCGUCUUCCUCAUAUUUCGGAAUGACCGUACCGACUUGUCUAGAGCUUCAAUUAGGCAUGCAAUUCAAGCGCACGCAGCUGCCCCCAAGGAGAGCUACAUUGAUAUGAUUCAUGCAUGCAUGCAUGCAGCGAGAUAUAUUGAUGAGCCAGACCAGAAUCACGUAAACCACGUGAGAAACUGAGGCCUUGUUUAGUUUCAAAAAAAAUUUAAGAUUUUUCAUCGCAUCAAAUAUUACGUCACAUGCAUAGAGUAUUAAAUAUAGAUGAAAAUAAAGACUAAUUGUACAGUUUGCCUAUAAAUCGCGAGAUGAAUCUUUUGAACUUAGUUAUUCCAUGAUUGGAUAAUAUUUAUCAAAUAAAAACGAAAGUGCUACAGUGCCUAAAAACUCAAAAUUUUAGGAAAUCAAAUCAGUAGUGAUAAUAUAUAUAGUGACAAAACCAGCAUGCACCAACUAUAAAUAAAAAGUAAUUAAUAAAAUAACGGGCAGAACAAGUUACUGAUGACACUCCUUUUACGGUUUUGGGUCGAAAUUCUAUAUAUUUAGGAUUUGCUUAUGUUGAAGCUAUAGUCUUACUACUACUGUCAUCGGAGAUUUUAACGGAGUUUCCACGUUCUAAUAAAAACCAGAAACACCUUGUCAUCCACAUUAACUCAAUAAACACUAAUCGUUCCAAAUACGUAGACAUCACUGACUGAUUGAGUACACCCGGCCCGGCCCCUAAUAUAAGUCAAACUAAAACAGCUAGCACUUGUUGGCACAUGUACAUACCCAUUAUUAUAUAUUAAUAUUGUUAUGCAUGGAUCAUCAUGCAUGCUUUCCUUGCCUAACACUCAACACUUUGAGGAUUACUUAUGUAGGUUGCAUUGUAGGGUUGGAGGGAUGUGCUCUCAAUUUCAACAUGUACCGUACACCUGCUAGAAUUUUGUUCCCUUAUCUAUAAAAAAAUAUCUACCUACCUGUAUUAUUAAUCUAUUUAUUUUUCCUAAAAAUUAUGACUCUCUAAAUAUGCAUGUAUACACAUCCUACCAUUGUGAAAAUCUGCAAGAGAUCAAUUAAUUGAGAGCUGAUAGAGAGAUCGAUUGAGCUGAUAGAGCAAAUUAAUUAAUGUUGCGCUAACUAAAACUAGCUCUGGACACUAAAACGGACUUGACAACAACUUUCUUUGUUUAUCCAUCAAGCAAAGACAUCAUAUUUUUCAUCUUAGAGCAUCUCCAAGAGACUUUGUAUAUUCUUCCUAAAUGCUAGGGAUAGUAAUUUUGGUGAAAAACUACCCUCCAACAACUUCUCUAAAUGGUCAUCUAUGAGCAACUCCAACAGCUUUGCUAUUCUUAUUAUGAAGACCUUUUAGAACUUGUAUAGCAGAAAAAUAGCCUCCAACAGAUGUGCUAUUUGGUUUUGUAAAAUAGAAAGUUUGCUAUUCCUUGAUUUUCGUUGGCCAUAUAUAGCCAACCACUGACACUAGCUAUCUGAUAGCAAGGCUGUUGUGGAUCUCUUCUUUUUUAAGAAGUUUUUUAUUUUACAAAAUGGCUAAACAUUAGAAUUUGACAACUAAUUUUAGCCAAGCUCUUGGAGAUGCUCUAAAUGGUCAUCUAUGAGCAACUCCAACAGCUUUGCUAUUCUUAUUAUGGAGGCAUUUUAGAACUUUUAUAGUAGAAAAAUAGACUCCAACAGAUGUGCUAUUUGGUUUUGUAAAAUAGAAAGUUUGCUAUCCCUUGAUUUUCGUUGGCUAUAUAUAGUCAACCACUGGAACUAGCUAUCUGAUAGCAAAGCUGUUGCGAACUUCUUCUUUUUUAAGAAGUUAUUUAUUUUACAAAAUAGCUAAAUAUUAGAAUUUGGCUACUAAUUUUAGCCAAGCUCUUGGAGAUGCUCUAAGUAUAGCUAUUGUCUAUUCCGGAUUUUUCGCUAGCCAAAUAUAGAAGACGAGAAUGACUCUGUAGAGUGCGCAUCAGAUUUAGCAAAACUGUUGGAAAGAAAAAAAUAUAGAAAACGACUUUUAUGCAAAUGACUCUCUAAAUAAUGAUUUAGAGAGCGAGAUUUAGAAAGACUUUUGGAGAUGCUCUAAUAAAAACACUGGCUAGAACCAAUCUUGUUUAAUCUUUUUAUUUUAAAAAAUUAAUGUAUAGUCGUUGUGGGCCUAGGGGCAGCCCCACCUUGCGUAAUCGAAAUUCAUAAAAUAAACAAAACAGGGACCUGAUGUUGUCCACGUGGCACUUAAGGAUUUUAGGAAGUGCCAACACCAUGUUUAUUUUUAUUCGCGUGAUGUUAAGAAACGAUGAUAUGUGCAAACGCUGGCUUAGAGCAACUCCAGCAGGGCCCCUACUUGAGCCCCUAUAGCUAAAUAUGGGUGCCCAGGCAAAAAACAGUACUCCAGCAGGGCCCCUACCAGAGCCCCCAAUUUGGGGUGGGCACCCAAAUCUUCUCUGCAGACCCCAUUCCUGUUGGCCCAACAGCCCAGCCCCCAUCCUGCGUGGUGUGGCAAUUACCUCCUCACACCGAACAAACGCAGCUUCGCCCAUCUCCCUCCGGCGCUAAUUUUCACUACCGCGCUCCCUCCCUCCACCUCCGACCUCCACCGUUGGGCCUCGCCGCCAUCCCUUCCGGUGAGAGUGGCCUCUCCUCGAUGAGCGGGAGCAGCCCUAGCCAUGGUUAUCGCGAGCGUCGAGCCUCCGCUUCUUGUGGUCAUGCGGUAGUAAAAUGUUUGACCCAAUGACGAGUGGGUCCCACAUGUCAUUGUCUGCCAGUUUGGAUUUGGGGGCCUUCAUUUAGGUGGUACUGUUGGAGUGGAAGCAAAAAUUUUAGACACCCAAAAGUAGGGGGAGCACCCAAAUGAAAAGUAGAGGCCCUGUUUUGAGGGCUACUGCUGGAGUUGCUCUUAGAAGCUUAGAGUACCACUUAAUCUUAUAGUUUGAUGCAAAAAUAAAUGAAAUAACAACUUUGUUAUAGGUAACGAGUUUGUCGACGAAAGCUAGUCGGCAGUCUACCUUGGGGUAUACCCACGGUAGUAGUUUAUCGGUAGAUGGUGCGCAAACUACGAACUCGAUGGUGACGCAAGACACGGACAAGCUUUUUAUCCAGGUUCGGCCGCCGAGUUGGCGUAAUACCUACGUCCUGCGUCUGGUUGUAUUGGAUUGUGUUGAGAGAUAAUCUGUCCUAGGGGGGUCCCUUGCCCCUCCUUAUAUAGUCUGGAGGGCAGGGUUACAGAUCUGGAAACUAAUCCUAGUCGGUUACAAUUGCCAUGGAUAAUUCGAUAUCAAUUCCUAUUCUAACCGACCAGAAUCCUGCUUGAUCUCCACAUCUUGUUUCCUUGCGCGGAACUCCAGGUUGUCGGAUCAAGCUUUGGACUCGUCUCGUAAUGGGCCAAGCCUCCUGGCCCAAGUCCAGCCGUAAGGGUAUAGGGGUUUAUACCCCCACAGCUAGUCCCCGAGCACCAUGUAUUAUGGUGUAACACGCCGUCUUGAGCUUCUUCGAUCAGUGAGGCUUGACGUCUUCAGGAAAGUUGCCCGAACAGUUGCAACGGUAUUUUGACCAACUCAAAAGACAGUUGAUCAACAUUGACAUUGAAGAAGCAGGUUCAAAGAAGCAGGUUGUUCGAAGAAUGCAUGGUGCUCUAAAUCAAAAAAGAUUUCUUUCCUGGUGAAGUGUGCCCACUUUACUUUUUUGAAAGGUAUAAACGUCAAAAAAGCAAGCAAAUUCACCGCAAGGUGAAGUGUGCCCACUUAGUCCCCGAGCCUGGUAGUAGGUGACGCAGGCACGUGGUGCCAGGGUCAAAACAAAAGUCCUCAAAGAAAUUCUGUAACUGAGAUGCAUCGCCAGAUGCAUCGUACCGAUGUAGUCCCCGAGCUUGCUGGAAGGCGAAGUAUGAACCUUGUAGCAAGGUCUAAAAAGUGGAAUUUACCAGUCUGACUGCAAUUGAAUAGAUUAAUCGACCAGUCACCAAGCACCAAGUGUUUUUUAGAAUCCUGUGUCGCUGUACUGUACGACCAGUCCCCGAGCAUCGAGUGCUCGGUGGUCGGUGCAGUUUUUUAAAGCGUCUAGCUGAUAGACUGGGCGACCAGUCCCCGGGCGUCGAGUGCUCGGUGGUCGGUGCAGUCCUUUAAAGCUUCCAGCUGAUAGACUGGACGACCAGUCCCCGAGCAUCGAGUGCUCGGUGGUCGGCGCAGUCCUUGAAGUUCCGAGCUGAUAGACUGGGCGACCAGUCCCCGAGCGUCGAGUGCUCGGUGGUCGGCGCAGUCCUUGAAAUUCCGAGCUGAUAGACUGGGCGACCAGUCCCCGAGCGUCCAAUGCCCGAUGGUCGGUGCAGUCCCCGGAUUGUUGACUUUCUGGCGUAUGUGUCGUCUUGUUUUUUUGAAAAGAUCUUCCCAGUUAAAAUUGACGUGACGAGGCCUCCUGACGGGGUGUCAGACGGAUGCAUGAAAAGUUGCACCUGGCAACUUGUGCAACCGCCUUUGCAUGGUUUGAGAAAAGGAAACCAUCAAUUGGUACGAAAAAUCCGCCGCAUUAAUUGUCUAUAAUCGUUGUAAACCGAAACGCCGCGUCCGCCGCAUGGCCUGCCCACUUCCCGAGAAUACAGGAAGUGGGAGAGGUGGAGUUGCGGGCUGAUAAGAGCCUAAUAGGUCCGCCUGUACCGCUUACCCUGCCAUUGCCUUCAAACCUUCCGCUCUCAUCUUCUCCAAUCUCCUGCAUCUUCCUAACUCAAGCCCACAUUCGCACCUCUAAUGGCGAAGAGCGACUCCAGGAAGAGGGCCGAACUGAUGGCCAAGGAGUGGAAGAAGUCUCGCAGCACCACAAAAUCUCUUGGUGACCUCGUCGAUAUGGGGCUUCUGCACGGCCCGGAGCUCGGCGGCUGGAGGGCACCGGAGGGGGAGAGCUACCCCGACCCUCGUGCCGGUGAGAUCGUCGUAUUUGAAGAUUUCAUUAAGAGGGGUUUUGGUGUUCCUGUUCAUCCUUUUCUUCAAGGUCUUCUUUUGUAUUACGAGAUCGGGAUUUGCAAUCUGCAUCCGAACUCAAUUCUCCUCAUUUCCACCUUUAUCCACCUGUGCGAGGCCUAUGUUGGCAUAGAGCCGCACUUCGAUCUUUUCCGGUAUCUUUUCUGCUUGAGGAAGAAGGGAGCAGUUGGAGGCUCCAAGGUUGCAGGUGGAGUAUACCUCAACCUUCGUGAUGGAAUGAAGAAUCGCUACCUGCACUGUCCAUGGAACACUUCCUUGACCGAAUGGUACAGGAAGUGGUUCUACAUCAGGGAGGAACCGGGCAGCUCCACGUUCUGCGACGUGGGAUACAUUCCUGAGAAGAGGACGAGCUGGACCGACCGCCCGGAGUUCGACGGUCCAGUGGCGGAUCUCAUGAAGCUGAUCGACUGGUCGCGCCUGGACGGGCUUGGCGUGGUCGGCAACUUCAUUUGCCGCCGGGUGAUGCCCUGCCAGAAGAGGGUGCACUCGGCGUACGAGUAUGCCGGAAGCGCAGACCCGACCAGGAUGCGGUCGGAGAUCUUGGAGAAAGCGGAGGUACAACAGCUGUUGAACGAGCUGUUUAACUUCGCGGACGGAGGCUUCAUCCGUGGCAGUGAUCGGGUGCAAGCCUUCAAGUUAGGACGACCAGCACCAAAGGUAUGUAGCAGAUUCUGUUUUAGCAUUCGUAUAUCGUCGGCAGUUGACUCAUCUCUGUUGCUCUUGCAGAUCGGCGGUGUCGACCGGUGCACAGUGUAUGUAUCACUGGCACCGGGGAUGGAAAAUUCUGCGGGAGAAGACCCGCCAGAGGAGGACGCUGCUCGGUGUACUCAUUACACCAGCAGUGAAGAGGACCAAGCCCGCCCCAUCCCGACCUCCGAGGAGAGGGUAGCGGGGAAGAGGCCAUUGCCGGCAGAUCCUUUGCCGGCGGAUCUUCCGGCGGAGAGCAGCCAAGCACCGAAGCGUCGUCGGCUCGUGCGGAUCGUUGACGACGAUGACGACGAGGAGGCUGCGCCGUCGUUGGUCCGACGGCCCCGGGGUCGCCCAGAUAAUGCGCCGGCCGCUACUGAUCGAGUGGCCAGCGACGCCCCUGCACCGCAAGUUGUCGAGACGGGGGCGCAGGUGCCGACCGGCCGGGCGAGGAGGAGGUUCACCGCCACCCACCGUCGAUCAGACCUGUAAGUGUUCGACUUACGUAUUUUUGGACUCCUUUUUGAUUUUUUUUUUUUUGAAAUUUGACUUUUGUUCCUGUAGUGCGGCGUCGGAUGUCGACCCCGGCCAGGUUGCCAGCCAAGGGACGGGCGAGCCUGCCCGCGGUUCUGGGGAUGCGGCCCCCCAGACCACAGAGCAGCCAACAGCUGCAGUCGCGCCUGGGAGCACCGAGGGGCUCCCGAGCGCGGCACCGACUACGACAAGCAGCCCGACCAGGGCUGGAGAGGCUCCCCCAACUGACUCCUCAGAGAAGGGAAGAUCUCCGACCGCUCCUCCUGCCGGGGGGAGUGAAGUCCCCACGCCGCCCCGAGCAGGAGCCUCCUCUGCUGCGGGCUCCCCAGGUCUGGUCCAAGGGCCAAUAAUACCUGGGACCACCACCGGGGGUGACGCAGCACAGGAGGAGGAAACCCGGGCGGCCUCCGAUGAUGAGGUGGAAGAGAUCGAGGGUCGUCCCCGUGAUGGCCGCCAACACGUGUAUGUGUGGCGCCAACGCGGGGAUCACUUUAUCGGGCAUGAGGAGCUCGCCGAGACCGAAGAGGCCGCCAGGGUGGAGCGCGCGGCCAAGCGCCUCGUCGACGAAGUCAAGGUAAGCGGCUUUUUGCACUGCUGCACAUUCUUUUGCCUUGUCUUGCAUGGUCGUUAUAUGCUUGCUUUGUAGGACGCAAUGAAAACGGCGAAGUACCGGAAACGGUGCUUUGACCAGAUAGAAGGCGUCAUGGCCGAGAACAAGGCCCUUGCCGCGGAGGUAGACCGGUUGCGGGCGGAGGUCGGGGAGAAGGUGGUCGAGAUGAGUGCCGAAAAGGAGCGUCGUCUCGACCUCGCUCGUCGUUUGGCCGACCAGUACCGGCUGCAAGAAGGUUAGUCACACGCUCCGAGCAGCUUCGCGUACUUGUAUAGUUUGCUUUGCUGACCAGUUUAGGAUUCACGCAGACUUGGAGGAGGAGGUGGCGAGCCUCCAACAAGAGAAGGAGCAGCUCAGCCAACAGCUCGCCGGUGCGCUGGAGUCCGGGCGGCGAGCAGGAGAGGAGUUGGGUCGAAAAGACCGGGAGCUAUCUGGUAAUGGUUGCCGCCUUGUUGGUUACUGCCUGCCCCUUUUUUAUGCCGAAAAUAACGCUUCGUUUCGUUUGCAGUGCUCAAGGUGAACGCCAAAAAGCACCUGGACGAUCUGACCAAGGACCGGGACUCCUGGAAGGUCAACUGUUGUAGGAUCUGGAAAGGAGUGUCCCCGGUCCUAGACCUGAUCAGUCCCGAGCUCCCAGAGAGCCAGCCCCGCGCGCCGCAGUUGACCCCGGUCGAGAAGGCGCAACGGGCGUGGGACUGGCUCCAGCAGUUUGUGAAGGACGCCGGGGAGUUUGCCGGCGCGCACGUCCUCAGCAUGGUGCGCGCCCACUACCCCCUGGUCGACUUGAGCAGGCUGGAGAAGGGGUACCCGAAGGAAGUCGGCCCGCAGGACGCGGACGAGCUUCGGAGUAGGCUGCUGGACUUGUCGUCGACAGUGAUCGGCGACAUCAAUCUGUGCGGAACGGCCACUCCUCCAGACCAGCCGAGCUCAGAUAGGUCGGCCAGGGAGUUGUCGGGCGCGUCCGUUGCUGGAGAUGGGCGGUCGACGCCUGCGGUCUCGACCAGCCAGGCGCCGGUGGCCCCGACCCCUUCGUCCGGGCAGCAGGGCCAGGCGGGUGAUCAGCCCGAGCAACUAGGCCAAUAGAGUAGUCUGUAGGAAUAGACUAGUGUCUGCACGUCAGGGUAUUUAUUGUAAACUUUGUAUGUAAAGUUUGUAAUAAAGUUUACUUUUUGUCAUGACUGUUGUUUUGAGCGCUGUGAAAAUAUCUGAGUGACGUGUCACCGUAUUUGUCUUGGUUGUCGCUAAGAGCAUCCAUUGCAGGAGUUUUGCCGAGUGCUGUGUGUGACAAGGUAUAGGCAAAAAAUAGAGAAUUUCAUUAUCAAAAAUUAUAAGAUACUUACAAAAGAAAGUCAUUAAAACUUUAUGGAUAGAAACGUCGCAGUUUGUCGAUGUGCCAAGAGUUAGGCACUCGUGUUCCGUCUGGGUAUGCCAAUCUGUAGGACGUAGGUCGUGUGACCUCGGUCACCACGAAGGGUCCUUCCCAGGGAGUGGAUAGCUUGUGCAUUCCCUCCUGGCUUGUUUUCCAUCGAAGCACCAAAUCGCCGACCACGAAGGAACGGUCCUUGACGUUCCUGUUGUAGUAUCGCCUGACUGCCGCGAGAUAUUUUGCUGUUCGGAGACAUGAAACUAAACGCUUUUCCUCCAUGCAAUUGAUUUCGAGUUCUCUGGCGUUGUCGGCGGUCGCCUGGUCGAAGUGCUCGAUUCUAGGGGAUCCGAAGUGUAUGUCAGACGGCAGGACCGCCUCUGCACCGUAUACCAUGAAGUAGGGAGACACCCCUGUGUUUCGACUGGUCUGAGUUCGGAGGCCCCAGACCACUGCCGGCAAUUCUUUCAUCCAUCGACCGGGUGCUCUGUCGUUUUCGGUGUACAGCCUUUUCUUUAGGGCGUCAACGAUCAUUCCGUUAGCACGUUCGACUUGACCGUUGGCACGUGGAUGUGCCACUGACACAUAUUUUAUGACUAUGCCUCUGUCAUCGCAGAAAUCCCAAAAAGUGGUGCCAGUAAACUGGGUGCCCAGGUCGGUGAUUAUGAUGUUCGGGAUGCCGAAUCUGUGUAUGAUUUGAUUGAGAAACUCCACAGCCUUCUCGGAGGUUGCCUUGACCAGCGGCAUGUAUUCAAUCCACUUGGAGAACUUGUCGAUUAACACGAAGACAAACUUGAAAUUGCCCGGGGCUGGUUUAAAUGGUCCGAUCAUGUCAAGCCCCCAGCAAGCAAAGGGCCAAGACGACGGGAUGGUUUGAAUUUCAUGGGCAGGUACGUGGGUCCUCUUAGCGAAAAACUGACAUCCUUCGCAAUGCCGAACCAGUUUUUCUGCGUCGCCGACCGCGGUUGGCCAAUAAAAACAUGCUCGGAAAGCCUUUCCGACCAGCGUUCUAGAUGCGGCGUGAUUGCCGCAGGAUCCAGCGUGUAUGUCCUCCAAGAGCUUGAUACCAUCAUCUUGGGGUAUGCACUUGAGCAGUACUUCGGAGCUUGCGUUUUUCCGCAUGAGUUUUCCGUCGACCAGGAUGUAGUUCUUUGAUCGUCGGAUGAGGCGCUCGUUCUCUGUUUUGUCCUGAAAGCAUGUCCCGUCUGAUAUGUAUUUGAUGAACGGGGUACGCCAGUCACGCCCGCCGGUUGUCGGAGUGGCGUCAUCUAUGAGCAUUGCCUCGGUGGGUUGCUUGUCGACCAGGGGGGGAGCUUACGCUCGGCUCAUGGAUGUCCUGGACGAAAAUACCCCGCGGGAUUUGGGCCCGAGAUGAGCCUAACUUUGACAACGCAUCUGCUGCUUGGUUCUUAUCCCGGACCACGUGGAUGUACUCUAUGCCAUAGAAGUUAGUUUCCCAUUUGCGAAUUUCUUUGCAGUAGAGAUCCAUCUUCUCGUGGGUUGUGUCCCACUCCUUGUUGAGCUGGUUGAUGACCAAAGCGGAGUCGCCAUAGACGUAGAGGCGCUUGACCCCCAGUUCAACGGCUAGUCGUAUGCCAUGCAAGCAUGCUUCGUAUUCGGCGACGUUGUUUGAUGCCGGAAAAAGGAUCCGAAGGACGUAACGGAGUUUGUCCUUGUUGGGUGAUACGAACAAUAUCCCAGCGCCUGCACCGUUGAUGCUCAAGGACCCGUCAAAGAACAUUGACCAGUGGUCUGAGACAUCGGGAACGGAAGGCUCGUUGAGAUCCGUCCAUUCGGCAAUGAAAUCGACCAGGGCUUGAGACUUGACAGUGGUGCGACUCUGGAACUCCAGGGAAAACGGACAUAAUUCCAUUGCCCAUUUCACGAUUCUGCCAUUGGCGUCUUUAUUGCGCAGGAUGUCCCCGAGAGGGAAACUGGUUGUCACCAGGACUCGAUGGCCGUCGAAGUAGUGCUUCAGCUUUCUUGACGUUAUCAGGAUGGCGUAUAUAAGCUUCUGUAUUUGUGGGUACCUGGCCUUGGACUCGUUUAAGACUUCGCUUAUGAAGUGAACGGGUCUCUGGACCUUGAAGACGUGACCUGGUUCAUCUCGCUCGACCACUAUUGCCGUGGAAACAACCCUGUCGGUUGCAGCAAUGUAAAGGAGUAGGUCUUCAUUGGGCUGAGGCGCUGUGAGGACAGGUGGUGAAGUGAGGAAGGUCUUAAGCUGAGUGAACGCAGCGUCGGCUUCCUCUGUCCAAGAAAAUUUUUCUGACGCUUUCAAUAGUUUGAAGAAAGGGAGGCCUUUUUCUCCCAGCCUUGAGAUGAAACGACUGAGGGCGGCCAUGCAUCCGGUUAGCUUCUGAAUAUCCUUGACGUUCUUCGGUGGUCGCAUGUCGAGUACGGCUUUGACUUUUGAAGGGUUUGGUCGUAUGCCGUCGCGACUGACGACGUUGCCGAGCAGUAGACCGGAAGGAACGCCGAAAAUGCAUUUCUUGGGGUUGAGCUUCCACUUGUACCUAUUGAGUGCCUUGAAGGUUCGGUCUAAGUUGUCGAUUAGGGUGCUCGCGUCCCUUGUUUUUAUGACCACGUCGUCCACAUAGGCCUCGACGAGGUCAUCGCGAAUCUCGUCGUGGAGGCAUUGCUGGAUGGCCCUUUGAUAAGUGGCCCCGGCGUUUUUAAGUCCGAAAGACAUGGUAGUGUAGCAGUAUGCGCCGAAGGGUGUGAUGAAGGAUGUUUUGAUCUGAUCUUCUUCCUUUAGCGAGAUCUGGUGAUAACCAGAGUAGCAAUCUAGAAAGGAGAGUAGUUCGCAUCCGGCCGUUGAGUCGACCACCUCGUCGAUGCGAGGAAGACCAAAAGGAUCUUUAGGACAGUGUUUGUUGAGAUCGGUGUAAUCAACGCACAUUCUCCAUUCAUUAUUCUUUUUGCGUACAAGAACCGGAUUGGCGAGCCAAUCGGGGUGAUACACUUCUUUUAUGAAUCCGGCUGCUAGAAGCCGUGUUAUUUCUGUCCUAAUAGCCUCCUUUUUGUCACGAGCGAACCGUCGCAGUUUUUGCUUGAUUGGUCUUGCGGUCUUCGAGACAUUUAAGGAGUGCUCGAUCAGGUUUCGUGGGACACCGGGCAUGUCUGCGGGUUUCCAUGCGAAAACGCUCACGUUGUCCCUUAGAAACCUGACGAGCGCGUCUUCCUAUUUUGGAUCCAGGUUAGCCCCGAUGAGGGCUGUCUUCUCGGGGUUGCCUUCGACCAGCUGCACUUCUUUGUAUUCCUUGGAUUUUGAGUUCUUUCUGGCUGUCUCCUGCUCAGGUAAUCGGAGCUGAUCGGGAGGCAGCUGUGCGGCUUGGUUUGCUGUUUCCGCCAUGCGGAUUGAGAGGUCGAUUGCCUCGGUGAUCUUGAAGCUUUCUUCUUCGCAGGUGUACGCGGUGUAGACGUUGCCUCUGACGGUUAGGACACCCUUCUCCGUGGGCAUCUUAAGGACUAGGUAUGAGUAGUGCGGGACUGCCAUGAACUUUGUCAGCGAUGGGCGGCCCAGUAUGGCGUGAUAGGUCCCGUCGAAAUCCGCGACUACGAAGUUGAUGAACUCCGUCCGGAAAUGAUCGGGUGUGCCGAAUUGGACAGGCAAUGUUAUCUGUCCGAGGGGCACCGAACUUUGACCUGGCAAAACCCCCCAGAAUUGGGCGUCGUAAGGUUUUAGUUGUGCCGGUGAUAUCUUGAGGGCGGGCAGGCUGUUGCGGAAGAGGAUGUCGAUGGAGCUUCCCCCGUCCACGAGCACGCGCUCGAAUCUGAUGCUAUUGAUGCAGGGAUCAAGAAUCAGUGGGAAACGACCCGGCUCUGGGAUAGCGGCCCACUGGUCCUUCCUGCUGAACGAGAUCUCCCUGUGGGACCACGCGGGAAAUUUCGGAUCUGCGAUCAGCCCGUCCGUGCUGUCUAUGUUGAGGCAGGCUCUCUUUAACAGCUUUCUUUCUCGCUUGGACUCAGUGGAGACCUUGCCCCCGAAAAUGGAGUGGACCACGUCGGUGGGGCUGACGUAUUGGUGUCGGGGGUCCCUGUCUUGGUCCUCAUCCUCAUCUUCGUGGUCGUGCCCGUCGCGCUUGUUAUUUUUCUUGGCGGAGUCCUCUUGGGCGGCCCGCCGUGUAUAGAUACUUUUGAGGACGCGGCACUCUUCCAUGGUAUGGUUAGACUUUGGGUGUAGCUGGCACGGUCCCUUCAACGUUUUGUUGUAGUCGUCUUGGUAGUCCCGUCGUCCAUUGGGACGUUUGACCGUAUUUACUUCGUGGUCGUAUUCGCGAGGGCGCUUUCCUCUGAAGUCGUCGCGGCUGUCGCGCCGCCGAUCCCAACCCUCUCGAUGAUCGCGGUUGUCAGAGCGGCGGUGAUUUCUGUUGUCGUAGCGACCACGACCGUCAUCUCGCCGGGAAGGCUGGUCGGGGCCUCUCGCAUCGUCUCGGAUUAGUUUUUCUGCGUCAUCAGCAUCGGCGUAAUUUUUAGCCGUGGCGAGGAGCUCUGCUACCGUUGAUGGGCGCUUACGCAACAGCUUGUUCCUCAGCGCUUCAUGGAAACGCAAGCCCUUGACAAAGGCUGAUAUGGCCUCGUCAUGAGAAAUCUUCGGGAUUUUGAGGCGCAUAUCCGAGAAUCGUCGGAUGUAAUCGCGCAGAGGUUCAUUCUUCCUGUCUCUUAUCCUUUCAAGGUCAUACUUGUUUCCGGGCUGCUCGUAUGUGGCGAUGAAGUUGUCGAUGAAAGCCUGGCGUAGCUCUUCCCAAGAGUCGAAGGAGUCCUCGGGCAAGCCGAGAAGCCACUGAUGACCAGCCUGGUCGAGGACUACGGGGAAGUAGUUAGCCAUGACGUGCUCAUCUCCUGCCGCUGAUCGGACGGCGAUUUCAUAGAGAGUGAUCCAGUUCUCUGGAUUUUCCUUGCCGUCGUAUUUUUUAAGUUUUUCGAGCUUGAAAUUGCGGGGCCACACGACCUGGCGGAGGUGUGAGGAGAACUGUCUUAGGCCUGGAGGACCGUGGGUCGCAUCGUACUCGAUGCGGCGCAGGUUUUCGUGGACUGCUCUCUCUGCGGUGCGCCUGUUGAUGCGGUCCCGGGCAUCUUUGGGAGGGAUGUUGUGGCGGAGAUCCCUGUGUUAAUCUUCUUCUUGGCCGCGUAUGCCAUGAAUUUGCUUGCGGCGGCCAUCGGCGUCCCGACCACCAUCGUCGCGCCGCGAGUCCCCUCGACGGUUGUCGGGGGAGCGGCUGCGGUGACGCCUGCUGGGUGAGACCUGGCUACGAUUAGUCUGGUCGGAGGCGGCUUCCGUAUAAGAGACGUCCUGGACUCUCUUGAGUAGAGUGGUUGUCUGUCCCAUUGCGGCGAUCAGGUGUGCUCGGAUGCUGGUCCGGACUCCCUGGCAUUCGGGGGUGUCAGGAAGCCGAUCCAGGUUGGCCAUGGCGACAGCCACGUUGGCGCUUGGCGUUUUGUAGACUGGCUGGUCCCCGACCAUGUCAAAGGCAUCGUUGAGGUUACUUGGUGGCAUCUGUUGUUGCUCGUCCGCACGCCGUCGGGCGCGAUCGGCGUUACGCUGUUCGCGGAGUUGCCUCUGGUCAUCUGUUUCUCCGUCAACAGCCGGUUCGUCGGCGCUGACAUUGAACACAAUAUCCCCUCGCCGGGGGGGGAAUAUCGGGAAUCGGUCGAAACUCGGAGGGUGUGAAGGAAAAUCCAGGUCGUAGCCCUCGUCUUCGGUGUUUAUAACCUCGGUGGGGAUGGAGCCGGUGCUUGAGUUGGUGCUGGAAACCUGGCCGUCCCGUAGCUCUCGGAUUGUCACCAUGUUGACAUGGUGACGAUUGUUCCUUGUCGGCGACCAACCCGCCUUGCUGAAAACGGAUUGGACAUGCUGUGAGUAAACAGAGGCCGAGUUGUUCAGGCCGCGAGGAUAGUCUUCCUUUUUGAGCUCGACGGAUCGUCCUGAGGGGGUUGAGGUUAUCGUCAGGGACGUUCCCAGCCGUUCGUGUGUGGCGACACGAGUUGGCCGGCGGGAUUUCGAAAAAUCCGCUCGAGCAGCUUGGUCGGGCCGGCGCAGAACUCCAUCUAUUAGUUGGGAGACUUCGAGUAGCUUGGAGUCAGUGCGAUCGAGCGCUUGGAGGAGGUCCGAGCAGUCGAUCUCCUUUCCCUUGUAGAGUGGGAACGGUGGUCGGGCGCUUGGUGCCGUCAUGCGUGUGGUCGGAGACGGCGUGAUCUUAGAUUGGAUCUGGAUCUCCUUCGGAACCGUGGUCGCGAAGCCGCCGCUGCACGUCGUCCACGUGAUCUGGCCGACGGUGAACGUGAGGCCUUCGGGCACGGUCGCGGAAGCUGGGAUCGUGACCAUCUUGUUCGCCGGAAAAGUUGCACGCACACCCCCUACCUGGCGCGCCACUGUCGACGAAAGCUAGUCGGCAGUCUACCUUGGGGUAUACCCACGGUAGUAGUUUAUCGGUAGAUGGUGCGCAAACUACGAACUCGAUGGUGACGCAAGACACGGACAAGCUUUUUAUCCAGGUUCGGCCGCCGAGUUGGCGUAAUACCUACGUCCUGCGUCUGGUUGUAUUGGAUUGUGUUGAGAGAUAAUCUGUCCUAGGGGGGUCCCUUGCCCCUCCUUAUAUAGUCUGGAGGGCAGGGUUACAGAUCUGGAAACUAAUCCUAGUCGGUUACAAUUGCCAUGGAUAAUUCGAUAUCAAUUCCUAUUCUAACCGACCAGAAUCCUGCUUGAUCUCCACAUCUUGUUUCCUUGCGCGGAACUCCAGGUUGUCGGAUCAAGCUUUGGACUCGUCUCGUAAUGGGCCAAGCCUCCUGGCCCAAGUCCAGCCGUAAGGGUAUAGGGGUUUAUACCCCCACAGAGUUUUUACUUAUAAAGGGAGAGGCUACCUAGUUGUUCCUUGCCAUUUUUUUACUUAGAAAGGAAUUUUAUUUCUGUGUAUGCAUAAGUUUUGCACACCCUGAUCCUCAAUCUUCCCAACGGCAAAGGGCUUCAGAAAAGGGGGGCUAGCAAGCCGGGGAUUUGUUCAUUGAUUGUGUUUUGUUAGCGUGUUUUUCAGCCCGUAUUAUUUUUUCAGAGCCCAUCUAAGCAGGUUGCGACUGUAAAUAAACUUGUACCUUCCCUUCCUUAAUUGAGAAGCAGAGCUCCUACGUUUGCUUCAAAGAAAAAACUUUGUCUGCUCUAGUAGACUCUGACCAUCGAUAGAGUUAGAAAUAUGAACUUCUACUUGUUGGGGGCGACAUUACAAAUUUUGUUAAUUUUUUUAAUCUGAAUUAAAUUACAUCAGCCUAGGGCCGCUUUGAGUCUCUCUGCCUCACUCGCCAAGUCCGCGCCAAGUAAAAUGCAAUUACCACUUAUCAGCCGCGCAUGCGAGGCGGGAUAGAUGGCAAAAGACAGAGAGACUUUUGUGGUGCUCUAGUAGUUAGAUAAAUAUUUUUAUUUAGAGAGCCUCUAAACCUUGGUUUUAAAGAUUCAUUUUACUUUGUACCUCGGAGAUGCUCUAAGGUGUGGAUGAUAAAUCAGAUUGUGGAUGCAAAUAUGCAGGGAUGACGGAAUCGAAGAAACAUAACUAGAACUAGAAGUAGAUAGGUGUUUCAUUUGCAACUAGUGCCAAAGAAGGAUGUUGGGAGCACCUGCAAGAGAUGAUGGAGGUUUUUGUUGCGAAACAUGGAGUUAAUUAGAUAAAGAAGAACAAUCCACUCGAUCUCCUCUUCGCUCAUUGGAUUGGAAACAAGUUGGGCCAAGGGAGACACCGCAUCUAUAGAUCUCAGCUGGGCCUGGGUGCUCGGCCCUUGGGCUAAUUAGCUGCUACAAUUAUAUCUCAACAGCUCAGUAGACGAUCGAUUUGCUCAUCUGGACUGAUGAUGCAGUGGUGAUGCCUCCAUUGCAAACAAGUCCUUGAGCUGCUUCUCGUCGCCGGCGCCAGCCGUGUUCUGCUUCUGCACCGCCGCCGGCGGCUGCUGCUUCUCCUCAUCGUCGUCGUUGCUGGUGGUGGCCAGAGUUUUGGGUGCCUGCUCCUGACUCUGCUUCUGUUGGAGGUGGUCCUUGCUCUUGCCCCAGAGGACGCUGUAGAGGCCUCCGACGAGGAGGCCGCUGCCGAGGAGGCUUCCCAGGCGCACGAUCUCGCCGAGGAAGAAGGAGGAGCAGAAGAUGGUGAGCAGGAGGCCCAGCGGGUUGGACAUGGCCAGGAACACCGGCCCACGCUUCUCGAUGCACCACGCCUGAAGGUAGAACGACACGCCCGUCACCACAAGACCCUGCAUGCAUUACAAUUGUCUUCACCAUGCAUCGUUCAUCUCUGCUUGAUAUAUAGUCUCUUCGUCGUCGUCGUCGUCGUUGCGCUGAUAAUAUAUAUAUAUAUACUGCUACUCACGGAGUAGGCGACGGCGAGGAGGCCGACGUCGAGCUGGAGCUUCCAGGCGGCGGGGUCACGCUCGACGGCGACGGCGAGGAGGAAGGACUGGGCGGUGCUGAGCGCGCACUGCACCAGCGUGGACAGCAGCUUGUUGGGGUACUCCUUGAGCAGCGACGCCUGGAGGACGAUCCAGAGGGACCACGUCGUGUUGGACAGCAGCAUCAGGAACGUGCCCUUGAUCCAUGUCCCCUUGCCGCCGCCGCCAUCGGCAUGAGCUUGAGGAUGGUGCUCGGCGAAGGCGCGGUGGUGGUUCACCGGGCUCAUCGAGGGACCAGUGUACAGGGCGAUGGUCAGGACCCCGGCCAGGCACAGCGCCACGCCCGCCGCCUUCGCCAUGCCUGACGGGCUUCUCAGCCGAACCACUUCCAGCCUGCAUAUAUAUAUAUAUAUAUAUAUGAACAUAAUAAUAUAAUGUUCAGGUUUGCUAAUGAUGACUUCUUUUUUCUGCUUUAUAUAUGUUGCCACUGGUGAUAAGUACAGUUAAUUAUAGAUUGAUCUAAGCAAGGUGCGCACACGUUUAAUAUAAUACUACUAUACUAAUUCUGAUUUGAAAGCUAGUAGGUUGAUUAGAGACUAAUUAAACUGAAGAGUGACAGGUAGUAGACUAGUAGUAACAAUAUAUAUAGGGUCUGCUGGGUAACUGAAUCAAUUUGGUCAAUAAGCCUGGCUAGGGGCUUUACCUUAACAGGACUGCCAGAAAGAAGGUGACCACAGGGACAGAGUUGCUUGUUGCCGAUGCCACGGUUGCAGAGGUGUACUUGAGGCUUAUGUUGUACAGAUUCAUGCUCAAUGUGUUGCUGCAAAUUAAAUUCAUCACAGACACCACGUCGACAUGUUAUUUCAUCAGAAGUUGUAUUCACUAUAUGUUCAGUAGUAUAGUAAGUUAGCUGUUAGUACCACUGAUGGAUCAAGUGUCAGUUACAUACCCAAGCAAUGCAUAGAAGAACAGCUUCAGAAACAACCUGAAUGACAUGGGUGGUGCAUUCCUCCUGCGAUCGAAUCAAUCACACAUAUAUCGAUCAGUUAUUUCACCGAUCAUAUAUAUAUUUGAAGCAAAAAAUGAAGGAAGAAAAAAGUAAUUUCCAGUUUUAAUUAUACAGACUGCUACUGCUUAGCCUUAGAUAAGUUCAGCUACCUUUUUCCUUUCAAAAAAAAUAAGUUCAGCUACCUUUCAAGAACAAUGGCUAGGGGCAGCAAUAGAGCAGUGGCCGCCGCCUGGCGGUAGAAGAUGAAGACAUAGGUGCUCAUGCCAUGGUUGAAUGCCGCCUUGGAGACAACGUACAUGCCGGUGUAUAUGAGCUGUAUGAUGAUGGCAACCCCAUAGGCUUUCUUGCUGGUGGUAUCCAUGGCCUCUCCUACACUUCUACAGAGAAUGAGUGAGAUGUGUUUAUGUCUAUCUAGAUAGCUAGCUGCAGCUACCUGGCUACACUUCUACAGAGAAUGAGUGAGAUGGUUUAUGUCAUCAGUGGCUGUGAUGAAGAAGCAAAGGAGAGGAGGGAGCAGCCUUAUAUAAAGAUGAAGAUGCUGCAUGAUCUGCUCCUCUGGUUGGAUGUUCCAAAGUAGCAAGAGUACUGUGUGUGGCUUUUUCCUGCUGGCCUCCUCUGAAUCACAAUUUUUUUUGUGUUUGGGCAAGAGUCAUCUUCCUCUCUCCAUCUCCUCCUGUCCUGGGAAAGAGUGAUGUGGUCGUUUGCCUUAUAGCCCUUUAAUUUGGUUAUAUCUAUCUGCAUACACUGCAGAAAUGAAUAAAUGACCGGUGAAAGGAACUAGCAGCAAGUGCAUGCUGAAUUGGUUUCUGUAUAGCUCCCUGCUGCAUUCUGCUGCCAACAUAGUGAUAUGCAUACAUGUCAUGACCGGUUAUUAGCUAUAGUGGAUUUGUUAGUGCAAAGGGUGAUGACUCAUUCGCUUUGCGUGCCCAUUAUUGCACUUUAUUUACCUUUUCGAGAAGCCAUUCUACUUUCUUCCCGAAUCUACUAUCUGAAACUGAAUUUUCUUUUUUCUUUUACAUAGUGGAGGAUACAACCGUCUUCAGAGUUCGGACUUCACAGAAGAGGCAUCAGUCCAAAACUAUUACAAAGUUUAACUAACUCCACACACUAAGUUUAACAUAUUAAUAGCCAACGCAAAAAGUAAAAGGCCAUCCGUAGGAGACAAAGAACUCCAAAUAAUGGACCAUAUCAACCUUGACUCAAUAGAUGACAAGAGUGAACUUGGUGAUCCUUAAGUUACUAAAUGCGCUGUAAGCGUAUAAUUAACUGAGUCUAGAAGGCAAUUAAUGUGCCUCCUGAACAGAACCUGCAAAAAAAAAUGGUUGACAAUGGUUAAACACAUAAUCAUUUCUUGUAAGCCAAAUAACCCAGCAAACAACCGCAACACAUGUGAAUAAUAGAGUAUUCUGUAUUUGUGUCCUCUCAACUUUGACCAACUAUAUCAAAUAAGUGUUCAAUAUUGGUCGGUGGAGGAACCUGAAUAUAUAUUAGCUAGUACUGUUCGCUAAUUAGCUCAUUGAUCAUGUUUGAAUGAAUACAUAUUUUAUAUUUCCUGACAUGUAGUUUGAAUUUGAACCAGCAAAAAAACUAUUCAAUGGGCCUGGAUAAGUCCAGGCCAGUUCUAUAUUAUUUGCUAACUAGUGCCUCACUGAUCAUGUGAAUGGUGACGACAUUAGUACCGCAUCUGCAUAAGAUACACCACUGCAACCAAUCAUAUUCAGUUUUAUAUACUAAUAUAACAGCAAACGAAUCCUACAAGUGCCCCUUUGCUGAGAAGAUAUUCUUUCUCUAGCUGGUUCAUGAUAUCUUUUUUUUUUAUGUGUGUGUGAGGAUAAUCCAUGAUAUAUUGUUUCUGCCACGCAGGAGAUCCAGAACUUUAUUUAUAAAUAUGUAAAUCAUGACCAGCAGGCAAACAGUUUCUCUAGGCAUUAUGCUUGUCUGAAUCAUGACAAUAAAGAUUUCCAUACAGGAGACCUUUGUUUAUAUAUAUCUGCAAACCAUGACCAGAACUUUGUUUAGAAAUGUACAUUAUGCUUGAGAAUAUGUUCCAUGAGAAAAGCACGAUCUAUCUGAGACAACAAUAUAUAUAGACUGCAGGGCUAGGCGACAGAGCGCACCAAACAGAACUAAUGCAUUCUAUCUUUUCAUUGCUAGGCACGCAUUCAGACUAUCACCACCCCUGUUGGAUUCCAUGAGCCACACGCAUUCGAUCCAUCGUUUCAGUCUUUCAGUUCUUCCUUUUAUCAUCUCCAGCCAUGGAGAUCUUUAUUUGGUCCAUGCAUAUCUUCAGAAAUGACAUGACUUGUCAAUUGGAUUCCCUGUUUUUUUUCAUUUUUUUUUGUUGUGAUGGUUUUAAUUGACAGCUAGCUAGUAAUGCAUGAAAACACCCUGCUUUGGAUAUGUGAUAUAAGUUUCUAGCUCCAACCAAAAUUCUAUCUGGCAUAAACAAGGAAGAACAUGAUUUAUUUGCAUGACGAGUGGGACCCAAGAGCAUUACCUAGCAGGGUCAAUCUUUAAUGUUGGUGUAAACUUUAUAUUUGAAUUGUUCGUCGUUGAUUAAUUAUAUAUGGGAGUGAAACUAUCACACCAAUAAUCUGCUAUCCUGGUCAUCUUUUUCAAUUCAAUCCGGCAUUUUAGUGCCAGUUUUCUGUUUGAAGGGGAAUGUGGGGGAGUUUGAAGGCUGCAAGCAGCUUCCCUUUUCAUUUUCUCUUUACAAUUCCCUUUUAUUUUCUCUCCUUCUUUUUGAGGGCCCUAAAAUUAAAAGCAUGCCAACUAAAAGGUGCUUUAUAUUAUUUGCAUGAUUAUUAUAUUGGGUGGCAACUCUAUGUUUAAUUUUCAAAAACGACCAUAUUUUUCUGAAAUAAGUGGAAGGACUACAUAUCAUCUCGUCGCAUAGGACAACAGUUUCUCACAACUUUUCAUGGAGCUUACAUACAUAGACCUAGAUUAUCUUCGCUGUUAAAUAAAACUGACAGAAUGGUAUUAACCGAUUUAUAUUCCAGGAAUUUCUUUUUAUAAACAAACAUAUAUAAAUAAAAGAUAUUGACAGACUAAGAACAAUAAAAUUCUUGGACUGUUCUAACAGCCCUCAGAGUACAACAAAUUCACUAACCCUAAUAUAUAUCUUGGUCCUCCAAUUUCCUCUCUUCUAUUUGUUAGAAAAUUAAAUAUAGUCUUGAAAAUUAAAUGUAAUUAAGGUUUGAACUUUUCUCUUAAAUAGUGUUGCAUUGUUAGAUUCCUCUACUUGAAUGGAUAUAAUCGCAUUUUUCUAGGUUUAUUUAAAGGAGAAAUUGAGCUAUCUUUUCAUGAAGGUGAUAUGUCUCUAUUAACAGCAAGACGACUCUAGUGUCUCGUUAAUUUAGAGAUCUAUCAUCUUAGCUUUUAGUGCUUAUAGUGGUAAGGCUGGAUAACAAGCCAGCUCGGCUUGGCUCGUUCCGGCUAGUUAAGGUGUGUGUUAACAUAGUGGUAAGGUGUGUUAACAUGCAUGGAUGCAUUUUGUGUGUGCAUAUUUAUGAGCAUCUACAUCUACAGUUUUUUUUUUUUUGAACUUUUAUCACUUAAGUCAUGCCACGUUGUCACCACAUGUGUAGAAUUUAAGGUAGCUACUAUCAUAAAGAAGACAUGUGUAAUAAUCACUAAGAAACUUGUGGAUACAAUACUUGGUCAAUUUAAAGUUAAUGCUUUAGUUAAAGUGCCUUUCUAGACUAUAUUCAAGCGUGGCCCUUUUGACUAAUCUUAUCUGAUGGUGCACCUUUCUAUCAAAGAUCAUAACCAUUGUUAUAAGUUGUGGUGGCUUGACCAGCCAUAAGAUGGUGCAGUUUUCUAUCAAAGACCAUAGUCAUUAGUUUAAUUUCAUCAUUAUAGAGGUCACCCACGAGUUCAAACUAUUUAUGGAGGAAAGGUUCCCCACUUUGACAUAAAUAGCCUACAUUAGUUGAAACUAGAUCAAACUUUUGAAAAAAUCACAAUGACUAGUAAAACAACCUAAUAUGGAAAAUGUGCAAGUUGUUUGGCAGCACCCCAGAUCAAUGAACUCAAAGCGAGUCAGAUCCCCGUAUGAUGGAUCUGGAGCCCUACCAAAUCGGACUAGCUCCAUCUGUCGUAUUUUUCUUCUUCAUCCAUUGCUUGCCUCCUCACUAACACAUACGUAUCCGCUGACGAGCUUGCUAGCUGCCGCCCCACCUCAAAGUCGCCUCUACGCGAACAUCUGCCUCAUCCGACGUAGCCACCAUUCCACGUGGGCUUGUCAUGCAUAUAUUGUUCUUCCUCUUUCAGCUUGCUACUCUAGGACUCCGUCUCCACGCAUAGGUAGUGAACUAAUGAUAAAUGAGGAUUUAGACGGUAGAGCUUAGAUGCAGUGCAAUGGGAGGUGAAGCUCAUGGUGUUGGAGAUUAUUGGGUCGAGGAGCCAGAGCUUCGGGUGUUUGGGGAGAUAGAGCUCGGGGGUGAGAAUGAAGCUUGUGGGGGUACAAACCCCUAUACCCUUACGGCUAGACUUGGGCCAGGAGGCUUGGCCCAUUACGAGACGAGUUCAAGGCUUGAUCCGACAACCUGGAGUUUCGCGCAAGGAAACAAGAUGUGGAGAUCAAGCAGGAUUCUAGUCGGUUAGAAUAGGAAUUGAUAUCGAAUUAUCCAUGGCAAUUGUAACCGACUAGGAUUAGUUUCCAGAUCUGUAACCCUGCCCUCCGGACUAUAUAAGGAGGGGCAAGGGACCCCCCUAGGACACAUCAUAAUCUCUCAACACAAUCCAAUACAACCCGACGCAGGACGUAGGUAUUACGCCAACUCGGCGGCCGAACCUGGAUAAAAAGCUUGUCCGUGUCCUGCGUCACCAUCGAGUUCGUAGUUUGCGCACCGUCUACCGAUAAACUACUACCGUGGGUAUACCCCAAGGUAGACUGCCGACCAGCUUUCGUCGACAGUGGCGCGCCAGGUAGGGGGUGUGCGUGCAACUUUUCCGGCGAACAAGAUGGUCACGAUCCCAGCUUCCGCGACCGUGCCUGAAGGCCUCACGUUCACCGUCGGCCAAAUCACGUGGACGACGCGCAGCGGCGGUUUCGCGACCACGGUUCCGAAAGAGAUCCAGAUCCAAUCUGAGACCACGUCGUCUCCGACCACGCGCGUGACGACACCAAGCUCCCGACCACCGCUCCCGCUCUACAAGGGAAGGGAGAUCGACUGCUCGGACCUCCUCCAAGCGCUCGAUCGCGCUGACUCCAAGCUAUUCGAAGUCUCCCAACUAAUAGAUGGAGUUCUGCGCCGGCCCGACCAAGCCGCUCGAGCGGAUUCUUCGAAAUUCCGCCGGCCAACUCGUGUCACCACACACGAACGGCUGGGAACAUCCCUGACGAUAACCUCAACCCCCUCAGGACGAUCCGUCGAGCUCAAAAAGGAAGACUAUCCUUGCGGCCUGAACAACUCGGCCUCUGUUUAUUCACGGCAUGUCCAAUCCGUUUUCAGCAAAGCGGGCUGGUCGCCGACAAGGAACAAUCGCCACCAUGUCAACAUGGUGACCAUCCGAGAGCUACGGGACGGCCAGGUUUCCAGCACCAACUCAAGCACCGGCUCCGUCCCCACCGAGGUUGUGAACACCGAAGACGAGGACUAUGACCUGGAUUUUCCUUCACACCCUCCGGGUUUCGACCGAUUCCCGAUAUUCCCCCCCCCCCGGCGAGGGGAUAUUGUAUUCAAUGUCAGCGCCGACGAACCAGCCGUUGACGGAGAAACAGACGACCAGAGGCAACUCCGUGAACAGCGUAACGCCGAGCGCGCCCGACGGCGUGCAGACGAGCAACAACAGACGCCGCCAGGCAACCUCAACGAUGCCUUCGACAUGGUCGGGGACCAGCCGGUCUACAAAACGCCAAGCGCCAACGUGGCUGUCGCCAUGGCCAAUCUGGAUCGGCUUCCUGACACCCCCGAAUGCCAGGGAGUCCGGACCAGUAUCCGAGCACACCUGAUCGCCGCAAUGGGACAGACAGCCGCUCUGCUCAAGAGAGUCCAGGACGCCUCUUAUACGGAAGCCGCCUCCGACCAGACUCAUCGUAGCCGGGCCUCACCCAGCAGGCGUCGCCGCAGCCGCUCCCCCGACAACCGUCGAGGGGACUCACGGCGCGAUGAUGGUGGUCGGGACGCCGAUGGCCGCCGCCAGCAGGACCGCGUACGCGGCCAAGAAGAAGAAGAUCAACACAGGGAUCUCCGCCACAACAUCCCCCCCAAAGAUGCCCGGGACCGCAUCAACAGGCGCGCCGCAGAAAGAGCAGUCCAUGAGAACCUGCGCCGCAUCGAGUACGACGCGACCCACGGUCCUCCGGGCCUAAGGCAGUUCUCUUCACACCUCCGCCAAGUCGUGUGGCCCCGCAAUUUCAAGCUCGAAAAACUUAAAAAAUACGACGGCAAGGAAAAUCCAGAGAACUGGAUCACUCUCUACGAAAUCGCCGUCCGAUCAGCGGCAGGAGAUGAGCACGUCAUGGCUAAUUACUUCCCCGUAGUCCUCGACCAGGCUGGUCAUCAGUGGCUUCUCGGCUUGCCCGAGGACUCCUUCGACUCUUGGGAGGAGCUGCGUCAGGCUUUCAUCGACAACUUCAUCGCCACAUGCGAGCAGCCCGGAAACAAGUAUGACCUUGAAAGGAUAAGAGACAGGAAGAAUGAACCUCUGCGCGAUUACAUCCGACGAUUCUCGGAUAUGCGUCUCAAAAUCCCGAGGAUUUCUCAUGACGAGGCCAUAUCAGCCUUUAUCAAGGGUUUGCGUUUCCAUGAAGCGCUGAGGAACAAGCUAUUGCGUAAGCGCCCAUCAACGGUAGCGGAGCUCCUCGCCACGGCUAAAAAUUACGCCGAUGCUGAUGACGCAGAAAAACUAAUCCGAGACGAUGCGAGAGGCACCGACCAGCCCUCCCGGCGAGACGACGGUCGUGGUCGCUACGACAACAGAAAUCAUCGCCGCUCCGACAACCGCGAUCACCGAGAGGGUUGGGAUCGGCGGCGCGACAGCCGCGACGACUUCAGAGGAAAGCGCCCUCGCGAGUACGACCACGAAGUAAACACGGUCAAACGUCCCAAUGGACGACGGGACUACCAAGACGACUACAACAAAACGUUGAAGGGACCGUGCCAGCUACACCCGAAGUCUAACCAUACCAUGGAAGAGUGCCGCGUCCUCAAAAGUAUCUAUACACGGCGGGCCGCCCAAGAAGACACCGCCAAGAAAAGCAGCAAACGCGACGGGCACGACCACGAAGAUGAGGAUGAGGACCAAGACAGGGACCCCCGACACCAAUAUGUCAGCCCUACCGACGUGGUUCACUCCAUUUUCGGGGGCAAGGUCUCCACUGAGUCCAAGCGAGAAAGAAAACUGUUAAAGAGAGCCUGCCUCAACAUAGACAGCACGGACGGGCUGAUCGCAGAUCCGAAAUUUCCCGCCUGGUCCCACAGGGAGAUCGCGUUCAGCAGGAAGGACCAGUGGGCCACUAUCCCAGAGCCGGGUCGUUUCCCACUGAUUCUUGAUCCCUGCAUCAAUAGCAUCAGAUUCGAGCGCGUGCUCGUGGACGGGGGAAGCUCCAUCGACAUCCUCUUCCGCAACAGCCUGCCCGCCCUCAAGAUAUCACCGGCGCAACUAAAACCUUACGACGCCCAAUUCUGGGGGGUUUUGCCAGGUCAAAGUUCGGUGCCCCUCGGACAGAUAACAUUGCCUGUCCAAUUCGGCACACCCGAUCACUUCCGGACGGAGUUCAUCAACUUCGUAGUCGCGGACUUCGACGGGACCUACCACGCCAUACUGGGCCGCCCAUCACUGACAAAGUUCAUGGCAGUCCCGCACUACUCAUACCUGGUGCUUAAGAUGCCCACGGAGAAGGGCGUCCUGACCGUCAGAGGCAACGUCUAUACUGCGUACACCUGCGAAGAAGAAAGUUUCAAGAUCACCGAGGCAAUUGACCUCUCAAUCCGCAUGGCGGAAACAGCAACCCAAGCCGCACAGCUGCCCCCCGACCAGCUCCGAUUACCCGAGCAAGAGACAGCCAGAAAGAAUUCGAAAUCCAAGGAGUACAAAGAAGUGCAGCUGGUCGAAGGUAACCCCGAGAAGACAGCCCUCAUCGGGGCUAACCUGGAUCCAAAAUAGGAAGACGCGCUCGUCAGGUUUCUAAAGGACAACGUGAGCGUUUUCGCAUGGAAACCCGCAGACAUGCCCGGUGUCCCACGAAACCUGAUCGAGCACUCCUUAAACGUCUCGAAGACCGCAAGACCAAUCAAGCAAAAACUACGACGGUUCGCUCGUGACAAAAAGGAGGCUAUUAGGACAGAGAUAACACGGCUUCUAGCAGCCGGAUUCAUAAAAGAGGUGUAUCAUCCCGAUUGGCUCGCCAAUCCGGUUCUUGUACGCAAAAAGAAUAAUGAAUGGAGAAUGUGCGUUGAUUACACCGAUCUCAACAAGCACUGUCCUAAAGAUCCUUUUGGUCUUCCUCGCAUCGACGAGGUGGUCGACUCAACGGCCGGAUGCGAACUCCUCUCCUUUCUAGAUUGCUACUCUGGUUAUCACCAGAUCUCGUUAAAGGAAGAAGAUCAGAUCAAAACAUCCUUCAUCACACCCUUCGGCGCAUAUUGUUACACUACCAUGUCUUUCGGACUUAAAAACGCCGGGGCCACUUAUCAAAGGGCCAUCCAGCAAUGCCUCCACGACGAGAUUCGCGAUGACCUCGUCGAGGCCUACGUGGACGACGUGGUCGUAAAAACAAGGGACGCGAGCACCCUGAUCGACAACUUAGACCGAACCUUCAAGGCACUCAAUAGGUACAAGUGGAAGCUCAACCCCAAGAAAUGCAUUUUCGGCGUUCCUUCCGGUCUACUGCUCGGCAACGUCGUCAGUCGCGACGGCAUACGACCAAACCCUUCAAAAGUCAAAGCCGUACUCGACAUGCGACCACCGAAGAACGUCAAGGACAUUCAGAAGCUAACCGGAUGCAUGGCCGCCCUCAGCCGUUUCAUUUCAAGGCUGGGAGAAAAAGGCCUCCCUUUCUUCAAACUAUUGAAAGCGUCAGAAAAAUUCUCCUGGACCGAAGAAGCCAACGCCGCGUUCACUCAGCUUAAGAUCUUCCUCACUUCACCGCCUGUCCUCACAGCGCCUCAGCCUAAUGAAGACCUGCUCCUUUACAUUGCUGCAACCGACAGGGUUGUUUCCACGGCAAUAGUGGUCGAGCGAGAUGAACCAGGUCACGUCUUCAGGGUCCAGAGACCCGUUUACUUCAUAAGCGAAGUUUUAAACGAAUCCAAGGCCAGGUACCCACAAAUACAGAAGCUUAUAUACGCCAUCCUGAUAACGUCAAGAAAACUGAAGCAUUACUUCGACGGCCAUCGAGUCCUGGUGACAACCAGCUUUCCUCUCGGUGACAUCCUGCGCAAUAAAGACGCCAAUGGCAGAAUCGUGAAAUGGGCAAUGGAGUUAUGUCCAUUUUCCCUGGAGUUCCAGAGUCGCACCACUGUCAAGUCCCAAGCCCUGGUCGAUUUCAUUGCCGAAUGGACGGAUCUCAACGAACCUUCCGUUCCCGAUGUCUCAGACCACUGGUCUAUGUUCUUCGAUGGGUCCUUGAACAUCAACGGUGCAGGCGCUGGGAUACUGUUCGUAUCACCCAACAAGGACAAACUCCGCUACGUCCUUAGGAUCCUUUUCCCGGCGUCAAACAACGUCGCCGAAUACGAAGCAUGCUUACACGGCAUACGACUAGCCGUUGAACUGGGGGUCAAGCGCCUCUAUGUCUACGGCGACUCUGCCUUGGUCAUCAACCAGCUCAACAAGGAGUGGGACGCAACCCACGAGAAGAUGGAUCUCUACUGCAAAGAAAUUCGCAAAUGGGAAACUCACUUCUAUGGCAUAGAGUACAUCCACGUGGUCCGGGACAAGAACCAAGCAGCAGAUGCGUUGUCAAAGUUAGGCUCAUCUCGGGCCCAGAUCCCGCGGGGUAUUUUUGUCCAGGACAUCCAUGAGCCAAGCGUAAGCCCUCCCCUGGUCGACAAGCAACCCACCGAGGCAAUGCUCAUAGAUGACGCCACUCCGGCAACCGGUGGGCGUGACUGGCGCACCCCGUUCAUCAAAUACAUAUCAGACGGAACAGGCUAUCAGGACAAAACAGAGAACGAGCGCCUCAUCCGACGGUCAAAGAACUACAUCCUGGUCGACGGAAAACUCAUGCGGAAAAACGCAAGCUCCGAAGUACUGCUCAAGUGCAUACCCCAAGACGAUGGUAUCAAGCUCUUGGAAGACAUACACGCUGGAUCCUGCGGCAACCACGCCGCAUCUAGAACGCUGGUCGGAAAGGCUUUCCGAGCAGGUUUUUAUUGGCCAACCGCGGUCGGCGACGCAGAAAAACUGGUUCGGCAUUGCGAAGGAUGUCAGUUUUUCGCUAAGAGGACCCACGUACCCGCCCAUGAAAUUCAGACUAUCCCGUCGUCUUGGCCCUUUGCUUGCUGGGGGCUUGACAUGAUCGGACCAUUUAAACCAGCCCCGGGCAACUUCAAGUUUGUCUUCGUGCUAAUCGACAAGUUCUCCAAGUGGAUCGAAUACAUGCCCUUGGUCAAGGCAACCUCCGAGAAGGCCGUGGAGUUUCUCAAUCAAAUCAUACACAGAUUCGGCAUCCCGAACAGCAUAAUCACCGACCUGGGCACUCAGUUUACUGGCACCACUUUUUGGGAUUUCUGCGAUGACAGAGGCAUAGUCAUAAAAUAUGUGUCAGUAGCACACCCACGUGCUAACGGUCAAGUCGAACGUGCUAAUGGAAUGAUCGUUGAUGCCCUAAAGAAGAGGCUGUACACCGAAAACGACAGAGCACCCGGUCGAUGGAUGAGAGAAUUGUCGGCAGUAGUCUGGGGCCUCCGAACCCAGACCAGUCGAAACACAGGGGUGUCUCCCUACUUCAUGGUAUACGGUGCAGAGGCGGUCCUGCCGGCCGACAUACACUUCAGAUCUCCUAGAAUCGAGCACUACGACGAGGCGACUGCCGACAACGCCAGGGAACUCGAAGUCAAUUGCAUGGAGGAAAAUCGUUUAGUUUCAUGUCUCCGAACAGCAAAAUAUCUCGCGGCAGUCAGGCGAUACUACAACAGGAACGUCAAGGACCGUUCCUUUGUGGUCGGCGAUCUGGUGCUUCGAUGGAAAACGAACCAGGAGGGAAUGCACAAGUUAUCCACUCCCUGGGAAGGACCCUUCGUGGUGACCAAGGUCACACGACCUACGUCCUACAGAUUGGCAUACCCAGACGGAACACGAGUGCCUAACUCUUGGCACAUCGACAAACUGCGACGAUUCUAUCCAUAACGUUUUAAUGGCUUUCUUUUGUAAGUAUCUUAUAAUUUUUGAUAAUAAGAUUCUAUAUUUCUCGCCUAUACCUUGUCGUACGCAGCACCCAGCAAAACUCCUGCAAUGGAUGCUCUUGGCGACAACCAAGACAAAUACGGUGACACGUCACUCAGACAUUCUUACAGCGCUCAAAACAACAGUCAUGACAAAAAAGAAAACUUUAUUACAAACUUUACAUACAAAGUUUACAAUAAACACCCUGACGGGCAGAUACUAGUCUAUUCCUACAGACUACUUUAUUGGCCUAGCUGCUCGGGCUGAUCACCCGCCUGGCCUUGCUGCCCGGACGAAGGGGUCGGGGCCACCGGCGCCUAGCUGGUCGAGACCGCAGGCGUCGACCGCCCAUCUCCAGCAACGGACGCGCCCGACAACUCCCUGGCCGACCUAUCUGAGCUCGGCUGGUCUGGAGGAGUGGCCGUUCCGCACAGGUUGAUGUCGCCGAUCACCGUCGACGACAAAUCCAGCAGACUACCCCGAAGUUCGUCCGCUUCCUGUGGGCCGACUUCCUUCGGGUACCCCUUCUCCAGCCUGCUCAAGUCAACCAGGGGGUAGUGGGCGCGCACCAUGCUGAGGACGUGCGCGCCGGCAAACUCUCCGGCGUCCUUCACAAACUGCUGGAGCCAGUCCCACGCCCGUUGCGCCUUCCCGACUGGGGUCAACUGCGGCGCGCGGGGCUGGCUCUCCGGGAGCUCGGGACUGAUCAGGUCCAGGACCGGGGACACUCCCUUCCAGAUCUUGCAACAGUUGGCCUUCCAGGAGUCCCGGUCCCUGAUCAGCUCAUCCAGGUGCUUCUUGGUGUUCACCUUGAGCACUGCAAACGAAAUGAAACGUUACCAGACAAGCACAGGGCAGGCAGCAAUCAACAAGGCAGCACUCAUUACCAGCUAACUCCCGGUCUUUUCGGCCCAACUCCUCUUCCGCUCGCCGCCCGGACUCCUGUGCACUGGCGAGCUGUUGGCCGAGCUGCUCCUUCUCUUGUUGGAGGCUCGCCACCUCCUCCUCCAAGUCUGCGUGAAUCGAUUAACUGGUCAGCAAAGCAAACUAUACAAGUAUGUGAAACUGCUCGGAGCGUGUGACUAACCUUCCUGCAGCCGGUACUGGUCGGCCAGGCGACGAGAGAGGUCGAGACGACGCUCCUUUUCGGCGCUCAUCUCGACCACCUUCUCUCCGACCUCCGCCCGCAACCGGUCUACCUCCGCGGCAAGGGCCUUGUUCUCGGCCAUGACGCCUUCUAUCUGGUCAAAGCACCGUUUCCGGUACUUCGCCGUUUUCAUAACGUCCUACAAAGCAAGCAUAUAAGAAUGCGCAGAAGACAAGGCAAAAGAUCGCGCGGCAGCUCAAAACGCCGCUUACCUUGACCUCGUCGACAAGGCGCUUAGCCGCGCGCUCCACCCUGGCGGCCUCUUCGGACUCGGCGAGCUCCUCAUGACCGAUAAAGUGAUCCCCGCGUUGGCGCCACACAUACACGUGUUGGCGGCCAUCACGGGGACGACCCUCGAUCUCUUCUACCUCGUCGUCGGAGGCCGCCCUGGUUUCCUCCUCCUGGGCUGCGUCACCCCCGGUGGUGGUCCCAGGCGCCACCGUCCCUUGGACCAGACCUGGGGAGCCCGCAGCCGGAGAGGCUCCUGCUCGGGGCGGCAGGGGGACUUCACUCCCCCCGGCAGGAGGAGCGGUCGGAGACUUUCCCUUCUCCGAGGAGUCAGUUGGGGGAGCCUCCCCAGCCCUGGUCGGGCUGCUUGUUGUAGUAGGCGCCGCGCUCGGGAGCCCCUCCGUGCUCCCAGGCGCGACUGCAGCUGUUGGCUGCUCUGUGGUCUGGGGGGCCGCAUCCCCAGAACCGCGGGCAGGCUCGCCCGUUCCCUGGCCAGCAGUUUGGCCAGGGUCGACAUCCGAUGCCGCACUACAGGAACAAAAGUUAAAAAAAAAAAAAAGAGAGAGGAGUCCAAAAUACGUAAGUUGAACACUUACAGGUCUGACCGCCGAUGGGUCGCGGUGAACCUCCUCCUCGCCCGGCCGGUCGGCGCCUGUGCCCCCACCUCGGCAACUUGCGGGGCAGCCGCGUCGCUGGCCACUCGAUCAGUGGCGACCGGCGCAGCGUUUGGGCGGUCCCGAGGCCGUCGGACCAGCGACGGCGCAGCCUCCUCGUCGUCCUCGUCGUCGUCGACGAUCCGCACGAGCCGACGACGCUUCGGCGCUUGGCUGCUCUCCGCCGGUAGGUCUGCCGGCAGCUCCGGCGUUGGCAAGGGAUUCGCCGGCAAUGGCCUUUUCCCCGCUACCCUCUCCUCGGAGGUCAGGACGGGGCGGGCUCGGUCUUCUUCCGACGGGACCUCUCCCACAGGAUCUUCCAUCCCCGGUGCCAGUGAUGCGUACACUACGCACCGGUCGACAUCACCGACCUGCAAAAGCAACAGAGGUGAGCCAACUGCAGACGACAUAAGAAUGAUCAAACGGGCUAUGCUACAUACCUUUGGUGCUGGUCGUCCUAGUUUGAAGGCUUGCACCCGAUCACUGCUACGGGUGAAGCCCCCAUCGGCAAAGUUAAACAGCUCGUUCAGCAGCUGUUGUACCUCCGCCUUCUCCAGGAUCUCCGACCGCAUCCUGGUCGGGUCUGCGCUUCCGGCAUAUUCAUACGCCGAGUGCACCCUCUUCUGGCAGGGCAUCACCCGGCGGCAAAUGAAGUUGCCGACCACGCUAAACCCGUCCAGGCGCGACCAGUCGAUCAGCUUCAUCAGCUCCGCCACUUGACCGUCGUACUCCGGGCGGUCGCUCCAGCUCGCCCUCUUCUCGGGAACGUACCCCACGUCGCAGAACGUGGAGCUGCCCGGUUCCUCCCUGACGUAGAACCACCUCCUGUACCAUUCGGUCAAAGAGGUGUUCCAUGGGCAGUGUAGGUAGCGGUUCUUCAUCCCAUCACGAAGGUUGAGGUAUACUCCACCUGCAACCUUGGAGCCUCCAACUGCUCCCUUCUUCCUCAGACAGAAAAGGUACCGGAAAAGAUCAAAGUGCGGCUCUAUGCCAACAUAGGCCUCGCACAGAUGGAUGAAGGUGGAAAUAAGGAGAAUCGAGUUCGGGUGCAGAUUGCAAAUCCCGAUCUCAUAGUACAAAAGAAGACCCUGUAGAAAGGGAUGAACAGGAACACCAAAGCCUCUCUUGAUGAAGUCUUCAAAAACGACGAUCUCACCGGCGCGAGGGUCGGGGUAGCUCUCCCCUUCCGGCGCCCUCCAGCCGCCGAGCUCUGCGUCGUGCAGAAGCCCCAUGUCGACGAGGUCACCAAGAGACUUUGUGGUGCUGCGAGAUUUUUUCCACUCCUUGGCCAUCAGUUCGGCCCUCUUCCUGGAAUCGCUCUUCGCCAUUAGAGGUGCGAGUGCGCGCUGGGCUAGGAAAGUGCAGGAGAUUGGAGAAGAUGAGAGCGGAAGAUUUGACGGCAAUUGCAGGAGAAGCGGUAUAGGAGGUCCUAUUAGGCCCUUAUAAACCCGCGACCCCACCUCUCCCACUUCCUGUAUUCUCGGGAAGUGGGCAGGCCAUGCGGCGGACGCGGCGUUUCAGUUUACAAUGAUUAUAGGCAAUUAAUGCGGCGGAGUUUUCGUACCAAUUGAUGGUUUCCUUUUCUCAAACCAUGCAAAGAGCGGUUGUACAGUUGCCAGGCGCGGCUUUUCAUGCAUCCGUCUGACAUAUCGUCAGGAGACCCCGUCAUGUCAAUUUUAAUGGGAAAGACUUUUUCAAAAGUAAGAAGACACAUACGCCAGUGAGUCAGCAAUCCGGGGACUGCACCGACCACCGAGCACUCGACGCUCGGGGACUGGUCGCCCAGUCUAUCAGCUCGGAACUUCAGGGACUGCACCGACCACCGAGCACUCGACGCUCGGGGACUGGUCGCCCAGUUUAUCAGCUCGGAACUUCAAGGACUGCACCGACCACCGAGCACUCGACGCUCGGGGACUGGUCGCCCAGUUUAUCAGCUCGGAACUUCAAGGACUGCAUCGACCACCGAGUACUCGACGCUCGGGGACUGGUCGCCCAGUCUAUCAUCUUGGAACCUCAAGGACUGUACCGACCACCGAGUACUCGACGCUCGGGGACUGGUCGCUCAGUCUAUCGGUUCAAGGCUUUAAGGCACGUACCGACCACCGAGCGUGAUAUGCUCGGAGACUGGUCAAUUAGUCUAUUCAAUCGCAGACGAGCAUGAUAUGCUCGGGGACUGGUAAAAUCAAUUUUUUAGACCUUGCUACAAGGCUCAUACUUCGCCUUCCAGCAAGCUCGGGGACUACAUCGGUACGAUGCAUCUUGCGAUGCAUCUCAGUCUCAAAACUACUUUGGGGAAUUUUCUUUUGACCCUGGCACCACGUGCCUACGUCACCUACUACCAGGCUCGGGGACUAAGUGGGCACACUUCACCUUGCGGUGAAUAUGCUUGCUUUUUAAAAGACUAUACUUUUUAGAAAAGUAAAGUGGGCACACUUCACCAAGAAAGAAAUUUUUUUUAAUCAAGAGCACCAUGCAUUCUUCGAACAACCUGCUUCUUCGAUGUCAAUGUUGAUCAACUGUCUUUUGAGUUGGUCAAAAUACCGUUGCAACUGUUCGGGCGACUUUCCUGCUUAUUGAAGACGUCAAGCCUCACUGAUCGAAGAAGCUCAAGACGGCGUGUUACAUCACAAUACAUGGUGCUCGGGGACUAGCUGUGGGGGUACAAACCCCUAUACCCUUACGGCUAGACUUGGGCCAGGAGGCUUGGCCCAUUACGAGACGAGUUCAAGGCUUGAUCCGACAACCUGGAGUUUCGCGCAAGGAAACAAGAUGUGGAGAUCAAGCAGGAUUCUAGUCGGUUAGAAUAGGAAUUGAUAUCGAAUUAUCCAUGGCAAUUGUAACCGACUAGGAUUAGUUUCCAGAUCUGUAACCCUGCCCUCCGGACUAUAUAAGGAGGGGCAAGGGACCCCCCUAGGACACAUCAUAAUCUCUCAACACAAUCCAAUACAACCCGACGCAGGACGUAGGUAUUACGCCAACUCGGCGGCCGAACCUGGAUAAAAAGCUUGUCCGUGUCCUGCGUCACCAUCGAGUUCGUAGUUUGCGCACCGUCUACCGAUAAACUACUACCGUGGGUAUACCCCAAGGUAGACUGCCGACCAGCUUUCGUCGACAAAGCUCUAACUAGAGAUGGAGCUACAUUUUUCCAGCUCGAAGAAAAUAAACUAGGAGGUAUAGUAUAGAUCCAGAAACCAAGUGAUAAAAAAGCUAGAGGUGUCCUAUUGGCAAGGCUCUACUUAGGCCAGUCUCAGUGGGGGGUUUCAUCAGAAUGUCAUGCACAUUUAUUAGAGUGUCAUAUCAGCAAAAUUGUACUUUUUGCAUGAAACGAAGAGGAGAGAGAAGGAAGUAGUUUCACCAUGGUGAAACCUCGUGGGCGUUGUUUCCCACGCGGUGAAACGGGAUGAAAUCACCACUGAGAGCUAAAUCGUUUCACCAUCUUGCAUGUGAUCCAAUCAUUUUGCAGUAAUUAAAUGCUUUGCCCAGCUUAGAAAAUGUCAAGGUGAAACUCAUGCAUUGUGGAGGUUGUUUCAUUAUUUGUUUCAUUGAUAUCCUGUCAGCGGAUUUGUUUUGAAAACAGUGCAUUGAAACGGGCCACUUAGACUGGCCUUAGAUCUACGGUGGAUCUCAGAUUUGUGGCCCAGCUAAACACAUAGUAGUGGAAUCGGUAGAGCAGCAGAACCAUGUUAAACACGUGCCUAUAGGCCAUAGAGUUGGUGCUCUCUUUAAUUCGAUGUAUCACCAUGCAGGAUUGUACUGUCUUUUAUGUGAUGAGAACAAGAGAUGCAGCUUAUAUAUGUAAAGAAGCUUUAAUUUUAUUUUUGCAAUGAAUGUGAGCCUCUUGCUCUUACAUAUACUGAAAUUAUAUAUAUAUAUAUAUAUAUAUAUAUAUAUAUACACACACACACACACACACACACACACUCACUCACUCACUCACACUGAGUAUGAAAAAAGUACAUAUAUAGUAUAAAAUAUUUUUUCUUAUAUAUAAUAAAACAAAGUAAUAGGAAGUUUAUUAAGCUAUGCAUAUGUGUGUGUGUGUGUGUUUGUGAAGUACACUGUACAGCAAUUGGCCGGAGAACCCAUACUAUUGUAGCCCUGCACCGUUAUUGUGUGGUCACACAACUUUAGUGAAAGUGUCGUGGUAUGAUGUGUACCCGUCCAUUUCACCGUCGACCUAUCUGGAUGUACGUACACUUUAUAUAAAAGUUAGAUGUGCAUACACAAAUGCAAUAAUCUCUCGUUGAUGUCUACUAUGGCUCCGUAUCUAUCGCUCGUGCAAAUACUGUUGUGGCCGGUGAUCGAUCAACGAUGUGGAUGUUUUCAGUUCAUUCAGUUGCACCACCUGCAUGUUGUCCAACCAAGCAAUGUAAAGUAAUAAAGCCUACACUACACACGUAUCGUACGUAUUGUAUUGUAUUCCGCAUGUGCGCCGGAAAAUGGUACUCGUGUGUAUUUAUGCAUUCAUACAGGCAGGCAUGUCCACGUUUCGAAAAGAGAAAAAUUAAAGGCGGUUUAAUUGUACUUUGGUUCUUUGGUUGUUGGUAUAUACCGCACGUUUUAAGUAUUCCAUGUAUAUGCAUCCAGCAUGUACAAAUAAUAUCCUAUCCCAGUCAAAAUGAUAAAAGAAGGGCUAUUAUUGGUCUUGAUUAAUUGACCAAGUGCACUUUAUUUUUCACUUGACAAGUAAGUAUCCCAGAUUAUCAGUAGCAUAUAUAUUCAUGGGUUUACUAUACAAAAGACUACUGCAAUAGCUAUAGCUAUAUAGUGGGAUCAGAGUCCACAUCUUGAGGUUAUAUAUGUCCAAGAAAUUAAAUGCGUAUUAGUUAGAGGGUACUGCCAUCAGUGGUAAAUCGAUCUCUGGAUGCAUUGAUGAUGCAUAGCCAUGGACGCGUUUUCCUAGCUCAUCUCUCCUUACUACUUAUAUAGUUAAAUCCAGUUUGUGGCUAAAAAAGGCUCUAGCUCAUCCAAACAACUACCUAGGGCCUUGUUUCGUUCACACUGGAAACCAAAAAGUUUUCAAGAUUCCCUAUCACAUCAAAUCUUUCGGCACAUGCAUGAAGCAUUAAAUAUAGACGAAAAUAAAAACUAAUUGCACAGUUUACCUGUAAAUUACGAGACGAAUCUUUUGAUCCUAGUUAGUCUAUGAUUGGAUAAUAUUUGCCACAAACAAAUGAAAUUGUUACAGUAGCGAAAUCUAAAAUCUUUUCACAUCUAAACAAGACCCUAGCUUAUAUGGCUCCUCCACACCUAGAGCUCAUCUAGAGGAGUAGAUUGGAAUAGAUUUGGAGCUUGUUUGGCUACAUUCAUAUUAUUCUCAACUCACGUGGAUUAGAAUAGGUUGAGACAAAAAAUAGUAAAUUUUCCACAAAUCCGUUCGCUUGUUUUAUAAGCCGGACUUUUUUCUAUCAACCAGUAAUAUUUUUUUCUCAUAAUAAAUCAGCGAACAAUACUUUUAACCAUGACUUUUCAGACAAGCAAACGGUCCAUCCUAAUACAUUUGAAUUGAGAUGGAUAUCAUAUGAGUGUGGCCAAACAGCACAACAAAAUCUUCAAGGACGAUAUUAUGAGAUCGGCCAUCAUACUGUCCACAGCGUGUGCGGGGCUAAAAUUGAGUUCGUACAUGCCAAUGGGUAUCGAUGCUAGGACUUCUAUGUUCUCACAACGUCGGCACCGGUGCUUCCUCUGUGUAGGCGUGUGUAGGCCACUGACAGCCAUACAGCAGGGGCCAGCACCAACCGUAUGGCAGGGCAUGCUCGCAGGCAAGCCACAUACCUCGGGGCCAAGGAAUACAAUUGUUUAUUCUUUGAGCACUGAUGAACCUACAUGCCUCGGCUCAAAGAAAUUUAAACUUAGCAUCGCUAUAUCUAUAAUGUUUCUACCAAUGCCCCAUUACUCUCUCUUCUUUCGCAAAUUCGCACAUUGUGGGUAGUCUCAGGCCGUGUUUAGUUUCUGAUGAGAAAAAUUUCGCGACACUGUAACACUUUCGUUUGUUUGUGGUAAUUAUUGUCCAAUCAUAGAUUAACUAGACUCAAAAGAUUCAUCACUAUAUAAUUAAUUUUUAUUUUCAUCUAUAUUUAAUAUUUCAUGCAUACAUCUAAAGAUUUGAUAUGACAGAAAAUCUUGAAAAAUUACCUCAGUGCAUCAUCAUAGUGUGAUGACGGCGAAGAACCGUACGGCGGCGGUCAGUGCACGACACUGCAUGAGAACAGUGGCAAAGCAGGCAGGGGACACAGUAGGACUACAAGGACAUGAUGGAUCAUCGGAGGGCCGUACAAAAGGCGCAGCACACACGUGUCCAAACAAACAUGCUUGAUGACACAGAAAUUAAGCUAGCUGAUGAUGAUGGAGCUCAAAAGAGAUUACUGUCGCGUACUGUACAUUUUUUAUCUGUAGCCAGCACACGUGUCAAAAUAUAAUUGCAUGUACACGUACGGUACAGGAAUAUCUCGUGUAUAAACAAAAGGGCCGGAUUACGAAGGAAUAUACUUGUAUUUUUUUUUUGUACACAUAAAAACUAUGCGCAAAUGAGAUGACAUUAGGUCAUAUUUUUGCCACAUCAUCAUCAUAUAGGUCAAUAAAUACAAUGUAUAGCGAGCCAUACGCAUAUGCACAAGUACUGAAUUGUAGAUUGCUUUGGCGGUUGCUCUAAAAAGGAAAGAUAUAUAGCUUACUGGUUAAGGUUGUAAUAAUGCAUCUCGUCCAUAUGCAUAUUGAUAAAGCAAAGCAAAGCGAGGGGUGUGUGUGCGCAUGGCAGCCGCCGUACGUACCUUAGGCCUUGUUUAGUUGGCAAAAUUUUUUGUUUUUGACCAUUGUAGCAUUUCGUUUUUAUUUGACAAAUAUUGUCCAAUCACGGAGUAACUAGGCUCAAAAGAUUAAUCUCACAAAUUACAGGUAAACUGUACAGUUAGUUUUUAUUUUCGUUUAUAUUUAAUGCUCCAUGCAUACGAUAAAAAAUUUGAUGUGACGGGAAUCUUGAAAAUUUUUGCGAACUAAACAAGGCCUUAGAUCUACCGCAUGAUAUUUAUGAUAUGAUGUGCAAUCGAUCGAUGGACACAUGAACGAACAGCCGACAUCGGGACCGCAAAAACACAAAACUAUACUGCUGUGUCAACUCAACUGUACUGACCCCAGCUGCCUUCCUGCUAGAUCGGAUGGAUCUUUCAUAUCGUCUACGUACAUAUAUAGCUUUGGCUUUGUUUAAAUCUAGUAUGUGAAAUUUUAGAGUGUCACAUCGGAUGGGUAUCAUAUAGGUGUUUGAUAUUAAUAAAAAAUAAAUUACAAAACUUAUUAGUAAACCACGAGACGAAUUGAAUAAGCCUAAUUGAUCUAUCAUUAGCACAAGUAUUAUUGUAGCACCAUAUUUGUCAAAUUAUGGACUAUUUAGGCUUAAAAAUCCAUCUCACAAAAUAGUCGUAAUUUGUGCAAUUAGUUAUUUUUAGUCUGUAUUUAAUACUUCAUGCAUGUGUCCAAACAUCUGAAAUGUUAGGCUGUAAACUUUAGGGGGAGAAACUAAAGAAGGCCUUAAUUGCCAAAUUAUAGCUCACACUUUGCCUUUCUUCUAAGUGAAGCUUCUCUAAUAAUAUUGAUUGAAGUUUUAGAGAAAAAAUUUUAACACACGUAGAAGACAAAAAAAUAUAUUAUCGAAACAUAAAGCAUAGACAUGUCUACAAACUUAGUUAAAAAUAGAAAAAAAACUUUACUUAGAACAAAACCAAAGUGAGCUAUACUCUAGAAUGGAGAGAGAAUAACAUGCAUGUACAAUAAUAGUGGUGUCAUGUCAGACACUGCAUAUGCAUGCUUUUGAACCAAGGCCUUGUUUAGUUCCAAAAAAAUUUGCAAAAUAGUUACUGUAGCACUUUUAUUUGUAUUUAACAAAUAUUACCCAAACAUGAGCUAACUAGGCUCAAAAGAUUCAUCUCAUAAAUUACAGACAAACUGUGCAAUUAGUUAUUAUUUUUAUCUAUAUUAAAUACUCCAUGCACACGCCACAAGAUUUGAUUUGAUGGGGAAUCUAAAUUUUUUUGUAAUUUUUUUUGGAACUAAACAAGGCCCAAGUAUUCCCUCUCUCCCCUUUUAUGUGGUUGUCAUGGGAUUCGUGUGAGUUAAACUUCUAUAUUUUGACUAGGUCUCUAGAAGAUAUUAGAUAUAUGUGUAUAUCCAAAUAAAUUUAUUAUAAAAACAGAUUUAACGAUUUUGUCUAACUAUACUAAAUAAUUUUGUACCAACAAAUUAAUAUCAUUAUUUUCUUAUUUAUAUUUGAUCAAAGGUUGAGUAUGUUUGGCUUCUCGAAAAGUGAGAAUGAUGAGGGGGAGGGCAGAGAGAGUAUAGCCUACCUAGCUAGAGAUUCAUGGGUCUCAGUAUCUCACUCCUUUUGUUGUGGGCAUACAAUGUUGAUCGCCCACCACCCCUUCCUCACCCAUCUUCUAGCCGUGUGAAUCUCUUUCACCUCGUCAUGUCAUAACAUAUACACCUAUAUAGUCAUCAUCCACUCACUCAUCGAAUGUAUUACCACAUUCCAAAUCCAUUAAUAUGAUUAUUCCUUCACCACUCUAUGUGUGCUUGGGCAGAUGAUGAUAAACAAACAAUCUCACAAUAUAUAUGUAUGCAUGUAGCUUCAUCUAUCUAUUAUCGAAGACUUGCAUGGGAUUUUGUUUACUCCACACUACCCACUUGCAUUGUGAGGCACUUUUCCUUUAGAGCACCAAGCUAUAGUGAAUGACAUGUGAGGUGUGGUCUUAUAUUAUUAUUGAAAUAAGAGUAAAAAAUGCACUAGCAACCCCUAAUUUUACCAUGAACCUCAAAAAAUGUAUCUUUAGGUCUAUAAAACUUUUAGGUUGUUCACCACAAGUUCAUAUUCUUCCACACGAUAGUCACUCUGACUAGAAACUAGGAUAAAGUUUCUAUAUCCAUUACAGUGCUAACGAAGCAAAAUAAUGAUGAAAUAUUGGAAUUAAUAAAAAGAUAGAUGAGGAAAUGGUUUUUUACAUAAGAAACUAUGUCUACCAAGUUAUGAAGAGACGUAAUAAUUAGAUGAUGGAGAGAGAAAAUACUUGAUUGGAUAAAAAAUAUUUUUUAAAAAAUCCAAUAGAAACAUGACGUUUAUGUGUAGUGUCUAUAUAAUCGAAUAAAAAACUCUUAUUGGUUGGGACUACUCUCGAUCUCUGUAUCAAAAUGGUGUGCAUUCUACGGAGCAAGCAUGGGCCUAGCCCCUUGUGCGCCCAUGGGCCUAGCUCAGAGAGGGAUUUCCAUCUCGGCCCAUGAGCCCAUGGAGGAAUAGUAAUAUUUUAUUUUAUUGUAUUUUUGUUUGUGGCAAUGGCAAAUUCCAGUCCAUAGAAACAAGAAAUAGGAAGGCAUGCAUAUCCAAGCCACGAAGCUGCAUCUGUGGCCUGACCCUGAUCCCGUCCGUCGUCUCCGGCGGGCAAGCGCAAGAAGAGAUCCCACGCCGUUGUCUCCUCUACCUCCACCCAUGGCGGUUUCCACCUUCAGCGGCGACGAGACGACACCCUUCUUCGGCUUCCGUGGCACCGUCACAGCGCUCGUGUUCUGCUAUAAGAAGCACCCAUCAGAUCUCCCUUUCCCCCAUCGGAUCCAUCCAUAUUCCUCACACCCCUCACCCUCUCUCUCUUUUUGAUGAUGCCUAGGCAUGGGUGCCACCUACGGGAUGGCUAAGAGCGGCGUCGGCGUGGCUCCAUGGGCGUCAUGUGCCUCAAGCUCGUCAUGAAGUCUAUCAUUCCCGUCGUCAUGGCCGAAGUGCUCGGCAUCUGCGGCCUCAUCAUCACCAUCAUCAUCUCCACCAGGAUCAACCCGAAGGCCAAGCCCUACUACCUCUUCGAUGGCUACGUGCACCUCUCCUCUAGACUCGCCUGCGGCCUUGCGAGGCUCACCGCCGACAUGGCCAUCGACAUCAUCAGAGAUGCUGGAGUCAGGUGUUGUCUAACUCUGAUUCCAGUUGUCAUCCUUUGCACUUGUCCUAUCUGAUUUUAAACACAUUUUGACUGACAUUAUCAUCAUGAUAAGUGAUUUUCAGUCAAUUGGAUCAAUCAAUUAGCAAUGUAGGAUGGGUGAUUUGAUUAGUCUAGCCUACUAUCAUGAUAGUUCCCAGGCUAAUUGAUUGAUGGAAAUAAGUAGAUUUUCCAUCAUGUAGUCUUGUUAACCGAUUGAUGAAAAUGAGUACAUUUUCUAUAUUCUGUUGCUUGAUUGAUGAUGACAACAACUUCCUUUCUUGCAUUAGGCAACUAUGCUUACAACUACAGAUGAGUUAGUGUGUCUAUAUGUUGGUUUACCUAUGCUAUGUUUUUCAUUUAAGACGUGAUCUGUUACUAUGUGUUGUUUGUGGCUAGAAUAUCUAUGGCCCUGUGGCUCUCUAGCCUCUGAACUUGACAAAGAUUCACAUUGUGUUCAUGUGUUGCUACUUUCUCUAAAUUGGGCAUACUUCAACCUCAGUAGUUAUGUAUAUCAAAGUUGUCCAUAUUUGACCCUAGAAAAAUUGUAAUAAAGAGAAAAGCUCGUUCAUGAGGUUGGGGUGUCCAUUUAACAUGCAAACUAGAGUGUCCAUUUGACCUUGCAAACCUUCAUGAAUCAUGAGGUUGAUUGAUGCUUAUAAAUUACAGAUGAGUUAUUUUCAUUAAACUAUGCUUCUCGGUUAAGAGUUAAGACUUUUUUAGCGUAACAUGAUACUAUGCCUUUCUCGAGGACAUAUCAAUGGCCCUAUGUUGCAGCCCUUGAAUAUCAAAGAACCAAAUAUUUUUCACUAUGUUGCUACUUCCACUGAAUUGAGCAUGCUUUAGUAAUUGCAUAUAGCAAUAUUACCUAUUUUUAGCUCCUUUGCAUCUCUCAGGCACAAACCUGUUUUUUGCUCUGGUUUUGAAUUUUGCAAUUCACACUCCAUUCCAGCUAUGUUAAUUUCAUUUCACAAUUUAUUCCAAGGAUUGGUGUUUUUAAGAUACUCAUAUGUAACAUUGUUCCAUGUGAGCUAGGCAUGUUCCCUGGACUUGGGCAGGGGAGAAAUUGUUAAAGGCAUGUGUCCUGUGGGCCCUGUGGCAUUAAGGACCCCUUUUGUCAUUUUGGUUGUUGAAAAUUUGGUGAUAUCUGAAGAUCUUAGCUCUCAGUUGUGGAAUCCCUAAAACUUUCAUAUGCCAAUACCAUAACUAGCAAUUUGCCUCAAUUUUUCUCAGUUAUCCUGCUUUAACGAGUUUCUUCAAUGAAUGCCUUGCAAACACUUUUAUUUGUUUCUAUUGCUAUGUCAUGCUUCAGUACUUUUGAAGCUAUGAUGUACCAAGUUUGUUCAAGUUGAGUACAAAUAAUAUGUCAUUGUACCUAGUAGUUUCUGUUAUUUGUUGCUUGUAUGCACUAUGUUUUAUUAUCAAGUGUUACGUCGCUAAAUUUUCUACAUAUUAGCCUUUGUUUGCAGUUAGCUGGCACUCUUGUCUUAUUUCUAGUUGACAUGCUUUAACAUAUUUGUAAAUGGAUGUUGGGAAAAUAGUUUAAUUGGUUUCUUUUCUUACCUUAGCUUUUUGUACGUCUAGAGCUCUCGUGUACUAAGUUUAUUCAGACUGAGCAUAAAUAGUAUGUUGUUAUAGAUAGCAGUUUAUUUUAUUCAUUGCUAGUAUCCACUAGAUUUUUCUUAUCAAGGGGUAUAUAUUCUCUUACAUAGCCAAAGUUUGUACAGCUCAAACCUUAUAUAGUUAUAUCUAGCAAGUUAUCAACUUGUCAUUCCUAUCUUAUUCUGAUUCAUCUCCUCUCCAGGGCAAAUGCACAACAACCACGGUUAUUUGUGGGCAUGAUUCUGAUUCUUAUCUUCGCCGAAGCUCUUACUCUAUAUGGUCUCAUCGUCGACAUCAUCCUCUCAUCUUCGUGCUGGCCAAUCUCACGCUGAUUAGAAGGCUUGAUAUAUGGCACAUGAGUCAUCUGCCACUAUAUUCAAAGUGUUUCUUUCUCGGUGAACAUUGAGGGAUCACGAGCCUGUUCCACCUUUAUAAUAUUAUAUUACUAUUCUGUGAAGACAAACCUAGCUAGUGCUUGUAGUUGUGUUGUUGUAUUUAUUUGAAAUAAUAGGCAGCAGGCCCCGAAUGUGAUGAAUAAUAAGCAAGUUGACCUAGCUAGUGCUCUCUCUCUCUCUCAUGGGGUGUUGGUGAUGCCAUAUUGCCAUUGUUGACUACGACUGCAUGGAUGAAAAUUGCUAUUUACAUCUUGUUCAUCUAAUAUCAUGUUCAUCUAGCUGUCUAUUUACAUCAAUUUUUUUAAUUUAGUGCAAGAUUAAGUAUACAAAUUGUGUGACAGGGUAGAUUAUUUGUGCACAUCCCAUUUAACUAAGGUUGGAGGCUGGAGCAAAUCAUUAUAUAACACUUACCUCUUAUUAACUAAGGCCUCCUUUUAUUUAUAUAGUAAAAAAUGGAGAAAAACAUAGCAUUGGAAAUUCAUAGGAAUUGCUAUUGCCUAUUACUUUAGUUCACACGAAUAUAGUAUAUACAUAGUGUAGGAAAUUUUUCUUUGACCGUUGUUUUGGAGGAAAUUUAACAUCCACUCAAACCACUUGGUAGAAAUCUUAUAUUUUUUUUCUAUGGCCUAUGUAAGUUUCGCAAUUGUAUUCAUGUGGAAUUUUUUGUUCUCAUUUAUGUCUUUUUUUUUGCUUUCCUAUGUUCCAAAGGAGGUCUAACUUAUCAUUCCGUCAAAAUUCUUGUGUGUUUCCAAUGGUCCGUUUCACAAUUUGUUCAUGUGGAAAUUUUAUAUUGUUCUUAUUUCUGUAUUUUUUGCUUUCCUAUGUUCCAAAGGAGGUCUAAGUUAUUCUAAGCUCAUUAGGAAUGCGGUCUCUUGAUGCAACGUUUUUAGAGUGGAACCAAUUUCGCUUCUAGUUCUAAGUUAGGUAUUCUAUGUCUCUAGAAACUAAUUUUAUUUACAUCGUGGCAAGCGUCGAGAGCACCACCUCUCAAAAAAAAAAGAAACUGAUUUUAUUUGGUAUCUCUUGUUUUCCAAGAGAAAUAGUUUGGAGUAUUCCUACCAAAGACGCUCCAAAUAGUAAAAGUGCCCACACUUGGUAUUUUAUAACUAGGGGUGCCAAGUGUAGAAAAAUCAAUGUUCUCCAUGUCUUGAAAAACUACCACCACCUGGAAGCAAGGUUUCAGGCCCUGUUUGGUACCACCUUUACUUAGAUUCUAAGUGAAAUAAGCCUGUCAAAUGGUCACGACCGCCUCCAUCAUGAACACAACGUUCGCGUCUGAUUUUGGCCCCGCAACAACGAUUGGAAACGCGAGCUUAGCCUCGUGAUUUUGAAAUUGCAAACUCGCUUCCUUGCCCGUCCCUCACUCCCAUAUGCUCCAUUCCGAUCAUUAGUUCCCCUCCCCGCCGCCGCCUCCCUCCAGCUUAGGGAGACUCUCCUGCCCUCGUCACCUCCCCCAAGCCUGGCCCGCUAGCGGUGCCACCCCCUCCACCUCAGGGCCCCUCUUCGGCCCGACCAUCGCCUCCCCAUGGCUAGAUCUACCACCAGCGGGCCAGAUCCCCUUCCCUCCUCUCCACCAGAUCUGCAGCAAAGGUCGGCUCUGGAUCCCUUUCCCUCCAUCGGAUCUGUAGCAAGGGUAGACAACCUCGACGACCUCCACCAAGCUGGUGACACUAGAUCAUCUCCCCACAGCAGACUGCCCUCUAGCAAGGUGAGCAUGCAAGCUCUUCUACUCUUUGCGCAGCACCUGCAUGUGCAUUUGAUGUUUUUUUCUAGCUCAAAGGUCAAUGCAGGAUUUAGUGUUGUUGCUAGAAAUUCAAAUUUGUUGCACUUUAUAGAUGGAAAAACCAGCAAAGCCUAAAGCAAAAUGGGAUCCUUUUGUCGCCAAAGUUUUCAAUGAAAUAUGAGUAGAAGAAGUGCUUGCCCAUAAUAGACCUAACAAUUGCUUGAAUAGUGUGGGUUAUGCUAAUUUGGUGAAGAAGUUCUUUGAGCAAACAAAGAGGCCACAUGACAAAGAGCAAAUGAAGAACAGAUGGGAUGCACUAUAGAAGAAAUAUACAAAGUGGAAGACCUUGAACAUGAGAGCCACUGGUUUGGGAAGGGAUCCUGUGACCGGAUGUAUUUCUGCCAGUGAUGAAUGGUGGACAGAGCAAAAUAUGGUGAGUAGUCAUCAUUUUGUAUUUCAUUACUUAAGAUGACAUCCUCUAAUUAUUCUCAUUUAAUGUUUCAGGCUAUGCUAGGUUGUAUAUCUUUCAAAUCUAUAGUUCUUGAGCACGAGGACAUGAUGCGAAUAAUGUUUGAUGUUAUUAAUGUGACUAAUGACACCUUAUAUGUUCCUGGAAGUGGUCAUGAUGAUGCAGAGGCUAAGGAGCAUGAGGCCAGACAUGGUGAUGGUGAUAGUGAGAGAGUCGAAGGGACUGGUUCACCUGAGGUCACACCAAAUGCUAAUAAAAGGCCAGCACAAGGUUUCCCCUAUGGAAAGAAAAAGAAGACAUAUAGAGAUCAACUUAUGAAGAGGUUGGUCGACACAUAUGAGAAGAAGGCCCAAAGCAGUAAAAAUUCAGCAACUUCUCAUGUGUUUGAUCUUGUUAGGGAUGAGAUUGGGGCUAUGUUGGGGCAAGUCAUUGAUGAUGGAGCUGAAGAAGGGAGUGACGAACACUACUAUGCCACCCAACUUCUUAAGAAAAAGGAAAACCGUGAUGUGUUUAUUACUUUGAAGACUCCAAAUGGGAGGCUUAAUUGGCUGAGGAGGGCAUGGGAGGACCGGAACAAUUAGUGUUGUUAUGUAAUCAAAUAAAUUGUUGAGUUCCAGAGAUUAUUUGAUGUUUUAUGUAAUGGAAACAUUAUUUGAUGUUUUUUGUUAUGACUAUGCUUGUGCGAAUAAUUAUUUGGUGUAUAUGUUGCCUGUUGUUUCUUUUGUUGUUUCUUUUCUCAUGCUUCAUAAUGUGUAUAUUUUAGGUGAUGAGACCAAGAUGCGGUUCACAUUUGUUGUCAUGCGUUGGGCUGGAUCUACUCAUGACACUUGGGUAUUUUUGGAUACUUUAAUCACCUACAAGGCUACAAGGAUAAAUUUCCACAUCCACUUAAAGGCAAGUAGUACCUCAUUGAUUUCGGGUAUCCUAAUAAAAAGGAAAUUUAGCACCUUACAAGGGACAAAGGUAUCAUGUGCCUGUAUGGCAACAUGCUUGACAUCCAGUGGAUCAAAGGAGGUGUUCAUUUAUGCGCAUACAUCCCUUCCAAAUGUGAUUGAGUGGUCAUUUGGAGUUCUCAAGAUGAAGUGGUGCAUUCUCUUGCAUUUACCUAGCUAUCCGAUUGAGAAGCAAUCAAAGAUUAUCGUUGUUUGCAUGGCUCUUCGUAUGGCAUGCAUGAUGAACAUUUUGAAACCUGUGGAAGACAUUAGUGGUGUUGGGUCUCAAGUCUGUUGGAUCCCAAGUUCCUCCAGUUGAUGGUAGUGUUUCAGUGGAUGAUAUUGAUAUGGGUGCUUUCUGUGAUGCUAUUGCUUCUACUUUAGUUGGGGUGAUCCAUGGGGAACAUCCCAACUACCAUUUUUUAGCCAUAUUUUCUGUUCGACUCUUGUGGGGCUCACUUUUCAUAUAGCUAUUGGAGGAGAUAUAUUGGGGGUACUGCUGCAACAACUCCCUUAAUAUUGACAAAAGAUGAUAUUGGGAUAGCCCAAUAUACAUAUAUUUGGGAAAGUUUAUUGGAGAACUGCUGAAGAUGCUCUAAGGAUCCUCUCUUAUGAGUAGCUGUGGAGGGAACAUGGGGAGGUUGGAGGGGAUGUUAGCAAGUACUAGUGGUGUCAGACUCGCUAAGUAGGGGAGAUACCUCUAAAGAAAGAGUAAGGAUUGUGAGGAGCAAGAGCAACUCCAAGAGUCCCUUUAUAUCCUUCCUAUUUGAUAGGAAUAGAGAUUUUGGUAAAAAAAAAAAACCUCCAACAACUUCUUUAAUUGGAUACAUAGAUAUAAUUCUCCUCUAUUUUGGAUUCCUCACUAGCCAAAGAUGGAGAGCAAGGUUGGCUCUUUACAGUACGGUGUACAAAAGCUAUUAGAGAGUAGAAAUAUAUAAAAGCGAUUUUUAUUGAAAUAACUCUCAAAAUGAUGAUUUAGAAAGUGAGUUUUAGAAAGACUCUUGGAGAUACUCUAAGGAGAUAAGUGAGUUGACUAAUUCCAUAGAUUGAUACUCCCUCCAAUAAAAAAACAUGUCGGUAAGGGUGAGGCUUGGUUAAACCUAAGAAAAAACCAUACAAACAUCGGUAACUAUUGCUAGUUCAGAAAAUAAAUAAAUUGAGGACCAAGUAUUCCAUGGAAUUAUUAAGGUGAACUACCUCAACCCAUCUUGUGAUCCAAAAUAAAGUUGCGAGGGACGAUAGUACCUAAGAGCCAGAGAGACAUUUGGAAUAGGAGGGAGUAUAGUAUAUAUAUGUAGAUUUGUAUCCAAAAUACUUACAUACUUUCUCUGUUCCAAAUUAUAAGUCACUUUAACUUUUUUAGUAUAUGUAUUUUUCUAUGCAUCUAGAUAUAAUAUUAUGCUUAAGUAAAAUAGAUGAACGUAAAAAAUGUUAAAAAAACUUAUAAUUUAGAAUAGAGGGAGUAAUAUCUUAUAUUUGAAAAAUGUUAAUGUCUACAGACGAAACAUAAUAAUAUCUUGUAUUUAAAAAAUGGUCAGAGAGUAUUAUGUAAGGAGUGCCAUUUAGGCCUUGUUCAGUUCGCAAAAACGGGUGAAAAACGGCACUGUAGCACUUUCGUUUUUAUUUGACAAAUAUUGUCCAAUUAUAGAGUAAGUAGGCUCAAAAGAUUCAUCUCGCGGUUUACAGAUGAACUGUGCAAAUAGUUUUUGUUUUCAUGUAUAUUUAAUGCUUCAUGCAUGUGCCGCAAGAUUCGAUGUGACGGGGAAUCUUGAAAAAUUUGCGAACUAAACAAGGCCUUAGCAUUUGUCAAGUCAAUGUCAAAAGGGAAUAUAAUUCGGAGGCUAAAGAUCUGCGUUGAAUUGCUCUGAGAUUCGCGCAGCAACACUGCUACACUAGGGGACUCGUGACGGAGGGGAGAAAGCAAAAGAAGAGGCAUUCUCCGGCCGCCGUUAAACCCGGGACGCCAGCAAAGCAAAGGUGAGCUCCGACCGACCGACCGGCCCGAACCGACCGAGAACCCCAGCCGCCGCAGCCGGCGAGAGAGGGAGACACAAACGAAACCCUAGUGAGGAAGUCCCUCCACGCCACAGCCAAGAAGGGAGGGGGAGGCGAUGGAGUACCCGGCGGCGGCCGCCGGAUCGGGGGGCCACAAGUACUACUACCCGCCGCAGCACUCGCAGCCGCAGGCGCUUCGCCGCCCGCCGCGCCCCGCCGCUCGGUGGGUCAAGCAAUGGUGCGUCCUUGGCUCCUCUCCCUCUCUCUCUUCUUGAGAAGGAGAGAAUUUCCGUUUCCUCUGACUGGAAUUCACCUGAGCUAAUAAAUUGCGCGCGCUGCAUUGUUCUUGGUUGCGCUUGGUUUCCCAGGAUCCCGCAGGAUCUCGCGUCCUCCGGCGGCAAAUGCUCGCUCUUCAAGUGGGUCAGAGGUACUAACUGUUUGUUCCUACUAAAUCUCCCCCUUUUUCUUCAUUCCCUUGGUUUCCCCCUUCACUGAGGUUGUAUUGUAAGAUAUACAUGGGUUCUUGAAUCUGUCACAAGAGUCUAGGUCUAGAUGUUCAUUGGUGACGCCGAUGCUUCAUUCAACUAGAGCAGUAGCUAAGGGCAGAUUUGUGGUAGUCUACCGCUAGCUAGCCAGCGAUUACAAGUUACUUACAACCCCUUUCCUUACCUGUGUGCAGAGGAUAGGUACAGGAACUCCAAGGAGAACCCCAGAGUGCUGGAUGUAGAAGCCCCCAAGCCUGAACCCACCACAGAGAUCCUCUUCCUCUGCAGCUACGACAACUGUGGCAAGACCUUUGUUGAUGUCAGCGCGCUCCGCAAGCAUGCUCAUGUGCACAACGAGAAGCAGUAUAUCUGCAACGAGCCCAACUGUGGGAAGGUAUCUCCGCCUAGAUCUGGAUUGGAACUAGCAUCAGUACCACAUACUUUUUGUUUGUUAUUGCAAUAAAAAUAUGCACUUGGGCCUUACUGUACUUAUGUACUCUCAAACAUAAAACACCUCGAGAUGUUCUUGUUUAACUGAAUAUGUCUGCCACUCAGAAUGUACCUGUCUAGUCUUUAUCCUGAGUUCCUGAGCAGUCCUGUUAUUUAUAAUUGCAUUGUUUUUCUAAGAUUUACUUAUUAAUUACAUUUGAACUAAUGGCAAUGUAAAUCAUAACUGAAUUUGAUUGUACCUAUCAUACUACAAAGACUUAAACAAAAACUAUACAUUCAUUUUUCAGCUCUUUUGCCCUGUCUUGUCUUAUAAACCGCAUGUCACAUAUUAUAUAUGUUGAGAACUUUCAAAUUGUCAUUGUAGACCCUAACUACUUAGUUGUUCUAUCUGGCAGAAAUUUGUUGAUAGCUCCAAGUUGAAGAGACAUUAUCUUACCCACACAGGACAAAAGGAUUUUGUCUGUCCACAUCCAGGCUGUGGUAAGGUAAUCACCCUAUCCCUCUCUAGGAAUGCACUUAUAAGGUAUCAUGGAUGUCUAGUGCACUGUGGCUCUUUUGCUUUCAACCAUCACCACACCCUUAUCUUUUUGGAGUUGUAGAUAUCCAUGCAUAGCAAAUGUUGUAUUGAAUGGUGAACUGUCAUAUGGUAUUUUAAUUCUCUGUAAUUCAAGAUGUUCCUUUGAUGUUUAUAGUUCAACCUAAUCUCUAAUUUCAUUGGAUGCAUCCAGCCCCAUUGUAUGUUCGUAUACUCAAGUACUCUGUUGCUGUGUUCCCAAACUUGUGGCUAAAUUUUGGGCUUUAUACAAUGGAAACUUCCAAUGUGCACAUCCAUGACACCAUGAAUGACUUGUUUGGAGUACUUGUUUUUCCUUCAAAAAAUAGGUCCUUAACUAGCCCAGCCUUGUUUUUCUUUUCUUGGUGUCAGUGGCAGGCGUCACCCAGCCCUGUUCAAAUGCCAUUUGGGGGACAAUAGGAUGGUGGCAUGACCCAGAACAUUCUAGUCAACUAGUCCUUGGCAGUUCCUUUCUGUUAAUGUGAAUGGAUAUCUUUUCUUAGAGUCGUGUGUCUUUGGCUAUAGUGCAUUUACAUUUUCAAACAAACAAAUGUUUUCAAUUUCAGGCCUUCUCAUUGGAUUUUAACUUACGGUCACACCUGAAAACACAUGCAUUGGAGAAUUAUCACAUAUGCCCUUUCCCAGCAUGUGGCAAAAGAUUUACAAGUGACUUCAAACUAGCAGCACAUGUCAAGUCACAUGAAAAGGUACGCUGCUAUUGUGAUUAAACUUCUGUAAUCAUCAUUCAAGACGUACUUACCCUUGUGGUUGAUUGUUCGCUUCAAUAUUGUUGUUCUUUUAUAUGAUGACUAAAUUACAUCCUCAUUCCUAGGUCUGCGUGUUAAAUAUGUAAAAAAAUGAUAGAAGAUUCUCUUAACUAAAUAUUUUGUAGACUGUAGUGCUGGCAUGCCAGACUGUAUUGCAGUACGCCUCUGUGCAGCUGUUCAGUUUGCCCUCGUAUUGUAUGUUGCGCUAAUCACAUAGUUCUUUUCUGUCAGCCUAUUUGAGCCCCCUUGUUGAUACAAAAUUCGUUUAUGUGCGUCUGUUUUUUAUAUCACGUGUCACUGCAUUGGAAAGUUCCAUAAUGUUACAUUAUAAAUAUAUUGCACUUGUCAAUACAAACUCUGUAUAAUUUUUCCCUUGUGUAAUUUAUUCUGUCUAUUGAGCCAUGGUGCAGAUUGGAACUCCUAUUGCAGUGCAACAUGCACCAGCGCCAGCAGCAGAAAAACCGCGCGUCGCCCCAAAGCCUUCAACUCCAGCAACCACAAGCUAUACUGAUCGCCCAUAUGUCUGCCCCUACGAAGGUUGCGACAAAGCAUACAUCCACGGUUACAAAUUGAACCUUCAUCUAAAAACUCAGCACCCUGAACACGGCCAAGAGGAAAAUGGUAAGGUCGGUGCUUCUGCUGGUCAUCAUGCUGCGAAUGAACAGACCUACCAGUAUAACUAUGCUGAGGUUGGUGAGAUUGCACCAAACCCCAAAAGGAGCAAGCAUAAGGUCCACUCAUCCAAAGCCUACAAUGCCAAGGUCUCGAGAGCGAUGCCUUCUGACAUCGGUGGUGUCAGGAACCAGUGGCCAGGUAAAGCUACGUACCAAGAUGAUAGUGAAGAGACCGAAGAAGAUGGGGGCCACAACAUUGAAGAUGGCUGGAGAUAUGGCAACAAUGAUGAUGAUGAGGAAACACCAGAUGAAGAUUGAUCUUUAUUUAGGUUUGGACAUGUAGAUAGAUGAUGUGGUCUGUUACCCUUUAGUUUCUGCAAACUCUGAAUCAAUGCAGUCAUGGGGAAGUUCAAGCUUUAACCUUAGGUAGUAGUUCAUUUAGAUAGUGCAUCGAUAUAUUCUACUCAGUUAUCUGCUCCUAAAUGUUCACUCCCCUAUGUUCCAGAGUGACUAAUUGCCACAUCUAUGUGAGAGUUUGAAUAUGUUUUCGUUGGAAUAAAUUUUCAUUUGAAUGUUACUCACUUCAUUAUUUUUGUUAGAUGAACUAGGUAGUUGCAAAACCCACCCAUGCAGACAGCAGUGUAGCCAUAAACACGUUUUAUUUACUACGCUCUACUUAUUUUUUUUUUCUAGCAAAUCACUUAGAUUGUCAAAUCACUUAGAUUGUCAAACUGUUUAGCCUUAAACAUGCAUGGAUAUAUUGUACUCUGUUUUCUGCUCCUGAAUAUUCGGUUCCCCAUGUGACAAGAGUGACUAAUUGCCACAUCUGUGUGAGAUAAGUUGGAAUCUGUUUCCUUGGACACAAGUUGUGAUUUGAAACGCAUGACGUUACUCACUUCAGUUCAGUUUUUUUAGUGGAAGUUCAGUUGUUUUAUUUGACGCGCUAUAUAUGUAGUUGAAAGAUUCAUCCAUGCAGACAUGGAGUUUAACCAUGAACAUGUUGCAAUGUCUAUCGAUAUGUUGAUGGAUGAUAUUAAUUGCAAACUCUAUAUUUUAUUUUAUUUCUUCAACUUAUAUCUUCAUUGUAUAUAUAUAUAUAUAUAUAUAUAUAUAUAUAUAUACGGCAGCGCUAUUCUACACCCUAGAUGUAGAAUAUUAUUCUACACCACAAGUCAAAACUGAGCAGAAAAAAUACUGAGCAAUACUGAACAACGUUCAGUAUCAUCCAGUCGUACAUCCAGGACCGCGAAAUACUGAAACACGAGUACUGAACAAUACUAAAAUUUGUUCAGUAUAACACUUUGGUGUAGAAUAGUAUUCUAGACCUAGGGUGUAGAAUAGCACUUAUAUAUAUAUAUAUAUAUAUAUAUAUAUAUAUAUAUAUGAUCUUUGAGCACUACUUUACUCUCUUGUCAAUUUUUGAAUUUGUGUCGUGUUGUGUUGUGAUAUCGGGUAGUCCGAAUGAACUCAACCUAUAUUUUUUUAAAGAAAAAAAAACAACGUUGACGUGUCAUGGUGUCAGCCACAUCGAAUUCCACCUCACCAAGAUAGCAUGGAAGUUCUUACGUGUAACAACAUGGCCAUGACGUUCCAUUUCCUGUCUACACGCUGCUUGUAAACCUAUCCAGCAGCUAUUCAAUGACGAUCACACACACGCCUCACCGUUCUAUAUAUUGAGGCUGUGGCAGUGUUUCUGUUUUUUUUUUUAUGUUUCACCCUCCCCACCUGAAUUUGUAUAUAUGAUUAGCCCAAAACGGCUCGGAUGAUUACAUAAUACAUUUACUUUUUUUUUACACGCCCCUGGUGCCGCUGUAGGGGGGUUUUCUCCACCGAUUAGCCUAUUGUCAAAUCGAAAACAGCACACCAGUUGUCUGCACAGCUCUUCUCCUUCUUGGGCAGCCGGUGUCUCCACAAUUCCGCCACCGAUUUGCAGGUGCGAAGCAAUUGUCCAACGCUCACGGCCUCAUGCCUGAAGACUGCUGCAUUCCUGGCCUUCCAAAGUUGCCAGCAACAUAAGGCAAGAAAGGUCGCAAAUCCAGCUCUGAGGAGGGGGUUUAGGGGUCGGAGGGUAUGCAUGUCGGCAACACUGGUGGAGAGCAUCGGGCUGAUCCCCAGCUUAGUCCAGAAAUCCGACGCAAGAGUGCACCCCCGGAUGACAUGUUCAGGGUCUUCAUCCUCGCGCCCACAAACCUCGCAGGUACUGUGUUAGCAUCAGAGAUCUAGCAGCAGAGAAGGAGUAGAAAUCGGUAGAGUUUUGGGAAGGAUCAGCAGAGAAUUGGGAAGGGAAGCAGAACACGAAAGGUAGCUAGGACGAAUCUUAACAUUGUUCAUGUUCAUAUAUUUGUUAAGACCUCUUCCUCACGGGUCUCAGGUUCUUAUACAUGGGCGUCAUGCCCGGCGUGAGCCCGCAGACGCAGCUGCGAUACGCUAUGGCUCAUGCCCACUCUGGCCCACUGAUCAGAACGUUGGCACGCCUUGCUCGACCGCUUUGUCUGGGCUGAGACACACUUGGUCCGGCUGGCUGCACGAUGUCCGUGUCUCCUCCACCAGACCCUGUCUCGCUGCUGACAUUCCCCCUGUAGAGAAGAUGCUUGUCCCCAAGCAGGAGCUCUUGGAAACGUUGCUUGAUUGCCUCCAGGUCUUCCCAUGUGGCCAGAGAGCGUGGAAGGUUGGACCACUGAAUGAGCACCUGAGGUACGACAUUGUUGUCGGACGUACGAAUUCGACGUUGGAGCACCUUCAAUGGAAUCUGGAGACCUGCCAAAUCCUGGGGAAGUGGCGACACUGUGUGAUCAGCAGGAAGUGCUGUCUUGAGUUGGGAGACGUGGAAGACGGGAUGAAUUGAAGAUGCCGCUGGAAGGAGCAGCUUGUAUGCCACGGAACCAAUCCGAGAAAGCACCUGAAAUGGACCAAAAAACUUGAAUGCUAAUUUCUGGUUAGCGCGCGGAGCCAAUGAAGAUUGGACAUAAGGUUGGAGCUUCAGGUAGACCCAGUCCCCAACUGCGAACUCGCGCUCCGAACGGUGUUUAUCGGCUUGAGACUUCAUCCUCUUUUGAGCUCUGCUCAGGUGCUGCUGCACUAGGGUGUUCAUCAGAGACUUUUCCUUUAACCAAUCAUCCAAAGACAGAGAAUGAACAGCCUCAUUGUCAGAAAUACCAAAAUGCCUUGGGUUGCGACCAUACAACACAAAGAACGGAGAAUAUUCCAAGGAAGAAUGCCAAGACGUGUUGUACCAGUAUUCAGCCAAAUAAAUCCAGUCAGUCCAUUUAGUGGGGGUGGAACUGACAAAGCACCGUAAGAAGGUUUCCAAACAUUGAUUCACCCGCUCAGUUUGGCCAUCCGUUUGUGGAUGGUAUGCUGAUGACAUUUUCAGGGAAACUCCAGCCAACCGAAAGAGUUCUUGCCACAACUGACUAGUGAAUAUGCGGUCGCGAUCAGAAAUAAUGGAGGAUGGCAACCCAUGCAAACGAUAUACACUAUUCAGGAACGACUUUGCAACCUGCAGUGCUGUGAACGGAUGGUGCAGGGGAAUGAAAUGACCGUAUUUGGAGAAACGGUCAACAACCACCAGAAUGCAAUUGUUUCCAGCAGAUGGCGGCAAGCCUUCGACAAAGUCCAUGGAAAUGCUUUGCCAAGCCAUGGAAGGAACAGAUAAUGGCUGGAGAAGACCAGGGUACUUAGCUCUGUCCGGCUUGGCUUGUUGGCAGGUUGGACAAGAAUGUACAAACUGGUGAACAGCGGUUUUGAGGCCAGACCAUGCAAAUAAGCCUUUGAUGCGUUGGUACGAUGCUGGAAUACCAGAGUGCCCCCCCACCGGAGAAUCGUGCAAAGCCUCAAUGAUCUUGUGCUGGAGAACUGUGUCGUUGCCAACCCAAAUUCGGCCCUUAUAGCGCAGCAACCCUUGAUGCAACUUGAAGCUUGGGUCAGCAGUAGGAUUAACAGACAGCUUGGCUAACAGAUUCUGGCAUUUGCUAUCAGAUUCAUAACUAGCUUUGAUCUCAUCAAGCCAUAAAGGCACUGGAACAGAAAUUGCAAGCAACUCAUGUUGAGAGCCACGACGAGAAAGAGCAUCGGCUACCCUAUUUUCUGUGCCUGGUUUGUACAUAAUCCGGUACUGAAGUCCCAACAGCUUAGUGAAAACCUUCUGCUGCCAGGUAGUGUUCAAUCUUUGGUCAGACAAAUGGACAAGGCUUCGUUGAUCAGUGAAAAUGAUAAAUUCUCCCAACUGUAAGUAAGAACGCCACUGUUCAACGGCGAUGAGGAUGGCCAUGUAUUCCUUCUCAUAUGCAGAGAGACCCUGAUUUUUGGGACCAAGAGCGCGACUGAGGAACGCCAGGGGUUGUCCAUCUUGCAAGAGGACUGCACCGACUCCAUUGUGGGAGGCGUCGGUUUCAAUACAGAACUGCCGAGUGAAAUCAGGAAGUUUCAGAAUUGGAGCAACACACAGACUAUGCUUAAGAGUAUUGAAUGCAGUCUCAUGAACAGAAGUCCAGUGAAAAAGGGAGUGUUUCUUCAAAAGAGUAGUUAAUGGCUUGGCGAUGAUGGCAUAAUGUUUGACGAAACGUCGAUAAAAGCCAGAGAAUCCUAAGAAACUUCUCAAUUCUUUGACAUUGGAGGGUGUAGGCCAAGAAACCACUGCCGCAAUCUUCGCUGGAUCUGUGGCAACCCCAUUUUCACUGAUGACGUGGCCCAAAUAUGAUAUGCUUGUCUGACCAAACUUGCAUUUAGAAAGCUUAAUAUGCCACUGAUCCUGAGCCAACAGCUGGAACACUUGACGCAGAUGGUCAAGGUGCUCCUCCAUAGUCUUGCUGUAAAUGAGGAUGUCAUCGAAAAAUACAAUGACAUACCGACGUAGAAGAGGAUGUAGGGUAGUGUUCAUAGCGCCCUGGAAGGUGCCUGGUGCACCCGUGAGUCCGAACGCCACCACACGGAACUCAUAAUGACCGACAUGAGUCGAAAAGGCUGUGUUAUAUUCUUCACCUUCACGAAGCCGAAUCUGGUGGUAGCCGGAUAGAAGAUCCAAGGUAGAGAAAUAACGAGCACCAGCCAAUUCAUCCAUCAACUGUUCGAAGACCGGAAUUGGAAAGGCAGUCUUUACAGUCAAGUUGUUCAGGUAUCUGUAGUCCACACAGAAUCGCCAAGAACCAUCUUUCUUGCGGACAAGGAGAACUGGUGAGUUGAAUGGCGACGUGCUGUGCUGAAUAAUUCCUUGCUGUAACAUAGAGGCCACCUGAGCCUCAAUCUCAUCCUUAAGAGCAGGUGGGUAGCGGUAAGGCCUCACAUUCACCGGUCUUGCGCCUUCCACGAGAGGAAUCUCAUGAUCACAAUGUCGCUUGGGAGGUAACGACACAGGUGGAUUGGUAAUGUCAGGAAAUUCAGCUAACAGUUCACUGAUCUUUUGUGGAAUAUCCACAGAUUGCACAGGUUCAGAAGAAGUCAUACUGAAAAUCUGAACAUUGUGUAGGCUCCUUAGAGGUUGCUGACACUCCCUGUAGGCGAACAUUUUGACCUCGAUAUGGAAUAUUGAGCCACUGAUUCUUCCAAUCAACCUUCAUAGGACUGAACAACUGCAACCAGUCCAUCCCCAAAAUGAAGUCAUACUGUGGUAGGGGUAACACUUUGAAGUCAUGUGUAAACUGAUACUGUUGGAUGUUCCAGACUGCUCCAGACACCAUUGUUGAACAUGGCAUGAUUGCUCCAUUAGCCACUCUGACCGAAAAAGGUUGACAUUGAGAUGGUCUAAGAGACAACUGCGAGACCAACUGGGUACUGAUAAAAGAAGUGGAACUGCCCGAAUCCAACAAAAUCAACACAGGUUGCUGCAUAAAGAGGCCCUGAAAUUGCAGUGUCUUGCUACCCGAACCGGCUGAAGGAACUCCUGACACAUAACAGCAUUGUGCAUCAUUACCAGACGGCUCCUCAUCUGGUAUGUCGCCAUCAUCAGGAUGUUCCUCAGUGAACAGAGCAUACAGUUCAUCAAGCACAUUGAGACCAACCUUGGCAGCACAUUUGUGAUCCCGACUCCAUUUUUCACCACAAUGAUCACAGAGGCCUCGGGCCCGGCGGUAAGCCUUAAGAUCUGCCAGCUUCUUGUCCAGAGGCUUCUGGUUGGUAGAUGGCUUGUCAAUUUCCGACCCGAUGGAACGAUCCCCACGAGAAUAGCCUCCCCUCUGGGUCCAAGGCUUGGAAUCGCGACGUCUUGAGGAUUCCACUGCCUCUUCCUGCAAUAAUGCCAAGGAAAACGCAGUAUCCAACGAAGUAGGACGUUGAACAAGAAGAACAGCACGAAUUUCAGAAUGCAAGCCAUCAAUGAAGCGAGUAAUAUGCGGCAAGGCUUUGGCUGUAGAAUCAUAGGCUUUGAGCUGAUCUACAAGCUCGGCAAAACGAUCAACAUAGUCUUGGACUGAGGAUGUUUGGUGGAUGCGGUUCAUUUUGCGAAGAAGGAGUUCAUGUUGAUCGCGAUCAAAGCGAGUAUGUAAAGCCUGACAGAACUCAGACCACUGCAUGGUUUUUAUGUCAUCAGUAACAGAUUGGAUCCAGCGCUUGGCUGGCCCGAUGAAUUGCAUGCGUGAGCACUGAAUCCACACAGAGGGAUCAACAGAAUACAUCAAGAAAUAAUCCUCAGCACAAGUGAUCCAAAGUUUAAGAUCAGUACCAUCAAAAGUGGGGAAGGAUAAUUUGGAUAGCUUUCCAGUGGGAUUGUAAUGGUGCUCAGGGGGUCUAUUACGAGAGGAGAUCAGAUCACGUGCUGUGCCAUGAAUUUUAACGGAAGUAUCAGGGGGAUCAUCCAUACCCGUGACCGGGGAGUGAACAUAGGCAGUGACCGACCCAUAUUCACCCUCCCGGUGGUGAAGUUCUUCACGGUGCCCAAUUGGCCGAGCAGGCUGAUAGCGCGCAGAUGUUGGGGCGGCGUACUGCUCGGAUCUGAAGUGGGGCUCGGGGAAGAGGCCCGGCUCGGUGAAGGGCGAAGCAGCGUCGAAAACCGAGCGCGUCCAGUACUUGUCCAGCUUGCUGAGGCGAAGGCGUAUGUCGUCGACGAUGCCUUCCUGCUCCUGGCGCCACUGGGUCAUGUCGCUGGCCGUCGUCUCGAUGGAUUGGAGACGAACAUCCUGGCGGAGCUCGGAAUCGAUGAUCCGCUGCUCCACCAUAGACUCGGCCUCCUUGAAACGCUGGUCCAUGGCAUCAUCCACCUCGGUGAAACGCCGCUCGAGGAAAUCGUUCUGCUCGGCGAGUUUCUGCUGGAUGGCGGCUUGCUCCAGGGAAACCUUCUGGAUCUCGUUGAGGAGUAGUUGAGUAUCGGGGCUCAUGGUGGCGGCGGGUGAGGUGCUCUGCUUGUGCCGACGCGAAUAUUGGUGGCGAAUCGGCGGCUUGGGUGGUAGGGGCGGUGGUGGUGGAAUUGGCGGCGGUGGAUCCAGAUCGUGAUGGUUCUCAAUCGCUCACGGGUCAAGGAAUUACAGGCUCUCCGCGUCCACCAGCAAAUCGCCAGGAGACACCGAAAGUUAUCCAACCAAGACCGUUUGUGAAUCGAAAGAAAAAAAAAAUCCCGAUCUAGAUCGAUAGGCUCUGAGUACCAAAUGUUAGCAUCAGAGAUCUAGCAGCAGAGAAGGAGUAGAAAUCGGUAGAGUUUUGGGAAGGAUCAGCAGGGAAUUGGGAAGGGAAGCAGAACACGGAAGGUAGCUAGGACGAAUCUUAACAUUGUUCAUGUUCAUAUAUUUGUUAAGACCUCUUCCUCACGGGUCUCAGGUUCUUAUACAUGGGCGUCAUGCCCGGCGUGAGCCCGCAGACGCAGCUGCGAUACGCUAUGGCUCAUGCCCACUCUGGCCCACUGAUCAGAACGUUGGCACGCCUUGCUCGACCGCUUUGUCUGCGCUGAGACACACUUGGUCCGGCUGGCUGCACGAUGUCCGUGUCUCCUCCACCAGACCCUGUCUCGCUGCUGACAUACUGUCGGGCAGGACGUGUUUCUGAUGGAGCACAGUCCGGCAUUGGAUUUUCUCUUUCAUGAGGAGCCACAUGAGCAUCUGUACUCUGGGAGGCGCGACUGAGUGCCAGAUGAAAGAGGCUCGCUCGUCUCCUGGCUGCCCUCGGGCUUUGAGUAAGGUGUAGAUGGCUGAGCUAUCCAGGGAGGAGUUUCGUUUGCUGAAUGGCGUCUCCCGUUGAUCCGGCACAGCCUGGAGCUGGAGGGAGCCGAGAAUUCCCUGGACAAGCUCCAGCUCUAAAGCUGCUUGGUUCGAGAGCCUCCGUUGAAGGCCGGUAGCGAUUCCGUUUGUCACAACAUCUCUGACUGACAUGUCCUUCUUGGUGUGAUGGCUCAGUAGUGCGGGGCAGACAUCUGCAAGGGAUUCUUCACCAUGCCACACAUCGAACCAGAACGAGCAGGAACGGCCAUCACCCAGUUUAACUGACAUUAUGGCCUGAUAGAGAGGAAGGAGUGCACGGAGGGUGUCCCAAUGGUGCCCAUGUAAAUCACCUUUCAGACUGGAGAUGUCAGCUCUGCCUUUGACCCACUCAGCCCAGGCCGACUCAUUGCUGCUAUGCAAUCUGUGGAUGAGUUUCAGCAGAAGGCAGAUAUUCUGUGUUCCUAUGUCCUUAAUACCGAGCCCCCCUUUUUCUUUUGGGAUGCAGACUCCUUGCCAUGCAACCAAGCAAGAGGCAGUGUUUCUGUUGGCUCCGAAGAAUUAUGACGCGUAUUUUAUAACUAUUUUUUAGAGUUGUCAUAGAGAGUUAAGGUUUUGUUUAGUUCACUCCAAAAAAACAAAAACUUUUAAAGAUUUUCCGUCACAUCGUAAUUGCACAUUUUGCCUUUAAAUUGCGAGACGAAUCUUUUAAUCUUAGUUACUUCAUAAUUGGACAAUGCUAAUCAAAUAAAAACGAAAAUUCUACCGUAUCAAAAUCCAAAAACUUUUUUUUAUCUAAACAAGGCAUAACUAUGAUGAUUUUUUCGGUGUCCGUGACCAAAUGGUAACGUCAUGUAUCACCACUUUCGUUGCAGUGGUGGUAGACCCAGAAAACGUUUUAGCUGGGACGAAAAAUUUACCUAAGCUAAACUGUAUGGCAAAUCGGCAAUGCCAAUGCAACAAGGGACGUGAGGUUCCCCAAUGCAUAUGCCGCCAUCAUGCCAUAUGCUUCCUCUCCCUGCAAUGAGGCCAUGGCGGGUGGCGGAGUACCAUAUUCUCUAGCUCCCGUACGUGUUGGGCCUGAUCGUACGAUCGACGAAUUGCGUGCGUCAUAUCAGCGAUAAAACCCAGUAGUGGUAGUGUAUUGGACGUGAAUUUAUGUGAAUUCGUGUGAGGUUAGCCGCAUAUGCGACUUCAUGCAUGCACGUGGUGCACUGAGAUCAGGUGAACUCAGCUGAGUUCAUCUGAGAGCAGGUGGCUACACACGUACGUAUACAUGUCGUUCAGCUGAGUUGAGAAGAACUCAACUGAGUUCAUUUGAACUCCCCCAUAUAUACCAGCUGAGGUGCACUGAGUUGAGGCCUACACAUGCGUGUUCAGCUCAGUUCAUCUGAACUCAGCUGAGAUACAAUGAGCUCGAUCGAUCGUCUGAGAGAGGGUGAAUAAGGCGCGGCUGCAUUUGAGCAACACAAACGAUCUAUAAGUACCCGCGAUCGACGACCCAUGCAUCUUGAUCACACCUCUCCUCGAUCUCCUCACGAUCGAUCAAAAACACACAUACUUACACCAACUCGAUCGAUCCAUCGAGCCAAGGUCGAUCAGAGGCAGCUAGCGUUUGGUAGCAGCAGCUAGCUACGGCUGCUGUAUGGGAGGCGCUCUUGUCCGACGACGUCGCGUCAGUGCUCCAGAUCCUGUCCGUCCUGUACGUACUGGGCCGCUGGAUUCGUGCACCGCCUCCUCUCGUGCAAGCUCGAGCAGUGCUUGUCUGAACUGGAGGCGGCGCUAGCUGCCAGCUGCUGCUGCGGCGGCUGUGCUGUGCCUCCUCCUGCUCGUCAUGCAAUAAGUACCUCAUCAUCGACGAGUACAAGAAGAGAUCCAUAGUCUGCAUCAUGUUGACGGCCGGGCGUCCGCAGCAUGGAGAGGGACAUGUCGGAUGCGCGGCGCAUCCUCGGCUACUACCUCGCCGCCACCACGACCAUCUAUCCCAGCGGUGUACCUACGGUGUGAGAUAACAUCGCCAUAGAUAUAUAUAUCCAUGUGUGUAACACUGUGCUGUGCUCCUUUUUCCUUAUUACGUAUCGGGGGCGUAAGGUUUUUUUGACGCAGACACAUUGUAAACACACAUGCAUCAUGUAUCUCUUUUUUUUUUCUUUUCCCCCGACAAAAAAAAAUCAAAUAGGGUUGAGUAGUGCUGUCAGUCAUCUGUGUGUGUGUGUCUAUAUAUAUAUAUAUAAGAAUGCAUUCCCUCUUUUAUUUAUAUAUAUAAUGGGCCUGUCUGUGCUAUCGGGCCGCUUUGUUUGAUUUUUGUUUCCUUGUUGUAUCGGGCCGUCUUUGAGUUUCAUCCUUAAACAAAACAAGGAACAACUCGACUCCUAUCUUCCUCCUUUUCUUCCACAGGCUCUCGUCUUCCUCCGCCGGCGCCCUCCCUCCCGACACGGCAGCGCGCCAUCCACGCUGAUGGAUGAUUUUAGCUAAGUAGACUGCCACUCUCUCUUUGCUAUGGUGACAAGAGCAGGGACCCAACUAAGAUUCCUAGUAGACAGAGAAUGGUAGAAAUGACUGAUGAGUGAAUUGUUUGUGAUCAAUUUCAAGACACAAUAAGGUGUGGAACAAAUGCCCGAGAAGAGUGAUAAGGAUGAUGAGAGGAUGGUGGAAGGAAGCGAUGAGGAUCCGCUGGAUGGGGAUCUGAAGAGAAUGAAGGAGAUGCCUUGUCUGAAGAAACAUGACAGGGCUUCUUCUAAAGGAAGCAAGACUGUUAGGAAUCUGAGUUGUGUGUUUCAAGCUCAAGUUCUCGGAGGUUGCUUUGCUAGGUCUGACGAAGAGAGUUCCUGUAUCAAUCUGCUGGAGUUGGAGGAUGCUGAUGAUCCAUGGAUGUAGAAUCACGCUGACGAAUUUCGCGAAGAGAUGCAACGAACAGCAAGAGCUUAGAAAAUGCUAAAAUUUGGAGCAGUACAUGUAUUUUGACGAUUGGAUACCUAGGAACUCAAUCAGCCAUGUGCUCUUUAUUUUAUAAAAAGUAGGAGUAAUCUUAUCCCGUAGAAAAACCAAUGUGGUAUUAUUUUCAUAUAUAUUGCUUUAUAGAGUUUUCUUUAGAUUGAGCGAAAACUAUCAUCAGCCUAUUUAAAUUGACAUGAGCCCAAUUUAAGUGUCAACACAAUGAAAACAUCUAAGCCUAUGAAGAAAAUUGGGUUGAGCCAGCUUGUGAUGCGAUGAAAGAAGUCGCGCCUUUGUUGUGCGCGUGGCUGUCCCCGCCUUUCAUGGGAAUUUUUUUUAUAUUUUAAUUUUUUUAAUAAAUAUUUUAAUAUUAAUCGUUUCAAAAAAUAUUUUGUAUUAAAUAGCUUUAGUCACGCCAGUCUCGCUAGCGUAAUAAAAUAACAUAGUCGCACCACACAGGUUGGCGUGGCAACAUUUGACGAUGUUUCGAUGUAGAAAAGUUUGCCACGUUUUUUUGUUGGCGUGAUAGUAUUAUCUUGUCGUGCCAUUAGGACUAGCAUGAUAAGAUCAAACUUUCAAAAAAUCAUAACUCUUCGAUACGACGUCGAGUGAAGAUGAUUUUAUAUGAAAAUUGUAGAUCUCAACUUUCUAAUUGAGUUUUUCCAUUUGACAAAGUUAAGGUGCUCAAAAAAAUUAUAUAAAUUUUCAGUAUCAUAAUAAUCACGUACUUUUGCUUAUUGUAUUAGAAAAUUAAUAUCUUUUUGAAAACUACAAAUUUGAUAUAAAAUGUGUCAUCAUUUGAUAGUAUACAAAAAAUAUAUUUGUACCUAAUAAUAAAGUGACAAAAUUUCUCAUCCCUUGUUUUUUGGUUCGUCCAUUUGUUUGGCCCGUCUUCUUUGACUACUAGACAAUGAAGAGUUUCUUCCGUCUAAAUUUAUAUAUAUAGCAUAAUAUAUGCUUAUACGAGUUAGAAUAGUUUUUGUGUAGCGCGAAACAGAGUCCAAUUUCAAAAUAUAUUGGGUCGCUGCUACUUUCCUUUUUUAGUCCGCACAGGAAUUUGUCGCUAUUUUCUUUUCUUAUGUGUCUGCAAGUAAAAUCCAACUCUAUGACUUUUUAUUAAGUCAGCUGCUUACAUACUUUUUUUGCUCACAUCGUUCCUUCUUCAGAAAAACAUAACUUGGACAAAAGAAGGACGCAAGAAAAAGGAAACUGGUCGUGGAAAAAAACCAAACGUGCAAAAAAAACAGAGGAAAGAAAAAAAACUAGGAUGAACAUGGUACCACGACUUCGAUGUAGGGAUAAAAACGGAUCGGAUACGGACGGAUAUCACUGAUAUUAUAUUUGUUUUUAUAUUUCUGAUCGGAUUUGAAUACGGAUAAUAUCAACCAUGUCGGAUAAGAUAAGAUUAAAUGUCGACAUCAUAAAUAUAUGAUUUAAGUAUUCGAAUACAAAUACGGUAUCGGAUGUUGAAUAUUCAGACUCGAAUAUGGACAGAUCUAAACUUCUCUAAACGAAUUCGGUAUCAAAUACGGUUGGAAAAUAUCCAUACUGUUUUCAUCCCUACUUCGAUGGAUGAAAAUCAGUGUGAAUAUAUUUCUAUUCGAGCUACUCCGGGUUGAAGUCUAUUUGGAUUAGAAUAGGUAUAGAUAGAUAUAGAUAUAGAAGAUUUUUAUUUAUGGAGAACAUUCCAAUUUUAAUUUUCGCGUGUCUGAACUCCCGUCAGGUUCUCAUUUUGCUAAGACCUCCUUUGUCUCACAUCCACGUGUGCCUCCUAAUUUUUUUUAAGUUUCUGUCUCCACAACCUGUCACUGGCUCACUGCGUUUGUUUCUUUCAUUUUUUUUUCUGGUUUCUUUUUGGUCCGUUUUCCCCGUGAACAUCUAUGCGCCGUGAGCCGUUGUGAUUUUUUCAGUUUUUCUUUUUGUUUUCAAAGUAUGUCCGAUUUCUUCCUAGAAACAUUAAAAAUAGAUAGUAAAUAUAUCUUUUUGCGAAUUAUAGUCCAAACACACAUACUUAUGCAUGCAUGCUUGCUCACUUCUAUGAACUAAUUCACACAUCAUACUCAUCUCGGGAGACUAAGGGCCUGUUUGGUACAGCUCACAACAGCUUCAUGAGCUAUUUUUUUUUGCCAAACACUUAUUUCCAAAACAGCUUCAUGGGUGAAGCUGUUUUUCUCCUCCUCUCACAAAAACAUAAGUUGGAUGAAGCUGAAAAAGUAGCUUAUUGUAGCUUCUCCCUCAUUUCUCUCUCUCAACUAUGCAUGAAGUAGUUGGUGAAGCUAUUUUGCCAAACACUUUUUCCAAAACAGCUUAGCUUCAUCUAGAAAGUCACUCAUGAAACUAUUUCUAAAAAAACAGCUUUACUAAUGAAGUUGAGCUGUGCCAAACAAGCCCUAAACCCUAUUUGGUAAAUCAUUGAAAAAAGUGUUUCUCUAAGAAGCUAUACAAAUAAUGCAAAAGGGGUCGAAUUGAUCCGGUUUCUAGGUUUUAAUAUAAACAGGUGUUAUGGGGAGAAGUAUGGCUAGAAAAAAAGCUAUGAAAAAAACAUAUCAUUUGGCUUUUAGUUUCAACUCAUUUUGACCAUAAGCAGCUUAAGUUGCAUUAUUUGUGAGAUAGCAGAAGGUCCUAUUGAGUCUACCUCUCGGAAUACUCAAUAUGUGAGUUAGCGUGAAGCUGCUUGGGAUAUUGAAGCAAGAUGACUCUAGCCUUUUGCUAUGUCAACUGAAUCAUGCUGUCGUUUUAGUUUGUUAUCUACUCCCUCCGUCCUAAAAAGAGUGUCGUUUUAGAAUUUCAACAUCUUGUUUGAUCAUCCUUCUUAUUUAAAAUUUUUACAUAAAUAUUAUAUAUUUUGUUGACUUAUUUUAUCAUUAGAGAUAUUUUACUAGUGAUUUAUUUAUUUUAUAAUUUAUAUAAAAUUUUUAAAUAAGACGAACGGUCAAACACGAUUUCUAAAAAUAAAAAACAUCACUCUUUUUGGAACGAAGGGAGUAGGUCAAUGAAUAUACAUAAUCCGCACCUAUUGGAACUCUAUUUAGUACCUAGAUAACCUGACUUGAAUGCUUUCUGUCCUUGAUAAAUAUGUUCUUUGCUCGUCAAGCCUCAGGCCUUACGGCUUUAGGAUCACGGUGUUUCAGUUUCCUAACAGUUGUCAGAUUAGUGUCUAGUUUGGGUCUGCUAUGCGUGUAUGGUCUUCUGAUUUUUAUUUUUUUUUCCAAAAUUCACUAAAUGUCUGUCGUAUUUGCAUACAAAUAUAGAAUGCAUGAUACGCUAAUCUCCUAGCAUUGUCAAAUAAACUUGUGCUUAUGAUCACCUAUCCAAAAUAUCGGUACUCAUGAUUGGUAUUUUGAUGUUGUUUUACAAGAUAUAUUAUCUCAUGAAAUAUUUUGGCAUCCCAUCACAACACAUGGUCUGUGAUGUUGUGCUCUCCAUGUCUAUAUUAAUUUCAUAAACUUUGAAAAAUAUUAUUAUCUUAUCGUACAAUCCUUAUAUUUUUAGUAUAGUGAUUUAGCUAUCUUAUAGUAAUGCAAGGAUAUGAAUCUAUUAUUAGUAUAAAAGUUUAGUGGUUCCGUAGCAACGCACGGACACAAACCUAGUUAACAAAUAAAAAAUGAGUUGGUUGUCCUAAAGAAACACGUACUCUGGUGUACUAAAUACAUAUCUUUAAUUUUCUUUCUUCCCGGAACGUAUAAACAUGUACACGCCGUAAGUCGUUCGUUACUACUUAUUAAGUCUAAACUGGAGAGAAAUUUGUUUUCUAUAAUGUUUUUUUUUUUUAAAAAAGAAGAAACAUGUGCGCUGACGCAAAAAAAAAAAAAACAAACAUACUAUCGGCUGACGGACGUAUGGCAAACCAGGCCGUCAGGCCACACGCGCGCGCGUGGCCGGCCGCUCAUUACCUUUUUGCGUUUCUUUCUGGGCCUAGUUGUUUUCAUUGUGUUGACACUUAAAUUAGGCCCAUACCAAUUUAAACAGGCUGAUCACCUAGUAAUCUGAAAAAGCUCUAAUAAUAGUACCAUAUUAGUUUUCUUACGGUAUAACACCACCUCUAUUUCGUAUAAAACAAGGGGUAUAUGAAGGGACAUACAGGGGCGAGAUGGUAGGCGACGGUGAGGGAGCUAGCAGAGUAAAAAGUGCUUCCGGCCGGGGUCUGGGAGAGAAAGCAUAGCCCGUGGGAUUUUACAGUUUACAGCCCAAGUUUUGGACACAUUUAUUUAAUUAUUAAACACAUGAUGAUAUUGCGCACGUCUAGGACCGUGCAUGGUCGAUGGCGACGCCGGCGUGUAUGCCGACGGCGAGGUGGUAGCAUUUGGUGACGCGGCGGCGCACGACGAACAUGUCCCUCUCCAUAUAUAUAUAUAUAUAUAUAUAUAUAUAUAUAUAUGCGCCUGCUGUUGCAGCAGACGAUGUGGAUGACGUUGUGGUAGGUGGUUUGCGGCCUGCUGGAUUGCCAGAAGGCAUGCAGGGCCUCCUAGCUCCCACACAGGAUGGCCGCCUCAUCAGGCCUGGAGCUCCGACUUGCAGGAGCGCAGGCCGGCGGUGAGGCUGACAAGAGUCGUCACGUCGACGCCCAGCUGGAUCUGCAGAAUGGAAGCAACGACGCCCAGCACGUUCUCCCACGCGGCCGCCAUAUGGUCGUCGUCGUCGUCGUCGUCACACCUUUGCCUUUGCUGCACCUCGAUCCGUAGUCGUCCUCAACGAUCUGAAACACGUACAACAGAGAUAUCAGAAAGAGAGAGAAGCUAGCUAGGUCGAUGGAUGCAUGCAUGCAAGAAAAAGCACAAGGCAUCAUCACAUGCAUGCUGCUCUGAACACCAGAAUGAAUGAACACACAGACCAAAUUUGUUACUACGUACACAAUGCUCGCGAACGAGUUCUCGUACGUAGUGUUUCCUUCCGGUUGUUAUAUUACACCGUGCCAUGCAGUGCAGUGCAUAUUUAUAGGCCAUAUGCAUGGAUCGGAUAUAUAUAUAUAUAUAUAUAUAUAUAUAUAUAUAUAUAUAUAUAUAUAUAUAUAUAUAUAUAUACCGGCCUAUAGCUUAAUUUGUCACUGGAACACCGGUGCACCGCAACUCAAGCGAUCUCAGUCGAGAGCUGAUGAGGAGCAUGUGUACCUAUCUUUGCUGAGAAUGAAAAGUGCACAUGCAUGCAUUGGCAUGGCUAAACCACUGAUCUCAAGCCAAGAUGUAGUAUAUCUCAUGCAGUCCAUUUCUUCAUUCCACGUAGCCUGACUUCACACGGAUUUGCCAUAUGUCGUCAUCAGGCUAGCUAGCUAGCUAGUUAGUAAUAAAUAAAGGCGACGCGAUCCUUCCAUCAAAUGGAACGCAGCAGCUAUAGCUCAAGGGAUGUCACCAUUGAUCUCACGGAAACACACGGCAGGCAGGCAUGUCACAGUACAACUCAAGGGAUGUCGCUGAAACACGGCGCAACUCGAGCCAUCUCAAUGGAAAACCCAACACACACAGGCAUGCAUGUCUUGACAACGAAAACGUACUGCAUGCACUCGAUCAUAUGCAUAGUAUAUAUAUAUGGCUGAAGCUGUGUUUAGUAAAACCCUGCCGCACACGAAUUCGCCGCUGAUGAUUUCCUUACGUAACCUCUGUCAUCGCACGGAAACACUCAUCAGUGAAUCUUUUUUUUUUUGGAACACUCAUCAGGGAAUCUAGGAAUUAAUGGAUACAUACGAUCAUAUAACACGACAUGGGAUCUCAAAUGAAGACACGACCGACUUCCCACGAACACAAAAAAGCAACUCGCCCCUAUGCAUGCGCCGCCAACCUGGCCGGUUUUUGCCGUACGUGUGUGCAUGCAUGGAUGCAUAUGCAGAGCCGAUAAUUAUUACGCGUACUUUGCAACUUAAACAUAGAAUAUUUCUCAAAUCCGAUUACAUUCCGAUUACACUAUUGAAGGAUAGCCCGGAGGAAAUACGUGACUAUCGUCCGAUAAGCCUCAUUUCACAGUUUUGGAAAGCUAAUAACAAAAUGCCUGGCAAACCGUCUGGCCCAAGUGCUCGACCGUUUGGUGAUGCCAUUGCCAAAUCAAAAUUCAGAGCGCAUUUAUAAAGGGCCGCAGCAUACAUUGUGAUAAUUUCACAGAUGUUCACUUGGCUUGCAAGGAGAUUUACAAGAAGCGCAGCCCCUGUGUUCUUCUUAAGGUGGACAUUGCAAAGGCUUUUGAUUCGGUAGCUUGGAACUUCCUAUUAGAGGUGCUGCAGCCAGUGGCGAAGCCAGAAUAUUUUAGGAGCUCGGGCAAUUUUCAUUAAGCAAAAAUUUUUAAUUAUAAAAUUACAGAAUUCUAUAUAAAUAUAAAGAAAAUUUCUUUUGCAUCUUGGCGAGGAGCCUGGCCGGCCGCCCGGGGUGGCCAAGCGGUGGCUCCGCCAGUGGCUGCAGCAUAUUGGGUUUCGCAGAAGAUGGCGUAAUUGGAUGGCUGGCAUUAUGGGGUCUUCAUGCACAAAAAUCCUUAUCAAUGGCUUGCCGGGGAGGCGGAUUAAUUUGCCACGCGAGGGGCCUGCCUCAAGGCGAUCCUCUAUCGCCGAUGAUCUUUGUCAUUGUAAUGGAGGUGCUGAACCGUAUGCUGCUAUGGGUGGAGCAGCAUGGACAUUUGUCUGAGGUCCAAGGGCUCCAGGAUCGAAGAGUUAGUCUCUAUGCUGAUCAUCUUGUCCUCUUCGUCACGCCAGACGAGCGCAGCCUCCAUGCGGUCCAACCCGUGCUCUCCAUAUUCGGACAUGCUUUGGGCCUCUACGCCAACGUGGAAAAGAGAAUUGUCACGCCCAUCAAUUGCUCUGAUCACCACAUGCAGGUCGUCCUAUAAGCACCUUGGCCUGCCACGUUGAAGUGUUCCCGUGCCGCUACUUGGGAAUACCGCUCUCGGUGUUUAAGCUGAAGCGAACCGAAGAGCAGCCGAUCAUCAACAAUGUUGCCUCCAAAGAGCAGCCAAUCAUCGACAAGGUUGCCUCGCGCAUCUCGGGAUGGAAAUGCCAUCUGCUAAAUUCGGCUAGAAGAACGACCCUUGUCAAAGCAACCCUGUCCUCUACACCAAUCCAUGCGGCCAUUGCAAUUUGCUUGAGCUCUUGGGGUGAUUGACAAGUUAGGAAUAGCCUUUUUGUGGGCCGGAGCGGAUUCCGUAAUGAGAGGCAAAAGUAAGGUGGCGCGGGUCACCGUUUGUAGGCCGCGACACCUUGGUGGUCUGGGAGUUUCAGAUUUGAGGCGUGUCGGUAUUGCUCUUUGUACAAUAUGGAUAUGGAGAGACCGUCGCAAGGAUGCGCCUCCAUUCUCCAACGAGUGCGCUUUGCUGGCUCUGUUCCAAGCAGCAAUGACCUUCAUAAUUGGCAAUGGGUGCUCAACUUGCUUCUGGACAGACCGGUGCUUGGUGGCUCCUUGUUUCAGUUCAUUGCGCCAGUGGUUUUCGCGGCCAUCCGCAAGCGUAAGCUCAAAGUGACAGUGGUUGAGUUGCUAAUUGCCAACAACUCUUGGGUGCGGCACUUGUCUGGUUCCUUCACCAUGCACUUUCUGCUAGAGUUUGGGAUUGGGAAGCUAUGUGAUCUACUUGAGCAGGUCCACCUAUCCGAUGAACCGGACACCUUCACUUGGCAUCUCACAGAGCACCAGAAUUACAGUGUGGCUUCUGCCUACGGAGCCAUGUUUCUUGUCUCGUCCCCGGUGCUCAGUUCCAAGCAAUUGUUGAAGACAGCUGCGCCACCACGCGUCCGGUUUUUCUUCUGGUUGUGUAUGCACCGCAAAUGCUGGACUGCUGCUCGUGGAUUUCAGCACGAGCUAUAGCAAGACAAUGUGUGUAUCAUGUGUAACCAAGAACCAAAAACCAUGGACCAUAUUGUCUUGGGAUGUUGUUUCAGCCGACAGGUUUGGCACAUAUGGCUGAACAAGCUUCACCUUCACAGUAUCGCGUAAUGCCAGGACCUUCAAUGGAGUGGCGGUCUCACCUGGCGCCCUUGCCGCUCUCAUUCUGGACGUGGCAAACUCCUGGGUCUUGUUGGCUGGCAACAAGCAUUUAGGAGCUUUGCUUUCAAGGUUGAUUGUUUGAGCUUGUUGGUGUGUGGUUGUAGCGCCAGCUAGCCCCGGCUGCCAUUUUGGUUGUGGUGAUUUUGCUUUGCCUUGGGUGCAUUGUGUGGGUGUGGUAAUCUCUUCUUUACCACAAGUCCUGUAUGGUUUAAAACUAUCCAUGCUUAAUGAAAUACGUGCCUAUAUUGGUGUGGUCUCGAAAAAGAUUCCGAUUACACUAUUGUGUUAAUUGUAUGUUGUGUUUCCCUGAUUCCCUCGUUAAGGUUUUCAAAACAACAUUUAAUAAAGAUAUAUAGUAUUUCUUAUGACAAUUUUAUUAGGUGUUGGAUGAGAGAGACACUUAGUAGAGAAUGAUCACGCGAGGUGAACUUAAGAUAAUUACACCUUUACUAUAGGUCUGCUACUUUGCAUAACAAGAGGUGUUUAUAGUGGAGAGGAUCUUCAAAUUGGCAGGUUGAUGGGGGAUACAUUAGUUGUUCUUCCAAACAUCUAGGGGCCUUGUUGUGUUUGGCUCUAGGAGAUUUUGGUCUCCAAAAGCUCAAAGCCGAAAGCAAACUGGCAUCUUCUAGACCAAAGCUUUUCAAAGCUAUAAAGCGAACAAAAGCCCUGUAAUUGCAUGUUUGCCACCGCCAUGUUCACCAAAUGUUAUUUUCACGGUCUAUUGUUUCCGGUCGCCGUGACCAACUCGAGCGCCCCGCCUUGUUGUUUUGGCUUAUAAGUAAUAACAGAAUAUACUGUUGACUGAUUUAUUGUAAGAGAAAAAUACUACUGAAUAAUUGACAGAUUCGACUAAUAAGCUCAAACGAACAAGGUGGCCCUUAUGCUUGGAGCUCCAUUGUCGUCCCUUGUUCCUCGUUCGUCCCAAAUUUCAUCCAUAGGACACGCACAUGGGUGAUCACCAAUCGGCACAGCUUUUAGGUUUAUAUUGUUAAAUAUAGAUAAAUCUAUAACUAAGUUAUACAUAAUUCAAUCAGCACAGUUCAAUAAUACAAUAAUCAGCUCAUCACCAUAAAAAAUUUCAUUACAUUGGACUAUAGAAACUGCAAAUAUGAAUUAUUCUAAUUAAUUACAAAAAAACAUAGAUCUAAAGUCAAAACAAAAACUUUGUAUUAAAGCAUAACAUAUCAUAUGUUCAUCAUGUAGAUCUACUCAUAUGGAGUCCAACAAAAUUAAAUUUUACAUUUUAUGAUUUUUCUGUGAUUUACUAUAACUUUUCAAAAAUUCAGCCAAAAUAAAUAAAAAAGAAAAAACAAACCCGCUUUUAAAAUAUAACAGGAUGAGGAAAAGCAAACUUUCAUGAAAGUUUUAGAGUUUAGAGAGGAAAAGCGAACUUUCGUGAAAGUUAAAGGAGGUAAUGUGAAAUUUUUCCUAAACAAUUUAAUUAUAGAAAAAAAAAAUCCAUUUUUCCUCUUUAAACUUUAGAACCGAACAAACAUCUCUCUCAACUUUUAAAACUGUUCAUCUUACCUCCUUGAUUGGGUUUUAGGAGGUUUGGUGUAUAUUUUUUCGCCAUGUAAGCAAAAAAAGAAAUGUCUGUGUGUCAAGUAUGGAUAUGUGAUGUACGACUUAACAAGUUUAGGAGCCAGAAAUGUAUUUUCAAAGUUCAAAAACGUACAUGUACCACUUGACAAGUUUAGAGGGCCAGAAAUGCAUUUUUAAAGUUUACAAAUUCGAGGACCCCGAUGCAUUUAACUCUAUAAACUAUAGUCAGAGUAAUGCAGUUCUGAUAAGAUGUUUGUGAGAAAAGAACAAAAGGACAAAAUGGUAGCGUAGGACCUCAUGGGGGAUAUUCAACAGAGAAGACUACUCUAAAUUGUUAAGGCUAGGUGAAGAAUUCCGGGAAGAGCUUGCAAACUUUCUGAAAGAGCGUUGUGGUUUCAUAAGAUAUGCUUAAUUAAACAAGUUCUCAUAUGCUUCUGAGACCUGCGUGGUAGUUCCGAUGGAGAUGAUAGCUUCACAACCAGUAGAAAAGCGAGAAAACCACUAGCCUUUGUUGAAAGAAAACGUCUUCUAUUUUUUUUUAAUGAGGCAAGCACAUUAGUAAUAAAUAAAUAAAUAGUAAUAAAGUUUCUUUUUUCUUGAGUGGACGUAAAAACAUGCAUCGGAGAAUUAUAACAUAUGCCUUCCGCAGCAUGUGGCAAAAAUAUUUACAUGUGGCUUCAAAGUAAGAGCCCAUGCCAAGUCAUAUGAAAAGGUACUGCUAUUAUGCUUAAACUUAUGUAGUCAUCAUUCAAGGUGCACUUGGCCUUGUGGUUGAUUGUUGCAGUGUUUACCCCUUCUUUUAUAUAUACCUAAGUUACAUCCUAAGUAAAAAUAAUCAGUAAAAGAUUCUCUUAACCAACUAUUUUUAUGCACUAAGCCAGACUUAUAGGCUAUAUAUAUUACAGUAUUGCUCAGUGCUGCUGGUCGAUUUUUGUCCCUCUAUUGUGUGUUGUCUGUUGUGCUUAUGCCAUAAUUCUGUGUUAUCGGCCUAUGUGAUAUUGCAGCAAACCCCAAAAGAAGCAAGAUGAACCCUGUGCACAAGUUCCACUCAUCCAAAGUCUACAAUGGCAAGAUUUCGAGACCGCUGCAUUCUUACAUCAGUGGUGUCACUGUCAGGAAUCAGUGGCUAGGUAAAACUAAGUAUGAAGAUGAUAGUGAAGUGACCGAAGAAGAUGGGGGCAACAUUGAAGAUGGCUGGAGAUAUGGCGACAACACUGAUGAUGAGGAAACGCCAGAUGGAGAUUGACCUUUAGGUUGGAGUUGGACAUGUAGAUAGAUGUGGUGUGGUCUUAUACUUUUUAGUUUCUGCAAACUAUAAAUCAAUGCACCAGUGGGUAAUUUCAAGCUUUAACCGUAGGUAGUAGUUGGUUCAGAUGGUGAAUCGAUAUAUUUGUACUCUGUUAUCUGCUAUUGAAUAUUUGGUUCCCCAUGUGACAGAGUGACUAAUUGCCACAUCUAUGUAGAUAAGUUGGAACUUGGAAUUGGUUUCCCUGACACAAGUUCUCAUUUUUUCCCUGACACAAGUUCUCAUUUGAAACAUUACUCACUUAAGUUAAGUUGUUCUAUUUGACGAGCUAUAUAUGUAGUUGAAAGACUCAUCCAUGCAGCAGACAUGCAGUUUACCCAUGAACAAGCUUUGUUUAUUACAGUCCACGAGUACUUAUUCAGGUAGAUCACUCUCAGGUGCCUACUGUUGGGCGCUGCCAACAUGACCUUGAUCAUAGCUGCCACCAGGAGGAGUAGUAAACACAGCGAGCUCAUGCUUCCUACUGUUCUUCAGCUCUGCAGCUUCCUCCAUCGAGACGCCAUAGGAGCUGGCGAUGACGCCGACCGGCAAAUCGCUCAAGAGGGAGUUCUUCCCGGCGAUGUGGCUGACCAUGGAGUUAUGGUUCGUCUCGAAGGAGAUGUACUGAAACCCUUCUCCUUGCGCCUUGGUGGCGACAAGGUAGCCCUGGGGUAUGAUGAGCAGCUGCCCAGCACGAAGCACGCCGUCGAACACCGUCGUCCCGUUGUCGCUGGCGACCUGAACCCUGGCACAGCCUCUGAUGGUGUACAUGGCACUGUGGGCGUUGAAGUUCCAGAACGGUGACAGGAUGGCGUCCUGCAUAUAUAUAUAUAUAUGUGCAAACACAAACAAUUUCAGUUUACUUUCAGUUAGAAAUGGAAGAACAUCUAUCUUUCUGCAGAUUAUAUAUCGCAAUUUCACAUUGUAUGUCUUCGAUUGCGCUUACCUGAUACAGGUCUACUCGAACUGCGCUCAUCUGUAUGAGGUUGAGAAUUGGGAACUUGUGGCUGGUCAGGCGUGUGAUCCUUCCAGCACCAGGGCUGUAGACAUCGGCCUGAUCCAGGCGUUCGACGCUGUGCCUCACCUCCAUGGUGCAGAUGUUACGACUGUUGUCGCGUUGGCAUGUUUGGUGAUGCUGGUACUGGUCUUGUAGUGAUGGAAACGACGGCGGUGGUGGAUUGAGCAGGUGAAGGCCAUGCUCCAGCUCCACACGGACUAUCUCGCCUCGCUGUUCACGCCGGCUCUGAAGCUUCUCAGCGACUUGCAUGCUGACACCCAAGGCUUCGCUCAGGAACCGGGCGUCGAUUCCUUUAAAGAUGUUCUCGGCGAAGUGGGGCUGCCCCCUGCUGAAUCCCCCAGCCAGCAAGAACUUCUGCAAAUUAUGUUGUACAAAUAUGUAAGAUGCAACAAAGAAUACAUAUUUUAGAACAGCAAAUUAAUCGAACUUCAUUGAAACAAAGGAUAGUAGUACCCUCAUGGAAGGCUCAAGCUGGUUGAUGUUGUUGUUUGUGUCGAAGACGUAGAUCGCCACAAGCGGCGUAUCGCCGUCGUUGUACAGCCAGUGCUGGGCACCGGCGGGCAUGGCGACCACAUCUCCCUGUUGGAAUCGGUGGAUCUUGUGAUGCUCGUCAGGGCGCUGAUGAUGAUGUUCAUAUCCAUAUCCGUAUCCAUACUGCUGCUGAUGGUGGGUCUCUUCUUGGCAUCCCGGAAACGAGAACCCAAUAAUCCCUCUCCCUGGAUAUACACUGAAUUAGUGAUUGAUACGAUGAACUGAAACGAUUGUUCUUCAUCAGUUGUUCUUGUUCAUGCACAUAUAUAUAUAUAUAUAUAUAUAUACCUACCUUGGGCGAUGUAGACAAGCGAAUGGAGGUUGGAGUAGCGAGGAAGCACGAGGCCCAAGGCGUCGACGACGACACGGACGGCGAAGAGGCCAGCGCAGGUGAGCUCCCGGUCGGCUUCGGUGAACCGGCUGAAGUACUCGACGGAGCCGGCCUCGGACUGCGCCUUGUGGCGCGGCUCCAGGGCCUCCAGCUUGCCGUCGAAGCCGCACUCCCUGGCGGCUCCUCCCCGGGACGCCCCCCAUGAGCUGCUGGCUGCUGCGCCGCCGGCGCCGGAGCAGCACAGGAGGAGAAGGCAGAGGCACAGCGACGAGGGAAACAGCAGCUUGCCGGAGAGUGACGCCGCGGCCGCCAUUGCUUCUGCUCACUCACUCUCUUCACUGACAGAGUGCUGUUGCCGGCCGUGUGUGCAGUGCUAGCUAGCAGAGGCCCGUCCGGGGUCUUUUUUUUUUAUAUAUAGCAAAGGAAUGUGCUGCUGGUGUUCCAGAAAAAUAAAAAUAAAUGGGAAUAAACUAAAAGGAAUGAUAUGAAAUGAAAAGAUGCAAGAAAAAAGUGUGGCACCUCUGAACAAAUUCAGGCCUUGUCUUUUGUAUGCUAGCUAGUGCUUGCUUUGCUGUGAUAAGAGUGUUGGUUGGGAAUAUGACAAGUUAGACAUGUAACUCGCUGGUGUUACAUGCAUUUUUACACAUAUAUGCCAAAUAAUACAUUUGUAUCUAGCUAACAAACUUGAUUAACCAGCAUUAGAGAUCGACGUGGAUGAUCGAUCGCUUCGACUUGUUGCUUGUGCUGACAGUCAGAAAGGCCGAUUCAGUUUUGUACUGACUCCAACAGUUUGUUGCGCCUUUAGUUUACAUAUAUACACGCACGUACGACUGUCCAGGUGCAUUUGCAUUGUGCGAUCUGCCUACUCUUCUCUAACACUGCUACAUGUUUUCACCUACAAAUUUCGUGGCCGUGCCGCCAUCCGGCCUACUCUUGGGGAUAGCUAGAGUACUCUAGAUCAUCAACGAAAUGAUAAGGAGGCAUAGCCUAACUAAUACUCCCUCAAUUCUAUAUUAUAAAAUAUUUCGGUUUUUCUAAAUUUAUAGUUUUUGCAAUGCACUUAGUUAUUAUGCGCCAUGCAUGUCUAGAUGCAUGCAUAACAAAAAUUAAUAUAUUUAGAAAAGCUAGCUAAAACAUCUUAGAGUUUAAAAUGGAGGGAGUAGUAUGGAAAUCAUACCAAUUUCAGGGUUGAGAUUGUCUAAUGUCAUGUUUCCCUAAUGAAGCCACAUGGCCCACAUCCACCAUUACCGUGGGUUAUCUAAAAUUUCAGUUUUUCCAGGUACGAUGAUACAUAUGAAUUCAUUUAAUAAGGUGUCACAAAAGAUCUUUUGCAGAUAAUUACUUUGACAAAAAUUGUUACAUACGUCAUUUGGUAUGCAUUGAGGUAUGGACUUCUUCACAAAAAUGUCCCUUGUACCUUUAAGUGCAAAAAAGGGUAGUGCAGCAGCCGUGCGCGCGCAUGGCAAAUUACAUAGCCUAACGAAGACUAAUAAUUUUCUACAGUAGUUAUUAUUCACUUAUAUUCUCCACAUUUGCUGACUCCAAAUAGCGUUUGUAUACUCGCGUUCCAUACCGGAAUUUGUAAGAGCACAAUUGGAUGAUUUCUAGUUAUUCGUCACAAUUGCUUUUCUGAAUAACGUGUGCAUUGUCACGUUCCAAUGGAGCUCCAUGGACUAAAAUUUGUAGGCGAACAUAGCCGGAAUAUUCCUCGUCUUUCGUCGAAUGACGAUCUGCUGAGUGAUGAGCAGAGGUGGCUGAAUAUUCUUCAAUUCAUUUGUGGUGCAGCACUAAAUAAACCCUAUUGAGUGACAAGGGGGUGCAUGUUUGUCGCCCAUUGACAAUCCGUUAAGGGCUCGUUCGUUCCUUUGCCGUGUAUCGAGCGCCUGGAACGAUUCCAGCUAAAAUAAUUCUAGUUGGAAUUGUUUCAGUAAUUUGUAUAGUUUUUAUAAUCUGAAAUUGUUCCUGGGCUAAAUCUAAAGUAACCGAACGUAGUCUAAGUAAUAAGUAGACAUAACAAUACUCUUCACAUGUAAAAGCCAAACCAUAUGACGUCACAUAUGUAGUCGAGUUUUCCUCGUUUGUUAUAUCCGAGUGAUAAAUAAUAGGCAUAAUCAAAUAAAUAAAUGGUUCUUGAUUAGUUUAUUGCGGAAAGGCAAACUCUUGUGUGCCCUUAAAUUUUUAGAUAAUGGAUAAAACAAUAUCCGGCCUCUACAUCCAGGGAUGUACACAACCCAUUAUCAAAGUUUUGGAGGAAAAUUAGAGAAAGCCAUAGUCUUAUAGAUUGACCAGGACGCUAGUUCAAACAAUAAAAAUGUUUCCAUCCUUUAUUGGAUAUCUCUAAAGCAAUUACUUUCAAUUUAUUGCUCAUCGCGAAGAGUAGUACGUUCUUGGCUGUCUCCUCACGUUGCAUUGCGUGCCCUUAAAUGUUCCUUAUUACUUGCUAUUAACCACCUAACCGUCACAAAUGGUAAACAAAUUUUCAACACCAAAACAUUGGACAAUAUAAAACGAAGAUAAUCGAAUUGUCUUGGUUUAUUGAUUUGAGCGCCAAACAAACCAUAUGCACUCAGGAUGAAAAUGAUCGGAAACGAUUAACAGAAGUUCACAUUUUUUUUUCUUGAAAAUGAAAUCGAUAUGACAUUAUCGGAAACGAAUAGGGCACCGGUAUUCCAUUAAUUUCAAAAAUGAUAGUAGUCAAUUAGAAAAUACGUCGAUAACAAUCGGAAUCCAUGAGAACGAUAUCCUCAAAAAUAAUAAACACGCCAUACUAUAGAACAUGAAAAGAUCCAUAUAACUCGACCUAUCUCAUAUGAUGAUAAUAAUAAUAAUAAUAAUAAUAAUAAUAAUAAUAAUAAUAAUAAUAAUAAUAAUAAUAAUAAUAAUAAAUAAAGCCACAGUUGAUAAGAUUGCAAGGUAAAACCACACAACAUCAUCUUAGGUCUCAAAGAGUGGCAAACAUGCAAUAGUACGACAAUUCUUGAUAAAGACACAAAUAAACGAUCAAGUUCUGAGUUGACUCGAUAUAGCACAGUGAUCAAAACAUGAAUUAUUAGAGUUCCUUCUUAAGUGGAGGCUAUAAGCUUAAAGAUGAAUUACUUUUCUGCUUAGACCUAAAAAUGGAAAAAAAACUCAAAAAUAAUUUCUGAAAAUGGGAGAUUAUUAUUUUCUUUUUCAUCCCUGUAUACACUAAUAAAUUAUGUAAGUCGACUUUGGCCGCAUAGUAUUCUAUGUUUAAUUGUCAUUGAUGGAACGUUUCACUUGAUAUUCAAGUGAAUGGAUGAUUCUUUCGGGAGUUGGGAACCCAAUCGGAUGAGAGAUCGAUCUAAAUUUCAAUCAUCAAAUCAAAAAAAGGUGAAUGAUGUGAGCAGUGGGCCCACACAGUUAAUAACAAAUACAGAUCCCGAAUACGAAUAAAUAAAUAUUAAUAAAUACAAAUCCCAAAUACGAAUAAAUAAAUAUGCGAAAAAAAAUACACAUGGAGAUGCGGGGGAUCGAACCCCGUACCUCUCGCAUGCAAAGCGAGCGCUCUACCAUUUGAGCUACAUCCCCUAUGAUGGAUUAUUUUGGAUUCAGGAUAUUUUAGUGCAGAAGCACAGUUGAGGUUUGUGUAACACCAAGCUACCACAUUACACAGCGCAUGCAGCAGUUGUCUCACCUAAUUACGAAAAAAUUGUUUUUACACCGUUUUGAUACUAAAACAAAUCUUGUGUUUACUGCCCUCUGCUCCCAAAUUAUAAGGCAUUCUAAUAAUUUUGAAAAGUCAAAAUAUCUCAAGUUUGAUCAAAAUUAUAGAAAAAGUUAUAAAAUUUUAUGAGAUCAAGUAGAUAUACUAUGAAAAUAUAAUUGAUGAAGAACCUAAUGAUACUUAGUUAGUAUUAUAAAUGUUAUUAUUUUAUCAUAUAAGUUUAGUUAAACUGAAGAUGCUUUGACUCUUCAAGAUUCUUGGAAUGACUUAUAAUUUGAGAUGGAGGGAGUACUUGAUUUGGACUAGAAUUUGUCACAUGACUUGGCCAUAUAUUGAAACUAGCACUAGUAGUAACAUGAACCGUGAAGACCAUUAGGGACUUCUGCUAUAUAACGAGCAUUGACGUGUACCAAUUAGUUAUUAUUAUAGAGUUGUUGGGGAAGUAUAUACAACUUAUUAGGGCAUCUGGCAUCUGCAAUGGGUGAUUUAAUUAUAUAAGCUAUCUCUAAGCAUUUUUUUAUAUUUGAGAAAGAGCUAGGCUCAUACAUAUUUUAAUAUUAUUGAGAGUAUCAUGUGGGAUCAUUCAUGCUAUGAGUGGUAUGCUAAAAAUUAGCACUAUUAAAGAAGUUGACUUAGAGCUAUUGCAAGCAAGUGCCCGUCAACUGUUUCAUUUCUAAUAGAAUCAAAGCCCAGGAUGAAAUGAAACACAAUGUAUAUAAAGUCUCUUGUCUUAUCUGGUCUCCAUAUGGACUCACUCAACUAUCACACGCUCAUGCAACGUACGCAACAGAAAGGCACGUCAACGCACACAUGUUUUCUAGUAACCACCUUAAUGCAUGGUAACCUAAACCCUAAACCCUAAACCUUAAACCCUAACCCUAAACCCUAAAACUCUAAACCCUACACAAUCUACUCCAAACCAGGUUGCAGGUAACCACAGCACAACCUGCGCACAUGAAGGCCAACUACAAACUCACUGGGCACCAAGGUAUGACAGUUUUUGAAGUCACCACAUCGCUGAAAAGAUCAAGGAAUUAAUCAUCUACAAGAUACAUAUAUAUCUGAUCCGGCUGCCAGGUCGAGCAUCAGGUGUUACACCGAUACCUCCUAGGAAUCAUCAUCAACACCCCAGGUCCAACCGGCGCAAACCAUCUACAUCAAGGCCAGGAUAACUGAAGCCAUCGGUGCUUAUGACUGAAGCGCAACACAUUUUAGAUAACUGAUGAUUCAGCAUAACAAGCCCUACGAGCCCAGCACGGCACAAGUGUGUCCAAAUAUAAAAAGCCACAGGCACAAUACAGAAUAGUCACUACUAUUACUUAUCAGGUCCGACGACACACUAAUUAUUUAUCAGUCCACAUAACUUAGGGUAACUACAGCGUCAGUAAGACAGACACAUAGCUAUAAUAACAAUUAGUCAGGGGUUCAUUACUGACCAACAAAUCUUCACACGCAACUCAGUUCCACCGACAACAAGUGGGCCUUCAGCUCUGUCGUUGAUCCUUGGGGAGAAUGAUAUGCGCUCAGAUUUACCAUCACUUGUCUGUGCAGCAAUCAUGAGCAAAUCCUUAACAUAAACACAUACAACAUGUCGCAAAAGCUUGAGGUCUCCACAAUUGUCAACAGUAAUCGCAUCAGCCUCUUUGCUAUCGUAGAGCACAAGCUCGUUGCGCAUGUUGGCAGUGUUGGCAGUGAUUCUUCCAUGAAAACUUCCCUGCACAACUUCAACUGCAAUAGUUCCCUCCAGUGCACGAUCCACG
rnacentral:lncRNA from 1 species